rnacentral:lncRNA from 1 species
UGUUGAUAUCAUAUUAAAGUGAAUUCAAGACCCUAUAUUAUUUUGCAUAACAUCAAAAUUUAGCCGAAUGGUAAUUAAGAAUUUCCUUUUUUGUUUGUCCCACAAUUAUAUAGUCUCAUUUUUUACAAUAAGCUCACAAUAUGCACGGAAAUGAAGAUCUAUUAAAAACUUCCCUAUAAUAUUAAACACUAAACAAUAUCACCAUGUUAUGCAUAUGGUGCCUCGUCAACAAUUUGAUGUUUAUUUUGUUUCUCGGGUGAAUAUGACUACUUGCGUUGCGAGUCCAUGCUUUUGUCGUUUGGAUGGAGGACGUGCCAUCUUUUUAUUUUAGAUGGUUUGUAAGACUUCUGAUUUAAUGAUUGAAUGCAGUCAAUUAACAAAAGCUUACAUAUUAUGUAGGUGCUGAUAUGUCUGUUCUUGAUAAAGUAGAUUUAUUUACAUCCAAGCCAACGGAGCCAAAGACAUUUCGUUAAUAAAAUACACGAUAAUUAUUUUUGUUAAACUGAUUUCUGGUUAAUAAGACCUAUAACAGCAUUCAAGGAAGCCACCGAACUCAAAGGAAAGGCAUGGUUAAAUAUACUGCGAAGCAUGUGAGUUCGUUUUUUAAUCUCUUGAUCACUCAUAAGCUUUUCUAUACCACUCACUGUAUCAUCCUUUUGAAUCGAUUUUGAUUGAUCAUCAGAGAUCAUGUACCCCACCUUAAGAUGAUUGAUCACAAAUUUGGCAUUGUAAUGUUGGUCACCUCUAAUUGGCCAUGCUAAAAUUGGGACUCGACAACCAAUUGCUUUUACUGUUGAAUUCCAUCCACAAUGAGAUAAAAAUCCACCCGUGAUUGAUGACUCAAUAUCAAUAAUUGUGGCGCCCAUCCAUCUAUUAUCAAAUCCUUUUUACCGACUUUAUUAUCCAAACCACUACGAAAAUAACUGCCUUCAGCUGGUUUGUCCAAAUGACGUAGAGGAUCCAAUCUACCUGCACCACCUUGAAUUACCCAAAUAAACGAUCGAUUUGAUGCUUCUAAAGGAUUAGCUAGUACUAAGUACUCAUCUAAGGUCAGAUCCACUUCAGUACCAAAUGACACAUAUAACACAGAUCCGCGUGAUUUCAAAUUCAACCUUUGAACGAUCUCAUCUUCCGUCAUAUUAGAACUCCGCCGGUUGGUUCUCAUCUCAUGAUCAUCAAGCACUGAACCGGCCGAUUUGUAAAAUUGUUCAGGUAAUAGUGGGCCCACUCCCCACAUCGGCUUUCCCAAUUCAUUGGCUAAAUAAUUAAUAAAUGGUCCCUCAAGACCAUCACACGUGUUGAACAUCAACGCCAUUGAUCCCUCCACUUCCUUCAUCCAGUGUGGUUGAUCACCGGCUUCUGGUGGACCUAUUUUCUCGGAACCGGGUGCACCUCUCAGAGGUGGUGGACCACCAGGAGGGGGCCCAUGAGGCCUGUGUUUUAGGUCCGAUUCAAAUAAAGCCAUAUCCUCGGGUAACCGAGGAAGUAAACGGGCCUCUCCCGGUUUGACAUCUUGGAUGCGAGCCUGCCACAUGGCACACUCCGCAGCUGCCGAGCAAGCACCAGAAGUGAAGAACCCAACAAUGGGAACUUCAAAAAUCUUGAAAACAUCAGCCGUCCAGCCCAUCAUAACGUCGAUGACUGCACAAACGGGUCGGCUUUUGGGUUCCCGGGUUGAAAGGAGGUUUCGAACUUCGAAGGCCUUGAAGCAUUUGGCUGUGCAUGGCAACAUGAGGGUGAGGAGGCGAAGGAGGGUAUUUCAGUAACUUCAAAGAGAGGGUAUUGGUGAAACGAGGAAGGGAUGAUGCUGGGGGCGGAAAUGUGAGAGGGAAUGAUGAGGGUAGAUUUGUAAUUACGAGUAGCGAUUUGCUUGCAUAAUUCAAUGCAUGGAAACAGAUGUCCCUGACCGAAGAAUGGGACAAUCCAAACCUCGGCCUCAGCAGCAGUAGCAACAGAGCUUGACAUCUUUUUGAAUUAUUUGAUACUUAAUUGUUACUGUUUGCUUUUACAUCUUUCAUAAAACACUCUUUGUUAUAUAUAAAGAGAUGACUUAAUGGAGAAGUAAGUGUUUUAGUUUUACAGUUUUACUAGUAGGUGAGCUCUGAGUUUGAUAAUUUGAUUGUUAGUUUUAGUUGGUUAGUUAUGAGAAAGCAUCUUUUAGAAAAUUCAUUCCAGUUUCAACUAAAAUUAAUAAUAUUGUUCAAAUUAAUUACUCGAUAAAUAAAUAAUUAGAGAUAAAUCUAUCCCUAAUCUCACAUUUAUAAAAUAAGGAUUGAAAUAAGUUCUUGUGGAUUCGAACUCAAGCCCUCAAGCCGAGUGGCUGGAUCUUGACUACUUUGACUUAAUUAUUAUUAUUAUUAUUAUUAUUAUUAUUAUUAUUAUUAUUAUUAUUAUUAUUAUUAUUAUUAUAUAUAUAUAUAUAUUUCAUUCUUUCAUUGAACAUCUUUUGUUAUAUAAUAAAGAAGAUAAGUUGACGGAGAAGAGUUUUACUUUUACUAGUAGAUGAGCUUUGAGUUGAGAACGUUAGUUUUAGUUGAUUAAAUAUCUACCAUCCAAAUCAACAUUCCUUAAACUAUUAUUCAAGUGAGAUGUCUGAGUAACAUACGCUUGAGUUAGUUGGUGCCUAACAAUUCGUGUGAUACAUGAAACCAACCAAUAUGAAAACCAAAUCAAGUUGGUAGGAUUACAUUAAUUUAAAUUAACUUUCAAGUUCCAACAUUAUAAGAUAAAUAAAUAGCAUAAACUAAUUUUUUUUUUCAAGUAAAUAUGUUUAUCGUUUAAAAAUUAUUUUUUCUUGCGGUAAAUGCAACACUAAAUAAGGAGUGAAGAGGGUAUUUUGUAGGGUAUACCCCCACCUUUUAUUUCAUUUCAUUAUUAAAAAAUAAAGGCUUGAUUCAACAUUCAAGUAAAAUUAACAAUUCCAUGAUAAAAUUGCUUGAGAAUAAGAAUUAAAAUAAAAAAAGAAAACAGCAACUCAAAAACGACAUACAAAUACCGCAUAGAGGUUUUUCGUCACGAGAUAUUUUUGGGUUGAGACAACAGUUGUAUAACAGAGCAUACAGACUGAAUGACGGUGAGAAUAAGAAGGAAAACGGCGCCACACACCGAAAUGCCAGCCCAUGGAGUAUUGAAGUAAUUUUGUUUCAAGUUUGCCCUCCAUUUGUAGCACGUUCUUUUGCAGUGAUCAUUCAAUCCUUUGCAUAGCCCAGAAAAAUAGAAGCUAUUAGACAGCAGAGUAGUACCUCUAGAAAGGAACACAUAAUCAUUUAUGUAACACAUAAUCAUUUAUGUAAUUCUCUGAGUAAUGCCGUUGUUCAAAGGCAAUGAGAUUACGAAAUAAGGAUUCUGUUUCUAGCUGUAGCUUCAGUUUCGGAAUAUGCGAUGUCCUGUUUUUGAAUUCUAUGGCGAACAAAUCAUUGCUCUUGCUCAAACUGAAGUGGACUCCAGCUUGGUGGAGAUUAGUCACACUUGGUGCGGUUUUACCUUUGUGGUAUUGCUGACCUUCUUGUUUUUCCUGAUUCCUCGAUGAUGGGAGAUGGCAAAUCCUUAGAAAAUCAAGGAAAUGCUCUACCCUAGCCUUAGUGUAAGGAGGGAAUUUUUGCUGAUUACCUUGUACUACCUCUAAACCCUUGAAAUACUCGUAUGUGACUGUGAUGAUGGUUGGAUUUUCAUGUUGGUCGGGGAUUUCAAUUGCCGCUAGAGCAAAAAGAUCCUCAAGAAUGAAGAAAGGAAGCUGAUUCUCAAGCAACCACAUAUCAUACCGUAUAUCCUCUAUUAAAUAGGGUUUAUGAAAUAUAUGAUCAUCUUUUUUUUGAAGUUGACGGAAAUGAUACCUCAAUAAGAGUUCAAUGAUGAAGGCAGCAUCCAGCAGAAUCAUUUCAACAAAUUUAUCACUACUUAGUUCGACUUUUUCUGCAUAAGAACCUCGUAAUUCUGCUUCUCUGAACUUUAUAAUUUGAACAAACUCGUCAAAGCUUAUUUGGGUCCGUUGAAGAAAGUAAUGCAGGUACCGCUGUUUAUGUUCUUCCAUGAACUGUAAGUUUGCUUUGCCAUGCUGAAGAGGGCCAAUUGAGACUACCUGAGGUGUAUGUACCUUUUCAUUUAUCUGACGUAAUCGCUCUGGAACUCUGUAGAUGCAGCAGUUUGAGGGCAAUGGUGAUAAUUUUUUCAACUUAACUUGCAAGCAUUCUUCCAUGUUAUAAACUGAAAACAUGGCGCGAAAUUUAAUCAAUUCAACACUUAAUAAGGCAUAGUAAUUAAAAAAGAAUUAAAAAAAAAAACCAAAUACAAGAGCAUUCUUACACGUACAGAAGCACCUCAAUCCCUACUAUUUGCAGAGCUGUAGCCAGGAGUCAAUGAUAGACCAGACUGAACUAAAAGGAACAACUUUCUUAGGAAUAUGUUAUCGGUAUUUUCUCUGGCCUCAGGCCAUCAACAAAGCAGUUUCAGUGCUUCUUAUAUAAUUCCAUGGAUUAUUCCUUGCCUUUACAGAUGAUAUAAGUCACAAUUCAUAUAUUAAUUUCUCCAGAUUCCGUACAAGUGGACCAUAACUAUGGAAAAAUUCAAAGAAUGCAACAGCCAUUUGAUUGGUCCAUGUCAGAAGUUAAUCUGGGGAAAGAAGCUUGAUCUAGCAGUAAAAUUCUCUCCUUCAAUCAGUCAGUUUGGGGCAGCAACAAGAUCAAAGCCACCACGCAAACAUUUACUAAAGUUUAUAUAAUAUUCACUAGUUUAUAUAAUAUUCUUGAAACUCAUCUUAAGUAAAGCAACAAAAGCCUUCACUGUUUCUUAACAACUUUAUUGCUCUAACACGUAGCAUAACACUUUUAAAUUUGCAUAAAGCACAAUAGUACUUUAGUUUGUAACAACAGCACAGAUAAUAAAUCGCAUUUUAUAGCUUUAACAAAAGCAUACAAAAUUCUUAAACCUUGUUUCAAGCAAUUCAUUAAUGCCACAAGGAUGUCUUUUUGCUUCCUACAGUUUUUAUUGAAAUUCAUAUAUUCUUCUUUAUCAAAUUAAGUAAUUUUCCUUUUUCAAAAAAUCAAGAAGGUUUCGACUGCAUGGAAAUACAGCACACAAUUACUACUAUUCCCGGAGUAAGAAAUUCAUAAAUGCAAUAUAAACAUACAUUUUCAUAAGACAUCAGAAUCAAAGAAUCAUCAAUGCAUCAAAUCUGUACACCCAAAAAAGUUGAAAGCAUCAAGAGAAAAUUAUACCGCAUGGACCCUUUACAACCCUUAUAACGAGUUCAGACAGCCUAAUCCAAUUUAAUAGAUUUGAGGACAGCUACAAUGUGCAAUACAAAAUUUCCCAAUACUAUUUAGAACAAAGUCUAGAAAAUAAAACCUAUAUAUUGUACAAAAUCACGAAAACCAGAAAUGACGAAAAACCUGCGAAUGUAAUUUUUGGGUUUCUUCAACAUAUCUUCCAUCCAAAUCAAACAAGAAUCGAUAAAUCAACAACAUUCAUCUUUAAACGACAUAUUACCACAAUAAAAUUGUCAACCAAGCCUCAUAUAAACCUUUUUUGUGUUUUUUGGUAAAUAUAUUUGUUAUUCUCUAAGAAUACUAGGGAAAAAAGAAACCCACUUUCUUAAUCAAGAAUCAAAUAGUAUAUAUGAAUCUAAGCUGAAGUAAGUCUUGGGUUUGAUGAAAAAGCUUGCAUUGUGAUUUAGAUUGGAAAGGAAGUUGAUUUUUGCUGGUUGAGAGAGAGAGAUUUGAGACUUAAGGAGUGUUGCUAAUCUUCGAUCGUGUAAACAAGGGUAACUGGGUCAUAGUUCAAAAUAAGGGUCCAAAAUUUACUAAAGCUAUUAAGGAGCCCAAAACUCAUAAUGGCUUCCCCAAAAUAAAUAAAAUUUUCUAGCAUUAAGUUUUUGUUUCUUCUUGAGAUUUCCUUGUCGUACUUACCCAUAUUUCGAUAUUGCCUCCAAGUAAACUUAUAUAUAUUGAUUAACAAUAUAAACAAGCACUAUGAAGUUUUAGGCCUGAAAAAACAUUGAGGUUGAAAUGAAAACCAUCUAUUUAAGUAACAAAAUCUUCUGAUAAUUUGAUGCUUAAUAAAUAGAGCAGAGAUGACAUAUUAAUCACGCUAUGAUGUGGAAGUUAUGAUUAUAUUCAUCUUAAGAAUAAGAUCUUUCAAACACUGGCAGAUUAGUAUCAAAAUACUCAGCAUAAGACCUACAAACUAGAAAUCAUGAACCAAUUAUUGAACUCAGUACAUAAGUUGAUCUUUUAUAAGCUAUAAAACAAAUCUGCUAUAACAUAAGAAAGUGGGAUUUAUCACCAGACAAAUAUUUUGGUGAAACUCAAGAUGACGGAAGGAUAUCCAAAACAACCUCCUUAAGGGAAGGCAUCACUUCCUGCUGAUGCAAACAUAUAUAUUUAUUACUCACUUUCUUGAGGACCUUCCAGGAACCUGGGUAGCAUCUAACAGAAAGUGGAAAAGAAUAAAAUGUAAAAUAUAAGUUAAACAGCAGGAAAACAGUGAGUGAUACUAGGCAAGCAUUAAUAGGUUGCCGCAGGAAAAGUGUCAGUAACUAGCUAGCAAACCUGAAAAGGGUUCCUCCAUUGCGACCCUUAAAAUUGUGAAUGUAAUAUAUGGUCUCCAUCACAGGAAAAAGUGUAUUGGAUAGUGCAGCCAGCUUAGUGUUGCGGACCGCCCAAAUUCGUAGCCCAAUUUAUUCACCAAGAGCCCAACACAAGGCCAAGAGUGCUACCUUGGCCCGAUUCCGGAAAAUUCUAGGCAACUCUAGCACAUUGAGCUUGUAAAUACUCUAGAAUUCUCCAUAGAAUUCCAGCACAUGUAAAUAGCUAGGAAAUGGUAGAAUUCUCUAGAAUCUCUAGAGCUUGGCAAGCCUCCCCUAUAAAUAUGGGAUGGCAUUAGGCAUUUGUAUCCAACAAACACUACAACAAGCAUUGUAAGCAACUCAAGCAAUGUAAUUCUCUCUUUGUGCAAUACAAUUUCUCUUAUUCGGCUCUAUUGCUCUCUUCUCUAGUUCGAGAAGCUCUAAGCUUACUUAGCAACAUUCGGCAAAGUUGUCUAAGUGCCGCACGAGUUAGCUGCGCAAAAUACUCAUCCCGUGACAAGUGGUAUCAGAGCUAAAGUUUGCACGCACGCAAAUUAGCUCACGAGCAAUGGCCAACCUUUCAAACGUAGCACAAUAGGGUGUUGUUGGUGUGGAUGUUCCACUGGAACCAAGCCGCGACCAAGAGGGAGAACGCUCCCAAGGCAAGACUCGUGGCAAGUCCAAGGCCCCAUCCGUGGAUGCGUUGGAGCCUCGUGUGACUACUCUCGAAAUCACAUUGUCCGCCGCUCAAGAAAGUCUCGAGGGAUUGGAGGAACGAGUGGACGGUCUCGAGGGGGAAUACGCCGAGUUCACGGUGGCAACAAAAGCUCUCAUCCAAGAGCAAGCGAACACUCUCCGAGGUGAGUUUCGUUCUUUCCAUGAUGAGUUGCUCAAACUUCGUAGCUUUGUUCAGGAUGAACUACGAGCUGUCCGUGCAGAAGUGGAUGAAGUCCGCUCGGAUUGGGCAUGGCACAAGUGCACAGUCUCUGCUAGUCCAGCUUCCGCAAACUCGAGUGAUGCGCGCCGCAUUGACGUGCCAAAGCCCGACACCUACGAUGGCACACACAAUGCCACCAUCGUGGAUAAUUUCCUCUUUGGGCUCGAUCAAUACUUCGAUGCCAUGGGUGUCCGAGACGAGGCAUCGAAAGUGGGCACUGCACCCACCUAUCUUAGAGGCGCUGCACAACUAUGGUGGCGUCGCAAGUAUGGCGAGAUGGGCAAGGGCAUUUGCACCAUCGACACUUGGGCCAACUUCAAGCAAGAACGCCGAAAGCAGUUCGCCCCAAGCAAUGCGGAGAAGGAAGCACGAGCGUGCUUACGUCGCCUCAAGCAAACGGGUAGCAUAUGGGACUACAUCAACGAGUUCACUACCCUUAUGUUGGAGAUAAGCGACAUGUCCGACAAAGAUUCGCUCUUCUACUUCCAAGAUGGCCUCAAGGAUUGGGCCAAGACUGAGCUUGAUAGGCGUGGUGUUCAAACACUUGACGAUGCCAUGGCCGUUGCGGAGUCGCUCACCGAAUACUCUAUCCAAUCCAAGGACAAAAAGGCCAACCAAGGCAAAGGUGGGGGAGAGAGUCGCAAGGACAAGGGCAACAACCGCAAAGAUUGGGGGUAGAAAAAACUGCCUAGCAACAAGAGCGAGCAAGGAAAAUCGGAGGGUAAGAAGGAGGCGCCAAAGCCGCGAAGCCCAUGCUUCAUAUGCAAUGGUCCUGAUUGGGUACGCGACUAUCCGGAGAAGAGGUCGCUAAACGCUCUUGCUGCCCAACUCAAGAGCAACCCUACAAUGUCCACAGAGGAACCCCAACUCAGCAUGGGUUCUCUCCAACGCCUCGGCGCACUUAAUCACUAACAGCCUGCACUCGUCAAGAAAGGGCUCAUGUAUGUAAGCGCAAAGGUAAACGGUCAGUUCGUUCGCGCGCUGCUAGACACGGGAGCGACGCACAACUUUGUGUCCGUAGACGAGGCCAAGCGCUUAGGCCUCAAGGCCACCAAGGAAGGAGGCACGAUGAAAGCGGUGAACUCACCCGCCAAGCCAAUUGCGGGGAUCGCACAAGGCGUGCACAUUAUGCUUGGAACAUGGAGCGGAAAGCUUGAUUUCUCCAUCGUUCCCAUGGAUGACUUCAAGAUGGUCCUCGGCAUGGAAUUCUUCAACCAAGUCCAUGCCUUCUCGCUGCCCGCUCCGAACUUCCUAAGCAUCCUCGACGGGAGUAAGGCAUGCAUGGUUCCCACGGAACGAGGCAAGUCCGAGGAGAAGACACUCUCUACCAUGCAAUUUAAAAGGGCUUUCAAGAAGGACCCAAGUUUCUUGGUCUCCAUUCGGGAACUAAACGAGGUAGGAAAUAGCGGAAUCUCGCCAAACCAAGUCCCUCCGCGAAUUCAAGCCGUCCUUAAUGAGUACAAGGACGUGAUGCCUCCAGAACUUCCGAAGAAACUCCUACCUCGACGAGAGGUUGACCAUGCAAUUGAGCUGGAACAAGGCACGAAGCCACCAGCCUUGGCGCCCUACCGCAUGGCGCCACCCGAAUUAGAGGAGUUGCGGAGACAACUCAAAGACUUACUGGACGCAUGCUACAUUCGCCCCUCAAAGGCCCCAUUCGGUGCACCUGUGCUCUUCCAAAAGAAAAAUGAUGGAUUGCUGCGGAUGUGCAUCGAUUAUAGAGCGCUCAACAAGAUCACCAUCAAGAACAAGUAUCCGAUUCCCUUGAUCGCGGACUUGUUCGACCAGCUUGGCAAAGCGCGGUACUUCACCAAACUCGACUUGCGCUCCGGGUACUACCAAGUGCGCAUCGCCAAGGGAGACGAACCAAAGACAGCGUGCACAACAAGGUACGGGUCUUUCGAAUUCCUUGUGAUGCCUUUUGGCCUUACUAAUGCACCCGCCACAUUUUGUACGCUCAUGAACAAGGUGCUCCAACCAUUUCUCGACCGCUUCGUGGUCGUGUACUUGGAUGACAUAGUGGUGUAUAGCACCACGCUCGAGGAUCAUGCCCAACACUUGCGACAAGCCCUCCAAGUACUUCGAGACAAUGAGCUAUUCCUCAAAUUGGAGAAGUGCUCGUUUGCCCAACGAGAAGUGGAGUUCCUUGGCCACAAGAUUGCGGGCGGGAAGCUCAUGAUGGAAAAUGCCAAAGUGAAGGCCAUUCUCAAAUGGGAACCUCCCUCGAAAGUGCCCGAGCUUCGCUCAUUCCUUGGGCUGGUGAACUACUACUGCCACUUCAUCAAAGGCUAUUCGGCCAAGGCAGCACCCUUGACGGAUAUCAGAACGUGGCAUUAGUUCGAAGAGUGCCAACGCGCAUUCGAGGAGUUGAAGAAGGCAAUUUCAGAAGAACCUGUCCUCGCUCUACCGGACCACACAAAGCCCUUCGAAGUCCAAACAGAUGCCUCAGAUUUUGCCAUAGGUGGAGUCCUUAUGCAAGAAGGCCACCCCAUAGCGUUCGAGAGUCGAAAGCUAAAUGAUACGGAGCGUCGCUACACGGUGUAAGAGAAGGAGAUGACAGCCAUCAUACAUUGCUUGCGUGUGUGGCGACAUUACUUGCUAGGCUCACACUUCACGAUUAUGACGGACAACGUGGUGACAAGCUACUUUCAAACUCUAAAGAAGUUGAGUCCGAAGCAAGCACGGUGGCAAGACUUCCUUGCGGAAUUCGACUAUUGGCUCGAGUACAAACCGGGGAAAGCCAAUGUCGUUGCGGACGCUCUAAGCCGCAAGGUGGAAUUGGCAACACUUAGCAUGAGCCAACCGAAGUUCGACCUUAUCUCACGCAUCAAGGAAGGCCUCCAACAAGAUCCGCUAGCAAAGGAUUUGCUGGAGAAGGUGCUCGAGGGAAAGACAAGGCGUUUUUGGCAAGAGGAAGGCAUCCUCCUCACCAAGGGAGAUAGGCUGUUCGUGCCAAGGUGAGGAAACUUGUGGAAGGAAGUUAUCAAGGAGUGCCACGACUUCAAGUGGGCUAGUCACCUAGGAAUCGAGCGCACCACCGCACUAGUUCAAGCCUCGUAUUUUUUGCCACACAUGAGGGACGACAUCGAGGCAUAUGUGCGAACUUGUCUUGUGUGCCAACAAGACAAGGUGGAUCAUCAACUUCCAGCGGGAUUAUUAGAGCCGCUAUCGCUAGCAACAAGACCAUGGGAAAGUGUCUCCAUGGACUUCAUCACAUCGCUGCCUAAGUCCGAAGGAUGCGGAAGUAUCAUGGUCGUUGUCGACCGAUACAACAAGUAUGCCACAUUUAUUGCCGUACCAAUCGAUUGCAAAGCGGAUGAGGCAUCUCGCCUAUUCGUCAAGCACAUUAUGAAGCUUUGGGGAGUUCCAAAGAACAUUGUGAGCGACCGAGACCCUUGGUUCACUGGGCGUUUCUGGACGGAGCUCUUCAAGAUGUUAGGGACCGAUCUCAAGUUCUCGACAAGCUUUCACUCACAAACGGAUGGGCAGACCGAGCGCAUUAAUGGCCUCCUCGAGAUGUACUUGAGGCAUUAUGUGAGCGCUCAUCAGCGAGAUUGGGCGAAGCUAAUCGACAUCGCCCAAUUUUCUUAUAACUUACAGCGAAGCAAGGCUACGGGCAAGAGUCCGUUCGAGAUCAUCAUGGGAUUUCAGCCCAUGACCCCCAACGCCAUAGCCUCGACUUACGGAAGGAAAAGCCCCGCGGCACACAAGCUCACCCGCGAAUGGCAUGAGGAAGCGAACACCACGCAAGCCUAUCUCGACAAAGCCGUGAGGAAAAUGAAGAAAUGGGCGGAUACAAGGAGACGACAUGUUGAGUAUAAGGAAGGUGAUCAAGUUAUGAUCAAGCUCCUACCCCAACAAUUCAAGAUGUUGCGGAAAGUCCACAAGGGGUUAGUGAGGCGCUACGAGGGACCCUUCCGAGUUGUUCGACGUGUGGGCAACGUCUCGUAUCAACUCCAACUUCCGCCAAGACUCAAGAUCCAUCCGGUCUUCCAUGUGAGUCUUCUCAAGCCAUAUCACGAAGACAUGGGAGACCCAAGUCGCGGAGAAUCGAGGCGCGCACCAACUGCCGUUGUCACCGCGUUCGACAAAGAUGUGGACUACAUCAUUGCGAACCGCGUGGUUUCGAGGAGGGGCGUGCCAGCACAUAGCGAGUACUUGGUGAAGUGGAAAAACCUCCCCGAGAGCGAAGCCACUUGGGAACGUGAAGACAAUUUGUGGCAAUUCGUUGAGCACAUCCAGAGGUUCAAGCACGAGAGCGCGAUGAGGACGCCGCGAGGUUAGGUGGGGGAGGAUGUUGCGGACAGCCCAAAUUCGUAGCCCAAUUUGCUCGCCAAGAGCCCAACACAAGGCCAAGAGUGCUAGCUUGGCCCGAUUCCGGAAAAUUCUAGGCAACUCUAGCACAUUGAGCUUUUAAAUACUCUAGAAUUCUCCAUAGAAUUCCAGCACAUGUAAAUAUCUAGGAAAUGGUAGAAUUCUCUAGAAUCUCUAGAGCUUGGCAAGCCUCCCCUAUAAAUAUGGGAUGGCAUUAGGCAUUUGUAUCCAACAAACACUACAACAAGCAUUGUAAGCAACUCAAGCAUUGUAAUUCUCUCUUUGUGCAAUACAAUUUCUCUUAUUCGGCUCCAUUGCUCUCUUCUCUAGUUCGAGAAGCUCUAGGCUUACUUAGCAACAUUCGGCAAAGUUGUCUAAGUGUCGCACGGGUUAGCUGCGCAAAAUACUCAUCUCGUGACAUUAGGGUAGAAGAAUGACGGAUAAUCUUUAGCUCAUUUAAGGAAAUCCUCUCUGAUCCUUUCAUUGCACAUUCCAAAACAACUCUACUACAACCAAGUUACCAAUUCUUUUUGUUAAGUCAUUGUUAUUUGUUAAAAAAAAAAAAAGUCUUCCUUGCAACAUUUUAUUGAAAGAUAUAACAUGAUCAUCCCUAUUAAUUCCCUUUUAGAUUUCUGUGAGUGAAUUUCAAAUUAUUGUAUUCAAAAAUAGAAGCAAAAGACCCACUUUACUUUCAAUUUCUGCAACAAGAUACCAAUUGAAGGACCAAAAAGUUGUAAACAAGCAAUUCAAUGGGUGGGCAUCUAGAAACUGCUAAAUAGCAUCAAAAUCAUACUAAAUUUACAGAAAGUACAAUAAUAAUGAAAGAAUGGUGAAGGAUACACCCAGACCUUAUCCGGUCAAGUUCUCUAUUGAAUAUAAUCAGUUUCUGGGCAGUAUUGAAGACAGCUUCUUUGUAAAGCUCUUCAACGACAAGCAUUUCUACAAGACGAAAGAAAAGCAAAAUUAAUUACCUUAAGGAAUGAAUAUCAAUAAGAAGACAAGGUGUAAGACUACCAUUGACAUUAAAAUAUGGAUAGGCGACUAGAAACAAUUCAUCUUCUGGCUUCACACGGUCUGCCAUUUUAACCUUCUCAGUGAAUCCAAAAUCCUCAAAGAAUGAAGGUUUUGUUAGAUAGUCCAACUUAAAUAAUGAUCCUUCAAAGACCGAUUUUCUUGCAUAUUUGACUUCAUUUGCCUCUGGGAAAAACUAAAAACCAAAUGACAGACCAAGAUCACGAAACGAAUCAUGAACAUAGAUAUCAGAUAAUCAGAAAUGGGCAUUAAACAGACUACUAACAAGUAGGAAAUGCAUACAGAAAACAUUAUUCAUACACCUUAUGCACAUGAAAUAUAUAUGCAGAGGGAUCCUCUUGUGAAUUUAGUUUAUAUCCUAAUAUGAGACAAUGAACAAUUGGAUGGCAUCUAAGGGCUAACAUUUGUUUGAUUAUUAUAUGAAAAAAAAAAACAAAACAGAGUUGAUUGAUGGCCUUUGAUGGAUUGCCUACACUCUUAAAGUGCAGAGAGCCUGAUUAAUUGCUUUACCUGCCCCCCCCCCCCACACACACUUGGUUUUAUUAUCUCUCUUUUCAAAUAUAUAAUCAUUGGCUGUCUUUCAUCCUGAUCCGGCUCUCCUUCCAGGCCCCAGCUGUGUUUUCUUCAAUUCAGUGAAACAUUCACAUUCAGGUAAGAAUAAACUUGUCCUUCCUCAAAAAUCAGCUUCUCACCAUGAAGCUUUCUUUUUUAAACCAAUUACUAGUCUAGCAUAACGCAUCUAAUUGAAGACAACUCAGAAUUGAAAAAGCCAUACUUUAAUGUCUGUUGUUGGGACCUCAAGACCAGGAACAAAAAGCUUCUUUCUAACAGUUGGAUUAACAAGUAGAAAUAGCUUUUUUUCUGAAGGACCCAACAUUGCAUUGAAAAAUUCAACAAAAGGAAUGGCAUCAUAUUUAGUCCUGCUAGAAUUUUGUGCACUUAACACAAUGGUUAAUAAUUGGCCCAGCGGACACUUUGUCGAACUAUUGGCAACCUUGACUGUGGAAAUGCAUAUUUCAAAUGUUGGCAGGCUCUAGCUUCUUGAUGUACUGUUGAUAGAAAUGCCUAUUUCAAAAGUUGGCAGGCUCAAACUGCCGAGACUUUGGUUUCUUGCAUUUCAAACCCACAAAUAAAACUUUGGCAGAACCCCAGAAAGAGCUACACCUCCCAAAUUUGAUGACAAAUGAAGAGACCAUGCCUAGUGCUUAGUUCGGCAAAUGAGUAAGUUUGAAAGAAAUUAAGGGAAACCUUUCCCACAGAGAGUCAUAUUGAAGGUUACAAUUUGAAGACUUUGUCCCCUGUCGCCCACAACCUUCUUUGAUCUCUUUGCUUAGUCAUAAAUAAUCAAACAUAUGUUAGUCGUUGGAUGCAAUCCACUCACUGACAUCUCAUGUCCACAAUCAAUCAACCAUAUUUUAAUAGAAAUGAAAACAUUUUAAUUAAAAAAGAAUGAGAUAGGAACAAAAUGAAACUUGGCAGACAUGGGUCUAUGAGAUUUUAAAGAUGCUUGGUGAAAGUCGUAUUCAAGAGUUCAACAGUCAGUUCUAUCACCUAUGGCAAAGUAACCACCAUAACUAAAGCAAUUACAAAACAUCAAGAAGCUUGAACUUGGCAAGAGGUCUCAUUAACAGUAUACCUCAGAAAUUAAGACAGACUUAAAGUACAAGCUUUUGGAUUUAUUUAAACACUGAAAAUAAUAUGGGUAGAAGCUCCUAUGGUCACAGCAAACAAUUACAAAGCACAAAACCCAAAAAAUAGAUAUGCAAAAAGCUGCAAAAGAACAUUAUUAGCAAUUGACAUCUGCUUUGCUCAGACAAAGGUUCUCAUAACAAAGGACUUAGUGAUUAUCUUUCAUAUGUUUAUGUUAAGGGGAAAAAGGAAGUUUGUUUUAGUCAAUCUCAUGUCUAAUGGCAUUCAUAAGGAGCCCAAAAAUAAAAGAAAAAAUAAAGAGUUAGUAGGUGUUUCUCGCAGUAUAAAGAAAAUUUAUCAUCCAUGAAAAACUUAGUAUGGAAAAAGCUAACUCAUUUAUCUGCCAAUGGAGAAAAACUUGUUGUCCACCCACUAAGGACCCACCAUUGGGAGAUGGAUCCCAUGGAUGGGAACCACAAAUAUUUUAUUCUAAAUGAAAUGGGUAUUGUACCAUAUCAUUUAAUUUGUAGAUUCCACUGAUGGAACUCAUCAAACUUUUCAAAUGGUAGGUCCUUCAUGGGUAGGCGCAUCACUUCAGCAUCCUUCUCCACCGAUGACUAAAUCUGGACUCAUUUAAAAAGAAUACAAAGCAAAACUAAUUGACACAAAUUGCAUAGAGGUCUAGGAGCCAAAUCAAUGUUGUUAACUCAUCCAAUUAAUACAUUCUCUUAGAGGUCAUACCUUGGUAACUCAUUUCAAAAGAAAUUAAAAGAAAAACGACUGCACAAAUUGUACUGAGCUCAAGAAGACCUGUUCAAGGUGUUCACUUGUCCAACUAAUAAAAGUCAUCAAGGAUUGUAUCGGGGACUUGGGACCAAUCCUGCCUUAACUAGAGAAAGGGAAUUUAGGAUGAAGAAGAUAACCUCUUCUCCUAGAGCCCUUUUGGACAAAAAUGAAUUCCUACUAAUUCUGAGAAUAAAACCAUAGACAUCUAACUUCUGAUAUCUAGUCAAUCUGGUAAAAUCUUGUCAGUUGCACUUGGGGCAGAAAUUAGUUCCACCUUGGUUUACAGGACAGAAAUUCGUCAUAUGCAUGUAUUUAUUUAUGUUUUAUACACAAACGCAUACAUGUACACACAAACACUACCUUCACUUUGAAGAAAAGAUUAAAAUAACACUGCUCACAUACACAAUACUUACUAUUCUAGUUCGUGUAACUUUCUCUGGAGUCACAAACAGGUCACAGAAUUCACGUAUUAACCGCAUACUUCCAGUCAUUUCUAUUCCUCCUUCACCAUCACCUGUCCCACAAUUACAAAAAGUGAGAGGUAAUAACCAACAUAUUUGGGUUGCUCUUCGGUAAGGGGUGGGAGGUAAGGGUUAGUUGUGGAGGGCACCUGGUACAGAAUCAAGGCCAGCUGUUGGGAAUUCGAUCUCUUGUAACAUAUACUUGUUCAUCAUAAACUAUAUACUUAUUCUGCAGUCGAUGUGUGCAUAUAGCUCUUCAAUUAUCCAGUAAUAACUCACCAUCAACUUCCUACCAUCCUUCAUGGCUAAUUCAGCAGCCAUUUUUGCCUGUUUAAAGGUCAAAAGCCCAAACUAAGCAGAUGCUCCUACUCCGAUACUUAUUAUCUAACUACUACAGAACAGAUGAUACACAUCAAGUUGUAUCAAGAGAGACACCAAGUUGUGUUUUCCAAGAGGUUCCAAAGAGGAUCUGUUUCUUUGUGUAAUUUUUAGACUGCUUUGACAACUCAUCUUAAAGGUGCCACUCAUCCAAUAUGAUGUGGUGACAGUAGUUUAGAGUUUUAAACUAAAUGCAGAGCUAAUAGUAUUUUGGAAAUAUAAUCAUCCUAAGAUACUAUAACACAAGGAUUCUUACACAAAAACAACAACUUCGAUGUAGAGAGAAGAUGAUUUCACAAAAGCAGAUGUUUUGAUUUAAGUCUCCAAAACCCCCACCAAGAAAAUGUUCAACGGAUAUAGAAAUAUGAUCCACAUAUCUGUAACUUAAACUGUAAAAGUUGUUGAUGUUGUUCUAAAAUUGCCACAAUCUAUCUACCCCAUGAAUGUUUUUGGAUAAAACAAGAAGCAGGACCCAAUGCCUGUUUUCUAAUAGCUUCAAAAAGGCCAAAUUGGUUUUGAAAUGUCUCCAGCUUUUCAUUUAACAAGUUUAAGGAUCCCUUCGGCAUUGCAAUUGGGGAGCUCAGAUAUAUAAAAGUGCCUGGUAAACUCUUACAGCCGCAGCUUUUGAGCAAAAAUAAUUUUAUCUCAUAAUUGUUUGACUAAAAACAUAUAUCACCUUUUAUCAGUUUUGUAAAAAAUAUUAUUUAUAAGUCAUAUUUACCAAACACAGUCAACUUUUACAUCACAACUAUAGCUUUUUUUUUUUUUUCACCACACAUAUAUAGUUAAAAACUACAAGAACUCGAUAUCAAACAGAUCCUAAAGCGUAAUCUAAUAAAAAGGUAAAUAAACAAAUGCAGAAGCCAGCGUACUUGAUCAAGAAGCUCUGAAUAGUCACUGGGAAAGGGAAUAUCGACGUUAAUGGGGUUAUUGCCAUCGCUUGAAACCGAAUUGGUGAGACAAUUGCGUUUUCUUCUGUACGGCGAAAAUGUGACGAUUGAGUAACAACUUAUAUCGAACUUUAGGUUAAAAUAAUUACUAUGGAAUAUUGGAAUACGAGAUUAUUAGCAUUUGAGUGCUUGAGUGGGAAUCAAGAAAACUUAAAAUAGUUCAGUUAACCCAAAAAGAAAAAGGGGGGAAAAAACCCAUGGAAAGUGCGAUGAAUGUAAAUCCACUUUAAAACUUUAAUCAUAAAUGGUUAACUAAUUUUAAGUAAUUUGGAUUAACUUGACAAAUUGAAAAACCAUGCACUAGAGGAAAAUGUUCAUAUUUGGAGGUCCGAAUUUAUCUACCAUUCAACCCUAUUUUCAGCUCCUGCAUGGAGGAUAAGUUAGUUUGGUGAAUCUACCACUAGCUAAUUAGCUAAUUUUUUUUUUUGAAGAUAGCUAAUUAGCUAAUUAAGAGAGCAUUAACGUUGAUAAUUUGUCCUAUCUAAAAUGAAAAGUAAGAAAUUUACACUAGUAAAUUUUACACAAUCACAGUUGGAAUUUCAAAGAAACAAAAACGGAUCAAUAGUGCAAUUGUAAUUCAAAUUUGCACUUUAGGCCACACGUUCGGCCCAGUUCUUGUAUUAACACUUCAAUACUUGACAUGUGGCCAUUUUUUUAUUCGUCCACGUUCUUUGCAUUCUCAUGGUAGUACUCGAACAAGACAAAAUUUCACGAAUAUUCAGUUGAAUUGUUGUUGAAACAUGUAUAAGAAAUCAAAUCUCGUUAGUUUUGAAUAUUACCAGCAACUCAAAUUAUUUUAACCUAAAGUUCAAUAUAAGUUGUUGUUGGGGGUUAACGGCAUUUUGAACCACAAAGUAAAGAGAGAGAGAGAAGAAACGCUCCCCUUUCAAAUACCGUGCUCUUUUGUACCUGGGAAUUUAAUAAUUCAUGCGAAUAAAAAAAUUAUAAAUUUAGUAAAUUAUUUAUUAAAAAAUAUUGAGAGGUUGUGCAUUAUUUUAUUAGUAAUGACAUAGUAAUCAUCAAAUUAGUUGAAUUAAAAUAGUUGUUGACUCACGUAAUUUAUUUUUAUUAUUUUUAAAAAAAAUGGUCUGCGUUAAUAAGGUUAAGGGUGACAACUGGGAUCAAUAUACAGUUUAUUCGGGUGCUUAAAACCUAAUAAAUAUCCACUAACUCAUAUAUAGUUAAAAUAUAAUUAUUUUUAAAUAAAAAAUUUAAUAUAAACUAAACAAAUUGAUCGGAUUUUGUUUCUCAAGGUACAUCAUUAGAACGUUACUUUUAAUUGAACAAAAGCACACAUAACUAGCACAUUCGCCACAAAAGCCUCGGCUUAGUGGUCGGCUUAUUAAUUAUCCUAAUAAAAUCAUGGUCAUAAAUUUGAGUCCCCGUAGGUUAGGUAGCUUUUUUAGACUACACUAUAAAUACAUGUAUUUUACUUCUCGCGGGUAUUGCUUCUAGUAGUUAUCCAUCCGAGUAUAGAGCUUUGUAGCUUUCUUCAUGACCUUCCCCAAUUUCAAUGCUUGUUAAACAAUCUCCACAGAAAAUGUGAUAGAAAUGUCCCGCUGCCACUUGUUGUGCAUAGUCCAAAUCUGCAAUUUAAGGUCAUCAUUUCAUUUAAUUUUCCGUUAUAUAUAUUCAUCUUUCUUAGAGGCCAAGAAGUCUUCGACAGAAAUGUGAUCUUUUUCUAGUAGCCUCCCGGUGAUGAGCUUCUCCCAAGUUUCAAUUAAUUCGCUUUGAGUGAGGAUAUUUUCUGGUGGCCUCAAAUACAAUGUUUUGUUCAGCACUCGAGGAGCAUCUAUUCUCUUAAUAGUAUAUAUGGCAACAUCAUCGAUAUGCACCAUAGAAAAAAAGAUAAUCAUUUUGUUUAAUAUGAACAUAAAUUCUUACAGUCUAACUCAUAUUAUAGUGAACGAUGUUGUUGUGUGGUGCGUGCAUGCACUAUCUAUAGUUUUAAUAUUAUUAAUAAAGAGUUAAAAGUCUUGAUUUAAUUUUAAAUUGUCAUUCCUCUAACUUCACCGUCUUCAUAGAUCCAGACUUUAUCUUUUGAAGGGCGAGGGUAGCUAUAUUUGAGAGAGGUGUCCGGGGAACCAACCAGCAAAAAACAGCUAGCAGAAACAUAAAUGACAGGGAUUUGAGCAGCCUUGAUUGCCCUUCUCACACAUGUGCUCUGCGUUCUCCCUCUCGCUCUCACUCACUCACGCCCAAAUCUCACCUCACUCACGCCCAAAUCUCACCUCACUCACGCAUCUCUCCUUCUGACCGGUGGUUUUCUCUCUCUCGCCGUGGGUCUCUAGGCUGGCAGGGAUUUCUCGACUUGACUACUAAAACAUAAUCCAAAAACUACUAAGAGAUGUAUAUAUUACUCUGAUAUACACAAUAUGAAGAAACUGCAGUUAUAUUUCAAAUAUUAUAUGAAGGAAGAGGCUGUAUGGAUUAUCCAAAGGUGCUGAAAUUAAGAGACCCACACCAACCGACAGACCCCCGGUGAUAGAGAGAAAGUCGACCGUGAGAUGCAUUCAAGACGGGGGAAGAGUGAGAGAGAAAACUGCCCGGUCAGAAAGAGAGAUGCAUGAUUGAGGUGAGAGAUUUGGGCGUGAAUGAGUGAGGAGUGAGGGAGAGGGUGCCGCGUGUGUGGGAUGCGUACAGUGACAAUUUAUACUUACAUCAAAACGCCGAGUUCGGUGCCAUGUGUAGGGCUAACUGUGGUUUGAAUCUCACUUUGGUAACGGAAAUGACUUUGCAAUUGACAGUUUUUGUCAAAAGUUCGCACUGCAUGAAACUAGUGUUAAUAUAAUUUAAAAAAUUAAUUUCAGUAUUAAUUUUUAAAAUGUUAAUUAUUAUAUUUAUUUUAAUAAUAUAUUUAUAUUUAUAAUAAAAAUUUUAGUUAAAUAUUUGUGUUAAAUAGAAUUUAUAAUUAAUAUAAUAUAUCUUAGGUAUUAAUUAUUAUAAUUAUUCUAUAUGCUAUUGAAAAUCAUUUAAAUUUUUAGAUGUUUAUUUUCAUACUAAGUUUCUAUUUAUUUUAAAAUUUAGUUUAAUAUAAUAUAAGCAAGUAAAGUAUUAAAAUAUUUUUUAGUAUUUUUAAAAUAUUAAAAUUAUUUUAAAAUAUAAGUCAAUUUUUUAAGUUAAUAGAACUAAUAUUUACAGUUUAUUUGAUGGCCUCAACAAGCUAAAGCAGCAUCAAAAUUAUGUGGCUCCUUAUUUUAUUUUUUCCCUUUCAAAAAGGGAAAAGGAUAAGUUUGGGAGAAUGUUUAUAUUUUUAAUAAAUUCUUUUUUAUUAUAAUACUUUUUGUCUUUAUUAAUUUAAAAAUAUUGACUCUUAUAUUUUAAAAAAUAUAAAUAUAAUAUUAUAAUAAAAUAUAACAAUAUAUAUCAAAUAUUUAAAAAAAAUUUAUAAUUUUAUAUUAUAUUAAAAUAAAUUUUUAAUAAAUAAAAAUAAUCUAUUAAAAUAAAGUACAAAAAUUUAAAUUAUUUUCAUUAUCAUCUAAAAUAAAUUUACUAUUAUUAAUGCAUGAAAUAUAUUAUAGUAAUUGUAAAUUUCAUUUAACUCAAAGAUUUAUUUAGAAUGUUUAUAAUAAGUCCAAAUAUAUUAUUAAAAUAAUUAUAAUAAUUUACAUUUUAAAAAUUAAUACUGAUAUUAAUUUUUAAAUUAUAUUACUCUACCAGAAAAAUUAAACUAUUAAAUUAUAUCAAUAUUUAUUAAAAAAAUUGAAAUUAAUUCUUGUUAUAUUUUUAAUUGGAAUUUUUUCAUGUGAUAUAACCACAAUUGCUACAUUUUUUCCCCUGAAUAAAGAUGGAGUUAUAAAUUAUUUGUAUAAGUGUCUGUGUGGAAACUAAUGUGACAUGAAAGUAAUAGUUGAAUAACAAUAAUGGGGCUUUAGGCAAUUUUUUCAUGAGAUUUUCUUGCGAUUUCAACACUUAAACAGACUUGUCCUUCAUCCCAAUUUAUUUACCCCAUUUGGGCCCGUUAUGACAUAGACAUAUUCUUGUGGAAUGAAAAACUUCAUGAGAAGAAAUUGUUUUAUUAUAAUAGAAAAAAGUGGUCCAUAAGUCUAUUCAUUACUUUUUUUAUUCAAUAUAAAUGGCUAACUUUAAAAAUGGUAAAAAUCACAUAACGCGCAAGCGAAAUCUAAGAUUUAUAUUUUUUAAUACUCUCCAAGUCUCUCUUUCUCUUUUUCUUUUUUUAAAUAAAUGUCAAUAUAAAAUUAGAAAAAUUUUAGAUAUAAAAUUUGGCGAUGACCAAACAAAAAUUGUAGAGGAAACCUUGAUAUCAUUGAAAUACUGAUCAUAGACACUACAGUAUAAAUAACUUAUUGUGAUCCACUCAACUUGUAACACUUUAAUCCAUAUUCUAAAAUUUUCAUGUUUGUUAGGAUUUUUAUUAUUGAUACUACUGUAUCAAUAAAAUUAUAAUUUAUUCAUAUGGAAUGAAAACAUCAAGAAAGGACCUCUGAUUUUUAUUAUAACAGAAAAAAAUGGUCCAUAAGUCUAUUAAUUAUUUUAUUUAUUCAAUACAAAUGUCCAACUUUAAAAAUGGUAAAAAUCACACAAUGCACAAGUAAAAUAUUACAAUUACAUUUUUUAACUCUCUUUGAGUCUCUCUCUCUCUCUUUAAAAAAUAAACCUCACUAUAAAAUUAGAAAAAUUUUAGACAUAAAAUUUGACAAUCACCAAACAGAAAACAUAGGGAAAUGAAAAUGGAGGAGCCCUAUUUUCAUUAGAAUAUUGAUCAUAGAUACUAUAAUGUAAAUGAUUUGUUGUGGUUCAUUCAACUUGUCACACUCUAAGCCAUUUUCUAAAAUUUGUAAGGUUUAUAGUAUUUUUAUUAUUGCCAUCAUUGUAUCAAUAAUAUUAUAAAUUAUAUAUUCUAUUGUAAUGAAAAUUUGUGUAAUCUUAGGUAUUUAUUAUAUUAAAUUGUGUGGAUUAAUUAAGAAUAUUUUUGGAGACAAAAGAAGUGUGUGUACGUAGGAUUAAUGAUAAAAAAUUUCUAAAUAAAGAUGAUUGCUUCAUUGACAAGCACAUAUUUAUAUUCCUCUAUUAAUAUUUGGGUUGUAAACUCUAUAAUAAAGUUGGUUGGUGUGAGUGGUUCGGCACUCUCACUCCUUAAGAAAGAUCAGGGGUUCAAGCCUCGCUCUCGUAUGGAGUCACCACUUUGGCCAGCACUUUACCUCUUACGGGCCGACCCGAUGCGAGCAUGAAUUAGUAUGAGUUGUGGUACGGGCUUAAAGGUGCCUCCCAUAGUUUGGGCCCACUUAGGAUCACCUCGUGGUUCAAACAAAAAAAAAGUGAAUAUAUUGUGGUAAGCGAUGUGGGCAAUAUCGGUUGCGAAAUAUUGAGAGAUCAUUAAUGCAUAUAAUUAUUGAAGAUGCAUAUAGAGGGAAGAGUGUAGAUCUGGCUGUAACAAUUAUGAAGCUUUCCCCAAGUAUACUCAUGCUUCCUUAAUUGUUCCGAAGUAUUUUUCAUAGUGUGCAGAUUUACUUUAUGGUGUCUUAAUUCGUCUUAAAUGAUUACUUUAGUUGUUUUGGGAUUUAAUGUCAUUUAUUGUGUUAAUUUUAAACAAUAGAAAAAAUAAGUAAUGGUAACGAAAGACUAAUUUGUGAUAUUGAAGCAUACGGGCUUAACUCAAUCCAAAAAUUAGUAAGUUAGCUCAAGAGUUAAGAGUUGUCCAAAUCUUAUAUGCUGAAUCCAAGUUUAAUACACAAUUGAUGCGGGAUGUUAUUCCUAACACCUUCCAUCAUGCGUAGGAUUGGCAAAAAAAUUCGGGUCAGUCCCACCUAAACCUGCAGGCUUUAUGCAUGGCUCGCAUGAUGAAGUUACGGAUAUUAACCUAAAAAUUUGAAACUUACUAUGAAUGGCCUUGCUUAAAGACUUUUGCAACUUUAAUUUAUAACAAGUAUGUAUAUAUACACACACAUAAGCUUAGAUUGCAUUUGGAUGGCUUUUUUAAUCAAUUCAAACAAUUUGAAAUUUAUCGGAUUAAUCUGAAUCUUAUCUGUAUCCGAUUUUGUCCGCCCCUACUAUUUAUAAGCCCAGGUGACUCUCUUUUACUAAUUAAUAAGAGAAUUUUUGACCUUAUAUCCUUGCUGUGGUGUUAGACUGUUGGUCAUUUUGAUUGUUUCCUACCUUCCAUUUACGCCAGCUAUAACAUUGUAUUAUCACCAUUUUAGCCAUUUAAAUGAAAUUUUAUUUUUGUCAAAAAUAAAAUGACACCCUUAAAAUUAAAAAAGAAAUAGUUAUGUAGACCUCAAAUUUUUAAUAAAGAAUGCCAAUACCCCUUUUAACUACAAGAUUCUUAGUAGAUGAUAACUAAAAAAAUUAACUUCAAAAAUUUUCACUAAAUGUAAAUCUGAUUGAAAUAGUUUAAAUUUUUCUAGUAGACUAAUAUAUAUAACUUAAAUAAUUAAUUUCAUUAUUAAUUUUUAAAAUGUUAACUAAUAUAUUUUUAAUUUAUUAUAAAAAUUUUAAAUAAAUUCUUGGAUUAGAUAGAUUUUACAAUUAAUGUAAUACUGUUGAUUUAUUAAUAAUAUUAAAAUUAUUUUAUAUGAUAUUCAAAAUAAUUUAAACUUUGAUAUAUUUAUUUUAAUAGUAUGUCUAUUUAUUAUAAUUUGGUUUAAUAUAAUACGGGAUUGCAAAAUAUUAAAAUAUUUUUCAAUAUCAAAUUAUUUUAAUAUGUAUAUAUCAUUACAUUUAUUUCAAUAUCGCAUUUAUAUUUAUUAUAAGAUAUAAAAUUAAAGAGUAUUGCAAUAAAGUAAAAAAAGAAAAAAAAAAGUCUUAUUAUCCCUUAUUCACGAUAUGAGGUUCUAUAAAAUUAUUUCCCCAAACGGGUGUCCUUUUCUUAUUUUCAAAAGAAAAACUAAAGUAAGAAUAAGUCCAUGGGUUUCAAAAGACUUAUAGUCCUAUCCCGGAACCUACAUUAUCUGCCACUAUGACUAAUGACAAAUUUUUGGUGGGAUAUAGGAAAAUUGUCAAAAGUUCAUGCUGCGUGAGAGUCUUUGGUGGGAUGUGGAAGGAUUGUCAAAAGAUCACACCACGUGACAUAACCACAAUUGCUACAGUUUUUUUUUUUUAAAAUAUUGAUGGGAGUUAUAAAUUAUUUAUAUAAAUUUGCGUAGACUGAUGUAACAUAAAAGAAGUAGCUGAAUAACAAUAUUUGGUGCUUUAGGUAAUUUUCAGAUGGGCCUUUCUUUUAUUUAGCGACUUUAGUGCUUAAACAAACUUGUGCUCGAUCUUAAUUUAAGCCUAUGAUGACAUAAACAUAUUCUUUUGUGACGAAAACAUCAAGAGAAGACAUCUCAUGUUUUAUUAUAACAGAAAAGAAGUGGUCCAAACGUCUAUUCAUUAUUUUAUUUAUUCAAUAUAAAUGGCCAACUUUAAAAAUCACACAACGCUCAAGUGAAAAUUUAGAAUUACAUUUUUUAAUACUCUCGGAGUCUUUCUCUCGUGCCCCCUUUUUUUCUAAAAAAAUAAACCUUAGUGUAAAAUUAGAAGAAUUUUAGAUAUAAAAUUUAACAAUCGCUAAACAGAAAAGCAGCGGAUUGAAAAUAGAGGAGCUCUGUUAUCAUUGGAAUAUUGAUUAUAGAUAAUAGGGUAUUUUUUAAUUGAGUCCUCAUUAUUUCUAGAAAAAAAUUCAGAGACCAGAAAUUUACUAAAUGAAUUAAUUAAAUCCUUUCAAGUACAAAUUAAUAUCAUUCAAGUCCAUAACUUAACUCUUCAGUUAGAAAUAUUAACAACGUUGAGGACAUUUUAGUAAAAGAACAAUUGAACCCUUCCUCAUUCUUUUAUUUUUGACAGGUGGCAAUAGUUUGCUUACAGGUGGCAAUAGUUUAAAGCAAAGUCAAUUCACCUAACCAAGUUAAAGUUCUUUCAAGCGGAAAAAAAAAAAACCUCUAGAAGAAACUGCCGUAUUCUUCGUGUGAGAGGAGGGAUUGAGAGAACGUGGGAUGGCGUCAAAAAUGUUAUAUAAAUAUACUGUAAUUUUGACCAAAGCUUUGUUAGCAUUGGUUGAGUUCAAGUAUUGGAGAGAAGCCGAGCUUAAAGGUUAGUAACUCUAAUUUUUAAGUGAUUUUUGCAAGUAUUUUCUGAUAAAAUUGUUUCCAUAUUUAGUGAUCUUUGUGAAAAAUUAUGUUUUUCAAGUCUAUUUUUCUAAAUGACAAACUAUGUUUAAUUAUUGGUGGAUUUUUUUAUUGAAUGUUGUAUUUUGUUAAUAUACUUUUUUUAAUUUGCUCUUUAUAUAAUAAUUAGACCAAAUACACCAUAUUUAUAUAUGUAUUUAUUGAACUUAUUUUGCCUAUUUUAUAGGCUUUCUUGAGUUGUUGUAUAUGUACAAUAUUUCAUUUCAACCAAUUGGUAUCGUUAUAUUAAUAAGAUUGAAUUCAUUGUAUUUGCUUUUUUGUUCAUGUAAAAUUGAAUUCUAUGUGUUAUUAUGAGUGGUAAUUUUUAUAUAUAUUAGACUAAAUUCUCUAUAGUUGUUGGGUUAUUUUUUCUUUUCAGUUUUUAUUUUUAUAUGUAUUAGAUUGAAUUUUCUUUUAUACUUUUUUUAAUCGAAUUACAUGUAUAUUUCAUUUAGGUUGAGUUUUUUAUUCUUUGCUAAAUAAAAUUGUAUUAGUUUAGCCAUUUUUUGAUGCAAUACUUUUUUGUUUUAAAAUUGAUGCAGGUAGUCAUGUUACCUUUUUUUUUGUUGGUUAAAAUUAAUGGGGCGGUGUAUGAGAUAGGAUAUAGGGACCCAGAGGAAUAUAAGAUUAUUAGGUUGUUUCAUGAAAUUCUAGAAGUCAUGGUUAAGUAUGGACACAAUGAAAUGGAUUUGAUUGAAAUUUUUGUUGUGUUGCCAUGGACUACAAGUAGGCAGAGGAAGCUAAUUUCAAAUGAUAGUGAAUUGUAUUCGGUUUUUGAGGAGUUUUUUUACUAAUAGUUGUCAUGUUAUUGAGUUUGAGGUGCACACUGGGUUAGGUGGUCAAUCAUGUCAUGAAAGUGUUGUAAUAGGAUCUGAAAAUCCUGUCAAUAUAGGUGUUAGUAUGGGUAGUGAUAAGUUUGAAAAACUUAGUGAGGAUGGCUUUAUCGGAGGGCACUUAUCUGAUGAAGAGAAUGGUCUCUUACAUAUGUAUGAAUCCAUUGUUGAUAAUGAGUGGAAACCAAAUCUAAAUGGUUCAGUUAGUCUAAAAGUAGGAAAUACCUUUGAAUCUGUUGCAUUAUUAAAAGAGGUUAUGGUGAAAUAUGCAAUCCAAGAGGGUUUUGAGUUAAAUAGGAUUAAAAAUGAUGGUGUUAGGUAUACUUGUUGUUGUGUUAAUCCAAAAUGCACUUGGAAACUUCAUGCUUCAUCGAUGGUUGAUGGGAUAACUUUUAAAAUUAGGUAUAUUAAAGGGAAACAUGAUUGCCAGAUUAAAUCAAUUAACAAAGAUGCAACAGCACCUUGGAUAGCUAAAGUUUGUGCUGGACUUAUUCAAACUAACCCAGGAGUUGGUGUAAAUGUCAUAAGAAGUGAGUUAAAAGAUAAACAUGGGAUUGAAUGUGACAAACAAAAACUAUACAGGGCAAAAAAAAUUGCAUUAGAAAACCUAGGUGCUGACCACAUUGCUUGCUAUGGAAAGCUUUUGAAAUAUGCUCACAUUCUAAUGAAAAUGAAUAGAGGUGCUUGUGUUAAGGUAAAGGUUAAAAGGCCAUUGUCAAAUAGCCCAGUUUUUCAAAGGUUUUUUUUGUCAUUUCCUGCACUUAAAGUGGGGUACCUAACUGGGUGUAGACCUUUCAUAGGAUUGGAUGGGUGUCACUUGAAGGGGCCAUACAGGGGAGUAUUGUUAUCUGCUGUUGCAUUAGAUGAUGAUAGUGGAAUUUUUCCAUUGGCUUUUUGCAUAUGUGAGGUAGAGAACUAUGAUAGUUGGAGUUAUUUUUUAUCUUUGCUGUAUGAAUUCAUUGGGGCUGAUGAUCAUAGGUCUGUAACUAUUAUUAGUGAUAGACAAAAAGGUCUUUUAUGGGGAUUGGAAAAAUAUUGGCCUAAUGCUAGUACUAGAUAUUGUGCUAGGCAUAUCUUUGCCAAUUUGAAGUGUAAGUUUCCUGGUUUGAAUGUCAUGGGGUUAUUUUGGAAAGCUUGUAGGGCUGCAAAUCAGUAUGACUUUGAGAGGGCAAUGAGUCAAAUUAGGGCUAAAGACCAAAAUUGUUAUGAAUGGUUGAGAAAAAUACCACCUGCACAGUGGUCUAGAAGCGGGUUUGAUCAUCAUGUGAAAUCUGACCAUGUUACAAACAACAUGACUGAAUCUUUUAAUAAGUGGGUGGAUGAGGUUAGGGAUAAGCCUGUCCUAACCAUUCUUGAGCAUAUUCGUAGACAACUAAUGGUGAGAAUGUUGAAAAAAUAUCAGCUAGGUGAAACUUGGCAAGACCAUUUGACCCCAUAUGCUAGAGAAAGACUAAAUCAAUCCUCAAAUGAGGCAAGGAGAAUUAAGGUCUUUGGAGGUAGAGGGGAGCUGUUUGAAUGUUGUCAAGCUGGCUAUAGAAACAUCCUGGUACAUAUUACAGAUGGUACAUGUGAAUGUGGGAUGUGGCAAGUUAGUGGAGUGCCUUGCAAACAUGCAGUAGCUGCUAUUCUUCAUAAAGGAGGGCAACCUGAAAAUUAUGUGCAUCAUUAUCUGACCAAGGAAUCUUUUAUGAUGACAUACAUGGGGACUAUAAAUCCUAUUCCUGAUGAGUGUGCUUGGCCUGAAGUGGAAGCUGAACCUUCCCCUGAUGUUGUGGUGCCUGUGAAGGUUGGACCACCUGACAUAAAGGCUCCAGUUGGUAGACCGAAAAAGAAAAGAACAAAAGAACCUGGUGAGACCAAACUAACUAGUAAAAGGUUUACUAUCAAAUGUAGUGCUUGCAGAUGUCUUGGGCACAACAAAAGGGGUUGCCCUAAUUUUCCAAAAACCACAAGAACUAUAGAGGUAUAACAUAAGAGUCAUUUUUGUUUUUUAAAUUUCAUUUGGUGAAGCUAACAAAUAUUGAUCUUGAUGUUGUGCAGGGAAGCAAUAGGACUUCAUCAAGUGCACAGGUUUAAUUUAAUUAUACAAUUUUAAUUCAAAAGGAUUUUUUUUUCUUUUGCACUAGAUAUUGCUUAAAACUUGGUGAUAUUGGUUGUGUGCAACGAAGAAAUAAGGCUUAAUCAAGUGGACAUGUUUAAUCUAGUUCUGAAAAUUUAAUUCUAAAGGAUUUUUUUCGUUCUUUUUCAUUAAAUUGCUUAAAACUUGGUGAUUUUUUUUGUGCGCAGGCAAGCGAUAUCACUUCAUCAACUGCACAGGUCUGAUUUUGUAAUUGAAUCUCCUUAUAUAUGUUUUGUUAUGUUAUCAAAUGGAUUAAUAACUUGGUACUAUAUAUGUUUGAUUUGAUCAUGGAAUUAUAUUGAAUAGAUUGAUUCUUUUUUUUUUAUUAAAUGAAAUUGAUGUCUUUUUUUUUUUCUUUUUGGACAGCAUGGAACUAACCCACAAUCUCAAGAAGUAGAUGUCAAUGAUCAAUCAAUUGGCAAUAGUUCUGAACAAGCUAGUUAGGCUUCAAUCAAUGUCACUCAACCAGUGGGGCUGUAUACACAACUAUUGUGGACUGUACUUCAACCUCAAAAUGAAGAAAUUAUCACUGUUAACAAGGAGUAGGAUAAUACAAUUUCACCUUGGGUUGACAUUUAAUUCUCCAUUAUAGAAUUUAGAAGACAAUUAACUAUUUUUUGUGUUUAAAUUUCAGUUUACCUUAGUAUUGUUAAGGUAUUUGUUAGUUUGAAUUUAAUUGACUUUCAUACUUUUAAUUUCAUUUUUAGACCGAAUGUUAUUGUGAUUUUUUUAAUAUUAUAUUCAAUACAUAUGUUAUUUAGUUUAACAAUUAUUAUAUUUUUAUAGAUGUGAUGAAAUUAUAUGGAUAGCAAAUUACAUUUUCAUGUAUAAUUCACUCAAAUUGAUAAAUAGGCUGUUAGAUUGAAAAAAAAAAGUCCAAGGUUAAAAUUGUACUUUAAAUCACUAAUAUGAUUAUAGGGGUAUACCUGUCUUUUAUGUUUAACUUAACAUUUUCACUAAUUUUUUUAACGGAAGAAUUGGGUUAAGGGCUUGAAUGACAUAAAUUUACAGUUGAAAGGAUUUAAUUGAUUCAUUUAGUAAACUUCUGGUCUCUGAAUUUUUUUCUAGAAAUAAUGAGGACUCAAUUAAAAAUUACCCUAGAUAAUAUAAUAACUUGUUGUGGUUCAUUGUAGCACUCUGAGCCAUAUUUUAAAAUUUACUGGUUUGUUAAUGCUUUUAUUAUUGACAUUAUUGUGUCAAUAUUAUUAUAAUUAAUUUAUUCAUUUUAUUGUAAUGAUAAUUUGUCUAGUCUUAGGUACUUAUUAUAUUAAAUUAUGUAAAUUAAUUGAGAAUACUUUUAGAGACAAAAGAAACACGUGUAUGUAGGAUUAAUAAGCGAAGAGUUGUAAAUGAUGGUGAUUGCUUCAUUCAGAGGCAUAUUAAAUAAUUAUGGAGAGUUGCUCUAUUUCGGAAGCAUAUAUUUAUACUUCCCUACCAGGAUUUGGGGUAAGCGAAGUGCUUUAUGUAUUGCAGUAAGGAAAUGUGGGCAAUAUCAGAGCCGAAAUAUUAAAAGAUCAUAACGCAUAUAAACAAUUAGUAUAUUCAAGACACAUAUAGAGGAAAGAGUGCAGAUCCGGCCGUAACUAUUAUGAGGAUUUCCUCAAGUAUUCUCAUGCUUCCUCAACUGUUCUGAACUAUAUAUUCUUCAUUGUGGGCUGUUUUGCUUAAAUACCAACACAAUGAUUCAAUACUUCAAAGGUCAAGGAAAUGUCAAAAUAUGAAAUGAAAAUACUUAAAUAGCCUUCUACCUAACAAAACUUAGUACUUCUAACUGCCUUCGCAGAGAAUCUAUAAAAUAAAAAAAAAAUCAUCCAGGAAAAGUUUCGUAACAGAAAAACCGUCUUUCAAAAAAUAAAAAUAGAAAAACCGACUCAUUUAUCUGCCAAUGAACCAGUCGGGACUCAUUUAAAAAAGAUUAAAAAGCAAAAGUAAAUGACACAAAUUGCAUAGAUAUCUCGGAGCCGCAUCAAAGGACAAAGGUGUUAAUUUGUCCAAGUAAUAAAUUCUCCUAGGUCAAAAGCAAUUAACGAUGAAAACUUUCUUCAUUAAGGGUCUGGCCUACGUAAAAAAAAAACAGAAAAACCACCCCAAGGUCAAAGCACAACCAUAAGUUUUGAGUUGCAGUUUUUAAAUUUUUUUUAUAAUAAAUCAACGUGUAUAAAAAAUAGAUAAUGAUUUUGAAUAAUCUUUUUGAUAAAUAUAGACAUAAAAUUUUAAAAUCACCAAACAGAAAAACAGGGAAUUAAAAGAGAGCCCUUGUUUCUCCUCUAUUUUGUUUGUUUGUCCUCUAUUUUAGCAGGGCAGCUAAAAGGGUUUGGAAGUUGACUGAAUUUUAUGAGGAUGUAAAGCAAUUAGCUCGGCAAGACAUGUUGAGUGUGCUGCAGGAUUUAACUGUGAAGAGAAAAAAGAAUGAGCUGGAGCUUGUUGUUGCGGUGUGCUGGGCCAUCUGGUACUCUAGGAAUCGUUUGGUGUUUGAAGGAAAGGAUGAAGAUCCAAAAAAUUCAGUGGCCAGAGCAAUUGCUAUGGUGGAAUCAUACAGGCGAAUAAAAGUUCCAAAUGAACAAAAUUCUCCAGGCCAUAGCAGAAUCAGUCAACUAGAAUGGGCAAAUCCUCCAAAGGGGUGUUAUAAAGUCAACGUUGAUGCUCCAAUCAAUGUUUCAAACCAAAAGGCAGGGUUGGGGGUAGUCAUUAGAAACUCUGUGGGUAAGGUUGUUGCUGCAGCAGUCCAAGGAACUCCAUAUAGGGGAGAUGUGGCGUGUAUGGAGGCUGAAGCUGUUCUGUUUGGUCUUCAGAGUGCCCAACAAGCAGCUGUUUCCCCAAUAAUUAUUGAGUCAGAUUCAAAGGAAGUGGUGGACCUAUCCUUAAAGAAAAAGAUCAGCAAGACUGAAAUUGAGUGGAAAAUUGCAGAAAUCCAAGCAAAUCUGGAAAAUCAGAAUGUGUCCUCGCUGUCAUAUGUCCCUAGAAACUGUAACUCUAUUGCUCAUUCUAUUGCAAAGAUAGCUCUAGGUUUUGAAAGUCAAGUCUUUUGGCUGGAAAACUUUCCAGAACAUAUCAGGUGUACUCUUGCUAAGUUCAUCAAUUGAAAAGCUUUACUUUUCUCAUCAAAAAAAAAAAAAUAGGGAAAUGAAAAGAUCGUAGGUGGAAAUUUUUUUUCUGCGUUGUAUCUUCUCAAUGCUGCAUGCAUUCAAAUUGUCAUAUUGCGAAAAUCCCUUUUCAAUGUUUCAAUUGCAAUGUCAUUGCCAUUAUUCAUAGUGGCAGACAAUGGACAUCACGGGACAUGGCUAGAAGUCUAUGUUACGGCUUCUGUAAGUAACAGCAGCCAAUGGGGAACUUCCACGGGUGCUAGAGGAGAGAGAAAGAGGUCCCAAUGCAAGGUGAUGGAAAUAGGGAUGGCAAUUGUACCCGCAAACCCGCAAACCCGCCCAAACCCACCCGCCAAAACCCGCCCGUUGCGGGUAAUUUUACCCGUUGCGGGCGGGUUUAGUAUUAUAAAUUAAAACCCGCACAUGGAUGCGGGUGGGUUUGGUAUUAACCUUAUAUCCGGUGGAUACCCGCAUGGAUAUCCACCAAACCCGCAAUAUUUUUUUUCAAAUAUUUUUAAUUUAAUUUAAAUAUAAAAAUGUAUAAAGAAAAUAAUGUCAUUAAUCAAAUUACCAAAUAGACAAAUGCUCAAAGUUGUGUAUGUGUGUAUGUGACCCAUCUCUUAUUCUAAAGUCAUAAGCUAAAGAAAACUAAAGGCAUUACCCUUCGAAUUAGUAUUUGAAAAUAUUAAUCUUAAUUAUUAUUAUAGGCAUUGUGUUGGAUGGGUGCUUAUGGUGGUGAAUGAAAUGAAUAUAUUCUCUUGGAUCUUGUUUUAAAUGAUAAUAUGAAAUGUAAUUAUUAUUUUUAGAUACUAGUUUGUGUUUUUUAAAUAGAUUUGUGUAAUUUAUACUUAAAUUUGAGAAUUUGUAUUGAAUUGAUGUGGAAAUUUUAAUUUUUCAUUGACAUUGUUUAAAUAUAAAAUUGAGUAUGCUAUAUGGAAUUUGAGGUUAUUAUUAUAAAUUUAUAUAUUAAAUAUUUGUGAUUUUAAAUACGGAAACCCGCAAAAAAUCCGCCGGAUACCAUUGCGGGUUUGGUAAUUGUUAAAACCCGCUGCGGGUGGGUUUUUUUAAAAAAAUUAAAACCCGCUGCGGAUUGCGGGUGGAUUUGGUGAUUUAAAUUUUGUGCGGGUUUGGGUUUGAUAAUGGCAAACCCGCUGCGGGCGGUGCCCAUUGCCAUCCCUAGAUGGAAAUGGGAAAGUUCAAAGCUGUUACUUUCAGCUUCUGCACCGUAGCCAUGUCCCACGGGACAAGGCUAGAAGUUAUCAUGACCAUAGACUUUUCUAAUUUAUUUUUUCCUUUCAAAAAGGGACAAGGAUAAGUUUGGGAGAAUGAUUAUAUUUUUAAUAAAAGAAUUCUUUUUUAUUAUAAUACUUUUUGUCUUUAUUAAUUUAAAAAUAUUAACUCUUAUAUUUUAAUAAAUAUAAUUAUAAUAUUAUAAUAACAUAUAACAAUAUAUACAAAUAUUUAAAAAAAAUUAAGAUUUUAUUAAAAUAAUUUUAUAAUAAAUACAAAUAUAUUAUUAAUAUAAUUAUAAUAAUUUUCAUUUUAAAAAGUAAUACUGAUAUUAAUUUUUUAAAUUAUAUUACUCUACUCAAAAAAUUAAACUAUUAAAUUAUAUUGAUAUUUCUUAAAAAAGUUGCAAUUAAUUCUUAUUAUAUUUUUAAUUGGAUUUUUUUCCCGAGAUAUAACAACAAUUGCUACAGUUUUUUCCCAAAUAAAGAUGGAGUUAUAAAUUAUUUGUAUAAGUGUCUGUGUGGAAACUAAUGUGACAUGAAAGUAAUGGUUGAAUAACAAUAAUGGGGCUUUAGGCAAUUUUUUUAUGAGGUCCUCUUGCAAUUUCAACACUUAAACAGACUUGUCCUUGAUCCCAAUUUAUUUACCCAUUUAGGCCCACGAUGAGAUAAAUAUAUUCCUGUGAGAUGAAAAACAUCAGGAGAAGAAAAUGUUUUAUUAUAAUAAAAAAAACAAGUGGUCCAUAAGUCUAUUUAUUACUUUUUUUAUUCAAUACAAAUGGCCAACUUAAAAAAUGAUAAAAAUCACAUAACGCACAAGCGAAAAUUUAGAUUUACAUUUUUUAGUUCUCUCCGUGUCUCUCUUUCUCUUUUUUUUUUAAAAAAAUAAAUAAAUGUCAGUGUAAAAUUAGAAAAAUUUUAGAUAUAAACUUUGGCGAUGACCAAACAAAAAUUGAAAUACUGAUCAUAGACACUACAAUAUAAAUAACUUGUUGUGAUCCACUCAACUUGUAACACUUUAAUCCAUACUCUAAAAUUUGUAUGUUUGUUAGGAAUUUUAUUAUUGACAUUAUUGUACCAAUAAAAUUAUACUUUAUUCAUAUGGAAAGAAAACAUCAAGAAAGGACCUCUGAUUUUUAUUAUAACAGAAAAAAGUGGUCCAUAAGCCUAUUUAUUAUUUUAUUUAUUCAAUACAAAUUGCCAACUUAAAAAAUGGUAAAAAUCACAAAAUGCACAAGUAAAAUUUUAGAAUUACAUUUUUUUAAUUCUCUUUGAGUCUCUGUUUCUCUCUUUAAAAAAUAAACCUCACUGUAAAAUUAGAAUAAUUUUAGACAUAAAAUUUGGCAAUCACCAAACAAAAAAUGUAGGGAAAUGAAAAUGGAGGAGCCCUAUUAUCAUUAGAAUAUUGAUCAUAGAUACUAUAAUGUAAAUGAUUUUUUGUGGUUCAUUCAACCUGUCACACUCUAAGCCAUUUUCUAAAAUUUGUAAGGUUUAUAGGAUUUUUAUUAUUGGCAUCAUUGUAUCAAUAAUAUUAUAAAUUAUAUAUUCUAUUGUAAUGAAAAUUUGUGUAAUCUUAGGUAUUUAUUGUAUUAAAUUGUGUGGAUUAAUUAAGAAUAUUUUUGGAGACAAAAGAAGUGUGUGUACGUAGGAUUAAUGAUAAAAAAUUUCUAAAUAAAGGUGAUUGCUUCAUUGACAAGUACAUAUUUAUAUUCUCUAUUAGUAUUUGGGUUGUAAACUUUGUUUAUAAAGUGAAUAUAUUGUGGUAAGCGAUGUGGGCAAUAUCGGAUGCAAAAUAUUGAGAGAUCAUUAACGCAUAUAUUUAUUGAAGACGCAUAUAGAGGAAAGAGUGUAGAUCCGGCUGUAACAAUUAUGAAGCUUUCCCCAAGUAUUCUCACGCUUCCUUAACUGUUCCAAAGUAUUUUUCAUAGUGUGCAGAUUUACUUUAUGGUGUCUUAAUCCGUCUAAAAUGAUUACUUUAGUUCUUUUGGGAUGAAAGGUCAUUUAUUGUGUUAGUAUUAAACAAUAGAAAAAAUAAGUAAUGGUAACGAAAGACUAAUUUGUGAUAUUGAAGUAUACAUGCUUAACUCAAUCCAAACUUAGUAAGUUAGCUCAAGAGUUAAGAGUUGUCCAAAUCUUAUAUACUGAACCCAAGUUCAAUACUCAAUUGAUGUAGGAUGUUAUUCAUAACACCGCCCGUCAUGCGUAGGAUUGGCAAAAAAACUCGAGUCAAUCCCACCUAGACCUGCAAGCUUUAUUUAUGGCCAGCAUAAUGAAGUUACAGAUAUUAACCUAAAAAUUUGAAACUUACUAUGAGUGGCCUUGGUUAAAGACUUUUGCAACUUUAAUUUAUAACAAGUAUGUACACACACACACACACACACACACACACAUGUUUAGAUUGCAUUUGGAUGACUUUUUUUUAUCAAUGCAAACAAUAUCAAAUUUAUCGGAUUAAUUUGAAUCUGAUCUAUAUCCGAUUUUGCCUACCCCUACUAUUUAUAAGCCCAAGUGACUCUCUUUUACUAAUUAAUAAGGGAAUUUUUUGACCUCAUGUCCUUGCUGUGGCAUUAGACUGUUGGUCAUUUUGAUUGUUUCCUACCUUCCAUUUACGCCAGCUGUAACAUUGUAUUAUUCACCAUUUUAGCCAUUUAAAUGAAAUUUUAUUUUUGUCAAAAAUAAAAUGACACCCUUAAAAUUAAAAAAAAAAUAGUUAUGUAGACCUCAAAUUUUUAAUAAAGAAUGUCAAUACCUCUUUUAACUACAAGAUUCGUAGUAGAUGAUAAAAAGAAAAUUAACCUCAAAUUUUUUCAUUAAAUGUAAAUCUGAUUGAAGUAGUUUAAAUUUUUCUAGUAGACUAAUAUAUAUAACUUAAAUAAUUAAUUUCAUUAUUAAUUUUUAAAAUGUUAACUAAUAUAUUUUUAAUUUAUUAUAAAAUUUUUAAAUAUUAUCCUUGGAUUAAAUAGAUUUUACAAUUAAUGUAAUACUUCUUAUUUUUUAAUAAUAUUAAAAUUAUUUUAUAUGAUAUUCAAAAUAAUUUAAACUUAUAUAUAUUAAUAUUAUGUCUAUUUAUUAUAAUAUGGUUUAAUAUUAUACGGGAUUGUAAAAUAUUAAAAUAUUCUUCAAUAUCAAAUUAUUUUAAUAUGUACAUAUCAUUACUUUUAUUUUAGUAUCGCAUUUAUAUUUAUUAUAAAUAUAAAAUUAAUAAAAUUAAAGAGUAUUGCAGUAAAGUAAAAAAAAAAAGUCUUAUUAUCCCUUAUUCAUGAUAUGAGAUUCUACAAAAUUAUUUCCCGAAACGGGUGUCCUUUUCUCAUUUUCAAAAGAAAAAAUAAAGUAAGAAUAAGUCCAUGGGUUUCAAAAACUUCUAGUCCUAUCCCGGGACUACAUUGCUGCCACUAUAACUAAUGGAAAUGACAUUUCAAUUGACAUUGCCUUUCGCAACAUGAAAAAUUUUUGGUGGGAUAUGGAAGAAUUGUCAAAAGUUCACGCCGUGUGAGAGUUUUUGGUAGGAUGUAGGAGGAUUGUCAAAAGAUCACACCAUGUGAUAAAACCACAAUUGCUAUGGUUUUUAUUUUUUAAAUAAUGAUGGGAGUUAUAAAUUAUUUAUAUAAAUUUGCGUAGAAACUAAUGUAACAUAAAAGAAAUAGCUGAAUAACAAUAUUUGGUGCUUUAAGUAAUUUUUAUAUGAGCCUUUCUUUUAUUUAGCGGCUUUAGUGUUUAAACAAACUUGUUCUCGAUCUUAAUUUACUGACCCCAUUUAAGCCCAUAAUUAAACAUAUUCUUUUGUGACGAAAACAUCAAGAGAAGACAUCUCAUGUUUUAUUAUAACAGAAAAAGAAGUAGUCCAAACAUCUAUUCGUUAUUUUAUUUAUUCAAUAUAAAUGGCCAACUUUAAAAAAAUGAUAAAAAUCACACAACGCUCAAGUAAAAAUUUAGAAUUACAUUUUGUAAUACUCUCUGAGUCUCUCUCUCCUGCCCCCCCCCCCCCUUCCUUUUAAAAAAAAUAAACCUUAGUGUAAAAUUAGAAGAAUUUUAGAUAUAAAAUUUGGCAAUAGCUAAACAGAAAAGCGGCGGAUUGAAAAUAAAAAAGCUCUAUUACCAUUGGAAUAUUGAUUAUAGAUAAUAUAAUAACUUGUUGUGGUUCAUUGUAGCACUGUGAGCCAUAUUCUAAAAUUUAUAGGUUUGUUAAGGCAUUUAUUAUUGACAUUAUUGUGUCAAUACUAUUAUAAUUUAUUCAUUUUAUUGUAAUGAUAAUUUGUCUAGUCUUAGGUACUUAUUAUAUUAAAUUAUGUAAAUUAAUUGAGGAUACUUUUAGAGACAAAAGAAACACGUGUAUGUAGGAUUAAUAAUCGAAGAAUUGUAAAUGAAGGUGAUUGCUUCAUUGAGAGGCAUAUUAAAUAAUUAUGGAGAGUUGCACUAUUUCGGAAGCACAUAUUUAUACUUCCCUAUCAGGAUUUGGGAUAAACGAAGUGCUUUAUCUAUUGCAGUAAGCAAUGUGGGCAAUAUCAGAGGCGAAAUAUUAAAAGAUCAUCCAUGAAAAGCUUCGUAACAGAAAAACCGUCUUUCAAAAAAAAAUAAAAUAAAAUAAAAAUAAAAACAGAAAAACCGACUCAUUUAUCUGCCAAUGAACCAAUCAGGACUCAUUUAAAAAAGAAUACAAAGCAAAAGUAAAUGACACAAAUUGCAUAGAUAUCUAGUAGCCGCAUCAAAGGACAAAGGUGUUAAUUUGUCCAAGAAUAAAUUCUCCUAGGUCAAAAGCAAUUAACGAUGAAAACUUUCUUCAUUAAGGUUCUGGCCUACGUAAAAAAACAGAAAAAAUCACCCCAAGGUCAAAGCACAACGAUAAGUUUAGAAUUGGAAUUUUUAAUUUUUUUUAAUAAAUCAACGUGUAUCAAAAAUAGAUAAUAAUUUUGGAUAACUUUUUUUGAUAAAUAUAGACAUAAAAUUUUAAAAUCGCCAAACAGAAAAACAGGGGAAUUAAAACAAAGUCCCUGUUUAUCCUCUAUUUUGCUUGUUAUUAAAAAGGGAAAUGAAAAGAUUGCAAGCCGAAAUUUUGUUUCUGCGUUGUCUCUUCUCAAUGCUGCAUGCAUUCAAAUUAAACCUUACAUAUGCUAGCAAACUAGCUACUCUGCAUGUAAGUUCUCGAUAAGUCCAAAUAAUAGAAUAAUUGUAAAAUGUUCAAAUUCAGUAAUUAAUUAUACAUAUUUAUUUAUUCAAAAAUUAUUAUUAUUACUAAUUAUUGUCAAUAAUAUAUUAAUAUACUAAUUAAUUGUAAAAAAAUUUAUCAUUCAUAACAAUAAUGAUGAUGAUGAUAAUAAUAAAAAUUCAAAAUAUAUUAAUUAAUUAUAAUAAUAUAUUAAUUAUUUAAUAAUAAUAUAUUUAAAAUAUAUAAAUUGAUUAGAAUAGUUAUAUUAAUAAAUUAUAAACAUAUAUUAAUUAAUCAUAAUAAUUUUUUAAUUGAUGACAAAAUAGAUAUUUUAUAGUUUGUGAGAGGGGGCAAAAUGAUCAAUCUUGGGAAUGGGGGAUUGAUUCCCACCACCUUCCUUAGGAAUCAAUCUUCCAUUCCUCAUUCCUAAUUUGGGUGGUCCCCAUAGUUCUUAUUCGGAUCCCAGCCUCUAUUUUGUGAAGUAAACAUCAUUAAUGAUUUCGAUUUCGGAUUCCGAUUCUCCAAUCCAAGAAGUAAAGGCACCAUUAUUGUUAAUUGGUUCAAACACACAAAGAGAAUGUACCAUGUAGCUAGGCGUCAAGGUUGUGUGGCACAAGGUUGUGUGGCACAAGUAGGGAUGGCAAUUCAACCCGCACCCGGCCCGGACCCGGAUGAAACCCGGAUUUUCCAGUCCGGGUUUAACCCGUACCGGAUUAAAUAAAAUCCGGAUCCGGAUGUCAUUUUAAAAACCCGCAUGUACCCGGGUCCGGUUCCGGGUUUAAGUAAACCCGUACAUCCGGAACCCGGACCCGGAUAUAUAUUAAUUUUAAAAAAUUAUUUUUAAUAUAAAUAGAAAGCAAAAAAAACCCAAAUGGUGCCCUAGAAGCUCAUUACACUUUCCCAGCCGCACAAACAUUUCCUCUCUUAUUCCCUCUUCAGCUCAUCUUCAUCUUCAUCAAAUCAUCGUCGCAUCACUUGCCCAUCUUCGCGGCUGUUCAACUUCAACAUCAUCAUCAUCAUCAUCAUCAGCCGUCGUUUCCUUUCUUUUUCUGCGGCGACCGGUAACUAGCUGUGAUACGGGUUGAACGCCGCCUUUGCCAAUCGCAACCGCGGCUGUGUUCAUCAUCAUCAACCGCCGUCACUUUCAAGAACGAUACUCGAAAAUAUUUUGAUGGGAAUCUUGUUUUUGGUCAUUUUAGUAACAGUGUGUGCAAGUGCGAGUGAGAGAGAGAGAGAACGUGGCUUACUCGAUGCCACUUAUCAUGCUUUCAUCUUUUUUCAUCCAGUGCGGGGUCUGUCUUUGUUGGCUUUUUGGAAAACUUGUUGCUUUUAAUGGUGUAUUACUUCUUUUGAAUAUCCAAUCAAUGUAAACUUAUUUACAUUACCCCUCCAGUUUUCCCAUCACCAUUAAAAGUGCUUUGGUUGCUCCUUGACUGUGCUUUGGUUGCUCCUUGACUCCUGACUUCCUGCUCGCAACAAAAGCUAGUUCUUUAGCUCUCUUUACUAAUUGAACGAGUCACCACAUUGGGUUGCUGAUUCUGGGCAGCCAAACAAAAUUGUUGUUUUUGUUAAUUAGUUUCCAGAUGAAAUAAUUUUUCUUUGAUUUGCUGAAAUCCUGGAUAUGUAUUUCUAUUUGAUUUUUUUAGUCGAAUUUAGUUUUUUUUUUUAAAUUGGAUUCAUCAAUCCGGGUUGGAAACCCGCAGUCCGGAAACCCGGAUUUUUCCGGGUUGAACCCGUACCGGACCCGGAGUGGAAAAAUGCGGGUUUAUUUCCGGGUCCGGUACAGAAAAUAUUCGUCCGGGUCCGGAUCCAGAAUGACUAAACCCGGACCCGGACCCGGAUUUUGCCAUCCCUAGGCACAAGUAACCUUUUUCUUUUCUUUUUAUUUUUUUUUGUUUUCCUUAACGGAUCAGAAGAAAUCGGUGCCUUUGAGAUACUACAAUGUAAAUAAGUACUUGUGGUUCAUUAAAUCUGUAACACUCGGUACCCUAAGGUUUCUUUUGAAAAAGGGCUUUUCUCACUGAUCACCAAUAUCCAAGUAAGUUUGUUUCAUUUCAGAAGGUGCAAAGUUUCAAACUUUUUGUAUUGGGAUGUAACAAACUUUGGCCUUAUAUGCCUGCUGUGACGUUAGACUGUUCAUUUUGAUUGUUUCAUACCUUUCACUUGCGCGCACUGUAGCACUGUAUUAUUCAUCAUUUUAGCUGUUUAAAUGAAAUUUUAUUUUUGUCAAAAAUAAAAUGACACCAUAAAAAUUUAGAAAAAUAAUCAUGUAGAUCCCAAAUUUUUAAUAAAGAAUACCAAUAUUCCCCUUGACUACAAUACCCUUAGUAGGUGGUAAUCAAACAAAUUGACUUAAACUUUUUUACGAAAUGUAAAUAUGAUUUAAAUAAUUUAAAUUUUCCAGUAGACUAAUAUAUAAUUUAAAUAAUUAAUUUCAAUAUUAAUUUUUAAAAUGUAAAUUAAUUUAUUUGUAUUUAUAAAAUAUUUGUAAUUAUUUUAAAAUUUUAACUAAAUCCUUAGGUUAAAUAGAUUUUACAAUUAAUAUAAUAUUUCUCAUGUAUUAAUAAUAUUAAAACUAUUUUAUAUGAUAUUGAAAAUAACCUAAAUUUUUAUAUAUUUAUUUGAAUAUUAUGUCUCUAUUUAUUAUAAUUUGGUUUAAUAGAAUACGAGAUUGUAAAUUAUUAAAAUUUUUAGAUAUUGAAAUUAUUUUAAUAUGUACAUAUUAUUAUAUUUAUUUUAAUAUCCUACUUAUAUUUAUUAUAAAAUAUUAAAAUUAAUUUUUUUAGUUAAUAAAUUUAAAAAAUAUUAUAAUUAAAAAAAAGAGUCUUAUUGCCUGUUAUUCACGAUAUGAGGUUCUACAAAAUUAUUUUCAAAAGGAAAAAUAAGUCCAGGGGUUUCAAUAAAUUCUAGUCCUAUCUGCCACUAUAACUAAUGGAAACGACAUUGCAAUUGACAUUGCUUUUCGCAAUAUGACAAUUUUUUGGAGGGAUAUGGGAGAAUCGUCAAAUGUUCACACUAUGCGGGAGUUUUGAAUGGGAUCGGGGAGAAUUGUCAAGAGUUCACACCACGAGAAACCAAUGAUAGCCAUAAUUACGCUGUCAGUUCUUUGUUUAUUUAUUUUGUUUAUUUCAUACAUUGUUGUCUUGUUGGCAUUGUUUUGUAAAUAUAUAAAAGUAAAGUAAACUAUUAGGGUGCUGCUAAGUUAAACUGUUGUAACUUACAAUCCCUUAAAAAAUAAUGUAAAAAAUUUAACACGUGGUGGGAUCGACAUAUGUUUGAAGAGGCUUUAAGUUACAGUAGUUGUGACUUAGAAAAAUCCAAAUAUUAGACAAUAACACACAUUAACAAUGCAUAUAAUUUGGGUUUGAUUUUUUUAAAAAUUAUUUGAGUAUUAACUAUCCUUAAGAUAUUAAUGUGAAUAUAAUUUAAUAUUAAAUAAUCAAAAUCUGUAUAAUUAUAAUAUAUAUUUCAUACAUUGCAUGUUUAAUCAAAAUCGGAUUGCUUUUUACCUUCCAUUUACGCCCACUGUAGCAUUGUACUAUUCACCAUUUUAGCUGUUUAAAUGAAAUUUUUAUUUUUUUUCAAAAAUAAAAUGACACCCUUAAAAUUUUAGAAAAUAGUCAUGUAAACCCCAAAAUUUUAAUAAAAAACACCAAUACCCUUUUUUACUAUAGUACUCUUAUGGUAGCCACAAAAAAAAAUGACUUCAAAAUUUUUUACUAAAUGUAAAUAUGAUUUAAAUAGUUUAAAUUUUCUAGUAGACUAGUAUGUAUAAUUUAAAUAAUUAAUUUUUAAAAUGUAAUUUAAUAUAUUUAUUUUAAUAAUAUAUUUAUUAUAAAAUUUUAAACAAAUCCUUGGGUUAAAUAGUUUUUAUAAUUAAUAUAAUAUUUCUCACGUUUUAAUAAUAUUAAAGUUAUUUUCUAUGAUAUUGAAAAUAAUUUAAAAUUUUAUAUAUUUAUUUUAAUAUUAUGUCUCUAUUUAUUAUAAUUUGGUUUAAUAGAAUACGAGAUUGUAAACUAUUAAAAUAUUUUUAGGUAUUGAAAUUAUUUUAAUAUGUAUAUAUUAUUAUAUUUAUUUUAAUAUCCUACUUAUAUUUAUUAUAAAAUAUUAAAAUUAAUUUUUUUAGUUAAUAAUUUAAAAAAAUAUUAUGGUUAAAAAAAAGAGUCUCAUUGUCCGUUAUUCACGAUAUGAGAUUCUACAAAAUUAUUUUCAAAAGGAAAAAUAAGUUCAGGGGUUUCAACAAAUUCUAGUCCUAUAUGCCAUUAUGACUAAUGGAAACGAUAUUGAAUUGACAUUGUUUUUUGCAAUAUGACAAAUUUUUGGAGGGAUAUGGGAGAAUCGUCAAGCGUUCACACCAUGCAAGAGCUUUAUGUCACGGGAUGAGUGUUUUGCGCAGCUAACCCGUGCGGCACUUAGACAACUUUGCCGAAUGUUGCUAAGUAAGCCUAGAGCUUCUCGAACAAGAGAAGAGAGCAAUUGAGCCAAAGAAGAAACUUGUAUUGCACAAAGAGAGAUUACAAUGCUUGUUGCUUACAAAGCUUGUUAGAUACAAAUGCCUAAUGCCAUUCCAUAUUUAUAGGGGAGGCUUGCCAAGCUCUAGAGAUUCUAGAGAAUUCUACCAACUAUCUAGAAUUUACAUGUGCUGGAAAGUCAUAGAGAAUUCUAGAGUAUUUACAAGCUCACAUGUGCUAGAGUUUCCUAGAACUUUCCGGAAUAAGGUCAAGCUAGCACUCUUGACCUUGUGUUGGCUCUCUACCCCGAAAUUGUGGGCAAUUGGGCUAGUGAAUUGGGAGGUCCGUAACAUCCUCCCCCACCUAAGCUCGCGGCGUCCUCGUCGUGCUCUCAUGCUUGAAGCGUUGGAUGUGCUCAGCGAAUUGCCACAAAUCAUCUUCACAUUCCCAAGUGGCUUCACUCUCGGGGAGGUUUUUCCACUUCACUAAGUACUCGCUAUGUGCUGGCACGCCUCUCCUCGAAACCGUGCGGUCCGCAAUGAUGUAGUCCACAUCUUUGUCGAACGCGUUGACAACGGCAGUUGGUGCACGCCUUGAUUCUCCAAGACUUGGUUCUCCCACGUCUUCGUGAUAUGGCUUGAGAAGGCUCACAUGGAAGACCAGAUGGAUCUUGAGUCUUGGUGGAAGUUGGAGUUGAUACGAGACGUUGCCCACAUGUCGAACAACUCGGAAGGGUCCCUCGUAGCGCCUCACUAACCCCUUGUGAACUUUCCGCAAAGUCUUGAAUUGUUGGGGUAGGAGCUUGAUCAUGACUUGAUCACCUUCCUUGUACUCAACAUGCCGUCUCCUUGUAUCCUCCCAUUUCUUCAUUUUCCUCGCGGCUUUGUCGAGAUAGGCUCGCGUGAUAUCCGCUUCCUCAUGCCAUUCGUGGGCGAGCUUGUGUGCCGCGGGAUUUUCCCUCCGUAAGUCGAGGCUAUGGCAUUGGGGGUCAUGGGCUGGAAUCCCAUGAUGAUCUCGAAUGGACUCUUGCCCGUAGCCUCACUUCGCUGCAAGUUAUAAGAAAAUUAGGCGAUGUCAAGUAGUUUCGCCCAAUCCCUCUGAUGAGCGCUCACAUAAUGCCUCAAGUACAUCUCGAGGAGGCCAUUGAUGCGCUCGGUCUGCCCAUCCGUUUGUGGGUGGAAGCUUGUCGAGAACUCGAGAUUGGUCCCCAACAUCUUGAAGAGCUCCGUCCAAAAAUACCCAGUGAACCGAGGGUCUCGGUCGCUCACAAUGCUUUUUGGAACUCCCCAAAGCUUCACAAUGUGCUUGACGAAUAGGCGGGCUGCCUCGUCCGCUUUACAGUCGACGGGUGCGGCAAUGAAUGUGACAUACUUGUUGUAUCGGUCGACAACAACGAUGAUGCUUCCGCAACCUUCAGACUUGGGGCAGCGAUGUGAUGAAGUCCAUGGAGACACUUUCUCAUGGCCUUGUUGCUAGCAGUAGCAGCUCCAACAAUCCCGCUGGAAGUUAAUGAUCCACCUUGUCUUGUUGGCACACAAGACAAGUUCGCACAUAUGCCUCGAUGCUGUCCCUCAUGUGCGGCCAAAAAUAUGAGGCUUGAACUAGUGCGGUGGUGCGCUCAAUUCCUGGGUGACCAGCCCACUUGGAGUCGUGGCACUCCUUGAUAACUUCCUUCCGCAAGUUUCCCCACCUUGGCACGAACAGCCGAUCUCCCUUGGUGAGGAGGAUGCCUUCCUCUUGCCAAAAUCACCUUGUCUUUCCCUCGAGCACCUUCUCUAGCAAAUCCUUGGCUAGCGGAUCUUGUUGGAAGCCUUCCUUGAUGCGUGAGACAAGGUCGGACUUCGGUUGGCUCAUGCUAAGUGUCGCCAAUUCGGCCUUGCGGCUUAGAGCGUCCGCAACGACAUUGGUCUUGCCUGGUUUGUACUCAAGCCGAUAGUCAAAUUCCGCUAGGAAAUCUUGCCACCGCGCUUGCUUCGGACUCAACUUCUUCUGAGUUUGGAAGUAGCUUGUCGCUACGUUGUCCGUCAUAAUCGUGAAGUGAGAGCCUAGCAAGUAAUGUCGCCACACGCGCAAGCAAUGUAUGAUGGCUGUCAUCUCCUUUUCUUGCACUGUGUAGCGGCGUUCCGUAUCAUUAAGCUUUCAACUCUCGAACGCUAUAGGGUGGCCUUCUUGCAUGAGGACUUCUCCUAUGGCAAAAUCCAAGGCAUCCGUUUGGACUUCAAAGGGCUUUGUGUGGUCCGGGAGAGUAAGGACAGGUUCCUCCGAAAUUGCCUUCUUCAAAUCCUCGAAUGCGCGUUGGCACUCUUUAGACCAAUGCCACGUUCUGUUUUUCUUGAGCAUAUCCGUCAAGGGUGCUGCCUUGGCCGAAUAGCCCUUGAUGAAGCGGCGGUAGUAGUUCACCAAACCAAGGAAUAAGCGAAGCUCGGGCACUUUCGAGGGAAGUUCCCAUUCAAGGAUGGCCUUCACUUUAGCAUUCUCCAUCAUAAUCUUCCCGUCCGCAAUCUUGUGGCCAAAGAACUCCACCUCUUGUUGGGCAAACGAGCACUUCUCUAGUUUGAGGAAGAGCUCAUUGUCUCGAAGUACUUGGAGGACUUGUCGCAAGUGUUGGGCAUGAUCCUAGAGCGUGGUGCUAUACACCACUAUGUCAUCCAAGUACACGACCACGAAGCGGUUGAGGAAUGGUUGGAGCACCUUGUUCAUGAGCGUACAAAAUGUGGCGGGUGCAUUAGUAAGGCCAAAAGGCAUUACAAGGAAUUUGAAAAACCCGUACCUUGUUGUGCACGCUGUCUUUGGUUCGUCUCCCUUGGCGAUGCGUUCUUGGUAGUACCCUGAGCGCAAGUCGAGUUUGGUGAAGUACCGCACUUUGCCAAGCUGGUCGAACUAGUCUGCGAUCAAGGAAAUCGGAUACUUGUUCUUGAUAGUGAUCUUGUUGAGUGCUCUAUAGUCGAUGCACAUCCGCAGCGAUCCAUCCUUUUUCUUUUGGAAGAGGACCGGUGCACCGAAUGGGGCCUUUGAGGGGCGAAUAUAGCCUGCGUUCAGCAAGUCUUUGAGUUGUCUCCACAACUCUUAUAAUUUUGGUGGCGCCAUGCGGUAGGGCGCCAGGGCUGGUGGCUUCGCGCCUUGUUCCAGCUCGAUGGCAUGAUCUACCUCUUGUCGAGGUGGGAGCUUCUUCGGAAGUUCUGGAGGCAUCACGUCCUUGUACUCAUUGAGGACGACUUGAAUUCGCGGAGGGACUUGGCUUGGCGAAGUUCCGCUAUGUCCUUCCUCAUUUAGUUCUCGAAUAGAGACCAAGAAGCUUGGGUCCUUCUUGAAAGCCCUUUUGAAUUGCAUGGCGGAGAGUGUCUUCUCCUCGGACUUGCCUCGCUCCGUGGGUACCAUGCAUGCUUUGCUCCCGUCGAGAAUGCUUAGGGAGUUUGUAGCGGGCAGCGGGAAGGCAUGGACUUGGUCAAAGAAUUUCAUGCUGAGGACCAUCUUGAAGUCGUCCAUGGGCACAAUGGAGAAGUCAAGCUUUCCGCUCCACGUACCGAGUGUGAUGUGCACGCCUUGUACGAUUCCCGCAAUUGGCUUGGCGGGUGAGUUUACUACCUUCAUUGUGCCUCCUUCCUUCGUGGCCUUGAGGCCUAAGCGCUUGGCCUCAUCUACGGACACGAAGUUGUGCGUUGCUCCCGUGUCUAGCAGCGUGCGAACGGACUGGCCGUUUACCUUUGCGCUAACAUACAUGAGCCAUUUCUUGACGAGUGCGGGCUGUUGGCGAUUGAGUGCGCCGAGGCGUUGGAGAGAACCCAUGCUGAGUUGGGGUUCCUCCGUGGACAUUGUAGGGUUGCUCUUGAGUUGGGCAGCAAGAGCGUUAAGCGACCUCUUCUCCGGACAGUCGCGCACCCAAUGGGGACCAUUGCAUAUGAAGCAUGGGUUUCGCAGUUUUGGCGCCUCCUUCUUGCCCUCCGAUUUUCCUUGCCCGCUCUUGUUAUUAGGCGGCUUUUUAUGCCCCCAAUCUUUACGGUUGUUGCCCUUGUCCUUGUGACUCUCUCCCCUACCUUUGCCUUGACUAGACUUCUUGUCUUUGGAUUGGGUAGAGUAUUCGGUGAGCGAUUCCGCAACGGCGAUGGCGUCGUCAAGUGUUUGAACACCACACCUAUCAAGCUCGGUCUUGGCCCAAUCCUUGAGGCCAUCUUGGAAGUAGAAGAGUGAAUCUUUGUCAGACAUGUCGCUUAUCUCCAACAUAAGGGUAGUGAACUCAUUGAUGUAGUCCCGAAUGCUACCCGAUUGCUUGAGGCGACGUAAGCGCGCUCGCGCUUCCUUCUCCGCAUUGCUUGGGGCGAACUGUUUUCAGAGUUCUUGCUUGAAGUCGGCCCAAGUGUCGAUGGUGCAAAUGCCCUUGCCCAUCUCGCCAUGCUUGCGACACCACCAUAGUUGUGCAGCACUUCGAAGAUAAGUGGGUGCAGUGCCCACUUUCGAUGCCUCAUCUCGUACACCCAUGGCAUCGAAGUAUUGAUCCAGCCCGAAUAAGAAGUUGUCCACGAUUGUGGCAUUGCGUGUUGUUGUGCAAAUUUUAAUGUACUCGCAAGCGCACGAAUCUAUUAUAGUAUAGAUCAAUGGUGACGAGUGUCGAUCCCACGAGAAGGUGGAUUUUAAUUGUGUAUAGAAUUAAUUUUGCAAAUGGUUGAUUGGAUUUGUGGUGGAAAUGAUUUGGAAUAUGCUAAAACUUAAAUUAAAAUGGCGAGAAUAAAUUCUGAAAUUGGAAUUGAAAUGACGAGAAUAAAUUGAAGAGAAUUCUAUUGAAAUGACGUACUUGGGUAUCUGGAUCCGUAUCAACAUGCAUCAUGGGCUAAAUAAUCCGUAUUAAUGCCAAUUAAAUCAUGAGGGGGGAAUCCACACCUCAUGAACCACGCUCUAAUCAAUAUGGUGCUAAGGGCUUAUCGUGCCAAAUAAUAAUAACCUUGUACUAGAGAGCCGGUGUAACCAAGGCGGUAUCUAGACAAGAUCAGUAUUAUUUGUCGACGAUAAGUCAAAUCAUCCACAAAAACUAGAGGGGAAAAGAAAAUAAAUUUACCAAAUAAAGCCCAUGACACAUGUUGAGACUUCACCUUCAACCCAAGCUUGAAAGAAAAUUAGCCACUCAUAAUUGAACUAAGGGCAAAAUGGGAAUUUAUUAAAAUACAAAGAAAAUACAAGAUGGAGAAGGAAUUACAGAAAAUGGAUCCCAAAAAUGGAUUCAGAGAUAUCAAAUUAGGGGGGGGAGGCCCCCUUUUUAUAGAUACAUGGAGUAAAUCAUGGCCAUCGGAUUAAAAACAGUUUGGACGCUCAGGAUUGCGCCACGUCAUCAGUCAACAGUCCACGGUUUGACCACGCGGAUGAACAGUAACACGGUUUGACCUGGAUGAACAGUAACGCGGUUUGGUUGACAAUAAUCCUGUGUGAUGCAUGCACCGUACGCGAGAUUUUUCGUCCACUGAUAUGCUGCCACGUCACCAUCAACAGUACAUAAGAUUUUAGUCCAACAGGAUCGUGACACCUCAUCAGUCAAUGCCACAUCAUCGGUCAAUGCCACAUCAUCGGUCAAUGCCACGUCAUCGAUCAAUGCCACGUCAUCGAUCCGUCUAUGUGAACAGUGUCGUGAACAGUAACGUAGACAGUACCGUAUACGUGAAUAGUACCGUACAUGUGAAUAGUGCCAUUUUUCCUUUUAUGCUCCUCCUAAGGUUUUCGACCGUCCUGAGUUCAAAAGUGAUGUCCGUUUUGCCAUCUGAUCUCUCCUUUAUUGUGAAAUGACUAUAAUGCCCCUAAAAUACAUAAAAUACUUAAUUAAAAUAACACACACGUAAUUACAUCACAAGAAGGUUAAAUACAUAAAAGUAAGGGUUGUUAGUAAGACUUGAAAUGUAAAAUGACGGUUUUCUCCUUUAUAAAUAUGCAUUUUCUAACACUCAACACACCCCCCAACCAGCUUAUUGCUAGUCCCUAGCAAAUAAAGCGAAAACAAAAUUCAAAUUCAAAUUUUUUUUUUUUUUUUUAGAAACACUCGUGUUUAUUCAAUCAGAUUAAUGAUAGCAAUCAAAUAAAAGUAUAAGCAUUAUCUCCAGUCUAAAGCAAUAUCACACCCACAUCAACCAUCCACAUGAAUCGGCCCAGUAGAUUUUGUUAUAGGUACUUUCAAGAAUGACAUGUCAAACCCCAAAAUCUCACUGGAAGUAAUGACACUCUCACAAAUAAAUUAAACCCAAUAAAAAUAGUCACUCCAAUGAAUGGUAAUUGAGAGAGAAAAUAAUAAAGAAGUGAUAUCACAUGCUCUCACCAAGAUGAAAUAAAUAUGCCCUUAGCUUAGAAAUAAUACGAUCUCAAGUCAAAUAAAAUGUUAGUCAACCCACUUUAUAUAUCUUUUUUUUUUUUUAUUAUGCAUCACUACAUCUUUUUAGCCCAUAUAACUAGCUUCUACUUCAAACUAUAGUUCCCUAAAAUCAAGAAGGACUUUUAUUAGGACGUAACGUAGGCUAGGGAUAUGGCUAAUAAAGAAAGGAAAUAAGGAAAACAAAGUGUAUGUUUGAGAAAAAUGCAGAAAUAAUUUUUUUUUUUUUUUGAAGUUGCAAGGUAGAUUUCACCUAUUAUUGUUAUUUUAUUCUUUUGAAACAACAACUUUUGUUUUUAUUUUAAUUUUUUUUUUUACUUUUAUUUGGCAUAACUUCACUGAACAACAUAAUUAUUUACAUUUUCUCAAACAUAAAUAGGUGAUGGAACUUAAAAGACAUUGGGUAAUACUCCAAAUCGGAGUGGGUCAAGAUGAUAAGUUGACAAAGAAAAUGUUUUUUUUUUUUUUUUUUUAAAGGCUCAAAAGGGGUAACUAUGGAUAUUUAAUAACAGGGAUGGCUAGAAAGGCUCAAACGGAUCAAAGAUGGUCUUUCCAUCGUUUUUUAGGGCUCUAAAUAAUUAUCCAUAUCUACUAGUUAAAUGGGCAUCCCAAUAUAGCAACACACAUUUUUUUCUUUUUUCUUUUUUUUUUUACCAUUUUUUUUUAAAGGGUUAACUCAAAAGAAAUCUAGAGAUCGUGUAUAAAAUAAUAAACUGCUAAGUUGUAUAGAGAAUGGGCAAAAGGGUUACUCUCCAAGAAAAUGAUAGGCUCAACUACUCACUUGGCACUUAUUUAUGACAUGUUCAUUCCUUCAAGCAACUCAUAUUUGUCUCCGACAUCAACAUGUAAAGUAGCAAACAUAGCGUAACAUCACUUAAGACCAAAGAUAAUACAAAUACUAAAAUUUGAAAUUAAUCAUGUCAUCCAAUGUUAAAACAAAUAACACAAUUUUUUUUUUUUAAACAACAUUCUACCCCCCAACCUAUUCUAAACAUGAAAGGAAAAUAUGCAUGCAGAAAUGUGAAAAUGAUGUAGAAAAAUUAAUUAGAAAAAGAAAUUUUUUUUUUUUAAACUAAGAAGAUGCGUUUCUAGAGGCACUACACUCCAUAUUCAGCCAUCUUCGACUCAAAAAUUUGAAACUACAUAUUUAUAAAGGAGAAAGAGGAAGAAAACAGGUUUUUUUUUUUUUUUUUUUUUUUUUAAACGAUGAAGAUGCGUUUCUAGAGGCACUACACUCCAUAUUCAGCCAUCUUCAACAUAAAAUGUUAGCAACAGUUAGUUUCUACAACAAAAAAUCAGUAAAAACUUAACCAAGAUUCCACAAUUGUCGACUAUUCCCUCCCCCCAACCAGAACGAAACAUUGUCCUCAAUGUUUUAAAGGAAAGAAGUAGAGUUUAGAAGACAUCACCUGGGUGGUGCAACACAGAAGAAAAUAUUUACAGGCGGAGAGUUAAAUCUAAUUUGUACUUCUUACUGCGGCUACUGUUACCAUCAUUAUUUGGUCGCUCCAACACAAAGGUCCAGGGGUCUGGCUCCGGUUUAUAAGCUUGUAACAUAUCAAGUAGCUCAUUAGCAGUGUGAGCACAAAUAAAGAGUUUUUUCACAUUAGAAGGAAUGAAAUAGUUUUUUAUUGCAUGGUUAAGAAAUGCGAUAAAGCCAUCAUAAAAGUUAUUGACAUUUAACAAACCGAUGGGUUUCUGGUGGAUGUGCAGAUGGGCCCAAGAUGCUAGUGUCAUAAGUGCCUCUAGUGUUGCAAGAUCUCCUGGAAGGAAAAUAAAAGCAUCAGCAUGAUUAAGCAUUUCAGUUAUUCUUUCUUGCAUACCUGAGACGACUAACUCUUCUCCAGUUGAUGAGUCAGACGAACUGCCCAAUGGUUUUAGGAUUCUUGGGAUGAUGCCUAACACUUGACUUCCUCUGAUAAAAGCUGCUUCUGAGACCAUUUUUGAUAACCCUCGGUUACCUCCUCCAUACACCAAAUGUAAUUUUCUCGCUGCUAUGCUUCGACCAAGAUCUAUGGCUGCCUCCACGAACUCUUUAUGUUUGCCAUAGGUAAAUCCAGAAAGCACACAAAUGUUCUUGAAUUGUCUAUUAGGAGUAGCUGCCAUUGUGAUACUUCUCAAAAAUAAUUUGUGAGUGCUUGACAAAAGAUAAAUCACAUUUAAGAAUCUUGGUGACAGUGGAUCACAGCUGUGAAUAAGGUAACAUGUCAGUGUCAAAUAACGCGUAAAGCACGUGGCUCGCGAGUCAAAAAGGAAACAGUAAAAAGGAAAAAGCAAACAGUAACAAAAUUAUUAAAGACAAUAAUGCAAACAAUAAAACAACAGUGAAAUGAAAUAAAAUAACAGUAAAGUAAAAGGAUAUUUACACGUAGUUGCGACUGUGGCUCACAUCUUCCUCUGGUUUUACGUCCAGAAACGGCUUGAACGCCCUCUAUGGGUCGAGGAUAGGCUUCCUAUCCAGUUUUCUUAUAAACUGGCAAACAGGGUCGUUUAUAGUCAGAUUCCCAAGACUAUAUUGUGUAUGCUCUUUCUGGAAUAAUGGCCAUAACUGGAGAAUCGCUCCUUGCACAUAUCCACUGGGAUGCGUUUCAAGAGACAAAAGGAUAUCAUCCAAUGACUCCUUAUUCAAGCCAUCCCUAAUGAAUUGAAUCUUAUCUUCUCUGUUAUCAGACACCAUUCCUAAAGAACAUGGGUUUCUAUCGCAACUCAUUCUGGCACACUUGUGACAAGCAACAGAAAUUCUUCGAGCUCGUCGUUUUCUUGCGUAAUUUCCUUUACCACAACCAGGCAUGUAUGCAAUAAAUUUAGGAGGUAACUCACCUGCCAAUCGUACUUUAGCCUCGAUUAACCAACGGAUGUCUGCAGGUAUGUUAUUCCUCAUGAGCAAUCGCAUGCGUUCAGACCGGGCUUUAUAGAUUGUAAGGAGGGCAUUCUGAGGAAGUGAAGGGAAUCGCUUGUGAAGCUUUGCUAGAAUCUCGUUUCUAUCCAUACCUUCGCCUCAGAAUAUCAGUUAUUAUGGGAAACUGAAGUAACCGACUUGAUUGUCACGGAGUACCGUUAUCCGCCACUUCACCGGGGUAACAAACUAAAGCACACAAAUAGAAAAACAAAUCAAAACACACAAAGAAAAUUAAAAUCGUCCUCUUAUUGAAUUUACCUCAAGCUCCAACUGGAUGUCGUAAACACUUCUCUCAAUGUCUCUGAGUUGGCGUUCUAAACCCUCAACAUAGGCUACUAACUCUGGUGGUUGUAGAGCCCAAAUGCGUUGUGUUUUACAAAAUNNNNNNNNNNNNNNNNNNNNNNNNNNNNNNNNNNNNNNNNNNNNNNNNNNNNNNNNNNNNNNNNNNNNNNNNNNNNNNNNNNNNNNNNNNNNNNNNNNNNNNNNNNNNNNNNNNNNNNNNNNNNNNNNNNNNNNNNNNNNNNNNNNNNNNNNNNNNNNNNNNNNNNNNNNNNNNNNNNNNNNNNNNNNNNNNNNNNNNNNNNNNNNNNNNNNNNNNNNNNNNNNNNNNNNNNNNNNNNNNNNNNNNNNNNNNNNNNNNNNNNNNNNNNNNNNNNNNNNNNNNNNNNNNNNNNNNNNNNNNNNNNNNNNNNNNNNNNNNNNNNNNNNNNNNNNNNNNNNNNNNNNNNNNNNNNNNNNNNNNNNNNNNNNNNNNNNNNNNNNNNNNNNNNNNNNNNNNNNNNNNNNNNNNNNNNNNNNNNNNNNNNNNNNNNNNNNNNNNNNNNNNNNNNNNNNNNNNNNNNNNNNNNNNNNNNNNNNNNNNNNNNNNNNNNNNNNNNNNNNNNNNNNNNNNNNNNNNNNNNNNNNNNNNNNNNNNNNNNNNNNNNNNNNNNNNNNNNNNNNNNNNNNNNNNNNNNNNNNNNNNNNNNNNNNNNNNNNNNNNNNNNNNNNNNNNNNNNNNNNNNNNNNNNNNNNNNNNNNNNNNNNNNNNNNNNNNNNNNNNNNNNNNNNNNNNNNNNNNNNNNNNNNNNNNNNNNNNNNNNNNNNNNNNNNNNNNNNNNNNNNNNNNNNNNNNNNNNNNNNNNNNNNNNNNNNNNNNNNNNNNNNNNNNNNNNNNNNNNNNNNNNNNNNNNNNNNNNNNNNNNNNNNNNNNNNNNNNNNNNNNNNNNNNNNNNNNNNNNNNNNNNNNNNNNNNNNNNNNNNNNNNNNNNNNNNNNNNNNNNNNNNNNNNNNNNNNNNNNNNNNNNNNNNNNNNNNNNNNNNNNNNNNNNNNNNNNNNNNNNNNNNNNNNNNNNNNNNNNNNNNNNNNNNNNNNNNNNNNNNNNNNNNNNNNNNNNNNNNNNNNNNNNNNNNNNNNNNNNNNNNNNNNNNNNNNNNNNNNNNNNNNNNNNNNNNNNNNNNNNNNNNNNNNNNNNNNNNNNNNNNNNNNNNNNNNNNNNNNNNNNNNNNNNNNNNNNNNNNNNNNNNNNNNNNNNNNNNNNNNNNNNNNNNNNNNNNNNNNNNNNNNNNNNNNNNNNNNNNNNNNNNNNNNNNNNNNNNNNNNNNNNNNNNNNNNNNNNNNNNNNNNNNNNNNNNNNNNNNNNNNNNNNNNNNNNNNNNNNNNNNNNNNNNNNNNNNNNNNNNNNNNNNNNNNNNNNNNNNNNNNNNNNNNNNNNNNNNNNNNNNNNNNNNNNNNNNNNNNNNNNNNNNNNNNNNNNNNNNNNNNNNNNNNNNNNNNNNNNNNNNNNNNNNNNNNNNNNNNNNNNNNNNNNNNNNNNNNNNNNNNNNNNNNNNNNNNNNNNNNNNNNNNNNNNNNNNNNNNNNNNNNNNNNNNNNNNNNNNNNNNNNNNNNNNNNNNNNNNNNNNNNNNNNNNNNNNNNNNNNNNNNNNNNNNNNNNNNNNNNNNNNNNNNNNNNNNNNNNNNNNNNNNNNNNNNNNNNNNNNNNNNNNNNNNNNNNNNNNNNNNNNNNNNNNNNNNNNNNNNNNNNNNNNNNNNNNNNNNNNNNNNNNNNNNNNNNNNNNNNNNNNNNNNNNNNNNNNNNNNNNNNNNNNNNNNNNNNNNNNNNNNNNNNNNNNNNNNNNNNNNNNNNNNNNNNNNNNNNNNNNNNNNNNNNNNNNNNNNNNNNNNNNNNNNNNNNNNNNNNNNNNNNNNNNNNNNNNNNNNNNNNNNNNNNNNNNNNNNNNNNNNNNNNNNNNNNNNNNNNNNNNNNNNNNNNNNNNNNNNNNNNNNNNNNNNNNNNNNNNNNNNNNNNNNNNNNNNNNNNNNNNNNNNNNNNNNNNNNNNNNNNNNNNNNNNNNNNNNNNNNNNNNNNNNNNNNNNNNNNNNNNNNNNNNNNNNNNNNNNNNNNNNNNNNNNNNNNNNNNNNNNNNNNNNNNNNNNNNNNNNNNNNNNNNNNNNNNNNNNNNNNNNNNNNNNNNNNNNNNNNNNNNNNNNNNNNNNNNNNNNNNNNNNNNNNNNNNNNNNNNNNNNNNNNNNNNNNNNNNNNNNNNNNNNNNNNNNNNNNNNNNNNNNNNNNNNNNNNNNNNNNNNNNNNNNNNNNNNNNNNNNNNNNNNNNNNNNNNNNNNNNNNNNNNNNNNNNNNNNNNNNNNNNNNNNNNNNNNNNNNNNNNNNNNNNNNNNNNNNNNNNNNNNNNNNNNNNNNNNNNNNNNNNNNNNNNNNNNNNNNNNNNNNNNNNNNNNNNNNNNNNNNNNNNNNNNNNNNNNNNNNNNNNNNNNNNNNNNNNNNNNNNNNNNNNNNNNNNNNNNNNNNNNNNNNNNNNNNNNNNNNNNNNNNNNNNNNNNNNNNNNNNNNNNNNNNNNNNNNNNNNNNNNNNNNNNNNNNNNNNNNNNNNNNNNNNNNNNNNNNNNNNNNNNNNNNNNNNNNNNNNNNNNNNNNNNNNNNNNNNNNNNNNNNNNNNNNNNNNNNNNNNNNNNNNNNNNNNNNNNNNNNNNNNNNNNNNNNNNNNNNNNNNNNNNNNNNNNNNNNNNNNNNNNNNNNNNNNNNNNNNNNNNNNNNNNNNNNNNNNNNNNNNNNNNNNNNNNNNNNNNNNNNNNNNNNNNNNNNNNNNNNNNNNNNNNNNNNNNNNNNNNNNNNNNNNNNNNNNNNNNNNNNNNNNNNNNNNNNNNNNNNNNNNNNNNNNNNNNNNNNNNNNNNNNNNNNNNNNNNNNNNNNNNNNNNNNNNNNNNNNNNNNNNNNNNNNNNNNNNNNNNNNNNNNNNNNNNNNNNNNNNNNNNNNNNNNNNNNNNNNNNNNNNNNNNNNNNNNNNNNNNNNNNNNNNNNNNNNNNNNNNNNNNNNNNNNNNNNNNNNNNNNNNNNNNNNNNNNNNNNNNNNNNNNNNNNNNNNNNNNNNNNNNNNNNNNNNNNNNNNNNNNNNNNNNNNNNNNNNNNNNNNNNNNNNNNNNNNNNNNNNNNNNNNNNNNNNNNNNNNNNNNNNNNNNNNNNNNNNNNNNNNNNNNNNNNNNNNNNNNNNNNNNNNNNNNNNNNNNNNNNNNNNNNNNNNNNNNNNNNNNNNNNNNNNNNNNNNNNNNNNNNNNNNNNNNNNNNNNNNNNNNNNNNNNNNNNNNNNNNNNNNNNNNNNNNNNNNNNNNNNNNNNNNNNNNNNNNNNNNNNNNNNNNNNNNNNNNNNNNNNNNNNNNNNNNNNNNNNNNNNNNNNNNNNNNNNNNNNNNNNNNNNNNNNNNNNNNNNNNNNNNNNNNNNNNNNNNNNNNNNNNNNNNNNNNNNNNNNNNNNNNNNNNNNNNNNNNNNNNNNNNNNNNNNNNNNNNNNNNNNNNNNNNNNNNNNNNNNNNNNNNNNNNNNNNNNNNNNNNNNNNNNNNNNNNNNNNNNNNNNNNNNNNNNNNNNNNNNNNNNNNNNNNNNNNNNNNNNNNNNNNNNNNNNNNNNNNNNNNNNNNNNNNNNNNNNNNNNNNNNNNNNNNNNNNNNNNNNNNNNNNNNNNNNNNNNNNNNNNNNNNNNNNNNNNNNNNNNNNNNNNNNNNNNNNNNNNNNNNNNNNNNNNNNNNNNNNNNNNNNNNNNNNNNNNNNNNNNNNNNNNNNNNNNNNNNNNNNNNNNNNNNNNNNNNNNNNNNNNNNNNNNNNNNNNNNNNNNNNNNNNNNNNNNNNNNNNNNNNNNNNNNNNNNNNNNNNNNNNNNNNNNNNNNNNNNNNNNNNNNNNNNNNNNNNNNNNNNNNNNNNNNNNNNNNNNNNNNNNNNNNNNNNNNNNNNNNNNNNNNNNNNNNNNNNNNNNNNNNNNNNNNNNNNNNNNNNNNNNNNNNNNNNNNNNNNNNNNNNNNNNNNNNNNNNNNNNNNNNNNNNNNNNNNNNNNNNNNNNNNNNNNNNNNNNNNNNNNNNNNNNNNNNNNNNNNNNNNNNNNNNNNNNNNNNNNNNNNNNNNNNNNNNNNNNNNNNNNNNNNNNNNNNNNNNNNNNNNNNNNNNNNNNNNNNNNNNNNNNNNNNNNNNNNNNNNNNNNNNNNNNNNNNNNNNNNNNNNNNNNNNNNNNNNNNNNNNNNNNNNNNNNNNNNNNNNNNNNNNNNNNNNNNNNNNNNNNNNNNNNNNNNNNNNNNNNNNNNNNNNNNNNNNNNNNNNNNNNNNNNNNNNNNNNNNNNNNNNNNNNNNNNNNNNNNNNNNNNNNNNNNNNNNNNNNNNNNNNNNNNNNNNNNNNNNNNNNNNNNNNNNNNNNNNNNNNNNNNNNNNNNNNNNNNNNNNNNNNNNNNNNNNNNNNNNNNNNNNNNNNNNNNNNNNNNNNNNNNNNNNNNNNNNNNNNNNNNNNNNNNNNNNNNNNNNNNNNNNNNNNNNNNNNNNNNNNNNNNNNNNNNNNNNNNNNNNNNNNNNNNNNNNNNNNNNNNNNNNNNNNNNNNNNNNNNNNNNNNNNNNNNNNNNNNNNNNNNNNNNNNNNNNNNNNNNNNNNNNNNNNNNNNNNNNNNNNNNNNNNNNNNNNNNNNNNNNNNNNNNNNNNNNNNNNNNNNNNNNNNNNNNNNNNNNNNNNNNNNNNNNNNNNNNNNNNNNNNNNNNNNNNNNNNNNNNNNNNNNNNNNNNNNNNNNNNNNNNNNNNNNNNNNNNNNNNNNNNNNNNNNNNNNNNNNNNNNNNNNNNNNNNNNNNNNNNNNNNNNNNNNNNNNNNNNNNNNNNNNNNNNNNNNNNNNNNNNNNNNNNNNNNNNNNNNNNNNNNNNNNNNNNNNNNNNNNNNNNNNNNNNNNNNNNNNNNNNNNNNNNNNNNNNNNNNNNNNNNNNNNNNNNNNNNNNNNNNNNNNNNNNNNNNNNNNNNNNNNNNNNNNNNNNNNNNNNNNNNNNNNNNNNNNNNNNNNNNNNNNNNNNNNNNNNNNNNNNNNNNNNNNNNNNNNNNNNNNNNNNNNNNNNNNNNNNNNNNNNNNNNNNNNNNNNNNNNNNNNNNNNNNNNNNNNNNNNNNNNNNNNNNNNNNNNNNNNNNNNNNNNNNNNNNNNNNNNNNNNNNNNNNNNNNNNNNNNNNNNNNNNNNNNNNNNNNNNNNNNNNNNNNNNNNNNNNNNNNNNNNNNNNNNNNNNNNNNNNNNNNNNNNNNNNNNNNNNNNNNNNNNNNNNNNNNNNNNNNNNNNNNNNNNNNNNNNNNNNNNNNNNNNNNNNNNNNNNNNNNNNNNNNNNNNNNNNNNNNNNNNNNNNNNNNNNNNNNNNNNNNNNNNNNNNNNNNNNNNNNNNNNNNNNNNNNNNNNNNNNNNNNNNNNNNNNNNNNNNNNNNNNNNNNNNNNNNNNNNNNNNNNNAUGAACUAUCAGAAAUUGGGUAAAUGAUACCUGCGUCUAAUAGCUUAAGGACUUCUGUUCUAACAACUUCUUUCAUAUUAGGAUUUAACCGACGUUGCAUUUCCCUAGUAGAUUUAGCAUUUUCAUCAAGGUGAAUGUAAUGCAUGCAGUCUACUGGAUUUAUACCUUUGAUGUCUGCUAUGGUCCAUCCUAAUGCCCCUUUGUGCUCUUUUAAAACAUCCAACAACUUACCUUUUUGUUCGUCAUUUAGGGAUGAUGAGAUGAUUACCGGCAGAGUACUUUCUUCUCCCAAAAAUGCAUAUUCCAGAGUGUUGGGUAAUGGUUUGAGCUCGAGUUUCGGUGGUGAUUCUGAUGAUGGAAUGAGUUUCUUCUCUGAUGGUGCUAGUUGUUCAACUCUUGACUUCCAUUUAUUAGUGUCCAUGGAUGGUGCUGAGUCAAGUAGGGCGUUGACCUCUUCGACCGAUCUGUCAAUAUCAAAAUCCAAACCAAAGUGAGUUAAACAUGUUUGUAAAGGAUCAUCACUAAGGUUUGAAAGAAAAGUAUUAUCAACUAUUGUUUCUAUUAAAUCCACAUCAACAAUUCCAUCAUCUGCACUGUGAGGUUGUUUGGCAAUGUUGAAGAUGUUUAGCUCCAUAGUCAUGUUGCCGAAGGACAAUUGCAUAUUUCCGGUCCUACAUUGAAUAUGAGCAUCUGCAGUUGCCAAGAAAGGUCGGCCUAGAAUAAUGGGGAUGUGCUUCCUUGAGUCCUGUAUUGGUUGAGUGUCAAUUACAAUGAAAUCAACAGGAAAAUAAAACUUGUCUACCUGGAUAAGCACGUCCUCCACAAAACCACGAGGUAUUUUUGUGGACCGAUCUGCAAGUUGUAACACCACUGGAGUUGGGUGUAAUUCUCCCAGUCCAAGUUUCACGAAUACAGAGUAAGGCAACAAAUUUACACUAGCUCCUAAAUCCAACAAAGCAUUCUCAAUUGUGUGGUUCCCUAUACUACAUGAGAUAGUGGGGGAGCCUGGGUCUUUGCAUUUUAAAGGAAUUUUAUGUUGGAGUAUAGAACUAACGUUUUCUGUUAAAAAUGCCUUCUUUUGAACAUGCAUAUUUCUCUUUUUAGUACAAAGGUCUUUAAGAAACUUGGCAUAAGAUGGAACUUGCUUUAUAGCAUCAAGUAAAGGGAUGUUAACACUUACCUGUUUGAAGAUUUCGAGAAUCUCACCUGUGGAUUUUCCUUUCUUGCCUUUCGCUAACCUCUGAGGAAAUGGAGCUUUCGGAACGUAUUCUCGUGGGUUGGUUUCUUCUUUCUCCUCCGGUGGUGAGUCUUCAACAUUCACAGGUACAAUUUGAUUUUCUUUUGUCACCGGCAUCUCCACUUUGUUGUCGACUUCCUUUCCUUUUCGCAAGGUCAUGACUGCUUUGACCUCUCCAUGCUGUUGUGGUGAACUGGUACUUGCUUCAUGUACUCCUUUAGGAUUAGGCACUGGUUGACUUGGAAAUUUUCCUUUCUCAACAGUCAUUGCCAAGGUCUGAACUGAAGAAGCAAGUUGUCCCACCAUCUUCUCGAGGCUUGAAACUGAUUGAGCUUGUGAGUUGAAGCCUGCUCUCAACUCAUUUCGUAGUCCAUCAAUGGUGCGGUUCUGUUGCUCAAUCGUAGAGUGAGUAGCAUUCUUGAAAUUCUGGAAUGAAUCCUCCCAUGGUCUGGGUUGAGAGUAGUUUUGGUUCUGAUUGAAUGGUCUAAAUGGGGGCUGAGAGGCUUGAGGAUUUUGAGGAAUUUGUUGCAUUGGUGGAGCUGCUGGUCCAUUCUGUUGGAAUCCUUGAGACCAUGAAAAAUUGGGGUGGUCUCUCCAUCCAGGAUUAUAUGUGUUGGAGUAUGGGUUGUAAUUCGAUGGUUUUCUCAUUACACCUAUGGCAUUGGCUUGAUCUGAGUAUGAGUCAUGGUCAUGUGAUUCUGUUGAUUUAGCAGUCGAUAACGAUGCUAUUUGUCGAGCAAGACCUUCAACCAUCUCCUUGACUUCUUUGAUUUCCGAAGUUGACUCGCCAAUUUGAACCUCAUUUACUCCCUUAAUUCUUCUAGUAUUCCUGAGUGAUCGACUCCGUUGUUGGGAAUUAUCCGCUUGUCGCUGGAAGAAUUCCCAAAUCUCUGAUGCACUUUUUGACAUUAGCUCUCCUCCACUUGUUGCCAUUAGCCAUUCUUGCACAUUUGGUAGUAAUCCCUCCAAAAAGUAUUGACAUUGGUGCCAUUUUUCGUACCCAUGAUGUGGACACUUCAAGAGUAGCCCAUUGAAUCGCUCCCAUGUUUCGAAAAACUGCUCGUCCUCUCUCUGUGUAAACUCUGAAAUUUCCCUGCGAAUAGCAUUGGUUUUAUGCACUGGGAAAUAUUUAUUCAAAAAUUUUGUAACCAUUUGUUCCCAUGAUGCAAUGCUAUUAGCAGGCAAUGUAUUAAGCCAUGAACGAGCUCUAUCCUUUAAAGAAAAUGGGAAUAAUCUGAGUUUAACAUCAUCGUCUGAAAAAUUCUCAUAUUUGAAUGUUUGACAAAUGGCAUGAAAAUCAUUCAAAUGAUUAUAUGGGUCCUCAUUUUCUAAGCCAUAGAAUGUGGGGAGACAAUUUAGCACACUAGGUUUUAAUUCAAAACUCCUAGCAGCUACAUUUGGGUAUCUUAUGCAUGACGUGCUCAAAUUAGCUAAGGGACUAAAAUAGUCCUUAAAUGGCCUCUCCUGUGGUGCUUGUAAAUCUAUUUUAUUUUUAACGUGUUUGUGUGUGCGAAGUGUUUUUUCUAAUUCAAGGUCUAUAGGUUCAAGAUUUGGUAAUAAUGACCUACGACCAUGCAUGCAAAAUAAAUAAAAUAAAAAUAAAGAUGGGAACAAAAACAAAUAAAAAUAAAGAAGAGGGAGAAAUUACGAUACUAACCUUAUUGCGCUAUUACAACCUUUCUAUAAAAAUACACAAAAACAAAUACGUGAAAUAAAUUAACUAAAAAUUAAAUUAAUAAAAUAAACAAAAAUUACAAAGAAAAAAAAUUAAAAAUUAAAUUACAGAAUUUUAAAGAAGAGAAAAAGAAAAGAAAUAAUAACCUUUAAAUGUAGAUUUACUUUUUUUUUUAAUAAAAAAUACAAGAAAACAAAUAAAAGAAAUUAUUCACAAAAAUUAAUUCUAUGAAUUAAAAUUACUUACCUCCCCAGCAACGGCGCCAAAAACUUGUUGUGCAAAUUUUAAUGUACUCGCAAGCGCACGAAUCUAUUAUAGUAUAGAUCAAUGGUGACGAGUGUCGAUCCCACGAGGAGGUGGAUUUUAAUUGUGUAUAGAAUUAAUUUUGCAAAUGGUUGAUUGGAUCUGUGGUGGAAAUGAUUUGGAAUAUGCUAAAACUUAAAUUAAAAUGGCGAGAAUAAAUUCUGAAAUUGGAAUUGAAAUGACGAGAAUAAAUUGAAGAGAAUUCUAUUGAAAUGACGUACUUGGGUAUCUGGAUCCGUAUCAACAUGCAUCAUGGGCUAAAUAAUCCGUAUUAAUGCCAAUUAAAUCAUGAGGGGGGAAUCCACACCUCAUGAACCACGCUCUAAUCAAUAUGGUGCUAAGGGCUUAUCGUGCCAAAUAAUAAUAACCUUGUACUAGAGAGCCGGUGUAACCAAGGCGGUAUCUAGACAAGAUCAGUAUUAUUUGUCGACGAUAAGUCAAAUCAUCCACAAAAACUAGAGGGGAAAAGAAAAUAAAUUUACCAAAUAAAGCUCAUGACACAUGUUGAGACUUCACCUUCAACCCAAGCUUGAAAGAAAAUUAGCCACUCAUAAUUGAACUAAGGGCAAAAUGGGAAUUUAUUAAAAUACAAAGAAAAUACAAGAUGGAGAAGGAAUUACAGAAAAUGGAUCCCAAAAAUGGAUUCAAAGAUAUCAAAUUAGGGGGGGAGGCCCCCUUUUUAUAGAUACAUGGAGUAAAUCAUGGCCAUCGGAUUAAAAACAGUUUGGACGCUCAGGAUUGCGCCACGUCAUCAGUCAACAGUCCACGGUUUGACCACGCGGAUGAACAGUAACACGGUUUGACCCGGAUGAACAGUAACACGGUUUGGUUGACAAUAAUCCUGUGUGAUGCAUGCACCGUACGCGAGAUUUUUCGUCCACUGAUAUGCUGCCACGUCACCAUCAACAGUACAUAAGAUUUUAGUCCAACAGGAUCGUGACACCUCAUCAGUCAAUGCCACAUCAUCGGUCAAUGCCACAUCAUCGGUCAAUGCCACGUCAUCGAUCAAUGCCACGUCAUCGAUCCGUCUAUGUGAACAGUGUCGUGAACAGUAACGUAGACAGUACCGUAUACGUGAAUAGUACCGUACAUGUGAAUAGUGCCAUUUUUCCUUUUAUGCUCCUCCUAAGGUUUUCGACCGUCCUGAGUUCAAAAGUGAUGUCCGUUUUGCCAUCUGAUCUCUCCUUUAUUGUGAAAUGACUAUAAUGCCCCUAAAAUACAUAAAAUACUUAAUUAAAAUAACACACACGUAAUUACAUCACAAGAAGGUUAAAUACAUAAAAGUAAGGGUUGUUAGUAAGACUUGAAAUGUAAAAUGACGGUUUUCUCCUUUAUAAAUAUGCAUUUUCUAACACUCAACNNNNNNNNNNNNNNNNNNNNNNNNNNNNNNNNNNNNNNNNNNNNNNNNNNNNNNNNNNNNNNNNNNNNNNNNNNNNNNNNNNNNNNNNNNNNNNNNNNNNCACUGGAGUUUGCGGAAGCUGGACUUGCGGAGAGUGUGCGAUUGUUCCAUGCCCAAUCCGAGCGGACUUCAUCCACUUCCGCACGGACAACGUGUAGUUCGUCCUGAACAAAACUACGAAGUUUUAGCAACUCAUCAUGGAAAGAUCAAAACUCACCUCAGAGAGUGUUCGCUUACUCAUGGAUGAGAGCUUUUGUGGCCACCGUGAACUCGGCGUAUUCUCCCUUGAGACCGUCCACUCUUCCUUCCAAUCCCUCGAGGCUUUCUUGAGCGGCGGACAAUGCGAUUUCGAGAGUGCCUACACGAGGCUCCAACGCAUCCACGGAUGGGGCCUUGGACUUGCCGCGAAUCUUGCCUUGGGCGCGUUCUCCCUCUCGGCCGCGGCUUGGUUCCGGUGGAACAUCCACACCAACAACACCCUCUUAUGCUACGUUCGAAGGGUUGGCCAUUGCUUCGUGAGCUAACUUGUGUGCGUGCAAACCUUAGCUCUGAUACCACUUGUCACGGGAUGAGUGUUUUGCGCAGCUAACCCGUGCGGCACUUAGACAACUUUGCCGAUUGUUGCUAAGUAAGCCUAGAGCUUCUCGAACAAGAGAAGAGAGCAAUUGAGCCAAAGAAGAAACUUGUAUUGCACAAAGAGAGAUUACAAUGCUUGUUGCUUACAAAGCUUGUUAGAUACAAAUGCCUAAUGCCAUCCCAUAUUUAUAAGGGAGACUUGCCAAGCUCUAGAGAUUCUAGAGAAUUCUACCCACUAUCUAGAAUUUACAUGUGCUGGAAAGUCAUAGAGAAUUCUAGAGUAUUUACAAGCUCACAUGUGCUAGAGUUUCCUAGAACUUUCCGGAAUUGGGUCAAGCUAGCACUCUUGGCCUUGUGUUGGCUCUCUAGCCCGAAAUUGUGGGCAAUUGGGCUAGUGAAUUGGGCGGUCCGCAACAUUUAGGUGGGAUAUGGGAGAAUUGUCAAGAGUUCACACCAAGAGAAAUUAAUGAUAGGCCUAAUUUCGUUGUCAAUUCUUUAUUUAUUUAUUUUAUUUUUUUAUACAUUAUUGUCUUGUUGGCAUUGUUUUGUAAAGAUAUAAAAGUACAAGUAAAAUAUUAGGGGAAGUAAAGUAAAAUAUUGGAGGUGUUGCUAAGUUACAGCUGCCGUAACUUACAGUUCCUUAAAAAAUAAUGUAAAAAAUUUAACACGUGGUGGGACCCACAUUAUGUUUGAAGAGGCCGUAAGUUAUAGCAGUUGUAAAUUAGUAAAAUCCAAAUAUUAGACAAUAAUACACAUUAACAAUGCAUAUAAUUUGAGUUUGAUUUUUAAAAAAAUUAUGUGAGUAUUACCUAUCCUUAAGACAUUAAUGAGAAUAUAUUUUAAUUUUAAAUAAUCAAAAUCUGUUUAAUCAUAAUAUGUAAUUCAUACAUUGCAUGUUAGAUUUGUUUGGAUUUUAAGUUGUUGCUAAUAAAUAUUUAUGUUGUGAAAGUCGAAUUCAAUAGCUACAAAAGCAGAGAUAAUGGUAUUUUAUGUAGUUUUUAAGAAUACAAGGAUAAGACCAUAACGCAUGAGAUAGUGUUAUUUUAUAUUAAAAGACCAUAACACAUGUAUUUGAGCCAUUUAUAUUGAGGACACAUAUAGAGCGAAAAGUGCAGAUCCGGCCGUAACUAUUGUGAAGCUUUCCUCAAGUAUUCUCAUGCACGCAGACCUUAGCUGGUCAAGUUUUCUGAUUUAAUAUAAUCAAUUUCCGCGCAGUACUAACGACAGCUUCUUUGUAAAGCUCUUCAACCACAAGCAUUUCUACAAGGCAAAAGACUAGGACGUGUCGGAAUGAAUAUCAAUAAGGGAAUGUCUUAUGAAUUUAGUUUAUAUCCUAAUAUAAGACAAUCAAUAAAUAUUAGAUGCAAUCUAAGGGCUAACAUUUGAUUGAUCAUUAUACGAAAAAAAGGUACAAAAAUACAAAACAGAGCUGAUUGAUGGCCUCUCACAGUCAGUUAUAUGACAAAGUAGCCACCACAACAAACUUGAACUUGGCUGGAGGUCUCAUUAGCAGUAUACCUCCGAACUUAAGACAAAGACUUUAAAAUGCAAACUUAUGGAGCAAUUUAAGCACUGAAACUAAUAACAGUACGGUAUUAGCAAUUGACCUCUGCUUUUGCUUAGACAAAGGUUCUCAUCACAAUGGAUUCAUUAGUUGCCCUUGCCUCACACGUUUGGAUGCUAAGGGGAAAAAGGAAGUUUGAAUUAGUCAAUCUCAUUUCUAAUGGCAUUCACAGAGAACCUAUAAAGCAAAAAAAUAAAUAAAAAUUUUCAUGUUGCAAGUGAGCUCGUUUUCAAUCGAUUUUUAUUGAUCAUAAGAGAUCAUGUGGCCCACCUUAUUUUUAUUUUGGAUCCAUAACCCAAAGCUGGCCCAAGUUCUGAUUCCAGAAUCAUUUGUCUACAAAGUGACCUCAUUCCGGCAAUUGGUUUAUGCUAAUAGCACGUGCAAUUUUCAUUUUCUUCUUUUUAUUAAUUAAUUUCAUCAUUAUUAUUUGCUUAUUAGUUUAAAUUAAUUAAUUAUAUUGUAUUAAUGAAAUUAGUCUUUCAUUUUCUUUUCUCUUUCAAUGCACAAAGCCAAACAACCAUUCUUUCUUCAAAUACCGAAGAGCUCCUGACUACGGCUGUCAAUGCUUCUAUAUUUAUGUGCUGUGCUGCAGCACUCUUAGCGAAAGCUUGAAUGAAUGAUUAAAGACAAAAGCUUAUAUAAAAGCAGAUGCCGGAGGCACUCAAAAAGCAUUUGAGAGAGAAGCUAAACAGCAAAUCAUCAAACGCACUUCAAUGACUUUGAUUUUGAUUUUUGUUUCAAAAGAAGUAGAAAAGUCCAUGGGUCACGAUAACUGCUUGUCCUCUGCCGUGACCUCAUUGUCCGCUGCUAGUGUCAAAUAGAUUAAUCUUUCUAGUAGAUUAAUAUAAUUUAUAAUUUUAAUUUCAGUAUUAAUUUUUAAAAUGUUAGUUGUUAUAUUUAUUUUAAUGAUAUAUCUAUUUUUAGUAUAAAAAUUUAAAUAAAUAUUUAGAUUAAAUAGAAUUUAUAAUUGAUAUAAUAUAUCUCAUGUAUUAAUGAUAUUUAAAUUAUUUUAAAUAAUAUUAAUCCUAACUUAAAAUUUUAUAUAUUUAUUUUAAUGUUAUGUUUCUAUAUAUUAUAAAAUUUAGUUUAAUAUAAUAUAAGAUUGUAAAGUAUUCAAAUAUUUUUUAAAUAUUAAAAUUAUUAUAAAAUGUAUAUACUGUUACAUUUUUAACAUUGAAGUCAAUCUUUUUUAAGUUAAUAGAGUGAAAAGAUAUAAUAAUAAAAGGCUAUGUAAUCUUUCACUUGCACAUAUUCUGUACUCUCUGGAGCACGACGGUAGGAAACAUGAUUACAGAUGUUAAAUUCGCCUUUUUUCACAAGUUUAUCAGCUUCGUUUGCGGCCUCUGCUGCUUGUUUACCAAGCUUGUAACGAGAAAUCAAAUUUGGGCACAACCCUUUGAAGCAGAAUAUCUUAGCUCUAUCUUUAUCAUCAAUGAUGGAUUUUGCAACCCCUUCACUGAAUUCAGCAACUCUAUUUAGCCAGUCUCUGACACCCUUAUAAAUCUCAUCUCCUUGUAGAGUAGCCUCUCUAACCAGUGUUUGCACCCUUUCUCUUAUAUAUUCCAGCUCCUUCACUCAAUCUUUUAGCCCAUUUAUGUAGCUCUGGUACUCGAACACAUAAGAUAUGUGCCGCAUAAUCAGUUCGAAUAAUGCUUUUGAACAUUGUGAUACAAUGCUGGAAAAAGCAGGGAGACACCCUUCUGCAGCCAUUGCUUGUUGCUUAACAAUAUAUAUAUAUAUAUAUAUAUACAAGUGUCAAAGAAAGGAAUACAAAUAAAUUAAUAUGAACUAGAGAGAAAGAUAGAGAAUGAAAAGACCGCCAACAAUAUCGCUAUAUUGAUCUUGAACCAACUAAUAAUUAAAUAGAGAAUUUCUUUUUCUUUCUUAAGGAUCAGAGGUUUUGCUAUUAGCAAAAAGGUACUUCAAGGGUCUGAAUAAAAAACCAACCAUAAAUUAUCAAAAGCUAGUAAGAACACAGACGUAAACAAUGAACAAUUACUUAAGCCAAACAGACCAUGAUACAAAGCAAAUCUAAUAAAAUGACAAAGAAAGAAAGAAAGAAAAUACAACAAACAGUAUUGAAGUGUUGAUCAUGAGCCAACUGAUAUUUAAACAGAUUUUUUUUUUAAUUUUUAGUCUUUUCUAAAAGGAUUAGAGUUCUUGCUAUUAAUAGAAAGGUUUCAAAGAUCUGACACUAUUAGAAAAGUAUUAAAUAAUGACAAAAAUUUUAUGACAUAUAUGGUUGUAUCUCGAAUGUGUCAUAAAAUUAUGAUAGAUUCAUAAUAUGUAUUCAUAUGCCCAGAAUAUAUGAUAUAUUCAUGACUUAUAACUUAACCGUAGUAAAUAAAUGAUACAUAUAAGUCAUGAUUAAGUUUUGUGACCUUAUAAGAUUGUAAAACAGUGUCGUUUAAAUUAACGACACCGUUCUGUAUAACUUAAAACACAUCAACACUUCAGCCAAAUUUUGGCGGGUAAAAACCCAUUUAGUCCCUAUAUUUUAAGAUUAGUAUACAUUUAGUCCCUAUAUUUUUAAAAAUGCCUCGAAACGUUCCUGCCGUUAAAGUAUUGAUACCCCUACUGUUACUUUUUAUUUCUUUUGGCUUACUUUUACAAUAUUAUAAAAGUGUAAUAUUGUAAAAGUAAGCCAAAAGAAAUAAAAAGUAACAGUAGGGGUAUCAAUACUUUAACGACAGGGACGUUUCGAGGUAUUUUUAAAAAUAUAGGGACUAAACAGACACUAAUAUUAAAAUAGAGGGACUAAAUGAAUUUUUACCCAAUUUUGACUAAGCGUUGAAUAAAUCCCUCUCUCUCCACUGGCGACUACAACCUAAAAUGAAUCAACUCUGAGCCUCUCUCUAUAACACUAUAUAGAACCCUAAACCUAAGAGCAUCUCCAAAAGGCUUUAUAAAUUUUACUCUUUAAAUAUUUAUUUGCUUACCUAUGUGGCUAAUAGAAGAGUGAAAAAAUAUAUUAUCUCUAAAAGACUUUUCAAAUAUAAAUGAGUUAAUAUUAUUUUAAUUAAAUAAUUAUUUUUUAAAAUGAAAAGUCAAUAAUAAUUAAAUCAUCUCUCUCUUUUUCCAACAAAAAUAAUAAAAUAUAAAUUAAAAAGAAAGAAAUCAACUCUCUAAAUUUAAAGAGAUAGAAUAAUUUUUUAUUUAAAAAAUUUUAAUUAAAAUAUUUUAUAAAACUUUAAAUGUUGACUUAACUUUUCAGACAGCUAAUAAAAUAAGAAAUAAAAUCUUAUUUGAAAAGUGUUUUCCUUAUAUUUUAAGUCUCACAUUCGCAACCGACGAAGCUGAAAAAGUUCCCCACAUAUCAAAACCACAGCGAACUGCCUCCGACCCUACGGACCCAAAAAAAUUUAUUGUAUUCCUGCUCUUUCACAUCAAUAAUUUUUUGUAUUAUUCCAUAACCCAAAAGCUUUCCUCUGUUUCAACUAAGCGAAAAUUUACAUAUUAAAGCCUAGCUCAAAUUCCUUUUUUCAAUCGAAAUAAAACGUAGCCCCAAAACCCUAAUUCACCACACCAAUUUAUCUCUGCCCGGUAUUCAUUUAAACCCUACCUCGCGGUUCAAUGUCAUUCAAUACGAUUGCAGAUGCCGUUUCAACUUGUCAUUUAGUUAUUGCCAUCCAGUUCUCUAUGGUAAGCCUUAACCCUAACAACUAAUCGACUGUGGUAGCACGUUGCUUGUUAGGAGUGGGGAUACAUUAUUUAACUAUAUGAAUUGGGUGAUGUUAGUGAUUCAUUCCCCUAUUUGUCAUGAAUUAAGAUUUGUGUAUAAUGCUAGUCAGAUUGCUAAAAAUUUCAUAUUUUGUAUUGUUCCAGUUGAAUUUCUUGCUUGUGGAAGAUAAAACAAAAGUUCAAUUUCAUGUUGAUUUAAUUCUUCUUUUUCUUCUUUUUUUUUUUCUUCUUUAUAGUCACGCUCUGGCUUUGGUGCUAUGCUUAGUGCAGUUUAUGGUUUCAAGAUUAAGUCACGUUUAUUUGAUGGCAUCGAUUCCAUCGUUGAGGAUUGGAUUGUUGAUCAAAUGCACAUAGUAAGCUCUUCUUAUUUUAUCUCAGUUUUAAUUUUCUUUUAUUAUCUGCCUCUACCUGAAAAUGGACGUGUUUUACUAGUAAGCAUAGACUUUGUUUAUUUAAUUGAUAUUUUAAUUUUAUGUAUAAGAAUAGAGGUUUAUUUUGGAAAAAAAAGCAAUAAAAAAACAGACUCUGUUGAAGCUAAUUAGUACUGAAUGUUUUUGGUGGUGCGACCAGAGGUGGAAACAGGGUAUGAAAAUGUGUUACUAGUGAGGUUGCUGCUUAAGAUGAGAAUGCAUUCUUUUCAAAAAUCCUUGGUAGGUGUGAUCUAAUUAUAUUUGAUGGAAUAUUAAAUGGCUAAAAAUCUGUCAUACGUUCAAACUUUGUUUGUGUUUGGAAGAAUGGUGUUGACUGUAUAUUCGUUUGGAAGAAUGGUGUUGAUUGUAUAUUCAUUUGCUUAGCCUUUUGACAGAUGGAUUUGAAACUGACGACAAAUGUGAUUCAAUUUACAAGGUUUUCGAGGGGCUCACAGUGGAAGGGAUAUUGAAGAACUGGUCUAAGAUAAAGCCUAUGAUUGUGAAAGAUUGGAGUGAGAAUAUAAAUGCUCGUUUAAAUCUCUUUGGCAAGGUCAGAGAUGAAUGGAUAGAUAAGGAUUUAUUUGACUACUUGGACUGGUGCUAAUAGGUAUUUUAGGCAAGCUUUUUGAGAUAACACUGAGCAAGUUAUACUACUAGUUUGCACAUGAUGAUCAAAACUCUCAAAAAGUAAAAUAAAAUAAAUUAUUAACUUUUACUUAUCUUUUGCAUAGCAAUCAAUGUGGUGCUUGUUCUGUGACAACUUUGAUAAUCUACUUAAUUAUUGGUUAGCAUUUGGACCAAAAAAGUUCUUAUGAUUUACAUGUUUUGUAGAAAUGCAUGAACCUUAAAUGUGCUGAUCAGGGAGUUUAAUUAUUGCACCUUGAAAUUCAUUUAUUGUUAACUAAUUGGCUUUCCUUUGCAUAAAGCCGCUUAUAAGGCUUGAGUGGACGUCUUUAUGGGCAUAUUAUUUGUAUUUCUAUAUGCAUGCCUUUAUCACUUAAUGUGCUGCUUUUAUUUCUUUAUGCAUGCCUUUAUCAUUUAAUGGCCAGCUCCCUCUCCUCUUUUGUAAUUUGAAUAGUAGUAUGGGCCUCCAUUUUACAAAUCUUUAACAUUUUUUGCUGUAAAUUAAUUUUUCUUUCAAAUAUUUUGGAGGUCAUUGGAAUUCCUGUAGGUCUAUUUACCAGAUUUUAGUAUGUUUAAGGUUUUAAUUUUGCUUAAACUUUAAUUUUUCUGAAAGAUUGUAGUAUUGAUCCUUAAAGAAAGAUCAUGCUACUUCAAAUUAUUUUGAAGUGUUGCCAGUUAUAGCCUUACAUAACAAAUUCCAUUUGUCUGGAAAUUUAUUGAUAGCUGUUACAGCAGCAUAUUUUAUGACUCUACUUCUUAGUUAUGUAAGUUCAUUAUGUUUAGGUCAGAGGCAGUCAGCUGUGGGGAAUCGAUAUAUACACAGAUGACUUUGAUCUUGUUGCUGGUAUGUGGUUCUAUGAAUAAUUGUGUUUGCCUCACUGUUUUUGUUUUAUGAGAUCUAUAAUUGAUCUUGGGAUAUUACUUUCUAGUCCUCAUGCAAGCAAGUUACUACCUUCCCACUGCAUCUCCUCCUUUAUCUGCUAUUCAAGAGUUGCGUGCCAUAAUCUGGUGUUACCUCUGCAAGAUUGUGAAUGAAUAUAAUGCCUCUAAAUUUAUUUUAUACAUAAUGCUGAUGCUGAAUAAUAUAUUGUAGCUCCUGUCAUAUUCUACUUUGACUUUUUAUAUUCUGUUUCAUAUAAAAAUCUUAUUCAACUUUAGUUGUUCAUGAGCAAAUGUCACAUGUAUAAGCCCAAAUGAUGUUUAAAGGUAGCGCGGCUACCUUUAGUUUGAGCUUACAAUGGAUGAAAAAGAAAUUGAAACUGAUAUUUUGCUGUUUUUCUGAUUUUUCAAAGUAUUUUAGAUCCUGAGUUUUGUUUGGACUUGAUGGUUAUAGAUUGUGUCUAGAUUUGUUAAGUUGUUUCCAACACCUCGUGCCAAAUGAAAGCACAAUCUUUCUGAUUCAGAUGUCUUGUUAAUUAUGCUUCAUUUUUUCGUUAAAGAUUGGAUGGUUGCAUGGAUUGAUGGAGUUGGAGUUCAACCAAUAAUUCUAAUUUUUUGGACUUAAAAUGCCUUUUUCUUCUGUAUAAAAACUUUAGUAAGUGCUAUUGAGUUGACGGAGGUUGAAUACUUACAGGUUGUUUCACACUUUUUAAUAGUUUUACAUAUAUGAAUUUCUGUUUUUUGAAUUGCAGAAAGGAGGUGGAACUAUUGAUUUGGAGCCUUAUCUUACUCACUCAUCGACAAUGGAGCCUAUCCUCGCUCCCAUGGCAGUGGAACGGACAACAACUACUAGGGCUGCAACAUCAGUUGGUUUGGGUCUGUUUUGAGUUUAUUUUCAUUUAUUUGGCUAUGUUUUGAUAGCGAAUUUUGAUAUGUCAAUAUAAUGUGUAAUUGUUUUGGGUUGAGCUGGUAAUUAUGCUGGAUUAGAUUGGUUUGGUUUUGGUGCUUCUCUGAUGGAACUCUGCUUUUUUUAGAAAUUUUGAAUGUAAUAUGAGACUACAUUUAGUUUAAUUUAACACUGCAUCUAGUCUAAUUACUAGAAGUGUGGCAUUUGGUUUGGUUUAUCCGAUAUUCUCCAGAAUUUCACUUGCAUCUGGUUUUGUUGCAUAUGUUUGCUUGCAUUUGAUGGCAGUAGCAGACUGUUUGGUUUUGUGACAUUUGAUGGCAGUUUGGUCUGUUCUUGGUGUUGAUUUAAGAUUGUUCCUGUUGUGCUGAUGUUAAUUGCAGGUGCUUGAAUCAGCUAGGGUUGCUGGUUUAUUCAGAUGGUUGACUCAGGCGUUGUUACUGGUUAAUUCAGGUGGCUGACUCAAGUUGUUCAUUUAAUGUUAGGAAGCAAACUAAGAAUUAAUGAAGUAUUCAUUUAACUAUAAUUAUUGUAGUUAUUUUAUUUCAUAACUGAAUUAUAAUCUAUGAUACUUGUGAACAAAUUAGAGAAUUUUUAUAUAUGAAUUAUAUAUGUGUGUGUAUGUACAUUUUGCUAUUUAUAUAAUAAUUUAAAGAAUAUAUUUCAAUUCCCACAAAAAAAAAUGGCUCCAAUUUCAAUAAUUCCCGCCAAAUAAUUAAAUUUUUUUAAUUUACUGCCAAAAUAUAUCUUAAAGAAAUGUUAGUUAUUCUUGCUAGAUUUAACAAAAAUAAUUUGUAGGAUUAACAUUUAAUUAAAAUAAUUAAAUAAUUUUAUUAUUCCAAUUAAAUAUGUCAUGUUUAUACGUCAUACAAUAGUCAUGAAUGGGAAGUAUUAGUUACAUAUUUUUCCUUGGGAUUUCAGGCAAAUGAAAAAAAGAUUGAGAAUGGUUUCAAGAGGACAGGUGGAUGAUAAGUAUUCAUUUUUGUAUAUUUGGUUAGGGGAUUUUUAUGGUAUUGAUCUUUUUUUUUUUUUAAAUUUUCAAUUAGUUGCAGCCUUAGAGGAAGAGCAGGCUGAUCAAAUUGAUUUGUCUUGUUUUUCGGGCAAUCUACGACACGAUGAUCGUGAUAAUGCUCGUGACUGCUGGAAACUUUGUGAUGGAAAUAACUUUAGAGUUCGUAGCAAGCAUUUUUGUUAUGACAAAACAAAGGUUCCCCCAUAUUUUGUUUGUUUGUUAUGGUAUUUAUAUAUCCUGCAUAGGCUAGGUAGACAGGUUAUGAUGUAGUUUGGUUGGCUCUUCUUGUGCUUUGUGCAAUUUGUAACUGCAGAUACCUGCGGGAAAACAUUUAAUGGACCUUGUUGCUGUUGAUUGGUUCAAAGACACAAAGAGAAUUGACCAUGUAGCUAGGCGUCAAGGCUGUGCUGCACAAGUAACUAUUCUUUUCUUUUUAUUUUUCCUUUUCCAUUGAUGCAUUAGGAGAAAAUAUUGCCUGUGAGAUACUUCAAUGUAAAUAACUUCUCAUGGUUCAUUGAAUCUAUAACACACUGACCCUCUUCUAAAAAACGUAGGUUGCUUCUGAAAAAGGGCUUUUCUCACUGAUCUUUAAUCUUCAAGUAAGUUUGUUUCAUUUCAGAAGGUAUUAAGUUUCAAACUUAUUGUAUUGGGAGGUUGUAUAGUUGUAACCUAAGCAUCUGCAGGUUCCUGGUUCGACACAUUAAAGUAUGGUAUUUUAUUUUGUCACAAGGCAAUUGGUUAUGGGAUCACUUUUGCAACGGUUUGUUGAUGGCGAUGAUGAGUUUCGCAAUAGUAGGUUGAAACUUAUUCCAUCUGUUCCUAAGGUAUCCAUCUUGGCCUUCAUGUAUUAGGACUAUAUUAACGUAUACUUACCCUUUUCUGCAUGGUACACUUCAAUUUGUCCAAAGAAGGCAUGCAUUUAGGUGUAAAUGUAUUGAUGGGUAGUACCUUCAAACUUCAUGUCCUUUUUACCCUCUUGAAUUUGUUUUGCACUUGUUCUUGAUUUUAAGCACUGAAUCAUGCAGGGGUCAUGGAUCGUGCGCCAGAGUGUUGGAAGCACCCCUUGUUCAUUAGGGAAAGCGGUUAAUUGUAACUAUAUUCGCGGUUCCAAGUACUUAGAAGUAAAUGCUCUUGGAAUUUCUAUAGUACAUGAGAUGUUCAUCUUUCAAAUAGCGUCCGAUACCAUUAACAUGGUUUAACAUUGUUCAUCUUUUUGUAGAUUGAUGUUGACAUUGGUUCUUCUACUGUUGCUAAUGGAGUUUUGGGCCUUGUAAUUGGUGUAAUUACGACAUUGGUGGUUGACAUGGCUUUCCUUGUACAGGUAUGUAUGAUUGUUUUUUUCCCCCACUUCUAAAUGGACACAAGGGAAAAGACAUGAUUUUGAGAUAUUGCACUGCAAUUUGCAUUUUUGCAUACUUGAAUGUUCUCAGAAUAGUAUAAUGCUUCGUGUGUGUCUUCUUUAUCUUGCUCUUCUGUAUGCAGGCAAAUACUACAGAUGAAUUACCGGAGCGGCUGAUUGGUGCUGUACAUGUUUCUCAUAUAGAACUCAAGUCUGCUGUUGUCCCAAAGUUGGAACCAGAGAUAUCAUGACUCUGGUUUCAUUUCACCUCAACUGUGUUUUUUUUUUUUUUAAAUUAAAAAAACAUUUGUUUUAGGUAUACAUACAUGUAUUUUGAUCCCAUUUUCAUGGGAAUUUUGCAUUAAAAAAUGAAGAAUAGUGAAUAGGAAAUUUCUUGAUUCUUUAGUUACUAUUUUUGGUAUGAGUGUAAAUAGUAGUAAAGUUGGUUUCUACUCGCAAACAAGUGAACUGCUCGAUUCCUGAGUGGUAUCAACCAGUUUCCAACUUUUUAAUAUACACUAAUUGUUAUUGUUUAAUAGCUACUACUAUUAAAACUCAACAGCUGACAAAAAUACUUAAAAAAAAUGAUUUUACUUCUUUCCACGAGAUCUAUAACAUGGUCUUGACUUCACGAAAUUCUUUUAAUUUAAAACGUGCUGGUGUGAGAAGGUCAGUUUGACGGAUUAAUUCUUUUUUAACAGUGGUCGAGAUAAUUUUACUAUACUCAAAAAUAUUCUUAUUCUGAUAGUGCCAUAAAUGUUAUGCUGUUUUCUUCGGCUAAUGGUCUUCUAUCAAGAGAGGGUAGAAAUCAAAUGCUUAAAAGACCAAUUGAAGGAAUAAUACAGAAAUUUAGGCAGAAUCUAAUCGAAUAUUGCAUGAAACAGGAAACAUCAAUUCAAGUCCUUUCUUAAACGGAGAAUGCAUCAAACAAAAUCCAAAGUGUCUUGCAAGUCUGUAGCAUGAGCAAAAAAUUAUUCAAGUACAGAAGAAUGAGCAAGCUAAAUCAUGUAUAAGAGAUUGGUCUGGUUCGGGAUAGCUUCUUCACUGUACCUAAAGGGUUGGCUCAAUCUCUUCUUUAGAAUUCUGCAGAUUUUGUAAUUACUCGUGUAAGCAAGCAUACAUUGCCACCAUAAGAAUAAUAAAGCUAGAGUAAUGAUAUGACCACCACCUCUCGUGCACAAACAAUAUUGUAUAAACUAAUGAGACAUAAUAUGAUUGGUUAAACAAAAACAUUACAUGGCCCUCAUAAUAAUAAUAAUAAUAAUAAUAAUAAUAAUAAUAAUAAUUAUUAUUAUUAUUAUUAUUAUUAUAUAUUUUCAGUCAACCAAUCAUAUUAUAUCACAUUAGUUUCUAUAAAAUAAUUAGCUAAAUAGCACCAAAACUUAAUUGAUACUCACCAUUUCAUUGAACAAUUUUUUUAUGGUGUCAUUGAGGUUGCCUUCCCAACAUCCUUCAUCAUCAUCAUCUUCUUCUUCGGUGACGUUCACUUUGUUUAGCAUUGGUGUGUCUAAGAGUCCUUGAGAGAAGAUCUUCAUUUUUGGACACUGUCUCACAACUACUUGUUUCAAGGACGGGAAUUCAAGAGCGUAAUUACCUAAACAAAAGCUUGUUAGGCUUGGCAAACAAUCAAGUCCCAAGUACUCCAAUUCCUUGAAAACAUUGCAAUCUUUCGCUUCUUCUCCAACCUGCAAUUGUAUGAUUUGUUCUAUCAUUUUGCAAUCAGCUAUCAUCAUUCUUCCGAGAUUCACUAGAUUUUUAGAUGCUGAGAGCGUCAACACAUUUAUCAACUCGUGACACUUCGAUACUUUCAAAGCCUCAAGAUUUUCCAAAUGCCACGAAGGUGGUACUAAUUUUUGCAACUUACUACAUUCCGAUAUUUCCAGCCUUUCCAAGUUUGCAAACGCUUUGUUGGAUUCGUCAUUUUCCUUCCAGAGAUGCUGCACUUUGUGUAAUCCAGACAGUCUUAAAUUCCCCAAUUGAGGGAAAGCAACCUGAAAAUCAACAAAAUUAAGUUGUAAAUGAAAAUAUGUAUCCAAUCUCUGCAGUCUUCCCCUGCAUAUUUUAUGGACAAGAUUAAUCACGGCAUUUUAUAUUUUAUUUCCAAAUUAGUAUGCUUUGCACUAGGAUCCCAAAUAUAAGUAUCAAAUCGAUUACCCUUUGAAACACAUAAAUGAAAACUGAUACUAAAUCCAAUAUGAAUUGAUAAUCAAUACUAUAAAGUUACCAGUUCAUCACCUCAUGUUACCAGUCAUCAAAAUAAUUUAGGACUUUUUUAAUUUAUACUAUAAAGUUAGUUAAUAACUGCGGUUAUAUUGUUAAAUCAUAUAUAAAUUAAGACGACGUGCAAAAAGAUGUCAUUAAAUUUGAUUUGAUUAUAAUGAAAUUACAUAUGUGCGAACGAAAGUGAAGGGAAAAUAAUAAUAAUGAUUACCUUUUCAUCGAAGAGAUGUUGUAUUUGAUUAGCUACCAAGAGGUUCUCUUCUGAUUUUAAUUUUUGAGGUUCCUUAUUAUCUGCUGUCAUGUGCAGUACAAAUGUAGAAUUGGAUGUGAAUGUUUCCAUAUCAGGGCAAUUCUCAAUAAUUAGAUAUUCCAACUUAGGCAGUUCAAUUAUAUUCCCAGUGAAGUUGCAGAAUCUUUUGAGUUUUGGAAGAUCAAUGAGCUUUAGGCUUAAAAGCCUAGGAAACAGGGGGCCUAUAUGUUCUUCCUUAGCACUUAGCUCUUCCAAAUGAAGCACCUCUUCUAGUGAAUCACAAUUCCUCACUGCCAGCCAUUCCAAAUUGUUCAAGCACCGUAGCAGAUUGGCAGGAAUAGCACUCGACAUAUUCGUGCUGUCAUCCACCACCAGCUCCGCUAAAUUGUUGAAGAAUCUGACAGGCAGUGCUUGGCCAUGCCAUAUUUCUUGCAAGCGUGGAAAAUGCGAGAGUUGCAAACGGUUUAUAUCAAGGAAUCCAAUCUGCACAAACCAAAACAAUUGCACCAGAAAUAUACAAUUUUUUUUUUUGAAAGGCAUUAUAUAUAUACACAUUAAACUUACAUUUUUUGUGUUUUAACUUCUAAAAAUAUAUAUACAAGGGAGGUGUAUAUGCUUAAAUGUGCAAGUGAAGGGAGAUGCAUGAUGAACAAUUUGGGUGAAUUGAUUAACACAUACCUUUUCGUCAUAACACUUUUGUAUAGUGGAAUUAAGGUUAUUGCCUUCCCAAUGGUGUAGUUCACCCUCUUCCUUUUCAGUCACUUGCACUUUGCAUGGCUUUGGAAUGGAUAAUAUUCCCUGAGAAAAAGUCUUCAUGUUCGGACAACGUAUCAUAGAAACUCGUUCCAAUGAUGGGAAUUCAAGAGUGUAAUUCUCCAAACAAAAGCCGGUAAGUGUUGGUAAAUAAUCAAGUAUCAAAACUUUUAAUUUGCUAAAAGCAAUACGAUUCUCCUUCACUUCUUCUCCAACAUGUCUUAUGAUUUCUUCUAUCUUAUCACACCACGAUACAUUAAGAUUCACCAGACUACUAGGAAUUCCAACCUGAAAAUAAGCAGAGAGUGUGUGUGUGUGUACGUUAAAAAAGUAAAAAUGUAAGAAUAUCAUUCAACAAGGUUCAAAGUAUGUUUAAAUCAUACAAUUAUACAUUUUAUAAACAUAACAAACCAUGAAAUGUCUACUAGAUAAUUUUUUGUUAAACAAAAAAGGCAACAAGAUAAAUAAAUAAAUAAAAGCCAAAUAAACAAAAGAUAAUAAAAAUGAAUUUACACUAUUUAGUAUUAGGAACAUAGAAAGAAUUUAAUGCAAUUUCUAAAUAUUUUAGACUUAUUUUGCAUCUUGACGCCAGUUUUUAAACAAAAUUUGCAAAUUUCAACUAUUCCUUUUGGGAAAAAAAAAAUCAACCAAAAUGCCGCUUUUUCCCUUUUUCCUUGGUCCCUUUUUUUUUAUGUAUAUUUAAUUUUGGAAACAAAAUUAAAGUGGAUCUUUAUUAAGUACUUCUAGACUCGAGGAAAUUUCUUUACAAUCAAGGAUCAGUUGUAAAUAAUCAUGAAUUUGUGGUUAAUUAAUGGCAUAAUCAGUUCGUAACUAAACAAGAGAUAUUAAUUAAAUUUGAAGACUUUUCUUUUCUUUUUUUCUUUUUCCAAUCGAAAUGUGAAGAAUUAAGGACAAGAGAAAUAUAUAGAUGAAUUUGUGAACCUAUAAGAUGAGUGACUAUCCUUUAAUUUUUGAAAAUUGUACUUAUUAAGAUAUGAGCAUAAACAAUUAAAUUGAAUUAUAUUAUGCUGUUGAAUCGUGAUUAAAAAAAUUACAUUGUUGAUUCUAAUGCUGGCGAACCUAAGAACUGGACUUAAAAUGUAGAUUUGAGAGUGGUGGUUCGAAGUACAAUACUUGAAAUAAAUAAUCAGUGGCUGAAUAUCAUUUGUAAACCCAAAAAUGGUUAAAAUAUUGUUGGAUGUAAUUUGAAAAAAAAAAAAAAAGAUUCGAAAUGAAUACAGCAACCUUACCAAUGGAGGAAAAAUAUUCAUUAGGUUAUCACACCCAAUUAUCUCCAAAUUCUUCAAUUUGCUGAAAGACUCCGAAGCAAGUUGGUGGUGCCAUAUUCUUCUCAAAUUAUCGAUCGACCUAAUAUGUAAUACCUCCAACCUAGGAAGUCGUACCUGGCAGUUAAAGAUUAAAUAACUAAUUAAUCAAUUAAUGGCAUAAUCAAUUGAUAACUAAAUUAGAGGCGGAUAUUAACUAAAUUUGAAGACUUAAGGAAGAGACAAAUAAAAUAUUGUGACUAAAAUAAAUUUAAAAAAAAAAAAAACCUUUUCGUCAAAGAGAGGAGGUUGCAUUUCAAAAUGAAUGGUGUCUUCUGGUGAGCUCGUGGAGAUGAAUCUUAACAUAUUACUGCAACUCUGAAUCUCGAGCUUUAGCAAAGAAGGGAAUUCAACAACUAAAUCUGAAUGAAUAUGUCCCGUAUUGGCAAAGCUUGUUAGCUCUGGAAGCCAAUAGAGCCGCAGGAAGUGUAGUUUAGGAAAAACCUUUAAUUCAAUCAACUUUCCUUCAUCUCUUCCUAACCACCCCGUCGUGUCGACUACCCCUUCCAUUGACUUACAAUCCCAUAUUUGAAGACGUUGGAGUUGCAAAAGACUAUUAACCAUAGAAUACGAAAACAGAUACUUCAUACGAUCACAACCGAACACGUGCAGCUUUGUUAAAUUUUGACAACAGUACAUUCCUUGAUUAUGAUCGGCCCAUAAUUUUUUUAUGUUUCUUAAUCUCGUGAGAUUCAAUUUUUCUAAGCUCGGAAGAAUAACCUGCAAAGAAAACCCGUACAUUUUUGUUCCUUCAAGUACAACCGUCUAGUAUAAUAUUCUUUUCAUGAUCGAAGAUUAAUCGUGAUAAUAAAUUAAUCAAUUAAUUAUUGAACGGAAAAUUAUCACCUUUGGAGCAGGAUCAUCAUCAGCAAUGAUUUCGUUGAAUCCCAAAGAAGUUGUUGGUUUCUCCCUGUCGGGUCCUAUAAACAAACAAAAACAAUACACAUAAUUAAUCUUUGUCGGUUUUUUUUUUUCAAAAUAAUUGAGGCGAAGUCCAUAAAUCCACCAACACUUAAUUUCAACACUUACCAAAAAUCAUUUCCAGAUCAUCGCAAAGACUUAUUAAUACUUUUUGAAGCCGCAGUAGGUUUUUUGCCAUGGAGAAUGAGAAAAGAUGCUUCAAUUUGUGACAGGAUUGUACUCCUAUAAUCCUUAAGUUGCUGAAAGAUUGAUCUUCUGUGAGUUGGCUGUCACAUAUUGUCUCCAAAUUGUUCAAAUAGCUAAGAAACAAUGACUCCAGCAAGGGAAAGACUGUACAAUGAACCCGUCCAACUGAACCGACAAUAUGCAAAAUCUCAGAACAACUUUCUACACGAAGAUGCUUCAAUCGUGGAAAACCUUCCCCAUCAUCUAAUUCAUGAACAACAUUCUGAACACCCUUAAGUUCGUAUAGAUUGAUAUCUUCAGUUUCCUUCAGUAACAUUUUCAUCCCAUAAUUCUCCAAAAGACUGCUAACAUUUUCUAGCCCAUGGAGCUUCAUCAAUCUUGAUGUUUCAGAAUUAACGGGCCAGAUGUCCCACACUUCUCCUAUGCAUAUCCUGUAUCUUGACAAUUCCACAAAGACCAAAUCCUGCAGCAGAAUUUGGGCAUCCCGAACUUGUAUCUCCAAAGUAGUUAGCUUUGACAACCCCUUCAACUCAGCAAGACUGGCGUUACUUCCUCCUUCAACCUUAUCCCACUGCGAAAAGCUGUCACCCAUAUAUAGUUCUUCCAAUCGAGAAAAUUUUGAUAUGACAUUUGGUGCUAUCACCAUAAGGCUGCUACAAUUGCUCAAAUCUAGCAACAAUAACCUCGUCAAUUGUCCAAUUUCAAGGGGUAACUGCUUAAUGUCGGAAUCUCGAAGGCUGAGAAUCUCUAAUUUCUUUAGCUGUCCAACUAUUGCUAUAUCUUCUAGUCCGCAACUAUCUAAACACAAUGUUUGAAGGUUAAUGAGGCGACCAAGUGAUGAAGGUAAUGAAGAGAAAGGAAUUCUAGUAAGACUUAAAACUUUGAGUUCUUCUGUCCCUUCAAAAAAGAGGUCAGAAAUUUGCAUAGAGACGGGCGCCAUGCCCCUUGCUAUUAACAAAAAUAACUUGAGUUGGGGACAUUCCAACCUUUCGGGAAGCUCUUGAAUAUCUUCGUAAGGUAAAGAANNNNNNNNNNNNNNNNNNNNNNNNNNNNNNNNNNNNNNNNNNNNNNNNNNNNNNNNNNNNNNNNNNNNNNNNNNNNNNNNNNNNNNNNNNNNNNNNNNNNGCAUUGAUACAGCAACAUCAUGAAUGAUGUCAUGCAUUUUAACUUCAUCUUCAGUAUCGCCAUCUAACAAUAAGCAUGAAGCUUUGAGAUUGUCGAUCAAUGCAUCCACUCUAUUCCUUGCAUCUUCCAAUGUGUGAACAUUUUUAAACAAACCCAAACCCAUACCAUAUCUCAACAGGGAAACAACUUCUACAGGAUUACCUUCACCAAACAGAGUACAAAGAAGGAACAAAGAUUUUGCUUCAUCACUUUCCAAGAAAUCGUAACUCAAUUUUAUGGAAGAAUACACAUAUGCAUCCAUACCACGAAUUUCUCUUAGAUUGGAACUUCUUAGCUGAUUCAAUGCAUCCUUCCAAAUGUUAAGACUCUUAUUUUUCAGAGCACUUGCAACUGUUCUCAGUGCAACAGGCAAUCCCCCGCAUUUUUCAACGAUCUCAUCUGCAGUGGGUUGAAAAUCAUAUGUUUUUUUUGAAUCACCCACAAUCUUCUCAAAUAACUGCAAUGCUUCAUCUUUGGAUAAAGCAUCGAUCCAGAAAUUUUUCUGAGAAUUCAUAUCAUUGCACAAUAAAUCUCGACUUCGAGACGUCAAUAUUAUUGUGCGUCUACUCCGAUCGUCCUCUCUAUCAUAAGGAAUUCCAACUUUAUCGAACUCAAGUUUUGUCCAAAUAUUAUCCAGUAUAAUGAGGAGCAGCUUCUCUUGCUUCAACCUUUGACACAGUCGAGAAGCUCUUUGAAAUUCAUUCUCAUUCAAGUCAAAUUCCAUGCCUAAAUCAAAAGCAAGUUUGUCUUGAAUUUUAUGAUGAUCUGGUGUCUGUGUUACCUCAGCCAUAACGACCUUAUCGAACAACUUAUCUUCCAUCACUUGCUUUCUAACUUGCUUGACUAGCGUGGUUUUACCCACGCCGCCCAUCCCGUAGACCCCAAUUAUUUUGAAACUAUCAUCCUUCAACGCAUCCAAAACAUCUUGAAAUACUUUCGUUCUUGAAUCGAACUCCUCGUAAUCUUUCACUGGCAUAUAUUCUGUACUCUUUGGAGCAGGACGGUAGGAAACACUAGAGAAGUUGCCUUUUCCCACGAGACUAGCGGCAGCUUCUGCGGCCUUUGCUGCUUGUUUACUAAGCUGGUAACGAGAAAUCAAGUUGGGGAACAACCCUUUGAAGCAGGACUUCUUAGCUCUAUCUUCAUCAUCAAUGAUGGAUUUUGCAACCCCUUCACUGAUGAAUUCAUCAACUUUAUUUAGCCAGUCUAUGACACCCUCAUAAAUCUCAUCCCCUUGUAGUCUAGCAUGAUUAACAGGUUGUUGCACCGUUUCUCUUCUAUAUCCCAGCUGCUUCACUUGAUCUUUCAGGCCAUCUAUGUAGUUCUGGUGCUUGAACACAUAAGAUAUCUGCCGUAUAAUCGGUUUGAACAGUGACUUUGAACCUUCUGAUACAAUGCUGGAAAAAGCAGCCAGACCCACUUCUGCCAUUGCCUGCUGCUUAACAAAUCUAAUAAUAUGUCAAAGAAAGGGGAAAGGAAUAGAAAUAAAUUAAAAUAAACUAGAGAGUGACAAAAAAGGAAAAGACAGCAAACAGAAUCGCAAAAUUGAUCUUGAAUCAACUGAAACAUGAACAGAGCAUUUUUUCUUCUUUCUUAAGGAUCAGAGUUUUUGCUAUUAACAGAAACGUGCUUCAAGUGUCCCAAAAAAAAAAUGAUAAAUGAACAAGCCAUAGAAAUUUUAUCUUGGAAAGUGGAUGGAAAUUAAGAAAGAAAUGGUAUAGAGAUCAAGCAUCAGAGAUUAUAUUAUUAAAAGAAAUUAAUUGAAGGUUGUGGAAAACCUGUUUAAUUAUGGAAAGUUGAUGAGCUUCUGUAAUCGCCUUGAGUAUUUAAGUGCAAUUUUGAUGAGCAAAAAGUUACUGUUACCUGCAGAGGAAUGUAAUUAUAGAGAGCUUAUGAGAGUAAUGACAAUGAUUUGCAAAAGAAGAAGACUCAAUCAUGGAGCCCUUAAUAUUUCUUUUAUGAAUAAACUGCCAGCAGGAAAAAUAAAAAAAAGUGGUAAAUUUACCAAGUCUUAUUUUAUUUUUAAUUUCUUUUAUUUUCAUUCGCCGAAGAGGGAAUCUCUUUUUUUUUCGUAAGGGAAAUAUCCUUUCCUAAUAUGUCAUGAUUAAAGCAAUCUAUAAAUAAUACAAUAAUCAUAUAAUGUAAUAAUUAAAAAGACCCACAUAUUUAUAAUAUUAAUGAUGGGAUCCAUACGUUCCUACUGAUUAAAUUGGUGGACCAGAAUUUAUUUGACCUUACUUGUUUUAUAUUUAAUUAAAAAUUGAAACGACAGAGAAAAAUUGUCGUAAUGAUGGUUUCGAUUGUGGAGUUCAGCUGUGGAUAGCACUUGCAAUACUGAAAAAGAAGCUUUCGUCAACUUUCUCACAUGGACGCGCACCAUCACGCAUAAUUGCAUAUUGCAUUAUUUCUCUAGAAAAGCAAAAGCAAGAUUUAUUCUUUUAAUAAGCAAACGCGUAGGUGGGAAUCCAUUCAUUAAACAAGUGGAACAGCAAUAUAUUAAACCAAUGAUAAGCAUUCUUAAGUGGGAAACCAAUUAUGACGGAUAGUUCAAAAUCUGAAUCCGCCUGAUGGACGGGUUUGACCGCAGAGCUCAAGAUAAUCUGAACCAUUCUCCUUUCGUAACUUAUAGAUAAUUUGAAAACAGGGGAAUGAAAACAGAGGAGCCCUGUUUUUCCUUCCUUUUUUUUUUUUUUUUUUCUUACCCAACUCUUCUUCUUUUGUAUAUUUUCCUUGGAAUUUUAGGUAAACCAAAAAACUUUGAGAAUGAUUUCAAGAGAAUAGGUGGGUAAUAACUAAAAUAUUUAUCUAUAUAUUUAUAUAAAGUUGGGACUACAAGAGAUGAUGUGGCAUCACCAUUUCUAAUUUUUGUAUAUUCUCUAUUAUCUAACAAAUAGAGAAAUUUUCUUUCAGAUUUUAUUUUUCAUCUUUUCAUAAUUAAUUUGACUGUUAUUAUACAAUCAAUAUGUAACAGUUCAUCAAAAGACCCACUAUCUUCUUUAAUUGAAACCUUCUUGAUCAGGACUACAAGAAGUAAUGUGGCACUACCAUUUCUCAUCUUUGUAUAUUCUCUAUUAUCUAACAAAUAGAGAAAAUUUCUUUUAGAUUUGGCUUUUUAUCUUCUCACAAUUAAUUUGACUGUUAUCAUACAAUUAAUAUGUAACAGUUCAUAAAAAAACUCACUAUCUUCUCUAAUUGAAGCCUUCUUGAUCAUAAAUUAAGCAAUAAUUUAUAAAUAUUUUUAAUCACUCUUCUCCUCUGACUCACCUAAAUUUAUAAAUAACAACAAAAAAUAUGAUAUCUCAUGUAAAUAUAAAAGAAUAGAAAAUAGCAAUAGCUCUAAAACAUUUUUUUUUUCAUUUUGGCCCUCACUUGCCUGAUCAUGGCAAAUAUUACAAAUGCAACCAGUAGGAAUGAUUGCCUCAACAACAAUAUGAAACCAGGCUACAAUCUUGCAACAAGACUUGAAGUUAGUGGAGGCCAAAUGGAGUGUUGGAACGUGUUAAUGGAGCUGAAAUCAUGCUCAAAUGAGAUUGUUAUAUUCUUCAUUAAUAGUCAGGCUGAUAUUGGCCCUGACUGUUGUCGCACUGGCCUGCAAUGCUCACCUCUCUCGGAUUCACGGCUGAAGAAGGGAACAUACUGAGAGACUACUGUGAUGCAUCUUCUGCUCCUUCUCCAGGUGGCCUCGCGGUGAUAUAUCAGCUUCAGGUUUCCAAGGUUUUUUGGCUUAGACAGGGUGCAUCUAUGGUACUUCAUAAUUAAAAAAAGUCUUUUUGGUUUUAUCUUUUCUUUAUUUUUUUAUUUUUUUUUUGGAAGUCUUGCCUCUUAAUCGAAUAGAAUAAAUUGUUAAAAUUAGAAUAAGAAAAAAAGGAUAAUAUUAUUUUUUUUCAAAGCCGCGCAAAGGGCGGUUCUAUUUCCUAGUUUUUAUAUAUUUGAUAAGCACGCUCACUAUUAAUAAAACCCAUUAAAUGCUAUAACUUAAAUAACUUCUUGUAGUUGAUUGAGAGUAUGUUUGGAAUUUCUUUUACUUCCCAAUAAUUAAUUUUUACCUUGAUUAUCAGAAAAUUAAUUUUAUGAAUAAUUUAGCCGGGUGUUUGGUAAAUGAUGAUUAUUUGACAAUCAGUUUUUAAAUAAUCUAUUAUAUAAAUAUAGUAAGUGAAAAUUAGAAGUAUAAUGUUCAUGUAGAAAUGACAAAAAUGUACUCAUUUACUUAUUUGUAAUUUAUUUAGAAUAUUAUUAUUUAAAUAAUUUUUCUUAUUCAUUGGAUUUUUUAAGAGCAUAUUCUAUUUUCUUGAUUACACAUUUAAAUAACUUUUUAUUAACUAUUUUAAUCUGCAAUAAAAAUUAACUAUAUUAUAUUUAACUAAAAAAUUUGUUAUGUAGUCCGUAAUAUACACAAAUACUUGAAUUUAUUAAUAAACUUAACUGCAAAAAAGAAAAUGCAUUACAUAUAUCUAAUUUCUUAUUUUCAACGAUUGAAAGAUGUUAUUUAGGAAACUUGUACGAGAUAAUUUAAUUUUGGACUAUUGACAUUAUAUUUACUUAGAAGUGGAAAUAGUGGGUGGAUAAAUUUAAUUUUUCAUUAAUUGCUCAAGAAGCAAGAGGAUUAGUGAUGGAUGGAGAGUUAGUGUAGAAUUGUGAGGCCAUUUGAUUACUGCAAGCAUUAUAAAUUUCUUGUUGCUGAGAUUAAUCUAAUUGAAUUAAUGACUCCAUGAUAGACUUAACAAAGGAUUCUUGUGGCAAGAUUUCUAUUUAUGAGGCCAUUUGAUUACUGUAAGCAUUAUAAAUUUCUUGUGGCAAGAUUUCUAUUUAUGACUCCAUGAUAGACUUAAGUUUUAGUGAGACAAUUGCUGCCUGUUGCAGACAUGAUACCUCUAGUACUUCAGAAGAUAGCAUAUCACGAAACACAUCCAGACUAUACUGAGGUUACAUCGAAAAUUCCUUGGCCCAUCGUGCGAGUGUGUGACAUCCCGCAACAAAAAUUAGGGUAUGUACUAUAUAUAUAAUGUGUUUUGAACAUAAUAAUAAGAAUGCUGAUUUUUAACAAUUAAUUUAUUUUACUUUUUUUAGUGGUGAUUGUGGAGAAUUUUUGUUGCGGUACUUGGAGGUCCUAACCCAUGGACUUGAUGUCAAUUCAUAUUGCAAACAAGAUCAUGUUAUACAAUUUCGAAAAGCCUUGGUUGUCAAAUUAUUUGGGCAUAGGUCAUGGAAAAAAACUUUGUAGUGUACUACCCUUAAAAACUUUGUUGGUGUGUCAUUUUUGGACCAUGAGAUGUGAUAGUUAUAAUGAGGAUGUUGUUGAUAUUUGAUGUCAUUAAAGAUAACUUGACAUCAUUAAUAUGUUUUAUUUCUUUGUUAACUAUAUUAAUGAUAGUGAAGAUAGUUUGUACAAUCUAUGUAAUGUAACAGGAUUGCCAUAUAUGCUCAGGGAAUACUCUGUAAGAAAAUACACGACUGCUGUUAGCUAUUUGCACGGAUACAUGACUGCAGUCGAGUAUUUACAAAUAUACAUGACUAGCUCUCUGUAAGAAAAUACUCGACUGCAAUUGGGUAUUUACACAGAUACACGACUGCAGUCAAGUAUUUAUAAUUGUACAUAACCAGCUCUCUAUAAGAAAAUACUCGACUGCAUUCGGGUAUUUACACAGAUACACGACUGCAAUCGAGUAUUUAUAAUUAUAUUUGACCAGCUCUCUGUAAGAAAAUACUCGACUGUAGUCGGGUAUUUGCACAGAUACACGACUACAGCCGAGUAUUUACAAUUAAAUAUGACUAGCUCUCUAUAAGAAAAUACACGACUGCAGUCGGGUAUUUGCACAGAUACACGACUGCAGUCGAGUAUUUGUAAAUAAACAUGACCAGUUCUGUAACAGCCAAAAUACACGAUUGUACUCGGGUAUGUGGACACGGAAUAAAAAAUCAACUAAAACAUUCAUUAUAUUGAUGACACAAUCAAUAUAAACUUUAACAUAUUAAAUUUCAAAUAAAUGAAACUAACUGUAGUCUGGUUGCCUAUCAAACAACAUAAAUCCAAUACUUAUUCGAAUCGUAAAUAAGUCAUAAUACAAUAAAAGUUGUUUAACAAUCAUCAUAAUUUUUUUGCAUUUUCAACCCAAACACUCGGUCCAUAUUUUAUAAGCCUCUAGUAAUUUGGUUGCCUAUUAAAUAACCCGAGAUACUAUUUCUAUCAAUUGUGCAUACGUUGUAGAAUAGGGCACUAUGAUCCCUCUUGCCUUUGUACCAUUAAAUCUAUAAUGGCCGUUUUGCUCAAUCCAUUCACCACAAAACAUAAUUGGCACACGUACUGAAGUCAUUUCCUGUAAUAAUACAACGGUUGAUUAUACAACAAAUACAAAAAUAAAAAUCAAGCAAUGUAUAUAACGAAGUGUGGAUCUGUCUGCCUAUUUACAUGACUCACGUCGUGUAAUUGGUAGUUUACACGACAAUAGUUAUGUAACUUGCUAAAAUACACAACUAUAGUUCUAUAAACAGUCAGAUGAUAUAUUUAGUAAAAAAAGCUGUAAUCUUUGUACUAAUCGAAUGGUAGGUGUCAUAACAGCUACUAUAUCUUCCAAACUUGCACGAUUGUUGUCGUGUAAAUUCAUACAUACAUGACAAAAGUCGUGUAAGUUGCAAAAAUAUAUGACUCAAUAAAUAAUCAGAGGACAUAUUUCUUCUUAAAAAAAUAUUGGGAUCUGAUAACAAUUGGAACAUUUUACAUAUAUACACAAUUAUAGUAUGUAAGUUCAUACGUACACGAUAGUAGUCGUGUAACUUAUUAACACACACGACUAUAGUCCAGUAAUAGUAAAAGGAUAUAUAUAGUGAAAAAAAAAAUAUUUUUUGCACCAAUAGAAUGAUAAAGUGUCAUGAUAAUUGGAAUCUUUUGCACAUUUGCACGACUACAGUUAUGUAAAUCCAUACAUACAAGACUGAUGUCGUGUAUGUCGGGUGCAGAAAAAAAUUUUGGCAACAACUUCAGGUUUUAACGAAUGUAGUUAUAAAAUCCAUCAAAUAACAGUCAUAUGAUGCAAAUGUAAUGAAAUAUGAGUUGCUUUAGUGUUUAUCACAAACCAAACAAAACCCUAAAAAUAAUAUAAUGUCAAUUAAAUGAAUAAAUAACACAAAAUAAAAAAAAAUUUCAAAUACCUUAUUCAUGGGAUGAAUAAUGCACCCAGCUGCAAAUUAAAAUCUCAAUGCAUUAGCUGUUUGUGAGUGAUUUUGAGUAUGGAGUGAGUUUUCGUUGUGUGGAGUUAAAAAAAGUGAGAAGUAAAGAGUGUUAGAGACGAGUUGUGUGUGUUUUAUAUAUUUUUUUAAGGAUAUUUUAAACAAUGUAUCACAUAAAAAGGUAUAUCUAGAUAAUUUUCAAGCAUGUGAUAUAUUUAACUAAAUACCCUACUUUUAAGGUAUCUUUAAUUAAAAACCCUCUUAUAGUUGAUUGAGGGUAUGUUUGGAAUUUCUUUUACUUCCCAAUUAUUAAUUUUUACCUUGAUUAUCAGAAAAUUAAUUUUAUGAAUAAUUUAGCCGGGUGUUUGGUAAAUGAUGAUUAUUUGACAAUCAGUUUUUAAAUAAUCUACUAUAUAAAUCUGGUAAGUGAAAAUUAAAAGUAUAAUGUUCAUGUGCAAAUGACAAAAAUGUACUCAUUUACUUAUUUGUAAUUUAUUUAGAAUAUUAUUAUUAAAUAAUUUUUCUUAUUCAUUGGAUUUUUGAAGAGCAUAUUCUAUUUUCUUGAUUACAUAUUUAAAUAAUUUUUUAUUAACUAUUUUAAUUUGCAAUAAAAAUUAACUAUAAUAUAUUUAACUAAAAAAUUUGUUAUGUAGUCCGUAAUAUACACAAAUACUUGAAUUGAUUAAUAAGCUUAACUGCAAAAAAGAAAAUGCAAAAAUUUAAUCUCUAUAUAAACUUUUAUGUACACAAAACUAUUGUAAUAAAGUAAUUCAUAGAAAUAUAAUAUUAUAUACAUGUGUAAAGAAAUAUAUAACUAUAAUAUUAUCCACUUGUAGCACUAUUAUUUUUCAAUCUCUCCAUCUCUUGAUCUUCAAGAACGUUAGUACCAUGAUCUGCUUCUUGAGUUCGACCUCCAUUUCCACAGCAUCAACAAGGCAAUCAAUUUGCCGUGAAAGCCUUACAGCUCCUCCCACUUUCCUCCUUUUUGUAGCCACUCUUUUUCCCUUUCUUUAUUUAGUAGCUUCUAUGGAAAUGUUGUGAAAAUUUUAAUAUACUCGCAAGCGCACGAAUCUAGAAAUAGAAUAGUAGUAACGAGGUCGAUCCCACAGGGAUUGUUAUAAAUUAAAAAGUCUAAUUUAAAUCUAAAAUUAAUAUUAAUUCUAACCUAGUUGAGCAAAUUGAGUUUUUAAGAAAAUUAAACCAAUAAAACUAAGGAAGCAAUUAAAAUAAAGGAGAAUUCAAUAAGAUAAGAAUUACCAAGGUUUUAGAAUCCACCACUAUUCAACUAGUAAUUAUCUAAUUAUUAAUUAAUCCCCAAUUUUGGAGUGACAACUCGAAAUCAAUCUAUGUCAUCUCAUGGAUAUAACAAUUAAGCCCAAGUAAUUAAAUCUAAUGUAAGUUCUUUUUCUGCUUAAUAAUAUGACAUCUAAGAAUCUCAUGUAAACAUAUUGAAUAACAAAGAGUCAAAGUUUUCCUAAGCACUCUAUGUAAACAAUUUAAUGAAAGACAUAGAAUCAAAGAUAAUCAUGUAUAAACUUUAUAAAUUCAAGCAUAGAUUUAAUUGAAUAUUAAUCCUAACAAUCAAUAAUGCAUGACAGAAUUGAUGAAAAGAUUUUAUUAAUAUCUAAUUAAUCAUGUGAAAUAAAAACCAUAAUCAUCAAAGAACAUAUAUAGGGAAUUAAUUAAAUAAAAAGAUAAUUAUUUCAUUGAAUAGGGUUUCAUCCUUAACCUCAGUAUAAGAAAAUUAGUUAGACAUACUUGAAUUGAGAGCAACAAAAUAAAUAAAUUCAGCCAUGGGGAAGCCGAAUUGCUGCAGAUUUUCUUCUCUGUCUUGAAUCCUUGCGUCUCCAGUUCUCCCUUCUGACGGCUCUCUUGCCUUUAUAUAAUGUUACUAACUUGCUUAAUCCUUAUUGGAUUCUAAUUGCAUUAAUUCUUCUCCACCGACUUAUAAAGCCCACUCACCAAGGCCUUUUAAAAUUAUUUCCUUACUAAACUUUGAAAGCAAAGCACACGUUUGACCACAAAAGCAAAAGGCCAAUUAAUGAUUUCUUCUUUUAAUGCCCAGCACAUGCAUUCCAAAUUGCCAAAUCUUUGCUUUCCAAAUGCAUGCCCACCGUUCAUCCUUUGAAGAGAUUGACUUCCAAUUUUGGUCUUCUUGACUUCCAUUAAUUCUUGGUUGCAUUUUUGUCUUCCAAUUUAAUCUUUAUUCCUUCUCAAUUUGAAGUGUUUUCAUGCCCUUUUUAUCAACAAUCUCCAAUUAAUUCCCUAUUCAAUAAAACAAUUCAAUUAAUUAAAAAUAACAAAUAAAUAUAACUAGCAAUUAUAUUAUUAAGGGUAAAAUAUGUAUAUAAAUUAUGCUCAUCAGGAAACAAACUCAUCGAACUACCAGUACAUUUUUCAAUUAGAUAGGACUGAUAGUAGAUAUUCAGUACUCUCAGAUGGUGUGCAAACAUGAUCAUCAGUGAUUGUUGUCUUAAAAAGCAUUCUAUUUAAUUGUUCCUCUGACUCUGGCAUGCAAAAUUUCUUGAUUCACGAAUUUCCUACGUAUGUUGAUAUCAUAUUAAAAUGAAUUCAAUAUCACAUNNNNNNNNNNNNNNNNNNNNNNNNNNNNNNNNNNNNNNNNNNNNNNNNNNNNNNNNNNNNNNNNNNNNNNNNNNNNNNNNNNNNNNNNNNNNNNNNNNNNGCAUGUUGUGAGCUUAUUACCAAAAAUGAGACUAUAUAUUUAAGCCGAAUGGUAAAAAACUUCGGAUGGAGGAUGUGCCAUCUUUUUAUUUUAGAUGCUUUCGGAUGGAGGAUGUGCCAUUUUUUUAUUUUACAUGCUUUGUAAGACUUUUAAUGAUCGAGUGCAGUCAAUUAACAAAAGCUUACAUAUUAUUUGUUGAAAAUUGAUUUUAAAAAAAGAAGUCAAAAUGAUGGGUGGUUGAGCCUGUUGGGGAAAAAUCAGGUUUUUAAAUUUUUAUAAAACCUUUUGAAGAUCGCUCUCAUAUAAUAUAUAAGAAUUCGUAUUCUAGAAAUCGUACCUUGUAAAUCUGAGUUUGCUUUUUCCGCUGAAGUGAUUUAGGCUCCUAGAUCACGAUCCGCCACCACCACUCCUGUUAGAUCACGAUCCGUCACCACCACGCUUGUUAGAUCACGAACUGUCUCCAAUGAUCUUCCAGGUUAUGACUCAGGUUCGAUCUGCACUUGACGUGUGGGCGCCUUUAUCACUACCAAAGCAACUAGCACGAGAAAAUUUUUCUCUCAAAAAUGGAGAGAAAAAUCUUAUUCUCUGAUUUGUAUAAAGUGGCUUCUCCACUUUUUCUUUAGAGAAAAAUAAGCCUUUUAUAUCACUCUUUAGUGAAAACCCUAGGCUCCAAAUAAAAUAAAAUCAAAACCCACGUUAUUUACUUUUUCAAUAGGGGACCCACCUUGUAAAAUAACAUAAGGCCCGUUAUACAAAAGCUAAUUAAAUGGAGCCUCCCACUAAAUGAUAUAUUUAGGCUUUUGACCCAAAUUGCUAGUUAUCUUACUUAUUAGUCCAGUAGUGGUGCAAUCAAUUAAAUGAGCUAACCCGGGGAUCAUUUGGGAACAUACAAUAGUGGCUACAAUAAUUAGGCAUGUAAUUAAACUAGCCCAAUUAUUUAAUUCCAAAUCUACUCCACUAAAAGAUUGGAACUGACUUCCAUAAUUGUAUGCUCGAAUAAUAAUUCGUCCCAAGCCACAUUGAUUUCUUUACUGCACAAUCCUUUGUACCACAUCGUUAAUUAAAUUGAUAUCUCAACUGUCCAAUCAAUUUAAUAACAUCUUAUUCCUUGAUCCUUACUGGUUUUCUCUAAUGAUCAUUUUCAACAUACUAAAUAUGUUGACACACUCUGGCCAGAGAAUUCUAUGAUCAAGUACCGAAAACCUAUCAAGAGAUGUGUUGUACAAAUUCUAUAUUGUUAAUCCAUAACUCCAAUACUCAUAAUUGCUCCCACCAAGAUACCGGGUAAUCUUGACCACAAGGAUGUGUCGUGCCCAUUGGUAACUCAAAUGGAAUAACAAUCACAAUCAUGAAAUCAUAAUUAACUCAAGAUUAAGAUUACAGUAAAAUCAAUGCCUAUGAGAUUUAAUAAGUCUGACAGUUAUUACAAAGUUAAUUAAAUCUCAUAUGUGAUCCUGUUCAAUGUAGUCGUACUACAUCAAUAAAUUCAUACAUGAUUAAGACAAAUCAUUCAAUGAAUUUAUUACAGUCUAUACCUAAAUAAAGUGCCCAACUUUAUUUAUCAACUGCGAACUAAAUUUAUUUAAUCAUAAGAUAACUUGUAUUUAUGUCUUCUGUGAAUCCACAUGGUGAUCACAUAAAUACAUAUAAUAUGAUUAAAUGGACUUUAAUACAAAUAUUAAUGCAAUUAAGAUAUUUGAAUAAAAUACCUCAUUAAUUUUAUUAAUCAGAAAAAAUGUUUAUUACAAUUAAAUAAACACAUAUGCUUUUAAAGAGCAUAUUUUCCCAACAGAGCCAUCAUCUUUGAAUUCAAAGAUGGUGGGUGGCCAAGUUAGCCACCAUCAUUGAACAAGAAAAAAUGGGUGGGUGCCGCCCAUGCAAUGAAGAAAAGGGAGAAAAUGAAGCCAAAGUUUGGCUAUAAAUAGAGGGGUUCUCCCUCUCAUUUUUGUAUCCCAGAGAAGAAAUCCCAAAAUUUGAGAAGCAAGAAUAUGUAAGAGAAGCAUUGAGAGCUUCCAACAUGGGAGAGAAAUAUUCUUAAGCAUGUAUUUAUAUUGAAAGAGCAUUUGGCUCCUCAAUAUGGGUAUUACGGGUUUGAUUUGUUAAGGAAUAUUUCUCGCAAUUAUGUAUUUGGGGCUUGGGUGAGAGAAAAUUAUUUAUGAGAGUGUGGUUGUAAUAAUUUUCCACAUAGUGAAAUUUUUUUUUUCUGGUUGUCUCUUGACAACGGCUAUGGUUUUUCUCCGGAUUUGGAGUUUUCCACGUAAAUCUUGUGUUGUGUGAUUGUUGUAUUCUCCAUUUAAAUUUUUUGUUAAUUUGUUGCUUGACAAAUUGCUUGGAGUGAUCUUGGAAGGAAACUCAAUUUCCUAACAGUGGUAUCAGAGCCAUUGAUUGAAGUUUUGAUGUCGAGGUACUGUUCACGUAGACAUUACUAUUUCACGUAUACGAUAUUGUUCAUGUAUACGGUAUUGUUCAUGUGAAGCAGUGGGAGCCAAUCUAAAUUGUCCGUGGUGAAGAGUAUAGGGUCAUUAUAAAGCAAAUAUGUCAGUAGCUGGUAUUUUUCAAACUUGGUGGAGUUUGAUGUUGUUCAAAAAUUAAUGGGAGAAUGAUUUUUUGUUGGCUUGUGGAGAAUUCAAGUCAAAGGUGUAUCCAAUCUGGUAUGCACAAAGAUUUGAAGGUGUGGACAAUUUUGGCACCUCAAGAAAAUUGUCAAGAAGGUGGAGCGGGCUCGACAAAUUACUCCAGAAUCAGUAAAAGAAAUACUGAUAUUUCUCGCAGAUGGUGAAUUUGUUUUUGAUAAGAGAUUGGAUUAGUUCUUUUGGCAUGUAGAUCUCCAAGUUACCAUAAAAGAGAACAUGUUAUUAUCAGUGGGGUCCACAAGUUUGCACGAGGGCAUUGGCUUGGUAUAAAUGCAAGGUGUGUGGUGGAAAAGUUAUGUCAUGGCUGAAGAAUUCUCAGUGAAACCAAGCAUGAGAAUUGCACUAUAAAUUUCAGCAGGAUAUUUUGAUAUGUGCCGAGAAAAAUCUUAGAAUAGUUGAUUCUAAGUGGUAUACUCAUUAUGGUGUAGUGUGAUAAUUCUUUAUAUUGAGAAUUAUAACUAUUGGUGAAGACAAUGUUUUGUAGUAGUGACUAUGAAAUUCUUUUUUUUAAUCAUGGUAGAGAUUGUUGAAAAUUGAUUUUAAAAAAAGAAGUCAAAAGGAUGGGUGGUUGAGCCAUCAUCUUUGAAUUCAAAGAUGGUGGGUGGCCAAGUUAGCCACCAUCAUUGAACAAGAAAAAAUGGGUGGGUGCCGCCCAUGCAAAGAAGAAAAGGGAGAAAAUGAAGCCAAAGUUUGGCUAUAAAUAGAGGGGUUCUCCCUCUCAUUUUUGUAUCCCAUAGAAGAAAUCCCAAAAUUUGAGAAGCAAGAAUAUGUAAGAGAAGCAUUGAGAGCUUCCAACAUGGGAGAGAAAUAUUCUUAAGCAUGUAUUUAUAUUGAAGGAGCAUUUGGCUCCUCAAUAUGGGUAUUACGGGUUUGCUUUGUUAAGGAAUAUUUCUCGCAAUUAUGUAUUUGGGGCUUGGGUGAGAGAAAAUUAUUUAUGAGAGUGUGGUUGUAAUAAUUUUCCAAAUAGUGAAUAUUUUUUCUUUGGUUGUCUCUUGACAACGACUGUGGUUUUUCUCCGGAUUUAGAGUUUUCCAUGUAAAUCUUGUGUUGUGUGAUUGUUGUAUUCUCCAUUUAAAUUUUUUGUUAAUUUGUUGCUUGACAAAUUGCUUGAAGUGAUCUUGGGGUGAAACUUAAUUUCCUAACAUUAUUUAGGUGCUGAGAUGUCUGUUCUUGAUAAAGUAGAUUUAUUUACACCCAAGCCAACGUAACAAAAGCCUAAUAUACACAAUAAUUAUUUUUGUUAGACUGAUUUCUAGCUAAUGAGAUCUUUGAAAGCAUUCAAAGAAGCCACAGAACUCAUAGGAAAGCCCUGAUAAAAUAUACGGCGAAGCAUGUGAGCUCGUUUUUUAAUCUCUUGAUCACUCAUAAGCUUUUCUAUACCAAUGACUAUAUCAUUCUUUUGAAUCGAUUUUGAUUGAUCAUUAGAAAUCAUGUACCCCACCUUUAGAUGAUUGAUCACCAAUUUGGCAUUGUAAUGUUGAUCAUCUCUAAUUGGCCAUGCUAAAAUUGGAACCCCACACCAAUGGCUUCUACCAUUGAAUUCCAUCCACAAUGAGAUAAAAAUUCACCCAUUGAUUGAUGAUUCAAUAUCAAUAAUUGUGGCGCCCAUCCAUCUAUUAUCAAUCCCUUUUUACUGGCUUUACUACCCAAACCACUAUGAAAAUAAUUGCCUUCUGCUGGUCUGUCUAAACCAGUUAAAUGACACGGAGGAUCCAAUCUACCAGCACCAGUUUGAAUUACCCAAAUAAAUGGUUCAUUUGAUACUUCUAAAGCAUUGGCUAGUACUAAAUACUCAUCUAACUUGGACCCACUUCGAUACCAAAUGACACAUAUAACACAGAUCCUCAUGAUUUCAAAUCCAACCAUUGAAUGAUCUCAUCUUCGUUCAUGUUAGAACUCCACCGAUUGGUUCUCAUCUCACGAUCACGAAGCACUGAACCCGCCCCAUUUGUAAAAUUGUUCAAGUAAUAAUGGGCCUACUCCCCACAUUGGCUUUCCCAUUCGAUUGACUAAAUAAUGGGAGAUUGCCAAUUUUCCCCUACUAUAAUCAAUAUAUAUCAUUUAUUCAUUUACUAUUUUUAUAAUGGUCAAAAAUCCCCUUGACAGUAUAAGUUUAUAAUAUUACUUUUAUUUUUAAUUGCUCUUUUAUUUAUAUUUAUUAUAAAUAAAAUAAAUCACAUGAAUAAAAAAUAAAUAAAUAAUUAAGUAUUAAAAACAAGAAAUAUAUGUUUUAAUAUGAGCAAAAAAUUUAAUAAUAAAUUUUUCUUGUAAUUAUUUAUUUUGUGAAUAUUUUCUUAUAAUAAACAUUUAUAAUAUUUUAAAAUUAAAUGUAAAAAGAAUAGGCAAAAUAUUUUAUUAUUUAUCUUAUAAUAAAUUUUUAUUUGUCAUUCAAGUUUUCUUAUAAUAGUUUUUUAUCAUUUUAUAAUAAUUUUCUUAUAUAUUUAUUAUAAGAAAAUUUUCAAAAAAUAAAUAAGUACAAGAAAAAAUUACAUUAUUGAUUUUUUUGCUCAUAUCAAAACAUAUAUUUGUUAUUUUUAAUGCUUAAUUUUUUAUUUAAUUUAUAUUCAUGUGAUUUAUUUAAUUUAUAAUAAAUAUAAAUAAAAGAGUAGUUGAAAAUAAGGAUAAUAUUAUAAACUUAUGUUAUCAGGAAGAGUUUUUGGUCAUUAUAAAAACAGGAAGGAGGUAAAUGGUAUAUAUUGAUUACAAUAGGGGGAAAAUUGGUAAUCUCCCCUAAAUGAUUAAUAAAUGGUCCCUCAAGAUCAUCACAGGUGUUGAACAUCAAAGCCAUCCAUUCCUCCACUUCCUUCAUCCAGUGUGGUUGAUCACGGGGUUCGAUGGACUCAUUUUCUCUGAACCGGGCGCACCUCGCAAAGGUAGUGGACCACGAGGAAGGGGCCCGUGAGGCCCGUAUUUAAGCUACGAUUCGAAUAAAGCCAUAUCCUUGGGUAACCCAGGAAGUAAAUGGGCCUCUCCCGGUUUGACAUCUUGGAUGCGAGCCUGCUACAUGGCACACUCCACGCUGCUGAGCAAGCACCAGAAGUGAAGAACCCAACAAUGGGACCUUCAAAAUUCUUGAAAACAUCAGCCGUCCAGCCCAUCAUAACGUCGAUGACUGCACAAAUGGGUCGGGUUUCGGGUUCCCGGGUUGAAAGGGGUUUUGAAGGCCUUGAAGCAUUUGACUGUGCAUGACAACAUGGUGGUGGUGGUGGCAGUGGUGGAGAUGAGGAGAGUAUUUCAGUAAUUUCGAAUAGAGGGUAUUGGUGAAGAGGGGAAGGGAUGAUGCCGGUGCCGGAAAUGUGAGAGGGAACGAAUAUUUUAACAGGGACGGAGCCAGCGUGGGACGAGGUGGGGCACAGGCCCCAGCUGGCUUUUAAUUUUUUUUUAUAAUUAUACUAAAAUAUGUAUUUUAUUUGUUAUUUAUGAAAAAUGUCUCAGCUGAAUUGUAAAAUUUAAAAUUGACUCCAGUAAUUUUAAAAUAUUUCAUACUGUCCCUAAUUUAUAUUUUUAAUUAUAAAUUAUUUAAUUAGUUAUUAACAUUUCAUGAAACUUUAUUAAAGACACGAGAACAAAUAUUAAAAUAAAAAAUAAUCAUAACAAAAUGUUAGUAUAAUGGUUAAUGGACUAGUUUUUAAUCUUUUUAUUUUUUAUUCAAGUAAAAUUAAUUAUUUAGUCUUUCAACACUGACCAUAAGUUGUAAGUCUUCCUAAUUCUAAUUUAUAAUUUUCUAAUUAAUCUUUUAUCUAGUUUUAAAAUUUAUAAUUUUAUCAUGCAUUUCAUAUUUGUUCUGUGUGUUGCAAUAUUUGAAUAUUUUUGUUAUUAUUAAAAGAUUUUAAGAGCAAAUUAAGUAAUAACCUAGUCUUGUAUAUUGAAAAAUAUAUUUUUGCUUAUAUUGAUAAUUCAUUAUUUUCAACUCAUAAAAUCCCAUUGAGGAGAUUUCGCGGAGAACCAUUGUAAUAAGUAAAUUUAUUAUCAAUGAAUAUUAUAGUUGUAAUGCUAUUUAUUGAUAUCUAAAUUUUUAAAAAUGUAUUAUACUUUAAAUAUGCUUUCAAUUAGAUGCAUACAGACGCACUCUAUAAGAAGUACAAUUGUACAUGUAGCAAGCUCCCAUUUAGAGUUUAUAGGGCCCACAAUACAGUUUCUCAAAUGACGACUUAUCACACGAGCAAUCGUACAUUCGAGUCAUCUUUAAUUUUAAAUGUGCCCCAGCUCUAUCAAAAUCCUGGCUACGUCCCUGGGAACGAUGAGGGUAGAUUUGUAAUUACGUGAAGCGAUUUACUUGCAUAAUUCAAUGCAUGGAAAUAGAUGUCCCUGACCGAAGAAUGAGACAAUCCAAAUCUCAGCCUCAGCAGCAUUAACGACAGAGCUUGACAUAUUUUAUUAAUCAUUUGAUACUUAAUUAUUACUGACUGCUUUUGCCACCUUUCGUAAAACAUUCUUGGUUAUAUAUAAAAGAGAUGAUUUGAUGGCGAAGUGUGUGUUUUACUUUUACAGUUUUACUAGUCGGUGAGCUAUGAUUUUGAUAAUUUGAUUGUUAGUUUCAGUUGGUUAGUUAUGAGAAAGCAUCUUUCAAAAAAUUCAUUACAGUUUCAACUAAAAUUAACAAUACUAUUCAAAUUAAUUACUCGAUAAAUAAAUAGUCACAGAUAAAUCUAUCCCUAAUCACACAUUUAUAAAAUAAGGAUUGAAAUGAGUUUCUGUGGCUUCGAACCCACGCCCUCAAGCCCAGCGGCUGGAUCUUGACUACUUUGACAUAAUUAUUAUUAGUUUUUGUCCAUCUUUCACCAGGCAUCUUUUGUUAUAUAAUGAAGAAGAUAAGUUGACGGAGAAGAGUUCUACUUUUACUAGUAGAUGAGCAUUGAAGGUUAGUUUUAGUUAGUUAAAUAUCUACCAUCCAAACCAAAGUUCCUUAGACUAUUAUUCAAGUGAGAUGUUUGAGUAACAUAUGCUUGAGUUAGUCGGUGCCUAACAAUUCAUGUGAUACAUGAAACCAACCAAAUGAAGUUGGUAGGAUUAGAUUAAUUUAAAUGAAAAUAAAAAUUAGUUUAUGCUAUUUAUUUAUCUUAUAAUGUUGAAACUUGAAAGUUAACUCUUCAACCUGUCAAUUGGUUCAUGACAUGAUCAAAUAUUCAAGUAAAUAAAUUUAUCGGUUAAAAUUAAUUUUUCAUGUGGUAAAAGCAAUACUAAAUAUGGAGUGGAGAGAAUCAUUUGUAGGUUAUACCCCCACCUUUUAUUUCAUUUCAUUUAAAAAAAAAAACAACAACAACAACAAAGGCUUGGUCAACAUCCAAGUAAAAUUAACAAUUCCAUGAUAAAAUUGCCUGAGAAUAAAAAUUAAAAAAAAAAAAAAACAGCAACUCGAAAACGAGAUACAAAUACCGCACAGAAGUUUUUCGUCACGAGAUAUUUUUGGGUUGAGACAACGCUUGUAUAACAGAGCAUACAGCUUGGAUGACGGUGAGAAUAAGAAGGAAAACGGCACCGCAGACCGAAAUUCCAGCCCAUGGAGUAUUGAAGUAAUUUUGUUUCAAGUUUGCCCUCCAUUUGUAGCACGUUCUUUUGCAGUGAUCAUUCAAUCCUUUGCAUAGCCCAGAAAAAUAGAAGCUAUCAGACAGCAGAGUAGUACCUCUAGAAAGGUUAUUUAUAAGCGUUGACGCUGCCUCUUUAUCCGGCAACCAGUUCUCAAUGAUUCCGUUCUGAACAAGCAACUCGACGUCCUUCGCUGUGUUCACGAGAUUAUGAAUAAGGAACACGUAAUCAUUUAUGUAAUUCUCUGAGUAAUGCCGUUGUUCAAAGGCAAUGAGAUUACGAAAUAAGGAUUCCGUUUCCAGCUGUAGCUUCAGUUUCGGAAUAUGCAAUGUCCUGUUUUUGAAUUCUAUGGCGAACAAAUCAUUGCUCUUGCUCAAACUGAAGUGGACUCCAGCUUGGUGGAGAUCAGUCACACUUGGUGCGGUUUUACCUUUGUGGUAUUGCUGACCUUCUUGUUUUUCCUGAUUCCUUGAUGAUGGUAGAUGACAAAUCCUUAGAAAAUCAAGGAAAUGCUCUACCCUAGCCUCAGUGUAAGGAGGGAAUUUUUGCCGAUUACCUUGUACUGCCUCUAAACCCUUGAAAUACUCGUAUGUGACUGUGAUGAUGGUUGGAUUUUCAUGUUGGUCGGGGAUUUCAAUUGCCGCUAGAGCAAAAAGAUCCUCAAGAGUGAAGAAAGGAAGCUGAUUCUCAAGCAACCACAUAUCAUACCAUAUAUCCUCUAUUAAAUAGGGUUUUAUGAAAUAUAUGAUCAUCCUUUUUUUGAAGUUGACGGAAAUGAUACCUCAAUAAGAGUUCAAUGAUGAAGGCAGCAUCCAGCAGAAUCAUUUCAACAAAUUUAUCACUACUUAGUUCGACUUUUCUGCAUAAGAACCUCGUAAUUCUGCUUCUCUGAACUUUAUAAUUUGAACAAACUCGUCAAAGCUUAUUUUGGUCCGUUGAAGAAAGUAAUGCAGGUACCGCUGUUUAUGUUCUUCCAUUAACUGUAAGUUUGCUUUGCCAUGGUGAAGAGGGCCAAUUGAGACUACCUGAGGUGUGUAUACCUUUUCAUUUAUCUGACGUAAUCGCUCUGGAACUCUGUAGAUGCAGCAGUUUGAGGGCAAUGGUGAUAAUUUUUUCAACUUAACUUGCAAGCAUUCUUCCAUGUUAUAAACUGAAAACAUGGCGCGAAAUUUAAUCAAUUCAACGCUUAAUAAGGCAUAGUAAUUAAAAAAGAAUUAAAAAAAAAAAAUACAAGAGCAUUCUUACAAGUACAGAAGCACCUCAAUCCCUACUAUUUGCAGAGCUGUAGCCAGGAUUCAAUGAUAGACCGGACUGAACUAAAAGGAACAACUUUCUUAGGAAUAUGUUAUCGGCAUUUUCUCUGGCCUCAGGCCAUCAACAAAGCAGUUUCAGUGCUUCUUAUAUAAUUCCAUGGAUUAUUCCUUGCCUUUACAGAUGAUAUAAGUCACAAUUCAUAUAUUAAUUUCUCCAGAUUCCGUACAAGUGGACCAUAACUAUGGAAAAAUUCAAAGAAUGCAACAGCCAUUUGAUUGGUCCAUGUCAGAAGUUAAUCUGGGGAAAGAAGCUUGAUCUAGCUGUAAAAUUCUCUCCUUCAAUCAGUCAGUUUGGGGCAGCAACAAGAUCAAAGCCACCACGCAAACAUUUACUAAAGUUUAUAUAAUAUUCUUGAACCUCAUCUUAAGUAAAGCAACAAAAGCCUUCACUGUUUCUUAACAACUUUAUUGCUCUAACACAUAGCAUAACAUUUUUAAAUUUGCAUAAAGCACAAUAGUACUUCAGUUUGUAACAACAGCACGGAUAAUAAAUAGCAUUUUAUAGCUUUAACAAAAGCAUACAAAAUUCUUAAACCUUGUUUCAAGCAAUCCAUUAAUGCCACAAGGAUAUCUUUUUGCUUCCUACAGUUUUUAUUGAAAUUCAUAUAUUCUUCUUUAUCAAAUUAAGUAAUUUUCCUUUUUCAAAAAAUCAAGAAGGUUUCGACUGCAUGGAAAUACAGCACACAAUUACUACUAUUCCCGGAGUAAGAAAUUCAUAAAUGCAAUAUAAACAUACAUUUUCAUAAGACAUCAGAAUCAAAGAAUCAUCAAUGCAUCAAAUCUGUACACCCAAAAAAGUUGAAAGCAUCAAGAGAAAAUUAUACCGCAUGGACCCUUUACAACCCUUAUAACGAGUUCAGACAGCCUAAUCCAAUUUGAUAGAUUUGAGGACAGCUACAAUGUGCAAUACAAAAUUUCCCAAUACUAUUUAGAACAAAGUCUAGAAAACAAAACUUAUAUAUUGUACAAAAUCAUGAAAACCAGAAAUGACGAAAAACCUGCAAAUGUAAUUUUUGGGUUUCUUCAACAUAUCUUCCAUCCAAAUCAAACAAGAAUCGAUAAAUCAACAACAUUCAUCUUUAAACGACAUAUUACCACAAUAAAAUUGUCAACCAAGCCUCAUAUAAACCUUUUUUGUGUUUUUUGGUAAAUAUGUUUGUUUUUCUCUAAGAAUACUAGGGAAAAAAGAAACCCACUUUCUUAAUCAAGAAUCAAAUAAUAUAUAUGAAUCUAAGCUGAAGUAAGUCUUGGGUUUGAUGAAAUAGCUUGCAUUGCGAUUUAGAUUGGAAAGGAAGUUGAUUUUUACUGGUUGAGAGAGAGAGAUUUGAGACUUAAGAGAGUGUUGCUAAUCUUCAAUCGUGUAAACAAGGGUAACUGGGUCAUAGUUCAAAAUAAGGGUCCAAAAUUUACUAAAGCUAUUAAGGAGCCCAAAACUCAUAAUGGCUUCCCCAAAAUAAAUAAAAUUUUCUAGCAUUAAGUUUUUGUUUCUUCUUGAGAUUUCCUUGUCGUACUUACCCAUAUUUCGAUAUUGCCUCCAAGUAAACUUAUAUAUAUUGAUUAACAAUAUAAACAAGCACUAUGAAGUUUUAGGCCUGAAAGAACAUUAGGAUUGAAAUGAAAACCAUCUAUUUAAGUAACAAAUUCUUCUGAUAAUCUGAUGCUUAAUUUAGAGAAGAGAUGACAUAUCAAUCACGUUAUGAUGUGGAAGUUAUGAUUAUAUUCAUCUUAGAAUAAGAUCUUUCAGGCACUGGCAGAUUAGUAUAAAAAAUACUCAGCAUAAGACCUACAAACUAGAAAUCACGCACCAAUUAUUGAACUCAGCACAUAAGUUGAUCUUUUAUAAGCUAUAAAACAAAUCUGCUAUAACAUAAGAAAGUGGGAUUUAUCACCAGACAAGUAUUUUGGUGAAACUCAAGCUGACGGAAGGAUAUCCAAAGCAACCUCCUUAAGGGAAGGCAUCACUUCCUGCUGAUGCAAACAUAUAUAUUUAUUACUCACUUUCUUGAGGACCUUCUAGGAACCUGGGUAGCACCUAACAGAAAGUGGAAAAGAAUAAAAUGUAAAAUAUAAGUUAAACAGCAGGAAAACAGUGAGUGAUACUAGGCAAGCAUUAAUAUGUUGCCGCAAGAAAAGUGUCAGUAACUAGCUAGCAAACCUGAAAAGGGUUCCUCCAUUACGACCCUUAAAAUUGUGAAUGUAAUAUAUGGUCUCCAUCACAGGAAAAAGUGUUUUGGAUAGUGCAGCCAGCUUAGGGUAGAAGAAUGACGGAUAAUCUUAGCUCAUUUAAGGAAAUCCUCUCUGAUCCUUUCAUUGCACAUUCCAAAACAACUCUACUACAACCAAGUUACCAAUUCUUUUUGUUAAGUCAUUGUUAUUUGUUAAAAAAAAAAAAAAGUCUUCCUUGUAACAUUUUAUUGAAAGAUAUAACAUGAUCAUCCCUAUUAAUUCCCUUUUAGAUUUCUGUGAGUGAAUUUCAAAUUAUUGUAUUAAAAAAUAGAAGCAAAAGACCCACUUUACUUUCAAUUUCUGCAACAAGAUACCAAUUGAAGGACCAAAAAGUUGUAAACAAGCAAUUCAAUGAGUGGACAUCUAGAAACUGCUAUAUAGCAUCAAAAUCAUACUAAAUUUACAGAAAGCACGAUAAGAAUGAAAGAAUGGUGAAGGAUACACCCAGACCUUAUCCGGUCAAGUUCUCCAUUGAAUAUAAUCAGUUUCCGGGCAGUAUUGAAGACAGCUUCUUUGUAAAGCUCUUCAACGACAAGCAUUUCUACAAGACAAAAGAAAAGCAAAAUUAAUUACCUUAAGGAAUGAAUAUCAAUGAGAAGACAAGGUGUAAGACUACCAUUGACAUUAAAAUAUGGAUAGGCGACUAGAAACAAUUCAUCUUCCGGCUUCACACGGUCUGCCAUUUUAACCUUCUCAGUGAAUCCAAAAUCCUCAAAGAAUGAAGGUUUUGUUAGAUAGUCCAACUUAAAUGAUGAUCCUUCAAAGACCGAUUUUCUUGCAAAUUUGACUUCAUUUGCCUCUGGGAAAAACUAAAAACCAAAUGACAGACCAAGAUCACGAAACGAAUCAUGAACGUAGAUAUCAGAUAAUCAGAAAUGGGCAUUAAACAGACUACUAACAAGUAGGAAAUGCAUACAGAAAACAUUAUUCAUACACCUUAUGCACAUGAAAUAUAUAUGCAGAGGGAUCCUCUUGUGAAUUUAGUUUAUAUCCUAAUAUGAGACGAUGAACAAUUGGAUGCCAUCUAAGGGCUAACAUUUGUUUGAUUAUUAUAUGAAAAAAAAAAAAAACAGAGUUGAUUGAUGGCCUUUGAUGGAUUGCCUACACUCCUAAAGUGCAGAGAGCCUGAUUGAUUGCUUUACCUGCCCCCCACACACACUUGAUUUUAUUAUCUCUCUUUUCAAAUAUAUAAUCAUUGCCUGUCUUUCAUCCUGAUCCAGCUCUCCUUCCAGGCACCAGCUGUGUUUUCUUCAAUUCAGUGAAACAUUCACUUUCAGGUAAGAAUAAACUUGUCCUUCCUCAAAAACCAACUUCUCACCAUGAAGCUUUCUUUUUUAAAACAAUUACUAGUCUAGCAUAAUUGAAGACAACUCAGAAUUGAAAAAGCCAUACUUUAAUGUCUGCUGUUGGGACCUCAAGACCAGGAACAAAAAGCUUCUUUCUAACCGUUGGAUUAACAAGUAGAAAUAGCUUUUUUCUGAAGGACCCAACAUUGCAUUGAAAAAUUCAACAAAAUGACUGGCGUCAUAUUUAGUCCUGCUAGAAUUUUGUGCACUUAACACAAUGGCUAAUAAUUGGCCCAGCGGACACUUUGUCGAACUACUGGCAACCUUGACUGUGGAAAUGCAUAUUUCAAAUGUUGGCAGGCUCUAGCUUCUUGAUGUACUGUUGAUAGAAAUGCCUAUUUCAAAAGUUGGCAGGCUCAAACUGCCGAGACUUUGGUUUCUUACAUUUCAAACCCACAAAUAAAACUUUGGCAGAACCCCAGAAAGAGCUACACCUCCCAAAUUUGAUGACAUAUGAGGAGACCAUGCCUAGUGCUUGGUUCGGCAAAUGAGUAAGUUUGAAAGAAAUUGAGGGAAACCUUUCCCACAGAGAGUCAUAUUGAAGGUUACAAUUUGAAGACUUUGUCCCCUGUCGCCCGUAACCUUCUUUGAUCUCUUUUCUUAGUCAUAAAUAAUCAAACAUGUGUUAGUCGUUGGAUGCAAUCCACUCACUGACAUCUCAUGUCCACAAUCAAUCAACCAUAUUUUAAUAGAAAUGAAAACAUUUUAAUUAAAAAAAAUGAGAUAGGAACAAAAUCAAACUUGGCAGACAUGGUCUAUGAGAUUUUAAAGAUGCUUGGUGAAAGUUGUAUUCAAGAGUUCAACAGUCAGUUCUAUCACCUAUGGCAAAGUAACCACCGCAACUAAAGCAAUUACAAAACAUCAAGAAGCUUGAACUUGGCAAGAGGUCUCAUUAACAGUAUACCUCAGAAAUUAAGACAGACUUAAAGUGCAAGCUUUUGGAUUUAUUUAAACACUGAAAAUAAUAUGGGUAGAAGCUCCUAUGGUCACAGCAAACAAUUACAAAGCACAAAACCCAAAAAACAGAUAUGCAAAAAGCUGCAAAAGAACAUUAUUAGCAAUUGACAUCUGCUUUUGCUCAGACAAAGGUUCUCAUAACAAAGGACUUAGUGAUUAUCUGUCAUAUGUUUAUGUUAAGGGGAAAAAGGAAGUUUGUUUUAGUCAAUCUCACGUCUAAUGGCAUUUAUAAGGAGCCCAAAAAUAAAAGAAAAAAUAAAGAGUUAGUAGGUGUUUCUUGCAGCACAAAGAAAAUUUAUCAUUCAUGAAAAACUUAGUAUGGAAAAAGCUAACUCAUUUAUCUGCCAAUGGAGAAAAACUUGUUGUCCACCCACUAAGGACCCACCAUUGGCAGGUCUGAUGGAUCCCAUGGAUGGGAACCGCAAAUAUUUUAUUCUAAAUGACAUGUGUAUUGUACCCAUAUCAUUUAAUUUGUAGAUUCCACUGAUGGAACUCAUCAAACUUGCCAAAUGGCAGGUCCUCCGUGGGUAGGCGCAUCACUUCAGCAUCCUUCUCCACCGAUGACCAAAUUUGGACUCAUUUAAAAAGAAUACAAAGCAAAACUAACUGACAUAAAUUGCAUAGAGAUCUAGGAGCCAAAUCAAUGUUGUUAACUCAUCCAAUUAAUACAUUCUCUUAGAGGCAGGGACGGAGCCAGCGUGGGACGAGGUGGGGCACAGGCCCCAGCUGGCUUUUAAUUUUUUUUUAUAAUUAUACUAAAAUAUGUAUUUUAUUUGUUAUUUAUGAAAAAUGUCUCAGCUGAAUUGUAAAAUUUAAAAUUGACUCCAGUAAUUUUAAAAUAUUUCAUACUGUCCCUAAUUUAUAUUUUUAAUUAUAAAUUAUUUAAUUAGUUAUUAACAUUUCAUGAAACUUUAUUAAAGACACAAGAACAAAUAUUAAAAUAAAAAAUAAUCAUAACAAAAUGUUAGUAUAAUGGUUAAUGGACUAGUUUUUAAUCUUUUUAUUUUUUAUUCAAGUAAAAUUAAUUAUUUAGUCUUUCAACACUGACCAUAAGUUGUAAGUCUUCCUAAUUCUAAUUUAUAAUUUUCUAAUUAAUCUUUUAUCUAGUUUUAAAAUUUAUAAUUUUAUCAUGCAUUUCAUAUUUGUUCUGUGUGUUGCAAUAUAUGAAUAUUUUUGUUAUUAUUAAAAGAUUUUAAGAGCAAAUUAAGUAAUAACCUAGUCUUGUAUAUUGAAAAAUAUAUUUUUGCUUAUAUUGAUAAUUCAUUAUUUUCAACUCAUAAAAUCCCAUUGAGGAGAUUUCGCGGAGAACCAUUGUAAUAAGUAAAUUUAUUAUCAAUGAAUAUUAUAGUUGUAAUGCUAUUUAUUGAUAUCUAAAUUUUUAAAAAUGUAUUAUACUUUAAGUAUGCUUUCAAUUAGAUGCAUACAGACGCACUCUAUAAGAAGUACAAUUGUACAUGUAGCAAGCUCCCAUUUAGAGUUUAUAGGGCCCACAAUACAGUUUCUCAAAUGACGACUUAUCACACGAGCAAUCGUACAUUCGAGUCAUCUUUAAUUUUAAAUGUGCCCCGGCUCUAUCAAAAUCCUGGCUACGUCCCUGCUUAGAGGUCAUACCUUGGUAACUCAUUUGAAAAGAAAUUAAAAGAAAAACGACUGCACAAAUUGUACUGAGCUCAAGAAAACCUGUUCAAGGUGUUCACUUGUCCAACUAAUAAAAGUCAUCAAGGAUUGUAUCGGGGACUUGGGACCAAUCCUGCCUUAACGAGAGAAAGGGAAUUUAGGAGGAAGAAGAUAACCUCUUUUCCUAGAACCCUUGAGAAAAUUAUUGAAGAAAUAUGUAUCUCCUUUUCUUAUUUUUACAAUAGGGUUACACAAUACAUAUAUAUAUAUUCUAAACUACAUAAUGUGCUAGAGUAGGAAAGUAAACAACUAACUGCAGACCAAGAAACUAGGAAACAAACUCUAUCUAAAAAACUGAAAUUCUAUCCCUAUCUUUUUUCUUUUCUAUCCCUAUCUUUUUUCCUUAAAAACAGGAUAGAAAACAAGUGACUUUUCCACACUCCCCCUCAAGCUAGUUCGAAGAUAUCAAUCAUUCCCAGCUUGCUAGUUAGUGACUCAAAGCUUGAUUUAUGAAGUCCUUUAGUAAGAAUAUCAGCUAGCUGCUUUGUUGUUGGAACAAAGGUCAUGCAUAUCAAACCACUUUCUAUUUUCUCCUUGAUAAAAUGACGAUCCACUUUGUUGAGUGUUAGAAAAUGCAUAUUUAUAAAGGAGAAAACCAUCAUUUUACAUUUCAAGUCGUACUAACAACUCUUACUUUUAUGUAUUUAACCUUCUUGUGAUAUAAUUACGUGUGUUUUAUUUUAAUUAAGUAUUUUAUGUAUUUUAGGGGCAUUAUAGUCAUUUCACAAUAAAGGAGAGAUUAGACGGCAAAACGGACAUCACUUUUGAACUCAGGACGGUCGAAAACCUUAGGAGGAGCAUAAAAGGAAAAAUGGCACUAUUCAUAUGUACGGUACUAUUCGCGUGUACGGUAUUAACUACGUUACUGUUCACAACACUGUUCACAACACUGUUCACAUAGACGGAUCGAUGACGUGGCAUUGACCGAUGAUGUGGCAUUGACUGAUGAGGUGUCACGAUCCUGUUGGGCUAAAAUUCUUAUGUACUGUUGAUGGUGACGUGGCAGCAUAUCAGUGGAUGAAAAAUCUCGCGUACGGUACAUGCAUCACACAUGAUUAUUCUCAACCAAACCGUGUUACUGUUUAUCCGAGUCAAACCGUGUUACUGUUCAUCCACGUGGUCAAACCGUGGACUGUUGACUUAUGACGUGGCGCAAUCCUGAGCGUCCAAACUGUUUUUAAUCUGAUGGCCAUGAUUUACUCCAUGUAUCUAUAAAAAGGGGGCCUUCCCCCCCUAAUUUGAUAGCUCUGAAUCCAUUUUUGGGAUCCAUUUUCUGUAAUUCCUUCUCCAUCUUGUAUUUUCUUUGUAUUUUAAUAAAUUCCCAUUUUGCCCCUAGUUCAAUUAUGAGUGGCUAAUUUUCUUUCAAGCUUGGGUUGAAGGUGAAGUCUCAACAUGUGUCAUGGGCUUAAUUUGGUAAAUUUAUUUUCUCUUCCCCUCUAGUUUUUGUGGAUGUUUUGACUUCUCGUCGACAAAUAAUAAUAAUCUUGUCUAGAUACCGCCUUGGUUACACCGGCUCUCUAGUAUAAGGUUAUUAUUAUUUGGCACGAUAAGCCCUUAGCACCAUAUUGAUUAUAGCGUGGUUCAUGAGGUGUGGAUUCCCCCCUCAUGAUUUAAUUGGCAUUAAUAAAGAUUAUUUAGCCCAUGAUGCAUGUUGAUACGGAUCCAGAUACCCAAGUACGUCAUUUUAAUAGAAUUCUCUUCAAUUUAUUCUCGCCAUUUCAAUUCCAAUUUUAGAAUUUAUUCUCGCCAUUUUAAUUUAAGUUUUAGCAUAUCCCAAAUCAUUUCCACCACAAAUCCAAUCACCCAUUUACAAAAUUAAUUCUACACAAUUAAAAUCCACCUCCUCGUGGGAUCGACACUCGUCACCAUUAGUCUAUACUACAAUAGAUUCGUGCGCUUGCGAGUACAUUAAAAUUUGCACAACAAGUUUUUGGCGCCGUUGCCGGGGAGGUAAGUAAUUUUAAUUCAUAGAAUUAAUUUUUGUGAAUAAUUUCUUUUAUUUAUUUUCUUGUAUUUUUUUUUAUUAUUAAAAAAAAAAGUAAAUCUACAUUUAAAGGUUAGUAUUUCUUUUCUUUUUCUCUUCUUUAAAAUUCUGUAAUUUAAUUUUCAAUUUAUUUUUCUUUGUAAUUUUUUUUUGUUUAUUUUAUUAAUUUAUUUUUAGUUAAUUUAUUUCACGUAUUUAUUUUUGUGUAUUUUUAUAGUAAGGUUGUAAUAGCGCAAUAAGGUUAGUAUUGUAAUUUCUCUCUCUUCUUUAUUUUUAUUUGUUUUGUUCCAUCUUUAUUUUUAUUUUAUUUAUUUUGUAUGCAUGGUCGUAGGUCUUUAUUACCUAAUCUUGAACCUAUAGACCUUGAACUUGAGAAAACACUUCGCACACACAAGAACGUUAAAAAUAAAUUUGAAAUGGAUUUACAAGCACCACAGGAGAGGCCAUUUAAGGACUAUUUUAGUCCCUUAGCUAAUUUGAGCACAUCAUGCAUAAGAUACCCAAAUGUAGCUGCUAGGAGUUUUGAAUUAAAACCUAGUGUGCUAAAUUGUCUCCCCACAUUCUAUGGCCUAGAAAAUGAGGACCCAUAUAAUCAUCUGAAUGAUUUUCAUGCCAUUUGUCAAACUUUUAAAUAUGAAAAUUUUUCAGACGAUGAUGUUAAACUUAGAUUAUUCCCAUUUUCUUUAAAGGAUAGAGCUCGUUCAUGGUUAAAUACUUUGCCUGCUAAUAGCAUUGCAUCAUGGGAACAAAUGGUUACAAAAUUUCUAAAUAAAUAUUUCCCAGUGCAUAAAACCAAUUCUAUUCGCAGGGAAAUUUCAGAGUUUACACAAAGAGAGGACGAGCAGUUUUUCGAAACUUUGGGAGUGAUUCAAUGGGCUACUCUUGAAGUGUCCACAUCAUGGGUAUGAGAAAUGGCACCAAUGCCAAUACUUUUUGGAGGGAUUAUUGCCAAAUGUGCAAGAAUGGCUAAUGGCAACAAGUGGAGGAGAGCUAAUGUCAAAAAGCGCAACAGAGAUUUGGGAAUUCUUCCAGCGACAAGCGGAUAAUUCCCAACAACGGAGUCGAUCACUCAGGAAUACUAGAAGAAUUAAGGGAGUAAAUGAGGUUCAAAUUGGCGAGUCAACUUCGGGAAUCAAAGAAGUCAAGGAGAUAGUUGAAGGUCUUGCUCGACAAAUAGCAUCGUUGUCGACUGCUAAAUCAACAGAACCACAUGACCAUGACUCAUACUCCGAUCAAGCCAAUGCCAUAGGUGUAAUGAGAAAACCAUCGAAUUACAACCCAUACUCCAACACAUAUAACCCUGGAUAGAGAGACCACCCCAAUUUUUCAUGGUCUCAAGGAUUCCAACAGAAUGGACCAGCAGCUCCAGCUCCACAAAUUCCUCAAGUUCCUCAAGCCUCUCAGCCCCCAUUUAGACCAUUUAAUCAGAACCAGAACUACUCUCAACCCAGACCAUGGGAGGAUUCAUUCCAGAAUCUCAAGAAUCUUACUCACUCCACGAUUGAGCAGCAGAACCGCACCGUUGAUGGACUACGAAAUGAGUUGAGAGCAGGCUUCAACUCACAAGAUCAAUCAGUUUCAAACCUCGAGAAAAUGGUGGGACAACUUGCUUCUUCAGUUCAGACCUUGGCAAUGACUGUUGAGAAAGGAAAAUUUCCAAGUCAACCAGUGCCUAAUCCUAAAGGAGUGCAUGAAGCAAGUACCAGUUCACCACAGCAGCAUGGGGAGGUCAAAGCAGUCAUGACCUUGCGAAAAGGAAAGGAAGUCGACAACAAAGUGGAGAUGCCGGUGACAAAAGAAAAUCAAAUUGUACCUGUGAAUGUUGAGGACUCACCACCGGAGGAAAAAGAAGAAACCAACCCACGAGAAUAUGUUCCUAAAGCUCCAUUUCCUCAGAGGUUAGCGAAAGGAAAGAAGGGAAAUUCCACAGGUGAGAUUCUCGAAAUCUUCAAACAGGUAAGUGUUAACAUCCCUUUACUUGAUGCUAUAAAGCAAGUUCCAUCUUAUGCUAAGUUUCUUAAAGACCUUUGUACUAAAAAGAGAAAUAUGCAUGUUCAAAAGAAGGCAUUUUUAACAGAAAACGUUAGUUCUAUACUCCAACAUAAAAUUCCUUUAAAAUGCAAAGACCCAGGCUCCCCCACUAUCUCAUGUAGUAUAGGGAACCACACAAUUGAGAAUGCUUUGUUGGAUUUAGGAGCUAGUGUAAAUCUUUUGCCUUACUCUGUAUUCGUGAAACUUGGACUGGGAGAAUUACACCCAACUCCAGUGGUGUUACAGCUUGCAGAUCGGUCCACGAAAAUACCUCGUGGUAUUGUGGAGGACGUGCUUAUCCAGGUAGACAAGUUUUAUUUUCCUGUUGAUUUCAUUGUAAUUGACACUCAACCAAUACAGGAUUCAAGGAAGCACAUCCCCAUUAUUCUAGGCCAACCUUUCUUGGCAACUGCGGAUGCUCACAUUCAAUGCAGGACUGGAAAUAUGCAAUUGUCCCUCGGCAACAUGACUAUGGAGCUGAACAUCUUCAAUAUUGCCAAACAACCUCAUAAUGCAGAUGAUAGAAUUGUAGACGUGGAUUUAAUUGAAGCAUUAGUUGAUGAUACUUUUGUUUCAAACCUUAGUGAUGAUCCUUUACAAACAUGUUUAACUCACUUUGGUUUGGAUUUUGAUAUUGACAGAUCGGUCGAAGAGGUCAACGCCCUGCUUGACUCAGCACCAUACAUGGACACUAAUAAAUGGAAGUUAAGAGUUGAACAACUAGCACCAUCAGAGAAGAAACUCAUCCCAUCAUCAGAAUCACCACCGAAACUCGAGGUCAAACCAUUGCCCAACACAUUGGAAUAUGCAUUUUUGGGAGAAGAAAUUACUUUGCCGGUAAUCAUCUCAUCAUCCCUAAAUGACGAACAAAAAGGUAAGUUGUUGGAUGUUUUAAAAGAGCACAAAGGAGCAUUAUGAUGGACCAUAGCAGACAUAAAAGGUAUAAACCCAGUAGACUGCAUGCAUUACAUUCACCUUGAUGAAAAUGCUAAAUCUACUAGGAAAAUGCAACGUCGGUUAAAUCCUAAUAUGAAAGAAGUUGUUAGAACAGAAGUCCUUAAGCUAUUAGACGCAGGUAUCAUUUACCCAAUUUCUGAUAGUUCAUGGGUCAGUCCUGUACAAGUUGUCCCCAAAAAGUCAGGAGUCACAGUAGUUACGAAUGCUGAUAAUGAAUUGAUACCCACUAGAGUAACUACAGGAUGGCGUGUAUGCAUUGAUUAUAGAAAGUUGAAUUCUGUCACACGUAAAGACCAUUUUCCUUUACCAUUUAUUGAUCAAAUGCUUGAUAGAUUAGUAGGCCAUGAAUUUUAUUGCUUUCUAGAUGGCUACUCAGGAUAUAAUCAGAUUCCCAUAGCACCAAAAGAUCAGGAGAAAACUACUUUCACUUGCCCUUUUGGCACAUUUGCAUAUAGGAGAAUGCCAUUUGGAUUAUGUAAUGCACCUGCUACAUUUCAACGAUGCAUGUUGAGCAUUUUUUCUGAUAUGGUUGAACAAUUCCUUGAAGUCUUUAUGGAUGACUUUUCUGUUUUUGGUAACUCGUUUGAUCAAUGUUUACAUCAUCUAACGCUAGUUCUGCAGAGAUGUAUCGAGAAGAAUUUAGUCUUAAAUUGGGAGAAAUGCCAUUUUAUGGUAAAACAAGGUAUUGUUCUCGGUCACAUCAUUUCGAGCAAAGGUAUUGAGGUUGACAAAGCCAAGGUGGAUCUCAUUUCUAAUCUUCCUCCACCUAAAACAGUCAGAGAAGUACGAUCUUUCCUUGGACAUGCUGGUUUCUAUAGACGUUUCAUUAAAGAUUUUAGCAAAGUUUCUAGACCCUUAUGCAAUUUACUUGCUAAGGAUGUACCUUUUAUCUUUAAUGAUUCAUGUCUCAUGGCGUUUGAAAAAUUAAAGCAAUUGUUGACAUCAUCACCCAUCAUUCAGGCCCCAAACUGGAGCUUACCAUUCGAGCUCAUGUGUGAUGCAUCUGAUUAUGCAGUAGGAGCAGUAUUAGGACAAAGAGUUGAUCGAAUUCCCCAUGUUAUUUACUAUGCUAGUAUGACAUUCAAUGAUGCACAGUUGAAUUAUUCAACUACUGAAAAAGAAAUGCUAGCAGUAGUGUUUGCAUUAGAAAAAUUUCGAUCUUAUCUCAUUGGUUGUAAAAUAAUUAUAUUCACAGAUCAUGCUGCUCUUAAAUAUCUUCUCACAAAGAAAGAUGCAAAAGCUAGACUAAUUCGUUGGGUAUUACUUUUGCAGGAAUUUGACUUGGAAUUCAAAGAUAAGAAAGGCACAGAAAAUGUCGUGGCGGACCAUCUCUCUCGUCUCCAUUUUGACACAAUUACAGAGCCAUUAAUAUUAAAUGAGUCAUUUCCAGAUGAACAAUUAAUGAGUGUGGAAGUAUUACCUUGGUAUGCUGAUAUAGUUAAUUAUCUUGUUACAGGUAAACUUCCAGAGCAUUGGACCAAGCAAGACAAGGCUAAAUUCUUUGCGGAAAUAAAGAAUUUCUUUUGGGAUGACCCAUAUUUGUUCAAGUAUUGUGCAGACCAAAUUGUUAGACGAUGUGUCCCUGAAAAUGAAAUUCAGAAUAUUCUUUCAUUCUGCCAUGAACAAGCUUGUGGAGGCCAUUUCAGUGCUAAGAAAACAACGACUAAAGUUUUACAAUGUGGUUUCUAUUGGCCAACUAUAUUUCGAGACGCUUACACUUUCUGUUCUUCAUGUGAUAGGUGUCAACGAAUGGGGAGCAUUACACGAAGGAACAUGAUGCCACUAAAUCCAAUUUUAGUGGUUGAGAUUUUUGAUGUAUGGGGUAUCGACUUCAUGGGACCCUUUCCCUCUUCUUUUGGCCAUCAAUACAUAUUGGUUGGUGUUGACUACGUCUCAAAAUGGGUAGAAGCAAUUCCAUGUAGAACCAAUGAUCACAAAGUGGUGAUAGGAUUUUUGAAAAGCAACAUUGUCUCACGCUUUGGAUUCCCUCGAGCAAUAAUCAGUGAUGGUGGUGCCCACUUUUGUAACAAAGCAUUCAAAGCUCUUUUGACAAAGUAUUCAAUCACACACAAAGUGGCAACCCCUUAUCAUCCGCAAACCAGUGGCCAAGUUGAGAUCUCCAAUCGAGAAAUAAAGCAUAUAUUAGAAAAGACGGUGAGGCCAGACAGAAAAGAUUGGUCAUUAAGACUUGAUGAUGCAUUAUGGGCAUAUAGAACGGCUUUCAAGACCCCGAUUGGGAUGUCACCCUACAGGCUAGUGUAUGGAAAAGCUUGCCACCUACCUGUGGAACUCGAGCAUCGUGCAUAUUGGGCCAUCAAGAAAUUCAACUUUGACAUGCAGCAAGCCAGCUCAGAAAGAAGAUUACAACUGGCAGAACUUGAAGAAAUUCGCAAUGAUGCAUACGAAAAUGCCAAAAUUUACAAGCAACGAAUGAAAGUCUUUCAUGACAAGCACAUUAUGAGAAAAUCGUUCACUCCAGGUCAGAAAGUGCUUUUAUUCAAUUCUCGCUUGCACCUAUUCCCAGGUAAGUUACGCUCUCGAUGGUCUGGUCCAUUUAUUGUUCAUACUAUUUUUCCACAUGGGGCAAUUGAAAUUAAGGACCCAAAGAACGGUGUCACGUUUAAAGUUAAUGGUCAAAGAUUAAAGCCAUAUCUUGAGUACCAACCACAUGGAGAAGACACCGAAAUAAAUUUGAGUGACCCACCAGAUUUGAAUUGAUUUUUUUUCUUUUUGUUGAUUUGAUUUUUCUUUCUUUUUAUUAUUCUUUUGCUAAUUGAAAUUAUUUUUGCAUAAGUGUGUUUGUUUUACCAUUAAGUUUUCUUUUCUCUUAUCAUUGUUAAUCAUGAGUACCAUACUUAGACCGUUCCUCCUGAACAUUCUUAAACCACUUCAACGUGUCAAAACUCAUCUCAAAAAGCAGAUUCAAUUUUGUAAAACACAACGCAUUUGGGCUCUACAACCACCAGAGUUAGUAGCCUAUGUUGAGGGUUUAGAAUGCCAACUCAGAGACAUUGAGAGAAGUGUUUACGACAUCCAGUUAGAGCUUGAGGUAAAUUCAAUAAGAGGACGAUUUUAAUUUUCUUUGUGUGUUUUAAUUUGUUUUUCUGUUUGUGUGUUUUAGUUUGUUACCCCGGUGAAAUGGCGGAUAACGGUACUCCGUGACAAUCAAGUCGGUUACUUCAGUUUCCCAUAAUAACUGACAUUCUGAGGCGAAAGUAUGGACAGAAAAGAGAUUCUAGCAAAGCUUCACAAGCGAUUCCCUUCACUUCCUCAGAAUGCCCUCCUUACGAUCUAUAAAGCUCGGUCCGAACGCAUGCGAUUACUCAUGAAGAAUAACAUACCUGCUGACAUCCGUUGGUUAAUCGAGGCUAAAGUACGAUCGGCAGGUGAGUUUCCUCCAAAAUUUAUUGCAUACAUGCCUGGUUGUGGUAAAGGAAAUUAUGCAAGAAAACGACGAGCUCGAAGAAUUUCUGUUGCUUGUCAUAAGUGUGCUAGAAUGAGUUGCGAUAGAAACCCAUGUUCUUUAGGAAUGGUGUCUGAUAACAGGGAAGAUAAGAUUUAAUUCAUUAGGGAUGGCUUGAAUAAGGAGUCAUUGGAUGAUAUCCUUUUGUCUCUUGAAACGCAUCCUAGUGGAUAUGUGCAAGGAGCGAUUCUCCAGUUAUGGCCAUUAUUCCAGAAAGAGCAUGCACGAUAUAGUCUCGGGAAUCUGACUAUAAACGACCCUGUUUGCCAGUUUAUAAGAAAACUGGAUAGGAAGCCUAUCCUCGACCCAUAGAGGGCGUUCAAGCCGUUUCUGGACGUAAAACCAGAGGAAGAUGUGAGCCACAGUCGCAACUACGUGUAAAUAUCCUUUUACUUUACUGUUAUUUUAUUUCAUUUCACUGUUGUUUUAUUGUUUGCAUUAUUGUCUUUAAUAAUUUUGUUACUGUUUGCUUUUUCCUUUUUACUGUUUCCUUUUUGACUCACGAGCCACGUGCUUAACGCGUUAUUUGACACUGACAUGCCACCCCAUACACAGUUGUGACCCACUGUCACCAAGAUUCUUAAAUAUGACUUUUUGUUAAGCACUCACAAAUUGUUUCUGAGAAAUAUUCCAAUGGCAGCUACUCCUAAUAGACAAUUCAAGAACAUUUGUGUGCUUUCUGGAUUUACCUAUGGCAAACAUAAAGAGUUCGUGGAGGCAGCCAUAGAUCUUGGUCGAAGCAUAGCAGCGAGAAAAUUACACUUGGUGUAUGGAGGAGGUAACCGAGGGUUAUCAAAAAUGGUCUCAGAAGCAGCUUUUAUCAGAGGAAGUCAAGUGUUAGGCAUCAUCCCAAGAGUCCUAAAACCAUUGGGCAGUUCGUCUGACUCAUCAACUGGAGAAGAGUUAGUCGUCUCAGGUAUGCAAGAAAGAAUAACUGAAAUGCUUAAUCAUGCUGAUGCUUUUAUUUUCCUUCCAGGAGAUCUUGCAACACUAGAGGCACUUAUGACACUAGCAUCUUGAGCCCAUCUACACAUUCACCAGAAACCCAUCGGUUUGUUAAAUGUCAAUAACUUUUAUGAUGGCUUUAUCGCAUUUCUUAACCAUGCAAUAAAAAACUAUUUCAUUCCUUCUAAUGUGAAAAAACUCUUUAUUUGUGCUCACACUGCUAAUGAGCUACUUGAUAUGUUACAAGCUUAUAAACCGGAGCCAGACCCCUGGACCUUUGUGUUGGAGCGACCAAAUAAUGAUGGUAACAGUAGCCGCAGUAAGAAGUACAAAUUAGAUUUAACUCUCCGCCUGUAAAUAUUUUCUUCUGUGUUGCACCACCCAGGUGAUGUCUUCUAAACUCUACUUCUUUCAUUUCAAACAUUGAGGACAAUGUUUCGUUCUGGUUGGGGGGAGGGAAUAGUCGACAGUUGUGGAAUCUUGGUUAAAUUUUUACUGAUUUUUUGUUGUAGAAACUAACUGUUGCUAACUUUUUAUGUUGAAGAUGGCUGAAUAUGGAGUGUAGUGACUCUAGAAACGCAUUUUCAUCGUUUAAAAAAAAUUAAAAAAAAACUAAAAAAAAAUUUCAGACAGUUUCUUUUUUUUUUCUUUCUUUAUUCUGUUUUUAUGUUUAUUUUUCUUCUUUUUAAUUUCUCCUCUAUAAAUAUACAUUUUCCAACUUGUGAGUCGAAGAUGGCUGAAUAUGGAGUGUAGUGCCUCUAGAAACGCAUCUUCUUAAAAAAAAAAAAAAAAAAAACCCAUUUUCUUUUUCUAUCAUUUUACGUGUAACUUUUCUAAUUAGUUUUUAUGCAUCAUUUUCACAUUUCUGCAUGCAUAUUUUCCUUUCAUGUUUAGAAUAGGUUGGGGGGUAGAAUGUUGUUUAAAAAAAAAAAAAUUGUGUUAUUUGUUUUAACAUUGGAUGACAUGAUUAAUUUCAAAUUUUAGUAUUUGUAUUAUCUUUGGUCUUAAGUGAUGUUACGCUAUGUUUGCUACUUUACAUGUUGAUGUCGGAGACAAAUAUGAGUUGCUUGAAGGAAUGAACAUGUCAUAAAUAAGUGCCAAGUGAGUUGUUGAGCCUAUCAUUUUCUUGGAGAGUAACACUUUUGCCCAUUCUCUAUACAGCUUAGCAGUUUAUUAGUUUAUACACGAUCUCUAGAUUUCUUUUGAGUUAACCCUUUAAAAAAAAAUGUGUGUUGCUACAUUGGGAGACCCAUCUAACUAGUAGAUAUGGAUAAUUAUUUAGAGCCCUAAAAGACGAUGGAAAGGCCAUAUUUGAUCCGUUUGAGCCUUUCUAGCCAUCCCUUUUAUUAAAUAUCCAUAGUUACCCCUUUUGAGCCUUUUUUUAAAAAAAAAAGAGAACAAAAACAUUUUCUUUGUCAACUUAUCAUCUUGACCCACUCCGAUUUGGAGUAUUACCCAAUGUCUUUUAAGUUCCAUCACCUAUUUAUGUUUGAGAAAAUGUAAAUAAUGAUGUUGUUCAGUGAAGUUAUGCCAAAUAAAAGCAAAAAAAAAAAAAAAAAAACAAAAGUUGUUGUUUCAAAAGAAUAAAAAUAACAAUAAUAGGUGAAAUCCACCUUGCAACUUCAAAAAAAAAUAUAUAUAUUUCUGCAUUUUUCUCAAACAUACACUUUGUUUUCCUUAUUUCCUUUCUUUGUUAGCCAUAUCCCUAGCCUACGUUAUGUCCUAAUAAAAGUCCUUCUUGAUUUUAGGGAACUAUAGUUUGAAGUAGAAGCUAGUUAUAUGGGCUAAAAAGAUGUAGUGAUGCAUAAUAAAAAAAAAAAAGAUAAAUAAAGUGGGUUGACUAACAUUUUAUUUGACUUGAGAUCGUAUUAUUUCUAAGCUAAGGGCAUAUUUAUUUCAUCUUGGUGAGAGCAUGUGAUAUCACUUCUUCAUUAUUUUCUCUCAAUUACCAUUCAUUGGAGUGACUAUUUUUUUAGGUUUAAUUUCUUUGUGAGAGUGUCACUACUUCCAGUGAGAUUUUGGGUUUUGACAUGUCAUUCUUGAAAGUAGUUAUAACAAAGUCUACUGGCCGAUUCAUGUGGAUGGUUGAUGUGGGUGUGAUGUUGUUUUAGACUGGAGAUAAUACUUAUACUUUUAUUUGAUUGCUAUCAUUAAUCUGAUUGAAUAAACACGAGUGUUUCUAAAAAAAAAAAAAAAAAUUAUUUUGAAUUUGAAUUUUGUUUUCGCUUUAUUUGCUAGGGACUAACAUUAAGCUGGUUGGGGGGUGUGUUGAGUGUUAGAAAAUGCAUAUUUAUAAAGGAGAAAACCAUCAUUUUACAUUUCAAGUCUUACUAACAACUCUUACUUUUAUGUAUUUAACCUUCUUGUAAUAUAAUUACGUGUGUUUUAUUUUAAUUAAGUAUUUUAUGUAUUUUAGGGGCAUUAUAGUCAUUUCACAAUAAAGGAGAGAUCAGGCGGCAAAACGGACAUCACUUUUGAACUCAGGACGGUCGAAAACCUUAGGAGGAGCAUAAAAGGAAAAAUGGCACUAUUCAUAUGUACGGUACUAUUCACGUGUACGGUAUUAACUACGUUACUGUUCACAACACUGUUCACAUAGACGGAUCGAUGACGUGGCAUUGACCGAUGAUGUGGCAUUGACUGAUGAGGUGUCACGAUCCUGUUGAGCUAAAAUUCUUAUGUACUGUUGAUGGUGACGUGGCAGUAUAUCAGUGGAUGAAAAAUCUCGCGUACGGUACAUGCAUCACACAGGAUUAUUUUCAACCAAACCGCGUUACUGUUCAUCCGAGUCAAACCGUGUUACUGUUUAUCCGAGUCAAACCGUGUUACUGUUCAUCCGCGUGGUCAAACCGUGGACUGUUGACUUAUGACGUGGCGCAAUCCUGAGCGUCCAAACUGUUUUUAAUCCGAUGGCCAUGAUUUACUCCAUGUAUCUAUAAAAAGGGGGCCUUCCCCCCCUAAUUUGAUAGCUCUGAAUCCAUUUUUGGGAUCCAUUUUCUGUAAUUCCUUCUCCAUCUUGUAUUUUCUUUGUAUUUUAAUAAAUUCCCAUUUUGCCCCUAGUUCAAUUAUGAGUGGCUAAUUUUCUUUCAAGCUUGGGUUGAAGGUGAAGUCUCAACAUGUGUCAUGGGCUUAAUUUGGUAAAUUUAUUUUCUCUUCCCCUCUAGUUUUUGUGGAUGUUUUGACUUCUCGUCGACAAAUAAUAAUAAUCUUGUCUAGAUACCGCCUUGGUUACACCGGCUCUCUAGUAUAAGGUUAUUAUUAUUUGGCACGAUAAGCCCUUAGCACCAUAUUGAUUAGAGCGUGGUUCAUGAGGUGUGGAUUCCCCCCUCAUGAUUUAAUUGGCAUUAAUAAAGAUUAUUUAGCCCAUGAUGCAUGUUGAUACGGAUCCAGAUACCCAAGUACGUCAUUUUAAUAGAAUUCUCUUCAAUUUAUUCUCGCCAUUUCAAUUCCAAUUUUAGAAUUUAUUCUCGCCAUUUUAAUUUAAGUUUUAGCAUAUCCCAAAUCAUUUCCACCACAAAUCCAAUCACCCAUUUACAAAAUUAAUUCUACACAAUUAAAAUCCACCUCCUCGUGGGAUCGACACUCGUCACCAUUAGUCUAUACUACAAUAGAUUCGUGCGCUUGCGAGUACAUUAAAAUUUGCACAACACACUUCAACAUGUUUAGUUCUGUCAUGAUGAAUAGGGUUAUGAGCAAUGUUUAUUGCUGCCUUGUUGUCACAAUACAACUUCAUAGGAACAUCAAUGAUAAUCUUCAAUUCUUCAAGUAGCUUCUUUAACCACAAAAGUUCACAAAUACCAUAUGCUACUGCUCUAAAUUCAGCUUCAGCACUGCUUCUUGCAACCACUGAUUGCUUCUUACUCCUCCAAGUUACCAAGUUUCCUCCCACAAAUGUGCAAUACCCUGAAGUUGACCUUCUAUCAAUAAUAGAUCCAGCCCAAUCUGCAUCAGUAUAUACUUCAACUUGCAUAUUGUUAUUUUUCUUGAAUAGCAGGCCUUUUCCUGGAGUUUUUUUCAGGUACUUGAGAACCUUGUAAACAGCUUCUAAGUGCUCUUUACAUGGAGAGUGCAUAAAUUGACUAAUAACACUUACUGCAAAGGCUAUGUCUGGCCUAGUAUGAGACAAGUAUAUCAACUUACCAACCAACCUUUGGUAACUUUCUCUAUCCACUGAUUUUCCUUCAAUUGCAUAUCCCAAUUUGUGAUAAGGAUCAAUAGGAGUGUCUCCAGGUUUGCAUCCCAACAUGCCAGUUUCCUUGAGUAAGUCUAAAGUAUAUUUCCUUUGAGAAACAAAAAUGCCUUUACUGGAUCUUGCAAUUUCCAUGCCCAAAAAAUAUCUUAAGGGGCCAAGGUCCUUCAUCUCAAAUUCUCUAGCAAGAACCUUCUUGAGAUUUUCCAUUUCUAUUACAUUGCUUCCAGUCAAGAUGAUAUCGUCUACAUAUACAAUGAGGAUCACAACACUACCAUCAGUGAAGUGUUUAAAAAACAUUGUAUGAUCUGCUUGACUCUGUAAAUAUCCAAAGCUAUGAACAGAUUUGGUAAAUCUGUCAAACCAAGCUCGAGGAGAUUGUUUUAAGCCGUAAAGUGAUCUCUUCAGCUUGCACACUUUUUCAAUACCAUAUUCAUUCUCAAAACCUGGUGGCAGAUCCAUAUAUACCUCUUCUUCAAGCUCUCCAUUAAGAAACGCAUUCUUAACAUCUAAUUGUUGUAGUUGCCAUCCUAAGCUUGCUGCAAGAGACAACAAAACCCGAAUGGAAUUCAUUUUUGCCACGGGAGCAAAUGUUUCUUGGUAGUCAAUGCUAUAUGUUUGUGUAAAACCUUUCGCGACAAGCCUAGCUUUGUACCUCUCAAGUGACCCAUCUGCUCUGUAUUUAACUGUAAAAAUCCACUUGCAACCCACUGGUUUUUUUCCUUCUGGUAAUUUAACUAGUUCCCAAGUUUUGCUUUUUUCUAGAGCUCUCAUCUCUGCAUACCCAGCAUCUCUCCAUUCUGGAAUAGAAAGAGCAUCUUGUACAGAUUUUGGAAUUGCUAUGACAGACAGGUUAGCUGCAAAAGCUCUAAAAGAUGGAGAUAAUCUAUGAUAUGACACAUACUUAGAAAUUGGAUGAAGAGUACAAGACCUAGUUCCUUUUCGUAGUGCAAUUGGAACAUCUAGAUCAUUUGUAGUUUCUAAAACAGAUUCUGAAAUAGGAUUAGAAUGAAUGUUACCUGCAAGUUCCAAGUUGCCUGUGUUUGGAUCCGAGUCUUGGCAGUGAGGAGAGGAAUGAUGAUUUGACCUUUUCGAAUUCCGUCGUGUGUAGACUUGAAGCUAUGGUUCUGGAACUCUCUCUAAUGAUUUUUCAUUAUUCAUAAUUGAUGGCAUUGUAGAAGGAACAUGAGGUACACAAGACAUAAUAGGCAUUGGAAGAGAUAAUUCCCAAAAAUGAUCUUCCGGAGUAUGAUUCUCCCCCUGAAGAGAAGUUUUGGGAAAGAAAGAUCUAUUUUCAAAAAAUGUGACAUCCAUUGUGAUGAAGAAUUUUUUAGACAAUGGAUCAUAACAUUUGUAGCCUUUUUGAGUAGGAGAAUAGCUAAGAAAUACACAUUUUAAAGCUCUAGGAUCAAGUUUGCUCAUGUUCUAUGUAUGAAUGUGAACAAAAGCAAUGCACCCAAAAAUCUUGGGUGGUAAAGAUGUGAAAAACUUAGCGGUAGGAUAGAAUUUUGUGAAAACAUUUAAUGGAGACUGAAAAUUAAAGAUUCGGGUAGGCAUGCGAUUUAUCAAGUAUGAUGCUGUGAGAAUGGCUUCACCCCAAAACUGUUUUGGCACCCUAUUUGUGAACAUAAGAGAGCGUGCAACUUCUAACAAGUGUUGAUUUUUCCGUUCAGCAAUACCAUUUUGCUGAGGAGUAUCUACACAAGAGGAUUGGUGCACAAUGCCAUUUUCCAUGAAAUAAUGACCAAGGGCAGUAGAAAAAUAUGCUCUCCCAUUGUCAGUUCUAAAGACUUGGAUUUUUGCUUGAAAUUGUGUUUGAAUCAUGGUAUGAAAGGUUUUAAAAACUGUUGCAGUUUCUGAUUUUUCUUUAAGCAAGUACACCCAACAAACACGAGUGUGGUCAUCAAUAAAAGUUAUGAACCAUUUAGCCCCCGAAAUGUUUGUAACAUGAGAGGGUCCCCAAAUAUCACUGUGUAUGAGAGAAAAAUGUUCAGAUUUUUUAUACGGCUGUGAAGGAAAAGAUACACGAUGAUGUUUGGACAAUACACAAAUUUCACACUGAAACAAAGAAGGAUUUUUAUUCUUGAACAACAAAGAAAACAAGUGUUGUAAAUAAGAAAAACUAGGAUGACCUAAUCGGAGAUGCCACAACAUUAUUUUAUCUUUAAUAGAGAAAGUUAGUUCAUUAUUUGUUGCCUGAGCUUCUCCACACAAACUAACAUCCUCCUCGAAGUAGUACAAACCAUCUACCUCUCUAGCACUGCCAAUUUUCUUCCCUGAACACAGGUCCUGAAAUUCACAAUAGGAAGGAGAGAAUUUAGCAAUGCAAUGAAGAUCCUUGGUAAUUUUGCUAACAGAUAAAAGAUUACAAGACAAAUUAGGAACAUGAAGAACAGAUGUUAACACCAAAUUUGUAGAGAUAGGAAUAGAUCCUUUUCCUGCUGCAGAAGAUAGUGAACCAUCAGCAAUUUUAAUUUUUUGACUACCAGGACAUGGAAUAUAUGAAUAAAAUAAUUUAGAAUGGCUAGUCAUAUGAUCGGUUGCUCCUGAAUCGAUGAUCCAUGGAUCUUUUUUCUCAUAAACAACUCCUAAAGCACUGAAAUCAUUACCUUUCUGGGCUAAAGAACUAGAAGAUGAAGGAUUUGGGAGAGAUUGUGACUGAUUAAGAAACUUGUACAGUUGCUCUAACUGUUCUUUAGUGAAGAGUUGAGAUUCGGAUUCUCCAGUGUUGAUUGUCGGCUGAUUCUCCCCAAAAACUUGAAAACCUCGACUAUGUUUACCAGAGAAUUUAUUGUUUUUCAAAUUUGGAGGUUUUCCAUGAAGCUUCCAACAUGCAUCUCUGGUAUGUCUUGGCUUGUGACAAUAAUCACACCAAACUCUGUCCUUCUCAUCACUCUUCUUCAGGUUUUUUGUUCCCCCAAUCAGUGGAGCUUCUGGUGUAACAGAGAUCAAGGCUGAGUUCUCUGCUGAAGAACCUCCCAUCAUCACAUUCUUUCUACUUUCCUCUCUUUUUACAUAAGAAAACACUUCCCUGGUAGAAGGAAGAGGUUCCUUGCCAAGUACUCGCCCACGGACUUCAUCAAGGUCUGAACUCAAACCUGCUAAGAAUUCAAAUACACGCUCUUUUUCUAACAUCUUCUUGUAUUUAGCACUAUCAGCAGCACAUUCCCACUCGCCAUCAUAGUACUGAUCUAACUCUUGCCAUAAGCCCUUCAAAAUAUUGUAGUAUUUAGUCACUCCUUGACUACCUUGUUUGGUUUCUCGAAUUCUGGUUUUCAGAUCAUAAAUCUGAGCAGAAUUUCCCAAAUCAGAAUAGGUCUCGGUGACAGCAUCCCACAAAUCCUUUGCUGUUGGCAGAAACAAGUAAGUUUGACCUAUCUCCGAUUCCAUUGAAUUCACUAACCAUGACAUGAUCAUUGAGUUGUCAGCAGCCCAAGUAUGAAACUUUGGGUCUUCUUCAGUUGGUUCUUUAAUUGAACCAGUAAGGUAACCAAUCUUCCCUUUACCUCUGAUAAACAUCUUCACAGAUUGGGACCACUGAAGAAAAUUUUGACCAUUCAAUUUAUGGAUUGUGAUCUAAAGUGAUGGACUAUCAUUAGAAACAUAACUUGAUAGUUGUAGAUGUCGUUGCAAUUGCUCUGAAGAUAACUCAGAAGUUUCUUGCUCGCUAUACUUUGAUAUUGGUAUUCAAAUAGAAUUGAAAACUAAAUCCAAGAAUCAAAGAGCGACUCUGAUACCAUGAGAAAAUUAUUGAAGAAAUAUGUAUCUCCUUUUCUUAUUUUUACAAUAGGGUUACACAAUACAUAUAUAUAUAUUCUAAACUACAUAAUGUGCUAGAGUAGGAAAGUAAACAACUAACUGCAGACCAAGAAACUAGGAAACAAACUCUAUCUAAAAAACUGAAAUUCUAUCCCUAUUUUUUUUCCUUUCUAUCCCUAUCUUUUUUCCUUAAAAAUAGGAUAGAAAACAAGUGACUUUUCCACAGCCCUUUUGGACAAAAAUGAUUUCCUGCUAAUUUUGAGAAUAAAACCAUAGACAUCUAACUUCUGAUAUCUAGUCAAUCUGGUAAAAUCUUGGCAGUUGCACUUGGGGCAUAAAUUAGUUCCACCUUGGUUUAAGGACAGAAAUUCGUCAUAUGCAUGUAUUUAUUUAUGUUUUAUACACACACACAUGCAUGUACACACAAACACUACCUUCACUUUGAAGAAAAGAUUAAAAUAACACUGCUCACAUACACAAUACUUACUAUUCUAGUUCGUGUAACUUUCUCCGGAGUCACAAACAGGUCACAGAAUUCACGUAUUAACCGCAUACUUCUAGUCAUUUCUAUUCCUCCUUCACCAUCACUUGUCCCACAAUUACAAAAAGUGAGAGGUAAUAACCAACAUAUUUGGGUUGCUCUUCGGUAAGGGGUGGGAGGUAAGGGUUAGUUGUGGAGGGCACCUAGUACAGAAUCAAGGCCAGCUGUUGGGAAUUUGAUCUCCUGUAACAUAUACUUGUUCAUCAUAAACUAUAUACUUAUUCUGCAGUCGAUGUGUGCAUAUAGCUCUUCAAUUAUCCAGUAAUAACUCACCAUCAACUUCCUGCCAUCUUUCACGGCUAAUUCAGCAGCCAUUUUUGCCUGCUUAAAGGUCAAAAGCCCAAACUAAGCAGAUGCUCCUACUCCGAUACUUAUUAUCUAACUACUACAGAACAGAUGAUACGCAUCAAGUUGUAUCAAGAGAGACACCAAGUUGUGUUUUCCAAGAGGUUCCAAAGAGGUUUUGUUUCUUUGUGUAAUUUUUAGACUGCUUUGACAACUCAUCUUAAAGGUGCCACUCAUCCAAUAUGAUGUGGUGACAGUAGUUUAGAGUUUUAAACUAAAUGCAGAGCUAAUAGUAUUUUGGAAUAUAAUCAUCCUAAGAUACUAUAACACAGGGAUUCUUACACAAAAACAACAACUUCGAUGUAGAGAGAAGAUGAUUUCACAAAAGCAGAUGUUUUGAUUUAAGUCUCCAAAACCCCCACCAAAGAAAUGUUCAACAGAUAUAGAAAUAUGAUCCACAUAUCUGUAACUUAAACUGUGAAAGUUGUUGAUGUUGUUCUAAAAUUGCCACAAUCUAUCUACCCCAUGAAUGUUUUUGGAUAAAACAACAAGCAGGACCCAAUGCCUGUUUUCUAAUAGCUUCAAAAAGGCCAAAUUGGUUUUGAAAUGUCUCCAGCUUUUCAUUUAAUAAGAGAGAGAGAGAGAGAGAAGAAUCGCUCCCCUUUCAAAUACCGUGCUCUUUUGUACCUGGGAAUUUAACUAAUUCUUGCGAAUAAAAAAAUUUAUAAAUUUGGUAAAUUAUUUAUUAAAAAAUAUUGAGAGGCUGUGCAUUAUUUUAUUAGUAAAGAUAUAGUUAUCAUCAAAUUAGUUAUAUUAAAAUAGUUUUUGACUCACGUAAUUUAUUUUUAUUAUUUUUAUAUAUAUAUUUAAUUAAUAAAUUUAUGUUAUAUUCAUUUGUAUAAAAAUGUACAGUUCUAUCCUCACUCUUAUUUUAUUUUUAUUAUUUUUUCAGAAAAUGGUAUGCGUUAUUAAGGUUAAGGGUGACAACUGGGAUCAAUAUACGGUUUAUUCGAGUGCUUAAAACCUAAUAAAUAUCCACUAACUCAUAUUUAAUUAAAAUAUAAUUAUUUUUAAAUAAAAAAAUUUAAUAUAAACUAAACAAAUUGAUUGGAUUUUGUUUCUAAAGGUACAUCAUUAGAACGUUACCUUUAAUUGAACAAAAGCACACAUAACUAGCACAUUCGCCACAAAAGCCUCAGCUUAGUGGUCGGCUUAUUAAUUAUCUUAAUAAAAUCAUGGUCAUAAAUUUGAGUCCCCGUAGGAAUUAUUAGGUUAGGUAGCUUUUUUAGACUACAAAAGCUUUUUUAGACUACUCAUUCAUUUAAUUUUCCGUUAUAUAUAUUCAUCUUUUUUAGAGGCCAAGAAGUCUUCGACAGAAAUGUGAUCUUUUUCUAGUUGCCUCCCGGUGAUGAGCUUCUCCCAAGUUUCAAUUAAUUCGCUUUGAGUGAGGAUAUUUUCUGGUGGCCUCAAAUACAAUGUCUUGUUCAGCACUCAAGGGUCAUCUAUUGUCUUAAUAGUAUAUGUGGCAACAUCAUCAAGAUGCACUAUAGAAAAAAAGAUAAUCAUUUUGUUUAAUAUGAACAUAAAUUCUUACAGUCUAACUCAUAUUAUAGUGAACGAUGCUGUUAUGUGGUGCGUGCAUGCACUAUCUAUAGUUUUAAUAUUAUUAAUAAAGAGUUAAAAGUCUUGAUUUAAUUUUAAAUUGUCAUUCCUCUAACUUCACCGUCUUCAUAGAUGCAGACUUUAUCUUUUGAAGGGUGAGGGUAGCUAUAUUUGAGAGAGGUGUCUAGGGAACCAACCAGCAAAAAACAGCUAGCAGAAACAUAAAUGACAGGGAUUUGAGCAGCCUUGAUUGCCCUUCUCACACAUGCGCUCUGCGUUCUCCCUCCCGCUCUCACUCACUCACGCCCAAAUCUCACCUCACUCACGCAUCUCUCCUUCUGACCGGUGGUUUUCUCUCUCUCGCCGUGGGUCUCAAGGCUGGCAGGGAUUUCUCGACUUGACUACUAAAACAUAAUCCAAAAACUACUAAGAGAUGUAUAUAUUACUCUGAUAUACACAAUAUGAAGAAACUGCAGUUAUAUUUCAAAUAUUAUAUGAAGGAAGAGGCUGUAUGGAUUAUCUAAAGGUGCUGAAAUUAAGAGACCUAUUGAAAAGUCAUGCAUGUGGUAAUUUUUCAAAGAGCUACCAAACAUUUGAAGAAAAAAUGGAAAGUUGGCAAAUUUGUCAAAUUUGCCAAAUGGACACCAUUGACUAUUGGCUUAGGUUAGGUGGAAUGGUAAAGGGGUUGGUGCAAUAGUGCCAUUAUUUUUCCUAUAAAUAGAUGGCACUUUUUCCAUUCUUUUGCAUCCCAAAAUUGUUAAGCUUAUAAGUUUCUAAGCUUUUGAGAGAAGUGAGAGAAGUGUGUCUGGGGAAUUUAUCUUUCCUGCAGAGUGUGAGAGUACUGGGUAUAUUUUGGGUUUCUGGGAAGUGAGAUUCGUUACUCAAAUAUUGUACUCUAUUAAUUGUUAAAUAAACAAUUAUUCUUUCUUGCCUCCGUGGAUGUAGGUUUAAUUACCGAACCACAUAAUUCUUGUGUCCUUUAUUUUUUCUAUAAUUAUUUGGUGCGCUUGAUUCCGCAUUCCAAGCACAACAAGUGGUAUCAGAGCCGAAGGUUCGUACUUGGGGGGAUACGGUACUGUUCACGUAUACGGUACUAUUCCCAUAUACGGUACUGUUCACGAAUACGGUGGAGACGGCCAUUUGUACUUGGGAGACAGUCUAUUGUAAGUAGUGUGUAUUUUUGCAUGUUUAGGAAAGUUCUGUCAACAAAGGCGAUAAGAGUCUAAGGAUUCUGGUUUUUAAUUGGGACCGAGUUCCCGUCCAGUUUCUUGGGAACUUUCCUGGUGCAUUUAUUCAUGCGAAAUUAACAUCAUAGAGACUGUUUUUCAAGUGGAAAUAGUUCGUUGAGAAAAUGGUAGAAGGUGAAACUUCCAGAAUUGGGGAGAGAUCUACCGAGACUAUUUCAGGAGACACUUCAGGUGGGAGACGAGAUUUGUCAAAUCGCUAUUCAGCACCUGUUAUAGGAGGUCAGAAGAUCGAUGUUGAAAAGUUUGAUGGGAAAAUCAACUUCGGCAUGUGGUGGCGCGAAGUUAUGGAUGCCCUUAUUCAAAUCGAUCUCGAUGUUGUUCUGAAAAAUAAAAGACACUUGUAUGAUGAAGAAAUUUGGGAUCGUAUGAAUGAAAAAGCUUGUGGUUAGAUCAGAUCUUGUUUGACCAAGGAGGUGAAAUACUUGGUGAAAGAUGAGGAGUGUGCGGUAACUUUGUGGCGUACAUUAGAGGAAAAGUACUUGGUGAAAAGUCCUGAAAAUCGCCUUCAUGCAAUGAGCCAAGUAUAUGGUUUUCGAAUGAAGCCUGGGGUGUCAAUGCACGAUCAUGUUUCAAGAUUUGAAAAGUUACUUGCUGAUUUGAAGAAUCUUGAUGAAGAUAUUAAGGAUGAAGUCAAGGCUAUGAUUCUGUUACACUCACUACCAGAGGAAUAUAGCCAUUUUGUGACUACUUUGAUAUAUGGGAAGAGUGUGAUCGUCUUCAAAGAUGUUUGCACAACAUUGACUAGCUUAGAGAUUCGGAAUAAUGAUAAAAAUUCUGAACGAGCAUCGUCUGAAGCUUUAGUGAGCAGAGAUUGGGCGAUGGAGAAACAGAAGAAGCGUGGUGGAAAGAACUCUCGAUCCAAAUCGAGAAGCAGAAAUAUAGCUCGAGAUGAGUGUGCCUUUUGUCAUGAAAAGGGCCAUUAGAAGAAAGAUUAUCCAAAUGCUCAAAAGAGAGAUGGGAAGAAACCAGCAGCAGCAAACAUGGCACGGAAAGAUGAGGGAUCUGAUUAUUCACUAAGUAUUACUCCUGCAGCAUACGUGGCUAGUUCGAGCGAGUGGAUACUUGAUACUGGAGCAACCUAUCAUUUGUGUCCCAUUAAGGAAUGGUUUACGGAUUUCAACGUAUUGGAAUCUGGUGCAGUUGUGAUGGGGAAUGAUCAACCUUGUCGCACAAUGGGGAUAGUAACAAUUCGGCUCAAAAUGUUUGAUGGAAUGGUCAGAGAACUCAAAAAGGUUAGAUUUGUUUCAGCUUUAAAGAAAAAUCUAAUUUCUGUGGGUGCUUUAGAAGCUAAAGGCUACAAGGUUACCAUUGAAGAUGGUAUAAUGAAGUUUACACAUGGGGCUAUGGUGAUUCUGCAAGGGGUUCGGCGUCACAAUCUGUACUAUUUGAAGAGAGGUACAACUGAUGAAGCAAAUGUUGUUGAGGCACACAGUGACACCACCAAGCUAUGGCAUGUACGACUAGGACAUGCUAGAGAGAAGUCUUUGCAAACUCUGAUAAGGCAUGGACUCUUAAAAGGUACCAAAACCUGUAAAUUAAAUUUUUGUGAGCAUUGUGUAGUAGGCAAGAAAACAAGGGUUAAGUUUGGUACAGCUAAUCACGAUACUCGUGAGAUCCUUGAAUAUGUUCAUAGUGAUGUAUGGGGACCAACCAAGACUGCAUCAAUUGGUGGAAGCCAUUAUUUUGUUACAUUUGUUGAUGAUUUCUCUAGAAGUGUGUGGGUGUACACCAUGCGAGCAAAUGAUGAGGUUCUAGAGAUUUUCGUGAAAUGGAAGAAAUUGGUGGAGACUCAAACUGGAAGAAAGAUCAAAGUAUUACGAUAUGAUAAUGGGGGUGAAUAUACUUCUGAUCCAUUCUUGCAAGUAUGCCAGAACGAGGGUAUUAAAAGACAUUUCACAGUGAGACAUACUCCGCAACAGAACGGUGUGGCUGAGCGUAUGAAUCGUACUUUACUGGAGAAGGUAUGGUGUAUGUUAUCUAAUGCUGGUUUAGAUAAAAAGUUUUGGGCUGAAGUUGUGAGCUACGCAAGUCACUUGGUAAACCGGUUGCCUUCUGCUGCAAUUGGAGGUAAAACUCCUAUGGAAAUGUGGUCUGGAAAGCAUGCACAAGACUAUGAUUCCCUUCGUAUAUUCGGGUGUCCAGCUUAUUAUCAUGUCAAAGAUGGUAAACUAGAUCCUCGUGCUAGAAAAGCUAUCUUUGUGGGAUUCAAAGGUGGAGUAAAGGACUUCAAGCUUUGGGAUCUCGAAGAUAAAAAGUUUGUGUGUAGCAGAAAUGUCACAUUUGAUGAAGCUUCAAUGAUGAAAGCUUCAAGUUCUCAGCAGGUGGAGAACAAGACCAAAGAGGUAUUGCUGCGGGUGGAGUUUGAUGCAACUCCAUAUGUACCAGUUAGUUCUACAUCAAAGAAGAGUUCAACUAUAGAGGUGACACCUAGAGUUGAAGAAGAGGUUGUUUCUUCUGAUGUCCCACAAAAUGAAGAAACAAUUGAUAAUGUAGAUAAUGAUGAUUUUAUAGCAACAAGGAGGCUAAGAAGAGAGAUAAAGAAACCCGGAUGGCUUACUAAAGAUAUGGUGGUAGCCUAUGCACUUCCAGUUAUUGAUGAUGACAUCCCCAACACUUUCGGUGAAGCAUUACGCAGCAGUGAAAGUGAUCAGUGGAAGUUAGCCAUGGAGGAAGAGAUGAAAUCUCUCCAUCAAAACCAGACUUGGGAACUUGUAAAGUUACCAAAAGGGAAAAAGGCUAUUGGCAAUAAAUGGGUCUACACCAAAAAGCAAGGAUCUCCGAAUAAAAUAACUCCUCGAUACAAGGCAAGGCUCGUGGCAAAAGGUUUUGCUCAAAAGGAAGGUAUUGACUACAAUUAAGUUUUCUCUCCAGUUGUAAAACAUACUUCCAUUCGUAUCCUACUUGCCUUAGUUGCAGAAUAUGAGUUAGAGUUGGCUCAAUUGGAUGUUAAGACCGCGUUCAUACAUGGAGAUUUGGAGGAGGAAAUCUAUAUGAUUCAGCCUUGUGGUUUCAAAGUUGCUGGAAAAGAGAAUCAUGUGUGUAGGUUGAUUAAAUUUUUGUACGGACUGAAGCAAUCGCCAAGGCAGUGGUAUAAAAGAUUUGAUCAAUUUAUACAAGGGCAGAAAUUCACCAGAAGUGAACACGAUCAUUGUGUUUACUUUAGAAGACUACCAGAUAGAGCUUUCAUCUAUUUGUUACUCUAUGUCGAUGAUAUGCUUAUAGCUUCGAAGAAUAGAGAUGAGAUCGAAAGAUUAAAAAAGCAACUGGCUUCUGAGUUUAAGAUGAAAGACUUGGGUGAUGCACAGAGAAUACUUGGGAUGGAGAUUCGUAGAGACAAGAAGAAUGGGAGCGUAUGGUUGACUCAAAAGUCUUAUUUGAAGAAAGUGCUAGAAAGAUUCGGUAUGGAUGACAAAACUAAACCAGUAUGUACACCUCUAGCUUCUCAUUUCAAAUUAAGCUUUUCUUCAUGUCCUAGAUCUCAAGAGGAGCGUGAUUAUAUGGCUCGUGUUCCAUAUGCUAGUGCUGUGGGUAGUCUUAUGUAUGCUAUGGUAUGCACAAGGCCCGAUAUAUCUCAAGCAGUGAGCAUGGUUAGUAGAUACAUGCAAAAUCCGGGUAAAAAUUAAUGGCUUGCGGUAAAGUGGAUUCUCCGAUAUCUGUAUGGGACAGUUGAUGUUGGGUUAUUGUUCAAGAAGGAUUGUGGUCAACAAUGUGUUGGGUAUUGUGAUUCUGAUUUCGCUGGAGACCUUGACAAGCGAAGAUCAACAACGUGCUACGUAUUCACAUUGGGUGGAGGUCCGGUUAGCUGGAGGUCGAUUCUACAAUCGACAAUUGCUCUGUCCACUGCGGAAGCAGAGUAUAUGGCAGCAACUGAAGCUAUAAAAGAAGCUAUCUGGUUGAAAGGUUUAUUAGGUGAUUUGGGAGUAAUCCAGGAGAACAUUGCGGUCUUAUGUGAUAAUCAAAGUGUGAUAUUCCUUGCGAAGAAUCAAACAUAUCACGCUCGGACGAAGCACAUAGAUGUGAAAUAUCAUUAUGUGAGAGAGAUUAUCGAGAGCGGUGUUGUGUUGUUGAGAAAGAUCGAUACCAAAGAUAAUCCAUUAGAUAUGUUGACGAAGGUAGUUUCUGGAGUUAAGUUUCAACAUUGCUUGAAAUUAAUUCAAAUCCUUCGAUUGUGUUAAGAUAUGUCCUUCGGGAAUUUUGAACUACGGUUGGCUUGAUCCCAAAUUUUGGGUACGUAGGCAGUCAUAGAGAUGCAGCCACUUUGGGGAUGAUGAUUGGUUGGUAGUCGGCUCAGAUUUGGACAAAUUUUCACCGAGGUGGAGAAUUGUUGAAAAGUCAUGCAUGUGGCAAUUUUUCAAAGAGCUACCAAACAUUUGAAGAAAAAAUGGAAAGUUGGCAAAUUUUUCAAAUUUGCCAAAUGGACCCCAUUGACUAUUGGUUUUAUGUUAGGUGGAAUAGUAAAGGGGUUGGUGCAAUAGUGCUAUUAUUUUUCCUAUAAAUAGAUGGCACUUCUUCCAUUCUUUUGCAUCCCAAAAUUGUUAAGCUUAUAAGUUUCUAAGCUUUUGAGAGAAGUGAGAGAAGUGUCUGGGGAAUUUAUCUUUCCUGCAGAGUGUGAAGUACUGGGUAUAUUUUGGGUUUAUGGGAAGUGAGAUUUGUUACUCAAAUAUUGUACUCUAUUAAUUGUUAAAUAAACAAUUAUUCUUUCUUGCCUCCGUGGAUGUAGGUUUAAUUACCGAACCACGUAAUUCUUGUGUCCUUUAUUUUUUCUAUAAUUAUUUGGUGCGCUUGAUUCCGCAUUCCGCGCACAACAAGACCCACACCAACCGACAGACCCCCGGUGAUAGAGAGAAAGUCGACUGUGAGAUGCAUUCAAGACGGGGGAAGAGUGAGAGAGAAAACUGCCCGGUCAGAAGGAGAGAUGCAUGAUUGAGGUGAGAGAUUUGGGCGUGAGUGAGUGAGGAGUGAGGGAGAGGGUGCCGCGUGUGUGGGAUGCGUACAAUGACAAUUUAUACUUACAUCAAAACGCCGCGUUCGGUGCCAUGUGUAGGGCUAACUGUGGUUUGAAUCUCACUUUGGUAAUGGAAAUGACUUUGCAAUUGACAGUUUUUGUCAAAAGUUCGCACUGCAUGAAACUAGUGUUAAUAUAAUUUAAAAAAUUAAUUUCAGUAUUAAUUUUUAAAGUUUUAAUUAUUAUAUUUAUUUUAAUAAUAGAUUUAUAUUUAUUAUAAAAAUUUUAGUUAAAUAUUUGUGUUAAAUGGAAUUUAUAAUUAAUAUAAUAGAUCUUAGGUAUUAAUAUAUUAUAAUUAUUCUAUAUGCUAUUGAAAAUCAUUUAUAUUUUUAGACGUUUAUUUUCAUAUUAAGUUUCUAUUUAUUUUAAAAUUUAGUUUAAUAUAAUAUAAGCAAGUAAAGUAUUAAAAUAUUUUUUAGUAUUAUUUAAAAUAUUAAAAUAAUUUUAAAAUAUAAGUCAAAUUUUUAAGUGAAUAUAACUAAUAUUUACAGCUAUUUGAUGGCCUCAACAAGCUAAAGCAGCAUCAAAAUUUGUGGCUCGUUAAUUUAUUUUUUCCCUUUCAAAAAGGGAAGAGGAUAAGUUUGGAAGAAUGAUUAUAUUUUUAAUAAAUUCUUUUUUAUUAUAAUACUUUUUGUCUUUAUUAAUUUAAAAAUAUUGACUCUUAUAUUUUAAAAAAUAUAAAUAUAAUAUUAUAAUAAAAUAUAACAAUAUAUAUCAAAUAUUUAAAAAAUUUAAUAUUUUAAUAUUUUAUAUUAUAUUAAAAUAAAUUUUUAAUAAAUAAAAAUAAUCUAUUAAAAUAAAGUACAAAAAUUUAAAUUAUUUUCAAUAUCAUCUAAAAUAAUUUUACUAUUAUUAAUGCAUGAAAUAUAUUAUAGUAAUUGUAAAUUUCAUUUAACUCAAAGAUUUAUUUAGAAUGUUCAUAAUAAGUCCAAAUAUAUUAUUAAAAUAAUUAUAAUAAUUUACAUUUUAAAAAUUAAUACUGAUAUUAAUUUUUAAAUUAUAUUACUCUACCAGAAAAAUUAAACUAUUAAAUUAUAUCAAUAUUUAUUAAAAAAUUUUGAAAUUAAUUCUUGUUAUAUUUUUAAUUGGAAUUUUUUCAUGUGAUAUAACCAGAAUUGCUACAAUUUUUUUCCCUAAUUAAAGAUGGAGUUAUAAAUUAUUUGUAUAAGUGUCUGUGUGGAAACUAAUGUGACAUGAAAGUAAUAGCUGAAUAACAAUAAUGGGCCGAUUUCAAUUCUUAAACAGACUUGUCCUUCAUCCCAAUUUAUUUACCCCAUUUGGGCCGGUUAUGACAUAAACAUAUUCUUGUGGAAUGAAAAACAUCAUGAGAAGAAAAUGUUUUAUUAUAAUAGAAAAAAGUGGUCCAUAAGUCUAUUCAUUACUUUUUUUAUUCAAUAUAAAUGGCUAACUUUAAAAAUGGUAAAAAUCACAUAACGCGCAAACAUAUUUUAGAUUUAUAUUUUUUAAUACUCUCCGAGUCUCUCUUUCUCUUUUUCUUUUUUUAAAUAAAUGUCAGUAUAAAAUUUAAAAAAAAUUUAGAUAUAAAAUUUGGCAAUGACCAAACAAAAAUUGCAGAGGAAACCUUGAUAUCAUUGAAAUACUGAUAAUAGACACUACAGUAUAAAUAACUUGUUGUGAUCCACUCAACUUGUAACACUUUAAUCCAUAUUCUAAAAUUUUCAUGUUUGUUAGGAUUUUUAUUAUUGAUACUACUGUAUCAAUAAAAUUAUAAUUUAUUCAUAUGGAAUGAAAACAUCAAGAAAGGACCUCUGAUGUUUAUUGUCAUAGAAAAAAGUGGUCCAUAAGUCUAUUAAUUAUUUUAUUUAUUCAAUACAAAUGGCCAACUUAAAAAAUGGUAAAAAUCACACAAUGCACAAGUAAAAUUUUACAAUUACAUUUUUUAAUUCUCUUUGAGUCUCUCUCUCUCUUUAAAAAAUAAACCUCACUGUAAAAUUAGAAAAAUUUUAGACGUAAAAUUUGACAAUCACCAAAUAGAAAACAUAGGGAAAUGAAAAUGGAGGAGCCCUAUUUUCAUUAGAAUAUUGAUCAUAGAUACUAUAAUGUAAAUGAUUUGUUGCGAUUCCUUCAACUUGUCACACUCUAAGCUAUUUUCUAAAAUUUGUAAGGUUUAUAGGAUUUUUAUUACUGCCAUCAUUGUAUCAAUAAUAUUAUAAAUUAUAUAUUCUAUUGUAAUGAAAAUUUGUGUAAUCUUAGGUAUUUAUUGUAUUAAAUUGUGUGGAUUAAUUAAGAAUAUUUUUGGAGACAAAAGAAGUGUGUGUACGUAGGAUUAAUGAUAAAAAAUUUCUAAAUAAAGGUGAUUGCUUCAUUGACAAGUACAUAUUUAUAUUCCUCUAUUAAUAUUUGGGUUGUAAACUCUAUAAUAAAGUUGGUUGGUGUGAGUGGUUCGGCACUCUCACUCUUUAAGAGAGGUCGGGAGUUCAAGCCUCGCUCUCGUAUGGAGUCACCACUUUGGCCAGCACUUUACCUCUUAUGGGCCGACCCGGUGCGAGUGGGAAUUAGUAUGGGUUGUGGUAUGGGCUUAAAGGUGUCUCCCACAGUUGGGGCCCACUCAGGACCACCUCGUGAUUCAAACAAAAAAAAAAAGUGAAUAUAUUGUGGCAAGUGAUGUGGGCAAUAUCGGAUGCGAAAUAUUGAGAGAUCAUUAACGCAUAUAUUUAUUGAAGAUGCGUAUAGAGGAAAGAGUGUAGAUCCGGCCGUAACAAUUACGAAGCUUUCCCCAAGUAUACUCAUGCUUCCUUAACUGUUUCGAAGUAUUUUUCAUAGUGUGCAGAUUUACUUUAUGGUGUCUUUAAUUCAUCUUAAAUGAUUACUUUAUUGUUUUAGGAUGCAAUGUCAUUUAUUGUGUUAAUUUAAACAAUAGAAAAAAUAAGUAACAGUAACGAAAGACUAAUUUGUGAUAUUGAAGCGUACGGGCUUAACUCAAUCCAAAAAUUAGUAAAUUAGCUCAAGAGUUAAGAGUUGUCCAAAUCUUAUAUGAUGAACCCAAGUUUAAUACACAAUUGAUGCGGGAUGUUAUUCCUAACACCUCCCGUCAUGUGUAGGAUUGGCAAAAAAACUCGGGUCAGUCCCGCCUAAACCUACGAGCUUUAUGCAUGGCUCGCAUGAUGAAGUUACGGAUAUUAACCUAAAAAUUUGAAACUUACUAUGAAUGGCCUUGCUUAAAGACUUUUGCAACUUUAAUUUAUAACAAGUAUGUAUAUCUACACACACAUAAGCUUAGAUUGCAUUUGGAUGGCUUUUUUAAUCAAUUCAAACAAUCUGAAAUUUAUCAGAUUAAUCCAAAUCUUAUAUGUAUCCAAUUUUGCCCGCCCCUACUAUAUAUAAGCCCAAGUGACUCUCUUUUACUAAUUAAUAAGAGAAUUUUUGACCUUAUAUCCUUGUUGUGGCGUUAGACUGUUGGUUAUUUUGAUUGUUUCCUACCUUCCAUUUACGCCAGCUAUAACAUUGUAUUAUCACCAUUUUAGCCAUUUAAAUGAAAUUUUAUUUUUCAUUUUAUUGUGUCAAUACUAUCAUAAUUUAUUCAUUUUAUUGUAAUGAUAAUUUGUCUAGUCUUAGGUACUUACUAUAUUAAAUUAUGUAAAUUAAUUGAGAAUACUUUUAGAGACAAAAGAAACACGUGUAUGUAGGAUUAAUAAGCGAAGAGUUGUAAAUGAAGGUGAUUGCUUCAUUGAGAGGCAUAUUAAAUAAUUAUGGAGAGUUGCUCUAUUUCGGAAGCAUAUAUUUAUACUUCCCUAUCAGGAUUUGGGGUAAGCGAGGUGCUUUAUGUAUUGCAGUAACCAAAUGUGGGCAAUAUCAGAGCCGAAAUAUUGAAAGAUCAUAACGCAUAUAAACGAUUAGUAUAUUGAAGACACAUAUAGAGGAAAGAGUGCAGAUCCGGCCGUAACUAUUAUGAGGAUUUCCUCAAGUAUUCUCAUGCUUCCUCAACUGUUCUGAACUAUAUAUUCCUCAUUGUGGGCAGAUUUACUUAAAUACCAACACAAUGAUUCAAUACUUCAAAGGUCAAGGAAAUGUCAAAAUAUGAAAUGAAAAUACUUAAAUACCCUUCUACCUAACAAAACUUAGUACUUCUAACUGCCUUAGCAGAGAAUCUAUAAAAUUAAAAAAAAAAAUUCAUCCAUGAAAAGCUUCGUAACAGAAAAACCGUCUUUCAAAAAAUAAAAAAUAAAAAAUAAAAACAGAAAAACCGACUCAUUUAUCUGCCAAUGAACCAGUCAGGACUCAUUUAAAAAAGAUUACAAAGCAAAAGUAAAUGACACAAAUUGCAUAGAUAUCUCGGAGCCGCAUCAAAGGACAAUGGUGUUAAUUUGUCCGAGUAAUAAAUUCUCCUUGGUCAAAAGCAAUUAACGAUGAAAACUUUCUUCAUUAAGGUUCUGGCCUACGUAAAAAAAAAAAAAAAAAACCACCCCAAGGUCAAAGCACAACGAUAAGUUUAGAAUUGCAGUUUUUAAUUUUUUUUAAUAAAUCAACGUGUAUAAAAAAUAGAUAAUAAUUUUAAAUAAAUUUUAUUUGAUAAAUAUAGGCAUAAAAUUUUAAAAUCACCAAACAGAAAAACAGGGGAAUUAAAACAGAGUCCCUGUUUAUCCUCUAUUUUGCUUGUUAUUAAACAGGGAAAUGAAAAGAUCACAAGCGGAAAUUUUGUUUCUGCGUUGUCUCUUCUCAAUGCUACAUGCAUUCAAAUUAAACCUUACAUAUGCUAGCAAACUAGCUACCUGCGUUUAAGUGUUAGAGUGCAAUUUAUGCACUAAUUUUGCAUUGUUUACUUCUUUUAAUAUCGAUAUUUUGCACUUAAUAAUAGUGAUUUACUUGUAUUUUAUUUUUGUAAGUGCAAUUCUAUUUAUUGGUGCUAAAAUUGGGCUACAAGAUGAUGUUUGAAGAUGAUUGUUUUCUUGGAAAAAUUAUGAGUUUCAGAAGAACUUUGUUGAUAAGGCGUGGGCGCUGGCUGUCAACUACGGACCUGUAGUUUUUAGUUUAACGUGUUUUGUCUUUUUGGUUAUUUUUGUAAUCACGAAUUUAAUAUUUAGAUAAUAUUUUAGAUAUUAGUAUUUUAUUUUAAAAAGAACUCUAGAAGAGAAUUUAAGAGGGGAAUCUAUGGUCAAAGGAAAAAAAAGAAAGGAAACCCUAGAUCUAAAUUUUUCUCUUCUCUCUAUGAAGAACUAAACCUAUUAUUCUGGUUAAAGGUUAAUGGAGCUUUGAUUCAUCAUUACUGUGAGAUCUUUCUUAUGCUUUAAUUGUUUUAUUGAUUUUUGGGUAUUUGUUUAUUCUCUAAAUUAUUGUCAUGAUUAUGUUUGUUAAUUAGAUAAUUAGCCAUUAUUUAAUUAUCAACUUAAUCUAUUGUCAAUUAAAGGAUUCAUCGUAUGAAGAUUUUAAUGUUUGUGACAAAUAGCAUAGCAGUUCGUUAUGUUAUGAGAAUAAACAAUCUAAUUUAAAUGAACCAUCGUAUGCGUUUGUUGAUUAGGAUUUGGGUCUCUCUGGUUUUUCAGGUUGUCAAUUGAUUAAAUCCUAUGAUCGUAUCUAGGGUUGUCUAUUGAUUAGGGAAAUAACCAAUGGUCGUACCUUGGUUAUCGACUAGUUAAGGAGAGAUUGGCUAUUAGAGGGUCUCAGUAGCUAUAACCGGUCUAUUCAUAAGUAGUAAUGAUUUAUAUUUGAAUCAAUGAUCAAUAGUCGAAUCAAGCUGAGUUAAUUCCUUCAACCAGAGCUUUCCCCAAUUUUAAUUUGCAUUCUUGUUAUUUUAAUUUGAUUUUUAUUAUUGUCAACAAUUCCCCCAUUUUGCAUUUUGCAUUUUAAAAGGAUUUAAAUAAUUACUAAUCUCUGUGGACACAACCCUACUCAAUCACUAUACACAAUUUAUUUAGAGUAUGUAUUUAUUUUUGCUGGCUUCGACAACCAUCAAUAAGUUCUCGAUAAGUCCAAAUAAUAGAAUAAUUGUAAAAUGUUCAAAUUCAGUAAUUAAUUAUACAUAUUUAUUUAUUCAAAAUUAUUAUUAUUAUUAAUUAUUGUCAAUAAUAUAUUAAUAUACUAAUUAAUUGUAAACUUUUUUAUCAUUCAUAACAAUGAUGAUGAUGAUGAUGAUGAUGAUGAUGAUAAAAAAUUCAAAACAUAUUAAUUAAUUAUAAUAAUAUAUUAAAUAUUUAAUUAUUUAAUAAUAAUAAUAAUAAAUGCACAAUGUAUAAAUUGAUUAGAAUAAUUAUAUUAAUUAAUCAUAAUAAUUUUUUAAUUGAGGACAAAAUAGAUAUUUUAUAGUUUGUGAGAGGGGGCAAAAUGGUCAAUCUUGGGAAUGGGGGAUUGAUUCCCACCACCUUCCUUAGGAAUCAAUCUUCCAUUCCUCAUUCCUAAUUUGGGUGGUCCCCAUAGUUCUGAUUCGGAUCCCAGCCUCCAUUUUAUGAAGUAAACAUCAUUAAGAUUUCGAUUCCGGAUUCCGAUUCCCCAAUCCAAGAAGUACAGGCACCAUUAUUGUUGAUUGGUUCAAAUGCACAAAGAGAAUGUACCAUGUAGCUAGGCGUCAAGGUUGUGCUGCACAAGUAACCUUUUUCUUUUCUUUUCUUUUUAUUUUUCUUAUUUUCCUUAAUGUAUCGGAAGAAACUGGUGCCUUUGAGAUACUACCAUGUAAAUAAGUACUUAUGGUUCAUUGAAUCUGUAACACUCGGUACCCUACAAUUGCUUUUGAAAAAGGGCUUUACUCACUUAUCGCUAAUAUUCAAGUAAGUUUGUUUCAUUUCAGAAGGUGCAAAGUUUCAAACUUGUUGUAUUGAGAUGUAACAAACUUUGGCCUUAUAUGCUUGUUGUGACGUUUGACUGUUCAUUUUGACUGUUUCCUACCUUCCACUUACGCCUGUAGCACUGUAUUAUUCACCAUUUUAGUUGUUUAAAUGAAAUUUUAUUUUGUCAAAAAUGAAAUGACACCAUUAAAAUUUAAAAAAAUAGUCAUGGAGAUCCCAAAUUUUUACUAAAGAACACCAAUAUUCCCCUUGACUAUAAUACCCUUAGCAGGUGGUAAUAAAAAAUUGACUUAAAAUUUUUUGCGAAAUGUAAAUAUGAUUUAAAUAAUUUAAAUUUUCCAAUAGACUAAUAUAUAUAAUUUAAAUAAUUAAUUUCAAUAUUAAUUUUUUAAAUGUAAAUUAAUAUAUUUGUAUUUAUAAAAUAUUUGCAAUUAUUAUAAAAAUUUUAAAUAAAUCCUUAGGUUAAUAGAUUUUACAAUAAAUAUAAUAUUUCUCAUGUAUUAAUAAUAUUAAAAUUAUUUUAUAUGAUAUUGAAAAUAACUUAAUUUAUAUAUUUAUUUGAAUAUUAUGUCUCUAUUUAUUAUAAUUUGGUUUAAUAGAAUACGAGAUUGUAAAAUAUUAAAAUAUUUUAGAUAUUGAAAUUUUAAUAUGUAUAUAUUAUUAUAUUUAUUUUAAUAUAUUUAUAUUUAUUAUAAAUUAUUAGAGUCAAUUUUUAGUUAAUAAAUUUAAAAAUAUUAUAAUUAAAAAAAAGAAUUCUUAUUGUCUGUUAUUCACAAUAUGAGGUUCUACAAAAUUAUUUCUCCAGACGGGUGUCCUUUUCUUAUUUGUAAAAGGAAAAAUAAGUUCAGGGAUCUUAAAAAAUUCUAGUCCUAUCGACCACUAUGACUAAUGGGAAACGACAUUGCAAUUGACAUUACUUUUCGCAAUAUGACAAAUUUUUGGAGGGAUACGGGAGAAUCGUCAAACGUUCACACCACACGAGAGCUUUAGGUGGGAUCGGGGAGGAUUGUCAAGAGUUCACACCACGAGAAAUUAAUGAUAGGCCUAAUUUCGCUGUCAGUUCUUUAUUUAUUUAUUUUAUUUAUUUCAUACAUUAUUAUCUUGUUGGUAUUGUUUUGUAAAGGUAUAAAAGUAAAGUAAAAUACUAGGGGUACCAUUAAGUUACAGCUGAUGUAACUUACAGUGUUUUAAAAAAUAAUAUAAAAAAUUUAAUAGCUGGUGGGAUCCACAUAUUUUUGAAGAGACUUAAGUUACAACAGUUGUAACUUAACAAAAUCCAAAUAUUUGACAAUAAUGCAUAUAAUUUGGAUUUGAUUUUUAAAAGAUUAUUUGAGCACCACCUAUCCUUAUGAUAUUAAUGUGAAUAUAUCUUAAUAUUAAAUAAUCAAAAUUUGUUUAAUUAUUAUUUGUAUUUCAUACAUUACCUAUUAGAUUUGUUUGAAUUUUACGUUCUUGCUAAUAAAUAUUUAUGUUGUCAAAGUCAAAUUCUAAUGAUUAAAAGAGCAACUAUCCCUUAAAUUUUAAUGGUGAAUUGUAUAUAGUUUUUAAGAAAGUAAGGAUAAGUUGGAUAAUUGACUUAAAUUCUAAUGAUUAAAAGAGCAACUAUCCUUUAAAUUAAAAUGUCAAUUUCUUUAAUUAUAAUUUUUUUUUCAUGUGAUAUAACCACAAUUGCUAUAGUUUUUUUAAAUAAUAAUGGGAGUUAUAAAUUAUUUAUAUAAAAUUUGUGUAGAAUCUAAUGUAACCUAAAAGUAGUUGCUGAAUAAUAAUAUUUGAAACUCUAGGUAAUUUUCAUAUGAGCCCUUUUUAUAUUCAGCAUCUUGAAUCGGGGGAAAUCCGACUUGAAUUGGCGGCUGAUUUUGGUGAUGUAGCUUUCGGUUUAUGGUUGCCUUACAGUGGCGGACGACUGAUUUACGGUCGCCGACUGCUAGGGAUUAUGGUGGUGGUGUAAAUUGACGGAAAAAGUAGAAGGUUUGGUGGCGGCGCGUGUAGGAACCACUCGUGGGUUGUCGUUUCGUGUGGUGACUGCGGGUGGCGAUCAAGGGCUGACGUUGGUCGGUUUUUGGUCAACGGAGGGCGGCCAGUUUGUUGGUGGAGGUGGCUGGCGGUGAAAGUGGCUGAAUGGUGGUGGAUAUCUUGGUGGAGCUACGGGUUUGGGUUGGUGAUUUGCGGCUGUUCAGGCGGCGGUUGAGGCAGCGAUAGCUGCGGCUUGGUCGGCGGUGGCUAGCGAGGUUUGUUGUGGUGUUGGCUGGCUGAUCGGUGGUGGUGGGCGGCGGCGGUGGAGGUUGAUGCGGCGGGUAGGGUUUUCAAAUCGGUUUUUGAUAUUUUUUUUUUUUUUUAUGAAUUUGGUGUGGAUGGGUAUAGGGUAAGAAACACUAGAUAUCAUUCUAGUACUGGACCAAGCCAACGCAAUUAAUUUACCAUCUAGUCGAAGGGUGAUUAGAUAUCGUUCUAACCCAAACGAUAAAAUGAGAUUUUUAACAACGCGUAAUACAAGAUUAGAUGAUGCUCUAAUCCAAACGACUCUACAACGACUCUAUAAGAGAGAUUUUGAUAGAUAAAUCUAGGGAAAAUUAUAAAAGAUGGGUUUUAUUUAAUAAUUAAACCUAAAGUUUUGAAAACAAUGACAAGAUAUUUUUAUUUAUAAUACAGGAAAUCUGCUUCCCUAAGAUAACCUAAAAAAGAAAAGUAAAUCAUAAUUAUAAUAGAAAUGAAAGAUUAAGAUACACACCAUAAUUGACUCAAACUAAAAUAGAAAAUCUUAAAGUAAUAAAUAUUCUAAAAUUGUAAAUUAUCUAAAAUAACAAUAAUUAACUUCCUAAAUCAUUUCUUUGGUGUAAAUCAUUUUACAUCCAACCUCGCUUUAAAGGUUUGAACCAGCGUUACCAACAACAAUGUAUCAAGUUCCAAUCUAGCUUAAGAUCAUGCUGAUACAUCUACUGAUAUCUUUAUUUGAUUAGACAAUAAUGAGUCUAUCUCAUCACUUGUUACCUCUUUCUUGAAGGCUGCAUCUGUUGAGCGAUAACCUCGUUGAAAGUUUAAAGAUCUUCCUCCAUGUUAAAUUAAAUGGGCAUUUGAUUAAGAACUUUAUCUCUAUCUCCUUCUAUCAAAUAACAACCAUCCAAAGGGAAAAAAAAAUUAAAAAAAUCCAUGGGUCACAAUAAUUUCUGGUCAGCCCACAAACCCCCCAUUAUCUGCCACUAUCAAUCAUGAAAAUGAAAAUAAAUGGCAUAUUCCCAAAAUGACGAAAGAUUUUGGGGGAUAUGGGGGAAUUGUCAAAAGUUCACACAACGCGAAACAAGUGUUACAUCCAAUUUUAUUUCGUCAUAUAAUGAUAAUAUCAAAUAAUGACAACCAUCCAAAAGUAUGAUGGGUCUUCCAAAAUUUUAAAAAUGUCGUCAACAUUUAAUUUUCAAUGCUAAAGAAAAUGAAAUGCCCAAAAAUGACACGCAAGACCCACUCACAAACUAAAUGGCCCUUGACCAUAUGUAACAAACUUUGACCUUAUGUCCCUGCUAUGGCGUUAGACUGUUGGUCAUUUUGAUUGCUUUUUACCUUCCAUUUACACCCACUGAAGCAUUGUACGAUUAACCAUUUUAGCUGUUUAAAUGAAAUUUUUAUUUUUUUCAAAAGUAAAAUGACACGCUUAAAAUUUUAGAAAAUAGCCAUGUAGACCCUAAAAUUUUAAUAAAGAACACCAAUACCCUUUUUGACUAUAGUACUUUUAGUCGAUGGUAACAAAAAAAAAAAAUGACUUCAAAAUUUUUUACUAAAUGUAAAUAUGAUUUAAAUAGUUUAAAUUUUCUAGUAGACUAGUAGGUAUAAUUUAAAUAAUUAAUUUAAAUAUUAAUUUUUAAAAUGUAAUUUAAUAUAUUUAUUUUAAUAAUAUAUUUUUAUUUAUUAUAAAAUUUUAAAUAAAUCCUUAGGUUAAAUAGAUUAUAUAAUUAAUAUAAUAUUUCUCAUGUUUUAAUAAUAUUAAAAUUAUUUUACAUGCUAUUGAAAAUAAUUUAAAGUUUUAUAUAUUUAUUUGAAUAUUAUGUCUCUAUUUAUUAUAACUUGGUUUAAUAGAAUAUGAGAUUGUAAAAUAUUAAAAUAUUUUUAGGUACUGAAAUUAUUUUAAUAGGUAUAUAUUAUUAUAUUUACUUUAAUAUCCUACUUAUAUUUAUUAUAAAAUAUUAAAAUUAAUUUUUUUAGUUAAUGAAUUUAAAAAAUAAUAUAAUUAAAAAAAGAGUCUUAUUGUCCGUUAUUCACGAUAUGAGGUUUUACAAAAUUAUUUUCAAAAGGAAAAAUAAGUUCAGGGGUUUCAAAAAAUUCUAGUCCAAUCGACCACUAUGACUAAUGGGAAACGACAUUGCAAUUGACAUUGUUUUUCGCAAUAUGACAAAAUUUUGGAGGGAUAUGGGAGAAUCGUCAAAAGUUAACACCACACAAGAGUUUUAUUUAUUUAUUUAAUUUAUUUCACACAUAUAUUGUCUUGUUGGUAUUGUUUUGUAAAGAUAUAAAAGCACAAGUAAAAUAUUAGGGGAAGUAAAGUAAAAUAUUGGGGGUGCUGCUAAGUUACAACUGCUAUAACUUACAGUUCCUUCAAAAAUAAUGUAAAACAUUUAACACGUGGUGGGACCCACAUUAUGUUUGAAUAGUCCGUAAGUUAUAGCAGUUAUAAAUUAGUAAAAUCCAAAUAUUAGACAAUAAUACACAUUAACAAUGCAUAUAAUUUGGGUUUAAUUUUUUUUAAAUUAUUUGAGUAUUACCUAUCCUUAAGAUAUUAAUGAGAAUAUAUUUUAAUAUUGUGAAGCUUUCCUCAAUUAUUCUCAUGCACCCAGACCUUAUCUGGUCAAGUUUUCUGAUUCAAUACUGACGACAGCUUCUUUGUAAAGCUCUUCAACCACAAGCAUUUCUACAAGGCAAAGGACAAGGACGUGUUGGAAUGAAUAUCAACAUGGGAAUGUCUUAUGAAUUUAGUUUAUAUUCUAAUAUAAGACAAUCAAUAAAUAUUGGAUGCAAUCUAAGGGCUAACAUUUGAUUGAUUAAUAUAAGAAAAAAAAAGGGUACAAAAAUGCAAAACAGAGCUGAUUGAUGGCCUUUAACAGUCAGUUCUAUGACAAAGUAACCACCAUAACCAAUGGAAUUAUAAGACAUCAAGAAACUUGAACUUGGCAGGAGGUCUCAUUAGCAGUAUACCUCAGAAAUUAAGACAGAGACUUUAAAAUGCAAGCUUAUGGAGCAAUUUAAGCACUGAAACUAAUAACAGUGAUGCCAAAAAAGGUGCAGGAGUACGGUAUUAGCAAUUGACCUCUGCUUUUGCUUGGACAAAGGUUCUCAUCACAAGGGACUCAUUAGUUGCCCUUGCCUCACACGAUUGGAUGCUAAGGGGGAAAAGGAAGUUUGAAUUAGUCAAUCUCAUUUCUAAUGGCAUUCACAGAGAACCUAUAAAACAAAAAAGUAAAUAAAAAUUUUCAUCCAUGAAAAGCUUAGUAACGGAAAAACCGACUCUUUUAUCUGCCACUGACCUAAUCCGGACUCAUUUAAUUAAAAAAGAAUUCAAAGCAAAACUAAAAGACACAAAUUGCAUACAAGUCUAGGAGCCAUAUCAAAGGCGUUAUAUAACUUGUCCAAUUAAUAAAUUCUCUUAGGGACCAUGCCGUGCUCACUCAUUUCCAAAGCAAUUAAUGAUAAGAACUUUCAUCAUUAAUUGAUAUGGCCAGUGUAGAAAAAAAUGAAAAACCCCUCCAAGAUUAAAGCACAAGGAUAAGUUUAGAAUUACACUUCUUAAAUUUUGGUUAAUAAAUAAACGUCUAUAUGAAAAUAGAAAAUCUUUUUGGAAUAAAUAAACGUCAAAUUUUUGUUUCUAUCUUACUACCUUCUAAAUCCGCAAUCCCAAGUACUUAGAAGUAAAUGCUACAUAGUACAUGAGAUGUUUCCCGUUCAAAUAGCUCGUCCGAUACCAUUAACAUGUUCAUCUCUCUGUAAUUGGUGUAAUUACGAGAUUGGUGGUUGACAUGGCUUUCCUUGUACAGGUAUGUAUGAUUGUUUUUUUUUUUUUUGGCACUUCUAAAUGGAUACUGUUGAAAAGCUUAAAAUUGAACUGAUAAUUUUGUUUGGAAGCUCAGAAAAUUCAUGAGAAAGUGAAAUAGAAUAUGCUGGAUUUCUUUUCUUUCCAUAACAUACAAAUGACAAACGUAGCAGUAUUUAUACUCGUUGCUUACAUCAUAAAAACAGAAUUAAAGCAAGGUACACAACUAUAACAGCAUCAAAAGCGUGCUUAACUAAUUGGCUGAGCUGGCAUAUACUUCUUUAACUAACAAUGCUGCUGACUGGACUUUAGCUCACACAUGCUUAUCGUGCAGCUACUCUUAGUUCACACGUGCUCAGUGUGCUUCCUUAACAGACACAAGGGAAAAGACAUGAUUUUGAGAUAUAACGCUUGAAUGUUCUCGGAAUGGCAUAACGCUUCGUGUGUCUCGGAGCGGCUGAUUGGUGCUGUACGUGUUUCUCAUAUAGAACUCAAGUCUGCUGUUGUCCCAAAGUUGGAACCAGAGAUAUCAUGACUCUGGUUUCAUUUCACCUCAACUGUGUUUUUUUUUUUAAUUAAAAAAAUAAUUUUUUUAGGUAUACAUACAUGUAUUUUGAUCCCAUUUUCAUGGGAAUUUUGCAUUAAAAAAUGAAGAAUAGCUAAUAGGGAAUUUCCUGAUUCUUUAGUUACUAUUUUUGGAAUGAGGGUAAUUAGUAGUAAAGUUGGUUUCUACUCGCAAACAAGUGAGCUGCUCGAUUCCCAAGUGGUAUCAACCAGUUUUCAACUUUUUAAUAUACACAAAUUGUUAUUGUUUAAUAGCUACUACUAUUAAAACUCAACAUCUUACAAAAAUACUUAAAAAAAAUGAUUUUUUCUUAUGAUGCUGUAAAAAAAAUUACGGGUUUACUUAUUUCCACGAGAUCUUGUAUAGUGUUCUUGUAUAGUGGAAUUAAGAUUGUCUUCCCGAUGGUGCAAUUCACCCUCUUCCUUUACAGUCACUUGCACUUUGUGCAGCUUUGGUGUGGAUACGAUUCCCAGGGAAAAAGUCUUCAUGUUCGGACAAUGUGUCACAAAUACUCGUUCCAAUGAUGGGAAUUCAAGAGUGUAAUUCUCCAAACAAAAGCUGGUAAGCCUUGGUAAAUCAUCAAGUUCCAAAAGUUUUAAUUCACUGAAAGCAAUACGAUUCUCCUUCACUUCUUCUCCAGCAUGUCCUACGAUUUCUUCUAAUUUUUUGCAGUUCCAUACAUAAAGAUUCACCAGACUAGUAGGAAUUCCAACCUGAAAAUAAGCAGAGAGAGUGUGUGUGUAUAAAUAUUAAAAAAGUAAAAAUGUAAGAGUAUCAUUCAACUAGGCUCAAAGUAUGUUUGAUCAUACAAUUAUACGUUUUAUGAACAUAACAAACUGUGAAAUGUCUACUAGAUAUUUUUUGUUAAACAAAAAAGGUAACAAGAUAAAUAAAUAAAUAAAUAAAAGCCAGAUAAACAAAGAUGAUAAAAAUGUAUUUACACAAUUAGUAUUAGGGACGUAGAAAGAAUUUAAGGCAAUUUCUAAAUAUUUUAGACUUAUUUUGCAUCUUGAUAUAAGUUUUUAAGCAUAAAUUUGCACAUUUCAACUAUUCCUUUAAAAAAAAACUCAACUAAAAUGCCUCUUUUUCCCUUUUCCUUGGUCCCCUUUUUUUUAUGUAUAUAUAAAAAUGGAAAAAAAAAUUUGGAAAAGACUUCCUAGUACUGUCAACAAGGGAUUGCUGUAAAGUGGAUCUUUAUUAAGUACUUCCAGACUCGAGGAAAUUUCUUUACAAUCAAGGGUCAGUUGUAAACAAUCAUGAAUUUAUGGUUAAGUAAUGGCAUAAUCAAUUCUUAACUAAACUGGAGAUAUUAAUUAAAUUUGAAGACUUUUUUUUUUUCCCAAUCGAAAUGUGAAGAACUAAGGAAAAGAGAAAUAUAUAGAUGAAUUUGUGAACUUAUAAGAUGAGUGACUAUCCUUUAAUUUUUGAAAAUCGUACUUAUUAAGAUAUGAGCAAAAACAAUUAAAUUGAAUUAUAUUAUGCUGUUGAAUCUGUUUAAAAAAAUUAUAUUGUUGAUUCUAAUGCUGGUGAACCUAAAAACUAGACUUAAAACGUAGAUUUCAGAGUGGUGGUUUGAAGUACAAUAUUUGAAAUAAAUAAUUAGUGGCUGAAUAUCAUUUGUAAACACAGAAAUGAUUAAAAAAUUGUUGAAUGUUAUUUGAAAAAAAAAAUCGAAAUGAAUACAGAAACCUUACCAAUGGAGGAAAAAUAUUCAUUAGCUUAUCACACUCUUCUAUCUCCAAAUUCUUCAAUUUCCUGAAAGACUCCGAAGCAAGCUGGUGGUGCCAUAUUGUUCUUAGGUUAUCCAUCCACACAAUAUAUAAUACCUCCAACCUAGGAAGUCGUACCUGGCAAUUAAAGAUUAAAUAACUAAUUAAUCAAUUAAUGGCAUAAUCAAUUGAUAACUAAAUUAGAGGCGGAUAUUAACUAAAUUUGAAGACUCAAGGAAAAGACAAAUCAAGUAUUGUGACUAAAAUUAUUUUUUUAAUUAAAAAAAAAAAACUUUUCAUCAAAGAGAGGAGGAGGUUGCAUUUCAGAAUGAAUAGUGUCUUCUGGUGAGCUCGUAGAGAUGAAUCUUAACAUAUUACUGCAACAACCAAUCAUGAGGUUUAGCAAAGAAGGGAAUUCAACAACUAAAUCUGAAUGAAUAUGUCCCAUAUUGGCAAAACCUUUAAUUCAAUCAACUUUCCUUCAUCUCUUUCUGACCAUCCCGUGGUGUCGACUACCCCUUCCAUUGACUCACAAUAGCUUAUCUCAAGAUGUUGGAGUUGCAAAAGGCUAUUAACCAUAGAAUAUGAAAACAGAUACUUUAGACGAUAACACCUUUCCACAGUCACUUUUGUUAAAUUUUGACGAAAGUACAUUCCUUGAUUAUGAUCGGCCCAUAAUUUUUUCAUGUUUCUUAAGUCCCUGAGAUUCAAUUCCUCUAAGCUCGGAAGAAUAACCUGCAAAGAAAACCCGUACAUUUUUGUUCCUUCAAGUACAACCGUCUAGUAUAAUAUUCUUUUGAUGAUCAAAGAUUAAUUGUGAUAAUAAAUUAAUCAAUUAAUUAUUGAACAGAAAAUUAUCACCUUUGGAGCAGGAUCAUCAUCAGCAAUGAUUUCGUUGAAUCCCAAAGAAGUUGUUGGUUUGCUAAUUGUUGCACCAAAGAAGUAAGAUUUGAAACUUGUUUUUCUAGAGAAGUAGUACUUACCUCAUUGACUCGCUUAGGUGGCGGCAGUAGAUCGUUCCUAGUGUUGAACUGUUGGGAAUUAGCAGCCAUGUUAGCAAUGAGAUUUCGGGCUGCUUCUGGUGUCUUAUCCACGAGUGCUCCUCCACUAGCGGCAUCAAUCAUACUCCUAUCCAUAGGUAGUAGAACCUCAUAAAAGUAUUGAAUAAGAAGUUGAUCACUUAUCUGAUGGUGAGGGCAACUAGCACAUAGCUUUUUGAAUCGUUCCCAAUAGUCGUAGAGCGACUCUCCAUUAUACUGUCGGAUUCCACAAAUUUCUUUUCGAAUGCUGCCAGCUUUUGAUGCUGGGAAAUAUUUCUCCAAAAAUAGCUGACGCAUCUCAUUCCAUGUAGUGACAGUACCGGAGGGAAGAUAGUACAACCAUUCCUUGGCUGAAUCCGCCAAAGAGAAUGGGAAGGCCAUUAGCUUAACUUGCUCUUCAGAAACUCCGGCUGGUUUCAUUGUGGAGCAGACCACAUGGAACUCCUUCAAGUGGUUAUUUGGAUCCUCUCCUGCAAGACCAUGAAAAGUAGGAAGAAGAUGAAUCAUCCCAGAUUUGAGUUCAAAGUUUACUUGAGGGUUUGGAUUCUCAAUGCAUAAGGGUUGUUGGUCCAAGUUAGGAGCUGCCAACUCUUUAAGUGUUCGGUUGUUAUUCUGAGCCAUUGGUUGGGGUUCUGGGCUGCUUGGNNNNNNNNNNNNNNNNNNNNNNNNNNNNNNNNNNNNNNNNNNNNNNNNNNNNNNNNNNNNNNNNNNNNNNNNNNNNNNNNNNNNNNNNNNNNNNNNNNNNNNNNNNNNNNNNNNNNNNNNNNNNNNNNNNNNNNNNNNNNNNNNNNNNNNNNNNNNNNNNNNNNNNNNNNNNNNNNNNNNNNNNNNNNNNNNNNNNNNNNNNNNNNNNNNNNNNNNNNNNNNNNNNNNNNNNNNNNNNNNNNNNNNNNNNNNNNNNNNNNNNNNNNNNNNNNNNNNNNNNNNNNNNNNNNNNNNNNNNNNNNNNNNNNNNNNNNNNNNNNNNNNNNNNNNNNNNNNNNNNNNNNNNNNNNNNNNNNNNNNNNNNNNNNNNNNNNNNNNNNNNNNNNNNNNNNNNNNNNNNNNNNNNNNNNNNNNNNNNNNGCUAGUCCCCGGCAACGGCGCCAAAAAUUUGGUAGUGUCGUUAAGGUGCACCAAAUUUAAAACCUUACCACUAAUAUAAAUAAUUAGUACAGAGCGAGUAAGGAUCGAUCCCAUAGAGACUAUGCUAGUUAUAUUUAUUAUUAACUCCAAAGCAAGAUUUAAAAUAAAAUAAUAGUAAUAGUAAUAAUAAUAUAAAUUAAUCUAACUAAAGAAAAUGCCAAUUAAAAAUAAAAGGGGGGUUUAUGAAUUUUUAACUAAAUAGUAAGAAAUAAAGAAAUUAAAAUUACGAACAAGAAUUUAAUAAAAACUCUAAUUAAAGGAGAAAGAAAUAAUAAUGAUGAAAACUUUGGUUAAAGGAUCAUUCGCCACCACCAAACAUGCACAUAAUAAAUCAAUUCUAUUAUCAAUUUAUAUUGAAACUAUCAACCAUAGACAACAAUAAGCUCUGUUAGUCUCAAUCUUUCCUUAGUGUGUCGUUAGGUAAAAUAAGCUCUUCACCUAAUCUAUAACCAUUAAAUAAUUUAAAACAAGCUCUUUAAAUUUAAGAUAAUGGAAGCAUUAAACAAAGAAAGAAAUUAGGUUGAUCUAGGCAAUAAACACACAAGCUCAGAUUAUUUAACCUAGGUUAUGUUCUCCAAUUGAAAUCAUUAAUUCCAACCUGCUACUAAUGAUUAAAAUAUCAAGACAAUUACGGAUCAAGAAUUUUAAUCUAGCAAUAAAAUUUAUUCAAGUCCUAUCUAAUUGGCCACUCAAACAAAACAAGAAUAAACCAUGAACAUUAAUUAUAGAAGAACAUAAACAAUCUCAAUUAAAUAAAUUGAAUGAUAGAAUUUAAAUUUAAUUGCAUAGCAUGUUUAGGGUUUUGAAUUCACCCUCAACCAAAUAAAAAUCUAGCCUAACAUAAUUGAAUUGGGAAUAAGAGAAUUGACAAAACCAAUCAUAGAGAUUAAUUCAAGCGGCUGCCUUUUUCUUCAAUUGAAUUCCGGCUGCUGAUUUUUUCUUCUUCUUGCGGCUAUUGAUUUUCCUCUUGCUGCCGAAUUGGAUUUGCCCUCCCAAAGUCUCUUGCUGCCCGAAUUCUUUUCCCUCUAUUGCUUCCGCUUGAUCCUAUUUAUAAUGCUUCAAUUGUGGCUUUUUUUAAAUCCUUGCCUGGAAAGAAUUAAAUUCAAAGCUCAAAACCGCCACCUCAUGCUUCAAUUAAUAAGCCAAUAAUGAUUUCCUAAAGCCAAAAGGCUUUAUUCUCUUUCCUUUCACGUGGCAACUUUUGGUUUGCAUCUUUGUUUUCCAAUUUUGCUUUCAUGUGAUGGCUUGGCUUGUUAAUUGGCUUGGCUUCCUUUUUGACUUCCAUUUUCUAAUUUUAGCUCCAUGUGCAACAUUAAUUUUGCUCGGCCCAUACAAGCUUUAAUUAAAUUUAUUUUCUAAUUCCUUCCAAUUCUUGAUCUCUUGUGCACUUUUGUCUCUCAAUCUUCAAUCAAAUUUUUUUUCUUGAAUGCUCCGAUUUAAUUUCUCUUUAAUUCCAGAAUAUACCUAAAAUAACAAAAUAAAUAAAACUAAGAUAAAAAUUAACAAAAUAAAAUAUAAUUUACUAAAUUAAAAAUUAACUAAAAUAACUAGAAUAUUUAAGACCAAAACAAGAAAAAGAUAGAGAAAUUAAUAGCAAAAUAUAUGAAAAAUAUGCACUUAUCACAAGCCUCUCAUUUUUCAAAGCUUUUGCAAGGGUAAUAAGUGCAACAGGCAAUCCUCCGCAUUUUUCAACGAUCUCAUCUGCUAAAGGUUGAAAAGCAGAUGCUUUUGCAGAAUUACACACUAUCUUUCCAAACAAUUGCAAUGCUUCUUCCUUUGAUAAAACUUCAAUUGAGAAAUCCUUCUGAGAUUUCAUAUCAUUGCGCAAUAAAUCUCGACUUCUAGACGUCAAUAUUAUUGUGCGUCUUCUCCGAUCGUCCUCUCUAUCUUUCUCAUCAACAUCCCCAUAAGGAAUUCCAACUGUAUCGAACUCAAGUUUUGUCCAAAUAUUAUCCAGUAUAAUGAGGAGCCGCUUCUCUUGCUUCAACCUUUGACACAGUCGAGAAGCUCUUUGAAAUUCAUUCUCAUUCAAGUCAAAUUCCAUGCCUAAAUCAAAAGCAAGUUUGUCUUGAAUUUUAUGAUGAUCUGGGGUCUGUGUUAUCUCAGCCAUAACGAACUUAUCGAACAACUUAUCUUCCAUCACUUGGUUUGCAACUUGUUUGACCAGCGUGGUUUUGCCCACGCCGCCCAUCCCAUAGACCCCAAUUAUGUUGACCUUGUCAUCCUUCACCGCCUCCAUAACAUCUUGAAAUACUUUCAUUCUUGAAUCAAACGCCUCGAAAUCUUUCACUUGCAUAUGUUCUGCCCGCUUUGGAGCAGGACUGUAGGAAACAUUGGAGAAGUUGCCUUUUCCCACGAGACUAGCGGCAGCUUCUGCCGCCUUUGCUGCUUGUUUACUAAGCUUGUAACGAGAAAUCAAGUUUGGGCAUAAUCCUUUGAAGCAGGACUUCUUAGCUCUAUCUUCAUCAUCAAUGAUGGAUUUUGCAACCCCUUCACUGAUGAAUUCAUCAACGCUAUGUAGCCAGUCUGUGACACCCUCAUAAAGCUCAUCCCCUUGUAGCCUAGCAUGAUUAACUGGUUGCUGCACCAUUUCUCUCUUAUAUCCCAGCUGCUUCACUUGAUCUUUUAGCUCAUCUAUGUAGCUCUGGUACUUGAACACAUAAGAUAUCUGCCGUGUAAUCGGGUUGAACAGUGACUUUGCACCUUCUGAUACACAGUUGGUUAAAAAAGCCAGACACGCUUCUAUAGCCAUUGCCGGUUGCUUAACAAUAUAUAUCUAGUUUUUGGCUGUUGAAAAAAAAAAUGGAUUCAAAUAAAUUAAAUGAACUAGCGGGGAAGAAAAAGAAAGAAACGACAACAAACAACUUUUUAGAAAAAGGUUUCAGGGGCCUGAAUGGAAAACCAACAAUUUUUUGAAGAAAGAAAACUUUUUUGGAAGAUGGAUGCAAAUUAACCAUUAAUAAUACUGCAUAAGAACACAGAAGUUAACAAUAAACAGUAACUUAAAACUCAAGAAAAUUAAAUGACAAGAUUAAGACAAACAAGAGAUAGUUUUUGUUGGACAUUAAGAAACAUCUGCUAUCAAGAUCAAAGAUUAGAAAUUAUGCUAUUGAAAGAAAUUAUUAAAGUAUUUAGAACAAACGCACCUCUUCAAUUAUCGAGGAUCACAGAGUUUAUGAGCUUCACUCUUGGCCUUCGAUUUAUAAGAAAAAUUUUAAUGAGCAAAAGAUCACUGUUAACUGCAGAAGAAUGUGAGUAAAGAGUUUAUGGGAGUAAGCAAUACAAUUGAAUUGUAAAAGAACAAGACUUAAAGCGUGCACCCCGUGUUCAUAUAAACAGAACACAUGUUCAUUUUUAACAAAGUGAUCAAUAACUCUAUUCGUUAUUUAAUUGAUAUUGUAACCAAUUCUAAGAGAAUAUAAUAAUAAUCAUUCAAUCCAUAAAUUUAGAAUUAGAUUUUUUUAACUCUUUAUUUAAAUAUAAACCUUAAUGGAAAAUUAUAAAAGUUUAGAGAUAAAAUUUUUCAAUCACCAAACGAAAAAAACAGGGGAAUGAAAACAGAGGAAUCUUGUUUUAACUAUUUUUUUCCUCAACUCUCGUUCUUAUAUUAAUAAUCUUGUUUUGAUGAUAGUGCUCGUGACUGCGGGAAAAUUUCUACUGGAAACAACUCAAUUUCGGAAGAAAACUUAAUUUUGCAAGUGAUGAAUUUGAACUCGUUGGAUUGGUUGAUUUAUGAUUGACUGAAUUUCACUUUUGCCCAAAAGAUCUUUAACCAAAGUUUAAUAGCCAUCAUGUACUCCUUAAAAGCAAUUUUUUUUUUUAGAUUUGACUGAAUUUGAACUUGUUGGAUUGGUUGUUUUUAGAUUAUUAAUAUGAGAUAUUACAACGUAAAUAUUUUCAUGUGGUUGAGCCCUAUUCUAAAAUCUGUAUAGUUAGCUUUAGAAAAAGGGCUUUUCCUGCUGAUCUGUAAUCUUCAAAUAAACUUAGAUACAAAUAAUGAAAUAAAAGACAACAAACAAGCAAUACUGAUACAAAGCCAACAGAUCAGAGUUUUUUCUUGCCUUCUUUUGUUGAAGGAUUAGAGUUUUUGGUAUUAUCAGUAAAGGUUUCAAGGAGUAAAGCCUAUAAACUUUUUUUUUGGGGGGGGCGCCGCCGCGGGGAGGGGGGGGGGGGGGAGAGCAUGCAAAUUAACCAAAAGAAAUAAUAAGAGCACAGGCUUUAACAAUGAAUACUGACUUAAAACUCAUGCAAAAUAAGUUACAAUAUUAAAACAAACCAGAGAAAAUUUUUUCUUGGAAAGUAGAUGGAACUUAUGAAAGAGCAGAUGUCAAGGAUUUAGAAAACGCGCACCUCUUUAAUUAUCUGGGAUUAGAGAGUUGGUGAGCUUCUCUAUUUAAGAACAAGUUGAAAGAGGAAAAAGAUCACUGGUAACUGCUGAGGAAUGUGUGAGAAAAGAGUUGAUGAGAGCAAUAACAAAGACCUGCAAAAGAAAAAGAAUUAGUCAUGCACCGCUUUUCUAUAUCAUGUAUUUGGUUAUUGUUGCCCUGUUGACGCAUGUUGAAGAAGAAAGCACUAGUUCACAACUCUACGUUUUCAUAUAUUCUAAAGAAAUAAUUAAGUUUUCAUAGAAUGAUACCUGUUGUGUUUGAGUAAUUUUGGUAUAUACAUUGCUUGUGUACUGUGAAAUUGAAAUGAAUAUUGAUGGAAUGACUGAAUUUCACUUUUGCCCAAAAGAUCUUUAACCAAAGUUUAAUAGCUAUCAUGUACUCCUUAAAAGCAAUUUUUUUUUUUAGAUUUGACUGAAUUUGAACUUGUUGGAUUGGUUGUUUUUAGAUUAUUAAUAUGAGAUAUUACAACGUAAAUAUUUUCAUGUGGUUGAGCCCUAUUCUAAAAUCUGUAUAGUUAGCUUUAGAAAAAGGGCUUUUCCUGCUGAUCUGUAAUCUUCAAAUAAACUUAGAUACAAAUAAUGAAAUAAAAGACAACAAACAAGCAAUACUGAUGCAAAGCCAACAGAUCAGAGUUUUUGGUACAAAGCCAAUAAAAGACAAUAAACUUAGGACCUUUUUUUCUUGCUUUCUUUUGUUGCAGGAUUAGAGUUUUUGGUAUUAUCAGUAAAGGUUUCAAGGGUCUGAGUAAAAGCCUAUAAUCUUUUUAUAAACUUUUUUUUUUGGGGGGGGGGGGGGGGGGGGAGCAUGCAAAUUAACCAAAAGAAAUAAUAAGAGCACAGGCUUUAACAAUGAAUAGUAACUUAAAACUCAUGCAAAAUAAGUUACAAUAUUAAAACAAACCAGAGAAAAUUUUUUCUUGGAAAGUAGAUGGAACUUAAGAAAGAGCAGAUGUCAAGAUCAAGGAUCAGGGAUUCUACUAUCAAAAAAAAAAAAAUUAUUCAAGGAUUUAGAAAUCGUGCACCUCUUUAAUUAUCUGGGAUUAGAGAGUUGGUGAGCUUCUCUAUUUGGCCUUCAAUAUUUAAGAACAAGUUGAAAGAGGAAAAAGAUCACAGGUAACUGCUGAGGAAUGUGUGAGAAAAGAGUUGAUGAGAGCAAUAACAAAGACCUGCAAAAGAAAAAGAAUUAGUCAUGCACCGCUUUUCUAUAUCAUGUAUUUGGUUAUUGUUGCCCUGUUGACGCAUGUUGAAGAAGAAAGCACUAGUUCACAACUCUACGUUUUCAUAUAUUCUAAAGAAAUAAUUAAGUUUUCAUAGAAUAAUUUUGGUAUAUACAUUGCUUGUGUACUGUGAAAUUGAAAUGAAUAUUGAUGGACAGAGCAAUGCAUAUGCCUAAAAAAACAUAAAGCAAAUCCUUGAACGAAUGAUUCAGGACUAAAACUUUUAUAAAAGCAAAUACCGGAAACACACAAAAAGCAUUUAAGAGAGAAACUAAACCGCAAAUAAUCGAAGUAAGAUCAAUAAUAUAUGAUUUGAUUUAUGCAUAUUCAAAAACCAAAAUAUAAAAUAAAAUACAAAAUUAAAGUUUGGUUUAUUCUUUCCACAAAAAACAGGGGAAUGAAAACAGAGGCAACUUGUUUUACCAAUUUUUUCUUCUUAAUUUCCGGCAAAAAAAAUCAAUAAACAGGGGAAUGAAAACAAAGGAACGAAAACAGAGGAAACUUGCUUUUCAGGCUAUCUUGUGACAUGAUGAUAUUGCUCGUGAAUGCAUGAAAAUUUCUAAUGCAAACAGCUCAAUUUGGGAUGAUAAGCUUAAGUUUGCAAGUGAUGCAUGAUAAUCAGAUAUUUGUGGCUUUUAAAACUCAAGAAAACUCAAGAAAAUUAAAUGACAAGAUUAAGACAAACAAGAGAUAGUUUUUGUUGGACAUUAAGAAACAACUACUAUCAAGAUCAAAGAUUAGAAAUUAUGCUAUUGAAAGAAAUUAUUAAAGUAUUUAGAACAAACGCACCUCUUCAAUUAUCGAGGAUCACAGAGUUUAUGAGCUUCACUCUUGGCCUUCGAUUUAUAAGAAAAAUUUUAAUGAGCAAAAGAUCGCUGUUAACUGCAGAAGAAUGUGAGUAAAGAGUUUAUGGGAGUAAGCAAUACAAUUGAAUUGUAAAAGAACAAGACUUAAAGCGUGCACCCCGUGUUCAUAUAAACAGAACACAUGUUCAUUUUUAACAAAGUGAUCAAUAACUCUAUUCGUUAUUUAAUUGAUAUUGUAACCAAGAUCAAGGAUCAGGGAUUCUUAUGCCUACUGAUAUUUAAACAGAGAAUUCUUUCUUCUUUUUCUCUUCAUGGAUUAGAGUUUUUGCUAGUAACAGAAAGGUUUCAAGGGUCUGAAUAAAAUCCCAGAUUUUUUUUUAACUUUGUUUUUUGUGGGAAAAUGGAUUCAAAUUAACCAAAGCCAAUAAUAAGAUCACAGACUUUAACAAUGAACAAUAACUUAAGCAAAACCAAUGACAAGAUUAAAACAAACCACAGAAAUUUUUUCUCGGAAAGUAGAUGAAAAGCAAGUAAGAACUGCUAUUAAAGGAUAUUAUUAAAGGAUUUAGAACAUGUAUACCUCUUUAUUUAUAUGGGAUCAGAGAAUCGAUGACCUCCUCUAUUCGCUUCAGAUAUUAAGUAAGAACUGCUAUUAAAAGAAUGAAUUGAUGAGAGUAAUAACAAUGAUUGCAAAAUAGGAAGACUCAAUCAUGCACCCCUUUUAUACCUGAUCAUAUUAAGAAGUCGUUAAAGAAUAACGACUAAAUUAGGAAUUAAUUCUGAAGUUCAGAAUCAAGAACAAAGACGAAGCUUUAAUAACGCAUGCAGUGAGAUACAAGAAAUGGAUCUGGUAAAAUACAUUAAAAAAAUUUGUUCAACUUCAACCUAGUUAAGCUGAUGAAAGCACUAGUUGUUGGCUCUACGUUUCAUAUGUUCUAAUGAAAUAAUUAAGUUGAAGUUUUCAACGAAUAAAUACCUGUUUCGCUUGAAUAGCUUUGGCAUAUACAUUACUUGUGUCCUGUGAAAUUGAAAAGGUUAUUGAUUUACAAAGCUUAUUAGUAGAGAAAAGCUACGUAAGAUGCCUGAUAAAAGAUAAAGCAAGAGCUUGAAUGAAGAAUGACAUUUUAGAAAGAAACUAAAGUGUAAUCAUCAAAGUAGGAUCAAUAAUGUACCACUUUCCUUGCAAAUCUGGUGGGUUUUCUGAAUAGAUUUUUACAUUAUUCUAUUUAACCAUUUUGGGUUUACCCUAAGCAUUCUUGGUUGGCAUUGUCCUGUAAUCUGCGUGCCCUGGAUACGUGUGAGGGAAAGAUGAGGGUAGAUAUGCAAUUUCAAGAAGCGAUUUGCUUGCAUAAUUCAAUGCAUGGAAAGAGAUGUACCUGACCAGAAAAAAAAGGGCACCAUCCAUAUCUGAGCUUGACUUUUUAGAUGGAUAAAUAUUCUUAUUACUGUUGAUAAUGGAGAAGGGUUCUACUUUUACUUUGCCAUCUUUGAUAUAAAACAGCAUGAUUCCUUUUUAUCAAACACUUGCCUAAGUCUAUUUUUUAUUUUUCUUAUUUUCAGAAAGAGAUUAGCUUAAUUUAAAUUAUAUUCAAGUACAAAGUGUUAUACACUCAUAAAACGAGAAAUAGGCAUGUAUUGAUCACGCGCAAUCUAGUUUUUUUUUUUUUUCUUUUUUUUUAAUCCAGUCUUCUUAUUAAAAAAAAAAGAAUUUAUUUGCUUUAUUUUAAAUUAUUUUUUCAUGCGGUAAAUGCAAUACUGAGUAAUGGGUGAGCAAAAUAUUUACAGGCACACCCCCUUUUAAUGAUUUCGUACUAAAAUUAAAAAUUGACGAUUCCAUGAUAAAGUUCAAAGAGUAAAUGAAGACCCAUAAAUGUUUUUUGGUCAUGAGCAAUUUUUGAGUUGGGACAGCACUCGUAUGAAAAAAAAUAGUUUUUUUUUUUCUUUAAGCAUGAGGAUAUUAAUUCUUUUUUUAUAAAUCAGCGUGAAUAUAAAAUUAAAAAAAUAGUUUUGAAUAACUUCUUUUCUUUUUUCAUAAAUAUAGAUAAAAAAUUUUAAAGUCACCAAACACAAAACCAGGAAAAUGGAAAGGAAGCCCCUGUUUCUCCGCUGCUGCAAGCACAAAUUCGGUUUCUACAGGAGUACCUUCUAAAUGCACCAUUUGUAUUGCUUUGUUUCCACGUAAGCUAACGGAAUUUGAUGAAGACAAAAUAGAUAUGAGUCGUGCUAUUCACACCCCUCGAUAAUUCUCUCAAAAUCCCCUUUCUAAUUAUACCGCCUUGAAUAAUUUCAAAACUGACUUUUCCUCUUAUAAUACCACCUUCAAUUCCCUUAAUACCCUUGUUCGCUAUGAAAAUAAGGAAAAUGCCUACAUAAAAAGCUGGCUCUGAUAAUCUACCUGAAUUUACAUUAGAAAAGAGUGGACUUUGAGAAAUAAGAAGACAAUAUAGGGAAUUUUACCAAAAUAAUCCAUUUUUAUAUACAGGGAAUGGUAUUUUCUAAUAUAAGGAGGAGUGGAGAAAUUAAAUUUAGCAAAAUAAAGAACCUCCAUCGAGAAGCAAAAAUGAUGAUAUCUUUGUCGUGAAGAGAUUUCAAUUCAAUUGCAUACAUUGACGAAACAUUAAAUACGGAAAAAACAAAAAAGAAAUAAUAGAACAUGGGGAUUUCGAGAACUUCUAAAGAGAGAAAUGUAUUUAUAAGCAUUGAAAAUUAGCUCAUUAAAUUUGACAGAAUAAUAUACAAUCUCACUGUUGGCCAGAAAAUAAUAGUAAGAACUUGUGAACAUAUAUAAUCAAUUGCUUAUUACUUAAGCUUUUUCUCCGUUAUUUUGAAUGGGUGCAAAGAGGAGAAGUUUUGUACCCAAAUUCCAACUCGAAUUGUGUAGGCUGCUUGCAAGAGCUUCAUUAGAUUUUUAUUUGUCUUUUAAUAGUGCUACUCGAUAAAUACAGCUAGCUAUCUGUCCUUUUUGUUACUGGACUAUAGAUCAAUUGACAGUUGAAGUUAUAUUAAUUUGUUGUACUGGAAUUGAAGCUUGUAUCUUAGCCAUUUCGUGAAGUGUCAAAUAUAUUUUUAAUUUCCUUAAAAUUGUUCAAAAUAUGUUUACACUUUUAAAGUCACUAUUAUACAUGAGUGCCCUAAAAUCAUUUCCUUAAAAUUGUUCAAGUGGGAUCCUAGUUCUCUAUGGCAGUUGAAGAGGUAAAUGCGCAUAGAGCUAUGCUCUAUCAUAGGCCUCGGCCACUAUAAGAAAUUUGAUUUUUUAAGACGAUAUUUUUUACAACAACUUUAAAUUUGGUCACAAAAUGGUAUUUAUUGUGACAAAUUUUUUAAAUCGUAGCUAAUAAUCUUGUCCUAACUUAUAUUUUUUUUUGUAACCAAUUAUUUUUAUUUUGAGACUUGUUCAUUGGUCAUUAAUUAAAUUUUUUUAUACCAAAAAUUAUUUUAGUCACCAAAAGAUAUAUUUUUUUGGCGCAAAAUCUUCCCUCCAAAAGUGAUUAUUUUGAGACAAUAUUUCACUAUUUAUGACAAAAUAAAUAGUCAUGAAAUAUAAUUAUAGGCGACCAAAUUAUUUGGUAACUAAAAGAGGGGUGUAAAAUUAACUAAACAAUCUAUGACACAAAAUAUUAGUAGCCAAAAUUAUUGUUCUUUUGGCAUAUUUUAAGACCAUUUUUUUGGUCAUAUAUAAUUACCUACAGUGACAAAAUUAAAAAAUAGUCGUUGAAUGUUUUAUCUUGAAUAAUUUUAUAUUUGAUAACCAAUUUUUUUUUCUUUUUGAGACAUAUUACUUGGUCCCUAUUUCAACUUCUUUUUGACUAACUUUAUAAUAGUCACAAAAGACAUUUUUUUUUUUUUUGGCAUAAAAAGUCUGUCCAAAGUUAGCUCUUUUGGGACAAUAUAUAAUCUUUUAUGACAAAAUAUAUAGUGGCGAAAUAUAAUUAUUUUUUACAAAGUUAUUUCGUAGCUGAAAAAGAGGUGUAAAUUUAGUUAACCUAUUUGUGACAUAAAAUAUUAGUCUCCAAAACUAUUAUGCUUUUAGCCAAUUUUAAGACCCGAUUUUGUUGUCAUGGAUAAUUACCUAUUUUCAAAAAACUAAGAGAUAGUAAUCAAAAGUUUGUCUUGAUUGACAUUGUAUUUUAUGAGCAAAAUAUUUUGUUUCAGUGACACUUUACUUGGUCUCUGAUUAGACUUGUUUGUGAUGAUCAAUAGAAAUAUAUAAUAACCACUAAAUUUUUUUGGAUUAAAUUUUAUAGAUACUAUUAAUUAAGUUGUUGACGAAAAUGAUCGAACCAAUACUAAUAUGGGAUACCAUCAACAGCCGUAAUACUUAUGAACCGAGAAAUUAUAAUAUGUAGUGAAAAAGUUUUAACAGUAGUCCCUAGUAUUUAGAAUUAUUUUGACUACUUUAUUUAUUUCCAAAACAUAAAAUUCUCAACCCAAAAUUCCCCGCAUUGUGUUUUAUUUUGUCUCCUCACUCAGUUACUCUUAUUAACUCACGGCUUGACAAAAAAAAGAAAAAAAUUCUCACAGCUUGAUGUUCUCCUCUCUUUAAAAAUAAAAAUCCCCAGUUACUCUGCUCAAACUCGUUAAUAUUUGUUUCCACCACCAAAGCAGCCACUCGUAUCUUUUAUUAAGCAUAACGUUUUUCUUAAAACCUAAUUGAUCAUUCUUUAACGUCUCCAGGAUUAUAUUUGGCACGCUAUUUUUCUCCUUCAAUUGAAUAGAAGUCUAGAACCUUUUUUUUUUCGCAAUUCACUUUUGCUGUGUUUCGUGGUUUGGACUAAGAUCAUGACAAUUAUUGAACGAUGGGGAUAAAUAUCAAAGAAGGAGCUUACAUGCCCUAUAUAUCUCUCUUUGGAUGAAUAACGAAUGUGAGCUUUCAAAGUACAGAGAUUUACAUGUUUUAAUUGUCAUUUACAUUGCUGCAUGCCAAUUGCUUGAUAAAAUACUGCAACAAAUACGCAUUCUCGAUUUUCUUAUAAAUUUAUUUUCUUAAUCUGAAAAAAAUUGAAUGUUCAGAGAAUUUUGAAGGUUUUGGUGUAUGCAUUAAUAUUUCGAUUCUAUUUAUGUUGUUUAACUAAUGAAGAUGAUACAUCUAGCCUCUUUUUGCCCCUUGUUGUUUUUAUUCUUGUGCUUUAUAUACGGUUCAAGUGUGAUACACUUUAGUUUUUCUCAAGUGUUUGUUAGUAUUUCCCGAAGCAAAAUUUGUCACAGACUUUGAGUUCAAAAGUUGAAAUCAUAACUAACAUACUUCGAUUUUUUAUUUUCCUUUUUUCUUCGGUAUCCUUCUAUAUGGCAUUGGUUGAGAAAUUGGUGUACUUAGAUCGUAAUAUUCUGUAGAAAUAAGCCAAUAUUUCAUUACGUACAUUGUUUAAUAUGAUGAGUAUUGUAUAGAAGUUUUACAUAUAAGCUCCUUAUAUAUUAUGCAUUAUGUUUUUAUCAUAUUGUUGCUUGGAACUUUGAAGGAUUGGCCACAGGGCUUUAGUCCUACAUGGACAUUUUAUAUUUAAUAGCUGGUUAGGCAUUUUAUUUGAUGUUAUUUGGACUUGUAGGUGUUAAAAGUUUUGUUCAGUAAUUUUAUAAUUCAGAUUCCCAUUGUGAUAAGAUAGCAAUUUUUUGUGUGUCAGAUUCUGUCAACUGAUAUUUAGCUAAAAUAUCUCACUAACCCCUAUUGGUUAGGUAUUAUUUUAAAUCACAUACUUGAUUUUUAUUUUCUUUUUAUCUGUGGAAUCCCAUGUAUCAUUCAUAAGAAACAAGCUAUUAUAUAAUCUAUUCUUUAGAUCCAUUUAUAUGUAGUGAGCACUCUGAUUUCUAUUAUUUGAAUUUUUUGCUACUGUUACUACUCUUUCGGCCCUUCAAAUAGGGGUUAACAGAAAUGGUGAGUAUAUUAAUACAAAUUCAAACUUUCUUUUUCUAAUUUUAUCCAAAAUAACCUACUAUUUUAUUUUAAUUUCAAACUUUUGUCAUAGUCUAAUGGGCAGUUGUCUUGUCAUUAUUUGGUUUCAAGUAAGAAGAGAGAAAGUUAGUGAGAGGAUGAAAAUUUUGCAAAAACUUGUUCAUAGCUAUGGUAAUUAAGUAGUUUGAGUUCUUUUUUUUGUUGUUUUCUAUGUUGGUUUUGGAUCAUUGUAGUUGCUGAUUGUGAUUUAUUGUCGCCUAUGGUUGCUGACUUUUGUUUACUGUGGCUACUUUAUUAAAGCAAUUUUGGAUAUUGAAGUUUAUGGCCAACUUUUAUUAGACACUUCUGACCUUUAUCGAUAUAUUUUCUGAACCUUUACACUUAAGAUGUGUGUGUGUGUUUUUAAAAAAUACAUGUGAAUGAAAUAGUACUUGAAAUAAUAUAUUUUCUCAACUUUUAUUAGAUAUAGUGAAAUAGUACUUGAAAUAAUAUAUUUUCUCAACUUUUAUUAGAUAAUUCAAAGUAUAUCCCACUUAUUAUCGAUAUAUUUGCUCAAGUCUCAUGUGCAACAUGUGAAUGAAAUAGUACUUGAAAUAAUAGAGACUUUGUUUUAUGACUCAUAUUUUUACAUUUCUUUGCAAGGAACCAUACUUAAUUGUACCUAAUAGAAGAGAUAUCUUUUCACUAUAUAGUCUUAGUAUAAAAAGAUACAUCUUCUAUAUAAGGCACAAUUGAUGGGACAUAUCUUUAUACUAAGACAUCAUUCAUAUUUAUCACACAAUAAUAGAAACUGCAAUGGUAGGUGGAAUAUUAUGAAGUCAAAAUUGAGAACGACAUUAAAUCAUGAAUUCUUUAUGUGUUUACUCGAAUGCCUGACAGUAUUUAGUUCAAUUAACACAGAUUGGAAAUCCAAAUGAUUGAAGAGUUGUAUGAGUUCAAGUUCAGUAUUUAAUUACUAUAUAAUUAUACAUAAAUGUGGAUUUUGCAAGCUUGAACCCAUGUGUGUUAGCCCAUUUCGGCCCAAUAAACAUAUUGUUCUGGAUAAAAAAUAUCAGGGGAUCUCUGAUGUUUCUUUGGUUUAACAUAAAUUUAUUCCUAACUCUAUAACCAUGCAUUAUUUAGACAAAAAUUUUUGCAAUCACCAAACAGUAAAACAGAGAAAUAAAAACGGAGGAGCUCUUUUCUAAAACAGAAGUAGGUGUUUUGUCUGAACGUACCACUUUCUGUUUAAUUAUUAUGUUUACGGAAUAGAUUUUUUUUUAUUAUUCUGUUUUAUGUUUCCGUCUUUACCCUAAGCAUUCUUGGUUGGCAUCGCUGCAUUGUCCUGUAAUCUGUGUGCCUUGGUGAGGAGGGGAAUGGAUAACUGUGGUGCUGGAUACGUGAGAGACAAUGAUGAGGGUAGAUUUGUAAUUGCCAGAAGCGAUUUGCUUGCAAUAAUUCAAUGCAUGGAAAGAGAUGCCUCUAACAAAAAAUGGGACUAUCCAUAUCUGAGCAUUAGAGCUCUACGUCUUAGAUAAAUAAAUAUACUUAUUAGUAUUGUUUUUGCAUAUAUCUUUCACAAAAUUAUUGUAUUCGCUUAUAUAGAGAGGACGAUUUAGAUAAGUUUCAACUAAAAAUUGACAAUUCCAUGAUAAAGUUAAAAAUCACCGAAUAAAAAACUGGAAAAUCCCCUGUUUCUCCUCUGCUUUCUUUUGAUUAUUAUUAAAAAGGGGAAUUAAAAAAUGAGUUGCAAGCACAAAUUUUAUUUCUACAGUAGUACCUUCUAAAUGCACCAUUGUUUGAUACAUUAAAAUUAAACAUUACUUAUGCUAGUAUAUCGGUACUUCACAUGUCCGUUCUUCAUUAAUGUAUAUUCAUUUACACCCAAGCUACCUGUCAGUUUUGCGAAAACUGAAUUUAAAGGUGUGGCUUAAAUUAAAAUAAUAAUCAGCCUCAUAGAAUACAGAGAAAAAAGAUAAUUUAUCACAAUCAUAUCCUAAUGCAUCAUAAAUUUAGAUUAUUUAAUUACUGUUAGGAAAUCUGCUUAGAUAAGGCGCACACUACAAAUUCUAAAUUAAAUUCCUAAUUAACAAUAAAAGAUAGACCCUAUUAAUCGUCCACCAGGUACCUUGUAGCCUGCAUCAUAAGUUUAGAUUUAAAUUUUUGCAAUUACCAAACGGAGAAACAGGGGAAUGAAAACAAAGGAGCCCUAUUUUUUCCAUUUUUGUCCCCCUUAACUCUUGUCCUUAUACAAAUAUUUUUCCUUGGAAUUUCAGGCAUACGAAAAAAUAUUGAAAAUUAUUUAAAGCAAACAGGUGGAUGAUAACAAAAAUAUAUUUAAUUAACCAAAUCAAGACACUAUAUUGGUCGUCAAUGUUUCGGCAUCACUGUCUUCUUCAGAUGUUACUUGUUUUUCACAUUUAUUUUGCGCUGUUGUGGAUUAAUAUGGUUCUGCUGGGUGCACAUUUUUACGUGCUACUGUAUUUUCUCUCAGUCCUUUUUAAAAGAACAUACACCCACAUACUAUGUAGAGUGACCUUUUUUAAUGAGGAAUCUGUCAUUUUAAUAAAAUGAAGAAUAAACUAAAAGGUAGAAGUACACGAACUCUAAUGCAAUAUACCUUUUCUUUUCUUUUACCUUUACUAUAAGAUAGGGAAUGAUAUAAUUGAUAAUGGAACUUGGGGUCAGAGCAGCGGUGUAAUUUUGAGAGGAUUUACAAGAUGGUAAGUGCAAUAAUUAACAGGCUCAUUUAAUAUAUCAAACUGCUAGAUAAUUGUACUAGUUAAACAUAAUUUUCAGAGAAUCUUUUUAAGGGUUUAUUUAUUAAUAUUUUGUUUCUUUCCAGCAUGAACACUUUGUUUUGACACGUGCUUAACAACCUUCAACGAACUGGAACAACCUUCAUCACAUGCUUCCUCACGUGAUUACUUAAAUUGAUAUGUAAAACGUGCUCCAUCCAUGUCGUUUCCACUAAAUCGUUUUUUGUUAAGAAUCAGCUGAGCAGCACGUGAGCUAAUGAAGCUUUUACGGCUUCAAAACGCAGCCGUUUCUGGGAACCAAACUUGAUUCAUCAUCUCACAACUACAGAUGAAUUAUCGAAGUGGCUGAUUGGUGCUGUACGUGUUUUUCGUAUUGAACUCAACUCUGCUAUAAUACAUGCGUGCAUCUGAUACAUGCACAAAAACCACCACUCCCACUCCCACUCCCACUCCCACGCCCUCGCGUCACGCGCCUUACCACUCCCUCGCCUCACCUCACCUCUCUUCUUGUUCCACGGCCAUCAACGGCGGCACGAGUCGGCAACGAUCAACUGCGGCUGUAAAUUGACCACAAUCAUCUCUCUCUCUCGGCUUUGCUCAAAUUUGGCCGAUCUAUGCGCUUGCUUAAGCUUGGCCGAUCUAUGCUUGCUCAAUUACUCUUCCUAUAUUCAGUCGGAGUCAACUGUUUGACAAGAGUCGAAGUCCAAGGUUCUUUUUUACAGGAUUUGAGCUACUUCUUUUAUUCUUCUUCCAUGUUCACUGAUACGAAGCUUUGAUGUGGUGUUCUGAGAGCGGGUGGAAUUUGAGAUUCUCCUUUCUUCUCUAUAUGAAGGUGCUUGUCAUGUGUCAAGAAAAAUAAAAUUAUUUACAAAAGAUUAUUUUAAGGAGAUUUAUUAUUAUUCGUGGAUCGGGAAGCUCAAAAAAUUUUCUUAUGUAGACUCAAAUCAUUUCUAUAGGGCGAAGCAUAUGAAUGAUACAUAUUAUCUUUUUUUGGCCUUAUGUAUUGUUAUUUGCAGUGUGAUUUGGUCUAGCUUAAGAGCUUAAGCUUGCAGGCUGGAUUUGUCUGACAUGGAACAAUUUAAUUUGUUCAUCGUGAUGUUUAUAUCCAUUUUGUACUACUAUCAAUUUCAAUCAUGGCUAAUUUUUAUAUGUAUUUCUCGUGGACUCUCAGGUUCAGUGCACAAGAGGAUGAAGACGAUGGACACCCAAAUUUGAUGUGGAGAACAACUAUUGCAAAUGGUCCUUGAUUUACUUCUCCAAUUGACUUGAAUUGGUUUGACGCAAUUUAUAGUGUAUUUUUGUCAUCUUUGUAUGACUGGCAGGUCGUCCUGAUUUGGUACAUGACUGGACACAGGAAUUGGACUCAUAUUUUUCAAACCAGAAUGCCAACAAUCAAGCAUUUUCUUUUGAAAGCACUGGCGUCUUCUUCAGUGCCAAAAAGGUUAGAGAUUUUCUGUAUCCUGUUUUGUAUUUGAUCAGUUUAGCAUGUGGGUGGCAAUCAAGAAAAGUUAUUAUAACAUUUUUGUGUUCCCGAAAAACUGCUGCUGAUGUGUAGUGCAGGAAAUGAAUUGUUUGUGACUUCUUUUUAUUUGUAUUCUUUCUUUUUUCUUUUCUCCCCAACAGAAUUACGUAUUUCUGAAGAGCUUCUUGAAGUUGAUUACCAUGUAUGCCACUUUCUUUACUCUAUGCUCAGGAUGUGAUUUUGUUUAGGUCAGAACCAUCAUCUAAAGUUUACUUAAUGCUGCCGAGAAGCUGUAGUAGAGCAAUGAAGGCUGUUGGUGUUAUGAAGGCCAGCUGUGAAGAAAUAUUUGAACUUGUAAUGAGCAUGGAUGGGACACGAUACGAGUAUGCUUCUUUUCUAUUUUUUAUUUUUAGUUACUUUAACAUAAUCAAGACUAUAUUGGCUGUCUGUGUAAGCUGAGUAUUAUAUUUCCUCUUGUAUGCUGUGAAAUUCACAUUGUCUCCAGUCCCGAUUCUGUAUGUGCCUUUUUGAAUAUAUUUAAUUAAUCUGCAUGGUGCUUUCUAAAGAUUAUUACAAACUUUUGUUGCUUAAGUAUAUGAAGAAUGUGGAAAUGAAAAUAGCUUUUGAAGUUUGAUGGAUUGCUUCAUUAAUAAAGAAAGACUAGGACUCAUUUUUAUAACUUUUCUCCACUUAGCUAAUGGUAUUUGAUGAAGACAAAAUAGAUGUAGCUAUCUAUAUUUUUUGUUGCUGAACUAUAGAUCAAUUGAUGGUUGAAGUUAGUUAUAUUAAUUUGUUGUACUAGAUUAAAGCUUGUAUCUUAGCCAUUUCAUGAAGUGUCAAAUACGUUCUUUCCUCUUUUUUUUUUUUUUCGAAACAUGUUACACUUUUGAAGUCACUAUUACAUAAAAGAGUGUUCUAAAACAGGAGAAGGCGUGCUGCCUGAAAUUACCUGUUUCCUAGCAAAUCUAGCUGGUUUGCGAAUUAGAUUUUAACAAGUCUCUUGGCAAGGUUUGCUAGUAAUGUGUUCAAAUUAUUCUAUUUAAUUUUACUGUCUGUACCCUAAUAAUUCUUGGUUUGCACCAUUGCAUUGUUCCAUAAUCUCUGUGCGUUGGCUUAUAAAGGCCAGCAAGGCUGAUCAUUUGUCGAAUAGUUAUUUCCAUGAAAUUCCUAUCAAUUUGACUCAGUAUUUAGAGGUCUUGAAGAGGGCAGUGUACUAGACAUGGAUUUCUACCUCUUUUGGUUGUACAAUUGUUGUAUUUCUUGGCCAUCAGAUCUUUUUUAUGUACCUUUCUCAAAGUUCUUGCCGCACGUACACCGUUUUUCAUGUUUUGUGCAGGUGGGAUUGUAGUCUUCUGUAUCGCAGCUUAGUUGAAGAGGUAGAUGGUCAUACGGCUAUUCUCUAUCAUAGGCUUCAGCUGGACUGGCUUCCAAUGUAAUAGUCUCUUGAUUCAAUCAUCUCAUUUAUGCUUUGGUCAGAAUAGAACAUUUAUUGUUCUUCUUUCCCCUUUCCUCUCUUCUGAUGUAAUAUGUGAGGAAAUUACCUAAAAUUUCUGUAUCCCAAUGUAAUUGUUGGCAUUCAGAAAUAAAAUAAAUACACCGUCUUGUUUUUCCCUCGGUUCAGUCCUAAGUUCUCUUUGGGCCUUCUGCAAGUUUUUAAACAUACUGUGACAGUAAAAAAUCUAGUGAUUGAGAUCAUUUUGAUGAAUUUAAUUUUAAUUCUUAGCUGAUACUUUUUCUGGAAUUUUUUUCUUAUGUUUCCUCAAUAUGACUUAAAUAUAGGGCUUAGUCAUGGAUCAUGCACCAGAGUGAUGGAAGCACCCCUUGUUUAUUAGGAAAAGCAGUUGAUUGUAACUAUAUCCGCGGUCCUAAGUAGUUAGAAGUAAAUGCUCUUCGAAUUCCUAUAGUACAUGGGAUGUGUUCCCUUUCAAAUAGCUUGUUCAAUACCAUUAACAUGGUUUAACAUUGUUCAUCUUUCUGUAGAUUGAUGUUGACGUGUUCUUCUAGAGUUGCUAAUGGAGUUUUGGGCCUUGUAAUUGGUGUAAUUACGGCAUUGGUGGUUGACAUGGCUUUCCUUGUGCAGGUAUGUAUGAUUGUUUUUUUCCCCCACUUCUAAAUGACACGAGGGAAGAGACAUGAUUUUGAGAUAUUGUACUGCAAUUUGCAUAUUUGCAUACUUGAAUAGUAACUCAAGAAUCAUUUUCAGAAUGGUAUAAUGCUUCGUGUAUGCAGGCAAAUACUACAGAUGAAUUACCGGAGCGGCUGAUUGGAGCUGUACGUGUUUCUUAUAUAGAACUCAAGUCUGCUAUUGUCCCAAAGUUGGAACCAGAGACAUCAUGACUCUGGUUUCAUUUCACCUCAACUGUUUUUUUUUUAAUUGAAAAAAAAAAUCAUUUGUUUUAGGUAUGCAUACAUGUAUUUUGAUCCCGUUUUCAUUGUAAUUUCUCAUUUACUUUGAAAGAAAGUCACUGGUGUUUUCGAAUAGGAAUUUUGCAUUAAAAAAUAAAGAAUACUUAAUAGGAAACUUAAUAAUUCUUUAGUUACUAUUUUUGGAAUGAGUGUAAUAGUAUUGAAGUUGGUUUCUACUCGCAAUCAAGUGAACUACUCGAUCCCCAACUGCGACCGCACUAAUUGUCAUUGUUUAAUAGCCUACUACUUUUAAAACUCAACAACUAAAAAAAUGAUUUUCUUAUGAUGCUGUGAAAACAUUUAUGGGUUCACUUAUUUCCACAAGAUCUAUAACAUGGUCUUGACUUCACGAAAUUCUUUUAACUUAAAGGGUUCUGGUCUGAGAAAGUUAAUUUGACGGAUUAAUUCCUUUUAAUAAUGGUCGAGUUAAUUUUACUAUACUCGUAAAACUAUUAUUAUUCUGAUAAUGCCACAAAUGUUAUGAUGUUUUCUUCAGCCAAUAAUCUUCUAUUAGGACUAGUUAGAAAUCAAAUGCUUAAAACACCAAUUGAAUGAAUAAUGCAGAAGUUUAAACAGUAUCUAAUUGAAAAUUACAUGAAGCAUGAAACAUCAAUUCAAGUCCUUCCUUAAACAGAGAAUGCAUCAAACAAAUCCAAAGUGUCUUGCAUGUCUGUAAAUAAUUGUAAAUGCGUUUAGAUUAUUCAAGUACAGGAGAACAAGCAAGUUGAAUCAUGUACAAGAGGUUGGCCUGGUUCGAGAUAGCUUCUUCACAGUACCUGAAGGGUUGGCUCAAUCUUUUCUUUAGAAUUCUGCACAUUUUGUAAUUACUCGUGUAAGCAAGCAUACAUUACAACCAUAAUAAUAAUAAGGCAAGAGUAAUGAUACGACCACAGCCUCUUGUGCACAAAUAAUAUUGUACAAACUAAUAUGACAUAAUAUGAUUGAUUAAACAAAAACAUAACAUGACCCUCAUAAUUUAUUUAUUAUUAUUUUAUAUUUUCAGUCAAGCAAUCAUAUUAUGCCACAUUAAAUAGAAAUAAUUUACUAGAUAGUGCCAACACUUCAUUGAUACUCACCAUUUCAUUGAACAAUUUUUUUAUAGUGUCAUUGAGGUUGCCUUCCCAACAUCCUUCAUCAUCACCAUCUUCAUCUUCGGUGGGUUUCACUUUGUUUAGCUUUGGUGCGUCUACGACUCCUGGAGAGAAAAUCUUCAUCGUUGGGCAUUGUCUCACAACUACGUGUGCCAAGGACGGGAACUCAAGAGCGUAAUUACCCAAACUAAAGCUUGUUAGGCUUGGCAAACAAUCAAUUCCCAAGUACUCCAAUUUCCUGAAAACAAUGCAAUCUUCCGCUUCUUCUCCAACCUGCGACUGUAUAAUUUCUUCCAUCAUUUUGCAAUCAGUUAUCUUCAUUCUUUCAAGAUUCACUAGACUUUCAGAUGUUGAGAGUGUCAAUAAAUUUAUCAACCCAUGACACUUCGAUACUUCCAGAGUCGCAAGAUUUUCCAAAUGCCACAAAGCUGGUACUAAUUUCUGCAACUUACUACAUUCAAAUAUUUCUAGACUUUUCAAGUUUGCAAACACUUUGUUGGAUUCGGCAUUUUCCUUCCAGAGAUGCUGCACUUUGUGUAAUCCAGAUAGCUUUAACUUCAUCAAUUGAGGGAAUGCAACCUGAAAAUCAACAAAAUUAAGUUGUAAAUGAAAAUAUGUAUCCAAUCUCUACAGUCUUCCCCUACAUAUUUUAUGGACAAGAUUAAUCACGGCAUUUUAUAUUUUAUUUCCAAAUUAGUAUGCUUUGCAGUAGGAUCCCAAAUAUAAGUAUCAAAUCGAUUACCCUUUGAAACACAUAAAUGAAAUCUGAUCAUAAAUCCAAUAUGAAUUAGCUAGGAAAACAAAGAUCUAACACGCAUAAUUUAUGCGAUAUAGUUCAUCACCUCCUGUCACUAGGCAUCUAAUUAAUUUGAGACAUUUUUUUAAUUCAUACUAUAAAGUUAGUUAAUAACUACAAUUAUAUUGUUAAAUCAGAUAUAAAUUAAGACGACGUGCAAAAAGAUAAGUCAUUAAAUUUGAUUUGAUUCUAAUGAAAUUACAUCUAUGCGAAUGAAAGUGAAGGGAAAAAUAAUAAUAAUGAUUACCUUUUUAUCGAAGAGAUGUUGUAUUUGAUUAGCUACCAAGAGGUUCUCUUCUGAUUUUAAUUUUUGAGCUUCCUUAUUAUCUGCUGUCAUGUGCAAUACAGAUGUAGAAUUGGAUAUGAAUGUUUCCAUGUCAGGGCAAUUCUCAAUAGUUAGAUAUCUCAACUCAGGCAGUUCAAUUAUAUUCCCAGUGAAGUUGCAGAAUCUUUUGAGUUUUGGAAGAUCAAUGAGCCUUAGAUUGGAAAGCUUAGGAAACAUGGGGCCUAUAUGUUCUUUGUCAGCAUUUAGCUCUUCCAAACGAAGCACCUCUUCUAGUGAAUCACAAUUCCUCACUUCCAGCCGUCGCAAAUUGUUCAAGCAUCGUAGCAGAUUGGCAGGAAUAGCACUCGACAUAUUCGUGCAGUCAUCCACCACCAGCCGUGCUAAAUUGUUGAAGAAGCUGACAGGCAGUGCUUGGCCAUGCCAUAUUUCUUUCAAACGUGGAAAAUGUGAGAGUUGCAAAUACCAUAUGUCACGGAAUCCAAUCUGCACAAACCAAAACAAUUGCACCGGAUAUAUACAAUUUUUUUUUUGAAAGGCAUUAUAUAUAUACACAUUAAACUUACAUGUUUUGUGUUUUAACUUCUAAAAAUAUAUAUACAAGACCGGGGUAUAUGCUUAAAUGUGCAAUUGCAGGGGAGAUGCAUAAACAAUUUGGGUGAAUCGAUUAACACAUACCAUUUCUUUGUAAUACUUUUGCAUAAUGGAAUUAAGGUUAUUGCCUUCCCAAUGGUGCAGUUCACCCUCUUCCUUUUCAGUCACUUGCACUUUGCAUGGCUUUGGAAUGGAUAAGAUUCCCUGAGAAAAAGUCUUCAUAUUUGGACAACGUAUCAUAGAAACUCGUUCCAGUGAUGGGAAUUCAAGAGUGUAAUUCUCCAAACAAAAGCUGGUAAGCCUUGAUAAAUAAUUAAGUAUCAAAACUUUUAAUUCGCUGAAAGCAAUACGAUUCUCCUUCACUUCUUCUCCAACAUGUCCUACGAUUUCUUCUAUUUUUUGGCACUUCGAUACUUUAAGAUUCACCAAACUACUAGGAAUUCCAACCUGAAAAUAAGCAAAAGUGUGUGUAUAUUAAAAAAGUAAAAAUGUAAGAAUAUCAUUCAACUAGGUUCAAAGUAUGUUUAAUCAUACAAUUAUACGUUUUAUAAAGAUAACAAACCAUGAAAUGUCUACAAGAUAAUUUUUUGUUAAACAAAAAAAGCAACAAGAUAAAUAAAUAAAUAAAAGCCAGAUAAACAAAGAUAUUAAAUGCAUUUACACUAUUUAGUAUUAGGAACGUACGAAGAAUUUAAGGCAAUUUCUAAAUAUUUUAGACUUAUUUUGCAUCUUGAUGCCAGUUUUUAAACAAAAUUUGCAAAUUUCAACUAUUCCUUUUGGGAAAAAAAAAUCAACCAAAAUGCCGCUUUUUCCCUUUUCCCUUGGUCCCUUUUUUUUAUGUAUAUUUAAUUUUGGAAACAAAAUUAAAGUGGAUCUUUAUUAAGUACUUCCAGACUCGAGGAAAUUUCUUUACAAUCAAGGAUCAGUUGUAAAUAAUCGUGAAUUUGUGGUUAAUUAAUGGCAUAAUCAGUUCGUAACUAAACAAGAGAUAUUAAUUAAAUUUGAAGACUUUUCUUUUCUUUUUUUCUUUUUCCAAUCGAAAUGUGAAGAAUUAAGGAAAAGAGAAAUAUAUAGAUGAAUUUGUGAACCUAUAAGAUGAGUGACUAUCCUUUAAUUUUUGAAAAUUGUACUUAUUAAGAUAUGAGCAGAAACAAUUAAAUUGAAUUAUAUUAUGAUGUUGAAUCGUGAUUAAAAAAAUUAUAUUGUUGAUUCUAAUGCUGGCGAACCUAAAAAAUGGACUUAAAAUGUAGAUUUGAGAGUGGUGGUUCGAAAUACAAUACUUGAAAUAAAUAAUCAGUGGCUGAAUAUCAUUUGUAAACCCAAAAAUGGUUAAAAUAUUGUUGGAUGUAAUUUAAAAAAAAAAAGAUUCGAAAUGAAUACAACGACCUUACCAAUGGAGGAAAAAUAUUCAUUAGGUUAUGACACUUAUAUAUCUCCAAAUUCUUCAAUUUGCUGAAAGACUCCGAAGGAAGCUGGUGGUGCCAUAUUUUUCUCAAAUUAUUCAUCCAGCUAAUAUCUAAUACCUCCAACCUAGGAAGUCGUACCUGGAAGUUAAAGAUUAAAUAACUAAUUAAUCAAUUAAUGGCAUAAUCAAUUGAUAACUAAAUUAGAGGCGGAUAUUAACUAAAUUUGAAGACUCAAGGAAAAGACAAAUUAAGUAUUGUGACUAAAAUUAAUUUUAUUUAUUAAAAAAAAAACCUUUUCGUCAAAGAGAGGAGGAGGUUGCAUUUCAGAAUGAUUGGUGUCUUCUGGUGAGCUCGUAGAGAUGAAUCUUAACAUAUUACUGCAAUUACCAAUCUCGAGGUUUAGCAAAGAAGGGAAUUCAACAACUAAAUCUGAAUGAAUAUGUCCUGUAUUGGCGAAGCUUGUCAGUUCUGUAAGCCAAUAGAGCUGCAGGGAGUGUAGUUUAGGAAAAACCUUUAAUUCAAUCAACUUUCCUUCAUCUCUUUCUGACCACCCCGUGGUGUCGACUACCCCUUCCAUUGACUCACAAGACCAUAUUUCAAGAUGUUGGAGUUGCAAAAGACUAUUAACCAUAGAAUACGAAAACAGAUACUUCAUACGAUCACAACUUCUCACGUACAGCUUUGUUAAAUUUUGACAACAGUACAUUCCUUGAUUAUGAUCGGCCCAUAAUUUUUUGAUGUUUCUUAAUUCCGUGAGAUUCAAUUCCUCUAAGCUCGGAAGAAGAACCUGCAAAGAAAAGCCGUACAUUUUUGUUCCUUCAAGUACAACCGUCUAGUAUAAUAUUCUGUUGAUGAUCGAAGAUUAAUCGUGAUAAUAAAUUAAUCAAUUAAUUAUUGAACAGAAAAUUAUCACCUUUGGAGCAGUAUCAUCAUCAGCAAUGAUUUCGUUGAAUCCCAAAGAAGUUGUUGGUUUCUCCCUGUCGGGUCCUGUAAACAAACAAAAACAAUAUACAUAAUUAAUCUUUGUCGUUGUCUUUUUUUUUUCAAAAUAAUUGAGGCGAAGUCCAUAAAUCCACCAACACUUAAUUUCAACACUUACCAACAGUCAUUUCCAGUUUAUUGCAGGAAGCCACUUUGACCUUUUGAAGCCGCAGUAGGUUUCUGGCUAUGGAAAAUGAGAAAAGAUGCUUCAAUUUAUCACAGGAUUCUACUUCUAUAAUCUUUAAGUUGCUGAAAAAUUGAUCUUCUCUGAGUUGGCUGUGGCAUAUGGCCUCCAAAUUGAUCAAUUUAUAGAGAGACAAUGACUCCAGCAAGGGGAAGACUUUGCGAUGAACCCGUCCAACUGAACCGACAAUGUGUAAAAUCUCAGAACACCUUUCUACCCAAAGAUGCUUCAAUCGUGGAAAACCUUCCCCAUCAUCUAAUUCAUGAACAACAUUCUGAACACCCGUCAGUUCCUCUAGACGGAUAUCUUCAGUUAACUUCAGCAACAUUUUCAUCCCAUAAUUCUCCAAAAGAGUGCUAACAUUUUCUAACCCAUGGAGCUGCACCAAUCUUGAUGUUUCAGAAUUAGCGCGCCAGAUGCCCCACGCUUCUCCUAUACAUAUCCUAUAUCUUGGCAAUUCGACAAAGACCAAAUCCUGCGGCAGCAUUUGGGCAUCCUGAACUUGUAUCUCCAAAGUAGUUAGCUUUGACAGCCCCUUCAAUUCAGCAAGACUGGCGUUACUUCCUCCUUCAACCUUAUCCCACUGCGGAAAGCUGUCACCCAUAUAUAGUUCUUCCAAUCGAGAAAAUUUUGAUAUGACAUUUGGUGCUAUCACUACAAGGCUGCUACAAUUGCUCAAAUCUAGCAAUUGUAACUGCGCCAAUUGACCAAUUUCAAGUGGCAACUGCUUAAUGUCGGAAUAUCGAAAGCUAAGAAUCUCUAAUUUCUUUAGCUGUCCAAUUGCCGCUACAUCUUCUAGUUGGCACCAGUCUAAACACAAUGUUUGAAGGUUAAUGAGGUGACCAAGUGAUGAAGAUAAUGAAGAGAAAUGAAUUCCGCUAAGACUUAAAACUUUGAGAUCUUCCGUCCCUUCAAAAAAGAGGUGUGAAAUUUCCAAAUAGCUAUCACCAUUUGCAAGCAACAGUAAUAACUUGAGUUGGGGACAUUCCAACCUUUCGGGAAGCUCUUGAAUAUCUCCAUAAGGUAUAGAAAUAGCAAUUGCACCUUUCUGUAUGAUCUUUUCUAUCUCUUCCUUCAAGUUGGUAACAUUUGGGAUACUAAACAUGAGCUUCUCUGAGGCAAUUGAUACGGCAACAACAUGAAUGACGUCAUGCAUUUUAACUUCAUCUUCAGCAUCGCCGUCCAACAAUAAGCAUGAAGCUUUGAGAUUGUCGAUCAAUGCGUCCACUCUAUUCCUUGCAUUUUCCAAUGUGCGAACAUUUUUAAACAAACCCUUACCAUAUCUCAACAAGGAAGCAACUUGUAUAGGAGUACCUUCACCAAAUAGAGUACAAAGAAGGAACAAAGAUUUUGCUUCAUCACUUUCCAAGAAGUUGUAACUCAAUUCUAUGGAAGAGCAGACAUUUGCAUCCAUUCCAUGAAUUUCUCUUGGAUUAGAAUUUCGCAGCUGAGUCAACGCAUCCUUCCAAACGGGAAGCUUCUUAUUUUUCAGAGCAUUUGCAACUGUACUCAGUGCAACAGGCAAUCCUCCACAUUUUCCAACAAUCUCAUCUGCUAAAGGUUGAAAAGCAGAUGCUUUUGCGGAAUUGCCCACGAUCUUUUCAAAAAAUUGCAAUGCUUCUUCCUUUGAUAAAACUUCAAUUAGGAAAAUCUUCUGAGAAUUCAUAUCAUUGGUCAAUAAAUGUUUACUUCUAGACGUCAAUAUUAUCGUGCGUCUCCUUAGAUCUUGCUUUCUAUCUUUCUCAUCAACAUCCCCAAAAGGAAUUCCAAUUUCUUCCAACCCAAGUUUUUUCCAAAUAUUAUCUAAUAUAAUGAGGACUCGCUUCUCUUUCGUCAAUCUUUGACAAAGUUGUUUUGCUCUGUGGGGUUUGCUAUCAUUCAAGUCAAAGUUCAAGUCUAAAUCGGAAGCGAGCUUGUCUUGAAUUUUCUGAACAUCUGGGUUCUCUGUUACCUCAGCCAUAACGACCUUAUCGAACACCUUAUCUUCCAUAACUUGCUUUGCAAUUUGCUUGACUAGCGUGGUUUUACCCACGCCGCCCAUACCGUGGACCCCAAUUAUGUUGAGCUUAUCAUUCCUCAAUGCCUCCACAACAUCUUGAAAUAAUUUCAUUCUUGAAUCAAAGGCCUCGAAAUCUUUCGCUUGCAUAUGUUCUGUACUCUCUGGAGCAGGACGGUGGGAAACACUAGAGAAGUUGCCUUUUCCCACGAGACUAGCGGCAGCUUCUGCGGCCUUUGCUGCUUGUUUACUAAGUUUAUAACGAGAAAUCAAGUUGGGGCAAAAUCCUUUGAAGCAGGACUUCUUAGCUCUAUCUUCAUCAUCAAUGAUGGAUUUUGCAACCCCUUCACUGAUGAAUUCAUCAACGUUAUUAAGCCAGUCUGCAACAUCCUUGUAAAUCUCAUCUCUUUGUUGAGUAGCCUCACGAACGGGUAUUCCCACCCUUUCUCUUUUAUAUUCUAGCUCCUUCACUUGAACUUUUAGCUCAGCUAUGUAGCUCUGGUACUUGAACACAUAAGAGAUCUGCCGCAUAAUCGGUUCGAACAAUGCCUUUGCACCUUCUGUUACAAUGCCGGAAAAAGUAGUGGAAACCAGGUCUGCAGCCAUUGCCUAGCCUGUUGCUUUCAUACAUACAUACAUACAUAUAUAUAUAUAUAUAUUAGCUGUUGGAAAAAUUAGAUUCAAAUAAAUUAAAAUGAACUAGGGGAAAGACGGAGAAAGAAAUGACAACCAACAACUUUUUAAAAAAAGGUUUCAAGGGCCUGAAUGGAAAACCAACAAUUUAAAAAAAAAAUUGUAAGAUGGAUGCAGAUUAACCAUUGCUAAUAUUACAUAAGAACACAGAAGUUAACAAUGAACAGUACGUAGAAAAUUAAAUGACAAGAUUAAAACAAACAAGGGCUAUUUUUUCUUGGACAAUUGUACCUAUUUAAUUAUUAAAGAGUUAAUGACCUUCACUGCUGGCCUUGAAUAUAUAAGAACGACCAGAAGAUGAAUAUUAACUGCAGACGAAUGUAAGUAAAGAGUUCAUGAGAGUGAGUAAUACAAAUGAAUUGUAAAAGAACAAGACUUAAGUGUGACCCCAUCUUUUGUUUUAUUAUAUAAAUAGAACACAUGAUCAUUUUUAACAAAGUGAUCAAUAACUCUAUGCGUUAUUUAAUUGAUAUUGUAACCAAUUUUAAGGGAAUUUAAUAAUAAUCAUUCAAUGCAUAAAUUUAAAAUUAGAUUUUUUUAAUUCUUUAUUUAAAUAUAAAUCUUAAUGGAAAAUUAUAAAAAUUUAGAGAUAAAAUUUUUCAAUCACCAAGGAAAAAAAAUGGGAAUGAAAACAGAGGAAUCUUGUUUUACCUUUUUUUUUUUUUCCUUAACUCUUGUUCCUAUACAAAUAAUCUUGUUUUGAUGAUAGUGCUCGUGACUAUGGGAAAAUUUCUAAUGGAAACAACUCAAUUUCGGAAGAUAAGCUUAAUUCUGCAAGUGAUGAAUUUGUUCAAUUGACUCUGUACUUGAACUCGUUGGAUUGGUUGAUUUACGAUUGACUGCAUUUCAAUUCUGCCUAAAAGAUCUUUUUAAUAGCUAUCAUGUACUCCUUAAAAGCAAUCAUUUUUAGAUUUGACUGAAUUUGAACUUGUUGGAUUGGCUGUUUUUAGAUUAUUGAUAUGAGAUACUACAAUGUAAACAUUUUCAUGUGGCUGAGCCCUAUUCUAAAAUCUGUAUGUUGCUUUAGAAAAAGGGCUUUUCCUACUGAUAUUUAAUCUUCAAGUAAACUUAGAUAUAAAGUAAAUCAAAUAAAAUGACAAACAAGCAAUAUAAUAAAAGACAACAAACUGGCAAUAUUGAUACAAAGGCAACAGAUAUUAAACUUUAGGACAUUUUUUUCCUAGCUUUCAUUUGUUGGAGGAUUAGAGAUUUUGGUAUUACCGGAAAGCUAAAAGGUUUCAAGGGUCUGAGUAGAAACCUAUAAUCUUUUUAAAAACUUUCUUUUUCUUUUUUCUUUUUUCUUUUUUUGGGGGGGGGGGGGGGGGGGGGGGGGGAAGAAUGCAAGUUAACCAAACGAAAUAAUAAGAGCACAGGCUUUAACAAUGAACAAUAACUUAAAACUCAUGCAAAGUAAAUUCAAUAUUAAAACAAACCAGAGAAAUUUUUUUUCUUGGAAAAUAGAUGGAAAUUAUGAAAGAACAGAUGUCAAGAUCAAAGAUCUACUAUACACAAACACACACAUUAGAGGAUUUGGAAAAUGUGCACCUCUUUAAUUAUCUGGGAUUAGAGAGUUGGUGAGAUUCUCCAUUUGGCCUUGAAUAUUUAAGAACAACCUCAAAGAGCAAAAAGAUCACCGGUAACUGCCGAGGAAUGUGUAAGAAAAGGGUUGAUGAGAAUAAUAACAUUGACUUGCAGAAGAAAAAGCAUUAAUCAAGCACCCCUUUUUUAUAUCAUGUAUUUGGUUAUUGUUGCCCUGUUUACGCACGUAUAGGAUAAUUAUAUGCAAUCUUUUUUUAAAAAUCCACAUGCACUUUAGGGCUUCUUUCAUAAAAGCAGAUACCGGAAACACACAAAAAUCAUUUGAGAGAGAAACCGAACAGCAAAUCAUCAAAGUAAGAUCAACAAUAUAUGAUUUGAUUAAUGCAUAUUCAAGAACAAAACAAAAAUAAAUAAAUNNNNNNNNNNNNNNNNNNNNNNNNNNNNNNNNNNNNNNNNNNNNNNNNNNNNNNNNNNNNNNNNNNNNNNNNNNNNNNNNNNNNNNNNNNNNNNNNNNNNNNNNNNNNNNNNNNNNNNNNNNNNNNNNNNNNNNNNNNNNNNNNNNNNNNNNNNNNNNNNNNNNNNNNNNNNNNNNNNNNNNNNNNNNNNNNNNNNNNNNNNNNNNNNNNNNNNNNNNNNNNNNNNNNNNNNNNNNNNNNNNNNNNNNNNNNNNNNNNNNNNNNNNNNNNNNNNNNNNNNNNNNNNNNNNNNNNNNNNNNNNNNNNNNNNNNNNNNNNNNNNNNNNNNNNNNNNNNNNNNNNNNNNNNNNNNNNNNNNNNNNNNNNNNNNNNNNNNNNNNNNNNNNNNNNNNNNNNNNNNNNNNNNNNNNNNNNNNNNNNNNNNNNNNNNNNNNNNNNNNNNNNNNNNNNNNNNNNNNNNNNNNNNNNCCCCAGGGGAAAAUCUGGAAUUCCUUUUUUUAAUUUUUUUUUUUUUAAAAAAACCCCACCGGAAAUUCUUAAAAUUUGGAAAAAAAAAUUUUGAGUCCCUUAUUCUGGGGGGGGGGGGGGGGGGGACGAAAACAGAGGAAACUUGUUUUACAUUUUUUUGAUCUUAACUCUUGUUCUUAUAUAAUAUUUUCCCUGGGAUUUCAGGCAAACCAAACAAAAAAAAAAAAAUUCAAUAAAGAGCAAGUUGCUCUAAUUGAUUUAUCUUGUUUUUCAGGCUAUUUUGUGACAUGAUGAUAUGUAAUGCUCUUGAAUGCUAGAAAAAUUCUAAUGCAAACAUUUUUGCAAAUGACGAAUGUAAAUAACUUUUUUUGAUUAAUUGAAUCUCUAAUACUCUUACCCUAUUCUAAAAUUUGUAGGUUGCUUCAGAAAAAAAGGGUAUUUCUCACUCAUCUUCAAUCCUCAAGCACAAUUAGAUUAAAAGCAAAUCUAAUAAAAUAACAAACAAAUUAACAAAAAAAAGAAAAAGAAAAAAAACAAUGUUGAUCUUGAGACAAUUGAUACUUAAACAGAGAAUUCUUUGUUCUUUUUUUACUCCCCCUGGCUCGAGGAUUAGAGUCUUUCUUUGCUAUUAACAGAGAGGUUUUAAGGGUCCGAAUAAAAACCCGCGCUUUUUUUAAAAACUUCUUUUUUUUUUUUUAUUGGGGAAGAUAGAUUCAAAUUAACCAAAGCUAGUAAUAAGAACACAGGCCUUACAAAUGAACAAUAACUUACAACUCAAGCAACAUAAAUAAUAAGAUUAAGACAAACAUGAGAUUUUUUUCUUCGAAAGUAGAUGGAAAUCAAGUAAGAACAGCUAUUAAAAGAAAUUACUAGAGAAUUUAGAACAUGUGUACCUCUUUAAUUAUUUGGGAUCAGAGAGUUGAUGAGCUCUCUAUUCGCCUUGAAUAUUAAGAACUGGUAUUAAAAGAAAUUAUGAAGAACAAUUUUAGUGAGCGAUAGAUCACUGUUAACUUCAGAGGAAUUUGUGAGUAAAAAGCUGAAAAGAGCCGUAAUAAUGAAUUACAAAAGAAGAAGACUUAAUCAAGCACCCCUUUUAUACCCGAUUUUUAAGAUUUAGUCUUGAAGUUCACAAUCAAGAACAAAGACGAAGCUUUAAUAAAGCAUGCAGUGAGAUACAAGAAAUGGAUCGGGCAAAAUACCUUACGAAGCGUUUCAUAUUUUCUAAUGAAAUAAUUAAGUUGAAGUUUUCGACGAAUAAAUACUUGUUGUGCUUGAAUAAUUUUGGCAUAUACGUUACUUGUAUCCUGCGAAAUUGAAAAGCACAUUGGUUUAUUAGAGCUUAUUAGGAGGGAAAAGCUUUGUAAGAUACCUGAUAAAAGAUAAAGUAAAAGCUUGAAUGAAGAAUGACAUUUUAGAAAGAAACUAAAGUGCAAUCAUCAAAGUGGGAUCAAUAGUGACUUGAUAUUUCAAUUGUUCUGUCCACAAAUGAUGCUUCGUUAUUACUAAUUCCAGAUGGACAUUAUUAGAAAAUGAUCUUAUGUUUAACAGAAAAAUAAAAACUCGUCAUCAUACAAAACAGCGUGAAGAAAUCUUCAAUUUGAUUAUUAUAAAAUAAUAAGUUUCAUUACUAGAUUAUGCGGACAUUAAUGUUAGAGAUUUGAUCAGAUUAUCAUAUAAUUUACUAAACGCUUUGAGAAGAACAAUAAUUAAUUUUUAAAAAAUUGAAAAAUAAAUUAAAUAAAGAGUACACGCAAAUAAUGUUACUUCCAAUCACCAAACUGAAAAACAGGGGAAUGAUAACAGACGAGUCCCUGAUUAUCCUCUCUCUCUCUCUCUCUUUUUCAAUCUCUCUCUUUGAUAUCCAUAUCUGAGCAUCAGAGCUUGACAUCUUUGAUAAAUAAAUAUGCUUACUGGUACUGUUUUUGCAUAUGUCUUUCACAAAAUCAUUGUAUACGCUUACAUAGAGAAGAAGAUUCAGAUAACUUUCAAAAUCUGAAUCCGCCUGAUGGACAGGCUUGACCACACAGCCCCGAGACAAGGAAGUCCAAGCAACUAAUCUAAACCGUUCUCCUUUAUUAGCUAGAUUUAGUAUUUGGGUUCUUUAUGUAAAACGACACUAUGAUCUUGAAAUUUUGAUUUAAUUAAUAAAUAGUUAAAUUCUUAAUGUUUCAGGAGUAGAUACAUAGACUCUCUUCUAAUUUUAGUCAUUACAAACAAUGCCAUUGUGCGGUUAUACUAUUGCUUCUUUUAUGAAACCAUUCUCACCAUCACAUAGAUCUUGGCAUAUAGAGUCUCAUAAUGUCAUCAAAUAAUUUUUUUUUUUUUUAAAAACAUAAAAUAUGAUACAUGUAUUCAUUUUUUUUCAAAUUAGGGUGUAUUAUUCUUAAAACUUAAGUGUUCUACUUAUAAAUAUCUUGAAGGUGUGAGUGUUUUCUUUUCGUAAACAAACCGUAAAAGAAAAAGAGGAACAAUAAUUUUUUACUUAUCCUUAGAGAUAAGAUUCAAUCGGGAUGUGAGUAAGUGUGUUUUUCUUUUUUUAUUAUGCUAAAUUAUCGAGUCACAAAGCAUAUUGAUUCAAAAGUAUAACUUUAUACUGAUGAUAGAUAAUUUCAAAACAAUGGAAUGAAAACAGAGGAGCUCCCCCCUCCCCCACCCCAAUCCCCGCCCCCCCCCCCCCCCCCCCCCAAAAAAAAGUUCUUCUUCUUUUAUAUAUUUUUCUUGGAAUUUUAGGUAAAAGAAAAAAAAAACUGAGAUUGAUUUCAAGGGAACAGGUGGAUAAUAACUAAAAUACUUAUUUUUAUAUAUUUGAUAUGUGCGCUCACUAUUAAUAGAACUUAUUAGAUACUACAACUUAAAUAACUUCCCAUGGUUGAUUGAGGGUAUGUUUGAGAUUUCCUUUACUUUCCAAGAAUUAAUUUCUACCUUGAUUCUGAACAAAAAAAUAAUUUUACAAAUAAUCUAUUAGGGUGUUUGGUAAAUGAUGAUUAUUUGACAAUCAAUUUUUAAACGGUUUACUAUACAAAUCUGGUAAAUGAAAAUUAAAAGUGUAAAAUGUUCAUGUACAAUGACAAAAAUGUACUUGUUUACUUGUUUGUAAUUUAUUUAGAAUAUUAUUAUUUAAAUCUUUUUUUAUUUACAAGAUUUUUUAAGAGCAUAUUCUAUUUUCUUUAUUACAUAUUUAAAUAAUUUUUUAUUAACUAUUUUAAUUUGCAAUAAAAUUAACUUCAAUAUCUUUUUAACUAAAAAAUUUGUUAUGUAGUUCGUGAUAUAACAAAUACUAACAUAUCAUUAGUUUGAUUAAUAAAUUAAGUGCAAAAAAGAAAAUGCAAAAAUUUAAUCUUUAUAUAAACUUUUAUGUACAUAAAAUCAUUGUAAUCAAACUAGUUCAUAGAAAUAUAAUAUUAUAUACAUGUGUGUAAAAAAAAAAAACAUAUGACCAUAAUAUUAUCCACUCAUUAAACUUGCUGCACUAUUAUUUCUCAAUCUCUCCAUCUCUCGACCUUCAAGAACAUUACUACCAUAAUCUUCUUCUUCUUGAAUCCAACCUCUAUUUCCUCAUCAUCAACAAUGCGACCAAUUUGCCUUGAUAGCCUUUCAACUAGAAUAGAGUUGGCAGUAGAUAUUUUAGUACUCUCAAACUAUGCCCAAACAGGGUCACCAGUGAUUGUUGUAUUAAAAGACAUUCUAUUUAAUUUUCCUCUGACUCUGGGUCGAUACCUUUUAUGCAAAAUCUAUUUACUUAAGGAAUUUUCUACACAUGUCGAUAUCAUAUUAAAGUGAAUUCAGAUCCUAUAUUAUUGACAUUAAAAUUUAGCCGAAUAGUAAAAAAUUUCCCUUUUUGUUUGUCACACAACCAUAUAGUCCCAUUUUUGGUUAUAAGCUCACAAUAUGUAAGGGAAAUGAAGAUCUAUUAAAACUUUCCCAUAAUAUUAAACAUUAAACAAUAUCAACAUUUUGUGCAUAUGGUGCCUCAUCAACAAUUUGAUGUUCAUUUUGUUGCUCGGAGGAAUAUGACUACCUAUUAAUUAAUUAGCAAGAAUUGCGUUGCGAGUCCAUGUUUUUGUCGUUUGGAUGGAGGAUGUGCCAUCUUUUUAUUGUAGAUGCUUUGUAAGGCUUUUGAUUUAAUGAUUUAAUGCAGUCAAUUAACAAAAGCUUACAUAUAUUAUUAUGUAGUUGCUGAGAUGUCUGUUCUUGAUAAAGUCGAUUUAUUUACACCCAAGCCAACGGAAUCAAAGCCUUUUCGUUAAUAAUAUACACGGUAAUUGUUUUUGUUAAAUUGAUUUCUGGCUAACAAGAUAUUUGAAAGCAUUUAGGUAGCGUUUACAUUUUGCGUUGGAGUGAGAAUCGUGAGAAAUGAGAAUCCUGGGAUUAGGAGUGUGGAGUGGGAGUCGAAGUAUGUUGUUUACUUACACUGAAAUGGAAGUAUGGAAUUGAAAUCAGAAUCCAAUUUAUUUGUUUACAUUGUCUUAGAUUGUGAGUAAUGAUUUUAAAUUACAGCUUUACUCUUAAAGAAUUAUAGUUAUUAAUUACAAAAUUAAUAAAAAUUAUAUUUUUAAAUUAAUAAUAAUUAUUAAUAUUCUUAACUAUGUAAAUCACAAUUAUUUUAUUAAUUUUAAUUUUAAUUAUAUAAAUAAAAAAUUAUUAAUAACAACAAUACAAAUGAAACAUUAUUAUUGAUAAUAUAGUACAAAAUUAAUUUUUUUAGAAUAAAAUAUUUAUUAUUAUUAAUUACUAAUAUUAAAUAAAUAUAAUAGUAUUAUUUUUAAAUAAGUAUAAUAAUAUUAUAUUUUCAAAUAAAAAUAGAAUAUAGUAAUAUUAUUAAUUCUUUAUGAAUAUAAUGAUAUUAUUUUUAAGUAAUUUUAACUUAGAAUCAAUGUAAAUUAUUAUUUUUAACCAAAAAAUUAAUAUUAUUUUAAAUAUGUUUAAUAUUAUUAUUUUUAAUAAAUUUAAUUUAUAAAAUAAUAAAAUAUUAUUAUUUAAAUAAAUAUGAUUUUACUUAUUUUAUUAAAUUUAAUAAAAUAAAUAUGUUUAAUAUUAUUAUUUUUAAUAAAUGUAAUUUAUAAAAUAAAAUAAUAAUAUAAGUUAAAUAAAUAUGAUAUUAUUUAUUUUAUUUUAUUAAAUAUAAGGGUGAAAAAGGAAGAGAGGCGAGUGAAUUUCCACUCCCACCUUCCUCCAUGGGAGUGGGAAUCUCACUCCCCCACUCCAAAAUUAGGUGGGAUCCACGGAGUGGAAUUCUCACUUCCCCUUUGAAAAUUGUAAGUAAACACUGGAGUAAGAGGAAUCCACACUCCUCACUCUCACUCCAAAAAGUAAACACUAUAUUAAAGAAGUCAUUGACUUAUAAGAAAGCCAUGAUUAAAUACACGGCGAAGCAUGUGAGCUCGUUUUUCAAUUUCUUUGAUCACUCAUAAGUAGGGGUGGGCAAAAUCGGAUUCGGAUUGGGUUCGGGUUGAUUUGAUCAAUUUCGGAUCAAUCGGGUUGGGGAAAAAAUCAUCCGAACUCAAUCCGAAUUAUUAACCCGAUCCAAUCCGAUCCGAAUAUAAUUCGGAUCGGAUUGGAUCGAAAAUUCGGAUUAAUUCGGAUUAGAUUCAGAUUUAAAAGCAUUCGGGUUAUAUAUCCAUUCUAUAUUUCUGGGUUAAUUUCAGAAGCAAUCAAGUAAAACAAUCAACCUUUUCUCAAGAUAUAGUUUUGUUUUAAGCUUUUUAAAUUAAAUUAUUUAAAACAAUAUAGUCAAUACCACCAAAAACUUGGUGACAGUGAAUGUGGAGGUGAAUUUAGUUGUAGCAGUUGUGGUAACCGGUGAAGCUAGUGGCAGCAAGCGGUAGCAGUCGAGGUGUAGUAGAUUCCAUCGGCACGUUGCGGUUGCAGCGAUGGCUUAGCUUUGAACGAUCGCGUCGGUGACUGAUGGCUGCUGGUUCACGCAGUUGCAUCUCCGAUUUGCUGGCUGCUGCUUCUUGCGGUUGCAUCUCCGAUCUGCUCGCCGCUGCUUCGCUGACAUCUCCGAUCUCCGAUGGUUUGGCUUCGCACGAUCACAUCGGUGAUUGCUGGCUGCUGGUUCGCGGCUUCGCGCGGCCGCAUCUCCGGUCUGCUGGUUGCUGCUUCUUGCGGUUGUAUCUCCAAUCUGUUGGCUGCUGCUUCGUUGUUUGGCAUCUCAACAUUUCCGAUCUCCGAGGCCAAACCUCUAUUUGUGUGUGACCGUGUGUGAUGUGAGUGUGUGUGUGUGCACUUACAGAUUAUUUUAAUUUAGAUCUAAGAUUUGCUUUUUGUGUGGUGUGAAUCCGAUUUUGUUGUGUUUGCCACUUUGUUAGUUUGUUACACAGUUUUUUUUUUAAGCCAACCCGAUCGGGUUUUCGGAUCGGAUCGGGUUUCAUCCGAUCCGAUCAUGAUCCGAUCGGGUUGGCAAAGUUACAUCCGAUUGGAUUUUGUUAACAAUCCGAUCCGAUCUGAACCCGAUAUUUUUUGGGUCAGAUCGGAUCGGAUCGGGUCGGAUAUUUUGCCCAACCCUACUCAUAAGCUUUUCUAUACCACUCACUAUAUCAUCCUUUUAAGUCAAUUUCGACUGAUCAUCAGAGAUCAUGCACCCCACCUUGAGAUGAUUGAUCACCAAUUUGGCAUUGUAACGUUGAUCACCUCUAAUUGCCCAUGCUAAAAUUGAGACCCCACAGCCAAUUGCUUCUACAGUUGAAUUUUAUCCACAGUGAGAUAAAAAUCCACCUAUUAAUUGAUAACUCGGCAUCAAUAAUUGUGGUGCCAUUCCAUCUAUUAUCAAACCCUUUUUACCGGCUUUACUAUCUAAACCACUAUGAAAAUAAGCUGGUUAAAUGACGUGGAGGAUCCAAUCUAUUUACAUCAGUUUGAAUUACCUAAAUAAUCGGUGGAUUUGAUGCUUCUAAAUCAUUGGCUAAUGUUGAAUAAUCAUUUAAGGUGGGACCCAUUUCGGUACCAAAUGACAUGUAUAACACUGAUCCACAUGAUUUCAAAUCUAACCAUUGAAUGAUCUCAUCUUUGGUCAUGUUAGAACUCCGCCGGUUGGUUCUCAUCUCACAAUCACGAAGCACUGAACCGGUCGAUUUGUAAAAUUGUUCAGGUAACAAUGGGCCCACUCCCCACACUAGCAUCAACACCAUCGAUCCCUCCACUUGCUUCAUCCAGUGUGGUUGAUCACUCGGUUCUGAUGGACCUAUUUUCUCUGAACCGGGUGCACCUCACAAAGGUUGUGGGCCACCAGGAAGGGACCCGUGAGGCCUGCGUUUAAGAUCUGAUUGGAAUAAAGCAACAUCCUUGGGUAACCCAAGAAGUAAAUGGGCCUCUCCCGGUUUGGCAUCCUGGAUGCGAGCCUGCCACAUGGCACACUCCACAGCUGCUGAGCAAGCAUCAGAAGUGAAGAACCCAACAAUGGGAACUUCAAAAUUCUUGAAAACAUCAGCCGUCCAGCCCAUCAUAACGCCGAUGACUACGCAAACAGGUCGGCUUUCGGGUUCCGGGUUGAAAGGAGGUUUCGAAGACCCUGAAGCAUUUGGUUGUGCAUGACAACAUGGAGGUAAGAAGGAGGCGAUGGUAGUAGUGGAGAUGAGGAGGGUAUUUCGGUAAUUUCACAUAGAGGGUAUUGGUGAAGAGAGGAAGGGGUGAUGCUGGUGGUGGAAACGUGAGAGGGAAUAAUGAGGGUAGAUUUGUAAUUACGAGAAGCAAUUUGCUUGCAUAAUUCAAUGCAUGGAAACAGAUGUCCCUGACCGAAGAACGGGACAAUCCAAAUCUCAGCCUCAGCAGCAUUCGCAACAGAGCUUGACAUCUUUUAUGAAUUAUUUGAGACUUAAUUGUUAUUGACUGCUUUUGCCAUCUUUCAUAAAACAUUCUUUGUUAUAUAUUCAAGUAAAUAAAUUUAUCGUUUAAAAUUAAUUUUUCAUGUGGUAAAAGCAAUACUAAAUAUGGGGUGGAGAGAAUAAUUUGUAGGGCAUACCCCCACCAUUUAUUUAAUUUCAUUAAAAAAGAAAGAAAAGAAAUAAAGGCUUGUUCAACAUUCAAUUAAAAUUAACAAUUCCAUGAUAAAAUUACUUGAGAAUAAAAAUUUUUAAAAAAAAAGUAACUCAAAAACGAGGAAUUUUUGAGUAACUGAAGAACCAUAGAUGUUUUUUGGUCAUGAGCAAUUUUUGAGUUGACACAGAACUUGUAUAAAAAAAAUAGUUUUGAAAACUUCUUUUCUUUUUUCGUAAAUAUAGAUAUAAAAUUUUAAAAUCACCAAACACAAAACCAGGAAAAUGGAAGGAGAGCCCCUGUUUCUCCUAUGUUGCAAGCACAAAUUCGGUUUCUAAAGUUGUACCUUCUAAAUGCACCAUUUGUAUUGCUUUGUCUCCACUUGAGCUAACGGAAUUUGAUGAAAACAAAAUAAUUGAACGAUAGGGAUAAAUAUCAAAGAAGGAGCUUACAUGCCCUAUAUAUUCUCUUUGGAUGAAUAACGAAGGUGAGCUUUCAAAGUACAGAGAUUUACAUGUUUUAAUUGUCAUUUACAUUGCUGCAUGCUAAUUGCUUGAUAAAAUACCGCAACAAAUACGCAUUCUCGAUUUCUUAUAAAUUUAUUUUCUUACUCUGAAAAAAAUUGAAUGUUUAGAGAAUUUUGAAGGUUUUGGUGUAUGCAUUAAUAUUUUGAUUCUAUUUAUGUUGUUUAACUAAUGAAGAUGAUACAUCUAGCCUCUUUUUGCCCCUUGUUGUUUUUAUUCUUGUGCUUUAUAUACGGUUCAAGUGUGAUACACUUUAGUUUUUCUCAAGUGUUUGUUAGUAUUUCCCGAAGCAAAAUUUGUCACAGACUUUUAGUUCAAAAGUUGAAAUCAUAACUAACAUACUUCGAUUUUUUAUUUUCCUUUUUUCUUCGGUAUCUUUCUAUAUGGCAUUGCUUGAGAAAUUGGUGUACUUAGAUCGUAAUAUUCUGUAGAAAUAAGCCAAUAUUUCAUUAUGUACAUUGUUUAAUAUGAUAAGUAUUGUAUGGAAGUUUUACAGAUAAGCUCCUUAUAUAUUAUGCAUUAUGUUUUUAUCAUAUUGUUGCUUGGAACUUUGAAGGAUUAGCCACAGGGCUUUAGUCCUACAUGGACAUUUUAUAUUUAACAGCUGGUUAGGCAUUUUAUUUGAUGUUAUUUGGACUUGUAGGUGUUAAAAGUUUUGUUCAGUAAUUUUAUAAUUCAGAUUCCCAUUGUGAAAAGAUAGCAAUUUUUAUUGUGGGUCAGAUUCUGUCAACUGAUAUUUAGCUAAAAUAUCUCACUAACCCCUAUUGGUUAGGUGUUUUUUUUAAUUCACAUACUUGAUUUUUAUUUUCUUUUUAUCUGUGGAAUCACAUGUAUCAUUCAUAAGAAACAAGCUAUUAUAUAAUCUAUUCUUUAGAUCCAUUUAUAUGUAGUGGGCACUCUGAUUUCUAUUAUUUGAAUUUUUUGCUACUGUUACUACUCUUUCGGCCCUUCAAAUAGGGGUUAACAGAAAGGGUGAGUAUAUUAAUACAAAUUCAAACUUUCUUUUUCUAAUUUUAUCCAAAAUAACCUACUAUAUUAUUUUAAUUUCCAACUUUUGUCAUAGUCUAAUGGGCAGUUGUCUUGUCAUUAUUUGGUUUUAGGUAAGAAGAGAGAAAGUUAGUGAGAGGAUGAAAAUUUUGCAAAAACUUGUUCAUAGCUAUGGUAAUUAAGUAAUUUGAGUUCUUUUUUUUUGUUAUUGUUUUUUAUUCACUUUUUCCUGUCUUAAAACAAAUAACGAGUUUUUGUGUUUUUAAUAUUUCUUAUAAACUUCAUGUUGUUUGGUAUAAAAUUAGGUAAUUGGAAAGGUCUCAUGUUGGAUGAAAUUAUCAAUUAUGUGCAGUCCCUACAAAAUCAAGUGGUCGUCAAUGUGUCAGCAUCACUUUCUUCUUCAGAUGUUACUUGUUUUUCACAUUUAUUUUUCUCUCAGUCCUUUUUAAAAGAACAUACACACACAUACUAUGUAGAGUGACCUUUUUUAAUGAGGAAUCUGUCAUUUUAAUAAAAUGAAGAAUAAACUAAAAGGUAGAAGUACACGAACUCUAAUGCAAUAUACCUUUUCUGUUCUUUUACCUUUACUAUAAGAUAGGGAAUGAUAUAAAACUGUUCGAUAAUAGUAAGUGAAAUAAUUAAAAGGCUACUGUUCUAGCUCAUUUAAUAUAUCAAACUUUUCUAGCUCAUUUAAUAUAUCAAACUGCUCGAUAAUUGAAUUGGCCUAGUUAAACAUAAUUUUCAGAUAAUCUUUUUAAUGGUUUAUUUAUUAAUAUUUUGUUUCUUUCCAGUAUGAACACUUUGUUUUGACACGUGGUUAACAACCUUCAACGAACUCGGAACAACCUUCAUCACAUGCUUUCUCACGUGGUUACUUAAACUGAUAUGUUAAACGUGCUCCAUCCACGCCGUUUCCACUAAAUCAUUUUCUGUUAAGAAUCAGCUGAGCAGCGCGUGAGCUAAUGAAGUUUUUCGUAUUGAACUCAACUCUGCUAUUUUCCCAAAGCUGGAAAGCAGAAACAUCAUCCCUUUGGUUUUAUUUCACCUCAACCUUUUUCUGAUCCCAUUUUCAUUGUAAUUUCUCAUUUACUUUGAGUGAAAGUCAUUGUUGCUUUCGAACGAGGUUUUGCAACUAAAAAGGAAAAUGGGGCGGCUACAAUACAUGCGUGCAUCUGAUACAUGCACAAAAACUGACCAUUGGAUUAAAUGGAGUGAUCUAAUGGCUGAGAUUUGUUUCAUUAUUAAGCAAUAAAAAAAUUUGAAACAACCAGAAACCUGUAAAACCGGUCAUUUGGUUUAAGGUAAAAAUAUAUAAAUGAAAAAAAAAAAAAAAAACCCACCACUCCCUCGCCUCACCUCUCUUCUUUUGGGUUUAGUAUUGCUGCUUUUAACAUAAUUGACCUAUGGCCCAAAUCAUUUCUAUAGGGCGAAGCAUAUGAAUGAUACAUAUUAUCUUUUUUUGGCCUUAUGUCUUGUUAUUUGCAGUGUGAUUUGGUCUAGCUUAAGAGCUUAAGCUUGCAGGUUGGAUUUGUCUGACAGGGAACAAUUUAAUUUGUUCAUCGUGAUGUUUAUAUCCAUUUUGUACUACUAUCAAUUUCAAUCAUGCCUAAUUUUUAUAUGUAUUUCUCGUGGACUCUCAGGUUCAGUGCACAAGAGGAUGAAGACGAUGGACACCCAAAUUUGAUGUGGAGAACAACUAUUGCAAAUGGUCCUUGAUUUACUUCUCCAAUUGACUUGAAUUGGUUUGACGCAAUUUAUACUGUAUUUUUGUCAUCUUUGUAUGACUUGCACGUCGUCCUGAUUUGGUACAUGACUGGACACAGGAAUUGGACUCAUAUUUUUCAAACCAGAAUGCCAACAAUCAAGCAUUUUCUUUUGAAAGCACUGGCGUCUUCUUCAAUGCCAAAAAGGUUAGAGAUUUUCUGUAUCCUGUUUUGUAUUUGAUCAGUUUAGCAUGUGGGUGGCAAUCAAGAAAAGUUAUUAUAACAUUUUUGUGUUCCCGAAAAACUGCUGAUGAUGUGUGACUUCUUUUUAUUUGUAUUCUUUCUUUUUCUUUUCUCCCCAACAGUAUUAUGCAUUUCGAAGAGCUUCUUGAAGUUGAUUACCAUGUAUGCCACUUUCUUUACUCUAUGCUCAGGAUGUGAUUUUGCCAAGCAUUAAAAUGGUUUAGGUCAGAACCAUCAUCUAAAGUUUACUUAAAGUUGACGGAUUAAUUCCUUUUAAUAAUGGUCUAGUUAAUUUUACUAUACUCAUAAAACUAUUCUUAUUCUGAUAAUGCCACAAAUGUUAUGAUGUUUUCUUCAGCUAAUGAUCUUCUAUCAGGACUAGUUAGAAAUCAAAUGCUUAAAACACCGAUUGAAUGAAUAAUGCAGAAGUUUAAACAGUAUCUAAUUGAAAAUUGCAUGAAACAUGAAACAUCAAUUCAAGUCCUUCCUUAAACAAAGAAUGCAUCAAACAAAUCCAAAGUGUCUUGCAUGUCUAUAGCAUGACAAAAAAGUUGUAAAUGCGUUUAGAACCAAAUUAUUCAAGUACAGGAGAACGAGCAAGUUGAAUCAUGUACACGAGAUUGGCCUGGUUCGAGAUAGCUUCUUCACUGUACCUGAAGGGUUGGCUCAAUCUUUUCUUUAGAAUUCUGCACAUUUUGUAAUUACUCGUGUAAGCAAGCAUACAUUACAACUCUUGUACACAAACAAUAUUGUAUAAACUAAUGCGACAUAAUAUGAUUGGUUAAACAAAAACAUUACAUAGCCCUCAUAAUUUAUUUAUUUAUUUAUUAUUAUAUAUUUUCAGUCAACCAAUCAUAUUAUAUUACAUUAGUUUCUAUAAAAUAAUUUUCUAAAUAGCACCAAAACUUAAUUGAUACUCACCAUUUCAUUGAACAAUUUUUUUAUGGUGUCAUUGAGGUUGCCUUCCCAACAUCCUUCAUCAUCAUCAUCUUCUUCAUCAUCAUCUUUUUCUUCUUCGGUGACGUUCACUUUGUUUAGCAUUGGUGUGUCUAAGACUCCUUGAGAGAAGAUCAUCAUUUUUGGACACUCUCUCACAACUACUUGUUUCAAGGACGGGAAUUCAAGAGCGUAAUUACCUAAACAAAAGCUUGUUAGGCUUGGCAAACAAUCAAGUCCCAAGUACUUUAAUUCCUUGAAAACAAUGCAAUCUUUCGCUUCUUCUGCAACCGGCGACUGUAUGAUUUCUUCCAUCAUUUUGCAAUCAACUAUCUUCAUUCUUCCGAGAUUCACUAGAUUUUUAGAUGCUGAGAGCGUCAACACAUUUAUCAACCCGUGACACUUCGAUACUUGUAGUCCCCACAGAUUUUCCAAAUGCCACGAAGGUGGUACUAAUUUUUGCAACUUACUACAUUCCGAUAUUUCUAGCCUUUUCAAGUUUGCAAACGCUUUGUUGGAUUCGUCAUUUUCCUUCCAGAGAUGCUGCACUUUGUGUAAUCUAGAUAGCUUUAACUCCUUCAAUUGAGGGAAUGUAAGCUGAAAAUCAACAAAAUUAAGUUGUAAAUGAAAGUAUGUAUCCAAUCUCUGCAGUCUUCCCCUGCAUAUUUUAUGGACAAGAUUAAUCACGGCAUUUUAUAUUUUAUUUCCAAAUUAGUAUGCUUUGCAGUAGGAUCCCAAAUAUAAGUAUCAAAUCGAUUACCCUUUGAAACACAUAAAUGAAAUCUGAUACUAAAUCCAAUAUGAAUUAGCUAGGAAAACAGAGAUGCGACAAGCAUAAUUGAUAUAGUUCAUCACCUCAUGUUACCAGUCAUCGAAAUAAUUUAAGACAUUUUUUUAAUUCAUACUAUAAAGUUAGUUCAUAACUGUAGUUGUAUUGUUAAUUCAUAUAUGAAUCAAGAUGACAUGCAAAAAGAUGAGUCAUAAAAUUUGAUUUGAUUCUAAUGAAAUUACAUCUGUGCGAACAAAAGUGAAGGGGAAAAUAAUAAUAAUAAUAAUAAUAAUAAUAAUAAUCACCUUUUCAUCGAAGAGGGGUUGUACUUGAUGAGCCAGCAAAAAGUUCUCUUCUGAUGUUAAUUUUUGAGGUUCCUUGUUAUUUGUUGUCACAUGCACUACAGAGUUGGAUAUGAAUGUUUCCAUAUCAGGGCAAUUCUCAAUAGUUAGAUUCUCCAACUCAGACAGUUCAAUUAUAUUCCCAGUGAAGUUGCAGAAUCUUUUGAGUUUUGGAAGAUCAAUGAGCCUUAGUCUGUUAAGCCUAGGAAACCGGGGGCCUAUAUGUUCUUCCUUAGCAUUUAGCUCUUCUAAAUGAAGCACCUCUUCUAUUAAAUCACAAUUCCUCACUUCCAGGCAUCUCAAAUUGUUCAAGCAACGUAGCAGAUUGGUAGGAAUAGCACUCGACAUAUUCGUGCAGUCAUCCACAGCCAGUUGUCGUAAAUUGUUGAAGAAGCUGACAGGCACUGCUUGGCCGUGCCAUAUUUCUCUCAAGCGUGGAAAAUGUGAGAGUUGCAAAUGCUCUAUGUCACGGAAUCCAAUCUGCAUAAACCAAAACAAUUGCACUGGAUAUAUAUAAAUUUCUUUUUUUGAAAGGCAUUAGAUAUAUAUAUACAUUAAACUUACAUGUUUUGUGCUUUAACUUCUAAAAAUAUAUUUACAACGCAGGUGUAUAUGUUUAAAUGUGGUAUAGUGGAAUUAAGCUUAUUGCCAUUACUUCGUAAUGGUGUUCGUAACACCAUUACUUCGUAAAGUGAAUCGAUUAACACAUACCAUUACUUCGUAACACUUUUGUAUAGUGGAAUUAAGCUUAUUGCCUUCCCAAUGGUGUUCACCCUCUUCCCUUUCAGUCACUUGCACUACGUAUAGCUUUGGUGUGGAUGAGAUUCCCCGAGAAAAAGUCUUCAUGUUCGGACAAUGUGUCAUAGAAACUUGUUCCAAUGAUGGGAAUUCAAGAGUGUAAUUCUCCAAACAAAAGCUGGUAAGCCUUGGUAAAUCAUCAAGUUCCAAAAGUUUUAAUUCGUUGAAAGCAAUACGAUUCUCCUUCGCUUCUUCUCCAACAUGUCCUAUGAUUUCUUCUAUUUUUGCACAGUCUGAUACAUCAAGAUUCACUAGACUAUUGGGAAUUCCAACCUGAAAAUAAAGAGUAGCAUUCAACUAGAUUCAAAGUAUGUCAAAAUCAUACAAUUGUUUUAUGAAAAAUAACAAACCAUGAAUGUCUACUAGAUAUUUUUUGUUAAAGAAAAAAAAGAAAAAAUAAAAAUAAAUAAAUAGAAGUCCAGAAAAACAAAGAUAAUGAAAAUGCAUUUACACUAUUUAGUAUUAGGAACGGAGAAAGAAUUUCAGGUAAUUUUUAAAUAUUCUAAAUUCAUUUUUCAUCUCGAUGCUAGUUUUUUAAAAUUUUUAAUUUUCAAACAUGCCUAUUUUUAAAAUAACUAAACUAAAACGCUGUAUUUCCCUUUUUUUUUUUUUCCCGAUAUUCAUGCUUUUAAAAAUGGAAAACAUUUCUGGAAAACACUUCCCAACGCCAUCAACAUGGGACUGUUAUAGAGUGAAUAUUUGAGGAAUUUUUUAAUCAACGGUCGAUUCAAAAUGACCAUCAUGAAUUUGUGCUUAAUCAAUGGCGUAAUCAAUUCAUAACUAAACUAGAGAUAUUAACUACAUUUGAACACUUUUCUUUAUUUUUUUUUAAAUCGAAAUUUGAAGACCCAAGGAAAAGAGAAAUAUAUAUGAAUUUGUGAGCUUAAAAGCUGAGUAACUAAGUAUCUUUUAAUUUCUAAAAAUCUUAUUUAUUAGGAUUUAAGGAAAAAAACAAUUAAAUUGAAUUAUAUUAUGCUGUUAAAUCGUGUUUAAAACAAUUAUAUCGUUGACUUUAAUGCGGGUGAACCUAUAAAUUAGAUUGACAAUGCAGAGUUCAGAAUGGUGAUUUGAAGUACACUACUUUUUUGCCCUCCUGAUGUUUGAAGUAAAAUACUUGCAAUAAAUAAUUUGUGAAUGAAAAUUAUUUGUAAACACAAAAAUGAUUAAAAUAAUUGUUGAAUGUUACUUGAAAUAAAAAUUCAAAAUGAAUAUAGCAAUCUUACCAAUGGAGGAAAAAUAUUCAGUAGAUUAUUACACCCAGAUAUCUUCAAUUUUUUCAAUUUGCUAAAAGACUUCGAAGCAAGCUGGUGGUGCCAUAUUUUUCUCAACUUAUCCGCCUCACUAAUAUGUAAUACCUCCAGACUUGGGAGUCGUACCUGAAGUUAAAAAUUCAAUGCAAUUAGAGAUGUAUAUUAAUUAAAUUUGAAGACUCAACGAAAAGAGAAUUUAAAAAUUCAAUGAAAAAAAACCUUUUCAUCAAAGAGGGAUUGAGGUUGCAUUUCAGUGUGAAUGACGUCUUCUGGUGAGGCAAAGCUACUUAGUUUUGGAAGCCAAUGGAGCGACAGGUAGUGUAGUUUGGGAAAAACCUUAAAUUCAUCUCUUCCUCCUAACGUCGUGGUGUUGACUACCCCUUCAAUUGACCGGCAAUUACGAAUCUCAAGAUGUUGGAGUUGCCCAAGACUAUUAACCAUAGAAUAUGAAAACAAAUACUUCAGACGAUGACAACUCCACACGGUCACUUUUGUUAAAUUUUGACAACAAUAUAUUCCCUGAAAUUGAUCGGACCAUAAUUUUUUUAUAUUUGUUAAACUGACAAGUUCCAGUUCCUCCAAGCGUGGAAAAGUAACCUGCAAAGAAAAACCAUACAUUUUUGUUCCUUCAACUACAACUUCUAAUAUAAUAUUCUUUCGAUGAUUGAAGAUCAAUCGUGAUAAUAUAUUAAUUAAUUAAUUAUUAAACAGAAAAUUAUUACCUGGUGAACAGGAUCAUCCUCUGCAUUGAUUUCUAUGAAUCCCUGAGUUGUUGUUGGUUUCUCCAUGUCGGGCCCUAUAAAUGAACCAAAACAAUAUAUAAUAAACAUCCGUUGUUUUUUUCCCCAAAAAAAGAAAAAGAAAAAAAGAAAGAGUCAAUGUCAAUAAUCCUACCAAUAAUUAAUUUCAACACUUACCAAUAAUCAUUUUCAAAUCAUCGCAGUCUUCCACUUUUACUUUUUGAAGCCGCAAUAGGUUUUUGGCCAUAGAGAAUGAGAAGAGAUACUUCAAUUUUCGACAGGAAUCUACGUUUAUAAUCCUUAAGUUGCUGAAGGAUUGAUCUUCUCUGAGUUGGCUGUAGCAUAUCGUCUCCAAAUUAGUUAAAAACAUAAGAGACAAUGCCUCCAGCAAGGGAAAGACUUCGCAACGAACCCUAACUGAACCGACAAUAUGUAAAAUCUCAGAACAGUCUGUUACGAGAAGACGCUUCAAUCGUGGAAAACCUUCCCCAUCGUCUAAUUCAUGAACAACACUUUGAACACCCUCCAAUGUUUCUAGCCAGAGAUCUUCAGUUCUCUGCAGCAACAUUUUUGUCCCAUCAUUCUCCUGAAGAAUGCUAACUUUUUUUAUCCCCUUGAGCAUCAUCAAUCUUGAUGCUUCAGAUUUGACGAGCAAUGGGUCAAACUCAUCUUCGGGCCCAUCUCCUAUACGUAUCUUAUAUCUUUGCAAUUCCACAGAGACAAAAUCCGGCGGCAGAAUUUCGGCAUCCGGAACUUCUAUCUCCAAAGUAGUUAGCUCUGUCAACCUCUCCAAUUCGACAAGACUGGCAUUACUUCCUCCUUCAACCUUCUCCCACCCUGAAAAACCGUUACCCAUAUACAAUUCUUCUAAUUGAGAAAAAUUUUUGGAUAUGACAUUUCGGUGCUAUUCACCUUCAAGCCCACCAAACAAUUGCUCUCAAAUCUAGGAAAUUGGUAACCGCGGCCAAUNNNNNNNNNNNNNNNNNNNNNNNNNNNNNNNNNNNNNNNNNNNNNNNNNNNNNNNNNNNNNNNNNNNNNNNNNNNNNNNNNNNNNNNNNNNNNNNNNNNNGCGAGGCUGAGAAUCUCUAUUUCUUUAGUGUCCCAAUUGCGCUAUAUCUGCUAGUCGCACCAGUCUAAACACAAUGUUUGAAGGUUAAUGAGGCGACCAAGUGAUGAAGGUAAUGAAGAAGAGCCAAUUCCAGGAAACUGUAAAACUUUGAGUCCUUCCAUCCCUUCAAAAAAGUGGUCUGAAACUUGCAUAGGGCCAUUACCCUCCGUAUACAACAAAAAUAACUGGAGAUUGGGACAUUGCAACCUUUCAGGGAGCUCUUGAAUAUCUCUAUGAGGUAAUGAAAUAGCAAUUGGAUCUUUCUGUAUUGUCUCUUCCAUCUUUUUCUCCAAGUCAGCAACAUUUGGAACAUUAAACAUGCGCUCCUCUCUGGCAAUUGAUACGGCAACAACAUGAAUGACGUCAUGCAUUUUAACUUCAUCUUCAGCAUCACCGUCCAACAAUAAGCAUGAAGAUUUGAGGUUGUCGAUCAACCGAUGCACUCUACUCCUUGCUUCUUCCAAUGUGUAAACAUUUUCAAACAAACCCCAACCCACACCACAUCUCAAUAAGUCAGAAACUUGUAUGACAUUACCUUCACUGUAUAGACUACAAAGACGGAACAGAGAUUUUGCCUCCUCACUUUCCAAGAAGUCAUAACUCAAUUUUAUGGAGGUGUACACAUUUGCUUGCAUGCCAUGAAUUUCUCUAGCAUCCGAUCUUCUUAGCUGAUUCAAUGCAUCUUUCCAAAAGUAACUAUCCUUAGUUUUCAGAGCAUUUGCAACUGUACUCAGUGCAACAGGCAAACCUCCGCAUCUUUCAACGAUCUCAUUUGCUAUACUUUGAAAAGCGGAUAUUUUAGUUGAAUCACCCACUAUCUUUUCAAAUAACUGCAAUGCUUCUUUUGGUGGCAAAGCAUCGAUCGGGAAAUUUUUCUGAGAAUUCAUAUCAAUGCGCAAUAAAUCUCGACUUCUAGACGUCAAUAUUAUUGUGCAUCGUCUCUGAUCAUCCUUUGUAUCUUUCUCAUCAACAUCCCCACAAGGAAUUCCAACUUUUUCGAACUCGAGUUUUUUCCAAAUAUUAUCCAAUAUAACGAGGACCUGCUUCUCGUUCUUCAAUCUUUCACGUAAUCGAUCUGCUCUUUCGAAUUUAUUCUCAUCCGAGCCAAAUUUCAUGCCUAAGUCAAAAGCAAGUUUCUUUUGAAUUUCCUGAUGAUCUGGGGUCUGUGUUACCUCAGCCAUAACGACCUUGUCGAACACCUUAUCUUCCAUAACUUGCCUUGCAACUUGCUUGACUAGCGUGGUUUUACCCACGCCGCCCAUCCCGUAGACCCCAAUUAUCUUGAGCUUAUCAUCCUUCAACGCCUCCACAACAUCUUCAAAUACUUUCAUUCUUGAAUCAAAGGCCUCGAAAUCUUUCACUUGCAUAUGUUCUGCCCGCUUUGGAGCAGGACGGUAGGAAACAUUAGAGAAGUUACAUUUUCCCAUGAGACUAGCAGCAGCUUCUGCGGCCUUUGCUGCUUGUCUACUGAGCUUGUAACGAGAAAUCAAGUUUGGGCACAAUCCUUUGAAACAGAACUUCUUAGCUCUAUCUUCAUCAUCAGUGAUGGAUUUCGCAGCUCCCUGACUGAAUUCCUUGACGCUAUUAAGCCAGUCUGCAACAUCCUUAUAAAUCUCAUCUCCUUGUUGAGUAGCCUGAUGAACGGGUAUUUCCACCCUUUCUCUUUUAUAUCCCAACUGUUUCACUUGAUCUUUUAGGCCAUCUAUGUAGCUCUGGUACUUGAACACAUAAGAGAUCUGCCGUAUAAUCGGUUUGAACAGUGACUUUGCAUCUUCUGAUACGAUGCUGGAAAAAGCAGCCAGACCCACUUCUGCAACCAUUGCCUGUUGCUUAACAAUAUAUGUAUAUAUAUGAAUAAAAUGAAUAAAAAUGUCAAAGAAAGGAAUACAAAUAAAUUAAAAUGAACUAGAGGGAAAGACAGAGAAAGAAAAGACCGCAAACAACAUCGCGAUAUUGAUUUUGAACCAACUGAUACAUAAGUAGAGAAUUUCUUUUUCUAUCUUAAGGAUCAGAGGUUUUGCUAUUAACAGAAAGGUAUCCUUUAAGGAAAGUUGAUGGAAAUUAAGAAAGAAUGGCUAUCAAGAUCAAGUAUUCUGCUACUAAAAAUAAAUGAUAUGACUUAAGAAAAGUAAAUGAUAUGAUUAAGAAAAACCAGAGAAUUUUUUCCUAGGAAAGUUGAUGGAAAUUAAGAAAGAACCGCUAUGAAGAUCAAGUAUCAGAGAUUCUGCUACUAAAAGAAUAUUACAGGUUUUAGAACAAGUGCACCUCUUUACCUGUCUGGGAUCAGAGUCGAUGAGCUGCUGUAUUCACCUUGAAUAUAGAAGAAAUAUUACAGGUUUUGACUAAAGAGGAAUGUGAGGAACGAGUUGAUGAGAGUAAUAACAAUGAAUUUCCAAAAGAAGACGACUUGAGCAUUAAGCAUGCACCCCCUUUAUCAAUCAAAUAUUGGUACGUAUGUACGUAGGGACCAUUAUGCGUAUAUGAAGUCCAUUAGUUGCAAUCAGAAACCCUGGCCCAAUUUAAUUGACACUCGAUUUUUGAUAAGAAGAAGGCAAGGAUAAGGACAAAGUCAAUCAAUCACCAACAGUAAUUACUUCAAUCUUUGUCAAUCUACUUAAAUUGUCGAUCAACAUGAAAAUUGUUUAAAUUGAUAUUUGUAAAUCAAUCAAUUUUCUAGUUACUAUGAUUAUAACGUUUCACCUUUCAUAUUGGAUUUUAUCUUUUCGAAAGUUUUCAAAUAUGAGUGUCAAUAAUUAUUGAGACUCCAAGCCGUGCUCUCAAGAUCGUGCUGACAAAUCACUAUUGACUUUGUUUAUGCAAAAUUCAAAGAAAAAAAGUUAUGGUUUUGUAUUGCCAGCCCUGCUACUUUUUGUUUUUUUCAUUUGUAUUAUUUACGAAUUAUUUUUUAACAGAAACAUGAGAACUCAUCAUCGUAUAAAAUUGCAUGAAAAAAUCUUCAAAUUUAUAAAAGUAAAUUUCAUUGACAGAUUGUGGAUAUGUUAGAAAGAAUAAGGAUAAGAAUGAGUUAAGAAAUAAUAUAUAUAUAUAUAUAUAUAUAUAUAGAUAGAUAGAUAGAGAGAGAGAGAGAGAGAGAGAGAGAGAGAGUGAAAGUAAACAAUGUUUUGGUACAUUUGGUAUUGUUUUCAAAAUAUUUUGAAAAGAAAAAUUUUCAAUUAUCCAUCUAAGAAUUAUCUUAUUAUCCAAAAAGUUAUAAAAAUUUAAAAAUAUUUAAUUUUAUACCCAUUAUUACAAUGUGUAUCAACUGUUUACUAAAAAAAUAAAGUUACUCCUAAAACAUAAUCACCACUACAAUUUUGUGUUCGGUUCUAUUUUGUCACUUUGAACGAAUAACUUUAUAUUUUUAACAGAUGUUUCAUACAAAUUGCAUACAUUGGAUGUAAAAUUAAAUAAAUUUAAAUUUUUAUAAUAAUUUUAAUAAUUGAAUAAACUUUGAGUAAAUGACUGAUAAUUUCUCUUUUAUAAGCUACAAGAAGUUAAAAAGAAAAAAGAAAAAAUAGGAUGAUAAUUUCUCUUUUAUAUGCCUCAGAUGAUUUAUUGUUUCGGGUCUAAGAUUUUAAUUAUUCAACUUAAAAGAUUAAUAUAUUAUAAAUUAAUUAAUUAAAUAAUCAUUAAGCAACUAAAUUGGGUCCCCUGGAUGUCAAUUCCUUUAAUAUUGACGCAACUAUUUUUUUCUGGCAAAUAAUUAUUAAUGCACUGACGGAACUUUUGCAUAUCUACACAGCGAUUUUAAAUAUUACUGGUAACUGCUGAGAAAUGUGCGAGAAAGAAGUUGAUGAGAGUAAUAACAGCGACUUGCAAAAGGAAAAGACAGAAUCAUUCACCCCUUUUUGUAUCACCUAUUUGGUUACUGUUUCCCUGUUGACGCAUGUAUAAAUUUGACUGGUUUUUCUGCACUUUUUUGGCUGUUGCUUAACAAUGUGUGUGUGUAUUUGCUGUUGAAAAAAUUGGAUUCAAAUAAAUUAACUGAAAGAUUAGAGUUUUGACUAUUAACUGAAAGGUUUCAAGGGUAUGAAUGAAAAGCAACAUUCUUUUUUAGAAACUAUUUUAGAGGAGAGAUGCAAAUUAACAAAUGCUAAUAACAAGAACACAGAAGUUAACAAUGAACAGUAACUUAAAUCAAGAAAAUUAAAUGACAAAAUUAAGACAAACAAGAGAUAUUUUUUUCUUGGACAUUAAGAAAUAACUGCGGUCAAGAUCAAGGAGAUUAUGCUAUUAAUAGAAAUUAUCAAAGGAUUUAGAACAAGUUCACCUCUUUAAUUAUCCGGGAUCAGAUAGUUGAUGAGCUUCUCUAUUUAGCCUUGAAUAUUUAAGAAUAAUUUUAAAGAGCAAAAAGAUCACUGGUAACUGCUGAAAAAUAAGUGAGAAAAGAGUUGAUGAGAAUAAUAACAAUGAAUUGAAUAAAAAAAGGACUUAAUCAUGCACCCCCUUUGCAUAUCAUGUAUUUGGUUACUGUUGCCUUGUUGACGCAUGUAUAGAAUAAUUACAUGUAUUAUUAUAAUUUUGGAUUCGAUAUCCUUGUAUUAGUGUCUAAGAUUUUCAUGAAGAAUUAAACUUGGAAUGACCAAAAGAGGAAGCUGCAGUGUAUUGUUGGACCCAAUUAAGUUGAAGAAAGCACUAGUUCACAACCUUACGUUUGGAUAUAUUCUAAAGAAAUAAUUAAACAGCAAAUCAUCACAUGCACUUUAAUGAUUUGAUCUAUUGUUUUCAAAAGAAAUUGCAAUUAACAGUUUUUGUCAAAAGUUCGCACAGCGUGAAACUAGUGUUAGUAUAAUUUAAAAAAUUAAUUUCAGUAUUAUUUUUUAAAAUGUUAAUUAUUAGAUUUAUUUUAAUAAUAUAUUUAUAUUUAUUAUAAAAAAUUUAGUUAAAUAUUUGUGUUAAAUAGAAUUUAUAAUUAAUUUAAUAUAUCUUAGGUAUUAAUAAUAUUAUAAUUAUUCUAUAUGCUAUUGAAAAUAAUUUAAAUUUUUAGACAUUUAUUUUAUAUUAAGUUUCUAUUUAUUACAAAAUUUAGUUUAAUAUAGUAUAAGCUUGUAAAGUAUUAAAAUAUUUUUUUCAUUUUUUUUAAAAUAUUAAAAUUAUUUUAAAAUAUAUAUAUUAACAUUGAAGCUAAUUUUUUGAGUUAAUAGAGCUAGUAGGUGUUAUAGUAAAAAAGAGUAUCUUAGUAUCUCUUAUUGAAAAUAUAUAGAUCUAUAUAAUCAUUUUUUCAAAUAUUGAGAUGUAGAAAAAUAAAUUAAAAAAUUUUAAAUUUUAAUAUGGCCAUCGUAGGGUUAGAAUCCCCGCUCCAACCCGAUUUGGAGAUUUAUGUUUUUAAAAAAAAAAAGAACAAAGAAAAAAUACACACCCGACCAAAUCAAGCACCUCAUCAAAUCAAAAAUAAAAAAGGAAAGAAAUUAAUGGCUUGCAUGCAAUUUUGGAUCUGAAAUUAAAAUUACAUAAAAAUUAAGGCUUACGUACCUUAAUAUUUACAGCUUGUUUGAUGGCCCCAACAAGUUUAAGCAGCAUCAAAAUGUUGUGGCUCCUUAAAUGACAACAUCGACUUGUUUGACAGCUCCAACAAGGCUACGAUGAUCAGAAGAUGAGCCCUCAAUCAACAAGGCUAAGAUUGGCUUCUCUAUCCUCUGCCGACAUGUCCUCUUCUCCCAACAACCAGCGCCUUGCUCUUUGUCAUUUUUCCUCUUGUUAGUUUUCUUCUACAUAUAAUUAUUACACUGGGAAGUAUACACACACUUCUUUUCUUUUUAUAGUACCUUACUAUUAUAUCUUUACAAAACAAUAUCACCCUAAGACAUAUAUGUAUGAAAUAAAUAUAUAAGGAACGGACGAAAUAAAAUUAGAUCUAACACUAGUUUCAUGUGGUGUGUGAACUUUUGACAAUCCUCUCAUACCCCAACAAAAACUUUGUCAUAUUACAAAAGUUAUCACGACCAUAGACUUUUCAAUUGCAUAUUGGAAUUGCAAUGUCAUUUUAUUAUAGUAAUGUCAUUUCCAUUAUUCAUAGUGGCAGACAAUGGACAUCACGGGACACGGCUAGAAGUUAUCACGACCAUAGACUUUUCUAAUUUAUGAAAUAAAUGAAAUUAGAUCUAAUUCUAGUUUCAAGUGGUGUGAACUUUUGACAAUCCUCCCAUAUCCUAACAAAAGCUUUGUCAUAUUGCGAAAAUACCUUUUCAAUGUUUCAAUUGCAAUGUCAUUGCCAUUAUUCAUAGUGGCAGACAAUGGACAUCACGGGACAUGGCUAGAAGUCUAUGUUACGGCUUCUGUAAGUAACAGCAGCCAAUGGGGAACUUCCAUGGGGGCUAUAGGAGAGAGAAAGAGGUCCCAAUACAAGUGUUAGAGUACAAUUUAUACACUAGUUUUGCAUUGUUUACUUCCCUUAAUAUCGAUGUUUUGCAUUUAAUAAUAAUGAUUUACUUGUGUUUUACUUUUGUAAGUGCAAUUCUAUUGAUUUGUGAUAGAAUUGAGGUAUAAGAUGAUGUUUAAAGAUGAUUGUUCUCUUGGAGAAAUUUAGAGCGUCAGAAGAACUUUAUAGAUAAGGCGUGGGCGCGUGCUGUCAACUGCGGACCUGCAGUUUUUAGUUUAAUGUGUUUUGUAUUUUUGGCUAUUUUUGUAAUUACGAAUUUAAUAUUUCAAAUAUUAUUAUUUUAUUUUAAAUAGAACUUUAAAAGAGAAGAGAGAGAGAGUAUUUAAGGGAGGAAUCUAUUGUGAAAAAGGGGGGAUUUUAAUUGGAGAAAAAGAAAGAAACCCUAGAUCUAAUUUUUCUCUUCUCUCUAUGAAAAACUAAACUUAUUUUUUCUAGUUGAAGGUUAAUGAAUUUUUGAUUCAUCACUACUGUGAGAUCUUUCUUAUGCUUUAAUUGUUUUAUUACUUUUUGGGUAUUUGUUUAUUCUCUGAAUUAGUUUCAUGAUUAUGUUUGUUAAUUAGGUAAUUGGCCACUAUUUAAUUAUCAACUUAAUCUAUUGUCAAUUAAAGAAUUCAUCGUAUGACGAGUUUAAUGUUUGUGACAAAUAACAUAGCAGUGAGUUGUGUUAUGGGAAUAAACAAUCUAAUUUAAAUGAAUCAUCAUAUGUGUUGAUUAGGAUUUGGGUCGCUCUGGUUUUUCAGGCUGUCAAUUGAUUAAAUCCUAUGAUCGUAUCUAGGGUUGUCUAUUAAUUAGGGAAAUAUCCAAUGGUCGUACCUUGGUUAUCGACUAGUUAAGGAGAGAUUGGCUAUUAGAGGGUCUCAAUAGCUAUAACCAGUUUAUUCAUAAGUAAUAAUAAUCUAUUUUUGAAUCAAUGAUCAGUAGUCGAAUCAAACUGAGUUAAUUCCUUCAACCAAAGCUUUCUCCAAUUUGAAUUACAACUUUAAUUUGCAUUUUUGUUAUUUUAAUUUGAUUUUUUAUUAUUGUCAACAAUUCUCCCAUUUUACGUUUUACGUUUCAAAAGAAUUUAAAUAAUUACCGAUCUCUGUGGACACAACCCUGCUCAAUCACUAUACACAAUUUAUUUAGAGUAGGAAUUUAUUUUUAUUGGCUUCAACAACCAUCAACAAGGUGAUGGAAAUGGGAAAGUUCGAAGCUGUUACUUUCAGCUUCUGCACCGUAGCCAUGUCCCACGGGACAAGGCUAGAAGUUAUCAUGACCAUAGACUUUUCUAAUUUAUUUUUUCCUUUCAAAAAGGGACAAGGAUAAGUUUGGGAGAAUGAUUAUAUUUUUAAUAAAAGAAUUCUUUUUUAUUAUAAUACUUUUUGUCUUUAUUAAUUUAAAAAUAUUAACUCUUAUAUUUUAAUAAAUAUAAAUAUAAUAUUAUAAUAACAUAUAACAAUAUAUACAAAUAUUUAAAAAAAUUUAAGAUUUUAUUAAAAUAAAUUUUAUAAUAAAUAAAAAUACAUUAUUAAUAUAAUUUUAAUAAUUUGCAUUUUAAAAAGUAAUACUGAUAUUAUUUUUUAAAUAUUAAUUUUUUAAAUUAUAUUACUCUACCAAAAAAAAUUAAACUAUUAAAUUAUAUUGAUAUUUAUUACAAAAUUUGCAAUUAAUUCUUAUUAUAUUUUUAAUUGGAAUUUGUUCCUGUGAUAUAACAACAAUUGCUACAGUUUUUUCCCUAAAUAAAGAUGGAGUUAUAAAUUAUUUGUGUAAGUGUCAUGAAAGUAAUAGUUGAAUAACAAUAAUGGGGCUUUAGGCAAUUUUUUUUAUGAGGUCUUCUUGCAAUUUCAACACUUAAACAGACUUGUCCUUGAUCCCAAUUUAUUUACCCCAUUUGGGCCCACGAUGAGAUAAAUAUAUUCCUGUGAGAUGAAAAACAUCAGGAGAAGAAAAUGUUUUAUUAUAAUAAAAAAACAAGUGGUCCAUAAGUCUAUUUAUUACUUUUUUUAUUCAAUACAAAUGGCCAACUUAAAAAAUGAUAAAAAUCACAUAACGCACAAGCAAAAAUUUAGAUUUACAUUUUUUAGUUCUCUCCGUGUCUCUCUUUCUCUUUUUUAAAAAAAAUAAAUAAAUGUCAGUGUAAAAUUAGAAAAAUUUUAGAUAUAAACUUUGGCGAUGACCAAACAAAAAUUGCAAGGGAAAGAAAAUAGAGGACCCUUGAUAUCAUUAAAAUACUGAUCAUAGACACUACAAUAUAAAUAACUUGUUGUGAUCCACUCAACUUGUAACACUUUAAUCCAUAUUCUAAAAUUUGUAUGUUUGUUAGGAAUUUUAUUAUUGACAUUACUGUACCAAUAAAAUUCUAAUUUAUUCAUAUGGAAAGAAAACAUCAAGAAAGGACCUCUGAUUUUUAUUAUAACAGAAAAAAGUGGUCCAUAAGUCUAUUUAUUAUUUUAUUUAUUCAAUACAAAUUGCCAACUUAAAAAAUGGUAAAAAUCACAAAAUGCACAAGUAAAAUUUUAGAAUUACAUUUUUUUUAAUUCUCUUUGAGUCUCUCUCUCUCUCUCUUUAAAAAAUAAACCUCACUGUAAAAUUAGAAAAAAUUUAGACAUAAAAUUUGACAAUCACCAAACAGAAAAUGUAGGGAAAUGAAAAUGGAGGAGCCCUAUUAUCAUUAGAAUAUUGAUCAUAGAUACUAUAAUGUAAAUGAUUUGUUGUGGUUCAUUCAACCUGUCACACUCUAAGCCAUUUUCUAAAAUUUGUAAGGUUUAUAGGAUUUUUAUUAUUGGCAUCAUUGUAUCAAUAAUAUUAUAAAUUAUAUAUUCUAUUGUAAUGAAAAUUUGUGUAAUCUUAGGUAUUUAUUGUAUUAAAUUGUGUGGAUUAAUUAAGAAUAUUUUUGGAGACAAAAGAGGUGUGUGUACGUAGGAUUAAUAAUAAAAAAUUUCUAAAUAAAGGUGAUUGCUUCAUUGACAAGUACAUAUUUAUAUUCUCUAUUAGUAUUUGGGUUGUAAACUUUGUUUAUAAAGUGAAUAUAUUGUGGUAAGCGAUGUGGGCAAUAUCGGAUGCAAAAUAUUGAGAGAUCAUUAACGCAUAUAUUUAUUGCAUAUAGAGGAAAGAGUGUAGAUCCGGCCGUAACAAUUAUGAAGCUUUCCCCAAGUAUUCUCACGCUUCCUUAACUGUUCCAAAGUAUUUUUCAUAGUGUGCAGAUUUACUUUAUGGUGUCUUAAUUCGUCUAAAAUGAUUACUUUAGUUCUUUUGGGAUGAAAGGUCAUUUAUUGUGUUAGGAUUAAACAAUAGAAAAAAUAAGUAAUGGUAACGAAAGACUAAUUUGUGAUAUUGAAGCAUACAUGCUUAACUCAAUCCAAAACUUAGUAAGUUAGCUCAAGAGUUAAGAGUUGUCCAAAUCUUAUAUGCUGAACCCAAGUUCAAUACUCAAUUGAUGCAGGAUGUUAUUCCUAACACCGCCCGUCAUGCGUAGGAUUGGCAAAAAAACUCGAGUCAAUCCCGCCUAGACCUGCAAGCUUUAUUUAUGGCCAGCAUGAUGAAGUUACAGAUAUUAACCUAAAAAUUUGAAACUUACUAUGAAUGGCCUUGGUUAAAGACUUUUGUAACUUUAAUUUAUAACAAAUAUGUAUACACACACACACAUGUUUAGAUUGCAUUUGGGUGACUUUUUUUAUCAAUGCAAACAAUAUCAAAUUUAUCGGAUUAAUUUGAAUCUGAUCUAUAUCCGAUUUUGCCCGCCAUAAGCCCAAGUGACUCUCUUUUACUAAUUAAUAAGGGAAUUUUUUGACCUCAUGUCCUUGCUGUGGCAUUAGACUGUUGGUCAUUUUGAUUGUUUCCUACCUUCCAUUUACGCCAGCUGUAACAUUGUAUUAUUCACCAUUUUAGCCAUUUAAAUGAAAUUUUAUUUUUGUCAAAAAUAAAAUGACACCCUUAAAAUAAAAAAAAAUAGUUAUGUAGACCUCAAAUUUUUAAUAAAGAAUGUCAAUACCUCUUUUAACUACAAGAUUCGUAGUAGAUGAUAAAAAGAAAAUUAACUUCAAAUUUUUUCAUUAAAUGUAAAUCUGAUUGAAGUAGUUUAAAUUUUUCUAGUAGACUAAUAUAUAUAACUUAAAUAAUUAAUUUCAUUAUUAAUUGUUAAAAUGUUAACCAAUAUAUUUUUAAUUUAUUAUAAAAAUUUUAAAUAAAUCCUUGGAUUAAAUAGAUUUUACAAUUAAUGUAAUACUUCUGAUUUAUUAAUAAUAUUAAAAUUAUUUUAUAUGAUAUUCAAAAUAAUUUAAACUUAUAUAUAUAUUAAUAUUAUGUCUAUUUAUUAUAAUAUGGUUUAAUAUUAUACGGGAUUGUAAAAUAUUAAAAUAUUUUUCAAUAUCCAAUUAUUUUAAUAUGUAUAUAUCAUUACAUUUAUUUUAGUAUCAUAUUUAUAUUUAUUAUAAAAUAUAAAAUUAAUAAAAUUAAAGAGUAUUGCAGUAAAGUAAAAAAGAAAAGUCUUAUUAUCUCUUAUUCACGAUAUGAGAUUCUACAAAAUUAUUUCCCGAAACGGGUGUCCUUUUCUCAUUUUCAAAAGAAAAAAUAAAGUAAGAAUAAGUCCAUGGGUUUCAAAAACUUCUAGUCUUAUCCCGGGACUACAUUGUCUGCCACUAUAACUAAUGGAAAUGACAAUACAAUUGACAUUGCCUUUCGCAACAUGACAAAUUUUUGGUGGGAUAUGGAAGAAUUGUCAAAAGUUCACGCCAUGUGAGAGUUUUUGGUGGGAUGUGGGAGGAUUGUCAAAAGAUCACACCACAUGAUAUAACCACAAUUGCUAUGGUUUUUAUUUUUUAAAUAAUGAUGGGAGUUAUAAAUUAUUUAUAUAAAUUUGCGUAGAAACUAAUGUAACAUAAAAGAAGUAGCUGAAUAACAAUAUUUGGUGCUUUAGGUAAUUUUUAUAUGAGCCUUUCUUUUAUUUAGCGGCUCUAGUGCUUAAACAAACUUGUUCUCGAUCUUAUAACAGAAAAGGCAUCCCAUUUAAGCCUAUGAUGACAUAAUUAAACAUAUUCUUUUGUGACGAAAACAUCAAGAGAAGACAUCUCAUGUUUUAUUAUAACAGAAAAGAAGUGGUCCAAACGUCUAUUCGUUAUUUUAUUUAUUCAAUAUAAAUGGCCAACUUUAAAAAAAUGAUCAAAAUCACACAACACUCAAGUAAAAAUUUAGAAUUACAUUUUUUAAUACUCUCUAAGUCUCUCUCUCCUGCCCCCCCCCCCCCCACCCCGUCCCCUUUUUUGAAAAAAUAAACCUUAGUGUAAAAUUAGAAGAAUUUUAGAUAUAAAAUUAGAAGAAUUUUAGAUAUAAAAUUUGGCAAUCGCUAAACAGAAAAGCAGCGGAUUGAAAAUAAAAAAACUCUAUUACCAUUGGAAUAUUGAUUAUAGACAAUAUAAUAACUUGUUGUGGUUCAUUGUAGCACUCUGAGCCAUAUUCUAAAAUUUAUAGGUUUGUUAAGGCAUUUAUUAUUGACAUUAUUGUGUCAAUACUAUUAUAAUGAUAAUUUGUCUAGUCUUAGGUACUUAUUAUAUUAAAUUAUGUAAAUUAAUUGAGGAUACUUUUAGAGACAAAAGAAACACGUGUAUGUAGGAUUAAUAAUCGAAGAAUUGUAAAUGAAGGUGAUUGCUUCAUUGAGAGGCAUAUUAAAUAAUUAUGGAGAGUUGCACUAUUUCGGAAGCACAUAAUUAUACUUCCCUAUCAGGAUUUGGGGUAAACGAAGUGCUUUAUCUAUUGCAGUAAGCAAUGUGGACAAUAUCAGAGGCGAAAUAUUAAAAGAUCAUAACGCAUAUAUUGGAGCCAUUUAUCUUCCGCAACUGUUCUGAACUAUUCUUCAUUGUGGGCAGAUUUACUUAAAUACCUGCACAAUGAUUCAAUACUUCAAAGGUCAAGGAAAUGUCAAAAUAUGAAAUGAAAAUACUUAAAUACCCUUCUACCUAACAAAACUCGCAGAGAAUCUAUAAAAUUAAAAAAAAAAUAUUCAUCCAUGAAAAGCUUCGUAACAGAAAAACCGUCUUUCAAAAAAUAAAAACAGAAAAACUGACUCAUUUAUCUGCAAAUGAACCAAUCGGGACUCAUUUAAAAAAGAAUACAAAGCAAAAGUAAAUGACACAAAUUGCAUAGAUAUCUAGGAGCCGCAUCAAAAGACAAAGGUGUUAAUUUGUCCAAGAAUAAAUUCUCCUAGGUCAAAAGCAAUUAACGAUGAAAACUUUCUUCAUUAAGGUUCUGGCCUACGUAAAAAAACAGAAAAAAACCACCCCAAGGUCAAAGCACAACGAUAAAUUUAGAAAUGAAGUUUUUAAUUUUUUUUUAAUAAAUCAACGUGUAUCAAAAAUAGAUAAUAAUUUUGGAUAACUUUUUUUGAUAAAUAUAGACAUAAAAUUUUAAAAUCACCAAACAGAAAAACAGGAGAAUUAAAACAAAGUCCCUGUUUAUCCUCUAUUUUGCUUGUUAUUAAAAAGGGAAAUGAAAAGAUUGCAAGCGGAAAUUUUGUUUCUGCGUUGUCUCUUCUCAAUGCUGCAUGCAUUCAAAUUAAACCUUACAUAUGCUAGCAAACUAGCUACGCUGCAUGUAAGUUCUCGAUAAGUCCAAAUAAUAGAAUAAUUGUAAAAUGUUCAAAUUCAGUAAUUAAUUUUAUUUAUUUAUUUAUUCAAAAAUUAUUAUUAUUAUUAAUUAUUGUCAAUAAUAUAUUAAUAUACUAAUUAAUUGUAAAAAAAUUUAUCAUUCAUAACAAUAAUAAUGAUGAUGAUGACGAUAAUAAUAAAAAUUCAAAAUAUAUUAAUUAAUUAUAAUAAUAUAUUAAUUAUUUAAUAAUAAUAUAUUUAAAAUAUAUAUAAAUUGAUUAGAAUAGUUAUAUUAAUAAAUUAUAAACAUAUAUUAAUUAAUCAUAAUAAUUUUUUAAUUGAGGACAAAAUAGAUAUUUUAUAGUUUGUGAGAGGGGGCAAAAUGAUCAAUCUUGGGAAUGGGGGAUUGAUUCCCACCACCUUCCUUAGGAAUCAAUCUUCCAUUCCUCACUCCUAAUUUGGGUGGUCCCCAUAGUUCUGAUUCGGAUCCCAGCCUCCAUUUUAUGAAGUAAACAUCAUUAAUGAUUUCGAUUUCGGAUUUCGAUUCUCCAGUCCAAGAAGUAAAGGCACCAUUAUUGUUAAUUGGUUCAAACACACAAAGAGAAUGUACCAUGUAGCUAGGCGUCAAGGUUGUGUGGCACAAGUAACCUUUUUCUUUUCUUUUUAUUUUUCUUGUUUUCCUUAACGGAUCAGAAGAAAUCGGUGCCUUUGAGAUACUACAAUGUAAAUAAGUAUUUGUGGUUCAUUGAAUCUGUAACACUCGGUACCCUAAGGUUGCUUUUGAAAAAGGGCUUUUCUCACUGAUCACCAAUAUCCAAGUAAGUUUGUUUCAUUUCAGAAGGUGCAAAGUUUCAAACUUUUUGUAUUGGGAUGUAACAAACUUUGGCCUUAUAUGCUUGCUGUGACGUUAGACUGUUCAUUUUGAUUGUUUCCUACCUUCCACUUGCGCCACUGUAGCACUGUAUUAUUCAUCAUUUUAGUUGUUUAAAUGAAAUUUUAUUUUUGUCAAAAAUAAAAUGACACCAUUAAAAUUUAGAAAAAUAAUCAUGUAGAUCCCAAAUUUUUAAUAAAGAAUACCAAUAUUCCCCUUGACUACAAUACCCUUAGCAGGUGGUAAUCAAACAAAUUGACUUAAAAUUUUUUACGAAAUGUAAAUAUGAUUUAAAUAAUUUAAAUUUUCCAGAAGACUAAUAUAUAUAAUUUAAAUAAUUAAUUUCAAUAUUAAUUUUUAAAAUGUAAAUUAAUUUAUUUGUACUUAUAAAAUAUUUGUAAUUAUUUUAAAAUUUUAACUAAAUCCUUAGGUUAAAUAGAUUUUACAAUUAAUAUAAUAUUUCUCAGGUAUUAAUAAUAUUAAAACUAUUUUAUAUGACAUUGAAAAUAACCUAAAUUUUUUAUAUAUUUAUUUGAAUAUUAUGUCUCUAUUUAUUAUAAUUUGGUUUAAUAGAAUACGAGAUUGUAAAAUAUUAAUAUUUUAGAUAUUGAAAUUAUUUUAAUAUCUAUAUAUUAUUAUAUUUAUUUUAAUAUCCUAUUUAUAUUUAUCAUAAAUUAUUAGAGUUAAUUUUUUUAGUUAAUAAAUUUAAAAAUAUUAUAAUUUAAAAAAAGUCUUAUUGGCCGUUAUUCACGAUAUAAGGUUCUAAUAAAUUAUUUCUCUAGACAGGUGCCAUUUUCUUAUUUUCAAAAGGAAAAACAAGUUCAGGGCCUCGGGGGUUUCAAAAAAUUCUGGUCCUAUCUAUCACUAUGACUAAUGGGAAACGGCAUUGCAAUUGACAUUGCUUUUCGCAAUAUGACAUAUUAUGGAGGGAUAUGGGAGAAUUGUCAAACAUUCACACCACGCGAGAGCUUUAGGUGGGAUAGGGGAGGAUUGUCAAGAGUUCACACCACAAGAAACUAAUGAUAGGUCUAAUUUCGUUGUCAGUUCUUUAUUUAUUUAUUUUUUUUAUUUCAUACAUUAUUGUUCUUGUAAAGGUAUAAAAGUAAAGUAAAAUACUAGGGGUGCUGUUAAGUUACAACUGAUGUAACUUGUAAUUUUUUCAAAAAUAAUGUAAAAAAUUUAAUAGGUGGUGGGACUCACAUAUUUUUUAAGAGACUUAAGUUAUAGUAGUUGUAACUUAACAAAAUCUAAAUAUUAUACAAUAAUGCAUAUUAAUAAUGCAUAUAAUUUGGGUUUGAUUUUUAAAAGAUUAUUUGAGUACCACCUAUCCUUAUGAUAUUAAUGUGAUUAUAUCUUAAUAUUAAAUAAUCAAAAUUUGUUUAAUUAUUAUUUGUAUUUCAUACAUUACAUAUUAGAUUUGUUUGAAUUUUAAGUUGUUGCUAAUAAAUAUUUAUGUUGUCAAAGUCAAAUUCAAUAGCUACAAAAGCAGAGAUAAUGGUAUUGUAUAUAGUUUUUAAGAAUGCAAGGAUAAGCUGGAUAAUUGACAUAAAUUCUAAUGAUUAAAAGAGCAACUAUCCCUUAAAUUAUAAUGUUAAUUUCUUUAAUUAGAUUUUUUUUUUCAUGUGAUAUAACCACAAUUGCUACAAUUUUUUUUUAUAAUAAUAAUGGGAGUUAUAAAUUAUUUAUAUAAAAUUUGGGUUGAAACUAAUGUACCAUAAAAGUGGUUGCUGAAUAACAAUAUUUGAAACUUUAGGUAAUUUUCAUGAGUCCUUUUUAUAUUCAGCAACCUGAAUUGGGGAAAAUCCGACUUGAAUUGGCGGUUGAUUUUGGUGAUGUGGCUUUUGGUUUAUGGCGGCUUUACUGUGGCGGAAGACUGGAUUUACGGUUGCCGACUGCUAGGGAUUAUGGUGGUGGUGUAAAUUGACGGAAAAAGAAGGUGUUUUGGUGGCGGCGCGUGUAGGAAGCACUCGUGGGUUGUCGUUUCGUGUGGUGACAGAGGGCGGCGAUCAAGGGCCGAAGUCGGUCAGUUUUUGGUCAACGAAGGCCGGCGAGUUUGUUGGUGGAGGUGGCUGGUGGAGAAAGUGGCUGAAUGGUGGUGGGUUGCUUGGUGGAGCCGCAGGUUUGGGUUGGUGAUUUGCGGCUGUUCAAGCGGCGGUUGAGGCAGCGAUGACUGAGGCUUGGUCGACGGUGGCUAGUGAGGUUUGUGGUGGUGUUGGCUGGCUGAUUGGCGGUGGUGGGCGGCGGUGGGGGUUGGUCUGACGGGUAGGGUUUUCAAAUUUGUAAUUUUUUUUUUUGAUGGAUUUGGUUUGGAUGGGUAUGGUGUAUCUAGGAAAGAUGUGUGAUUCGCACAGAAUUGCUUUGAUACCAAUUGAUGGAGCGAGCGUAGCGGAAGUGGAAUUGAUAAGGUAAGAAAUACUAAAUAUCAUUCUAGUACUGGAUCAAGCCAACACAAUUAACUUACGCUUUAAUCAAAGCGUGAUUAGAUAUUGUUUUAAUCUAAAUGAUUCAAUGAGAUUUUUAAUAACGCGUAAUACGAGAUUAGAUGACACUCUAAUUUAAAUAACUCUAUAAGAGAGAUUUUGAUAAAUAAUACUAGAGGAAAUUAUAAAAAAAAGAGUUUUAUUUAAUAAUUGAAUUUGAAGUCCUGAAAACAAUGACAAGACAUCUUUAUUUUUUUUAUUACAGACAUCUUUAUUUAUAAUAAAAGAAAUCCACUUUCCUAAGUUAACCUAAAAAGAAAAUUUAAAUUAUAAUUAUAAUGGAAAUAAAAGAUUAAGAUACAUACCAUAAUUGACUCAAACAAAAAUAGAAAACCAUAAAAUAAUAAAUAUUUUAGAAUUAUAAAUUAUCUAAAAUAACGUUAAUUAACUUCCUAAAUCACGUCUUUGGUGUAAACCAUUUUGCAUCCAACCUUGCUUUAAAGGUUUGAACCAACGUUACGAACAACAAUGUAUCAAAUUCCAAUCUAACUUAAGAUCCUGAUACAUCUACCGAUGUCCUUGUUUGAUUAGACAAUAAUGAGUCUAUCUCAUCACUUGUUACCUCUUUUUUGAAGCUGCAUCUGUUGAAGUGAUAGCCUCGCUUAGAGUUUAAAGAUCUUCUUCCAUGUUAAAUAAAGUGGGCAUUUGAUUAAAAAACUUUAUCUCUAUCUCCUUCUAUCAAAUAACGAAAACUAUCCAAAGGAAAAAAAAAAAAUUAGAAAAGUCCAUGGGUUGCAAUAAUUUAUGGUCUGUCCUCGGACCCCAUUAUCUGCCAAUAUCAAUGAUGAAAAUGAAAAUAAAUGGCAUCUUCCCAAAAUGGCGAAAGAUUUUUAGGAGAUAUGGGGAAUUGUCAAAAGUUCCCACAACGCGAAAUAAGUGUUACAUCCAAUUUUAUUUCAUCAUAUAAUGAUAAUAUCAAGUAAUGACAGCCAUCUAAAAGUAUAAUGGGUCUUCCAAAAUUUUGAAAAUGUCGUCAACAUUUAAUCUUCAAUGCUAAAGAAGAUGAAAUGCCCAAAAAUGACAUGCAGGACCCACUCACAGACUAAACGGCCCUGACCACAUGCAACAAACUUUGACUUUAUGUCCCUGCUGAGGCGUUAGACUGUUGGUCAUUUUGAUUGCUUUUUACAUUCCAUUUACGCCAUUGUAGCAUUGUACUAUUUACCAUUUUAGCUGUUUAAAUGAAUUUUUUUUUCCAAAAAUAAAAUGACACCCUUAAAAUUUUAGAAAAUAAUCAUGUAGACCCCAAAAUUUUAAUAAAGAACACCAAUACCCUUUUUGACUAUAGUACUCUUAUGGUAGCCACAAAAAAAAAAUGACUUCAAAAUUUUUUACUAAAUGUAUAUAUGAUUUAAAUAGUUUAAAUUUUCUAGUAGACUAGUAUGUAUAAUUUAAAUAAUUAAUUUUUAAAAUGUAAUUUAAUAUAUUUAUUUUAAUAAUAUAUUUAUUAUAAAAAUUUUAAACAAAUCCUUGGGUUAAAUGGAUUUUAUAAUUAAUAUAAUAUUUCUCAUGUUUUAAUAAUAUUAAAAUUAUUUUAUAUGAUAUUGAAAAUAAUUAAAAAUUUUAUAUAUUUAUUUGAAUAUUAUGUCUCUAUUUAUUAUAAUUUGGUUUAAUAGAAUACGAGAUUGUAAAAUAUUAAAAUAUUUUUAGGUAUUGAAAUUAUUUUAAUAUGUACAUAUUAUUAUAUUUAUUUUAAUAUCCUACUUAUAUUUAUUAUAAAAUAUUAAAAUUAAUUUUUUUAGUUAAUAAAUUUAAAAAAUAUUAUAAUUAAAAAAAAGAGUCUUAUUGUCUGUUAUUCACGAUAUAAGGUUCUACAAAAUUAUUUUCAAAAGGAAAAAUAAGUCUAGGGGUUUCAAUAAAUUCUAGUCCUAUUUGCCACUAUGACUAAUGAAAACGACAUUGCAAUUGACAUUACUUUUCGCAAUAUGACAAAUUUUUGGAGGGAUAUGGGAGAAUCGUCAAAUGUUCACACUACGCGGGAGUUUUGGAUGGGAUUGGGGAGGAUUGUCAAGAGUUCACACCACAAGAAACCAAUGAUAGCCAUAAUUUUGCUAUCAGAUCUUUGUUUAUUUAUUUUAUUUAUUUCAUACAUUGUUGUCUUGUUGGCAUUGUUUUGCAAAGAUAUAAAAGUAAAAUAAACUAUUAGGGUGCUGCUAAGUUAAGCUGUUGUAACUUACAAUCCCUUAAAAAAUAAUGUAAAAAAUUUAACACGUGGUGGGAUCGACAUAUGUUUGAAGAGGCUUUAAGUUACAGUAGUUGUGACAUAGCAAAAUCCAAUUAUUAGACAAUAACGCACAUUAACAAUGCAUAUAAUUUGGGUUUGAUUUUUUGAAAAAUUAUUUGAGUAUUAACUAUCCUUAAGAUAUUAAUGUGAAUAUAAUUUAAUAUUAAAUAAUCAAAAUCUGUAUAAUUAUAAUAUAUAGUUCAUACAUUGCAUGUUUAAUCAAAAUCUGAUUGCUUUUUACCUUCCAUUUACGCCCACUGUAGCAUUGUACUAUUCACCAUUUUAGCUGUUUAAAUGAAAUUUUUUUUUUUUCAAAAAUAAAAUGACACCCUUAAAAUUUUAGAAAAUAGUCAUGUAGACCCCAAAAUUUUAAUAAAGAACACCAAUACCCUUUUUGACUAUAGUACUCUUAUGGUAUUCACAAAAAAAAAAAAUGACUUCAAAAUUUUUUACUAAAUGUAAAUAUGAUUUAAAUAGUUUAAAUUUUCUAGUAGACUAGUAUGUAUAAUUUAAAUACUUAAUUUUUAAAAUGUAAUUUAAUAUAUUUAUUUUAAUAAUAUAUUUAUUAUAAAAAUUUUAAACAAAUCCUUGGGUUAAAUAGUUUUUAUAAUUAAUAUAAUAUUUCUCAUGUUUUAAUAAUAUUAAAGUUAUUUUAUAUGAUAUUGAAAAUAAUUUAAAAUUUUAUAUAUUUAUUUUAAUAUUAUGUCUCUAUUUAUUAUAAUUUGGUUUAAUAGAAUACGAGAUUGUAAACUAUUAAAUAUUUUUUGGUAUUGAAAUUAUUUUAAUAUGUAUAUAUUAUUAUAUUUAUUUUAAUAUCCUACUUAUAUUUAUUAUAAAAUAUUAAAAUUAAUUUUUUUAGUUAAUAAUUUUAAAAAAAUAUUAUAGUUAAAAAAAAGAGUCUCAUUGUCCGUUAUUCACGAUAUGAGAUUCUACAAAAUUAUUUUCAAAAGGAAAAAUAAGUCCAAGGGUUUCAACAAAUUCUAGUCCUAUCUGCCACUAUGACUAAUGGAGACGAUAUUGAAUUGACAUUGUUUUUCGCAAUAUGACAAAUUUUUGGAGGGAUAUGGGAGAAUCGUCAAGCGUUCACACCAUGCGAGAGCUUUAGGUGGGAUAUGGGAGAAUUGUCAAGAGUUCACACCAAGAGAAAUUAAUGAUAGGCCUAAUUUCGUUGUCAGUUCUUUAUUUAUUUAUUUUAUUUAUUUCAUACAUUAUUGUCUUGUUGGUAUUGUUUUGUAAAGAUAUAAAAGUACAAGUAAAAUAUUAGGGGAAGUAAAGUAAAAUAUUGGAGGUGCUGCUAAUUUACAGCUGCUGUAACUUACAGUUCCUUCAAAAAUAAUGUAAAAAAUUUAACACGUGGUGGGACCCACAUUAUGUUUGAAGAGGCCGUACAUUAUAGCAGUUGUAAAUUAGUAAAAUCCAAAUAUUAGACAAUAAUACACAUUAACAAUGCAUAUAAUUUGGGUUUGAUUUUUUAAAAAAUUAUGUGAGUAUUACCUAUCCUUAAGAUAUUAAUGAGAAUAUAUUUUAAUAAUAAAUAAUCAAAAUCUGUUUAAUCAUAAUAUGUAAUUGAUACAUUGCAUGUUAGAUUUGUUUGGAUUUUAAGUUGUUGCUAAUAAAUAUUUAUGUUGUGAAAGUCGAAUUCAAUAGCUACAAAAGCAGAGAUAACGGUAUUUUAUGUAGUUUUUAAGAAUACAAGGAUAAGACCAUAACGCAUGAGAUAAUGGUAUUUUAUAUAUAUUAAAAGACCAUAACACAUGUAUUUGAGCCAUUGAUAUUGAAGACACAUAUAGAGGAAAGAGUGCAGAUCCGGCCCUCAGUAUUGUGAAGCUUUCCUCAAGUAUUCUCAUGCACACAGACCUUAUCUGGUCAAGUUUUCUGAUUCAAUAUAAUCAAUUUCCGCGCAGUACUGACGACAGCUUCUCUGUAAAGCUCUUCAACCACAAGCAUUUCUACAAGGCAAAAGACUAGGACGUGUCAGAAUGAAUAUCAAUAAGGGAAUGUCUUAUGAAUUUAGUUUAUAUCCUAAUAUAAGACAAUCAGUAAAUAUUGGACUCAUUAGUUGCCCUUGCCUCAGACGUUUGGAUGCUAAGGGGAAAAAGGAAGUUUGAAUUAGUCAAUCUCAUUUCUAAUGGCAUUCACAGAGAACUUAUAAAACAAAAAAAUUAUAAAAAAAAAUUCAUCCAUAAAAAGCUUAGUAACGGAAAAACCGACUCUUUUAUCUGCCACUGACGAAAAAAAAACUGAAGUAUCAAAUAGAUAAAGAUUUUAAUUUUUUUCUUGGAAAAACUAAUAAUAAAUUAACAAUUGGAUAAUACUAUUAAUUAGAGAUCUUUAAUAUUAAGGUUAUCAAAGAUAGAAUGUGUAUAAAAAUUCUUAAUUAUAAGAUAAUUACUAACUAAAAAGAGGCCUAAAAAAGAAGAUUUGCUAUUAUAAGUAAUACCAAAAAUAAAAAAGGGAGACUUCCUAAUUGUUUAAUUGUUAAAAAAGAGGAUUUGCUAUUAUAGGCCUAAUUUGCCUAUAAGUAAUACCAAAAAUAAAACCGUUCCUGGAUGUAAAAAAUAAAAAUUAUUGUUAAAUUCCUGACUAAUAAGGUCAUUGAAAGUAUUCAAAGGACCUGAACUUAUAGGAAAGCCAGCCAUGAUGAACUAUACCACGUUGCAAGUGAGCUCGUAUCUUCAUCCCUUGAUCUGCCAUCGGCAUUUCUGUUCCACUCACUAUACCAUCCUUUUCAAUCGAUUUUUAUUGAUCAUAAGAGGCCAUGUGGCCCACCUUAUUUUUAUUUUGGAUCCAUAACCCAAAGCUGGCCCAAGUUCUGAUUCCAGAAUCAUUUGUCUACAAAGUGACCUCAUUCCGGCAAUUGGUUUAUGCUAAUAGCACGUGCAAUUUUCAUUUUCUUCUUUUUAUUAAUUAAUUUCAUCAUUAUUAUUUGCUUAUUAUUUUAAAUUAAUUAAUUAAAUUGUAUUAUUGAAAUUAGUCUUUCUUUUUUCUUUUCUCUUUCAAUGCACAAAGCCAAACAACCAUUCUUGCUUCAAAUACCGAAGAGCUCCUGACUACGGCUGUCAAUGCUUCUAUAUUUACGUGCUGUGCUGCAUCACUCUUAGCGAAAGCUUGAAUGAAUGAUUAAAGACAAAAGCUUAUAUAAAAGCAGAUGCCGGAGGCACUCAAAAAGCAUUUGAGAGAGAAGCUACACAGCAAAUCAUCAAACGUACUUCAAUGACUUUGAUUUUGAUUCUUUUUUUUUUCAAAAGAAGUAGAAAAGUCCAUGGAUCACGAUAACUGCUUGUCCUAUGCCGUGACCUCAUUGUCCGCUGCUAGUGUCAAAUAGAUUAAUCUUUCUAGUAGAUUAAUAUAAUUUAUAAUUUUAAUUUCAGUAUUAAUUUUUAAAAUGUUAGUUGUUAUAUUUAUUUUAAUAAUAUAUCUAUUUUUAGUAUAAAACUUUAAAUAUAUAUUUAGAUUAAAUAGAUUUAUAAUUAAUAUAAUAUAUCUCAUGUAUUAAUGAUAUUUAAAUUAUUUUAAAUAAUAUUAAGCCUAACUUAAAAUUUUAUAUAUUUAUUUUAAUAUUAUGUUUCUAUUUAUUAUAAAAUUUAGUUUAAUAUAAUAUAAGAUUGUAAAGUAUUCAAAUAUUUUUUAAAUAUUGAAAUUAUUAUAAAAUGUAUAUAUUGUUACAUUUUUAAUAUUGAAGUCAAUCUUUUUUAAGUUAAUAGAGUGAAAAGAUAUUAUAAUAAAAGGCUACGUAAUCUUUCACUUGCACAUAUUCUGUACUCUCUGGAGCAGGACGGUAGGAAAUAUGAUUACAAAUGUUAAAUUCGCCUUUCUUCACAAGUUUAUCAGCUUCGUUUGCGGCCUCUGCUGCUUGUUUACCAAGCUUGUAACAAGAAAUCAAAUUUGGGCACAACCUUUUGAAGCAGAACAUCUUAGCUCUAUCUUUAUCAUCAAUGAUUGAUUUUGCAACCCCUUCACUGAAUUCAGCAACUCUAUUUAGCCAGUCUCUGACACCCUUAUAAAUCUCAUCUCCUUGUAGAGUAGCCUCUCUAACCAGCAUUUGCACCCUUUCUCUUAUAUAUUCCAGCUCCUUCACUCAAUCUUUUAGCCCAUCUAUGUAGCUCUGGUACUCGGAACACAUAAGAUAUGUGCCACAUAAUCGGUUUGAAUAAUGCUUUUGAACCUUGUGAUACAAUGCUAGAAAAAGUAGGGAGACACCCUUCUGCAGCCAUUGCCUGUUGCUUAACAAUCUAUAUAAAUAAAUACAAGUGUCAAAGAAAGGAAUACAGAUAAAUUAAAAUGAACUAGUGGGAAAGACAGAGAAUGAAAAGACUGCAAACAAUAUUGCGAUAUUGAUCUUGAACUAACUAAUAAUUAAAUAGAGAAUUUCUUUUUCUUUCUUGAGGAUCAGAGAUUUUGCUAUUAACAAAAAGGUACUUCGAGGGUCUGAAUAAAAAACCAACCAUAAAUUAUCAAAAGCUAGUAAAAACACAGACGUAAAUAAUGAACAAUUACUUAAGCAAAACAGACCAUGAUACAAAGCAAAUCUAAUAAAAUGACAAAAAAAGAAAGAAAGAAAGAAAGAAAGAAAAUACAACAAAUAAUAUUGAAGUGUUGAUUAUGAGCCAACUGAUAUUUAAACAGAUUUUUUUAAAAUUUUUAGUCUUUUGCUAAAGGAUUAGAGUUUUUGUUAUUAAUAGAAAGGUUUUAAAGACCUGACAUUACUAGAAAAAUACUAAAUAAUGACAGAAAUUUUAUAACAUAUAUCGUUAUGUCACGAAUGUGUCAUGAAAAUAUGAUAGAUUCGUGAUAUAUAUUCAUGUCCAGAGUAUAUGACAUAUUCAUGACUUAUAACUUAACCAUCGUAAAUAAAUGAUACAUAUAAGUCAUGCUUAAGUUUUGUGAACUUAUAAGAUUGUAAAACAAUGCCGUUUAAAUUAACGACACCGUUUUGUAUAACUUAAAACCCAUUAACACUCGCAGCCAAAUUUUGGCUAAGCGUUGAAUUAAUCCCUCUCUCCACUGUAGAGAUGGCAGAAAAGCCCGCUCAGACCGGAUCCGGACUGGACCCGGUGCAUACGGUCCGGGUAAAACCCGGAUCGGAUGCAUGGAAAAAGCGGAUCCGGGCACGGGUCCGGUCACAGCACCAAGAAUCUGGAACCCGGACCCGUGCCCACUUUUUUAUUAAGUAAAAAAAAAAUAUAUAUAUAUAUAUAUAUAUAGUAGUUUUCCAAUCAGGGAUUAGUUAAAAGACAAAAUAAACACAUACUCCAAUGCAUUGUAUUUUAUCAUGUAGUGUAGUAAAAUUUAAAUUUUUUUGUCUUUUAGCUAAUCCAACUACUAUAUAUAUAUAUAUAACAACAAAAAUGCAUUUUGCUUUACCCAAUUUCCCCCAAACCCAACCGGCCAACCCUAAAUCGCAACAAGUCUCAGAAUCGCCACCUCCCUCCGUUUCUCCACCAACAACCACCACCCAUCUUCACCGAUGCAGUGUUGACGGCGCGGCCUCUUCCCCACUUACAGAAAAAUGCGCAUGCUUUUACCGAGAAAAGAAAGCUUUUAUUUUUUGUAUGACAUCUGGUCCUCCCAUCAAGCUUACCUGAGGCAGCGAGGCUGAAAGUCUCUGUUAUCAACCAUCAGGACACCAGAAAGAGUAAUUGCUCACAUCGUAAGCGCCAUGAACUAAUUUUUCCGAAAAGGAGGAAAUGAAGGUCACAAUGGAGCUCAUUUCCCGCGAUUCGAGAGCCCUACAGAGAGGUAGGACCCCUAACUCACUCCGUUUUAGUCACCUUUCAAUGGCUCCCUUAAUUUCCUAAAUCAAUAAGUGUUCUAAAAGGGCUUGAAAAAUCAAAAUGAUGCCCAACAUUAGUGCCAGGAUUAAGGAACUUUUCACUGCAAAGAAGUGAAUAGCUACGUGGAUGAAGUUAUGGGCCAUGCAGAAAUUCACACUUCACUCUCUCUUGAUUUGUACUCAAAAGUCGCCACCAACCUUCAAUUAUAUGGACUCAUGGAUUCAAUAUUUAGGCUUACAAUUGGACCUUCACAAAGCAAUUGGAGCACUCCAAGCUGCAAAAAAUGUCUCUUCUCUGUGACAUCUGCAGGUGGGCUAGAAGAAGGUUAUGCAUAGAUGGUCUAUGUGCGUGUGCUUACUAAAUGCAUACAAAAUGUAUAAGAACUGAGAUUCCUAUGUUUUUUCCUUUUUAAUUUUAAUAAUUAUGUUAGAUGUUUGCUUGGUAGUUAAGAUGUUUUGGUUUUGGACUGUUACGCUUUGUUAGAACUUAAAAGUAAACAAUUGUUUAGGCUGUAUUUUUUUUUACAGUGUUUUCACCUUUGAAAAUCCGGGUAGAGAAAACCCGGAAAAACCCGUGCCCGGAUAGUGCCGGGCAUGUACCCGGCCUGUAUAAAAAAAAUUCCGGACACGGUGCGGGUUCGGGUAGUUACGUGUGACAUCCGGGUCGGUCCCGGGCAGCCUCAAACCCAGACCCGACCCGGACUUUUGCCAUCUCUACUCCACUGGCCACUGCAACCUAAAAUAGUUUUUCACUUUAAUAACCCAAAAGCUUUCCUCUGUUUCAACUAAGCGAAAAUUUACAUAUUAAAGCCUGGCUCAAAUUCCUUUUUUCAAUCGAAAUUAAACGUAGCCACAAAACCCUAAUUCACCACACCAAUUUAUCUCUGCCCGGUAUUCAUUUAAACCCUACCUCGCGGUUCAAUGUCAUUCAAUACGAUUGCAGAUGCUGUUUCAACUUGUCAUUUAGUUAGCGCCAUCCAGUUCUCUAUGGUAAGCCUUAACCCUAACAACUAAUCGACUGCGGUAGCACGUUGCUUGUUAGGAGUGGGGAUACAUUAUUUGAAUAUAUGAAUUGGGUGAUGUUAGUGAUUCAUUCCCCUAUUUGUCGUGAAUUGAGAUUUGUGCAUAAUGCUAGUAAGAUUGCUAAAAAUUUCAUAUUUUGUAUUGUUCCAGUUGAAUUUCUUGCUUGUGGAAGAUAAAACAAAAGUUCAAUUUCAUGUUGAUUUAAUUCUUCUUUUCCUUCUUUUUAUUUUUCUUCUUUAUAGUCACGCUCUGGCUUUGGUGCUAUGCUUAGUGCAGUUUAUGGUUUCAAGAUUAAGUCAUGUUUAUUUGAUGGCAUCGAUUCCAUCGUUGAGGAUUGGAUUGUUGAUCAAAUGCACAUAGUAAGCUCUUCUUAUUUUAUCUCAAUUUUAAUUUUCUUUUAUUAUCUGCCUCUACCUGAAAAUGGACGUGUUUUACUAGUAAGCAUAGACCUUGUUUAUUUAAUUGAUAUUUUAAUUUUAUGUAUAAGAAUGGAGGUUUAUUUUGGAAAAAAAAAGAAAUAAAAAAAAUACUCUGUUGAAGCUAAUUAGUACUGAAUUUUUUUUGGUGGUGCGACCAGAGGUGGAAACAGGGUAUGAAAAUGUGUUACUGGUGAGGCUGCUGCUUAAGAUGAGAAUGCAUUCUUUUCAAAAAUCCUUGGAAGGUGUGAUCUAAUUAUAUUUGAUGGAAUAUUAAAUGGCUAAAAAUCUGUCAUACGUUCAAACUUUGUUUGUGUUUAGAAGAAUGGUGUUGACUGUAUAUUCGUUUGGAAGAAUGGUGUUGAUUGUAUAUUCAUUUGCUUAGCCUUUUGACAGAUGGAUUUGGAACUGACGAUAAAUGUGAUUCAAUUUACAAGGUUUUCGAGGGGCUCACAGUGGAAGGGAUAUUGAAGAACUGGUCGAAGUUAAAGCCUAUGAUUGUGAAAGAUUGGAGUGAGAAUAUAGAUGCUCAUUUAAAUCUUUUUGGCAAGGUCAGAGAUGAAUGGAUAGAUAAGGAUUUAUUUGACAACUUGGACUGGUGCUAAUAGGUAUUUUAAGCAAGCUUUUUGAGAUAACACUGAGCAAGUUAUACUACUAUUUUGCACAUGAUGAUCAAAACUCUCGAAAAGUAAAUAAAAUAAAGUAUUAACUUUUACUUUCAUCUUUUGCAUAGCAAUCAAUGUGGUGCUUGUUCUGUGACAACUUUGAUAAUCUACUUAAUUACUGGUUAGCAUUUGGACCAAAAAAGUUCUUAUGAUUUACAUGUUUUGUAGAAAUGCAUGAACCUUAAAUGUGCUGAUCAGGGAGUUUAAUUAUUGCACCUUGAAAUUCAUUUACUGUUAACUAAUUGGCUUUCCUUUGCAUAAAGCCGCUUAUAAGGCUUGAGUGGACGUCUUUAUGGGCAUAUUUUUUGUAUUUCUCGAUGCAUGCCUUUAUCAUUUAAUGUGGUGCUCGUAUUUCUUUAUGCAUGCCUUUAUCAUUUAAUGGCCAGCUCCCUUUCCUCUUUUGUAAUUUGAAUAGUAGUAUGGGCCUCCAUUUUACAAAUCUUUAACAUUUUUUGCUGUAAAUUAAUUUUUCUUUCAAAUAUUUUGGAGGUCAUUGGAAUUCCUGUAGGUCUAUUUACCAGAUUUUAGUAUGUUUAAGGUUAUAAUUUUGCUUAGACUUUAAUUUUUCUGAAAGAUUGUAGUAUUGAUCCUUAAAGUAAGAUCAUGCUACUUCAAAUUAUUUUGAAGUGUUGCUAGUUAUAGCCUUACAUAUCAAAUUCCAGUUGUCUGGAAAUUUAUUGAUAGCUGUUACAGCAGCAUAUUUUAUGACUCUACUUCUUAGUUAUGUAAGUUCAUUAUGUUUAGGUCAGAGGCAGUCAGCUGUGGGGAAUCGAUUUAUACACAGAUGACUUUGAUCUUGUUGCUGGUAUGUGGUUCUAUGAAUAAUUGUUCACAAUAAUUGUGUUUGCCUCACUGUUUUUGUUUUAUGAGAUCUAUAAUUGAUCUUGGGAUAUUACUUUUUAGUUCUCAUGCAGGCAAGUUACUACCUUCCCACUGCAUCUCCUCCUUUAUCUGCUACUCAAGAGUUGCGUGCCAUAAUCUGGUAUUACCUCUGCAAGAUUGUGAAUGAAUAUGAUGCCUCUAAAUUUAUUUUAUACAUAAUGCUAAUGCUGAAUAAUAUAUUGUAGCUCCUGUCAUAUUCUACUUUGACUUUUUAUAUUCCGUUUCAAAUAAAAAUCUUAUUCAACUUUAGUUGUUCAUGAGCAAAUGUCACAUGUAUAAGCCCAAAUGAUGUUUAAAGGUAGCGCCGCUACCUUCAGUUUGAGCUUACAAUGGGUGAAAAAGAAAUUGAAACUGAUAUUUUGCGGUUUUUCUUAUUUUUCAAAGUAUUUUAGAUCAUGACUUUUGUUUGGACUUGAUGGUUAUAGAUUGUGUCUAGAUUUGUUAAGUCGUUUCCAACACCUCGUGCCAAAUCAAAGCACAAUCUUUCUGAUUCAGAUGUUUUGUUAAUUGUGCUUCAUUUUUUCGUUAAAGGUUGGAUGGUUGAAUGGAUUGAUGGAGUUGGAGUUCAACCAAUAAUUCUAAUUUUUUGGACUUAAAAUGCCUUUUUCUUCUGUAUAAAAGCUUUAGUAAGUGCUAUUGAGUUGACAGAAGUUGAAUACUUACAGGUUGUUUCACACUUUUUAAUAGUUUUACAUAUAUGAAUUUCUGUUUUUUGAAUUGCAGAAAGGAGGUGGAACUAUUGAUUUGGAGCCUUAUCUUACUCACUCAUCAACAACGGAGCCUACCCUCGCUCCUAUGGCAGUGGAACGGACAAUGACUACUAGGGCUGCAACAUCAGUUGGUUCGGGUCUGUUUUGAUAGCGAAUUUUGAUAUGUCAAUAUAAUGUGUAAUUGUUUUGGGUUGAGCUGGUAAUUAUGCUGGAUUAGAUUGGUUUGGUUUUGGUGCUUCGCUGAUGGAACACUGGUUUUUUAGAAAAUUUGAAUGUAAUAUGAGACUACAUUUAGUUUAAUUGAACACUGCAUCUAGUCUAAUUACUAGAAGUGUGGCAUUUGGUUUGGUUUAUCCGAUAUUCUCCAGAAUUUCACUUGCAUCUGGUUUUGUUGCAUAUGUUUGCUUGCAUUUGAUGGCAGUAGCAGACUGUUUGGUUUUGUGGCAUUUGAUGGCAGUUUGGUCUGUUCUUGGUGCUGAUUUACGAUUGUUCCUGAUGUGUUGAUGUUAAUUGCAGGUGCUUGAAUCAGCUAGGGUUGCUGGUUUUUUCAGAUGGUUGACUCAGGCGUUGUUACUGGUUGAUUCAGGUGGCUGGCUCAAGUUGUUCAUUUAAUGUUAGGAAGCAAAUUAAGAAUUAAUGAAGUAUUCAUUUAACUAUAAUUAUUGUAGUUAUUUUAUUUCAUAACUGAAUUAUAAUCUAUGAUACUUGUGAACAAAUUAGAGAAUUUUUAUAUAUAAAUUAUAUAUAUGUGUGUGUAUGUACAUUUUGCUUUUUAUAUAAUAAUUUAAAGAAUAUAUUUCAAUUCCCACAAAAAAAUGGCCCCAAUUUCAAUAAUUCCUGCCAAAUAAUUAAUUUUUUUUAAUUUACCGCCAAAAUAUAUCUUAAAGAAAUGUUAGUUAUUCUUGCUAGAUUUAACAAAAAUAAUUUAUAGGAUUAACAUUUAAUUAAAAUAAUUAAAUAAUUUUACUAUUUCAAUUAAAUGUCAUGUUUAUAUCACAGACAAUAGUCAUGAAUGGGAAGUAUUAGUUACAUAUUUUUCCUUGUAGUUAUUUUAUUUCAUAACUGAAUUAUAAUCUAUGAUACUUGUGAACAAAUUAGAGAAUUUUUAUAUAUAAAUUAUAUAUAUGUGUGUGUAUGUACAUUUUGCUUUUUAUAUAAUAAUUUAAAGAAUAUAUUUCAAUUCCCACAAAAAAAUGGCCCCAAUUUCAAUAAUUCCCGCCAAAUAAUUAAUUUUUUUUAAUUUACCACCAAAAUAUAUCUUAAAGAAAUGUUAGUUAUUCUUGCUAGAUUUAACAAAAAUAAUUUAUAGGAUUAACAUUUAAUUAAAAUAAUUAAAUAAUUUUUCUAUUUCAAUUAAAUGUCAUGUUUAUAUGACAGACAAUAGUCAUGAAUGGGAAGUAUUAGUUCCAUAUUUUUCCUUGGGAUUUCAGGCAAAUGAAAAAAAGAUUGAGAAUGAUUUCAAGAGGACAGGUGGAUGAUAAGUAUUCAUUUUUGUAUAUUUGGCUAAUGUCCUCAUUAGUGGAUUUUUAUGGUAUUGAUUUUUUUUUUUUUGGUUUAUAAUUUUCAAUUAGUUGUUACCCUAGAGGAAGAGCAGGCUGAUCAAAUUGAUUUGUCUUAUUUUUCCGGCAAUCUGCGACACGAUGACUGUGAUAAUGCUCGUGACUGCUGGAAACUUUCUGGUGGAAAUAACUUUAGAGUUCGUAGCAAGCAUUUUUGUUAUGACAAAACAAAGGUUCCCCCAUAUUUUGGUUGUUUGUUAUGGUAUUUAUAUAUCCUGCAUAUGCUAGGUCGACAGGUUAUGAUGUAGUUUGGUUGGCUCUUGUGCUUUGUGCAAUUUGUAACUGCAGAUACCUGCGGGAAAACAUUUAAUGGAUCUUGUUGCUGUUGAUUGGUUCAAAGACACAAAGAGAAUGGACCAUGUAGCUCGGCGUCAAGGCUGUACUGCACAAGUAACUGAAGAAAAAUGUGAAUUGGUUCCUCUUUUUCUUACUUUCCAGAACAGUAUGUACAGGGAAUAUAUACAGCAAAAUAGGAGAGAAAAUAGGAGACUACAUCUAUCCUUUCCUAAAUAAUAGGAAACAAAAUCUGGAAAGAAUCCUAAUGAAUCUUCCCAUUAUAAUUUAACUUAUUCCUAAAAUAGCCUAGAUUACAAAUAAAUCAUAACUUUGAAUCUUUAUUUUCAACACUCCCCCUCAAGCUAGUGUGUGUAUAUCAUACAAACCCAGCUUGUUACUUAAGUCUUCAAAGUUAGGUCUUGGCAGUGCUUUAGUAAGGAUGUCUGCAAUUUGUUGUCUAGUUGGAAUGUACUUUAGUUCCACACUUCCACUAGUGACCUUCUUUGAGAUGAAGUGCCUAUCAAUCUCGACAUGUUUGGUUCGAUCAUGAUGCACUGGAUUUUUUGCGAUGCUGAUUGCUGCUUGAUUGUCACACCUCAUUAGAAUGGAUGAAGGGUUGCACACACCGAGUUCUUUGAGUACACGCUUUAUCCAAAUUCCUUCACAGAUUCCAUUUGCCAAAGCUCUGAACUCUGCUUCUGCACUACUCCUAGCUACAACUGAUUGUUUCUUACUCCUCCAGGUUACUAGAUUUCCCCAGACAUAGGAACAGUAAGCAGAUGUUGAUAUUCUAUUUGUGAUGUCUCCAGCCCAGUCUGCAUCAGAGUAGAUCUCAAUAUUCCUAUAUUCUGAUUUCUUGAAAAACAAUCCUUUUCCAGGUGUCAUCUUUAGAUACUUCAAAAUUCUAAAGACUGCAUCCAUGUGUUCCUCUGUAGGAUUGUGCAUGAAUUGGCUCACAGCACUAACAACAAAGCCUAUGUCCGGACGGGUAUGUGAGAGAUAAAUUAAACGACCAACCAGUCUUUGAUAUCUCUCUCUAUUGACUGGAACACUAUUCUCAACUGAGCCUAGUUUCUUGUAGGGAUCCAUAGGAGUAUCUACUGGUUUGCACCCAAUCAUACCAGUCUCCUUUAGUAAGUCCAGGGUGUAUUUCCUUUGGGAGACAACAAUUCCCUUCCUAGAUCUUGCCACCUCCAUCCCAAGAAAAUAUUUCAGAUUCCCUAGAUCUUUAACUUCGAAUUCCUGAGCUAGCUGUUUCUUCAACUUCUGCAGUUCUUCCUCAUCAUUUCCUGAGAGAAUGAUGUCAUCAACAUAUACGAUUAGGAGAGAGAUCUUCUUUGCUUGUGAUGUUCGGAGGAAUAGAGUGUGAUCUGCCUGACACUGAGUGUAACCAAGUCUCACAACUGCCUUCGCAAAUCUAUCAAACCAUGCUCGAGGGGAUUGUUUAAGCCCAUACAAAGAUUUCUUGAGCUUGCACACUUUAUUUCUAGUAAGAUUCAGAUCAAGACCCUGGGGAACUUCCAUAAACACUUCUUCUUCAAGAUCGCCAUUGAGAAAUGCAUUUUUUAUAUCUAGUUGGUAUAAGUACCAAUCUAGAUUUACUGCUAAGGAGAGCAAGAUUCUAAUGGUGUUGAGCUUCGCAACCGGAGCAAAGGUUUCAAGAUAAUCAAUCCCAUAUGACUGUGUGAACCCUUUAGCUACAAGACGAGCUUUGAGCCUCUCAACACUUCCAUCUGCCUUGUAUUUAACAGUAAAAAUCCACUUACAUCCAACUGGUCGUUUCCCUGCAGGAAGAUUUGUUAUAACCCAUGUAUCAUUUUUCUCAAGAGCAUUUAUUUCUUCAUGAACAGCUCUCUUCCACUCAGGAUGACCGAGAGCCUCUUGUAUAUUGUUGGGAACAUGUAGAUUAUCUAAAGAAGAAACAAAGGCUCGGUAUGAUGGGGACAAACCAUCAUAUGAGACAUAUUUGGCAAUUGGAUGAGUGGUGCAACUUCGAACCCCCUUUCUUUCUGCAAUUGAUUUAUUAGAAUCAUCCACACUUGGAACCAUGAACUCAACCGAGGCAAGACUAUCCAUACCUGUGUUGUCUUCAUAAGAGCUUGGAUUUGGUUCAGUUUCUUGGACAUGUGGCUGAGUUCUGUGCUCUAUCUGCUCUCCAGUUCUUCUCCUCCUAUAAACAUUAAGAUUAUCAACAGCAAGCUGUGGAAGAGGUGAGAUUAGAGGUUGUAGUUGAUGAGCUGAUGGAUGACGGGGUGACUCGGCUGGUUGUGGUUGGGAGGACUCAGAUGACUCAAAAGGUUGUGAAGAUGUUGGGAGGAUUGCUGAUUGUGGCUGUUGGAUAGAUUGAUCAUGUGUGGUGGUUGAGUUAUGAGGGUUUUCAUGAGGGGUUUCCAGCCAAGAUUGCCAAGAAGAUUCCCAAGGCUGAUGUUCGCUCAUACUCUCUCCCUGAACAACAGUUUUGGAAUAGAAAGGCAGGUUUUCAACAAAUGUUACAUCUCUGGAAAUGUAUAUUUUUCUGGUAUGAGGAGAAUAGCAUUUGUAUCCUUUUUUAUGUGGAGAAUAGCCUAAAAAUAUACACUUGAGAGAUCGGGGAUCAAGUUUAGUCCUGUGUUGAGAGUGAACAUGGACAUAUGCUGUGCAACCGAAUAUUUUUUGUGGUAAAUCUGCUGAAACAAUCCUAGUGUGUGGAAAGAAAUUGAGAAGAACUUUUCUUGGGCAAUGAAACCCCAAGACUCUAGAAGGCAUUCGGUUGAUUAAGUAGGCUGUAGUGAGAACAGCUUCACCCCAGAAAAAAUUAGGAACAUGAGAUGAGAACAAAAGACAGCGAGCCACUUCAAGAAGGUGUCUGUUUUUGCGUUCAGCGACCCCAUUUUGUUGUGGGGUGUCAACACAAGAACUGAUGUGAAGAAUGCCUUGAUGGAGAAGAUAUGAGCUGAGGGAGUCUUUGAAAUAUUCCUUGGCAUUGUCGGUUUUAAGGACUUGGAUUUUGGUAUUGAAUUGGGUUUGAAUCAUGGCGUUAAAGUUUUGGAAGAUUUGACUAACUUCGGAUUUGUUUUUCAUGAGAAACACCCAAGUGAGACGAGUAUGAUCAUCCACAAAUGACAAAAACCAGCGAGCCCCAGAAACAUUUUUAAUUCUUGAGGGACCCCACACAUCAUUGUGAAUUAAAGCAAAUGGACGAGAAGGCUUAUACUUAACGCUUGAAUAAACAUUUCGAGUAUGUUUUGCAAAUUGACAAAUUUCACAAUGAAAUGAUAAAGGGUUUUUAUUGAUGAAUAGAUUGGGAAAAAUUUUUGCGAGAUACAUGAAACUAGGAUGACCUAAUCGAUAGUGUAACAGAACAAUUUCACUAUCGUUAUUGACAUUUGGACUAACAAUAGAAUGAGGAUAACUAGUUGACAGACUAUUGGACUUGGCACAGUUUGCUCUCGAAUCUUGUAUGAAGGAGGAUUGAUCGCUUUUGAGUAGAUAGAGUCCAGAACAUAGCUCAGCACUGCCAAUCGUCUUCGCGAAUCCAAGUCCUGAAAAACACACAUAUUUGGAUAGAAUUUAGUUACACAAUUCUGAUCACGAGUGAAUUUACUGAUUGAAAGUAAAUUGCAAGCCAAAUUAGGCACAUAAAGUACAGAAUUAAGGUGUAACUCCUUAGUGAGUCUGAUGGAACCUGUCCCUGCUAUAUUGUGUGAGAGCCAUCUGCGAUCCGGACUGAAGUGCUGUUGAUGCUAGCUUUAUAAUCCUGCAACAUUGAGGCAUCUCCAGUCAUGUGAUCAGAAGCACCAGUGUCAAUUAUCCAGGGUUUGCUUGCUCCAUUAGUGGCUGCAAAUGCUGAAUGAGUCUCUUUCUAAGCCACUAGACUUGUCCCUGCAUUGGAGUUCAAAGUGGCUUGAUCGAAAAGCUUUUGAAGAAUCUCCAUUUGCUCCUUGCUGAAUGGAUUUGGCUCGGGUAGGGCCUGAUUGUCCGUGGUGGAUGCUGCAUGAGCACGAGAUUCACGGUCACCUUUGGAACGAGGUUUCCAAUCAGCAGGUUUGCCAUAAAUUUUCCAGCAACUCUCCUUAUAGUGGCCUGCCUUACGACAGUGAUCGCACCAUGGUCUUUCUUUCUUUGUACGAUUUUCACUAACCCCUACAGAGUUGGAUGCACGGGCAACAAGUGCAGAGGCGCCCAGUGUUGGUUCUGAUGACCCCAUCAUCACCUUUUUCCUACUUUCUUCAUGCCUAACUUCAGAAAAGGCUUCACGAGGGCGCGGUAGAGGCUUUGUCCCGAGUACACGGCUCCUAACCUGAUCAAGAUCUUUAUUGAGUCCGAGGAGAAAUUUAAACGUUCUCUUCUGUUCCACAAUCUUCUUGUACAAGGUUGUAUCGUCGGUGCACUUCCAAGGGUAUGUUUCAAAUAGAUCAAGGUGUUGCCAAUGCCUAGUCAGAGUAUUAAAGUAUUGAGUGACAGAUUGUUCUCCUUGGCGGAAGUCAUGGAGGAUGGUUUCAAUCUGGAAUAACUCUGAUGUGUUCUCAGAGCUAGAAUAGGUUUCCUUUGCAGCAUCCCAUAUGUCAUUUGCAGUCCCAAACAGAAGAAAAUUCUCACCAAUAUCAUUGUUCAUGGAAUUGAUAAGCCAUGACAUGAUCAUGUUGUUCUCUGACUNNNNNNNNNNNNNNNNNNNNNNNNNNNNNNNNNNNNNNNNNNNNNNNNNNNNNNNNNNNNNNNNNNNNNNNNNNNNNNNNNNNNNNNNNNNNNNNNNNNNNNNNNNNNNNNNNNNNNNNNNNNNNNNNNNNNNNNNNNNNNNNNNNNNNNNNNNNNNNNNNNNNNNNNNNNNNNNNNNNNNNNNNNNNNNNNNNNNNNNNNNCACGUAACAGAGGUUGAUGAGGAAGCCAUCCCGUAUUUUGCCACAGAGAAUACAACUGAUGGGAGAGGAAGGAAGGUAGAUUGUUCAAUUUAUGAGAGAAGAAGGAAAUGGCGGCUGAUAGGAGAACUAGGGUUUAGAGCCAGGCUCUGAUACCAUGAAGAAAAAUGUGAAUUGGUUCCUCUUUUUCUUACUUUCCAGAACAGUAUGUACAGGGAAUAUAUACAGCAAAAUAGGAGAGAAAAUAGGAGACUACAUCUAUCCUUUCCUAAAUAAUAGGAAACAAAAUCUGGAAAGAAUCCUAAUGAAUCUUCCUAUUAUAAUUUAACUUAUUCCGAAAAUAGCCUAGAUUACAAAUAAAUCAUAACUUUGAAUCUUUAUUUUCAACAGUAACUAUUCUUUUCUUUUUAUUUUUCCUUUUCUGAAAGAAACUUAGUUUUGUAUUGUUUGGCAAGCUAGAAAAUGAAAGAAAAUAAAAGAAAGCGCUGUAAAGAAGUUUGUAGAACCUUUAUUACUCUAGCAUUACAACUGAAUGAAUACAGACUGAUAUUUCUAUUAAGCUACAAUUUUCUCAACACACACACAAGUUUGUUACAUCACAUAACCAUUUGCUGCAUAACUAAUUUGACACAUCAGCUCAACCAGCUAACUAACUUUGCCAGGUCAAGCCUAGUGAGUUGAUCUGCUAAAGUCAGCUACACAGCAACAUCAUGCUCUGCUCCAACUUCAUUCAAUUCACUAACAUCCCCCCUCAAGCUGAAAUGUUUAGGAUGAACAUUCAGCUUGCUUCUUAAGUAACUAAACUGUUUGAGAGUAAGCCUUAGUCAACACAUCUGCUGUUUGAUCUUGACUGGGCACAAAACAUACUUCAAUCUCUUUUGCAGUAACUUUAUCUCGAAUAAAAUGUAUAUCCAAUUCGACAUGCUUAGUUUUAGCAUGAUAGACUGGAUUGUAAGCUAAAGCAAUUGCUUCUUGAUUAUCACACCACAUCAUAGGAGUAGAGCUCAAUUUGAUGUUAAGUUCACCAAGUAAAGAUUGUAUCCAGGGAACCUCUGAAGCAGCAUGAGCAAGAGAUCUAUACUCAGCCUCUGUGCUGGACCUGGAAACAACAACUUGUUUCUUUGAUGACCAUGAGACUAGAUUAGGGCCUAGGUAAACAGCAAAGCCAGCCACUGACUUCUUAUCAUCACGAUCACAAGCCCAAUCAGAAUUUGAAAAACAAUGUAGUUGCAAAGUUCCUUUGUUAUUAAAUUGCAGCCCAAGAUGUAUAGUGCCUUUUAAGUACCUCAAUAACCUUUUGCAUGUUUCCCAAUGUUGUGUUCUAGGACUUGAAAUGAAUUGACUUAGGUUGUUUACAGAGAGAGCAAUGUCAGGUCUGGUAAGAGUAACAUAUUGAAGAGCUCCUAUAACACUCCUAUAUUGAGAAACAUUAUCAAUUAGCUCUCCUGAUUCUUUUGUGAGAUAAUAACCAGUAGACAUUGGAGUAGGCACAGGACUGCAAUCUGUCAUGCCAUGUUUAUCCAGAAUGUCAGUAAUAUACUUUGCUUGUGUCAAGGAAACCCCUUGUGAAGACUUGCUGACUUCAAUCCCCAGAAAAUAGCUAAGUUCCCCCAUGUCUUUUAAAGCAAAGGCUUGAUUCAUAAUCUUAAUAACUUGCUGAAUUAGUGUUGGACUGGAACUAGUGAUGAUAAUAUCAUCAACAUAGACCGAAACAAGAGUUAGAUGACCACUGUUCCAGGCAUGAAACAGAGAGUUAUCAGACCUUGAAUGCUAGAAAUGCCGUUUAGAGAUCAUUGCAUCCUUGAAUCUAUCAAACCAGGCUCUAGGUGCCUGUUUUAAGCCAUACAAAGCUUUAUUCAGCUUGCAGAUAUGAUUAGGUUUAGUUGAGUCAACAAAACCUUCAGGUUGAGCCAUGUACACCUCUUCAAUUAAAAUGCCAUUUAGAAAGGCAUUAUUAACAUCUACUUGCCUAAUCACCCAUUGAUUCAAUACUGCUAAGCUAAGAAUAACUCUAACAGUUGAAGCUUUAACUACUGGACUAAAAGUUUCUGUAUGGUCAAUCCCAUGUGUCUGAUGAAACCCCUUUGCAACAAGCCUGACUUUAUAUCUUGAAACUGAACCAUCUGAGUUAUACUUUAUUCGAAACACCCAUUUGCUGCCAACUAUCUUCACUGGAGUAGCAUGUAAAACUAAAUCCCAGGUGUGAUUAGUUUUAAGUGCUAGAUACUUUUCUUGCAUAGCCUUAUACCACAUAGGAUCAGAAAGUGCUUGGGAAACAGAAGUUGGUUCUGAUUUCUGGGCUAAUAAAGCUGACAAAUAAAUUUUUGGCUUGAAAAUACCUGCUUUUGACCUGGUUAUCAUUGGAUGACCAGUUGAUGCAGGUUGUGGCAAUGUAUGUGGAGGUGAAUUAUGUGGUAGUGAAGAAGAAGAAGCUGAGUUGGAAUUAUCAGAAAAAUAAAGUGGAGUAGAAUUUGGUGAGGGAGUAGGAGCAUCUGAAUGAUGAACAUUUUGAUGGUGUUCUGAUGAUGCUGCUAAAGGUGCUUGUAACUGAGUAAUAGAAGGAACAGAGGAAUUGAAAGAAGACUUAUAAUUUUUUGUUGACUAACAACUUGAAGAGAGUGAAGAAAAAUCUGCUCCAGACUCAUAAGGAAAAGAAUUUUCAUCAAAGGUGACAUGAUUUGAAAUGUAAACCCUCUUAGAAGAGUGAAGACACUGAUAUCCCUUGUGUUGUGAAUUGUAGCCAAUGAAUAUACAUCUGGCAGUUCUGAAAUCAAACUUAUGUCUAUUGUAUGGUCUGAGUGUUGGAUAACAAGCACAACCGAAGGUUUUAAGUGUUGAAUAAUCUGGUUGAUGAUGAAAUAACUUUUGGAAAGGAGAAAUGUUGUUUAGAAUUGGAGUUGGAAGUCUGUUUAUCAAAUAGACAGCUGUGUGGAAUGCAUUCCACCAAAAUUUGAGUGGUAAAUGUGCUUGAGCUAAUAAGGUCAGACCUACAUCAACUAUGUGUCUAUGUUUCCUCUCAAUUCUUCCAUUUUGAUGAUGAAUAUGUGGGCAAGGGUGUCUAAAAUGGAUACCAGAAGCAGUGAGUAAUGAGGAAAAUGUUCUGAACUCUUCUCCCCAAUCAGUUUGGACAGUUUUGAUUUGAAGUUGAAGAUGCUUUUCAAUAAAAAUUUUGAAAUUGGUAAACACUUCAAGAGCAUCAGAUUUGGCUGACAAUGGAAAUAUCCAGGUAAAUCUACUAUAAUCAUCUAAGAUUGAUAAGUAGUAAUUAUAUCCUUGGGUAGAACAGACAUGAGAAGGACCCUGAUGGCUGUCGAAGCCAACAAAAAUAAAUUCCUACUCUAAAUAAAUUGUGUAUAGUGAUUGAGCAGGGUCGUGUCCACAGAGAUCGAUAAUUAUUUAAAUCCUUUUGAAACGUAAAACGUAAAAUGGGGGAAUUGUUGACAAUAAUAAAAAUCAAAUUAAAAAUAACAAGAAUGCAAAUUAAAGUUGUAAUUUAAAUUGGAGAAAGCUCUGGUUGAAGGAAUUAACUCAGCUUGAUUCGACUACUGAUCAUUGAUUCAAAUAUAGAUUAUUAUUACUCAUGAAUAGACCGGUUAUAGCUACUGAGACCCUCUAAUAGCCAAUCUCUCCUUAACUAGUCGAUAACCAAGGUACGACCGUUGGUUAUUUCCCUAAUCAAUAGACAACCCUAGAUACGAUCAUAGAAUUUAAUCAAUUGACAGCCUGAAAAACCAGAGAGACCCAAAUCCUAAUCAACACAUAUGAUGAUUCAUUUAAAUUAGAUUGUUUAUUCUCACAACACAACUCUCUGCUAUGUUAUUAGUCACAAGCAUUAAAUUCUUCAUACGAUGAAUCCUUUAAUUGACAAUAGAUUAAGUUGAUAAUUAAAUAGUGGCCAAUUACCUAAUUAACAAACAUAAUCAUGAAAAUAAUUCAGAGAAUAAACAAAUACCCAAAAAGUAAUAAAACAAUUAAAGCACAAGAAAGAUCUCACAGUAGUGAUGAAUCAAAGCUUCAUUAACCUUCAACCAGAAAAAUGGGUUUAGUUUCUCAUAGAGAGAAGAGAAAAAUUAGAUCUAGGGUUUCUUUUUCUCCAAUCCAAAAUUCCCCCCUUUCACAAUAGAUUCCUCCCUUAAAUACUCUCUCUCUCUUCUCCUCUAGAAUUCUAUUUAAAAUAAAAUACUAAUAUCUGAAAUAUUAAAUUCGUAAUUACAAAAAUAACCAAAAAUACAAAACACGUUAAACUAAAAACUGCAGGUCCGCAGUUGACAGCACGCGCCCACGCCUUAUCAAUAAAGUUCUUCUGCCGCUCAUAAUUUCUCCAAGAGAACAAUCAUCCUUAAAAAUCAUCUUGUAGCUCAAUUUUAUCACCAAUCAAUAGAAUUGCACCUACAAAAGUAAAACACAAGUAAAUCAUUAUUAUUAAGUGCAAAACAUCGAUAUUAAGGGAAGUAAACAAUGCAAAACUAGUGCAUAAAUUGCACUCUAACAAAUUCCCCCACACCAAGAUGAUGCUUGUCCUCAAGCAUAUAACUCAAGAUUAAUCCCAAAUCUCCACUCAAUUCUCAUCUCAACUCAUCCAAAAAUAGAAAUUAAGUCGAUCAACAUUCGAGAGACAAGGAUUUUAAAGCAUAGAAUCUCAUAAGAUAGAAUAAGAACAUUCAACCACCAAGAAGAUCCAUUCAAAAUUCAAGUGCAACAAGAUGUAAUAGCCCUCUCAAUAACUUCACUCCAUGCACUCAAAGUGUUUAGGGUGUCAUUUAUCCACUCAAAUCAAAUCAAAGAAUGCUAUUACCAUAAGCUUGCUCAUAUAUCACAUCUCAAUCCACAAAACAUGAAUAAAAUGCAAAAAUCUAAGGGUCUUAAAAGGAUUGUAAUGGGGUUAAAUGGGUUAAAUGAAAAAGAAAGGUUUACGAAAGAAAAAGAGAUCAAAAUGAGAAGAAUGAACUCAUUGAAUGAACUUAUGAUAUCAAAAUGCUUAUUUCUACUCAAGUCACCAAGAAUGUAAACAUUUUUUUUUUCGAUUUUUCUUUUUCUUUUUUUUUCUUUUUCCUUUUCUUUUUCUUUUUUUUUUUCAUUUUUUCAUUUUUUUUUGUUUUUUGUUUUUUGUUUUUUUCGAAUCAAACAAAAGAAACGAACCUUGCACAAUUUAAUUCAAGCAUAAUGCUUGUUGAUCUAAUUGAGAAACUUCAAUACAAGGUAGAAAAAGCAACAAAAUAUAUCCACACAAUGAGUCCAAAAAUCUCCUUAAAUUGAGGCUCAAAAAGAAGAAAAAUGGUUAAGUAGACGGAGAGAAUUAGAUGGGUAAUGGUUAAGGCUCAAACAAAGGUAGCAAAUAAAGGUCUUCGGGUAGAGAAAAAGGAAAAUGCGAGAAUAGAAAAAUGGUAAAUGGUUUGCCCUUAUCAUUUUAAUGCCUAAAAUCCCGUAAUGUGGCUUCAAUAUGCAUAACAAAGCAAAUUCUAGAAUAAACAAACUAGGAUUGAUAUUCACAUAACAAAAAUAAUUAGAGCAAAGUGGUUGCUCAUAGGCUCAAAUCCUCACAAAGUUGGUAAAUUUGCCAUCAAAUCAUGUACACUCUUCAAAUGAAUCAACCAUCAAUAGUGGUGUAGAAUGAGAAGAAGGUAUGAGUGAUAUAUAAAAGAAAAGGUAAAAAUUAUAAGAAGUGAGAAAGAUGUAUGUAGUAAUAUGAAAAGUGAAAGAUAAAAUGUGAGUGAUGAAAGAGUAUGGUAAAAUAAAAAUAGAUAUGAAUAGUUUGAGAUAGAUGGGAAAAAAGUAGUGAGAAAGAAAAGAAAAGAAAAUUAAUAAUAUAUGAAGCAUACUAACUCCAAAAUCAUUUAAGGAUGAGUAGAGUGAAAAUAGAUGAGUAGAGUGAAAAUAAUAAUUCCAGACAUCAAUAAUGCAAAAAUCCCUCCCCCACACCAAGAACUUACAUUGUCCCCAAUGUAAGAUAAUCAAAGCUCACAUAAAAAUUAAAGCGUAAGGAUAAAAGAUUAAGGGCAAAAAAAAAAACUUCCCUGAAUUGUGAGCUUUGAUCCACAUAACGUCUAUGGGCUUGGCGGAAAUGGUGGGGUAAAUCCCACACUCUCGAAGUAUGCGGCCAAAUUCUGCUCCAUCUUGUUCAGCUUGUGCUCCAUUUUCUCUAACUGAAUACUCAAAGGUGGUGCGGAUGUAGAAGGAAUAGUUGGCGGGGCAGCAGUGUCGUCGUCAAACUCGUCAUCAGAGGUAGCACCACUCCUAGCAUAAAGCUUCUUCGGAAGUUGAGUGGGUCCUGGUUCAGUAAACUGAAAUCUCCCCUCCUUGAAUUCAACCACACCUGUUCUUUCAAACACAGACAUAUCCAAAAAUUCCUUUUUGCAAGCAGGAUGCAAAUCAUUAUUGUCGGGAUCAAGAACACAUAGGUUUAUAGCUAACAGAGUAAUGUAUGGACCAAGAAAUAAAGUCCUAUACCGUUUAAGCACAUUUUGAAAUUGAUCCGCUAACCAAAAACCUAAAUUAGGCCUCACAUCAUUUAACAUGCACCAGAUAAAAUAAAAUUCAGUUUUAGAGAAAAUUCCCGAGUGAUCUUUCUUGCCUAAAAAAUUAUAUGCUAAGAAUCGAUGCACACAUUUCAAAACAGGAUCACGUAAGAAAGAACUCUUUGAUUUACUCGGGUCAUAGGCAUUGUGAUCAACAGAUAAAUUACGCCAAAGACCAUAAGGCUCAAAAUUUUCGCUAAAGUCACAAGUUGUUCCUAAAUAUGCAUCACUAGAAGAAUAAUCAUCAUCAAUGAAUCCUAAAGCUAGGUUAAAAUCCGUGAUAGAGUGUGAAAAAUUUCGUCUCAUUAACCUAAACUUAAUGACAUUCGGGGUAUGCAAAGUAAAAUCAUUCGGCAUAGUAAAUUGAAAAGUAGCAUAAAACUCCCUAAUCAACUCAACAUAACCCAAACAAUCAACAUCAACAAAUUUACGCAACCCAAUCUUAUCUAUCAAAGAAUCAAAAUUAUCCUUAACAUUCAAUUUUUCAAGAGUCGGGUAAUGAAUAUACUUAGCUGGAAGUAUUUUGCAAGUGGAAAUAUCUUUGUACCUCUCUUUCUCUUGUUGAGUCGCGAACGCGAGGCACCCUCCGAGAUUGGAUUCCGCAAGUGGCAAAACACUCAUGCCUUUUCCAUGCUUCGAUCUUUGUCUCACGGCUUUGCGUGAAUCUGAAAUUGUGUUCCAUGGAACCGUAGUGGGAGCGGCAAUCUUAGAUUUCUUUACGACGGGUUUCUUUUUCGAUGACUUGGAAGUAGAUGCUUUCCUCUUCGGCAUUGUUACAAUAAUUGCACUCACGGAUUUCGAUUUACCCGGCUGGAAUACAUGACGUAGGCUGGUUGCGUUGCGUUGCUGCUCGACUGGAGCUUGCUGUGCGGGUUGGAGCUGGUUGCGCACUGCUGGGCUGCGAGACACGGGAUGCUGGUGCUGCGCUCGCGGGGGCUUGCGUUGCGAGCUGGUGAUUCGCGUUGCUGGUUCGUGCUGCGUUGCGGGGCUGCUGGUGGGACUGAUGUUGCGCGUUGCGGCUGGGGCUGGAUCUACGCACUGCUGUGUGAUUCGCGAGAGCCGGUUCGUCUGCGUUGCUGUGCUGCACUGAGGUUGAUUCGCGUUGCUGCUGGUUGCGGUGCGCGAUGCUGCGCCCGGCGGCUGGGGCUGGUGGGGCUUGCUGCUGGAAAACGAUAAUCAACAGUAAUUUUUUUGAAUUAGGGAUUUGUGAACAGUGAUUUUCGAAUUUUUUUUUUUUUUUUUUUUAGUGAUGAAUCACUUUGAGACACUAAAAAUUUCAGAAGUACUUUUUUAAUAAGCACGUGGGCACGCCUUAUCAAAAAUUUUCUUCUGGCCAAAAUAAGCAAACACAUUAUUUUAAAAAAAAAUCUGAAUCAAAAUUAAAAGAAGAUAUAACAAAAACCAAAAUAAAUAAAUCAUUUGGGUUGCCUCCCAAAAAGCGCCUUUGUUUUAUGUCUUUGGCUAGACACGUUUAUGCAUCAAUCUCCAUAAUUGGGACUCUCGAGAGCCACAUCCUCCACAAUAUUCACCGAAAAACCUUCAUAAAAAGGUUUUAAGCGAUGACCAUUAACCUUAAAAACUUUGUCAGAGGUCGGACUCCGAAUCUCAACUGCACCAUGAGGAAAAACAUUAGUAACAAUAAAAGGUCCAACCCAGCAAGAACGUAAUUUACCCGGAAAAAGUUUAAGCUUAGAAUGAAAAAGAAGAACUUUUUGACCAACAGAGAACUCCUUUCUCAAAAUCAUUCUAUCAUGAAAUGUCUUCGUCUUUUCCUUGUAAAAAAUUUCCUGCGCUAUAGGGUUAAUAACAUCCACAGAAAAUACCGAAUGUUCCUCACUAGGAUAUUUCAUGGUAUCAUUCAUAUUGAAUCCUAUAACCUCUCCAUCAAACUCCAUAGUGAGAGUCCCUUUAUGUACAUCCAUUUUAGUCAUAGCAGUCUUAAGAAAAGGUCUUCCUAGCAAAAUUGGGACAGAAUUAGAGGAGUUAUCAUCUUCCAUAUCAAGUACAUAAAAAUCAGCAGGAAAAACCAACUCAUUAACUUGUACUAAGACAUCUUCUAAUACCCCAUCAGGAUAUGCAUUAGACCUAUCAGCUAGUUGAAUUAUCACGCCAGUUUCUUUUAAUGGACCAACAUUCAAAGAUGAAUAAAUGGAACGAGGCAUGACAUUAAUAGAAGCUCCUAGAUCUAACAUAGCCUUUUCAACUCUAACACUACCAAUUUUACAAGGGAUAGUAAACAUACCUGGAUCCUUGCACUUAGGAGGUAGUUUCUUUUGGAAAAUUGCUGAAACAUUCUCCCCCAUGUGAACUUUUUCAUCUCCUCUUAAUUUUCUUUUGGAGGUGCACAGUUCCUUAAGGACUUUAGCAUAUCGAGGUAUUUGUUUUAUAGCAUCUAAUAAAGGAAUAUUUACCUCAACCUUGCGAAAUGUCUCAAGGAUGUCUUUCUCUUGUUCUUCCUUCUUGGAUUUUGCAAACCGGCUUGGAAAAGGAGGAGGUAUCACAAUAGGUAGGGGUUUCGCUCCGGUGGGUUGUGCAUCUUGAGAUUGAGGCAUCAAUUCAUUCUUCUCAAGCUCAUCUUCUACAUGCUCUGUCACUUUCUUACUAGGCUCUUGCAACUCCUUCCCACUUCUAAGGAUGAUAGCACUAACGUUUUGCUUUGGAUUCACCUCAGAUUAUGAAGGCAAUCUUCCUAAUACUCGAGACUCCAGAUGGCUUACUGUAGUCGCCAAUUGACUCAUUUGGUUCUCCAAGUUCUGAAUGCUUGCUGUAGUUGCCUGCUGAAAUUGUUGAGUGUUAGUCGCAAGUGAUUUAACAAUUUCUUCAAGAGAUAUACCUGACUUGGAGUUUGACUGUGGAGGUGCUGGUUGUCUUGGUGGAUACUGUUGUGGGAAUCCUGACGGUUUAACUCCAUAGCUGAAGUUGGGAUGAUCCUUCCAUCCCAGAUUGUAUGUUUGUGCAUAAGGAUCAUACCUCCUCUGAGGCAUGCCUGGAAAUCCUCCAACUGCAUUGGCUUGUUCAACGAGUUCUUCUUGGAGUGUAGGACACAUAUAAGUUGAAUGACCCAUAUUGUAACAAAUGCCACAAGUCUUCACCUGUUGCACAUUACCUACAACAAACUUUUCCACAAGAGAAGUAAGUUUAUCUAAACGUUGUUCAACAAAAGAAAUAUUUACCUCAUUCACCUUCCUUGAAGUGGGAUCUUGCCUGCUACUAAAUUGUUGUGCAUUGGCAGCCAUAUUUGAGAUCAACUCCCUUGCUUGAGUAGGGGUUUUGUUCACCAACACACCUCCACUAGCAGCAUCUAUCAUACUUCUAUCCAUUAAUGAUAGUCCUUCGUAAAAAUAUUAAAUAAGAAGUUGAUCAGAAAUCUGAUGCUAAGGACAGCUGGCACACAAUUGUUUGAAUCGCUCCCAAUACUCAUACAAAGUCUCCCCAGGAAGUUGUCUGAUCCCACAAAUAUCUUUUCUGAUGUUGGCAGCUCUUGAAGUAGGAAAGUACUUCUCAAGGAACUGCUUUUUCAAACCAUUCCACGUUGUAAUUGAUCCAGGAGGCAAGUAGUACAACCAAUCUUUAGCUAGCCCAUCUACAGAGAAUGGAAAAGCACGCAACUUAAUCUGCUCUUCAGUCACGCCUUGUGGCCUCAUACUUGAGCACACAACAUGAAACUCCUUGAGAUGUUUAUGAGGAUCUUCACCUGCAAAACCAUGAAACUUGGGUAAUAAAUGAAUAAGCCCAGACUUUAAUUCAAAAUUUACCUCCAAGUCUACAUAUUGAAUGCAGAGUGGUUGUUGAUUCAAGUCUGGUUCAGCUAACUCUCUAAGAGUUCUUUCUACAGGUGCAGGUCUAUCCAUCACUUGUUCUUCUGAAUCGCUAGAUGAUUCAACUAAAUCAGGCACUGUAUCUGUUUCAGAAAGCAAAGGCGACGAGGAUCGUUGCUUAGCUCGCUUUGUCUGCUGUCUCAGUUGGCGAGCUGUCUUCUCAAUUUUAGGAUCAAACGAAAGUGUACCUGUACGAGAAGAACGAACCAUACACCAAGUAAAACGUAAAAAAGAUUAAAUAAAUGACACCAAUCCCCGGCAAUGGCGCCAAAAUUUGAUGGGUGUCGAAGCCAACAAAAAUAAAUUCCUACUCUAAAUAAAUUGUGUAUAGUGAUUGAGCAGGGUCGUGUCCACAGAGAUCAGUAAUUAUUUAAAUCCUUUUGAAACGUAAAACGUAAAAUGGGGGAAUAGUUGACAAUAAUAAAAAUCAAAUUAAAAAUAACAAGAAUGCAAAUUAAAGUUGUAAUUUAAAUUGGAGAAAGCUCUGGUUGAAGGAAUUAACUCAGCUUGAUUCGACUACUGAUCAUUGAUUCAAAUAUAGAUUAUUAUUACUCAUGAAUAGACCGGUUAUAGCUACUGAGACCCUCUAAUAGCCAAUCUCUCCUUAACUAGUCGAUAACCAAGGUACGACCGUUAGUUAUUUCCCUAAUCAAUAGACAACCCUAGAUACGAUCAUAGAAUUUAAUCAAUUGACAGCCUGAAAAACCAGAGAGACCCAAAUCCUAAUCAACACAUAUGAUGAUUCAUUUAAAUUAGAUUGUUUAUUCUCACAACACAACUCUCUGCUAUGUUAUUAGUCACAAGCAUUAAAUUCUUCAUACGAUGAAUCCUUUAAUUGACAAUAGAUUAAGUUGAUAAUUAAAUAGUGGCCAAUUACCUAAUUAACAAACAUAAUCAUGAAAAUAAUUCAGAGAAUAAACAAAUACCCAAAAAGUAAUAAAACAAUUAAAGCACAAGAAAGAUCUCACAGUAGUGAUGAAUCAAAGCUUCAUUAACCUUCAACCAGAAAAAUGGGUUUAGUUCCUAAUAGAGAGAAGAGAAAAAUUAGAUCUAGGGUUUCUUUUUCUCCAAUCCAAAAUUCCCCCCUUUCACAAUAGAUUCCUCCCUUAAAUACUCUCUCUCUUCUCCUCUAGAAUUCUAUUUAAAAUAAAAUACUAAUAUCUGAAAUAUUAAAUUCGUAAUUACAAAAAUAACCAAAAAUACAAAACACGUUAAACUAAAAACUGCAGGUCCGCAGUUGACAGCACACACCCACGCCUUAUCAAUAAAGUUCUUCUGCCACUCAUAAUUUCUCCAAGAGAACAAUCAUCCUUAAAAAUCAUCUUGUAGCUCAAUUUUAUCACCAAUCAAUAGAAUUGCACUUACAAAAGUAAAUCAUUAUUAUUAAGUGCAAAACAUCGAUAUUAAGGGAAGUAAACAAUGCAAAACUAGUGCAUAAAUUGCACUCUAACAGACCCCAAAGAUCUGCAUAUAUCACUUGUAAGGGUGCUGAAGUUUUUGUUUCAACUGAAUCAAAAUGCAGCAUAUGAUUUUUCCCAUAUUGACAUGCUGAACAAAAUUUCAAGCUUUCAAUUUUAUUAUAAGCAGUAGAGUUGUUACAAGUUUUGAGUAUAGUUUUGAGAGUAUAAGAUGCUGGGUGUCCUAAUCUUCUAUGAAGAAGAUUUACAUCAAUAGAACUCUUUGUAACAACUGACAGACAUGGCUUUUUAUUCAAUUCAUAAGAACUAACAGCAGUGAGCUGAUCAGAAUUGAAAACAGGAGAACAAGCAAAGAGAGUGAAUUUUAUUUUGACCAACUGAAUUGAGAAAGACUGAAUGAGCAGCAACAUGUGAAGAGACUCUAUACAAGUCACCUUUAGCAACACCUUCAAGUAAAAUUUUCCUUGUGUUCCUAGCCUUUAUAAAAAACAAAUCACCAAGAAAUUCCAACAGUAACUGGAUUGUCAGCCAAUAAUUUUGAAAUGCUAAGCAAAUUCUUAGUAAUAAAAGGGACAUGAAGAACAUGGUUUUUAAAGGUUUAGAAGUUGAAGUAUUUAGCACAACUGAUCCUACAUGUGUAAUAGCUAAUGCAUUUCCAUCUCCAACAAACAAUUUUUCAGUACUAGUAUAAAUUUGUGAAUCCAGAAGUUUACCUAGAUCAUUUGUAAUGUGAUUUGUUGCUCCACUAUCAAUAUACCAUGAAGGAUCUUCAAUGUGUUCUGGUGGAAGUGAAGAAGGCAUAGCUGAGGAAGAUGAAGCACUUGACUGUCCAGGAUUAUUAUUUCCUUGACCAGAAACAAAAGUAGAUGGUCUAGGGGUGAAUGAGUAAUAAGCAGAAGGAUUACUAUCUGGAUACACCAUAUUUCCUUGAUAGCCAAAACCAGCAUUUAAACCAAAACCUCCAAAACCUCUGCCACCAUUACCAUUAAAAGCUCUUCCUCUACCAUAUUGCCCUUGAUUAAAACCUCUGCCACCAUUCAUAUUACCUCUGCCAUAGUUUCUCUGUGGAACAAAAGAUGAAUUGUACCUAUUUUUGCAUCUAUUGGCUGCAUGACCAGGUAUGAAGCAGAUUUGACAAACAGUUUCAGAGGAAUUACCACCAUUAUUAAACUGACCAUAUCCAUAUCCAUUAAAACCUCCAUACCUAGAAUUAUUUCCAUAAUUUUUUUGAAAAUUGCCAUUAUUCUUUCCAGCAUAUGAGUUCUUCUGAGCAAUAUUUGCUGUCAUAUUGUGCAUCACAUCACCAGCAAUUUUUCCUUUCUUUUGUUCAACUCUAUUUUCAUGAUUCAAUAGCAAAGGAUAUAGUUCAUCUAAUGUUAUCUUCUCACCUCGAGCUAAAACACCUGUGACUAAAGAUUCAUAAUCUGAUGAAUCAAGACCAGUUAAUACAUGAAUCACAAGAUCACUUAACUCAACAGGUUUUCCAGCUAGAGCUAAAGUAUCAGCUAUACGUUUUACUUUUGCAAAGUAAUCAGACAUAUGCAUUGCACCUUUCUUAAUAGUUUGAAUCUGCAUUCUAAGUGUUUGAAUUCUAGCUUGUGAUUAAGAAAUAAACAUACUAGUAAGAGUCUUCCAAAGCUGUUUUGAAGUUGUGGAGUCAAUCACAGUAGCAAGUAGAUUUUGCUGUAUCGACGACAUCAUCUAACUCAACAGAAGUUGAUCAGUCUUCAUCCAAGCUAUGAACUCUGGAUUAAUAGAUUUGGAUUCAGAUUCAGUAAAAAUUUCAGCUCCAUUGUUGUUUCCAAAAGAAAGAAACUACUCAGGACAUUCUUGAUCACCAUUGAUAAACCCUUCCAGACCGUUUCCUUUGAUCGAUGCUAAAAUUUGUGCCCGCCAUAAAAUGAAGUUGUUUUGGUCUAGCUUUGCAGGCGUAACAAAACUAAAAGAGUUGUUAUUUUGAACUGUAUUCGCCAUUUAUGGCUCUAAUACCAUGAAAGAAACUUAGUUUUGCAUUGUUUGGCAAGCUAGAAAAUGAAGAAAAUAAAAGAAAGCUCUGUAAAGAAGUUUGUAGAACCUUUAUUACUUUAGCAUUACAACUGAAUGAAUACAGACUGAUAUUUAUAUUAAGCUACAAUUUGCUCAACACACACACGAGUUUGUUACAUCACAUAACCAUUUGCUGCAUAACUAAUUUGACACAUCAGCUCAACCAGCUAAUUAACUUUGCCAGGUCAGCUUAGUGAGUUGAUCUGCUAAAUUCAGCUACACAGCAACAUCAUGCUCUGCUCUAGCUUCAUUCAAUUCACUAGCAUUUUCCCUUGAUACAUUAGGAGAAAAGACUGCCUGUGAGAUACAACAAUGUAAAUAACUUCUCAUGGUUCAUUGAAUCUAUAACGCACUGAGCCCUAUUCUAAAAUAUGUAGGUUGCUUCUGAAAAAGGGCUUUUCUCACUGAUCUUUAAUCUUCAAGAAAGUUUGUUUCAUUUCAGAAGGUAUAAGUUUCAAACUUAUUGUAUUGGGAGGUUGUAUAGUUGUAACCUAAGCAUCUGCAGGUUCCUGGUUCAACACAUUAUAGUAUGGUAUUUUAUUUUGUCACAAGGCAAUUGGUUACGGGAUCACUUUUGCAACGGUUUGUUGAUGGCGAUGAUGAAUUUCGCAAUAGUAGGUUGAAACUUAUUCCAUCUGUUCCUAAGGUAUCCAUCUUGGCCUUCAUGUAGUAGGACUAUAUUAACGUAUACUUACCCUUUACUGCAUGGUACACUUCAAUUUGUACAAAGAAGGCAUGCAUUUAGGUGUGAAUGUAUUGAUGGGUUGUACCUUCAAACUUUAUCUCCUUUUUACCCUCUUGAAUUUGUUUUGCACUUGUUCUUGAUUUUCAGCACUGAAUCAUGCAGGGGUCAUGGAUAGUGCGCCAGAGUGUUGGAAGCACCCCUUGUUUAUUGGGGAAGGCAGUUGAUUGUAACUAUAUUCGCGGUCCCAAGUACUUAGAAGUAAAUGCUCUUGGAAUUUCUAUAGUACAUGAGAUGUUCCCCUUUCAAAUAGCGUCCAAUACCUUUAACAUGGUUUAACAUUGUUCAUCUUUCUGUAGAUUGAUGUUGACAUCGAUUCUUCUACUGUUGCUAAUGGAGUUUUGGGCCUUGUAAUUGGUGUAAUUACGACAUUGGUGGUUGAGAUGGCUUUCCUUGUACAGGUAUGUAUGAUUGUUUUUUUCCCCCACUGCUAAAUGGACACAAGGGAAAAGACAUGAUUUUGAGAUAUUGCACUGCAACUUGCAUUUUUGCAUACUUGAAUGUUCUCAGAAUGAUAUAAUGCUUCUGUGUGUGUCUUCUUUAUCUUGCUCUUCUGUAUGCAGGCAAAUACUACAGAUGAAUUACCGGAGCGGCUGAUUGGUGCUGUACGUGUUUCUCAUAGAGAACUCAAGUCUGCUGUUGUCCCAAAGCUGGAACCAGAGAUAUCAUGACUCUGGUUUCAUUUCAGCUCAACUGUGUUUUUUUUUUAAUUAAAAAAAUCAUUUGUUUUAGGUAUACAUACAUGUAUUUUGAUUCUAUUUUCAUUGUAAUUUCUCAUUUACUUUGAAUGAAAGUCAUUGGUGUUUUCGAAUGGGAAUUUUGCAUUAAAAAAUGAAGAAUAAUGAAUAGGAAAUUUCCUGAUUCUUUAGUUACUAUUUUUGGUAUGAGUGUAAUUAGUAGUAAAGUAGGUUUCUACUCGCAAACAAGUGAACUACUCGAUUCCCGAGUGGUAUCAACCAGUUUCCAACUUUUUAAUAUACACUAAUUGUUAUUGUUUAAUAGCUACUACUAUUAAAACUCAACAGCUAGCAAAAAUACUUAAAAAAAAUGAUUUUUCUUAUGAUGCUGUGAAAAAAAUUACGGGUGUACUUCUUUCCAUGAGAUCUAUAACAUGGUCUCGACUUCACGAAAUUCUUUUAAUUUAAAGCGUGCUGGUGUGAGGUCAGUUUAACUGAUUAAUUCUUUUUAACAGUGGUCGAGAUAAUUUUACUAUACUAAAAAAUAUUCUUAUUCUGAUAAUGCCACAAAUGUUAUGCUGUUUUCUUCAGAUAAUGAUCUUCCAUUAGGAGAGGUUAGAAAUCAAAUGCUUAAAAGACCAAUUGAACGAAUAAUACAGAAAUUUAGGCAGAAUCUAAUAGAAUAUUGCAUGAAACAUGAAACAUCAAUUCAAGUCCUUUCUUAAACGGAGAAUGCAUCAAACAAAAUCCAAAGUGUCUUGCAAGUCUGUAGCGUGAGCAAAAAAUUGUAAAUAUGUAGAACCAAAUUAUUCAAGUACAGAAGAACGAGCAAGCUAAAUCAUGUAUAAGAGAUUGGCCUGGUUCGGGAUAGCUUCUUCACUGUAUCUGAAGGGUUGGCUCAAUCUCUUCUUUAGAAUUCUGCAGAUUUUGUAAUUACUCGUGUAAGCAAGUAUACAUUGCCACCAUAAGAAUAAUGAAGCUAGAGUAAUGAUAUGACCACCACCUCUUGUGCACAAACAAUAUUGUAUAAACUAAUGCGACAUAAUAUGAUUGGUUAAACAAAAACAUUACAUGGCCCUCAUAAUUUAUUUAUUUAUUUAUUAUUAUUAUUAUAUAUUUUCAGUCAACCAAUCAUAUUAUAUCACAUUAGUUUCUAUAAAAUAAUUUGCUAAAUAGCACCAAAACUUAAUUGAUACUCACCAUUUCAUUGAACAAUUUUUUUAUGGUGUCAUUGAGGUUGCCUUCCCAACAUCGUUCAUCAUCAUCUUUUUCUUCUUUGGUGACGUUCACUUUGUUUAGCAUUGGUGUGUCUAAGAGUCCUUGAGAGAAGAUCUUCAUUUUUGGACACUGUCUCACAACUACUUGUUUCAAGGACGGGAAUUCAAGAGCGUAAUUACCUAAACAAAAGCUUGUUAGGCUUGGCAAACAAUCAAGUCUCAAGUACUCCAAUUCCUUGAAAACAUUGCAAUCUUUCGCUUCUUCUCCAACCUGCAAUUGUAUGAUUUGUUCUAUCAUUUUGCAAUCAACUAUCAUCAUUCUUUUGAGAUUCACUAGAUUUUUAGAUGCUGAGAGCGUCAACACAUUUAUCAAUCCGUGACACUUCGAUACUGCCAAAGCCUCAAGAUUUUCCAAAUGCCACGAAGGUGGUACUAAUUUUUGCAACUUACUACAUUCCGAUAUUUUUAGACUUUUCAAGUUUGCAAACACUUUGUUGGAUUCGGCAUUUUCCUUCCAGAGAUGGUGCACUUUGUGUAAUCCAGACAGCUCUAACCAUCUCAAUCGAGGGAAUGAAACCUGAAAAUCAACAAAAUUAAGUUGUAAAUGAAAAUAUGUAUCCAAUCUCUGCAGUCUUCCCCUGCAUAUUUUAUGGACAAGAUUAAUCACGACAUUUUAUAUUUUUUUUCCAAAUUAGAAUGCUUUGCAGUAGGAUCCCAAAUAUAAGUAUCAAAUCGAUUACCCUUUGAAACACAUAAAUGAAAUCUGAUACUAAAUCCAAUAUGAAUUAGCUAGGAAAACAGAGAUGUUACACACAUAAUUAAUAGAGUUCAUCACCUCGUGUUACCAGGCAUCCAAUUAAUUUAAGACAUUUUAAUAAUUCAUAUUAUAAAGUUAGUUGAUAGCGGAGGUUAUAUUGUUAAAUCAUAUAUAAAUUAAGACGACGUGCAAAAAGAGGAGUCAUUAAAUUCGAUUUGAUUCUAACGAAAUUACAUCUAUGCGAAUGAAAGUGAAGGGAAAUAAUAAUAAUAAUAAUAAUAAUCACCUUUUCAUCGAAGAGAGGUUGUACUUGAUGAGCCAGCAAGAAGUUCUCUUCUGAUGUUAAUUUUUGAGGUUCCUUAUUAUCCGCUGUCAUGUGCAGUACAGAGUUGGAUAUGAAUGUUUCUAUAUCUCGGCAAUUCUCAAUAGUUAGAUUUCUCAACAUAGGCAUUUCAAUUAUAUUCCCAGUGAAGUUGCAGAAUCUUUUGAGUUUUGGAAGAUCAGUGAGCCUCAGCCUGUAAAGCUUAGGAAACAGGGGGCUUAUAUGUUCUUUGUCAGCAUUUAGCUCCUCCAAAUGAAGCACCUCUUCUAUUGAAUCACAAUUCCUCUCUUCCAGCCAUACCAAAUUGUUCAAGCACCGUAGCAGAUUGGCAGGAAUAGCACUCGACAUAUUCGUGCAGUCAUCCACAGCCAGUUGUCGUAAAUUGUUGAAGAAGCUGACAGGCAGUGCUUGGCCAUGCCAUAUUUCUUUCAAACGUGGAAAAUGUGAGAGUUGCAAAUCCCAUAUGUCACGGAAUCCAAUCUGCACAAACAAAAACAAUUGCACUGGAUAUAUAUAAAUUUUUUUUUUGAAUCAACUUACAUGUUUUGUGUUUUAACUUCUAAAACUAUAUAUACAAGGCAGGUGUAUAUGUUCAAAUGUCCAAGUGCAAGGGAGAUGCAUAAGUAAUUUCGACGAAUCGAUUUAACACAUACCAUUUCUUCGUAACACUUUUGUAUAGUGGAAUUAAGGUUGCCUUCCCAAUGGCGCAAUUCACCCUCUCCCUGUUAAGAAUAGAAUUAGUUAGUUAAUGAGUAUGCUGACAUGGCAGCUGAGUCAGCUAAAGGUUGUUAUAGAGGUUGUUAGUAGUAAACUGUGCGUGUGUGCAAUGUGUGUAGAAUCUUCUAUGCACAUAUAAAAAGGCUUGUAAUUUCCAGAUUCAUUAGAUCAAUAAUAACAGAAUUCUCAGCUUACAGAAGUUUUCUUUCUUCCUAUUUUCUUAGUAACCAAACAACAUCACAGUUUCAUAUAAAACUUAAUACUUCCUUUUUACUCACAUGCACUUCGUGCAGCUUUGGUGUGGAUACGAUUCCCUGAGAAAAAGUCUUCAUGUUCGGGUAACAUGUCAUAGAAACUCGUUCCAAUGAUGGGAAUUCAAGAGUGUAAUCCUCCAAACAAAAGCUGGUAAGCCUUGGUAAAUGAUUUCAGGUAAUUUUUAAAUAUUCUAAAUUCAUUUAGAAUAUUUAAAUGAAUUUAGAAUAUUCACUAUUUAGUAUUAGGAAUGGAGAAAGAAUUUCAGGUAAUUUUUAAAUAUUCUAAAUUCAUUUUUCAUCUUGAUUCUAGUUUUUUAAAAAAAUUUAAUUUUCAAACAUGCGUAUUUUUAAAAUAACUAAACUAAAACGCUGUAUUUCCCUUUUUUUCCCGAUAUUCAUGCUUUUAAAAAUGGAAAACAUUUCUGGAAAACACUUCCCAACGCCAUCAACAUGGGACUGUUAUAGAUGAAUUAAGGAAAAGAGAAAUAUAUAGAUGAAUUUGUGAACCUAUAAGAUGAGUGACUAUCCUUUAAUUUUUGAAAAUUGUACUUAUUAAGAUAUGAGCAGAAACAAUUAAAUUGAAUUAUAUUAUGCUGUUGAAUCGUGAUUAAAAAAAUUAUAUUGUUGAUUCUAAUGCUGGCGAACCUAAAAACUGGACUUAAAAUGUAGAUUUGAGAGUGGUGGUUCGAAGUACAAUACUUGAAAUAAAUAAUCAGUGGCUGAAUAUCAUUUGUAAACAAAAAAUGGUUAAAAUAUUGUUGGAUGUAAUUUGAAAAAAAAAAAAAGAUUCGAAAUGAAUACAGCAACCUUACCAAUGGAGGAAAAAUAUUCUUUAGGUUAUCACACUCAAAUAUCUCUAAAUUCUUCAAUUUGCUGAAAGACUCCGAAGCAAGUUGGUGGUGCCAUAUUAUUCUCAAAUUAUUCAUCCAGCUAAUAUGUAAUACCUCCAACCUAGGAAGUCGUACCUGGCAGUUAAAGAUUAAAUAACUAAUUAAUCAAUUAAUUGCAUAAUCAAUUGAUAACUAAAUUAGAGGCAGAUAUUAACUAAACUUGAAGACUCAAAGAAAAGACAAAUUAAAUAUUGUGACUAAAAUUAAUUUUUUUUAUUAAAAAAAAAACCUUUUCGUCAAAGAGAGGAGGAGGUUGCAUUUCAGAAUGAUUGGUGUCUUCUGGUGAGCUCGUAGAGAUGAAUCUUAACAUAUUCCAGCAACUCUGAAUCUCGAGGUUUAGCAAAGAAGGGAAUUCAACAACUAAAUCUGAAUUAAUAUGUCCCGUAUUGGCAAAGCUUGUUAGUUUAUAAAGCCAAUAGAGCUCCAGGGAGUGUAGUUUAGGAAAAACCUUUAAUUCAAUCAACUUUCCUUCUUCUCUUUCUGACCACCCCGUGGUGUCGACUACCCCUUCCAUUGACUCACAAGAUCUUAUCUCAAGAUGCUGGAGUUGCAAAAGACUAUUAACCAUAGAAUAGGAAAACAGAUACUUCAUACGAUGACAACUGCUCACGUACAGCUUUGUUAAAUUUCGACAACAGUACAUUCCUUGAUUAUGAUCGGCCCAUAAUUUUUUCAUGUUUCUUAAUGACCUGAGAUCCAAUUCCUCUAAGCUCGGAAGAAUAACCUGCAAAGAAUACCCGUACAUUUUUGUUCCUUCAAGUACAACCGUCUAGUAUAAUAUUCUUUUGAUGAUCGAAGAUUAAUCGUGAUAAUAAAUUAAUCAAUUAAUUAUUGAACAGAAAAUUAUCACCUUUGGAGCAGGAUCAUCAUCAGCAGUGAUUUCGUUGAAUCCCAAAGAAGUUGUUGGUUUCUCCCUGUCGGGUCCUAUAAACAAACAAAAACAAUAUACAUAAUUAAUCUUUGUUUUUUUUUUCAAAAUAAUUGAGGCGAAGUCAAUUAUCCCACCGGUACUUAAUUUCAACACUUACCAACAAUCAUUUCCUGAUCAUCGCAAAAAGCCACUUCUACCUUUUGAAGCCGCAGUAGGUUUUUGGCUAUGGAGAAUGAGAAAAGAUGCUUCAAUUUGUGACAGAAUUUUACUUCUAUAAUCCUUAAGUUGCUGAAAGAUUGAUCUUCUGUGAGUUGGCUGUCACAUAUUGUCUCCAAAUUGAUCAAACGACGAAGAGACAAUGACUCCAGCAAGGGGAAGACUUUGCGACGAACCCGUCCAACUGAACAGACAAUAUGCAAAAUCUCAGAACAACUUUCUGCAGAAAGAUGCUUCAAUCGUGGAUAACCUUCCCCAUCAUCUAAUUCAUGAACAACAUUCUGAACACCCUUCAGUUCUUCUAGAUAGAGAUAUUCAGUUCUCGUCAACAACAGUUUCAUCCUGUAAUUCUGCAAAAGAACGCCAAACUUUUCCAGCCCCUGGAGCUUCAUCAAUCUUGAUAAUCCAGAUUUAACGGACCAGCUGCUCCACCACUUAUUUCCUAUACAUAUCCUAUAGCUUUGUAAUUCCACAGAGACGAAAUCCUGCGGUAAAAUUUCGGCAUCCCGAACAUGUAUCUCCAAAGUAGUUAGCUUUGACAGCCCAUUCAAUUCAGCAAGACUGGCGUUACUUCCUCCUUCAACCUUCUCCCACUGUGAAAAGCUGUUACCAAUAUAUAGUUCUUCUAAUCGAGAUAAUUUUGAUAUGACAUUUGGAGCUAUCACCACAAGACUGCUACAAUUUCUCAAAUCUAGCAACUGUAAUCUCGUCAAUUGUCCAAUUACAACUGGCAACUCCUUAACAUCAGAAUCUCGGAAGCUGAGAAUCUCUAAUUUCCUUAGCUGUCCAAUUAUAGUUAUUUCGUUCAGUCGGCAACCGUCUAAACACAAUGUUCGAAGGUUAAUGAGGCGACCAAGUGAUGAAGGUAAUGAAGAGAAAAAUAUGCCAGUAAAAUCUAAAACUUUGAGUUCUUCUGUCCCUUCAAAAAAGAGGUCUGAAAUUUGCAAAGAGCUAUCACGCUUUGAAAACAACAAAAGUAACUCGAGACGGGGACAUCCCAACCUUUCGGGAAGCUCUUGAAUAUCUCUAUAAGGUAAAGAAAUAGCAAUUGGACCUUCCCGUAUUGUCUCUUCCAUCUUUUUCUCCACGUAGGCAACAUUUGGAAUAUUAAACAUGAGCUCCUUUUCUGCAAUUGAUACAGCAACAGCAUGAAUGAUGUCAUGCAUUUUAACUUCAUCUUCAGCAUCACCGUCCAACAAUAAGCAUGAAGAUUUGAGUUUGUCGAUCAAUGCAUCCACUCUAUUCCUUGCAUUUUCCAAUGUGCGAACAUAUUUAAACAAACCCAAACCCAUACCCAUACCAUAUCUCAACAAGGAAGCAACUUGUAUAGGAGUACCUUCACCAAAUAGAGAACAAAGAAGGAACAAAGAUUUUGCUUCAUCACUUUCCAAGAAGUCGUAACUCAAUUUUAUGGAAGAAUACACAUCUGCAUCCAUACCAUGAAUUUCUCUUAGAUUGGAACUUCUUAGCUGAUUCAACGCAUCCUUCCAAAUGGCAAGACUCUUAUUUUUCAGAGCACUUGCAACUGUUCUCAGUGCAACAGGCAAUCGUCCGCAUUUUCCAACAAUCUCAUCCGCUAAAGGUUGAAAAGCAGAUGCUUUUGCGGAAUUGCCCACGAUCUUUUCAAAAAAUUGCAAUGCUUCUUCCUUUGAUAAAACUUCAAUUGGGAAAAUCUUCUGAGAAUUCAUAUCAUUGAUCAAUAAAUCUUGACUUCUAGACGUCAAUAUUAUCGUGCGUCUCCUUAGAUCUUGCUUUCUAUCUUUCUCAUCAACAUCCCCAGAAGGAAUUCCAAUUUCUUCCAACCUAAGUUUUUUCCAAAUAUUAUCUAAUAUAAUGAGGACUCGCUUCUCUUUCGUCAAUCUUUGACAAAGUUGUUUUGCUCUGUGGGGUUUGCUAUCAUUCAAGUCAAAGUUCAUGUCUAAAUCGGAAGCGAGCUUGUCUUGAAUUUUCUGAACAUCUGGGUUCUCUGUUACCUCAGCCAUAACGACCUUAUCGAACAACUUAUCUUCCAUAACUUGCUUUGCAAUUUGCUUGACUAGCGUGGUUUUACCCACGCCGCCCAUACCGUGGACCCCAAUUAUGUUGAGCUUAUCAUCCCUCAAUGCCUCCACAACAUCUUGAAAUAAUUUCAUUCUUGAAUCAAAGGCCUCGAAAUCUUUCGCUUGCAUAUGUUCUGUACUCUCUGGAGCAGGACGGUGGGAAACACUAGAGAAGUUGCCUUUUCUCACGAGACUAGCGGCAGCUUCUGCGGCCUUUACUGCUUGUUUACUAAGUUUAUAACGAGAAAUCAAGUUGGGGCACAAUCCUUUGAAGCAGGACUUCUUAGCUCUAUCUUCAUCAUCAAUGAUGGAUUUUGCAACCCCUUCACUGAUGCAUUCAUCAACGCCAUUAAGCCAGUCUGCAACAUCCUUGUAAAUCUCAUCUCUUUGUUGAGUAGCCUGACGAACGGGUAUUCCCACCCUUUCUCUUUUAUAUUCCAGCUGCUUCACUUGAUCUUUUAGCUCAGCUAUGUAGCUCUGGUACUUGAACACAUAAGAUAUCUGCCGCAUAAUCCGUUCGAGCAAUGCCUUUGCACCUUCUGAUACAAUGCUUGAAAAAGCUUCGAGACCCACUUCUGAAGCCAUUGCCUAGCCUGUUGCAUAUAUAUAUACAUUAGCCGAUGGAAAAAUUGGAUUCAAAUAAAUUAAAGUGAUCCAGAGGGAAGGACAAAGAAAGAAAUGACAACGAAUGACUUUUUAAACAAAGGUUUCAAGAGCCUGAAUCGAAAACCAACAAUUUGAAAAAAAAAAAAAGAAUUGGAAGAUGGAUGCAAAUUAACCAUUGCUAAUACUACAUAAGAACACAUAAGUUAACAAUGAACAGUUACUUAAGAAAAUUAAAUGACAAGAUUAAAACAAACAAGCGCUAUUUUUUCUUGGACAAAUGUACCUGUUUAAUUAUUAAAGACUUAAUGAGCUUCACUAUUGGCCUUGAGUAUAUAAGAAUGAGCAAGAGAUCAAUGUCAACUGCAGAGGAAUGUCAGUAAAGGUUUCAUGAGAGUGAGUAAUACAAAUGAAUUGUAAAAGAACAAGACUUAAGCGUGCACCCCCUGUUUUGUUUUAUUCGUUAUGAAAAUGAUAUUGUACCCAAUUUUAAGAGAGCAUAAUAAUAACCAUUUAAUGCAUAAAUUUAGAAUUAGCUUUUUUUUUUGUAAUUCUUUAUUUAAAUAUACACGUCAAUGGAAAAUUUUGAAAAUUUGGAUACAAAAUUUUAAAUCACCAGAAAAAAAAAAGCACGGGAACGGAAAUAGAGGAAUCUUGUUUUACCUUUUUUUUUCCCCCCUUUAACUCUCGUUCUUAUAUAAAUAAUCUUGUUUUGAUGAUUGUGACUCGUGACUGCGGGAAAAAUUCUAAUGGAAACAACUCAAUUUCGGAAGAUAAGCUUAAUUCUGCAAGUGAUGAAUUUGUUCAAUAGACUCUGUACCUGAACUCGUUGGAUUGGUUGAUUGAUGAUUGACUAAAUUUGAAUUAAGUUUAAUAGCUUAGCUAUCAUGUACUCCUUAAAAGCAAACGUAAAUCUUUUUUAGAUUUGACUGAAUUUGGGAACCUGUUGGAUUGAUUGUUUUUAGAUCAUUAAUAUCAGAUACUACAAACGUAAAUAUUUUCUUGUGGUUGAGUCCUAUUCAAAUCACACAAAAUUGCACGACCAAAUAUUAAGAGAACGUAAUAAUAAUCACUCAGUGCGUAAGGGUAAAUUUAGAAUUACGUAUUCUUUUUUAUUUAAUAAAAUCCCAGCGAGAAAAUCAUAAAAUUUAGAUAUAAAAUUUUCAAUCACCAAACAAAAAACAGGGGGAAUGAAAACACAGGAAACUUGUUUUACCUUUUUUUCAUCUAACUCUUGUUCUUAUAUAAUAUUUUCCCUAGUGUUUCAGGCAAGCAAAAAAAAAAAAAAAAUCAAUAAAGAGCAAGUUGCUCAAAUUGAUUUAUCUUGUUUUUCAGGCAAUCUUGUGAUAUGAUGAUAAUGCUUAUGAAUGCUAGAAAAACUUCUAAUGCAAACAACUCUAUUUGGGAUGAUAAGCUUAAUUUUACAAGUGAUAAAUAUAAAUAACUUUUUGUGGUUAAUUCAAUUUGUAAUUACCCUUAGCCCUAUUCUAAAAUUUGUUGGCUGCUUCAGAAAAAAAAAAAAAAAAAUUUCACUCAUCUUUAAUCUUCAAGUAAAAAACAAAUCUAAUAAAAUGACAAACAAACAAACAAAUAAAAGACAGCAAACAAACAACAUUUAGCCAACUGAUAUUUAAACAGGGAUUAGAGUUUUUGUUAUUAACUGAAAGGUUUCAAGGGUCUGAAUAAAAUCCCAGACUUUUUUUUAAAACUUUUUUUUUAAUUAACCAAAGCCAUAUAAUAAGAUCACAGACUUUAACAAUGAACAAUAAUUUGAAACUCAAGCAAAACCAAUCACAAGAUUAAAACAAACCAGAGAAUUUUUUUCUUGGAAAGUAGAUGAAAAGCAAGUAAGAACUGCUAUUAAAGGAUAUUAUUAAAGGAUUUAGAACAUGUAUACCUCUUUAUUUAUAUGGGAUCAGAGAGUCGAUGACCUUCUCUAUUCGCUUCGGAUAUUUAGUAAGAACUGCUAUCAAAAGAAUGAAUUGAUGAGUAAUAACAAUGAAUUGCAAAAGAGGAAGACUUAAUCACGUACCCCUAUUGUACCCGAUUUUUAAGAUUUAAUUUUGAAGUCCAGAAUCAAGACAAAAGACGAAGCCUUAACAAAUAUGCAGUGAGAAUAGUUAAGUUGAAGAAAGCACUAGUUUAUGGCUCUGUGUUUCAUAUGCCGUAUUGAAAUAAUUAAGUUGAAGUUUUCAACGAAUAAAUACCUGGUGUGCUGGAAUAAUUUUAGAAGAAUAUUGGCUUAUAGAGAUUAGAGCAUAUUAGGAGGGAUCAGAUUUGUAAGAUGCCUGAUAAAAGAUAAAGCGAAUGUUAUUAUGGACAUACCAAUUUCCGACUUUUCGGAGUGCAUCCGUCUAUCCAUGACUUGAAAAGAGACCCAAUGUGUGGACAGACUUGAUUACAUNNNNNNNNNNNNNNNNNNNNNNNNNNNNNNNNNNNNNNNNNNNNNNNNNNNNNNNNNNNNNNNNNNNNNNNNNNNNNNNNNNNNNNNNNNNNNNNNNNNNNNNNNNNNNNNNNNNNNNNNNNNNNNNNNNNNNNNNNNNNNNNNNNNNNNNNNNNNNNNNNNNNNNNNNNNNNNNNNNNNNNNNNNNNNNNNNNNNNNNNNNNNNNNNNNNNNNNNNNNNNNNNNNNNNNNNNNNNNNNNNNNNNNNNNNNNNNNNNNNNNNNNNNNNNNNNNNNNNNNNNNNNNNNNNNNNNNNNNNNNNNNNNNNNNNNNNNNNNNNNNNNNNNNNNNNNNNNNNNNNNNNNNNNNNNNNNNNNNNNNNNNNNNNNNNNNNNNNNNNNNNNNNNNNNNNNNNNNNNNNNNNNNNNNNNNNNNNNNNNNNNNNNNNNNNNNNNNNNNNNNNNNNNNNNNNAUUUAAUAAUUAUAGAAGAAUAUUGGCUUAUAGAGCAUUUUAGUAGGGAUAAGAUUUGUGGACAGAAUAAAUGAAAUAAUAAAAAGCAUAACUGAUCAAGUCAUUAUUGAUCUUACUUUGAUUAUUACAUUGCACAUUAGUUUCUUUCUAAAAAUGCCAUUCUUCAUUCAAGCUUUCGCUUUAUCUUUUAUCAGGCAUCCUACAAAUCUUAUCCCUACUAAUAUGCCCUAUAAGCCAAUAUUCUUCUAAAGUUAUUAAAUGCCAUUCUUCAUUCAAGCUUUCAUGGACAUUAUCUACAAACUGAAUCUUCAAUGUAAUAAAAUAAUGAUCAGCCUCACAGGAUACAUAAAAAGCUCAUUUAUCACAAUCAUUUCCUAGUGCAUCAUAAACUUAGAUUAUUUAAUUUUACUAUUAGGAAACCUACUUAUAAAAGGCGCACACUACAAAUUCUAAAUUAAAUUUCUAACUAAGAAUAAAAGGUAAACCCUAGCAAUUUUCCACCAGGUGCCGUGUAGCCUGCAUCAUAAAUUUUGAUUUAAAUCUUUGUAAUCACCGAACAGAAAAACCGGGGAAUGAAAACAGAGGAGCCCUAUUUUUCCAUUUUUUUAACCCUUAACUCUUGUUCUUCUAAUUAUAUUUUUGCUUGGAAUUUCAGGCAAACGAAAAAAAAUAGUGACAACUAUUUAGAGAGAACAGGUGGAUGAUAGCAAAAAUAUUUUUAAUUAAUAUGCAUGAUUAACUCUUGUUCUUCUAAUGUAGUGGCUUGAUUAAUUAAUAUUUUUAAUCAAGCCAUUACAUUAUUGGUAGUCUCUGUGGGCUCAUUUCGUCUCCAGACCUGAUAUUGUAUAUCUCUUUUUGAAUAUGUUUAAUUAAUAUGCAUGCUGCUGAAUAAAGACGAUGAUUUCCAAAUUUUUGUUGCUUUUUUUUUUUCUUUUUGCUGCUUUGGUACAUGAAGAAUGUGGAAAUAGAAAUAGCUUUCGAAGUUUAAUGGCUUGCUUCAUUAGUAAAGAAAGACUAGGAUAUCCGUCCUUUUUGUUACUGAAUUAUUGAUCAAUUGACGGUUGAAGUUAGUUAUAUUAAUUUGUUGUACAAGAAUUGAAGCUUAUAUCUUUACCGUUUCGUGAAAGUGUCAAAUAUGUUCUUUCCUUGCAAUUGUUCAAAAUAUGUUACACUUUUGAAGUCACUAUUACAUAAAGGGUGUUGUAAAAUAGGGAAAGGCGGGUUUAUGAUUAGAUUUUAAUAUGUUUAAUUCAAGGAUUAACCGAAGCUAUUAACCAACGGCUACUAACCGAAAACCGAAUUUAACAAUAAACACUAACUCAGAAUUCAAGAAAAUUAAAUGACAAGAUUAAGACAAAUGAGAGAUAUUUUUCUUGGACAUUAAGAAAGAACUACUAUCAAGAUCAAGGAUUAGAGAUUAUAUAUGCUAUUAUUAAUAGAAAUUAUUAAAGGAUUUAGAACAAGUUCACCUCGUUGAUUAUCUGGGAUGAUGAGUUUCUAUAUUCACCUUGAAUAUAUAAUAACAAUUUUAGUGAGCAAAAGAUCACUGGUAACUGCAGAGGAAUGUGUGAGUUUAAGAGCUUAUUAGAGUAAGCAAUACAAAUGAAUUUUCAAAUUAUGUACUUGGUCAUUGUUGUCCUACUGACGCACGUUUUUUUUCAUGAAUAAUUGCCAGAUCAGAAAAGAAUAAGUUCGGUGGAUUGAAAGAUUGCUGAAGCAAGUAAAACAAUCUUCAUAUCGAACAUGAUUCCAAUUAAAUUAAUCUUUUUAUAAGAUGACUAAUAAAAGACAAAAGUAGAAGCUUUGAUGAAUGAACGAUGACCAAAACUUUUGUAAAAGCGGAUGCCGAUAAAAUAAACAAAAGGCACUUUAAAAAGAAACUAAAGUGCGAUCAUCAAAGUAAGAUCAAUAAUGACUCGAUUUAUUUCACCUAUUCUGUCCACAAAUGAUGCUUCGCUAUUACAAGGUCCGAAUGGACAUUAUUUACAAAUUGUUCUUAUGUUUCACAGAAAAAUGAAAAACCGUUCAUCAUCAUAUAAUUAUGAAAUAAAUAAAUUUUAUUAAUGGAUUAUGGGGAUAUGUUAAUGUUAGGGAUAUGUUCAAAUCAUCAUAUAAGUUACUAAACGCUUCAACAAGAACAAGAAUUAAUGAGUUAAAAGUAAAAAAAAAAAAUUUUAAAAAAAGUUAAAUAAAUAAAACUUAGAAGUAAAGAAUGUUAUUUGCAAUCACCAAAAUGAAAACAGUGGAACCCUGUUUUUCCUCUCAUUUCUCUUUCUCUCUUUUUCAUUUGUUGGGAAGUGUCGCCUAAAACACUUCCUCUGCUAGGUGGAAUUAUUGGCUUGAAGAGAUGAGUUCUUGUCACAAGCACAAAUUUUAUCUGUACAUUAUUUCAUUUUAAAUGAUGAGUUCUUGUCACAUGAUCAUUACUUUUUUUGUUUUGAUUUGGUUAGUUCAUGAUAACAAACAAAUUAUUUUGCAUCACAUUAUGGUAAAAAGUUGCCCUCUUUGUUACUUCCACAGCUAUAUAGUUUAAUAUUUUGUAAUAAGAUCACAAAGUGCAUGGGAACCACUGUUCGAGUACUUCAGCCUAAUAUGAAGAUCUAUUGAAAAUUUUCCUGAUGUCAUGAUAUUAAACAAAAAAAGGUACCUCUUUUACUAAUUAAUAAGAGAAGUUUUGACCGAUUUCAUGUGACUCUCUUUUACUAAUUAAUAAGAGAAUUUUUGGCCUUAUAUCCUUGCUGUGGCGUUAGACUGUUGGUCAUUUUGAUUGUUUCCUACUUUCCGUUUACGCCAGCUGUAACAUUGUAUUAUCACCAUUUUAGCCAUUUAAAUGAAAUUUAUUUUUGUCAAAAAUAAAAUGACACCCUUAAAAUUAAAAAAAAAAUAGUUAUGUAGACCUCAAAUUUUUAAUAAAGAAUGCCAAUACCCCUUUUAACUACAAGAUUCUUAGUAGAUGAUAACUAAAAAAAUUAACUUCAAAAAUUUUCACUAAAUAUAAAUCUAAUUGAAAUAGUUUAAAUUUUCUAGUAGACUAAUAUAUAUAACUUAAAUAAUUAAUUUCAUUAUUAAUUUUUAAAAUGUUAAAUAAUAUAUUUUAAUUUAUUAUAAAAAAUUUAAAUAAAUUCUUGGAUUAGAUAGAUUUUACAAUUAAUGUAAUACUGCUGAUUUAUUAAUAAUAUUAAAAUUAUUUUAUAUGAUAUUCAAAAUAAUUUAAACUUUUAUAUAUUUAUUUUAAUAUUAUGUCUAUUUAUUAUAAAUUUAUAAUUUGGUUUAAUAUAAUACGGGAUUGUAAAAUAUUAAAAUAUUUUUCAAUAUCAAAUUAUUUUAAUAUGUAUAUAUCAUUACAUUUAUUUUAAUAUUGCAUUUAUAUUUAUUAAAGAGUAUUGCAGUAAAGUAAAAAAAAAAAAAGUCUUAUUAUCCCUUAUUCACGAUAUGAGGUUCUACAGAAUUAUUUCCCCAAACGGGUGUCCUUUUCUCAUUUUCAAAAGAAAAAAUAAAGUAAGAAUAAGACCAUGGAUUUCAAAAAACUUAUAGUCCUAUCCCGGGACCAAACGUCUAUUCAUUAUUUUAUUUAUUCAAUAUAAAUGGCCAACUUAAAAAAAUGAUAAAAAUCACACAAAGCUCAAGUGAAAAUUUAGAAUUACAUUUUUUAAUACUCUCGGAGUCUUCUCUCCUGCCCCCUUUUUUUCUUAAAAAAAAAAACCUUAGUGUAAAAUUAGAAGAAUUUUAGAUAUAAAAUUUGACAAUCGCUAAACAGAAAAGCAGCGGAUUAAAAAUAGAGGAGCUCUGUUAUCAUUGCAAUAUUGAUUAUAGAUAAUAUAAUAACUUGUUGUGGUUCAUUGUAGCACUCUGAGCCAUACUUUAAAAUUUACUGGUUUGUUAAUGCUUUUAUUAUUGACAUUAUUGUGUCAAUAUUAUUAUAAUUUAUUCAUUUUAUUGUAAUGAUAAUUUGUCUAGUCUUAGGUACUUAUUAUAUUAAAUUAUGUAAAUUAAUUGAGAAUACUUUUACAGACAAAAGAAACACGUGUAUGUAGGAUUAAUAAGCGAAGAGUUGUAAAUGAAGCUGAUUGCUUCAUUGAGAUGCAUAUUAAAUAAUUAUGGAGAGUUGCUCUAUUUCAGAAGCAUAUAUUUAUACUUCCCUAUCAGGAUUUGGGGUAAGCGAAGUGCUUUAUGUAUUGCAGUAAGCAAAUGUGGGCAACAUCAGAGCCGAAAUAUUAAAAGAUCAUAACGCAUAUAAACGAUUAGUAUAUUCAAGGCACAUAUAGCGGAAAGAGUGCAGAUCUGGCCGUAACUAUUAUGAGGAUUUCCUCAAGUAAAUAUUAAAAGAACAACUAUUCUGAACUAUAUAUUCUUCAUUGUGGGCAGAUUUACUUAAAUACCAACACAAUGAUUCAAUACUUCAAAAGUCAAGGAAAUGUCAAAAUAUGAAAUGAAAAUACUUAAAUACCCUUCUCCCUAACAAAACUUAGUACUUCUAACUGCCAUCGCAGAGAAUAUAUAAAAUUUAAAAAAAAAAUCAUCCAUGAAAAGUUUCGUAACAGAAAAACCGUCUUUCAAAAAAUAAAAAAUAAAAAAUAAAAACAGAAAAAUUGACUCAUUUAUCUGCCAAUGAACCAGUCGGGACUCAUUUAAAAAAGAUUACAAAGCAAAAGUAAAUGACACAAAUUGCAUAGAUAUCUAAGAGCCGCAUCAAAGGACAAAGGUGUUAAUUUGUCCAAGUAAUAAAUUCUCCUAGGUCAAAAGCAAUUAACGAUGAAAACUUUCUUCAUUAAGGUUCUGGCCUACGUAAAAAAACAGAAAAAACCACCCCAAGGUCAAAGCACAACGAUAAGUUUAGAAUUGCAGUUUUUAAUUUUUCUUUUUAAUAAAUCAACGUGUAUUAAAAAUAGAUAAAAAUUUUGAAUAAUGUUUUUUUGAUAAAUAUAGACAUAAAAUUUAAAAAUCACCAAACAGAAAAACAGGGCAAUUAAAAGAGAGCCCUUGUUUCUCCUCUGUUUUGUUUGUUAUUAAACGGGGAAAUGAAAAGAUCGCAAGCAUAAAUUUUGUUUCUGCGUUGUCUCUUCUCAAUGUUGCAUGCAUUCAAAUUAAACCUUAUAUAUGAUAGCAAACUAGCUACUCUGCAUGUACGAUAAGUCUAAAUAAUAGAAUAAUUGUAAAAUGUUCAAAUUCAGUAAUUAAUUAUACAUAUUUAUUUAUUCAAAAAUUAUUAUUAUUAUUAAUUAUUGUCAAUAAUAUAUUAAUAUACUAAUUAAUUAUAAAAAUUUUUAUCAUUCAUAACAAUAACAAUGAUGAUGAUGAUGAUAAUAAUAAAAAUUCAAAAUAUAUUAAUUAAUUAUAAUAAUAUAUUAAUUAUUUAAUACUAAUAAUAAUAAAAAUGUAAAAUGUAUAAAUUGAUUAGAAUAGUUAUAUUAAUAAAUUAUAAACAUAUAUUAAUUAAUCAUAAUAAUUUUUUAAUUGAGGACAAAAUAGACAUUUUAUAGUUUGUGAGAGGGGGCAAAAUGGUCAAUUUUGGGAAUGGGAGAUUGAUUCCCACCACCUUCCUUGGGAAUCAAUUUUCCAUUCCUCAUUCCUAAAUUUGGGUGGCCCCAUAAUUCUGAUUUGGAUCCCUGCCUCCAUCAUUAAUGAUUUCGAUUUCGGAUUCCGAUUCCCCAAUCCAAGAAGUAAAGGCACCAUUAUUGUUAAUUGGUUCAAACACACAAAGAGAAUGUACCGUGUAGCUAGGCGUCAAGGUUGUGUUGCACAAGUAACCUUUUUCUUUUCUUUUUAUUUUUCUUGUUUUCCUUAACGGAUCAGAAGAAAUUGGUGCCUUUGAGAUACCACAAUGUAAAUAAUUAUUUGUGGUUCAUUGAAUCUGUAACACUCGGUACCCUAGGGUUGCUUUGGAAAAAGGGCUUUUCUCACCGAUCGCCAAUAUCCAAGUAAGUUUGUUUCAUUUCAGAAGGUGCAAAGUUUCAAACUUGUUGUAUUGGGAUGUAACAAACUUUGGCCUUAUAUGCCUGCUGUGACGUGAGACUGUUCAUUUUGAUUGUUUCCUACCUUCCACUUACGCACUGUAGCACUGUAUUAUUCACCAUUUUAGCUGUUUAAAUGAAAUUUUAUUUUUGUCAAAAAUAAAAUGACACCAUUAAAAUUUAGAAAAAUAAUCAUGUAGAUCCCAAAUUUUUAAUAAAGAAUACCAAUAUUCCCCUUGACUACAAUACCCUUAGUAGGUGGUAAUAAAAAAAAAUUGGCUUAAAAUUUUUACGAAAUGUAAAUAUGAUUUAAAUAAUUUAAAUUUUCCAGUAGACUACUAUAUAUAAUUUAAAUAAUUAAUUUAAAUAUUAAUUUUUAAAAUGUAAAUUAAUUUAUUUGUAUUUAUAAAAUAUUUGUAAUUAUUUUAAAAUUUAACUAAAUCCUUAGGUUAAAUAGAUUUUACAAUUAAUAUAAUAUUUCUCAUGUAUUAAUAAUAUUAAAAUUAUUUUAUAUGAUAUUGAAAAUAACCUAAAUUUUUAUAUAUUUAUUUGAAUAUUAUGCUCUAUUUAUUAUAAUUUGGUUUAAUAGAAUACGAGAUUGUAAAAAAUUAAAAUUUUUAGAUAUUGAAAUUAUUUUAAUAUGUAUAUAUUAUUAUAUUUAUUUUAAUAUCCUAUUUAUAUUUAUCAUAAAUUAUUAGAGUUAAUUUUUUUAGUUAAUAAAUUUAAAAAAUAUUAUAAUUUAAAAAAAAGUCUUGUUGUCCGUUAUUCACGAUAUGAGGUUCUACAAAAUUAUUUCUCCAAACGGGUGUCCUUUUCUUUUUUUCAAAAGGAAAAACAAGUUCAGGGCCUCAGGGGUUUCAAAAAAUUCUGGUCCUAUAUACCACUAUGACUAAUGGGAAACGACAUUGCAAUUGACAUUGCUUUCCACAAUAUGAUAGAUUAUUGGAGGGAUAUGAGAGAAUUGUCAAACGUUCACACACGCGAGAGCUUUAGGUGGGAUAGGGGAGGAUUGUCAAGAGUUCACACCACGAUAAACUAAUGAUAGGCCUAAUUUUGUUGUCAGUUCUUUAUUUAUUUAUUUUAUGUAUAUCAUACAUUAUUGUAUUUUGUCAAGGUAUAAUAGUACAAGUAAAAUACUAGGGGUGCUGUUAAGUUACAACUUAUGUAACUUGCAAUUUUUUCAAAAAUUAUGUAAAAAAUUUAAUAGGUGGUGGAACCCACAUAUUUUUUAAGAGACUUAAGUUACAGCAGUUGUAACUUAACAAAAUCUAAAUAUUAGACAAUAAUGCAUAUAAUUUGGGUUUGAUUUUUAAAAGAUUAUUUGAGUACCACCUAUCCUUAUGAUAUUAAUGUGAUUAUAUCUUAAUAUUAAAUAAUCAAAAUUUGUUUAAUUAUUAUUUGUAUUUCAUACAUUACAUAUUAGAUUUGUUUGAAUUUUAAGUUGUUGCUAAUAAAUAUUUAUGUUGUCAAAGUCAAAGUCAAUAGCUACAAAAGUAGAGAUAAUGGUAUUGUAUAUAGUUUUUAAGAAUGCAAGGAUAAGCUGGAUAAUUGACAUAAAUUCUAAUGAUUAAAAGAGCAACUAUCCCUUAAGUUAUAAUGUCAAUUUCUUUAAUUAGAAUUUUUUUUUCAUGUGAUAUAACCUUAAUUGCUACAAUUUUUUUUAUAAUAAUAAUGGGAGUUAUAAAUUAUUUAUAUAAAAUUUGGGUUGAAACUAAUGUAACCUAAAAGUGGUUGCUGAAUAACAAUAUUUGAAACUUUAGGUAAUUUUCAUGAGUCCUUUUUAUAUUCAACAACUUGAAUUGGGGGAAAUCCGACUUGAAUUGGCGGUUGAUUUUGGUGAUGUGGCUUUCGGUUUACGCCGGCUUUACAGUGGCGGAAGACUGGAUUUACGGUUGCCGACUGCUAGGGAUUAUGGUGGUAGUGUAAAUUGACGGAAAAAGAAGGUGUUUUGGUGGCGGCGCGUCUAGGAAGCACUCGUGGGUUGUUGUUUCGUGUGGUGACAGCGGGCGGCGAUCAAGGGCUGAAGUUGGUCGGUUUUUGGUCAGCAGAGGCCGGCGAGUUUGUUGGUGGAGGUGGCUGGUGGAGAAAGUGGCUGAAUGGUGGUGGGUUGCUUGGUGGAGCCGCGGGUUUGGGUUGGUGAUUUGCGGCUGUUCAAGCGGUGGUUGAGGCAGCGAUGACUAAGGCUUGGUCGACGGUGGCUAGGGAGGUUUGUGGUGGUGUUGGCUGGCUGAUCGGCGGUGGUGGACGGCGGUGGAGGUUGAUGUGACAGGUAGGGUUUUCAAAUUUGUAAAUUUUUUUUUUGAUGGAUUUGGUUUGGAUAGGUAUGGUGUAUCUAGGAAAGAUGUGCGAUUCGCACAUAAUCAUUUUGAUACCAAUUGAUGGAGCGAGGCGUAGCGGAAGCAGAAUUGAUAGGGUAAGAAACAUUAGAUAUCGUUCUAGUACUAGACCAAGCCAACACGAUUAGUUUACGCUCUAAUUGAAGCGUGAUUAGAUAUCGUUAUAAUCCAAAUGACUCAGUGAGAUUUUUAAUAACGCGUAAUACGAGAUUAGAUGACACUCUAAUCCAAAUGACUCUACAAAAGAGAUUUUGAUAACUAAUCCUAGAGGAAAUUAUAAAAGAGGGGGUUUAUUUAAUAAUUGAACUUGAAGUUAUGAAAAUAAUGACAAGACAUCUUUAUUUUUUUUAUUACAGGCAUCUUUAUUUAUAAUAGAAGAAACCCGCUUUCCUAAGUUAACCUAAAAAGAAAAUUUAAAUCAUAAUUAUAAUGGAAAUAAAAGAUUAAGAUACAUACCAUAAUUAACUCAAACUAAAAUAGAAAAUCAUAAAAUAAUAAAUAUUCUAGAAUUAUAAAUUAUCUAAAAUAACGUUAAUUAACUUCCUAAAUCACUUCUUUGGUGUAAACCAUUUUGCAUCCAUCCUCGCUUUAAAGGUUUGAACCAACGUUACCAACAAUAAUGUAUCAAAGUCCAAUCUAACUUAAGAUCUUGAUACAUCUACCGAUGUCCUUGUUUGAUUAGACAAUAAUGAGUCUAUCUCAUCACUUGUUACCUCUUUCUUGAAGGCUGCAUCUGUUGAAGUGAUAGUCUCGCUUAGAGUUUAAAGAUCUUCUUCCAUGUUAAAUAAAAUGGGCAUUUGAUUAAAAAACUUUAUCUCUAUCUCCUUCUAUCAAAUAACGACAACUAUCCGAAGGAAAAAAAAAAUAGAAAAGUCCAUGGGUCACAAUAAUUUAUGGUCUGUCCCCGGACCCCAUUAUCUGCCACUAUCAAUGAUGAAAAUGAAAAUAAAUGGCAUCUUCCCAAAAUGGCGAAAGAUUUUUGGGGGAUAUGGGGGAAUUGUCAAAAGUUCACACAACGCGAAACAAGUGUUACAUCCAAUUUUAUUUCGUCAUAUAAUGAUAAUAUCAAAUAAUGACAACCAUCCAAAAGUAUGAUGGGUCUUCCAAAAUUUUGAAAAUGUCGUCAACAUUUAAUCUUCAAUGCUAAAGAAGAUGAAAUGACCAAAAAUGACACGCAUGACUCACUCACAGACUAAAUGGCUCUGACCACAUGUAACAAACUUUGAUCUUAUGUCCUUACUGAGGCGUUAGACUGUUGGUCAUUUUGAUUGCUUUUUACCUUCCAUUUAUGCCAUUGUAGCAUUAUACUAUUCACCAUUUUAGCUGUUUAAAUGAAAUUGUUAUUUUUUUUCCAAAAAUAAAAUGGCACCCUUAAAAUUUUAGAAAAUAGCCAUGUAGACCCCAAAAUUUUAAUAAAGAACACUAAUAUCCUUUUUUACUAUAGUACUCUUAGUAGAUGGUAACAAAAAAAAAAAUGACUGUAAAAGUUUUUACUAAAUGUAAAUAUGAUUUAAAUAUUUUAAUUUUUCUAGUAGACUAGUAUGUAUAAUUUAAAUAAUUAAUUUUUAAAAUGUAAUUUAAUAUAUUUAUUUUAAUAAUAUAUUUAUUAUAAAAAUUUUAAACAAAUCCUUGGGUUAAAUAGAUUUUAUAAUUAAUAUAAUAUUUCUCAUGUUUUAAUAAUAUUAAAAUUAUUUGAUAUGAUAUUGAAAAUAAUUAAAACUUUUAUAUAUUUAUUUGAAUAUUAUGUCUCUAUUUAUUAUAAUUUGGUUUAAUAGAAUCAAAUGAAAGUGUACAUGUACAAGAAGAAAGAACCAUACACCAAGUAAAACGUAAAAAGGAUUAAAUAAAUGACACCAAUCCCCGGCAACGGCGCCAAAAUUUGAUGGUUGUCGAAGCCAACAAAAAUAAAUUCCUACUCUAAAUAAAUUGUGUAUAGUGAUUGAGCAGGGUCGUGUCCACAGAGAUCGGUAAUUAUUUAAAUCCUUUUAAAACGUAAAACAUAAAAUGGGGGUUUUGUUGACAAUAAUAAAAAUCAAAUUAAAAUAACAAGAAUGCAAAUUAAAGUUGUAAUUCAAAUUAGAGAAAGCUCUGGUUGAAGGAAUUAACUCAGCUUGAUUCGACUACUGAUCAUUGAUUCAAAUAUAGAUUAUUAUUACUUAUUAAUAGACCGGUUAUAGCUAUUGAGACCCUCUAAUAGCCAAUUUGUCCUUAACUAGUCGAUAACCAAGGUACGACCGUCAGAUAUUUCCCUAAUCAACAGACAACCCUAGAUACGAUCAUAGGAUUUAAUCAAUUGACAGCCUGAAAAACCAGAGAGACCCAAAUCCUAAUCAACACAUAUGAUGAUUCAUUUAAAUUAGAUUGUUUAUUCUCAUAACACAACUCACUGCUAUGUUAUUUGUCACAAACAUUAAAAUCUUCAUACGAUGAAUCCUUUAAUUGACAAUAGAUUAAGUUGAUAAUUAAAUAGUGGCCAAUUACCUAAUUAACAAACAUAAUCAUGAAACUAAUUCAGAGAAUAAACAAAUACCCAAAAAGUAAUAAAACAAUUAAAGCAUAAGAAAGAUCUCACAGUAGUGAUGAAUCAAAGCUUCAUUAACCUUCAACCAGAAAAAUAAGUUUAGUUCUUCAUAGAGAGAAGAGAAAAAUUAGAUCUAGGGUUUUUUUCUUUUUCUCUCAUCCCCCUUUUUCACUAUAGAUUCCUCCCUUAAAUACUCUCUCUCUCUUCUCUUUUAGAGUUCUAAUUAAAAUAAAAUACUAAUAUCUGAAAUAUUAAAUUCGUAAUUACAAAAAUAACCAAAAAUACAAAACAUGUUAAACUAAAAACUACAGGUCCGCAGUUGACAGCACGCGCCCACGCCUUAUCAAGAAAGUUCUUCUGACUCUCUAAAUUUCUCCAAGAGAACAAUCAUCUUUAAACAUCAUCUUAUAACUCAAUUUUAUCACAAAUCAAUAGAAUUGCACCUACAAAAGUACAACACAAGUAAAUCAUUAUUAUUAAGUGCAAAACAUCGAUAUUAAGGGAAGUAGACAAUGCAAAACUAGUGCAUAAAUUGCACUCUAACAAGUUCACACCACGAGAAAUUAAUGAUAGGCCUAAUUUCGUUGUCAGUUCUUUAUUUGUUUAUUUUAUUGAUUUCAUACAUUAUUGUCUUGUUGGUACUAUUUUGUAAAGAUAUAAAAGUACAAGUAAAAUAUUAGGGGAAGUAAAAUAAAAUAUUGGAGGUGCUGCUAAGUUACAGCUGCUGUAACUUACAGUUCCUUCAAAAAUAAUGUAAAAAAUUUAACAUGUGGUGGGACCCACAUUAUGUUUGAAGAGGCCGUAAGUUAUAGCAGUUGUAAAUUAGUAAAAUCCAAAUAUUAGAUAACAAUACACAUUAACAAUGCAUAUAAUUUGGGUUUGAUUUUUAAAAAAAUUAUGUGAGUAUUACCUAUCCUUAAGAUAUUAAUGAGAAUAUAUUUUAAUAUUAAAUAAUCAAAAUCUGUUUAAUCAUAAUAUGUAAUUCAUACAUUGCAUGUUAGAUUUGUUUGGAUUUUAAGUUGUUGCUAAUAAAUAUUUAUGUUGUGAAAGUCGAAUUCAAUAGCUACAAAAGCAGAGAUAAUGGUAUUUUAUGUAGUUUUUAAGAAUACAAGGAUAAGACCAUAACGCAUGAGAUAAUGGUAUUUUAUAUUAAAAGACCAUAACACAUGUAUUUGAGCCAUUUAUAUUGAGGACACAUAUAGAGCGAAGAGUGCAGAUCCGGCCGUAACUAUUGUGAAGCUUUCCUCAAGUAUUCUCAUGCACGCAGACCUUAGCUGGUCAAGUUUUCUGAUUCAAUAUAAUCAAUUUCCGCGCAGUACUAACGACAGCUUCUUUGUAAAGCUCUUCAACCACAAGCAUUUCUACAAGGCAAAAGACUAGGACGUGUCAGAAUGAAUAUCAAUAAGGGAAUGUCUUAUGAAUUUAGUUUAUAUCCUAAUAUAAGACAAUCAAUAAAUAUUAGAUGCAAUCUAAGGGAAUGUCUUAUGAAUCCUGAUUGAUGGCCUCUCACAGUCAGUUAUAUGACAAAGUAGCCACCACAACAAACUUGAACUUGGCUGGAGGUCUCAUUAGCAGUAUACCUCAGAAAUUAAGACAAAGACUUUAAAAUGCAAACUUAUGGAGCAAUUUAAGCACUGAAACUAAUAACAGUACUGUAUUAGCAAUUGACCUCUGCUUUUUUCUUGGACAAAGGUUCUCAUCACAAGGGACUCAUUAGUUGCCCUUGCCUCAAACGUUUGGAUGCUAAGGGGAAAAAGGAAGUUUGAAUUAGUCAAUCUCAUUUCUAAUGGCAUUCACAGAGAACCUAUAAAACAAAAAAAUUAUAAAAAAAAAAAUCAUCCAUAAUUCGCCAAACCGAAAAGAAAAACAGGGGAAUGAAAAGAGAGCCCACGGGAAUGAAGAGAUCAGCUCUUGUCGCGAAAAUGCAGUCGACUGUAACUAUAUCCGGGUCCCUAGUACUUAGAAGUAAAUGCUCUUGGAAUUUCUAUUAUAGAUUGAUGUUUCCCGUUCAAAUAGCUCUUCCGAUACCAUUAACAUGUUCAUCUCUCUAUAGAUUGAUGUUGACAUAGAUGUUAUUCUACUUUUGCUAGUGGAGUUUUCCUUGUACAGGUAUGUAUGAUUGUUUUUUUUGCACUUCUAAAUGGACACUGUUGAAAAGCUUAAAAUUGAACUGAUAAUUUUGUUUGGAAGCUCAGAAAAUUCAUGAGAAAGUGAAAUAGAAUAUUCUGGAUUUCUUUUCUUUCCAUAAUAUACAAAUGACAAACGUAGCAGUAUUUAUACUCGUUGCUUACAUCAUAAAAACAGAAUUAAAACAAGGUACACAACUAUAACAGAAUCAAAAGCGUGCUUAACUAAUUGGCAGAGCUGGCAUAUACUUCUUUAACUAACAAUGCUGCUGACUGGACUUUAGCUCACACAUGCUUAUCGUGCAGCUACUCUUAGUUCACACGUGCUCAGUCUGCUGUUGGCCCAAAGUUGGAACCAGAGAUAUCAUGACUCUGGUUUCAUUUCACCUCAACUGUGUUUUUUUUUUUAAAUUAAAAAAAUCAUUUGUUUUAGGUAUACAUACAUGUAUUUUGAUUCUAUUUUCAUUGUAAUUUCUCAUUUACUUUGAAUGAAAGUCAUUGGUGUUUUCGAAUGGGAAUUUUGCAUUAAAAAAUGAAGAAUAGUGAUUUUUGGAGUGUAAUUAGUAGUAAAGUUGGUUUUUACUCGCAAACAAGUGAACUGCUCGAUUCCCGAGUGGUAUCAACCAGUUUCCAACUUUUUAAUAUACACUAAUUGUUAUUGUUUAAUAGCUACUACUAUUAAAACUCGACAUCUAACAAAAAUACUUAAAAAAAAUGAUUUUUCUUAUGAUGCUGUAAAAAAAAAUUACGGGUUUACUUCUUUCCAUGAGAUCUAUAACAUGGUCUUGACUUCACGAAAUUCUUUUAAUUUAAAGCUUGCUGGUGUGAGAAGGUCAGUUUGACUGAUUAAUUCUUUUUAACAGUGGUCGAGAUAAUUUUACUAUCUAAUCGAAUGUUAUGCUGUUUUCUUUUUCUAAUCUGGUGUGAGAUAAUUAAUUCUUUUUCACAAAUGCUAUGCUGUUUUCUUAGGCUAAGGAUCUUCUAUCAGGAGAGGUUAGAAAUUCAAUGCUUAAAAGAGAAUAAUACAGAAAUUUAGGCAGAAUCUAAUCGAAUAUUGCAUGAAACAUGAAAAAUCAAUUCAAGUCCUUUCUUUAAACGGAGAAUGCAUCAAACAAAAUCCAAAGUGUCUUGCACGUCUGUAGCAUGAGCAAAAAAUUGUAAAUAUGUAGAACCAAAUUAUUCAAGUACAGAAGAACGAGCAAGCUAAAUCAUGUAUAAGAGAUUGGCCUGGUUCGGGAUAGCUUCUUCACUGUACCUGAAGGAUUGGCUCAAUCUCUUCUUUAGAAUUCUGCAGAUUUUGUAAUUACUCGUGUAAGCAAGCAUACAUUGCCACCAUAAGAAUAAUAAAGCUAGAGUAAUGAUAUGACCACCACCUCUUGUGCACAAACAAUAUUGUAUAAACUAAUGCGACAUAAUAUGAUUGGUUAAACAAAAACAUUACAUGGCCCUCAUAAUUUAUUUAUUUAUUUAUUUAUUUAUUAUUAUAUUUUUUCAGUAAACCAAUCAUAUUAUAUCACAUUAGUUUCUAUAAAAUAAUUUGCUAAAUAGCACCAAAACUUAAUUGAUACUCACCAUUUCAUUGAACAAUUUUUUUAUGGUGUCAUUGAGAUUGCCUUCCCAACAUCCUUCAUCAUCAUCAUCUUCAUCAUCAUCAUCAUCUUCUUCAUCAUCAUCUUCUUCAUCAUCAUCUUUUUCUUCUUCUGUGACGUUCACUUUGUUUAGCAUUGGUGUGUCUAAGACUCCUUGAGAGAAGAUCUUCAUUUUUGGACACUGUCUCACAACUACUGGUUUCAAGGACGGGAAUUCAAGAGCGUAAUUACCCGAACAAAAGCUUGUUAGGCUUGGCAAACAAUCAAGUCCCAAGUACUCCAAUUCCUCGAAGACAACGCAACCUUUCGCUUCUUCUCCAACCUGCAAUUGUAUGAUUUGUUCUAUCAUUUUGCAAUCAGCUAUCUUCAUUCUUUGAAGAGUCACUAGACUUUCAGAUGUUGAGAGCGUCAAUAAAUUUAUCAACCCAUGACACUUCGAUACUUCCAGAGUCGCAAGAUUUUCCAAAUGCCACGAAGCUGGUACUAAUUUCUGCAACUUACUACAUUCAAAUAUUUCUGGACUUUUCAAGUUUGCAAACACUUUGUUGGAUUUGGCAUUUUCCUUCCAGAGAUGCUGCACUUUGUGUAAUCCAGAUAGCUUUAACUUCAUCAAUUGAGGGAAUGCAACCUGAAAAUCAACAAAAUUAAGUUGUAAAUGAAAAUAUGUAUCCAAUCUCUGCAGUCUUCCCCUGCAUAUUUUAUGAACAAGAUUAAUCACGACAUUUUAUAUUUUAUUUCCAAAUUAGUAUGCUUUGCAGUAGGAUCCCAAAUAUAAGUAUCAAAUCGAUUACCCUUUGAAACACAUAAAUGAAAUCUGAUGCUAAAUCCAAUAUGAAUUAGCUAGGAAAACAGAGAUGUAACACGCAUAAUCGAUAUAGUUCAUCGCCUUAUGUCACCAGGCAUCUAAUUAAUUUAAGACAUUUUUAUAAUUCAUACUAUAAAGUUAGUUAAUAACAGAGGUUAUAUUGUUAAAUCAGAUAUAAAUUAAGACGACCUGCAAAAAGAUGAGUCAUUAAGUUUGAUUUGAUUCUAAUGAAAUUACAUCUGUGCGAACGAAAGUGAAGGCAAUAAUAAUAAUAAUAAUAAUAAUCACCUUUUCAUCGAAGAGGGGUUGUACUUGAUGAGCCAGCAAGAAGUUCUCUUCUGAUGUUAAUUUUUGAGGUUUCUUGUUAUCUGUUGUCACGUGCACUAAAGAGUUGGAUAUGAAUGUUUCCAUAUCAGGGCAAUUCUCAAUAGUUAGAUUCUCCAACUCAAGCAUUUCAAUUAUAUUCCCAGUGAAGUUGCAGAAUCUUUUGAGUUUUGGAAGGUCAAUGAGCCUUAGCUCGAAAAGCUUAGGAAACAGGGGACCUAUAUGUUCUUUGUCAGCAUUUAGCACUUCCAAAUGAAGCACCUCUUCCAGUGAAUCACAAUUCCUCACUUCCAACCAUUCCAAAUUGUUCAAGCACCGUAGCAGAUUGGCAGGAAUAGCACUCGACAUAUUCGUGCAGUCAUCCACCACCAGGUGUCUUAAAUUGUUGAAGAAGCUGACAGGCAGUGCUUGGCCAUGCGAUAUUUCUUUCAAACGUGGAAAAUGUGAGAAUUGCAAAAACUCCAUGUCACGAAAUCCAAUCUGCUCAAACCAAAACAAUUGCACUGGAUAUAUACAAUUUUUUUUUUGAAAGGCAUUAGAUAUAUAUAUAUACAUUAAACUUACAUGUUUUGUGUUUUAACUUCUAAAAAUAUAUUUAAAUGUGCAAGUGCAGGGGAGAUGCAUGAACAAUUUGGAUGAAUCGAUUAACACAUACCAUUUCUUCGUAACACUUUUGUAUAGUGGAAUUAAGCUUAUUGCCUUCCCAAUGGUGCAGUUCACCCCCUUCCUUUUCAGUCACUUGCACUUUGCAUGGCUUUGGAAUGGAUAAGAUUCCCUGAGAAAAAGUCUUCAUGUUUGGACAACGUAUCAUAGAAACUCGUUCCAAUGAUGGGAAUUCAAGAGUGUAAUUCUCCAAACAAAAGCUGGUAAGCCUUCGUAAAUCAUCAAGUAUCAAAACUUUUAAUUCGCUGAAAGCAAUACGAUUCUCCUUCGCUUCUUCUCCAACAUGUCCUACGAUUUCUUCUAAUUCUUUGCAAUCCGAUACUUUAAGAUUCACCAGACUACUAGGAAUUCCAACCUGAAAAUAAGCAAAAGUGUGCGCAUGUGUGGUGUAUUAAAAAAGUAUGUUAAUCAUACAAUUAUGCAUUUUAUAAACAUAACAAACCAUGAAAUGUCUACUAGAUAAUUUUUUGUUAAACAAAAACGGAACAAGAUAAAUAAAUAAAUAAAAUCCAGAUAAACAAAGAUAAUAAAAAUACAUUUACACUAUUUAGUAUUAGAAACGUAGAAAUAAUUUAAGGCAAUUUCUAAAUAUUUUAGACUUAUUUUGCAUCUUGAUAUCAGUUUUUAAGCAUAAAUUUGCAAAUUUCAACUAUUCCUUCUUUUUUUUUUAAAAAAAAAGGGACCAUUUUCCUUGGUCCCUUUUUUUUAUGUAUAUUUAAAAAUGGAAAAAAAAAUUUGGAAAAGACUUCCCAAUACUGUCAACGAGGGACUGCUGUAAAGUGGAUCUUUAUUAAGUACUUCCAGACUAGAGGAAAUUUCUUUACAAUCAAGGGUCAGUUGUAAAUAAUCAUGAAUUUGUGGUUAAUUAAUGGCAUAAUCAAUUCGUAACUAAACUAGAGAUAUUAAUUAAAUUUGAAGACUUUUAUUUUCUUUUUUUCUUUUUCCAAUCGAAAUGUGAAGAAUUAAGGAAAAGAGAAAUAUAUAGAUGAAUUCGUGAACCUAUAAGAUGAGUGACGAUCCUUUAAUUUUUGAAAAUCGUACUUAUUAAGAUAUGAGCAAAAACUAUUUAAUUGAAUUAUAUUAUGCUGUUGAAUCGUGUUUAAAAAAUUUAUAUUGUUGAUUCUAAUGCUGACGAACCUAAGAUACUUGAAAUAAAUAAUCAGUUUGCUGGCUGAAUAUCAUUUGUAAACAAAAAAUGGUUAAAAUAUUGUUGGAUGUAAUUUGAAAAAAAAAAGAUUCGAAAUGAAUACAGCAACCUUACCAAUGGAGGAAAAAUAUUCAUUAGGUUAUCACACCCAAUUAUCUCCAAAUUCUUCAAUUUGCUGAAAGACUCCGAAGCAAGCUGGUGGUGCCAUAUUUUUCUCAAAUUAUCCAUCAACCUAAUACGUAAUACCUCCAACCUAGUAAGUCGUACCUGGCAGUUAAAGAUUAAAUAACUAAUUAAUCAAUUAAUGGCAUAAUCAAUUGAUAACUAAAUUAGAGGCGGAUAUUAACUAAAUUUGAAGACUCAAGGAAAAGACAAAUUAAAUAUUGUGACUAAAAUUAAAUUUUUUUAUUAAAAAAAAAACCUUUUUGUCAAAGAGAGGAGGAGGUUGCAUUUCAGAAUGAAUGGUGUCUUCUGGUGAGCUCGUAGAGAUGAAUCUCGACAUACUGUUGCACCAACUAAUCUCGAGGUUUAGCAAAGAAGGGAAUUCAACAACUAAAUCUGAAUGAAUAUGUCCCGUAUUGGCAAAGCUUGUUAGUUCUGGAAGAAAAUGGAGCUUGAGGGAGUGUAGUUUAGGAAAAACCUUUAAUUCAAUCAACUUUCCUUCUUCUCUUUCUGACCACCCCGUGGUGUCGACCACCCCUUCCAUUGACUCACAAGACCGUAUUUCAAGAUGUUGGAGUUGCAAAAGACUAUUAACCAUAGAAUACGAAAACAGAUACUUCAUACGAUGACAACUGCUCACGUACAGCUUUGUUAAAUUUUGACAACAGUACAUUCCUUGAUUAUGAUCGGCCCAUAAUUUUUUCAUGUUUCUUAAGUCCCUGAGAUUCAAUUCCUCUAACCUCGGAAGAAUAACCUGCAAAGAAAACCCGUACAUUUUUGUUCCUUCAAGUACAACCGUCUAGUAUAAUAUUCUUUUGAUGAUCGAAGAUUAAUCGUGAUAAUAAAUUAAUCAAUUAAUUAUUGAACAGAAAAUUAUCACCUUUGGAGCAGUAUCAUCAUCAGCAAUGAUUUCGUUGAAUCCCAAAGAAGUUGUUGGUUUCUCCCUGUCGGGUCCUAUAAACAAACAAAAACAAUAUAUACAUAAUUAAUCUUUGUUGUUUUUUUUUUUCCAAAAUAAUUGAGGAGAAGUCCAUAAUCCCACCAAUACUUAACUUCAACACUCACCAAAAAUCAUUUCCAGAUCACCGCAAAGAGCCACUUCUACCUUUUGAAGCCGCAGUAGGUUUUUGGCCAUGGAGAAUGAGAAAAGAUGCUUCAAUUUGUGACAGGCUUCUACUUCUAUAAUCCUUAAGUUGCUGAAAGAUUGAUCUUCUGUGAGUUGGCUGUCACAUAUUGUCUCCAAAUUGUUCAAAUAGCUAAGAGACAAUGACUCCAGCAAGGGAAAGACUGUACAAUGAACCCGUCCAACUGAACCGACAAUAUGCAAAAUCUCAGAACAACUUUCUACCCAAAGAUGCUUCAAUCGUGGAAAACCUUCCCCAUCAUCUAAUUCAUGAACAACAUUCUGAACACCCUUCAGUUCGUUUAGAUGGAUCUCUUCAGCUUCCUUCAGCAACAUUUUCGUCCCAUAAUUCUCCAAAAGAGUGCUAACAUUUUCUAGCCCAUCGAGCUCCACCAUUCUUGAUGUUUUAGAAUUAACGCCUCACAUGCGCCACGCUUCUCCUAUACAUAUCUUAUAUCUUUGCAAUUCCACAGAGACCAAAUCCUGCGGUAGAAUUUCGGCAUCCCGAACGUGUAUCUCCAAGGUAGUUAGCUUUGACAACCCCUUCAAUUCAGCAAGACUGGCGUUACUUCCUCCUUCAACCUUAUCCCACUGCGAAAAGCUGUCACCCAUAUAUAGUUCUUCCAAUCGUGAAAAUUUUGAUAUGACAUUUGGUGCUAUCACUACAAGGCUCCUACAAUUGCUCAAAUCUAGCAAUUGUAACCGCGUCAAUUGACCGAUUUCAAGUGGUAACUGCUUAAUGUCGGAAUAUCGAAAGCUAAGAAUCUCUAAUUUCUUUAGCUGUCCAAUUGCCGCUACAUCUUCUUGUUGGCACCAGUCUAAACACAAUGUUUGAAGGUUAAUGAGGCGACCUAGUGACGAAAGUAAUGAAGAGAAAUGAAUUCCAGUAAAAUCUAAAACUUUGAGUUCUUCUGUCCCUUCAAAAAAGAGGUCUGAAACUUGCAUAGGGCCAUUACCCUCCGUAUACAACAAAAAUAACUGGAGAUUGGGACAUCCCAACCUUUCGGGAAGCUCUUGAAUAUCUCUAUAAGGUAAAGAAAUAGCAAUUGGACCUUUCUGUAUUGUCUCUUCCAUCUUUUUCUCCACGUCAGCAACAUUUGGAAUAUUAAACAUGCGCUUCUCUGCUGCAAUUGAUACAGCAACAACAUGAAUGACGUCAUGCAUUUUAACUUCAUCUUUGGCAUCACCGUCCAACAAUAAGCAUGAAGAUUUGAGAUUGUCGAUCAACCGAUGCACUCUACUCCUUGCUUCUUCCAAUGUGUAAACAUUUUCAAACAAACCCCAACCCACACCAUGUCUCAAUAAGUCAGAAACGGGUAUGACAUUACCUUCACUGUAUAGACCACAAAGACGGAACAGAGAUUUUGCCUCCUCACUUUCCAAGAAUUCAUAACUCAAUUUUAUGGAGGUGUACACAUUUGCUUGCAUGCCAUGAAUUUCUCUUGCAUCCGAUCUUCUUAGCUGAUUCAAUGCAUCUUGCCAAAAGUAACGCUCCUUAGUUUUCAGAGCAUUUGCAACUGUACUCAGUGCAACAGGCAAACCUCCGCAUCUUUCAACGAUCUCAUUUGCUAUACUUUGAAAAGCAGAUAUUUUAGUUGAAUCACCCACUAUCUUCUCAAAUAACUGCAAUGCUUCUUUUCGUGGCAAAGCAUCGAUCGGGAAAUUUUUCUGAGAAUUCAUAUCAAUGCUCAAUAAAUCUUGCUUUCUAGACGUCAAUAUUAUUGUGCAUCUUCUCUGAUCAUCCUUUCUAUCUUUCUCAGCAACAUCUCCAGAAGGGAUUCCAACCGCAUCCAACUCAAGUCUUGUCCAAAUAUUAUCCAAUAUAAUGAGGACCCGCUUCUCUUUCUUCAAUACUCGACGUAGUCGAUUUGCUCUGUCGAAUAUAUUCUCAUUCAACUCAAACUUUAUGCCUAAAUCUGAAGCGAGUUUGUUUUGAAUUUGCUGAUUAUCUGAUUCAUGUGUUAGCUCAGCCAUAACGACCUUAUCGAACAACUUAUCUUCCAUCACUUGCUUUCUAACUUGCCUGACUAGCGUGGUUUUACCCACGCCGCCCAUGCCGUAGACCCCAAUUAUGUUGAGCUUAUCAUCCUUCAACGCCUCCAUAACAUCCUGUAAUACUUUCUUUCUUGAAUCAAAGGCCUCGUUAUCUUUCCCGCCCCUAGGUGAUUCGCUCUCUGGAGGAGGAUCGUAGGAAACAUCACUCUUCAGUUUGUCGCCUUUUUCCAUGAGAUUAGCAGCAUCUUUUGCGGCCUUUGCUGCUCGUUUACUGAGUUUGUAACGAGACAACAAAUUUGGACACAAUCCUUUGAAGCAGGACUUCUUGGCUCCAUCUUCUUCGUCAAUGAUAGAUUUUGCAACCCCCUCCGUAGAUUCAACCCUACUUCGCCAGUCUUUGACACGCUGAUAAAUCUCUUCCCCUUGUCGGGUAGCAUGAUAAACAUGUUGUUGCACCAUUUCGUUUAUACCUCCCAACUCCUUCACUUGAUCUUUCAGCUCUUCUAUGUAGCUCUGGUACUUGAACACAUAAGAGAUCUGCCGCAUAAUCGGUUCGAACAAUGCCUUUGUGCCUUCUGAUAUAAUGCUUGAAAAAACACCUUGACAGAAUUCUACAGCCAUUGCCUGCUGCUUAACGAUAUAUAUGUAGUUUUUGGCUGUUAAAAAAAAAAAAAUUGGAUUCAAAUAAAUUAAAUGAACUAGAGGGGAAGAAAAAGAAAGAAACGACAACAAACAACUUUUUAGAGAAAGGUUUGACAGGCCUAAAUGGAAAACCAACAACUUUUUGAAGAAAGAAAACUUUGGAAGAUAGAUGCAAAUUAACCGUUGAUAAUAAUACUACAUUAAGAACACAGAAGUUAACAAUAAACAGUAACUUAAAACUCAAGAAAAUUAAAUGACGAGAUUAAGACAAACAAGGGAUAGUUUUUGUUGGACAUUAAGAAACAACUGCUAUCAAGAUCAAGGAUUAGAAAUUAUGCUAUUAAAAGAAGUUAUUAAAGGAUAGUGCUCGUGACUGCAGGAAAAUUUCUAAUGGAAACAACUCAAUUUCAGAAGAAUUUAUCCAAUUGACUCUGUACUUGAACUCGUUGGAUUGGUUGAUUUAUGAUUGACUGAAUUUCAAUUCGGCCCAAAAGAUCUUUAACCAAAGUUUAAUAGCUAUCAUCUACUCCUUAAAAGCAAAUGUGUAUCUUUUUUAGAUUUGACUGAAUUUGAUCUUGUUGGAUUGGUUUUUUUUUAGACAAAGUUGUUUUCCUACUGAUUUUUAUUCUUCAAGUAAACUUAGAUACAAAGUAAAUCUAAAAAAAUGACAAACAAACAAUGAAAUAAACGACAACAAACUGGCAAUUUUGAUACAAAGCCAACAAAUAUUAAAAUUUAGAACAUUUUGUUUUCUUGCUUUCUUUUGUUGGAGGAUUAGAGAUUUUGGUAUUACCCGAAAGGUUUCAAGGGUCUGAGUAGAAACCUAUAAUCUUUUUAAAAACUUUUUUUUAAAAAAUUUUUUUUGGGGAAAAGGAUGCAAAUUAACCAAAGGAAAUAAUAAGAGCACAGGCUUUAUCAAUGAACAAAAACUUAAAACUCAUGCAAAAUAAUUCAAUAUUAAAACAAAUCACUGAGGAAUAUUUAAGAACAACUUGAAAGAGCAAAAAGAUCACUGAGGAAUGUGUGAGAAAAGAGUUGACGAGAGAAAUAACAAUGACUUGCAGAAGAAAAACCAUUAAUAAUUAUGUGCAUUUUUAUUUUAUUUUUAUCCGCAUGCACUUUAAUGAUUAGUGCUCCUUUCAUAAAGCAGCUACCGGAAACACACAAAUAUCAUUUGAGAGAGAAACUAAACAGCAAAUCAUCAAAGUAAGAUCAAUAAUAUAUUAUUUGGUUAAUGCAUAUUCAAGAACAAAAACAAAAAUAAAUAAAUAAAUAAAGAAGGUUUGAUUUUGUAUUGCCAACGCUGCUUUUUUGUUAUUUCAUUUGUUCUUUCCACAAAUGAUGCUUGGUUAUAAUUAAGUUUCACAUGGCCAUUACUUACAAACUGUGUUUGUGUUAACAGAAACAUGAAAUUCACAUCACACAAAAUUGCACUAUCAAUUCUUAAUAGAACAUAAUAAUAAUUACUCAACGCAUAAGGGUAAAUUUAGAAUUACAUUUUCUCAAUGCAGAAGGGUAAAUUUAGAAUUACAUUUUCUGAUUCUUUUUUAUUUAAUAAAACCCCAAUGGAAAAUCAUAAAAAUUUAGAUAUAUAAAUUUUCUCCACCAAACAAGAAAAAAAAAGGGGGAAUGAAAACACAGGAUUUAUUUUACCUCUCUUUCAUCUUAACUCUUUUUCAGGCAAACCAAAACAAAAAAAUUUCAAUAAAGAGCUAGUUGUUGAAAUUGAUUUAUCUUGUUUUUCAGGCUAUCUUGUGACGUGACGAUAGAUAAUGCUCGUGAAUGCUAGAAAAUUUCUAAUGCAAACAACUCAAUUUGGGAUGAUAAGCUUAAUUUUGCAAAUGACGAAUGUAAAUAACUUGUUUUGAUUAAUUGAAUUUGUAAUACUCUUACCCUAUUCUAAAAUUUGGAGGUUGCUUGAGAAAAAAGGGUAUUUCUCACUCAUCUUCAAUCCUCAAGUAAAAUUAGGUAAAAAUCAAAUCUAAAAAAUCACAAACAAAUUAACAAAAAAAAAAAAAAAAACAACAACAUUGAUCUUGAGACAAGUGAUAUUUAAACAGAGAAUUCUUUAUUCUUUUUUACUUCCCCCUCCCCCCCCGGGGGGCUCGAGGAUUAAAGUCUUGCUAUUAACAGAGAGGUUUUAAGAGUCUGGAUAAAACCCGUGCUUUUUUAAAAAACCACUUUUUUUUUUCUUUUCUCUUUUUUUUGGGAAGAUAGAUUCAAAUUAACCAAAGCUAGUAAUAAGAGCACAUACCUUACAAAUGAACAAUAACUUACAACUCAAGCAACAUAAAUGAUAAGAUUAAAACAAACCGGAGAAAUUUUUCUUGGAAAAUAGACGGAAAUUAAAUAAGAACUGCUGUUAAAAGAAAUUAUUAGAGGAUUUAGGAGCAUGUGUACCUCUUUAAUUAUUUGGGAUCAGAGAGUUGAUGAGCUCUCUAUUCGCCUUUAAUAUUGAGUAAGAACUGGUAUUAAAAGAAAUUAUUAAGAACAAUAUUUCAGUGAGCAAAAGAUCACUGUUAACUGCAGAGGAAUUUGCGAGUAAAAAUUAAGCUGAAAAGAGCAGUAACAAUGAAUUGCAAAAGAAGGAGACUUAAUCAAGCACCCCUUUUAUACCCGAUUUUUAAGAUUUAAUUUUGAAGUUCCCAAUCAAGAACAAAGACGAAGCUUUAAUGAAGCAUGCAGUGAGAUACAAGAAAUGGAUCGGGCAAAAUACCUUACGAAGCGUUUCAUAUUUUCUAAUGAAAUAAUUAAGUUGAAGUUUUCGACGAAUAAAUACUUGUUGUGCUUGAAUAAUUUUGGCAUAUACAUUACUUGUAUCCGGCGAAAUUGAAAAGCACAUUCAUUUACAGAGCUUGUUAGUAGGGAAAAGCUUCGUAAGAUGCCUGAUAAAAGAUAAAGCAAAAGCUUGAAUGAAGAAUGACAUUUUAGAAAGAAACUAAAGUGCAAUCAUCAAAGUAGGAUCAAUAGUGACUUGAUCAGUUAUGCUUUUUGUUAUUUCAAUUGUUCUGUCCACAAAUGAUGCUUCGUUAUUACUAAUUCCACAUGGACAUUAUUUAGAAACUGAUCUUAUGUUUAACAGAAAAAUAAAAACUCGUCAUCAUAAGCAUUCUUGGUUGUCCUAAACCAGAAGUAGGUGUUUUGCCUGAAAGUACCACUUUGCUAGCAAAUCUAGUGGGUAUACUGAAUAAAUUUUUACAUUAUUCUAUUUGAUCUCUCUGUCUUUAUCCUAAGCAUUCUUGGUUGGGAUCGCUGCAUUGUCCUGUAAUCUGUGUGACUUAGUGAAAAGAGGAAUGGGUAACUGUGGUUAUGGGUACGUGAGAGGUAACGAUGAGGGUAGAUUGUUAAUUUUGAGGAGCGAUUUGCUUGCAUAAUUCAAUGCAUGGACAGAAAUGUCCCUGACCAAAAAAAGGGACCAUCCAUAUCUGAAUCUGAGCAUCAGAGCUUGACUUAUUUGAUAAAUAGAUAUACUUGAACUGUUUUUGCAUAAUAACUAAAAUAUUUAUUUUUAUAUAUUCGAUAAACGAGCUCACUAUUGAUAGAACUUAUUAGAUACUACAACUCAAAUAACUUCUUGUGCUUGAUUGAGGUUUUUAUAUAUUCGUAUGUUUGAGUUUUUUUUUUUUUUUUACUUUCUAAGAAUUAACUUCUACCUUGAUUCUAAAAAAAAAUAUAUAAUUUUACAAAUAAUUUAGUUCGGCAUUUGGUAAAUGAUAACUAUUUGAGAAUAAGUUUUAAAAUGGUUUACUGUACAAAUCUGGUAAAUGAAAAUUAAAAGUGUAAAAUGUUCACAUAAUGAAAAUUAAAAGUGUAAAAUGUUCACUUGCAAUGACAACAAAUACUUAUUUACUUAUUUGUAAUUUAUUUUGAAUAUUAUUGUUUAAAUCAUUUUUUUUACUUACCAGAUUUUUUAAGAGCAUUCUAUUUUCUUUAUUACAUAGUUAAAUAAUUUUUUAUUAGCUAUUUUAUUUUGCAAUAAAAUUAACUUCAAUAUUUUUUUAACUAAAAAUUUUGUUAUGUAGUUCGUGAUAUAACAAAUACUAACAUAUCAUUAAAUUGAUUAAUAAAUUAAGUGCAAAAAAGAAAAUGCAGAAAUUUAAUCUUUAUAUAAACUUUUAUGUACAUAAAAUCAUUGUAAUCAAACUAGUUCAUAGAAAUAUAAUAUUAUAUACAUGUGUGUAAAAAAAACAUAUGACCAUAAUAUUAUCCACUCAUUAAACUUGCUGCACUAUUAUUUCUCAAUCUCUCCAUCUCUCGACCUUCAAGAACAUUACUACCAUAAUCUUCUUCUUGAAUUCAACCUCCAUUUCCUCAUCAUCAACAAUGCGACCAAUUUGCCUUGAUAGCCUUUCAACUCCUCCCACUUUCCUCCCUUUUUGCAGACACUCUUUUUCUUUUUCUUUUUCUUCUUUAAUAGCUUCAAUGGGAACAACCUCAUCUAACGACAAGUCCAUUCUUCAACUAGAAUAGAGUUGGUAGUAGAUAUUUUAGUACUCUCAAACUAUGCCCAAACAGGGUCACCAAUGAUUGUCGUAUUAAAAGACAUUCUAUUUAAUUUUCCUCUAACUCUGGGUCGAUACCUUUUAUGCAAAAUCUAUUUACUUCAGGAAUUUUCUACACAUGUCGAUAGCAUAUUAAAGUGAAUUCAGAUCCUAUAUUAUUGACAUUAAAAUUUAGCCGAAUAGUAAAAAAUUUCCCUUUUUGUUUGUCACACAGCCAUAUAGUCCCAUUUUUGGUUAUAAGCUCACAAUAUGCAAGGGAAAUGAAGAUCUAUUAAAACUUCCCCAUAAUGUUCAUUUUGUUGCUCGGAGGAAUAUAACUACCUAUUAAUUAAUUAGCAAGAAUUGCGUUGCGAGUCCAUGUUUUUGUCGUUUGGAUGGAGGAUGUGCUAUCUUUUUGUUGUAGAUGCUUUGUAAGGCUUUUGAUUUAAUGAUUUAAUGCAGUCAAUUAACAAAAGCUUACAUAUAGUAUUAUGUAGUUGCUGAGAUGUCUGUUCUUGAUAAAGUCGAUUUAUUUACACCCAAGCCAACGGAAUCAAAGCCUUUUCGUUAAUAAUAUACACGGUAAUUGUUUUUGUUAAAUUGAUUUCUAGCUAACAAGAUCUUUGAAAGCAUUUAGGUAGCGUUUACAUUUUAUGUUGGAGUGAGAAUCAUGAGGAGUGAGAAUCCUGGGAUUAGAAGUGUGGAGUGGGAGUCGAAGUAUGUUGUUUACUUACACUGGAAUGGAAGUAUGGAAUUGAAAUCAGAAUCCAAUUUAUUUGUUUACAUUGUCUUGGAUUGGGAGUAAAUGAUUUUAAAUUACAACUUUACUCUUAAAAAAUUAUAGUUAUUACUUACAAAAUUAAUAAAAAUUAUAUUUAAAAAAUAAAAUAUUUAUUUUAUUAUAUUUUUAAAAUAAUAAUAAUAAUUAAUAUUCUUAACUAUGUAAAUCAAAAUUAUUUUAUUAAUUUAAAUUUAAAUUAUAUAAAUAAAAAAUUAUUAAUAACAACAACACAAAUGAAACAUUAUUAUUGUACAAAAUUGAUUUUUAGAAUAAAAUAUUUAUUAUUAUUAAUCACUAAUAUUAAAUAAAUAUAAUAGUAUUAUUUUUAAAUAAGUAUAAUAAUAUUAUAUUUUCAAAUAAAAAUAGAAUAUAGUAAUAUUAUUAAUUCUUUAUGAAUAUAAUAAUAUAAUUUUUAAGUAAUUUUAAAUUAGAAUCAAUAUAAAUUAUUAUUUUUAACCAAAAAAUUAAUAUUAUUUUCAAUAUGUUUAAUAUUAUUAUUUUUAAUAAAUGUAAUUUAUAAAAUAAUAUAAUAAUUUAAUUUAAAUAAAUAUGAUAUUAUUUAUUUUAUUUUAUUAAAUAUAAAGGUAAAAAAUGAAGAGAGGCGAGUGAAUUCCCACUCCCACCUUGCCCCAUGAGAGUGGGAAUCCCAUUCAGUCACUCCAAAGUUAGGUGGGAUCCACAGAGUGGAAUUCUCACUCUCCCUUUGAAAAUUGUAAGUAAACACUAGAGUAAAAGAAAUCCACACUCCUCACUCUCACUCCAAAAAGUACACACUACAUUGAAGAAGCCAUUGACUCAUAAGAAAGCCAUGAUUAAAUACAAGGCGAAGCAUGUGAGCUCGUUUUUCAAUCUCUUUGAUCACUCAUAAGUUUUUCUAUACCACUCACUAUAUCAUCCUUUUAAGUCAAUUUUGACUGAUCAUCAGAGAUCAUGCACCCCACCUUGAGAUGAUUGAUCACCAAUUUGGCAUUGUAACAUUGAUCACCUCUAAUUGGCCAAGCUAAAAUUGGGACCCCAAAACCAAUUGCUUCUACAGUUGAAUUUUAUCCACAGUGAGAUAAAAAUCCACCUGUUAAUUGAUAACUCAGUAUCAAUAAUUGUGGUGCCAUUCCAUCUAUUAUCAAACCCUUUUUACUGGCUCUACUAUCUAAACCACUACGAAAAUAAGCUGGUUAAAUGACGUAGAGGAUCCAAUCUAUUUACAUAAGUUUGAAUUACCUAAAUAAUCGGUGGAUUUGAUGCUUAUAAAUCAGAGGGAAUUGCAGCAGAUACACCUUCAUACUUUAAAAAUUACCUCAAUACCUUAAAAUUUGAUUUUUCCAAAAUUUUCAUCAAUAUCCUUUAAAAGCUGAUAGGAAAUGACUAAGUUAUCCUCGUUUUAAAACACUUCAACUCAACUGGCAGCACCUCUCCCUCCCUCUACUCAAACAAACAAACACUCAUAUAUGCUACAAUUCCCUCCACUACCUUUACUCAAACAAACAAACAUUCAUUCUCCAUACAUGCUAAAUCGAACUUCAACACGAGCAAAUUGAGCUGAGAAAGGGAAGCUGCUACAACUGAGAAAGAGAAGCCUAGUUCGUCGCUACAUAAUCGCCAGCGAGAGUUGAUCCUUUAUUGCAAAAUGGUCAGAAUGUAACUAGUUGAGGUAAGUAAUUCCCUAUAAUUUGUUUUCUUGUUGAUAUUCAAGGGAAAAAACAAAAAGUUAGGGUUUUAUAUUGAAAAAAUAAUUAAUUAGUUGCGGGUCUCUCAUAACAUGUUCGAAAACACAUUUCUAGUUGUUUUGUUGCAUGCAAAUUGUGAAAAAUUAAUGGAUUGUGCCGAUUAUAAUUUUUUCAUGUAACACACGAUUUGGUCAUGUAAGGUUAUGUAAGAUUCAAGGUUGUGUAUUACACGACCUUCAUGUAUUGCACGAUUACAUGACCUUCAUAUAUUGCACGAUUACACGAGCUUUAUGUAUUACACAAUUACAUGACCUUCAAUUCCAGAUUGAGGAGUAAAAAGUUUAUCAUCUCUCCAGGUGUGUUCUGUAAUUUAAUUUUUUGUUUCUUGUCGAUAGAAUAUACACAUUACAUUUAGUUUAAUUAGGCUCACAAUUGGGGACAAUAAAUUGGAAUGGUACAUAUGCCUUUACCUUGUGGAAUGUCAUUACUUAGAGAGAUCCUUAAUUUGCAAUUAUAAGCCAUGGUAAGUCAUGGUAUGUCUAGUUAUGAGUGGAAACACUUUGAUCAUUGCGAAUGGUGUUCUUAUGUGUAUAACAUUACAUUAAUUUCCUAUAGUUAAUUUUUUUUCCUAAUUGAUUUCAUGGAUUAAUUAUAUGCAGGCAUUCCUCAUGUAUGCAUGUAUGUUUGGGCAGAGGAAGAAAGCACUUUGAAGAUUAAAAAAGCUUUUUAAAUGGUUGUACUAUGUUUAAUAGCGAUGUUCAUUAGUGUAUCAUAUCCAAAUAUUGAAAAAUUUGUACACUGAUAACUUUGUUUAUUUAUACUAAUUAAUCUAAUCAUUUCUCAAACUGUCGGAUGUUCAAAUUUAGUUUUUUUUUUCUGCAAUUUAUGAACACACGAUUUGGUCGUUUAAGGUCAUGUAACAUAGGAUUCAAGGUCGUGUAAUAUACUCAUGUAUACAUGACCCUCAGUCGUCUAUGACAUGACUUUGUAUAUUAUUACGCGAUCUUGAAUCAUGUGUUACGAGUCUUUCAUGACCUUCAGUUAUAUAUUACACGACUUUCAUGUACUACACGACUUUAUGUAUUACAUGACUUUAUAUAUUGCGCGAUUAUACAGCCUCCAUGUAUUACACGACCUUAAAAUUACACGAAAUUUUCCAUUAAUCAUUAGAUUAAUUUAGUUCAUUAAAGACUUAAUUUGUGCUAAGAAUUUAUAUUUGCUGCUAUGCAGAAAAUGUCAACGAAAAUUAUUAAAAAAAAGAAGUGAAAUUAAAUUGGAAUCUAAAAAAAUUCCACAUCAUCAUUGGUUUGAAUUGUAAGUGGUGGCAUAGGAUCAGAUGUCUUAAGCUUGAACUUCAUUGUGAUUUCGAAUUCCGAAGUAUCUAUAUCAAUAAAUUGAGCUAAUCUUCACCAAUCCGGCAUAUGUUGUCGAUCGUGGUAUCAUUAUCCCUUUAGCCUUGGAACCUUUGAACUUAUACUCAUCAUUUUGGUCAAUCCAUUCACCAUUGAAGAGAAUAGGUACACGUACCAAAACCAUAUCUGAUGAUACAAUAAAAACAAUAAUAUCAAAUUUCAUAUACAAGUAACUACACGACCUACAUGACUACAUUACUUACAUGACUUACACGACCUACAUGACUAUAUUACUUACAUGACCCACAUGACUUACACGACUAUAUUACUUACACGACCUACAUGACUAACUACAUGACGUGCACGGUAUCAAAAGGAAUGCACGACGCAAAACAUUUUCACCAUAAAUAAAUUAUAUUGCUGAAAAAAAUAAUUAAACAACCUACAUUGCAUAUAAUUCUACAUAUAAGAAAAAAUGGUGAAAAUACAACAUUAUAGAGUGAGGAAAUUUUCUAAAUUUUCCUAAAAAUUAAAAAAAAAUUAAAACCCAACAACAUUAACAUAUCUUAUUGGGUUGUUUAAUGAGCAAUGCACCUAAUUUCAGUUAAAGAAAGAGUGGGUGUUAAAGAAAUGAAUAUAUAAUUGUAUUUGUGUAAGAAGUUAUGAGAGAUUUUGAGAGAUUCUAGGAGAUUUUGAGAAAAUUUCGGCAGCAAGAAAAGAUUUGGGUGAAAGAAAUAUGAAGACAAUGAAGUUGAGUGAAUUUGAUGCAUUCAUUAAGGACAUUUCAAACUUUACUUACAUUUAUUAGGGUAUCCAUGAAAACAAAAAAGGGAGGGGAUAUUUAAAUAAUUUUGAAACUAUUAAAGGGUAUUUAAUUAAAAAACCCUCUAAAUCAUUGGCUAAUGUUGAAUAAUUAUUUAAGGUAGGACCCAACAUGUAUAACACAGAUCCAUAUGAUUUCAAAUCUAAUCAUUUAAUGAUCUCAUCUUCGGUCAUGUUAGAACUCCGCCGGUUGGUUCUCAUCUCACAAUCACGAAGCACUGAACCGGCCGAUUUGUAAAAUUGUUUAGGUAACAAUGGGCCCACUCCCCACACUGGCAUCAACACCAUCGAUCCCUCCACUUGCUUCAUCCAGUGUGGUUGAUCACUCGGUUCUGAUGGACCUAUUUUCUCUGAACCGGGUGCACCUCACAAAGGUUGUGGACCACCAGGAAGGGACCCGUGAGGCCUGCGUUUAAGAUCCGAUUCGAAUAAAGCAAUAUCCUUGGGUAACCCAAGAAGUAAACGGGCCUCUCCCGGUUUGACAUCCUGGAUGCGAGCCUGCCACAUGGCACACUCUACAGCUGCUGAGCAAGCAUCAGAAGUGAAGAACCCAACAAUGGGAACUUCAAAAUUCUUGAAAACAUCAGCCGUCCAGCCCAUCAUAACGCCGAUGACUACGCAAACAGGUCGGCUUUCGGGUUCCCGGGUUGAAAGGAGGUUUCGAAGGCCUUGAAGCAUAUGGCUGUGCAUGACAACAUGGUGGUGAGAAGGAGGUGAUGGUAGUGGUUGAGAUGGGAGGGUAUUUCGGUAAUUUCACAUAGAGGGUAUUGGUGAAGAGAGGAAGGGGUGAUGCUGGUGGUGGAAACGUGAGAGGGAAUAAUGAGGGUAGAUUUGUAAUUACGAGAAGCAAUUUGCUUGCAUAAUUCAAUGCAUGGAAACAGAUGUCCCUGACCGAAGAACGGGACAAUCCAAAUCUCAGCCUCAGCAGCAUUCGCAACAGAGCUUGACAUCUUUUAUGAAUUAUUUGAGACUUAAUUGUUAUUGACUGCUUUUGCCAUCUUUCAUAAAACAUUCUUUGUUAUAUAUUCAAGUAAAUAAAUUUAUCGUUUAAAAUUAAUUUUUCAUGUGGUAAAAGCAAUACUAAAUAUGGGGUGGAGAGAAUAAUUUGUAGGGCAUACCCCCACCAUUUAUUUAAUUUCAUUAAAAAAGAAAGAAAAGAAAUAAAGGCUUGUUCAACAUUCAAUUAAAAUUAACAAUUCCAUGAUAAAAUUACUUGAGAAUAAAAAUUUUUAAAAAAAAAGUAACUCAAAAACGAGGAAUUUUUGAGUAACUGAAGAACCAUAGAUGUUUUUUGGUCAUGAGCAAUUUUUGAGUUGAGACAGAACUUGUAUAAAAAAAUAGUUUUGAAAACUUCUUUUCUUUUUUCGUAAAUAUAGAUAUAAAAUUUUAAAAUCACCAAACACAAAACCAGGAAAAUGGAAGGAGAGCCCCUGUUUCUCCUCUGUUGCAAGAACAAAUUCGGUUUCUACAGUUGUACCUUCUAAAUGCACCAUUUGUAUUGCUUUGUCUCCACUUGAGCUAACGGAAUUUGAUGAAAACAAAAUAGAUAUGAGUGGUGCUAUUCACAGCCCUCAAUAAUUCUCUCAAAACCCCUUUUCUAAUUAUACCCCGUUGAAUAAGUUCAAGACCAACUUUUCCUCUUAUAACACCACCUUCAAUUCCGUUAAUACCCUUGUUCGCUAUGAAAAUGAGGAAAAUGCCUACAUAAAAAGCUGGCUCUGAUAAUCUACCUGAAUUUACAUUAGAAAAGAGUGGACUUUGAGAAAUAAGAAGACAAUAUAGGGAAUUUUACCAAAAUAAUCCAUUUUUAUAUACAGGGAAUGGUAUUUUCUGAUAUAGGGAGGAGUGGAGAAAUUAAAUUCAGCAAAAUAAAGAACCUCCAUCGAGAAGUAAAAAUGAUGAUAUCUUUGUCGUGAAGAGAUUUCUGCCUCAUACAAAUUUUUUAUUCUAGAAUGCUUGAAACCGAAAAGUUCUGUAGUUGUUUCAAUUCAAUUGCAUACAUUGACGAAACAUUAAAUACGGAAAAAAACAAAAAAGAAAUAAUAGGACAGGGGGAUUUCGAGAAGUUCUAAAGAGAGAAAUCUAUUUAUAAGCAUUGAAAAUUAGCUCAUUAAAUUUGACAGAAUAAUAUACAAUCUCACUGUUGGCCAGAAAAUAAUAGUAAGAACUUGUGAACAUAUAUAAUCAAUUGUUUAUUACUUAAGCUCUUUUUCUUCGUUAUUUUGAAUGGGUGCAAAGAAGAGAAGUUUUGUACCCAAAUUCCAACUCGAAUUGUGUAGGCUGCUUGCAAGAGCUUCAUUAGAUUUUUAUUUGUCUUUUAAUAGUGCUUCUCGACAAAUACAGCUAGCUAUCUGUCCUUUUUGUUACUGGACUAUAGAUCAAUUGACAGUUGAAGUUAUAUUAAUUUGUUGUGCUGGAAUUGAAGCUUGUAUCUUAGCCAUUUGGUGAAGUGUCAAAUAUAUUUUUAAUUUCCUUAAAAUUGUUCAAAAUAUGUUUACACUUUUAAAGUCACUAUUAUACAUGAGUGCCCUAAAAUUGGAGAAGGCGAUUUGCCUGACAUUACCUGUAUUCGCUUGUAUAGAGAGGACGAUUUAGAUAAGUCGGAACGGAACAACCUUCAUCACAUGCUUCCUCACGUGGUUACUUAAACUGAUAUGUAAAACGUGCUCCAUCCAUGUCGUUUCCACUAAAUCGUUUUCUGUUAAGAAUCAGCUGAGCAGCACGUGAGCUAAUGAAGCUUUUACGGCUUCAAAACGCAGCCGUUUCUGGGAACCAAACUUGAUUCAUCACCUCACAACUACAGAUGAAUUAUCGAAGUGGCUGAUUGGUGCUAUACGUGUUUUUCGUAUUGAACUCAACUCUGCUAUUUUCCCAAAAGCUGGAAAACAGAAACAUCAUCCCUGUGGUUUUAUUUCACCUCAACCUUUUUCUGAUCCCAUUUUCAUUGUAAUUUCUCAUUUACUUUGAGUGAAAGUCAUUGUUGCUUUCGAACGAGGUUUUGCAACUAAAAAGGAAAAGGGGGCGGCUAUAAUACAUGCGUGCAUCUGAUACAUGCACAAAAACUGACCAUUGGAUUAAAUGGAGUGGAUCUAAUGGCUGAGAUUUGUUUUAUUAUUAAGCAAUAAAAAAAUUUGAAACAACCAGAAACCUGUAAAACCGGUCAUUUGGUUUAAGUUAAAAAUAUAUAAAUGAAAAUAACAAAAAAACCCACCACUCCCCCGCCUCACACGCGCCUCACCGCUCCCCGCUCCCUCGCCUCACCUCUCUUCUUGUUCCACGGCCAUCAACGGCGGCACGAGUCGGCGACGAUCGACUGCGGCUGUAAAUUGACCACGAUCAUCUCUCUCUCUCGGCUUGCUCAAAUUUGGCCGAUCUGUGCGCUUGCUUAAGCUUGGCCGAUCUAUGCUUGCUCGAUUACUCUUCCUAUCUUCAGUCAGAGUCAACUGUUUGACAAGAGUCGAAGUCCAAGGUUCUUUUUUACAGGAUUUGAGCUAUUCCUUUUAUUCUUCUUGCAUGUUCACUGAUAUGAAGCUUUGAUGUGGUGUUCUGAUAGCGGGUGGAAUUUGAGAUUCUCCUUUCUUCUCUAUAUGAAGGUGCUUGUCAUGUGUCAAGAAAAAUAAAAUUAUUUACCAAAGAUUAUUUUAAGGAGAUUUAUUAUUAUUCGUGGAUCGGGAAGUUUAUUUUGUUUUUUGGUCUCUUAUUUAUUUAUUGUUUUCACGAGGAAAUUGCUGUGCUUUUGGAAAUUAAUAUGCUGUGUUGUCAAUGUUGUGUGAAAUCCUUUUAUUGGUGUCUAUGUAAAGUGUUUCAGAUUUCAGACCUGAGAGUUAAUCUUCGCGUACCAGUUGGCUUUUGGGUUUAGUAUUGCUACUUUUAACAUAAUUGACCUAUGGCCCAAAUCAUUUCUAUAGGGCGAAGCAUAUGAAUGAUACAUAUUAUCUUUUUUUGGCCUUAUGUAUUGUUAUUUGCAGUGUGAUUUGGUCUAGCUUAAGAGCUUAAGCUUGCAGGUUGGAUUUGUCUGACAGGGAACAAUUUAAUUUGCUCAUCGUGAUGUUUAUAUCCAUUUUGUACUACUAUCAAUUUCAAUCAUGCCUAAUUUUUAUAUGUAUUUCUCGUGGACUCUCAGGUUCAGUGCACAAGAGGAUGAAGACGAUGGACACCCAAAUUUGAUGUGGAGAACAACUAUUGCAAAUGGUCCUUGAUUUACUUCUCCAAUUGACUUGAAUUGGUUUGACGCAAUUUAUAGUGUAUUUUUGUCAUCUUUGUACGACUAGCAGGUCGUCCUGAUUUGGUACAUGACUGGACACAGGAAUUGGACUCAUAUUUUUCAAACCAGAAUGCCAACAAUCAAGCAUUUUCUUUUGAAAGCACUGGCGUCUUCUUCAAUGCCAAAAAGGUUAGAGAUUUUCUGUAUCUUGUUUUGUAUUUAAUCAGUUUAGCAUGUGGGUGGCAAUCAAGAAAAGUUAUUAUAACAUUUUUGUGUUCCCGAAAAACUGCUGAUGAUGUGUAGUGCAGGAAAUGAAUUGUUUUUGACUUCUUUUUAUUUGUAUUCUUUCUUUUUUCUUUUCUCCCCAACAGGAUUAUGCAUUUCUGAAGAGCUUCUUGAAGUUGAUUACCAUGUAUGCCACUUUCUUUACUCUAUGCUCAGGAUGUGAUUUUGCCAAGCAUUAAAAUGGUUUAGGUCAGAACCAUCAUCUAAAGUUUACUUAAUGCAGCCGAGAAGCUGUAGUAGAGCAAGGAAGGCUGUUGGUGUUAUGAAGGCCAGCUGUGAAGAAAUAUUUGAACUUGUAAUGAGCAUGGAUGGGACACGAUACGAGUAUGCUUCUUUUCUAUUUUUUAUUUUUAGUUACUUUAACAUAAUCAAGACUAUAUUGGCUGUCUCUGUAAGCUGAGUAUUAUAUUUCCUCUUGCAUGCUGUGAAAUUCACAUUGUCUCCAGUCCCGAUUCUGUAUGUGCCUUUUUGAAUAUAUUUAAUUAAUCUGCAUGGUGCUUUCUAAAGAUUAUUACAAACUUUUGUUGCUUAAGUAUAUGAAGAAUGUAGAAAUGAAAACAGCUUUUGAAGUUUGAUGGAUUGCUUCAUUAAUAAAGAAAGACUAGGACUCAUUUUUAUAACUUUUCUCCACUUAGCUAAUGGUAUUUGAUGAAGACAAAAUAGAUGUAGCUAUCUAUAUUUUUUGUUGCUGAACUAUAGAUCAAUUGACGGUUGAAGUUAGUUAUAUUAAUUUGUUGUACUAGAAUUAAAGCUUGUAUCUUAGCCAUUUCAUGAAGUGUCAAAUACGUUCUUUCCUUUUUUUUUUUUUUUUUCAAAACAUGUUACACUUUUGAAGUCACUAUUACAUAAAAGAGUGUUCUAAAACAGGAGAAGGCGUGCUGCCUGAAAUUACCUGUUUCCUAGCAAAUCUAGCUGGUUUGCGAAUUAGAUUUUAACAAGUCUCUUGGCAAGGUUUGCUAGUAAUGUGUUCAAAUUAUUCUAUUUAAUUUUACUGUCUGUACCCUAAUAAUUCUUGGUUUGCACCAUUGCAUUGUUCCAUAAUCUCUGUGCGUUGGCUUAUAAAGGCCAGCAAGGCUGAUCAUUUGUCGAAUAGUUAUUUCCAUGAAAUUCCUAUCAAUUUGACUCAGUAUUUAGAGGUCUUGAAGAGGGCAGUGUACUAGACAUGGAUUUCUACCUCUUUUGGUUGUACAAUUGUUGUAUUUCUUGGCCAUCAGAUCUUUUUAAUGUACCUUUCUCAAAGUUCAUGCCGCACGUACACCGUUUUUCAUGUUUUGUGCAUGUGGGAUUGUAGUCUUCUGUAUCGCAGCUUAGUUGAAGAGGUAGAUGGUCAUACGGCUAUUCUCUAUCAUAGGCUUCAGCUGGACUGGUUUCCAAUGUAAUAGUCUCUUGAUUCAAUCAUCUCAUUUAUGCUUUGGUCAGAAUAGAACAUUUAUUGUUUCCUUCUUUCCCCUUUCCUCUCUUCUGAUGUAAUAUGUGAGGAAAUUACCUAAAAUUUCUGUAUCCCAAUGUAAUUGUUGGAAUUCAGAAAUAAAAUAAAUACACCGUCUUGUUUUUCCCUCGGUUCAGUCCCAAGUUCUCUUUGGGCCUUCUGCAAGUUUUUAAACAUACUGUGACAGUAAAAAAUCUAGUGAUUGAGAUCAUUUUGAUGAAUUUAAUUUUAAUUCUUAGCUGAUACUUUUUCUGGAAUUUUUUUCUUAUGUUUCCUCAAUAUGACUUAAAUAUAGGGCUUAGUUUGGUUUAGAAGUUCAUCUAAAACCUUCUCCUUGAUUCCAAAAAAAUUCUCUAGAAAGGUCUCAGAUGGAUUUUAGGGGAGUUUUGUGGCAAAUUUGAAAAGUUCAGGGGAAGGGUCUAAUGAAUUUUAAAACCACAUGGGUUAUCUGUUUUAUUCAGAGGAUAGUGGAAUUCCCUGAAAUUUAUCAUUUUUAUUUAAAUAAUCUUCCUACUUUCCUCUGCAGAAUUUAUUUAUAUAUAUGAAUUCAUUUGGUUGCAGGUUUGUUUGGCCCCGCGGCCUUUGUUAAGUGCGUUAUUGGCGUUGAAAUGACGCUGCGAGUUAUGGUAAGGUUCUUGCUUCCCCACUUCUUGAAAUUAAAUCUAUCUUUUCUGGCACUAGAAGUUUCCAUAAGCUGUGUUUUGUUAUCGCGCAGUUGUGUUAUUUCAUUCUAGGGAGCAUAUGAACUGUGGUCCACAACCCGGAUAUGUACGAGCUCACAUGGAGAGUUAGUUUUCUGUCCUUUACUUUGGUUGAUGUAGAGAAUUAACAAGUGACUAAGUCAUGCCAAGUUGCACCACUUGCUUCCUGUAUUCUGAUUUCUCAGGUGGUGGAUUCAACAUUUCCCCACUAAAACCUCAAAAUGGUAGGCCCAGAACACAAGUACAGCAUCUUAUGCAGAUUGAUCUAAAAGGGUGGGGUGUUGGUUAUGUGUCAAUGUUUAGCAACACUGUCUUCUGCAGAUGUUAAAUAGCAUUGCUGGUAAGUUUCUUGCUUUCACAUUUUAUUUUGCGCUGUUAUGGGUUAAUAUGUUUCUGUUGGGUGGCCAUUUUAAGUCAUAUUUUUACGUGUUACUGUAUUUUCUUCAGUCCUUUUAUAGGGAACACACACAUACACGUAUGUAGAGUCACCUUUUAAUGAGGGAUCUACCAUUUUAAUGAAAUGAGGAAUGAGCUAAAAGAUAAAAAAUUCACGAACUCCAAUGCAAUAUGUGUGUGUGCGCGUGUACACCUUUUCUAACUCUUGUUCUUAGUUAGAUAUUUUUUGGGAUUUCAGGCAAAUGAAAAAAGAGAUUAAGAGAAUGAUUUCAAGAGAACAGGUGGAUAAUAACUUAAAUAUUCAUUUUUAUACAUUUUGUUAAUGUCCUCUUUAAUGGAUUUCUAUGGAAUUAACCUUGUAAUUGGUGUAAUUACGGCAUUGGUGGUUGACAUGGCUUUCCUUGUGCAGGUAUGUAUGAUUGUACUGCAAUUUGCAAAUUUGCAUACUUGAAUGUUCUCAGAAUGGUAUAAUGCUUCGUGUAUGCAGGCAAAUACUACAGAUGAAUUACCGGAGCGGCUGAUUGGAGCUGUACGUGUUUCUUAUAUAGAACUCAAGUCUGCUAUUGUUCCAAAGUUGGAACCAGAGACAUCAUGACUCUGGUUUCAUUUCACCUCAACUGUUUUUUUUUUUAAUUGAAAAAAAAAAAUCAUUUGUUUUAGGUAUACAUACAUGUAUUUUGAUCCCGUUUUCAUUGUAAUUUCUCAUUUACUUUGAAAGAAAGUCAUUGGUGUUUUCGAGUGGGAAUUUUGCAUUAAAAAAUAAAGAAUACUUAAUAGGAAAUUUCAUAAUUCUUUAGUUACUAUUUUUGGAAUGUGUGUAAUAGUAUUAAAGUUGGUUUCUACUCGCAAACAAGUGAACUACUCGAUCCCCAACUGCGACCACGCUAGUUGUCAUUUAAAACUCAACAACUAACAAAAAUACUAAUAAAAAAAUGAUUUUCUUAUAUUGCUGUGAAAACAUUUAUGGGUUCAUUUAUUUCCACAAGAUCUAUAAUUUGGUCUUGACUUUACGAAAUUCUUUUAAUUUAAAGGGUUUUGGUCUGAGAAAGUCAGUUUGACGGAUUAAUUCUUUUUAAUAAUGGUCGAGUUAAUUUUACUAUACUCAUAAAACUAUUUUUAUUCUGAUAAUGCCACAAAUGUUAUGAUGUUUUCUUCAGCUAAUGAUCUUCUAUCAGGACUAGUUAGAAAUCAAAUGCUUAAAACACCGAUUGAAUGUAUAAUGCAGAAGUUUAAACAGUACCUAAUUGAAAAUUGCAUGAAACAUGAAACAUCAAUUCAAGUCCUUCCUUAAACAGAGAAUGCAUCAAACAAAUCCAAAGUGUCUUGCAAGUCUGUAGCAUGACAAAAAAGUUGUAAAUGCGUUUGGAACCAAAUUCUUCAAGUACAGGAGAACGAGCAAGUUGAAUUAUGUACAAGAGAUUGGCCUGGUUCGAGAUAGCUUCUUCACUGUACCUGAAGGAUUGGCUCAAUCUUUUCUUUAGAAUUCUGCACAUUUUGUAAUUACUCGUGUAAGCAAGCAUACAUUACAACCAUAAUAAUAAUAAAGCAAGAGUAAUGAUACGACCACCACCUUUUGUACACAAACAAUAUUGUAUAAACUAAUGCGACAUAAUAUGAUUGGUUAAACAAAAACAUUACAUGGCCCUCAUAAUUUAUUUAUUUAUUUAUUUAUUAUUAUUAUUAUUAUUAUUAUUAUAUAUUUUCAGUCAACCAAUCAUAUUAUAUCACAUUAGUUUCUAUAAAAUAAUUUGCUAAAUAGCACCAAAACUUAAUUGAUACUCACCAUUUCAUUGAACAAUUUUUUUAUGGUGUCAUUGAGGUUGCCUUCCCAACAUCCUUCAUCAUCAUCAUCUUCUUCAUCAUCAUCUUUUUCUUCUUCGGUGACGUUCACUUUGUUUAGCAUUGGUGUGUCUAAGACUCCUUGAGAGAAGAUCUUCAUUUUUGGACACAGUCUCACAACUACUUGUUUCAAGGACGGGAAUUCAAGAGCGUAAUUACCUAAACAAAAGCUUGUUAGGCUUGGCAAACAGUCAAGUUCCAAGUACCUCAAUUUCCCAAAAACAAUGCAAUCUUCCGUUUCUUCUCCAACCUGCGACUGUAUAAUUUCUUCCAUCAUUUUGCAAUCAACUAUCUUCAUUCUUCCGAGAUUCACUAGAUUUUUAGAUGCUGAGAGCGUCAACACAUUUAUCAACCCGUGACACUUCGAUACUUGUAGUCCCCACAGAUUUUCCAAAUGCCACGAAGGUGGUACUAAUUUUUGCAACUUACUACAUUCCGAUAUUUCUAGCCUUUCCAAGUUUGCAAACACUUUGUUGGAUUCGUCAUUUUCCUUCCAGAGAUGCUGCACUUUGUGUAAUCCAGACAGUCUUAACUUCCUCAAUUGAGGGAAAGCAACCUGAAAAUCAACAAAGUUAAGUUGUAAAAGAAAAUACGUAUCCAAUCUCUGGAGUCUUCACCUGCAUAUUUUAUGGACAAGAUUAAUCACGGCAUUUUAUAUUUUAUUUCCAAAUUAGUAUGCUUUGCAGUAGGAUCCCAAAUAUAAGUAUCAAAUCGAUUACCCUUUGAAACACAUAAAUGAAAUCUAAUGCUAAAUCCAAUAUGAAUUAGCUAGGAAAACAGAGAUGUUACACACAUAAUUAAUAUAGUUCAUCACCUCGUGUUAUCAGGCAUCCAAUUAAUUUCAGUCAUUUUUAUAAUUCAUACUAUAAAGAUAGUUAAUAACUGAGGUUAUAUUGUUAAAUCAUAUAUAAAUUAAGAUGACAUGCAAAAAGAUGAGUCAUUAAAUUUGACUUGAUUCUAAUGAAAUUACAUCUGUGCGAACAAAAGUGAAGGGAAUAAUAAUAAUAAUAAUAAUAAUAAUUACCUUUUCAUCGAAGAGGGGUUGUACUUGAUGAGCCAGCAAGAAGUACUCUUCUAAUGUUAAUUUUUGAGGUUCCUUGUUAUCAGUUGUCACAUGCACUACAGAGUUGGAUAUAAAUGUUUCCAUAUCAGGGCAAUUCUCAAUAGUCAGACUCCACAACAUAGGCAUUUCAAUUAUAUUCCCAGUGAAGUUGCAGAAUCUUUUGAGUUUUGGAAGAUCAAUGAGCGUUAGGCUAAAAAGCCUAGGAAACAGGGGGCCUAUAUGUUCUUUGUCAGCAUUUAGCUCUUCCAAAUGAAGCAUCUCUUCUAGUGAAUCACAAUUCCUCACUUCCAGCCUUGCCAAAUUGUUCAAGCAUCGUAGCAGAUUGGCAGGAAUAGCACUCGACAUAUUGGUGCAGUAAUCCACCUCCAGCUCUGCUAAAUAGUUGAAGAAGCGGACAGGCAGUGCUUGGCCAUGCCAUAUUUCUUUCAAACGUGGAAAAUGUGAGAGUUGCAAAUACUGUAUGUCACGGAAUCCAAUCUGCACAAACCAAAACAAUUGCACUGGAUAUAUAUAAAUACAUUAAACUUACAUGUUUUGUGUUUUAACUUCUAAAACUAUAUAUACAAGGCAGGUGUAUAUGUUCAAAUGUGCAAGUGCAAGGGAGAUGCAUAAGUAAUUUCAACGAAUCGAUUUAACACAUACCAUUUCUUCGUAACACUUUUGUAUAGUGGAAUUAAGGUUGCCUUCCCAACGGCACAAUUCACCCUCUUCCUGUUAAGAAUAGAAUUAGUUAGUUAAUGAGUAUGCUGACAUGGCAGCUGAGUCAGCUAAAGGUUGUUAUAGAGGUUGUUAGUAGUAAACUGUGCGUGUGUGCAAUGUGUGUAGAAUCUUCUAUGCACAUAUAAAAAGGCUUGCAAUUUCCAGAUUCAUUAGAUCAAUAAUAACAGAAUUCUCAGCUUACAGAAGUUUUCUUUCCUCCUAUUUUCUUAGUAACCAAACAACAUCACAGUUUCAUAUAAAACUUAAUACUUCCUUUUUACUCACCUGCACUUCGUGCAGCUUUGGUGUGGAUACGAUUCCCUGAGAAAAAGUCUUCAUGUUCGGGCAACGUGUCAUAGAAACUCGUUCCAAUGAUGGGAAUUCAAGAGUGUAAUUCUCCAAACAAAAGCUGGUAAGCCUUGGUAAAUAAUCAAGUAUCAAAACUUUUAAAUUGCUGAAAGCAAUACGAUUCUCCUUCACUUCUUCUCCAACAUGUCCUAUGAUUUCUUCUAUUUUUUCACAGUAUGAUACAUUAAGAUUCACUAGACUAUUGGGAAUUCCAACCUGAAAAUAAAGAGUAGCAUUCAACUAAAUUCAAAGUAUGUCAAAAUCAUACAAUUGUUUUAUGAAAAAUAACAAACCAUGUCUACUAGAUAUUUUUUGUUAAAGAAAAAAGGAAAAAAAUUAAAACAAAAAUAAAUAAAUAGAAGUCCAGAAAAACAAAGAUAAUGAAAAUGCAUUUACACUAAAACGCUGUAUUUCCCUUUUUUUUUUCCCGAUAUUCAUGCUUUUAAAAAUGGAAAACAUUUCUGGAAAACACUUCCCAACGCCAUCAACAUGGGACUGUUACAGAGUGAAUAUUUGAGGAAAUUUUUUAAUAAACGGUCGAUUCAAAAUGACCAUCAUGAAUUUGUGCUUAAUCAAUGGCGUAAUCAAUUCAUAACUAAACUAGAGAUAUUAACUACAUUUGAACACUUUUCUUUAUUUUAUUUUUAAAAUCGAAAUCUAAAGACCCAAGGAAAAGAGAAAUAUAUAUGAAUUUGUGAACUUAAAAGCUGAGUAACUAAGUAUCUUUUAAUUUCUGAAAAUCUUAUUCAUUAGGAUUUAAGGAAAAAAAACAAUUAAAUUAAAUUAUAUUAUGCUGUUAAAUCGUGUUUAAAAUAAUUAUAUUGUUGACUUUAAUGCAGGUGAACCUAUAAAUUAGAUUGAAAAUGCAGAGUUCAGAAUGGUGAUUUGAAGUACAAUACUUUUUUUCCCUCUAGAAGUUUGAAGUACAAUACUUGCAAUAAAUAAUUUGUGAAUGAAAAUUAUUUGUAAACAAAAAAAUGAUUAAAAUAAUUGUUGAAUGUUAUUUGAAAUAAAAAUUCAAAAUGAAUAUAGCAAUCUUACCAAUGGAGGAAAAAUAUUCAGUAGAUUAUGACACACAGAUAUCUCUAAUUUUUUCAAUUUGCUAAAAGACUUCGAAGCAAGCUGGUGGUGCCAUAUUUUUCUCAACUUAUCCGCCCCACGAAUAUGUAAUACCUCCAGACUUGGGAGUCGUACCUGAAGUUAAAAAUUCAAUGCAAUUAGAGAUGGAUAUUAAUUAAAUUUGAAGACUCAACGAAAGAAGAAAUUAACUAUUAAGAAUAAAAUUAAUUUAAAAAAAAAACCUUUGCAUCAAAGAGAGGUUGAGGUUGCAUUUCAGAAUUAGCUUCUGGUGAGGCAAAGCUACUUAGUUUUGGAAGACCAUCGAGCUGCAGGAAGUGUAGUUUAGGAAAAACCUUAAAUUCAUCUCUUCCUCCUAACCCCGUGGUGUUGACUAUCCCUUCCAUUGACCAACAAUUAAUAAUCUCAAGAUGUCGGAGCUGCCCAAGACUAUUAGCCAUAGAAUAUGAAAACAUAUACUUCAGAGGACAACACCUUGUCACGGUCACUUUUGUUAAAUUUUGACAACAAUACAUUCCCUGAAAUUGAUCGGGCCAUAAUUUUUUGAUGUUUGUUAAACUGACAAGUUCCAGUUCCUCCAAGCGUGGAAAAGUAACCUGCAAAGAAAAACCAUACAUUUUUUUUCCUUCAACUACAACUUCUAAUAUAAUAUUCUUUCGAUGAUUGAAGAUCAAUCGUGAUAAUAUAUUAAUUAAUUAAUUAUUAAACAGAAAAUUAUCACCUGAUCAUCCUCUGCAUUGAUUUCUGUGAAUCCCUGAGUAGUUGUUGGUUUCUCCAUGUCGGGCCCUAUAAAUGAACAAAAACAAUAUAUGAUUAACCUCUGUUGUCCCCUCCCAAAACAAAAAAAAAAAAAGAAUGAGCCAAUGUCAAUAAUCCUACCAAUAAUUAAUUUAAACACUUACCAAUCAUCAUUUUCAAUUUAUUGCAAUUUACCACUUCUACUUUUUGAAGCCCCAAUAGGUUUUUGGCCAUAGAGAAUGAGAAGAGAUACUUCAAUUUUGGACAGGAAUAUACGUAUAUAAUCCUUAAGUUGCUGAAAGAUUGAUCUUCUCUGAGUUGGCUGUAGCAUAUCGUCUCCAAAUUAGUUAAAUUAAUAAGAUCCAAUGAUUCCAGCAAGGGAAAGACUUCGCAACGAACCCGUCUAACUGAACCGACAAUAUGUAAAAUCUCAGAACAACCUGUUACAUGAAGAUGCUGCAAUCGUGGAAAACCUUCCCCAUCGUCUAAUUCAUGAACAACAUUCUGAACACCCGUCAGUGAGUAUAGACGGAGAUCUUCAGUUCUCUUCAGCAACAUUUUCGUCCCAUCAUUCCCCAAAAGAAGGCUAACUUUUUCUGGCCCCUUGAGCACCAUCAAUGUUGAUGUUUUAGAUUCGACGAGUCGUCGGUUAGACAUUUGUCCUAUAAAUAUCUUAUAUCUUUCCAAUUCCAUAGAGACAAAAUCCGGCGGCAGAAUUUCGGAAUCCGAAACAUCUAUCUCCAAAGUAGUUAGAUUUGACAACCCCUUCAACUCGACAAGACUGGCAUUACUUCCUCCUUCAACCUUAUCCCACUGUGAAAAGCUGUUAUGCAUAAACAGUUCUUCUAAUCCAGAUAAUUUUGAUAUGACAUUUGGUGGUAUCAACUCAAGGCUCCAACAAUUGCUCAAAUCUAGCAACUGUAACCGCGUCAAUCGUCCAAUUUCAAGUGGUAACUGCUUGAUAUCGGAAUCUGCAAGGCUGAGAAUCUCUAAUUUCUUUAGCUGUCCAACUAUUGCUAUAUCUUUUAGUCGGCAAUAGUCUAAACGCAAUGUUUGAAGGUUAAUGAGGCAACCAAGUGAUGAAGGUAAUGAAGAGAAUUGAAUUCGAGUAAAAUUCAAAACUUUGAGUCCUUCCGUCCCUUUAAAAAAGUGGUCUGAAACUUGCAUAGAGCCAUCACCCUCCGCAUGCAAUAGCUCAAGACAGGGACAUUGCAACCUUUCAGGAAGCACUUGAAUACCUCCAUAAGGUAAAGAAAUAGCAAUUGGACCUUCCUGUACUGUAUCUUCCAUCUUUUUCUCCAAGUCGGCAACAUUUGGAAUAUUAAACAUGAGCUCCUCUUCUGCAAUUGAUACAGCAACUACACGAAUGACGUCAUGCAUUUUAACUUCAUCUUCAGCAUCACUGUCCAACAAUAAGCAUGAAGAUUUGAGUUUGUCGAUCAACGUAUGCAAUCUCCUCCUUGCUUCUUCCAGUGAGUAAACCUUUUUAAAAUAGUCCAUACCCAUACCAUAUCUCAAUAAGUCUGGAACAGGUAUAGCAUAACCUUUACUAAGUAGACCACAAAGACGGAACAGAGAUUUUGCCUCCGCACUUUCCAGCAAGUUGUAACUCAAUUUUAUGGAGGUGUACACAUUUCUUUCCAUUCCAUCAAUUUCUCUUGCAUCGGAACUUCUUAGCUGAUUCAAUGCAUCCUUCCAAAUGUCAAGAUCCUUAGUUUUCAGAGCUUUUGCAACUGUACUCAGUGCAACAGGCAAUCCUCCGCAUUUUUCAACGAUCUCAUCUGCAGUGGGUUGAAAAGCAGAUAUUUUAGUUGAAUCACCCACUAUCUUCUCAAAUAACUGCAAGGCUUCUUCUUUUGAUAAAGCAUCGAUCGGGAAAUUUUUCUGAGAAUUCAUAUCAGUGCACAAUAAAUCUCGACUUCUAGACGUCAGUAUUAUUGUGCAUCGUCUCUGAUCAUCCAUUCUUUCGUUCGGAAUCCCAACUUUAUCGAACUCCAGUUCCCCCCAAAUAUUAUCCAAUAUAAUGAGAUGCCGCUCCUUGUUCUUCAAUACUCGACAUAGUCGAUUUGCUCUGUCGAAUAUACUCUCAUUCAACUCAAACUUUAUGCCUAAAUCAGAAGCAAGUUUGUCUUGAAUUUUCUGAUGAUCUGGGUUCUCUGUUACCUCAGCCAUAGCGACCUUAUCGAACAACUUAUUUGUUUCCAUCACUUGCUUUGCAACUUGCUUGACUAGCGUGGUUUUACCCACGCCGCCCAUGCCGUAGACCCCAAUUAUGUUGAGUUUCUCAUCCUUCAACGCCUCCAUAACAUCCAGUAAUACUUUCUUUCUUGAAUCAAAGGCCUCGUUAUCUUUCCCGCCCCUAAGUGCUUCGAUAUCUGCAGAAGGAUCGAAGGCAAUUUCUUCACUCUUCAGUUUGUCGCCUUUUUCCAUGAGAUUAGCAGCAUCUUUUGCGGCCUUUGCUGCUCGUUUACUGAGUUUGUAACGAGACAACAAAUUUGCACACAAUCCUUUGAAGCAGGACUUCUUGGCUCCAUCUUCUUCAUCAAUGAUAGAUUUUGCAACCCCCUCCGUAGAUUCAACCUUACUUCGCCAAUCUUUGACACCCUGAUAAAUCUCUUUGCCUUGUCGAGUAUCAUGCUUAACACGUUGUUGCACCAUUUCGUUUAUACCUUCCAACCCCUUCACUUGAUCUUUUAGCUCAUCUAUGUAGCUCUGGUACUUGAACACAUAAGAUAUUUGCCGUAUAAUCGGUUUGAACAGUGACUUUGCACCUUCUAAUACAGUGCUGGAUAAAGCAGCCAGAGCCACUUCUGCCAUUGUCUGCUACUUAACAAAUCUAAUAAUAUAUCAAAGAAAGGAAUACAAAUAAAUUAAAAGGAACUAAAGGGAAAGACAGAGAAAGAAAAGACGGCAAACAACAUCGCAAUAUUGAUCUUGAACCAACUGAUACCUAAAUAGAGAAUUUCUUUUACUAUCUUAAGGAUCAGAGGUUUCGCUAUUAACCGAAAGGUAUCGCUUCUAUUUUGUCACUUUGAACGAAUAACUUUAUGUUUUUAACGGAUGUUUAAUACAAAUUGCAUACAUUGGGUGUAAAAUUAAAUAAAUUUAAAUAUUUAUAAUAAUUUUAAUAAUUGAAUAAAACUUUGAGUAAAUGACUGAUAAUUUCUCUAAGAUGAUUUAUUGUUUGGGGUCUAAGAUUUUAAAUAUUCAACUUAAAAGAUUAAUAUCUUAUAAAUUGAUUAAUUAAUUAAUCAUUAAGCAACUAAAUUGGUCCCUGGAUGUCAAUUUAUUUAAUAUUGACGCACCUAUUUUUUUUUUCUGGCAAAUAAUUAUUAAUGCACUUAGGNNNNNNNNNNNNNNNNNNNNNNNNNNNNNNNNNNNNNNNNNNNNNNNNNNNNNNNNNNNNNNNNNNNNNNNNNNNNNNNNNNNNNNNNNNNNNNNNNNNNNNNNNNNNNNNNNNNNNNNNNNNNNNNNNNNNNNNNNNNNNNNNNNNNNNNNNNNNNNNNNNNNNNNNNNNNNNNNNNNNNNNNNNNNNNNNNNNNNNNNNNNNNNNNNNNNNNNNNNNNNNNNNNNNNNNNNNNNNNNNNNNNNNNNNNNNNNNNNNNNNNNNNNNNNNNNNNNNNNNNNNNNNNNNNNNNNNNNNNNNNNNNNNNNNNNNNNNNNNNNNNNNNNNNNNNNNNNNNNNNNNNNNNNNNNNNNNNNNNNNNNNNNNNNNNNNNNNNNNNNNNNNNNNNNNNNNNNNNNNNNNNNNNNNNNNNNNNNNNNNNNNNNNNNNNNNNNNNNNNNNNNNNNNNNNNNNNNNNNNNNNNNNNNNNNNNNNNNNNNNNNNNNNNNNNNNNNNNNNNNNNNNNNNNNNNNNNNNNNNNNNNNNNNNNNNNNNNNNNNNNNNNNNNNNNNNNNNNNNNNNNNNNNNNNNNNNNNNNNNNNNNNNNNNNNNNNNNNNNNNNNNNNNNNNNNNNNNNNNNNNNNNNNNNNNNNNNNNNNNNNNNNNNNNNNNNNNNNNNNNNNNNNNNNNNNNNNNNNNNNNNNNNNNNNNNNNNNNNNNNNNNNNNNNNNNNNNNNNNNNNNNNNNNNNNNNNNNNNNNNNNNNNNNNNNNNNNNNNNNNNNNNNNNNNNNNNNNNNNNNNNNNNNNNNNNNNNNNNNNNNNNNNNNNNNNNNNNNNNNNNNNNNNNNNNNNNNNNNNNNNNNNNNNNNNNNNNNNNNNNNNNNNNNNNNNNNNNNNNNNNNNNNNNNNNNNNNNNNNNNNNNNNNNNNNNNNNNNNNNNNNNNNNNNNNNNNNNNNNNNNNNNNNNNNNNNNNNNNNNNNNNNNNNNNNNNNNNNNNNNNNNNNNNNNNNNNNNNNNNNNNNNNNNNNNNNNNNNNNNNNNNNNNNNNNNNNNNNNNNNNNNNNNNNNNNNNNNNNNNNNNNNNNNNNNNNNNNNNNNNNNNNNNNNNNNNNNNNNNNNNNNNNNNNNNNNNNNNNNNNNNNNNNNNNNNNNNNNNNNNNNNNNNNNNNNNNNNNNNNNNNNNNNNNNNNNNNNNNNNNNNNNNNNNNNNNNNNNNNNNNNNNNNNNNNNNNNNNNNNNNNNNNNNNNNNNNNNNNNNNNNNNNNNNNNNNNNNNNNNNNNNNNNNNNNNNNNNNNNNNNNNNNNNNNNNNNNGGGAUUAUGGGGGUAUGCUAAUGCGGCAACCUGACUGUGAGUCGGGAAAAGCUAAUGAGGCAACUUUGCUUGUGCUGCUUCUUUUUUUUUUUUCUUUUGCUUUCUUUUUUGCUUUUUUUUAAUAAUAUUAAAUAAUAUAAAUUUUAAUUUAAUUUAAUAGAAUAUUAUAUAAUAUUAAUUUUUAUUUUCUCUUAUUUUGACAUCAUAAUUAUUAAUAUAAAUUAAUUAUUUUUAUUCAUAUUUUAAUUUUUAUUACUAAAUAAUAAUUAUAUAAUAAUUAAUAUAUAAAAUUGAUUAAUAAAUACUUAAAUAAUAUAAAAAUAAGAAUAUAACUUGAUAUUACAUUAUUUAAUUAUAUUAUAGUAAUUAAUAUAUAUGAAAAUUUAAUAUAACUAAUAAAAAUAUUUAUAUAUGAAUAAAUUUAAAUAAUAUUAAUUUAAAAUUAAUAUUAAUAAAAAUAAUAAUAUAAAAUAUCAUUAUGUUAUGAUAUUAUUUAGGUAUUAAUAAAUAUUAUUUUCUAAAUAUAUAAUUUAAGUUAAUCACAAAAAAUUAAUACAGUACAGUGUAGCACCAAACAUUGUAUUAUGCUGUAUGCCUGUAUUGUAUUAGCACUGAUUGGGUGUAAAGCGUUUGUAAGUGGCUUUUUAAGUCUGCCGUCAAAUCCCCUGCAAAAGCUUUUUUCUUAAUAUCACGCGUGUUGGUACUACAUAAAACCGUAAACUCUAACAAUUUCUUUGUUCUUUCUUAAUAUCACGCGUGUUGGUACUACAUAAAACCGUAAACUCCAACAAUUUCUUAGUUCUCAACACCCCUUAAUUUACAAGAAUUAAUCACUUCAAGGGUGGAUUAGGUAUAUCUUUAGUUCAUAUAUAACUAGCAAUAUCUAAUAUCCCAUAUACAUGUUUUUCUCCCAGAAUGUAAACCAACUAUUCAUAUCUUAGACUCCAAGUAUUCGUAUCUUAAAGUCAAUCGAUAAUAUUAAUUUAAAUUUAAUAAUAAUAUAAAAUAUUAAUAUAAUAUAAUAUUUAAUUUAAAUUAAUUACAAACAAAUAAUAUAGUACAAUGUAGCACCAAACAUUGUAUAGCAUUAUUAUAAUACAAUGCUAAUGCAAUACAAUAUAAUAUAAUCCACCAACAUUAAAAUAAUAUAAUAUAGCAUAAUACAAUACAGUGUGUCAAAUGCACCCUUAGGGUGUGUUUGGUAUGUGGUAUUGCAUAGCAUUAAAUGUGGGCCCAACAUUAAUUUAAACCAAUAACAUGUUUGGGAGCAAUUGAGGCUUAUUGGGAUUGGGUAUUGAGGGGUGCGCUAAUGCGGGAACCACCGCAUUAGCUUGUCUUUUUUUUUUUACUUUUACUUAAUAAUAAUAUAAAUGAAUAAAUAUAUAAUUUUUAAUUUUUAAUAUAAUAUUAUUUUUAUUUUUAUAUCAUAAUUUAUUAAUAAAUUUAUAAUUUAAUAUGAUUAAUAAUAAAUAUUUAAAUAGUAUAUAAAAUAUAAUAUAAUAUUACACUGUGUAAUUAUUGUAAUAUAAUUAAUAUAUAUAAAUUAUUUAUUUUUAAAUAAUUUAAUAUAAAAAAUAAAAAAAUAUUUAAAUACAAAUGAAUUUCAAUAAUAUUGAUAUACGAUUAAUAAUAACAUAAAUAAUAAUAUAAAAUAUUAGCACAAUUCAUUUUGCUAUUAAAUAUGUUAUAACAAUUUUGUCAUUUUAUAAUUUUGUGGUGUAUAUGAACAUAUGUCUUAAGAUUAUUUUUGAACAAAUCUUGUAGGUUUUAACUAUUUAUUUUUCUUGUUAUAUUAUUUCAAGAUUAUUUGAUUAAAUUAUUUGCUUCGAUAUUUAACAAGUUAUAUAUUUAGAAAAUAUAGAAAAUAAAUGUUAUGCUUCCAAAAAUUAAAGGAUAUAACGUUCGAUCUUUAUGAAGAAUUAUGAUAUUUUUGAACAUUUAUACUAAAAAAUUAUUAAAUUUUUAGAAAAUUAAAAGAUAUAACAUUCGAUCUUUAUGAAGAAUUAUGAUAUUUUUUAACAUUUAUACUAAAAAAAUAAUUAAAUUUCUAAAAUUUAAGACCUCUAUAUUUAGUUUUUUUUAAGUACUAUUAAUAUUAUUUUAUAAAUAUAUAAUAUAAAUUAAUUACAAAAAAUUAAUACAGUACAGUAUAACACCAAACAUAAUAUAAUUAAAAAUUAAUACAGUACAGUGUAAUACCAAAUAUUGUACAAUAUUAUUAUAAUACAGUACUAAUGUAAUACAACAUAAUACAAUACACUGCAUAAAAAUAAUGUAAUUUAGUGUACCAAACACACCCUUACAGAACUUUUGCAUAUCUACACAGCGAUUUUAAAUAUUACUGAUAACUCCUGAGAAAUGUGUGAGAAAGGAGUUGAUAAGAGUAAUAACAGCGACUUGCAAAAGGAAAAGACAGAAUCAUUCACCCCUUUUUAUAUCAUGUAUUUGGUUACUGUUGCCCUGUUGACGCAUGUAUAAAAUAACCGUAUGUAUUUUUUUUGGCUGUUGCUUAACAAAAUGUGUGUUUGUGUGUGUAUAUAUAUAUAUUUGCUGUUUGAAAAAAUUGGAUUCAAAUAAAUUAAAAUGAACUAGAGAGGAAGAGAAAGAAUGAAAAGACAACAAACAAUUGAUAUUGAUCUCGAACCAACUUCUUUCUUUCUUUCUUUCUUUUUUGUGUUUUUUUUUUCGCCCGUACCCCCUCUCAGAUUAGAGUAUUGGCUAUUAAAUGAAAGGUUUUAAGGGUAUGAGUGAAAAACAACAUUCUUUUUUAGAAACUAUUUUAGAGGAGGGAUGCAAAUUAAAUGACAAGAUUAAGACAAACAGGAGAUAUUUUUUCGUGGGCAUUAAGAAAUAACUGCUGUCAAGAUCAAGGAGAUUAUGCUAUUAAUAGAAAUUAUCAAAGGAUUUAGAACAAGUUCACCUCUUUAAUUAUCCGGGAUCAGAUAGUUGAUGAGCUUCUCUUCUUGGCGUUGAAUAUUUAAGAAUAAUUUUAAUGAGCAAAAAGAUCACUGGUAACUGCUGAAAAAUAAGUGAGAAAAGAGUUGAUGAGAAUAAUAACAAUGAAUUGAAUAAAAAAAGGACUUAAUCAUGCACCCCCUUUGCAUAUCAUGUAUUUGGUUACUGUUGCCUUGUUGACGCAUGUAUAGAAUAAUUAGUGACUUCUUUCAUGAAGAAUUAAACUUGGAAUGACCAAAAGACGAAGCUGCGGUGUAUUGUUGGACCAAAUUAAGUUGAAGAAAGCACUAGUUCACAACCUUACGUUUGGAUAUAUUCUAAAGAAAUAAUUAAACAGCAAAUCAUCACAUGCACUUUAAUGAUUUGAUCUAUUGUUUUCAAAAGAAAUUGCAAUUAACAGUUUUUGUCAAAAGUUCGCACUGCGUGAAACUAGUGCUAAUAUAAUUUAAAAAAUUAAUUUCAGUAUUAGUUUUUAAAAUGUUAAUUAUUAUAUUUAUUUUAAUAAUAUAUUUAUAUUUAUUAUAAAAAAUUCUGUUAAACAUUUGUGUUAAAUAGAAUUUAUAAUUAAUAUAAUAUAUCUUAGGUAUUAAUAAUAUUAUAAUUAUUCUAUAUGCUAUUGAAAAUAAUUUAAAUUUUUAGACGUUUAUUUUCACAUUAAGUUUCUAUUUAUUAUAAAAUUUAGUUUAAUAUAGUAUAAGCUUGUAAAGUAUUAAAAUAUUUUUUCAUAUUUUUUGAACAUAUUAAAAUUAUUUUAAAAUAUAUUUAUAUAUUAACAUUGAAGUCAAUUUUUUAAGUUAAUAGAACCAGUAGGUGUUAUAGUAAAAAAGCGUUUCUUAGCAUCACUUAUUGAAAAUAUAAAGAUCUAUAUAAUCAUUUUUUCAAAUAUUGAGAUGUAGUUAUAAAAGAAAAAAUAAAUUAAAAAAUUUUAAAUUUUAAUAUGGCCAUCGUAGAGUUAGAAUCCCCGCUCCAACCCGAUUUGGAGAUGAGCUUGGUCUAUUUAUGUUUUGGAAAAAGAAAAACCAAAGGAAAAAAAAGGCACCCGACCAAAUCAAGUAACUCAUCAAAUAAAAAAUAAAAAAAGGAAAGAAAUUUAAUGACUUGCAUGCAAUUUUGGAUCUGAAAUUAAAAUUACAUAAAAAUUAAGGAUUACGUACCUUAAUAUUUACAGCUUAUUUGAUGGACUCAACAGGUUUAAGCAACAUCAAAAUGUUUGUGGCUCCUUAAAUGAGCCCCCGACAUGGUGCAAAUGACAACAUCGACUUGUUUGACAGCUCCAACAAGGCUACGAUGAUCAGAAGAUGAGCCCUCAAUCAACAAGCUAAGAUUGGCUUCUCUAUCCUCUUCGCCCCACAACCAGCGCCUUGCUCUUUGUCAUUUUUCCUCUUGUUAGUUUUCUUCUACAUAUAAUUAUUACACUGGGAAGUAUACACACACCUCUUUUCUUUUUAUAGUACCUUACUAUUAUAUCUUUACAAAACAAUAUCACCCUAAGACAGCUAUGUAUGAAAUAAAUGAAAUAAAUAUAUAAGGAACUGACGAAAUAAAAUUAGAUCUAACUCUAAUUUCACGUUGCGUGAAUUUUUGACAAUUCACCCGUAUCCCAACAAAAGCUUUGUCAUAUUGCGAAAAUACCUUUUCAAUGUUUCAAUUGCAAUGUCAUUGCCAUUAUUCAUAGUGGCAGACAAUGGACGUCACGGGACGGUAGAAGUCUAUGUUACGGCUUGUGCAAGUAACAGCAGCCAAUGGGGAACUUCCACGGGUGCUAGAGGAGAGAGAAAGAGGUCCCAAUGCAAGGUGAUGGAAAUGGGAAAGUUCGAAGCUGUUACUUUCAGCUUCUGCACCUUAGCCAUGUCCCACGGGACAAGGCUAGAAGUUAUCAUGACCAUAAACUUUUCUAAUUUAUUUUUUCCUUUCAAAAAGGGACAAGGAUACGUUUCGGAGAAUGAUUAUAUUUUUAAUAAAAGAAUUCUUUUUUAUUAUAAUACUUUUUUCUUUAUUAAUUUAAAAAUAUUGACUCUUAUAUUUUAAUAAAUAUAAAUAUAAUAUUAUAAUAAAAUAUAACAAUAUAUACAAAUAUUUAAAAAAAUUUAAGAUUUUAUUAAAAGAAAUUUUAUAAUAAAUACAAAUAUAUUAUUAAUAUAAUUAUAAUAAUUUGCAUUUUAAAAAGUAAUACUGAUAUUAAUUUUUUAAAUUAUAUUACUCUACCAAAAAAAUUAAACUAUUAAAUUAUAUUGAUAUUUAUUAAAAAAAUUGAAGUUAAUUCUUAUUAUAUUUUUAAUUGGAAUUUUUUCAUGUGACAUAAUUACAAUUGCUACAUUUUUUUCCCUAAAUAAAGAUGGGAGUUAUAAAUUAUUUGUAUAAGUGUCUGUGUGUAAACUAAUGUGACAUGAAAGUAAUAGCUGAAUAACAAUAAUGGAGCUUUAGGUAAUUUUUUAUGAGGUCUUCUUGCAAUUUCAACACUUAAACAGACUUGUCCUUGAUCCCAAUUUAUUUACCCCAUUUGGGCCCCUUAUGACAAACAUAUUCUUGUGGAAUGAAAAACAUCAGGAGAAGAAAAUGUUUUAUUAUAAUAGAAAAAGUUGUCCAUAAGUCUAUUCAUUUUUUUUUUAUUCAAUACAAAUGCGGGCCGCGUUCUGUGGGUCUNNNNNNNNNNNNNNNNNNNNNNNNNNNNNNNNNNNNNNNNNNNNNNNNNNNNNNNNNNNNNNNNNNNNNNNNNNNNNNNNNNNNNNNNNNNNNNNNNNNNNNNNNNNNNNNNNNNNNNNNNNNNNNNNNNNNNNNNNNNNNNNNNNNNNNNNNNNNNNNNNNNNNNNNNNNNNNNNNNNNNNNNNNNNNNNNNNNNNNNNNNNNNNNNNNNNNNNNNNNNNNNNNNNNUAAGUAGAGUGAGACUCUGGCAUCCUCUAAAUAUCUCUCAACACUCUUUCUUAUUAACCCCAUUAAAAUAUUUAAAAAUAUUAUAAAAUUCUUUUAACACCUUUUUUAUGGCAAAAAUACCCUUAGUUUAAAUUUAUUAAUAUAAACCCCAUUUUAAUUUUUGACCCCUGAUUGUGAUUUUUUUUUAAAGCACCUGAAUUUUGAAACAAUUAAUUAUCUAUUGAAAAAGAAAGAAAGAAAAGGAAAACAAAAGGAAAAGGGCACUUGCUCCAAGAAAGUUCUACUUUAAUGUGGCAAAUCAUUGAAACACCACAUGGCCAAAACUUUACUCUAUGCAUGACAACUCAUUGUAAUUGAUAAUGACCCUCGCAAACACUUGGCUACCAUGCGUGUAAUUCUAAGGCCAAGUGCUAAUUUGGUUUACUGAUGAAGAUGCUGAGCACAAGCUUCUGAAAAUGCAGAAUUACGAAUUUUUCGAAAGACUGCGAACCUUUAUGGAGAAAGACAACUAGGCCACUGGAAAACAUGUCGGUGGGAAAAUAAUUCUGAUGAUCGUUCAGCUCGUCCUUUGCUUCAUAAUUACUUUCUUCUUUCUUAAUUUCUCUCAUGGGUCUCGGUUUCUUCCUGAAGCUUGUUGAUGAUGAGUUGCAUAUGCCGAUAAUUCCUCACCAGAAAAUAAGAUGAAAAGGUAACUUUCUUAAUUUUUAAAAUGCUGAAUUUCAAUUUAAGGUACUAUUCAUUUUGUCUCUUUCAAGUUAUUUUUCAUUUUUCUGCUGAUAUUUUAAUAUUUACAGUCAAUUGUAGCAUUACUUAAAUUUAUAGUAUGUAGAUCAUAAUUCAUAAAUUAGUUUGCAGUUGGAGUAAACUCGAAAAUGUUAAAAAAAUAAUAAUAACAACAAAAAGAGUAGAGACAAGUUGUCAUCUUGAGUAACAAUAAAAUAAAGAAUUGCAGCUUUUACAAAGUCUUUCUUUAAAAAUAUGAAAUGAAUAAAAUGACUAUUAAAAUGGUUCAAAAUUUUCUGAUAGUGUCAUUGACUAGCUAGAUCAAUUGUUUCUUGUGUGGUAACUUCAAACACCAAAUCCUUGAAAGCAAGUAUAUUAGUUUUGUAUGGUGUUGCCCAGCCUUCUGCACAUGGUUCAUGAUAUUUGAUCCAACUAUUCGCAAUAGGAGGAAUAGGUGAAGCUGGAAGCAUGAACACCUGUAAAAAAAAAAAAAAAGCCAUAGAAAAAUUAGUCCAAUAAUUAAGAUAUUGCAGCAUAAUUUGAAUUUCUAAACUUUUACAUACCUCUAUGAAAUGAUUUCUAUUAACAAAUCCAAUAGCAAUGAUUUUAUGCGAGGAGCGUGAUAAUGGAAUAGAUCUAAGUGGAAGGAAUGUGACAAUCAGCACAUCUGAUAUAUGUAGUAAUACCACAUUAUAUUUAGAAGCAAUAAUAUGACCAAUUUCAGGCAUGGUCAUCCAAUACUCUCUUCCUGGGUUAUUCUCAAAGUAUAAAAGUGAAUGAAGCACCUCCUCUGCUCUACCAGCAUAUUCAAAGACUCUUUUAUAAUCAUUAAAGUGACUUUGCAACUCAACAACUAAGACUUUCCUGACUUGUGCCCAGUUAUCUUCACCAAUACCUAUUAGGUCAGCCACUGCCUGAAAACCACAAUUACCAUCUGCAACAACAUCUCUAACACCACAAAUAUAAGGCCUCAAACCAAAUGGAAAUGAAUCAAUAUAAGAAGCAUGCUUUGGUGCUUUUGUUUGAGAAACACUCAUUUUUCGUUGCCCUUUUGGUUUUUUUGUAGUUGUACUUGAAGACAUAAUGUCUGGAGAAUGAUUAUCCUGUGCGGAUACUACAUACUCAAAUCUUGAUGGAUCUCGGCGGGUAGAUUUAUCAAGCUUUUGGGAGGGUCGUCCUCGAGUCUUAGCUUUAACAGGUAGCUCAAUUAAAAAAGUUAAGAAUGGAUCAGCUAAUUCUUUCAGUUUUCUUUUUAUUUGCAUUUUUCCGAAACCAUCUGAAUCUUCAAAACGCUUGAUAAUCAUUUCCAUUUCAGGGGUACAACUCAACUCUGCUGAUUUUUCAUAGCUGGUGCAGACAAGGUCUAAUUUCCUCCAAUGCAAAUGUACAGAAUCUAAAGGUAUCGGUCGACCUUCACGCUUAUACUCUGCAAUUUCAUGUGCACACGGUAGCCCAUAAGUGUGUCGAACUACACAACCACAUGCUGAAAUAUCUAUACCAAUUAAAUCAGCUCUUUUUGACUCACUUAGUAUCAUAUCUAAUGCAUUUCUAGCAACUAACCCCCUUAAUUCUUUAAAAACUGAAGGUGUGAAACUAUGUUGCACAGUAGUCAAACUCUUCUCAAAUGAUGCCUUAAUUUUUGUAUGUUGCAACUCUACCAAAGAAUGAAGUUUUGUCCAUAAUGUUACAAAGUUUCCUUGGGAUGAACAUAGUUGCCUUUUUAAUUUUGAAUGUGCAGUCUCAGCCCUAAAAAUAAACCAACAAAAAAAUAAUAAAAAGAUAUAUAAAAAAAUGGUGUUGAGUUUAUUUAUAAAAUCAUUGAAAACUAAAUAUUGGUUACCUGUUGGUUGUCAUAUUUCCGAAAUGCAUAAUAAAGUCUGUCCAUGCUGCAAUAAAUUUUUCUUUAUACUUAUCAAGCCAUGUCUACUUCACAUAGACAAGUGCUUUCGGAUAUCUAGCAUAAUCACUCUAAAAAAUACUCAAGUGUUGUAUGUACUCUUGUUCAGUGGCUGAGAACACCAGUACAUUCCAGUUGCUGUUAAAGGCUUCCCAUCUUUCAUUAGUAUGAAAUAGCCUCUUAUAAUUAGCUAACACAUUUUUUGAAAUAUGCCAUCUACAAAGUAAAUUAGUUGCACUUGGAAAUAUCUUUUCAAUGGCAUUCAUCAGAGCUAAUUCCCUGUCUGUCACAAUCACAGCUGGUAACAUAUCAUCUUGCAUAAUGGUUUUCAAUCUUUCUAAUGCCCAAAUAUAGUUAUCUUCUCGUUCGGACUCAAGAUAUGCAAAACCAACAUUAAAUGUCUUUGCAGUCGAUGUGUCACCAACUAUUUCUAACAACGGAAACUUAUACUUAUUGACUUUAUAAGUGCAGUCCAUUAUCAGAACACUUGGAAAAGCUUUUAACAAAUCAAAAGUAAGAGGAUGUGCCUAAAAUAUGUCUUUCACACAAUUUGUAUCAUCAUCACUCCGAUGCCACUCAAUGUAAUUAUGAUCAUGCAAUUUACUCAUAAGCUGUUGCAUUUGUGACCGUCCGCCCAAUUCGCGAACCUUAUAUUUAUACCGAGCAUUAUAAACCGUCUUCAUUGUUGUAACAUUAAAUGUAUCCCUAGUCUUUAAAGUAUGUAAUAUCUCUUUUGGCCGAACAUUAUUUUUAGACAAAUCAACCAAUAUACUAACAUCUUCAUUAGUAAGUCUACCUGCAAAUGAGUGGCCCUCAAGAUAUUGUGCAAAAUGAUGGUUAUGCAAUCCACAGAUUACUUUUAACACCCAAUCUUGAUUAUUCACCAACAUUUGACCCUUUAAUAAAAAUGGACAGCCACACUUUUUUGUUCCAAUUGCAUUCGGUCUUUUCUUCUUUUCCAAGUCGCUAUUCUGCUUAGACAUGUUGGUACUUCUUUUCGGAUAUGCACCACUUCUUUCACAAGCAAAAAUUAUCCUUGGUCUCCUUCCAAUCACAUUCACGUCAGAUCUUUUAAUAAUAAUCACAAGUCCAUUUUUUUCCCAACAUCAUGCAUCCAUCGAAUCAACUUGUCUCUACUGGUGAAAACCUAUGAGAAAGACAAUAAUAUAUUAGUUAAUGAUACAAAGAAAAGAGAAUAUAUGUAUGAAAAUUUAUUUAGCAUUUUACCUCUUCAGUAGUGAAUGCAGCAGUGUAAUCCAUAACAUCUACUUUAUUAUCAAGAAUGACAACUAUGGUAGAACUUUCCUCCUUUACAAUCAUUGUAAGAUAUUACAUAAGUUAAUACAAGACACAAAACUAGAAUAAUAGCAAUUUAUUCAGCAAUAAUCAACCAAACAAUUGACAUUUGUUAAGGGAUAUUUGUUGAACAUUGUUCAACGCUCUCCCAGUCAUUAUAAUUCUAAAACAAUAAAUUAAUAGCAAACUUACUUUUUUAUUAUCAUCCCCAUCUAUUUGCAUGAUUAUUUUGCCCUAAAUUUGAAACUCUUAGAUUAGGGUUUAAGAAAGAAAAGAGAGUUUAUAUCGUAUGCCACACAAAGAAUUUAAAACUCUUAAACAAAAAUAUGCCAUAUAAGAAAUUUUUAAGGGGAAAAAAAUAUUUGAUUUUGAGUGGGGGUUUAAUUAGAAAUUGUCUUAUUAUGUAAUUUUAAUAAAGGUUAAAAUUGUAAAAUAACUAAAGGGGUGUUAAGAGGUAUUUAGAGGGGUGCCAAUAGUCCCACUCAAAUAAGUAAUGGUAACAAAAGACUAAUUUGUAAUAUUGAAGUGUACGGGCUUAACUAAAUCCAAAAAUUAGUAAGUUAGCUCAAGAGUUGAGAGUUGUCCAAAUCUUAAAUGUUGAACCCAAGUUCAAUACUCAAUUGAUGCGGGAUGUUAUUCCUAACACCUCCCGUCAUGUGUAGGAUUGGUAAAAAAACUCGGGUCAGUCCCGCCUAGACCUACGGGCUUUAUGCAUGGCCCGCAUGAUGAAGUUACGAAAUUAACCUAAAAAUUUGAAACUUACGAUGAAUGGCCUUGCUUAAAGAUUUUUGCAACUUUAAUUUAUAACGAGUAUGUAUAUAUACACACACAAAAGUUUAGAUUGCAUUUGGAUGACUUUUUUAAUCAAUUCAAACAAUCUGAAAUUUAUCAGAUUAAUCCGAAUUUGAUCUGUAUCUGAUUUUGCCCGCCCCUACUAUUUAUAAGCCCAAGUGACUCUCUUUUACUAAUUAAUAAGGGAAUUUUUUACCUUAUAUCCUUGCUGUGGCGUUAGACUACUGGUCAUUUUGAUUGUUUCCUACCUUCCAUUUACGCCAGUUGUAACAUUGUAUUAUUCACCACUUUAGCCAUUUAAAUGAAAUUUUAUUUUCAUAAAAAAUAAAAUGACACCCUUAAAAUUUAAAAAAUAGAUAUGUAGAUCUCAAAUUUUUAAUAAAGAAUGUCAAUACCCCUUUUAACUACAAGAUUCUUAGUAGAUGAUAACCAAAAACAUUAACUUCAAAUUUUUCACUAAAUGUAAAUCUGAUUGAAAUAGUUUAAUUUUUUUCUAGUAGACUAAUAUGUAUAACUUAUAUAAUUAAUUUCAUUAUUAAUUUUUAAAAUGUUAAUUAAUAUAUUUUUAAUUAUUAUAAAAAUUUUAAAUAAAUCUUGGAUUAGAUAGAUUUUACACUUAAUGUAAUACUUCUGAUUUAUUAAUAAUAUUAAAAUUAUUUUAUAUGAUAUUCAAAAUAAUUUAAACUUUUAUAUAUUUAUUUUAAUAUUAUGUCUAUUUAUUAUAGUUUGGUUUAAUAUAAUACGGGAUUGUAAAAUAUUAAAAUAUUUUUCAAUAUCAAAUUAUUUUAAUAUGUAUAUAUUAUUACAUUUAUUUUAAUAUCACAUUUAUAUUUAUUAUAAAAUAUAAAAUUAAUAAAAUUAAAGAGUAUUGCAGUAAAGUAAAAAAAAAAGUCUUAUUAUCCCAUAUUCACGGUAUGAGUUUCUACAAAAUUAUUUCCUCAAAUGGGUGACCUUUCCUCAUUUUCAAAAGAAAAAAUAAAGUAAGAAUAAGUCCAGGGUUUCAAAAACUUCUAGUCUUAUCCCAAGACCUCCAUUGUCUACCACUAUGACUAAUGGAAAUGACAUUGCAAUUGACAUUGCUUUUCGCAACAUGACAAAUUUUUGGUGGGAUAUGAGAGAAUUGUCAAAAGUUCAUGCCGCGUGAGAGUUUUUGGUGGGAUGUGGGAGAAUUGUCAAAAGAUCACACCACGUGAUAUAACCAUAAUUGCUACAAUUUUUUUUAAUAAUGAUGGGAGUUAUAAAUUAUUUAUAUAAAUUUGUGUAGAAACUAAUGUAACAUAAAAGAAGUAGCUGAAUAACAAUAUUUGGUGCUUUAGGUAAUUUUUAUAUGAGCCUUUCUUUUAUUUAGCGACUUUAGUGCUUAAACAAAUUUGUCCUCGAUCUUAAUUUACUUACCCCAUUUAAGCCUAUGAUGACAUAAACAUAUUCUUUUGUGACGAAAACAUCAAGAGAAGACAUCUCAUGUUUUAUUAUAACACAAAAGAAGUGGUCCAAACGUCUAUUCAUUCUUUUAUUUACUCAAUAUGAAUGGCCAACUUUAAAAAAUGAUAAAAAUCACACCACGCUCAACUGAAAAUUUAUAAUUACAUUUUUUAAUACUCUCUAUACUCUCUAGCCUCUCUCUCCUGCCCCCUUUUUUUUUUAAAAAAUAAACCUUAGUGUAAAAUUAGAAGAAUUUUAGAUAUAACAUUUGACAAUCGCUAAAUAGAAAAGUAGGGGAUUGAAAAUAGAGGAGCUCUGUUAUCAUUGGAAUAUUGAUUAUAGAUCAUAUAAUAACUUGUUGUGGUUCAUUGUAGCACUCUGAGUCAUAUUCUAAAAUUUAUAGGUUUCUUAAGGUUUUUAUUAUUGACAUUAUUGUGUCAAUACUAUUAUAAUUUAUUCAUUUUAUUGUAAUGAUAAUUUGUCUAGUCUUAGGUACUUAUUAUAUUAAAUUAUGUAAAUUAAUUGAGAAUACAUUUAGAGACAAAAGAAACACGUGUAUGUAGGAUUAAUAAUCGCAGAGUUGUAAAUGAAGGUGAUUGCUUCAUUGAGAGGCAUAUUAAAUAAUUAUGGAGAGUUGCACUAUUUCGGAAGCAUAUAUUUAUACUUCCCUAUCAGGAUUUGGGGUAAGCGAAGUGCUUUAUGUGUUGUAGUAAGCAAUGUGGGCAAUAUCGGAGGCGAAAUAUUAAAAGAUCAUAACGCAUAUAUUUGAGCCAUUUAUAUUGAAGACACGUAUUGAAGACACGUAUAGAGGAAAGAGUGCAUAUCCGGCGGUAACUAUUAUCAGGCUUUCCUAAAAUAUUCUCAUGCUUCCUCAACUGUUCUGAACUAUUCUUCAUAGUGGGCAGAUUUACUUAAAUACCCUUCUACCUAACAAAACUUGGUACUUCUAAUUGCACUCGCAGAGAAUCUAUAAAAUUAAAAAAAAAUUCAUCCAUGAAAAGCCUCGUAACAGAAAAACCAUCUUUCAAAAAAUAAUAAUAAAAUAAAAACAGAAAAACCGACUCAUUUAUCUGCCAAUGAACCAAUCGGGACUCAUUUAAAAAAGAUUACAAAGCAAAAGUAAAUGACACAAAUUGCAUAGAUAUCUAGGAGCCGCAUCAAAGGGCAAUGGUGUUAAUUUGUCCGAGUAAUAAUUAAUUUCAAUAUUAAUUUUUAAAAUGGAAAUUAAUUUAUUUAUAUUUAUAAAAUAUUUGUAAUUAUUUUAAAAUUUUAACUAAAUCCUUAGGUUAAAUAGAUUUUACAAUUAAUAUAAUAUUUCUCAUGUAUUAAUAAUAUUAAAAUUAUUUUAUAUGAUAUUGAAAAUAACCUAAAUUUUUAUAUAUUUAUUUGAAUAUUAUGUCUCUAUUUAUUAUAAUUGGGUUUAAUAGAAUACGAGAUUGUAAAAUAUUAAAAUUUUUAGAUAUUGAAAUUAUUUUAAUAUGUAUAUAUUAUUAUAUUUAUUUUAAUAUCCUAUUUAUAUUUAUCAUAAAUUAUUAGAGUUAAUUUUUUUAGUUAAUAAAUUUAAAAACUAUUCUAAUUUUAAAAAAAAGUCUUAUUGUCUAUUAUUCAUGAUAUGAGGUUCUACAAAAUUAUUUCUCCAGACGGAUGUCCUUUUCUUAUUUUCAAAAGGAAAAACAAGUUCAGGGUCUCAGGGGUUUCAAAAAUUCUGGUCCUAUCUACCACUAUGACUAAUGGGAAACAACAUUGUAAUUGACAUUGCUUUUCACAAUAUGACAAAUUAUUGGAGGGAUAUGGGAGAAUUGUCAAACAUUCACACCACGCGAGAGCUUUAGUGUGGGAUAGGGGAGGAUUGUCAAGAGUUCACACCACGAGAAACUAAUGAUAGGCCCAAUUUCAUUGUCAAUUCUUUAUUUAUUUCAUGCAUUAUUGUUUUUCUAAAGGUAUAAAAGCAAAGUAAAAUACUAGGGGCGCUUUUAAGUUACAAUUGAUGUAACUUACAAUUUUUUCAAAAAUAAUGUAAAAAAAUUAAUAGGUGGUGGGACCCACAUAUUUUUUAAGAGACUUAAGUUACGGCAGUUGUAACUUAACAAAAUUUAAAUAUUAGAUAAUAAUACAUAUUAAUAAUAUAUAAUUUGGGUUUGAUUUUUAAAAGAUUAUUUGAGUACCACCUAUCCUUAUGAUAUUAAUGUGACUAUAUCUUAAUAUUAAAUAAUCAAAAUUUGUUUAAUUGUUAUUUGUAUUUCAUACAUUACAUAUUAGAUUUGUUUGAAUUUUAAGUUGUUGCUAAUAAAUAUUUAUGUUGUCAAAGUCAAAUUCAAUAGCUACAAAAGCAGAGAUAAUGGUAUUGUAUAUAGUUUUUAAGAAUGCAAGGAUAAGCUGGAUAAUUGACAUAAAUUCUAAUGAUUAAAACAGCAACUAUCCCUUAAGUUAUAAUGUCAAUUUCUUUAAUUAGAUUUUUUUUUUUAUGUGAUAUAACCACAAUUGCUACAAAUUUUUUUUUUUAUAAUAAUAAUGGGAGUUAUAAAUUAUUUAUAUAAAAUUUGGGUUGAAACUAAUGUAACCUAAAAGUGGUUGCUGAAUAACAAUAUUUGAAACUUUAGGUAAUUUUCAUGAGUCCUUUUUAUAUUCAGCAACUUGAAUUGGGGGAAAUCCGACUUGAAUUGGCGGUUGAUUUUCGUGAUGUGGCUUUUGGUUUAUGGCGACCUUACAGUGGCAGAAGACUGGAUUUACGGUUGCCGACUGCUAGGGAUUAUGGUGGGGGUGUAAAUUGACGGAAAAAGAAGGUGUUUUGGUGGCGGCGCGUGUAGGAAGCACUCGUGGGUUGUCGUUUCGUGUGGUGGCGGGCGGCGAUCAAGGGCUGAAGUUGGUCGGUUUUUGGUCAACGGAGGCCGGCGAGUUUGUUGGUGGAGGUGGCUGGUGGAGAAAGUGACUGAAUGGUGGUGGGUUGCUUGGUGGAGCCGCGGGUUUGGGUUGGUGAUUUGUGGCUGUUCAAGCGGCGGUUGAGGCAGCGAUGACUGAGGCUUGGUCGACGGUGGCUAGUGAGGUUUGUGGUGGUGUUGGCUGACUGAUCGGCGGUGGUGGGCGGCCGUGGAGGUUGAUGUGACGGGUAGGGUUUUCAAAUUUGUAAAUUUUUUUUUUUGAUGGAUUUGGUUUGGAUGGGUAUCGUGUAUCUAGGAAAGAUGUGCGAUUCGCACAGAAUCCCUUUGACACCAAUUGAUGGAGCGAGGCGUAGCGGAAGCGGAAUUGAUAGGGUAAGAAACAUUAGAUAUUGUUCUAGUACUAGACCAAGCCAACGCAAUUAGCUUACGCUCUAAUCGAAGCGUGAUUAGAUAUCGUUCUAAUCCAAAUAACUCAAUACGAUUUUUAAUAAUGCGUAAUACGAGAUUAAAUGACACUCUAAUCCAAACGACUCUACAAGAGAGAUUUUGAUAAAUAAUCAUAGAGGGGUUUUAUUUAAUAAUUGAACCUGAAGUUAAUGAAAAUAAUGACAAGACAUCUUUAUUUUUUUUUAUUACAGACAUCUUUAUUUAUAAUAAAAGAAACCCGCUUUCCUAAGUUAACCUAAAAAGAAAAUUUAAAUCAUAAUUAUAAUGGAAAUAAAAGAUUAAGAUACAUAUCAUAAUUGACUCAAACUAAAAUAGAAAAUCAUAAAAUAAUAAAUAUUCUAAAAUUAUAAAUUAUCUAAAAUAACGUUAAUUAACUUCCUAAAUCACUUCUUUGGUGUAAACCAUUUUGCAUCCAAACUCGCUUUAAAGGUUUGAACUAACGUUACCAACAACAAUGUAUCAAAUUCCAAUCUAACUUAAGAUCUUGAUGCAUCUAUCGAUGUCCUUGUUUGAUUAGACAAUAAUGAGUCUAUCUCAUCACUUGUUACCUCUUUCUUGAAAGCUACAUCUGUUGAAGUGAUAGCCUCACUUAGAGUUUAAAGAUCUUCUUCCCUGUUAAAUAAAAUGGGCAUUUGAGUAAAAAGCUUUAUCUCUAUCUCCUUCUAUCAAAUAACGACAACUAUCCAAAGGGAAAAAAAAAAUUAGAAAAGUCCAUGGGUCACAAUAAUUUAUGGUCUGUCUCCGGACCCCAUUAUCUGCCACUAUCAAUGAUGAAAAUGAAAAUAAAUGGCAUCUUCCCUAAAUGGCAAAAGAUUUUUGGGGGAUAUAGGGGAAUUGUCAAAAGUUCAUACAACGCGAAAUAAGUGUUACAUCCAAUUUUAUUUCGUCAUAUAAUGAUAAUAUUAAAUAAUGACAACCAUCCAAAAGUAUGAUGGGUCUUCCAAAAUUUUGAAAAUGUCGUCAACAUUUAAUCUUCAAUGCUAAAGAAGAUGAAACGCCCAAAAAUGACACGCAGGACUCACUCAAAAACUAAAUGGCCCUCACCACAUGUAACAAACUUUGACCUUAUGUCCCUGCUGAGGCGUUAGACUGUUGGUCAUUUUGAUUGCUUUUUACCAUCCAUUUACGCCAUUGUAGAAUUGAACUAUUCACCAGUCUAGCUGUUUAAAUGAAAUUGUUAUUUUUUUUCCAAAAAUAAAAUGACACCCUUAAAAUUUUAGAAAAUAGUCAUGUAGACCCCAAAAUUUUAUUAAAGAACACUAAUAUCCUUUUUUACUAUAGUACUCUUAGUAGAUGGUAACAAAAAAAAAAUGAUUGCAAAAUAUUUUAGUAAAUGAAAAUAUGAUUUAAAUAGUUUAAAUUUUCUAGUAGACUAGUAUGUAUAAUUUAAAUAAUUAAUUUUUAAAAUGUAAUUUAAUAUAUUUAUUAUAAAAUUUUUAAACAAAUCCUUGGGUUAAAUAGAUUUUAUAAUUUAUAUAAUAUUUCUCAUGUUUUUAUGUUAUAGAAAUAUUAAAAUUAUUUGAUAUGAUAUUGAAAAUAAUUAAACAUUUUAUAUAUUUAUUUGAAUAUUAUGUCUCUAUUUAUUAUAAUUUGGUUUAAUAGAAUACGAGAUUGUAAAAUAUUAAAAUAUUUUUAGGUAUUGAAAUUAUUUUAAUAUAUAUAUACAUAUUAUUAUAUUUAUUUUAAUAUCCUACUUAUAUUUAUUAUAAAAUAUUAAAAUUAAUUUUUUUAGUUAAUAAAUUUAAAAAAUAUUAUAAUUAUAAAAAGAGUCUUAUUGUCUGCUAUUCACGAUAUGAGAUUCUACAAAAUUAUUUUGAAAAUGAAAAAUAAGUCCAGGGGUUUCAACAAAUUCUAGUCCUAUCUGCCACUAUGACUAAUGGAAACGACAUUGCAAUUGACAUUGGUUUUCAUAAUAUGACAAAUUUUUGGAGGGAUAUGGGAGAAUCGUCAAAUGUUCACACUACGCGGGAUUUUUGGAUGGGAUCAGGGAGGAUUGUCAACAGUUCACACCACGAGAAACCAAUGAUAGCCCUAAUUUCGCUGUUAGUUCUUUGUUUAUUUAUUUUAUUUAUUUCAUACAUUGUUGUCUUGUUGGCAUUGUUUUGUAAAGAUAUAAAAGUAAAGUAAACUAUUAGGGUGCUGCUAAGUUAAGCUGUUGUAACUUGCAGUCCCUUAAAAAAUAAUGUAAAAAAUCCACAUUUGUUUGAAGAGGCUGUAAGUUAUAGUAGUUGUGACUUAGCAAAAUCCAAAUAUUAGACAAUAACGCACAUUAACAAUGCAUAUAAUUUGGGUUUGAUUUUUAAAAAAAUUAUUUGAGUAUUAGCUAUCCUUAAGAUAUUAAUGUGAAUAUAAUUUAAUAUUUAAUAAUCAAAAUCUGUUUAAUCAUAAUAUAUAUUUCAUACAUUGCAUGUUUAAUCAAAAUCUGAUUGCUUUUUACCUUCCAUUUACGCCCACUGUAGCAUUGUACUAUUCACCAUUUUAGAUGUUUAAAUGAAAUUUUUAUUUUUUUUCCAAAAAUAAAAUGACACCCUUAAAAUUUUAGAAAAUAGCCAUGUAGACCCCAAAAUUUUAAUAAAGAACACUAAUAUCCUUUUUAACUACAGCACUCUUAGUAGAUGGUAACCAAAAAAAAAAAAUUGAUUGCAAAAUUUUUUAGUAAAUGUAAAUAUGAUUUAAAUAGUUUAAAUUUUCUAGUAGACUAGUAUGUAUAAUUUAAAUAAUUAAUUUUUAAAAUGUAAUUUAAUAUAUUUAUUUUAAUAUUAUAUUUAUUAUAAAAUUUUUAAACAAAUCAUUGGGUUAAAUAGAUUUUAUAAUUUAUAUAAUAUUUCUCAUGUUUUAAUAAUAUUAAAAUUAUUUUAUAUGAUAUUAAAAAUAAUUAAAAAUUUUAUAUAUUUAUUUGAAUAUUAUGUCUCUUUUUAUUAUAAUUUGGUUUAAUAGAAUACGAGAUUGUAAAAUAUUAAAAUAUUUUUAGGUAUUGAAAUUAUUUUAAUAUAUAUAUAUAUAUAUAUAUAUAUAUUAUAUUUAUUUUUAUAUCCUACUUAUAUUUAUUAUAAAAUAUUAAAAUUAAUUUUUUUAGUUAAUAAAUUUAAAAAUAUUAUAAUUAAAAAAAGAGUCUGAUUGUCUGUUAUUCACGAUAUGAGGUUCUACAAAAUUAUUUUGAAAAGGAAAAAUAAGUCCAGGGGUUUCAACAAAUUCUAGUGCUAUCUGCCACUAUGACUAAUAGAAACGACAUUGCAAUUGACAUUGCUUUUCUUAAUAUGACAAAUUUUUUUAGGGAUAUGGGAGAAUCGACAAAUGUUCACACUACGCGGGAGUUUUAGAUGGGAUCAGGGAGGAUUGUCAACAGUUCACACCACGAGAAACCAAUGAUAGCCCUAAUUUCGCUGUCAGUUCUUUGUUUAUUUAUUUUCAUUAUUUCAUACAUUGUUGUCUUGUUGGCAUUGUUUUGUAAAGAUAUAAAAGUAAAGUAAACUAUUAGGGUGCUGCUAAGUUAAGUUGUUGUAACUUACAAUCCCUUAAAAAAUAAUGUAAAAAAUCCACAUUUGUUUGAAGUGGCUGUAAGUUAUAGUAGUUGUGACUUAACAAAAUCCAAAUAUUAGACAAUAACGCACAUUAACAAUGCAUAUAAUUUGGGUUUGAUUUAAAAAAAAAAAAUUUUGAGUAUUACCUAUCCUUAAGAUAUUAAUGUAAAUAUAAUUUAAUAUUAAAUAAUCAAAAUCUGUUUAAUCAUAAUAUAUAUUUCAUACAUUGCAUGUUUCAUCAAAAUUUGAUUGCUUUUUACCUUCUAUUUACGCCCACUGUAGCAUUGUACUAUUCACCAUUUUAGAUGUUUAAAUGAAAUUUUUAUUUUUUUCCAAAAAUAAAAUGACACCCUUACAAUUUUAGAAAAUAGUCAUGUAGACCCCAAAAUUUUAAUAAAGAACACCAAUACCCUUUUUGACUAUAGUACUCUUAUGGUAGCCACAAAAAAAAAUUGACUUCAAAAUUUUUUAGUAAAUGUAAAUACGAUUUAAAUAGUUUAAAUUUUCUAGUAGACUCGUAUGUAUAAUUUAAAUAAUUAAUUUUUAAAAUGUAACUUAAUAUAUUUAUUUUAAUAAUAUAUUUAUUAUAAAAAUUUUAAACAAAUCCUUGGGUUAAAUAUUUUUAUAAUUAAUAUAAUAUUUCUCAUGUUUUAAUAAUAUUAAAGUUAUUUUAUAUGAUAUUGAAAAUAAUUUAAAGCUUUAUAUAUUUAUUUGAAUAUUAUGUCUCUAUUUAUUAUAAUUUGGUUUAAUAUAAUACGAGAUUGUAAAAUAUUAAAAUAUUUUUUGGUAUUGAAAUUAUUUUAAUAUAUAUAUAUAUAUUAUAUUUAUUUUAAUAUCCUACUUAUAUUAUUAUAAAAUAUUAAAAUUAAUUUUUUUAGUUAAAAAUUUAAAAAAAUAUUACAGUUAAAAAAAAAGAGUCUCAUUGUCCGUUAUUCACGAUAUGAGAUUCUAUAAAAUUAUUUUCAAAAGGAAAAAUAUGUCCAGGAGUUUCAACAAAUUCUAGUCCUAUCUGCCACUAUGACUAAUGGAGACGACAUUGAAUUGACAUUGCUUUUCGCAAUAUGACAAAUUUUUGGAGGGAUAUGGGAGAAUCAUCAAGCGUUCACACCACGCGAGAGCUUUAGGUGUGAUAUGGGAGAAUUGUUAAGAGUUCACACCACGAGAAAUUAAUGAUAGGCCUAAUUUCGUUGUCAGAUCUUUAUUUAUUUUUUAUUUAUUUCAUACACUAUUGUCUUGUUGGUAUUGUUUUGUAAAGAUAUAAAAGUACAAGUAAAAUAUUAGGGGAAGUAAAGUAAAAUAUUGGAGGUGCUACUAAGUUACAGCUGCUGUAACUUACAGUUCCUUAAAAAAUAAUGUAAAAAAUUUAACACGUGGUGGGACCCACAUUAUGUUUGAAGAGGUCGUAAGUUAUAGCAGUUGUAAAUUAGUAAAAUCCAAAUAUUAGACAAUAAUACAUAAUAACAAUGCAUAUAAUUUGAGUUUGAUUUUUAAAAAAAUUAUAUGAGUAUUACCUAUCCUUAAGAUAUUAAUGAGAAUAUAUUUUAAUAUUAAAUAAUCAAAAUCUGUUUAAUCAUAAUAUGUAAUUCAUACAUUGCAUGUUAGAUUUGUUUGGAUUUUAAGUUGUUGCUAAUAAAUAUUUAUGUUGUGAAAGUCGAAUUCAAUAGCUACAAAAGCAGAGAUAAUGGUAUUUUAUGUAGUUUUUAAGAAUACAAGGAUAAGUAGGGGUGGGCAAAUCGGGUUUCGAUUCGGGUUGUUCGGGUUUCGGAUUGGGUUUCAACCCGUUCGGGUUGGAGAAUUGAACCCAAUCGGGUUGAAAGCACCAACCCGAACCAAACCGAACCGAAUUUAAUUCGGUUCGGUUCGGUUUGGGUUGGCAAUUCGGAUCGGAUUGGGUUGAUAAUUCGGGUUAAAAUUUCGGUUCGGGUUAAUUCGGGUUAGAAUGGGUUGGAACAAUUUAAUCUAAAAAUUCUAACAACAACCACUUAAAAUCUAAAAAUUUAAAUUUCAAACAUUCUUAACAACAAAUAUCAAUUACAAAUCAUCCUUAAUAACAUUUCAACAAUUUAAAAAUCUCAAUUCCAAACAUUCCAAACAUCCUUAAGGAACGAUUUAAUCUAAAAAUUAUAACAACCUCUUAAAAUCCAAAAAUCUUAAUUCCAAAUAUCCUUAAUAACAAAUAUCAUCUACAAAUCAUCUUUAAUAACAUUUCAAUAAUUUAAAACUCUCAAUUCCAAACAUCCUUAAUAACAAAUAUCAACUACAAAUCAUCUUUAAUAACAUUUCAAUAAUUUAAAACUCUCAAUUCCAAAUAUUCCAAACAUCCUUAAGGAACAAUUUAAUUCAAAAAUUAUAACAACCACUUAAAAUCUAAAAAUCUCAAUUCCAAACAUCCUUAAUAUAUAUAUAUAUAUAUUUUUUUUUUUAAUUUAAAAGCUGAAUCUUAAAAAAAAAAAAAAGCUUCAACCCGAACGGGUUGAAACUUUGAAUCCGUUCGGGUUUCACCGGUUAACCCAAACCGAACCGAACGCCCACCCUAAGGAUAAGACCAUAACGCAUGAGAUAAUGGUAUUUUAUAUUAAAAGACCAUAACACAUGUAUUUGAGCCAUUUAUAUUGAGGACACAUAUAGAGCGAAGAGUGCAGAUCCGGCCGUAACUAUUGUGAAGCUUCCCUCAAGUAUUCCCAUGCACACAACCCUUAUCUGUUCAAGUUUUCUGAUUCAAUAUAAUCAAUUUCCGAGCAGUACUGACGACAGCUUCUCUGUAAAGCUCUUCAACCACAAGCAUUUCUACAAGGCAAAAGACUAGGACGUGUCGGAAUGAAUAUCAAUAAGGGAAUGUCUUAUGAAUUCAGUUUAUAUCCUAAUAUAAGACAAUCAGUAAAUAUUGGAUGCAAUCUUAGGCUAACAUUUGGUUGAUCAUUAUACAAAAAAAAAGGUACAAAAAUACAAAACAGAGCUGAUUGAUGGCCUCUCACAGUCAGUUAUAUGACAAAGUAGCCAUCACUACUUGAACUUGGCUGGAGGUCUCAUUAGCAGUAUACCUCAGAAAUUAAUACAGAGACUUUAAAAUGCAAACUUAUGGAGCAAUUUAAGCACUGAAACUAAUAACAGUACGGUAUUAGCAAUUGACCUCUGCUUUUUGCUUGGACAAAGGUUCUCAUCACAAGGGACUCAUUAGUUGCCCUUGCCUCACACUUUUGGAUGCUAAGGGGAAAAAGGAAGCUUGAAUUAGUCAAUCUCAUGUCUAAUGGCAUUCACAGAGAACCUAUAAAACCAAAUAAAUAAAUAAAGUUUUCAUCCAUGAAAAGCUUAGUAAUGGAAAAACCGACUCUUUUAUCUGCCACUGACGAAAAAAAAACUGAAGUAUUAAAUAGAUAAUGAAUUUAAUUUUUUUCUUGGAAAAACUAAUAAUAAAUUAACAAUUAGAUAGUACUAUUAAUUAGAGAUCUUUAAUAUUAAGGUUAUCAAAUAUAGAAUGUGUAUAAAAAUUCUUAAUUAUAAGAUAAUUACUAACUAAAAAGAGGCCUAAAAAAGAAGAUUUGCUAUUAUAAGUAAUACCAAAAAUAAAAAGGGAGACUUCCUAAUUGUUUAAUUGUUAAAAAAGAGGAUUUGUUAUUAUAGGCCUAAUUUGCCUAUGCUUAAAACCGUUCCCGGAUGUAAAAAAAUAAAAAUUAUUGUUAAAUUCCUGACUAAUAAGGUCAUUGAAAGUAUUCAAAGGACCUGAACUAUACCACGUUGCAAGUGAGCUCGUAUUUUUAUCCCUUGAUCUGCCAUCGGUAUUUCUCUUCCACUCACUAUACCAUCCUUUUCAAUCGAUUUUUAUUGAUCAUAAGAGACCAUGUGGCCCACCUUUUUUUUAUUUUGGAUCCAUAACCCAAUGCUGGCCCAAGUUAAACAGCAAAUCAUCAAACGCACUUCAAUGACUUUGAUUUUGAUUUUUUUUUUCAAAAGAAGUAAAAAAAUCCAUGGGUCGCAAUAACUGCUGGGAAAUUUAUAAAAAUAGUCAUAAAAUAUUUGUAUUUUUUAACUUUAAUCCCUUAAAGUUUUUUCUAUCAUAACUAGCCAAAUACCCUACUUUUGGACUAGAUUACCCUCAUCACUUUUAUCAAAUUUAUAAAGACAUGCCACUUUUUCAAUUCCAGCACAACUAAAUACGGUUCUUCUUCAAUAACUUAACAAACAUUUAUCACUCUCAACAAACUUCAUCACUCUCUAUAAAUCAAUUACAUAAUUGAAUAUAAUCAUCAAUGGGAGAGCUUCUUAAAAUUAGUUUAUGCUUUUACACAAUGUAAAUCUUUAAUCUAUUGAUUUUAUCAACUAAAUUUGAAAUUAAAGUGGGUUUUGUUACAAAUAUUGUUAUUUUUCAUUCAUAAAACAAUGUGAUUUGUUAAAGUACUUAGUUUGAGUUGAGAAAUGAAGAAAAAUCAUUGAAAAUAUAGAAAAAUCGGGCAAAAAACGAAGUUCAGAACAAGUGAGAUAGGCAAGUGGGACAGGUGCAUGUCUCACAUAAACGCACUGCAUUUAUGUGCGACAGGCACCUGUCCCACUGCUUGUCGCACAUAAACCCAUAAAUUUUAUAGAGUACAUGAUUUUGGAUUUGAUUUGUCUCGUCAUAAGCUUCGAAACAGUAUAUUAUACGCCUAAAACGAACAUAUGUAGCUCAAGUUAUAGCUUUUGCAAUAUAUAUGAAAUUUAGUGAGACAGGCACCUGUCCCACUUGCCUGUCUCACUAAAUUUCAUAUAUGUUUCAAAAAUCAUAACUUGAGCUAUAUAUGUCCGUUUUAGACGUAUAAUAUAUCAUUUCAAAGUUUAUGAUGAGACAAAUCAAAUUCAAAAUUAUGUACUCUAUAAAAUUUGUGGGUUUACGUGCGAUAGGCAAUGGGACAGGUAAAAUGAAUAAACUCUGAGCCUCUCUCUAUAACACUAUAUAGAACCCUAAGCCUAAGUCUCACAUUCGCAACCGCCCCACAUAUCAGAACCACAGCGAACUGCCUCCGACCCUACGGACCCAAAAAAAUUAUUGUAUUCCUGCUCUUUCACUUCAAUAAUUUUUUGUAUUAUUCCAUAUCUUUCACUUUAAUAACCCAAAAGCUUUCCUCUGUUUCAACCCAAAAGCUCAAAUUCCUUUUUUCAAUCGAAAUAAAACGUAGCCACAAAACCCUAAUUCACCACACCAAUUUAUCUCUGCCCGGUAUUCAUUUAAACCCUACCUCGCGGUUCAAUGUCAUUCAAUACGAUUGCAGAUGCCGUUUCAACUUGACAUUUAGUUAGCGCCAUCCCGUUCUCUAUGGUAAGCCUUAACCCUAACAACUAAUCGACUGUGGUAGCACGUUGCUUGUUAGGAGUGGGGAUACAUUAUUUGAAUAUAUGAAUUGGGUGAUGUUAGUGAUUCAUUCCCCUAUUUUUCGUGAAUUGAGAUUUGUGUAUAAUGCUAGUAAGAUUGCUAAAAAUUUCAUAUUUUGUAUUGUUCCAGUUGAAUUUCUUGCUUGUGGAAGAUAAAACAAAAGUUCAAUUUCAUGUUGAUUUAAUUCUUCUUUUUUUUUUCUUCUUUAUAGUCACGCUCUGGCUUUGGUGCUAUGCUUAGUGCAGUUUAUGGUUUCAAGAUUAAGUCACGUUUAUUUGAUGGCAUCGAUUCCAUCAUUAAGAAGCUCUUCUUAUUUUAUCUCAGUUUCAAUUUUCUUUUAUUAUCUGCCUCUACCUGAAAAUGGACGUGUUUUACUAGUAAGCAUAGACUUUGUUUAUUUAAUUGAUAUUAUAAUUUUAUGUAUAAGAAUGGAGGUUUAUUUUGAAAAAAAAAAAGAAAUAAAAAAAUAGACUCUGUUGAAGCUAAUUAGUACUGAAUUUUUUUUGGUGGUGCGACCAGAGGUGGAAACAGGGUAUGAAAAUGUGUUACUGGUGAGGUUGCUGCUUAAGAUGAGAAUGGCUAAAAAUCUGUCAUACGUUCAAAUUUUGUUUGUGUUUGGAAGAAUGGUGUUGACUGUAUAUUCGUUUGGAAGAAUGGUGUUGAUUGUAUAUUCAUUUGCUUAGCCUUUUGACAGAUGGAUUUGAAACUGACGACAAAUGUGAUUCAAUUUACAAGGUUUUCGAGGGGCUCACAGUGGAAGGGAUAUUGAAGAACUGGUCUAAGAUAAAGCCUAUGAUUGUGAAAGAUUGGAGUGAGAAUAUAGAUGCUCGUUUAAAUCUUUUUGGCAAGGUCAGAGAUGAAUGGAUAGAUAAGGAUUUAUUUGACUACUUCGUCUGGUGCUAAUAGGUAUUUUAGGCAAGCUUUUUGAGAUAACACUGAGCAAGUUAUACUACUAGUUUGCACAUGAUGAUCAAAACUCUCGAAAAGUAAAAUAAAAUAAAUUAUUAACUUUUACUUUCAUCUUUUGCAUAGCAAUCAAUGUGGUGCUUGUUCUGUGACAACUUUGAUAGUCUACUUAAUUAUUGGUUAGCAUUUGGACCAAAAAAGUUCUUAUGAUUUACAUGUUUUGUAGAAAUGCAUGAACCUUAAAUGUGCUGAUCAGGGAGUUUAAUUAUUGCACCUUGAAAUUCAUUUAUUGUUAACUAAUUGGCUUUCCUUUGCAUAAAGACGCUUAUAAGGCUUGAGUGGACGUCUUUAUGGGCAUAUUAUUUGUAUUUCUAUAUGCAUGCCUUUAUCAUUAAUUUAUGUGCUGCUUGUAUUUCUUUAUGCAUGCCUUUAUCAUUUAAUGGCCAGCUCCCUCUCCUCUUUUGUAAUUUGAAUGGUAGUAUGGGCCUCCAUUUUACAAAUCUUUAACAUUUUUUGCUGUAAAUUAAUUUUUCUUUCAAAUAUUUUGGAGGUCAUUGGAAUUCCUGUAGGUCUAUUUACCAGAUUUUAGUACGUUUAAGGUUUUAAUUUUGCUUAGACUUUAAUUUCUCUGAAAGAUUGUAGUAUUGAUCCUCAAAGAAAGAUCAUGCUACUUCAAAUUAUUUUGAAGUGUUGCUAGUUAUAGCCUUACAUAUCAAAUUCCAUUUGUCUGGAAAUUUAUUGAUAGUUGUUACAGCAGCAUAUUUUAUGACUCUACUUCUUAGUUAUGUAAGUUCAUUAUGUUUAGGUCAGAGGCAGUCAGCUGUGGGGAAUCGAUAUAUACACAGAUGACUUUGAUCUUGUUGCUGGUACGUGGUUCUAUGAAUAAUUGUUCACAAUAAUUGUGUUUGCCUCACUGUUUUUGUUUUAUGAGGUCUAUAAUUGAUCUUGAGAUAUUACUUUCUAGUUCUCAUGCAAGCAAGUUACUACCUUCCCACUGCAUCUCCUCCUUUAUCUGCUAUUCAAGAGUUGCGUGCCAUAAUCUGGUGUUACCUCUGCAAGAUUGUGAAUGAAUAUGAUGCCUCUAAAUUUAUUUUAUACAUAAUGCUGAUGCUGAAUAAUAUAUUGUAGCUCCUGUCAUAUUCUACUUUGACUUUUUAUAUUCUGUUUCAUAUAAAAAUCUUAUUCAACUUUAGUUGUUCAUGAGCAAAUGUCACAUGUAUAAGCCCAAAUGAUGCUUAAAGGUAGCGCGGCUACCUUUAGUUUGAGCCUACAAUGGAUGAAAAAGAAAUUGAAACUGAUAUUUUGCUGUUUUUCUGAUUUUUCAAAGUAUUUUAGAUCCUGACUUUUGUUUGGACUUGAUGGUUAUAGAUUGUGUCUAGAUUUGUUAAGUUGUUUCCAACACCUCGUGCCAAAUGAAAGCACAAUCUUUCUGAUUCAGAUGUCUUGUUAAUUAUGCUUCAUUUUUUUCGUUAAAGAAUGGAUGGUUGCAUGGAUUGAUGGAGUUGGAGUUCAACCAAUAAUUCUAAUUUUUUGGACUUAAAAUGCCUUUUUCUUCUGUAUAAAAACUUUAGUAAGUGCUAUUGAGUUGACAGAAGUUGAAUACUUACAGGUUGUUUCACACAUUUUAAUCGUUUUACAUAUAUGAAUUUCUGUUUUUUGAAUUGCAGAAAGGAGGUGGAACUAUUGAUUUGGAGCCUUAUCUUACUCAAUCAUCGACAGCGGAGCCUACCCUCGCUCCCAUGGCAGUGGAACGGACAACGACUACUAGGGCUGCAACAUCAGUUGGUUUGGGUCUGUUUUGAGUUUAUUGUCAUUUAUUUGGCAAUGUUUUGAUAGCGAAUUUUGAUAUGUCAAUAUAAUGUGUAAUUGUUUUGGGUUGAGCUGGUAAUUAUGCUGGAUUAGAUUGGUUUGGUUUUGGUGCUUCUCUGACGGAACACUGCUUUUUUUAGAAAUUUUGAAUGUAAUAUGAGACUACAUUUAGUUUAAUUGAACACUGCAUCUAGUCUAAUUACUAGACGUGUGGCAUUUGGUUUGGUUUAUCCGAUAUUCUCCAGAAUUUCACUUGCAUCUGGUUUUGUUGCAUAUGUUUGCUUGCAUUUGAUGGCAGUAGCAGACUGUUUGGUUUUGUGAGAUUUGAUGGCAGUUUGGUCUGUUCUUGGUGUUGAUUUAAGAUUGUUCCUGUUGUGCUGAUGUUAAUUGCAGGUGCUUGAAUCAGCUAGGGUUGCUGGUUUAUUCAGAUGGUUGACUCAGGCGUUGUUACUGGUUAAUUCAGGUGGCUGACUCAAGUUGUUCAUUUAAUGUUAGGAAGCAAAUUAAGAAUUAAUGAAGUAUUCAUUUAACUAUAAUUUUUGUAGUUAUAUUAUUUCAUAACUGAAUUAUAAUCUAUGAUACUUUUGAACAAAUUAGAGAAUUUUUAAAUAUGAAUUAAAUAUGUGUGUGUAUGUACAUUUUGCUAUUUAUAUAAUAAUUUAAAGAAUAUAUUUCAAUUCCCACAAAAAUAAUGGCUCCAAUUUCAAUAAUUCCCGCCAAAUAAUUAAAUUUUUUUAAUUUACCACCAAAGUAUAUCUUAAAGAAAUUUUAGUUAUUCUUGCUAGAUUUAACAAAAAUAAUUUGUAGGAUUAAAUUUAAUUAAAAUAAUUAAAUAAUUUUAUUAUUCCAAUUAAAAAUGUCAUGUUUAUACGACAGACAAUAGUCAUGAAUGGGAAGUAUUCGUUACAUGUUUUUCCUUGGGAUUUCAGGCAAAUGAAAAAAAGAUUGAGAAUGAUUUCAAGAGGACAGGUGGAUGAUAAGUAUUCAUUUUUGUAUAUUUGGCUAAUGUCCUCAUUAGUGGAUUUUUAUGGUAUUGAUCUUUUUUUUUUUUUAAUUUUCAAUUAGUUGCAGCCCUAGAGGAAGAGCAGGCUGAUCAAAUUGAUUUGUCUUGUUUUUGGGGCAAUCUACGACACGAUGACCGUGAUAAUGCUCGUGACUGCUGGAAACUUUCUGAUGUAAAUAACUUUAGAGUUCGUAGCAAGCAUUUUUGUUAUGACAAAACAAAGGUUCCCCCAUAUUUUGUUUAUUUGUUAUUUAUGGUACUUAUUUAUGGUAUUUAUAUAUCCUGCAUAGGCUAGGUAGACAGGUUAUGAUGUAGUUUGGUUGGCUCUUCUUGUGCUUUGUGCAAUUUGUAACUGCAGAUACCUGCGGGAAAACAUUUAAUGGAUCUUGUUGCUGUUGAUUGGUUCAAAGACACAAAGAGAAUGGACCAUGUAACUAGGCAUCAAAGCUGUGCUGCACAAGUAACUAUUCUUCUCUUUUUUAUUUUUCCUUUUCCAUUGACGGAUUAGAAGAAAAUACUGCCUGUGAGAUACUGUAAUGUAAAUAACUUCUCAUGGUUCAUUGAAUCUAUAACACACUGACCCUCUUCUAAAAAAUGUAGGUUGCUUCUGAAAAAGGGCUUUUCUCACUGAUCUUUAAUCUUCAAGUAAGUUUGUUUCAUUUCAGAAGGUAUUAAGUUUCAAACUUAUUGUAUUGGGAGGUUGUAUAGUUGUAACCUAAGCAUCUGCAGGUUCCUGGUUCAACACAUUAUAGUAUGGUAUUUUAUUUUGUCACAAGGCAAUUGGCUAUGGGAUCACUUUUGCAACGGUUUGUUGAUGGCGAUGAUGAGUUUCGCAAUAGUAGGUUGAAACUUAUUCCAUCUGUUCCUAAGGUAUCCAUCUUGGCCUUCAUGUAUUAGGACUAUAUUAAUGUAUACUUACCCUUUACUGCAUGGUACACUUCAAUUUGUCCAAAGAAGGCAUGCAUUUAGGUGAAAAUGUAUUGAUGGGUUGUACCUUCAAACUUCAUGUCCUUUUUACCCUCUUGAAUUUGUUUUGCACUUGUUCUUGAUUUUAAGCACUGAAUCAUGCAGGGGUCAUGGAUCGUGCGUCAGAGUGUUGGAAGCACCCCUUGUUCGUUAGGGAAAGCGGUUGAUUGUAACUAUAUUCGCAGUCCCAAGUACUUAGAAGUAAAUGCUCUUGGAAUUUCUAUAGUACAUGAGAUGUUCAUCUUUCAAAUAGCAUCCGAUACCAUUAACAUGGUUUAACAUUGUUCAUCUUUCUGUAGAUUGAUGUUGACAUUGGUUCUUCUACCGUUGCUAAUGGAGUUUUGGGCCUUGUAAUUGCUGUAAUUACGACAUUGGUGGUUGACAUGGCUUUCCUUGUACAGGUAUGUAUGAUUGUUUUUUUCCCCCACUUCUAAAUGGACACAAGGGAAAAGACAUGAUUUUGAGAUAUUGCACUGCAAUUUGCAUUUUUGCAUACUUGAAUGUUCUCAGAAUGGUAUAAUGCUUCGUGUGUGUCUUCUUUAUCUUGCUCUUCUGUAUGCAGGCAAAUACUGCAGAUGAAUUACCGGAGCGGCUGAUUGGUGCUGUAGGUGUUUCUCAUAUAGAACUCAAGUCUGCUGUUGUCCCAAAGUUGGAACCAGAGAUAUCAUGACUGUGGUUUCAUUUCACCUCAACUGUGUUUUUUUUUUAAUUAAAAAAAAUCAUUUGUUUUAGGUAUAUACAUACAUGUAUUUUGAUUCGAUUUUCAUUGUAAUUUCUCAUUUACUUCGAAUGAAAGUCAUUGGUGUUUUCGAAUGGGGAUUUUGCAUUAAAAAAUGAACAAUAGUGAAUAGGAAAUUUCCUGAUUCUUUAGUUACUAUUUUUGGUACGAGUGUAAUUAGUAGUAAAGUUGGUUUCUACUCGCAAACAAGUAAACUGCUCGAUUCCCGAGUGGUAUCAACCAGUUUCCAACUUUUUAAUAUACACUAAUUGUUCUUGUUUAAGAGAUACUACUAUUAAAACUCAACAGCUAACAAAAUUACUCAAAAAAGAUGAUUUUUCUUAUGAUGCUGUGAAGAAAAUUACGGGUUUACUUCUCUCCACGAGAUCUAUAACAUGGUUUUGACUUCACGAAAUUCUUUUAAUUUAAAGCAUGCUGGUGUGAGAAGGUCAGUUUGACUGAUUGAUUCUUCAAAAAUAUUCUUAUUCUGAUAUUGUCACAAAUGUUAUGCUGUUUCGGCUAAUGAUCUCCUAUUAGGAGAGGUUAGAAAUCAAAUGCUUAAAAGACCGAUUGAACGAAUAAUACAGAAAAUUUAAGCAGAAUCUAAUCGAAUAUUGCAUGAAACAUGAAACAUCAAUUCAAGUCCUUUCUUAAACGGAGAAUGCAUCAAACAAAAUCUAAAGUGUCUUGCACGUCUGUAGCAUGAGCAAAAAAUUGUAAAUAUGUAGAACCAAAUUAUUCAAGUACAGAAGAACGAGCAAGCUGAAUCAUGUAUUAGAGAUUGGCCUGGUUCGGGAUAGCUUCUUCACUAUACCUGAAUAAUUUGCUAAAUAGCACCAAAACUUAAUUGAUACUUACCAUUUCAUUGAACAAUUUUUUUAUGGUGUCAUUGAGGUUGCCUUCCCAACAUCCUUCAUCAUCAUCAUCUUUUUCUUCUUCGGUGACGUUCACUUUGUUUAGCAUUGGUGUGUCUAAGACUCCUUGAGAGAAGAUCUUCAUUUUUGGACACUGUCUCACAACUACUUGUUUCAAGGACGGGAAUUCAAGAGCGUAAUUACCCAAACAAAAGCUUGUUAGGCUUGGCAAACAAUCAAGUCCUAAGUACUCCAAUUCCUCGAAACCAUUGCAAUCUUUCGCUUCUUCUCCAACCUGCGAUUGUAUGAUUUCUUCUAUCAUUUUGCAAUCAGCUAUCUUCAUUCUUCCGAGAUUAACCAGAUUUUUAGAUGCUGAGAGCGUCAACACAUUUAUCAACCCGUGACACUUCGAUACUUCCAGUCCCCACAUAUUUUCCAAAUGCCACGAAGGUGGUACUAAUUUUUGCAACUUACUACAUUCCGAUAUUUCUAGACUUCCCAAGUUUGCAAACGCUUUGUUGGAUUCGUCAUUUUCCUUCCAGAUAUGCUGCACUUUGUGUAAUCCAGAUAGUGUUAACCAACUCAAUUUAGGGAAUGCAACCUGAAAAUCAACAAAAUUAAUUAAGUUGUAAAUGAAAAUAUGUAUCCAAUCUCUGGAGUCUUCCCCUGCAUAUUUUAUGGACAAGAUUAAUCACGGCAUUUUAUAUUUUUUUUCCAAAUUAGUAUGCUUUGCAGUAGGAUCCCAAAUAUAAGUAUCAAAUCGAUUACCCUUUGAAACACAUAAAUGAAAUCUGAUCCUAAAUCCAAUAUGAAUUAACACGCAUAAUUAAUAUAGUUCAUCACCUCAUGUCACUAGGCAUCUAAUUAAUUUGAGACAUUUUAAUAAUUUAUACUAUAAAGUUAGUUAAUAACUGCGGUUAUAUUGUUAAAUCAUAUAUAAAUUAAGACGACAUGCAAAAAGAUGAGUCAUUAAAUUUGAUUUGAUUCUAAUGAAAUUACAUCUAUGCGAACGAAAGUGAUGGGAAUAAUCAUCAUCAUCAUAAUAAUAAUAAUAAUAAUAAUAAUAAUAAUCACCUUUUCAUCGAAGAGAGGUUGUAGUUGAUGAGCCAGCAAGAAGUUCUCUUCUGAUGUUAAUUUCUGAGGUUCCUUGUUAUCUGUUGUCACGUGCACUACAGAUGUAGAAUUGGAUAUGAAUGUUUCCUUAUCAGGGCAAUUCUCAAUAGUUAGAUAGUCCAACUCAGGCAGUUCAAUUAUAUUCCCAGUGAAGUUGCAGAAUCUUUUGAGUUUUGGAAGAUCAAUGAGCCUUAGAUUGGAAAGCUUAGGAAACAUGGGGCCUAUAUGUUCUUCCUUGGCAUUUAGCUCUUCCAAAUGAAGCACCUCUUCUAGUGAAUCACAAUUCGUCACUGUCAGGUAUUGCAAAUUGUUCAAGCACCGUAGCAGAUUGGCAGGAAUAGCACUCGACAUAUUCGUGCAGUCAUCCACCACCAGGUCACUUAAAUUGUUGAAGAAGCUGACAGGCAGUGCUUGGCCAUGCCAUAUUUCUUGCAAACGUGGAAAAUGCGAGAGUUGCAAAUACUCUAUAUCACGGAAUCCAAUCUGCACAAACCAAAACUAUUGCACUGGAUAUAUACAAUUUUUUUUAAAGGCAUUAGAUAUAUAUAUAUAUACACACACACACACAUUAAACUUACAUGUUUUGUGUUUUAACUUCUAAAACUACAUAUACAAGGUAGGUGUAUAUGUUUAAAUGUGCAAGCGUAGGGGAGAUGCAUGAACAAUUUGGGUGAAUCGAUUAACACAGACCAUCUUUUUGUAACAUAUUUUUAAAUGUGCAAGUGCAAGGGAGAUGCAUAAGCAAUUUGGACGAAUCGAUUAACACAUACCAUUUCUUCGUAGCCCUUUUGUAUAAAGGAAUUAAGGUUAUCGCCUUCCCGAUGGUACAAUUCACCCUCUUCCUUUUUACUAACUUGCACUUUGCAUGGCUUUGGAAUGGAUAAGAUUCCGUGAGAAAAAGUCUUCAUGUUCGGACAAUGUGUCACAGAAACUCGUUCCAGUGAUGGGAAUUCAAGAGUAUAAUUCUCCAAACAAAAGCUGGUAAGCCUUGGUAAAUCAUCAAGUAUCAAAACUUUUAAUUUACUGAAAGCAAUAUGAUUCUCCUUCGCUUCUUCUCCAACAUGUCUUAUGAUUUCUUCUAAUUUUGUGCACUUCGAUACAUUAAGAUUCACCAGACUACUAGGAAUUCCAACCUGAAAAUAAGCAAAAGUGUGUGUAUAUUAAAAAAGUAAAAAUGUAAGAAUAUCAUUCAACUAGGUUCAAAGUAUGUUUAAUCAUACAAUUAUACGUUUUAUAAACAUAACAAACCAUGAAAUGUCUACUAGAUAAUUUUUUAUUAAACAAAAAAAGCAACAAGAUAAAUAAAUAAAUAAAAGCCAGAUAAACAAAGAUAAUAAAAAUGCAUUUACACUAUUUACUAUUGGGAACGUAGAAAGAAUUUAAGGCAAUUUCUAAAUAUUUUAGACUUAUUUUGCAUCUUGAUAUCAGUUUUUAAGCAUAAAUUUACAAAUUUCAACUAUUCCUUUUAGGGAAAAAAAAUUCAACCAAAAUGCCGCUUUUUCCCUUUUCCUUGGUCCCUUUUUUUAUGUACAUUUAAAAAUGGAAAAAAAAAAUUGGAAAAGACUUCCCAAUAUUGUCAAUAAGGGACUGCUGCUGUAAAGUGGAUCUUUAUUAAGUACUUCCAGACUCAAGGAAAUUUCUUUACAAUCACGGGUCAGUUGUAAAUAAUCAUGAAUUUGUGGUUAAUUAAUGGCAUAAUCAAUUCGUAACUAAACAAGAGAUAUUAAUUAAAUUUGAAGACUUUUAUUUUCUUUUUUUCUUUUUCCAAUCGAAAUGUGAAGAAUUAAGGAAAAGAGAAAUAUAUAGAUGAAUUUGUGAACCUAUAAGAUGAGUGACGAUCCUUUAAUUUUUGAAAAUCGUACUUAUUAAGAUAUGAGCAAAAACUAUUUAAUUGAAUUAUAUUAUGCUGUUGAAUCGUGUUUAAAAAAUUUAUAUUGUUGAUUCUAAUGCUGACGAACCUAAAAACUGGACCUAAAACGUAGAUUUCAGAGUGGUGGUUCGAAGUACGAUACUUGAAAUAAAUAAUCAGUGGCUGAAUAUCAUUUGUAAACAAAAAAUGGUUAAAAUAUUGUUGGAUGUAAUUUGAAAAAAAAAAAAAAAGAUUCGAAAUGAAUACACUCAAAUAUCUCCAAAUUCUUCAAUUUGCUGAAAGACUCCAAAGCAAGCUGGUGGUGCCAUAUUCUUCUCAAAUUAUCCAUCGACCUAAUACGUAAUACCUCCAAACUAGGAAGUCGUACCUGGCAGUUAAAGAUUAAAUAACUAAUUAAUCAAUUAAUGGCAUAAUCAAUUGAUAACUAAAUUAGAGGCGGAUAUUAACUAAAUUUGAAGAAGACUCACGGAAAAGACAAAUUAAAUAUUAUGACUAAAAUUAAUUUUUUUUAUUAAAAAAAAAACCUUUUCGUCAAAGAGAGGAGGAGGUUGCAUUUCAGAAUGAAUGGUGUCUUCUGGUGAGCUCGUAGAGAUGAAUCUUAACAUAUUACUGCAACUCUGAAUCUCGAGCUUUAGCAAAGAAGGGAAUUCAACGACUAAAUCUGAAUGAAUAUGUCCCGUAUUGGCAAAGCUUGUUAGUUCAUAAAGCGCUUCUAGCUGCAGGGAGUGUAGCUUAGGAAAAACCUUUAAUUCAAUCAACUUUCCUUCAUCUCUUUCUGACCACCCCGUGGUGUCGACUACCCCUUCCAUUGAAUCACAAAGCCUUAUCUCAAGAUGUUGGAGUUGCAUCAGACGAUUACAAUUCCCCACGUACAGCUUUGUUAAAUUUUGACAACAGUACAUUCCUUGAUUAUGAUCGGCCCAUAAUUUUUUCAUGUUUCUUAAGUCCCAGAGAUUCAAUUCCUCUAAGCUCGGAAGAAUAACCUGCAAAGAAAACCCGUACAUUUUUGUUCCUUCAAGUACAACCGUCUAGUAUAAUAUUCUUUUGAUGAUCGAAGAUUAAUCGUGAUAAUAAAUUAAUCAAUUAAUUAUUGAACAGAAAAUUAUCACCUUUGGAGCAGUAUCAUCAUCAGCAAUGAUUUCGUUGAAUCCCAAAGAAGUUGUUGGUUUCUCCCUGUCGGGUCCUAUAAACAAACAAAAACAAUAUACAUAAUUAAUCUUUGUCGUUGUCUUUUUUUUUUCAAAAUAAUUGAGGCGAAGUCCAUAAAUCCACCAACACUUAACUUCAACACUUACCAACCAUCAUUUCCAGAUCAUGGCAAAAAGCCACUUUGACCUUUUGAAGCCGCAGUAGGUUUUUGGCUAUGGAGAAUGAGAAAAGAUGCUUUAAUUUGUGACAGGAUUGUACUCCUAUAAUCCUUAAGUUGCUGAAAGAUUGAUCUUCUGUGAGUUGGCUGUCACAUAUUGUCUCCAAAUUGUUCAAAUUGCGAAGAGACAAUGACACCAGCAAGGGGAAGACUUUGCGACGAACCCGUCCAACUGAACCGACAAUAUGCAAAAUCUCAGAACAACUUUCUACAGAAAGAUGCUUCAAUCGUGGAAAACCUUCCCCAUCAUCUAAUUCAUGAACAACAUUCUGAACACCCUUCAGUUCGUUUAGAUGGAUCUCUUCGGCUUCCUUCAGCAACAUUUUCGUCCCAUAAUUCUCCAAAAGAGUGCUAACAUUUUCUAGCCCAUGGAGCCCCACCAAUCUUGAUGUUUCAGAAUUAACGGGCCAAAUGCGCCACCACGCUUCUCCUAUACAUAUCUUAUAGCUUUGCAAUUCCACAGAGACCCAAUCCUGCGGCAGAAUUUGGGCAUCCGGAACUUGUAUAUUCAAAGUAGUUAGCUUUGACAGCCCCUUCAAUUCAGCAAGACUGGCGUUACUUCCUCCUUCAACCUUAUCCCACUGCGAAAAGCUGUCACCCAUAUAUAGUUCUUCCAAUCGAGAAAAUUUUGAUAUGACAUUUGGUGCUAUCACUACAAGGCUCCUACAAUUGCUCAAAUCUAGCAAUUGUAACCGCGUCAAUUGUCCAAUUUCAAGCGGUAACUGCUUAAUGUCGGAACCUCGAAAGCUAAGAAUCUCUAAUUUCUUUAGCUGUCCAAUUGCCGCUAUAUCUUCUAGUUGGCACCAGUCUAAACACAAUGUUUGAAGGUUAAUGAGGCGACCAAGUGAUGAAGGUAAUGAAGAGAAAGGAAUUCUAGUAAGAGUUAAAACUUUGAGUUCUUCUGUCCCUUCAAAAAAGAGGUCUGAAAUUUGCAUUGAGCUAUAACGCUUUGAAAACAACAAAAGUAACUGGAGACGGGGACAUCCCAACCUUUCGGGAAGCUCUUGAAUAUCUCUCUGGGGUAAUGAAAUGGCAAUUGGAUCUUUCCGUAUUGUCUCUUCCAUCUUUUUCUCCACGUCAUCAACAUUUGGAAUAUUAAACAUGCGCUCCCCUGCAGCAAUUGAUACAGCAACAACAUGAAUGACGUCAUGCAUUUUAACUUCAUCUUCAGCAUCACCGUCCAACAAUAAGCAUGAAGAUUUGAGAUUGUCGAUCAACCGAUGCACUCUACUCCUUGCUUCUUCCAAUGUGUAAACAUUUUCAAACAAACCCCAACCCACGCCAUAUCUCAAUAAGCCAGAAACUUGUAUCGCAUGACCUUCACUGUACAGACCACAAAGACGGAACAGAGGUUUUGCCUCCGCACUUUCCAAAAAGUCGUAACUCAAUUUUAUGGAGGUGUACACAUUUGCUUUCAUGCCAUGAAUUUCUCUUGCAUGCGAUCUUCUUAGCUGAUUCAAUGCAUCUUGCCAAAAGUAACGCUCCUUAUUUUUCAGAGCAUUUGCAACUGUACUCAGUGCAACAGGCAAACCUCCGCAUUUUUCAACGAUCUCAUUUGCUGUACUUUGAAAAUCAGAUAUUUUAGUUGAAUCACCCACUAUCUUCUCAAAUAACUGCAAUGCUUCUUCUUUCGAUAAAGCAUCGAUCCAGAAAAUUUUCUGACAAUUCAUAUCAUUGCACAAUAAAUCUCCACUUCUAGACGUCAAUAUUAUUGUGCAUCUUCUCUGAUCAUCCUCUCUAUCUUUCUCAUCAACAUCCCCAGAAGGAAUUCCAACUUCAUCGAACUUCAGUUCUCUCCAAAUGUUAUCCAAUAUAAUCAGGACCCGCUUCUCUUUCUUCAAUACUCGACGUAGUCGAUUUGCUCUGUCGAAUAUAUUCUCAUUCAACUCAAACUUUAUGCCUAAAUCAGAAGCAAGUUUGUCUUGAAUUUUCUGAUGAUCUGGGUUCUCUGUUAUCUCAGCCAUAGCGACCUUAUCGAACCACUUAUCUUCCAUCACUUGCUUUGCAACUUGCUUUACGAGCGUGGUUUUACCCACGCCGCCCAUCCCGUAGACCCCAAUUAUGUUGAGCUUAUCAUCCCUCAACGCCUCCAUAACAUCUUGAAAUACUUUCAUUCUUGAGUCAAAGGCCUCGAAAUCUUUCACUUGCAUGUGUUCUACCAGCUUUGGAGUAGGACGGUGGGAAACAUUGGAGAAGUUGCCUUUUCCCAUGAGACUAGCUGCAGCUUCUGCGGCCUUUGCUGCUUGUCUACUGAGCUUGUAACGAGAGAUCAAGUUUGGGCACAAUCCUUUGAAACAGAACUUCUUAGCUCUAUCUUCAUCAUCUGUGAUGGAUUUUGCAGCGCCCUGAGUGAAUUCCUUGACGCUAUUAAGCCAGUCUGCAACAUCCUCAUAAAUCUCAUCUCCUUGUUGAGUAGCCUGAUGAACGGGUAUUUCCACCCUUUCUCUUUGAUGUCCCAGCUGCUUCACUUGAACUUUUAGGCCAUCUAUGUAGCUCUGGUACUUGAACACAUAAGAUAUCUGCCGUUUAAGCGGUUUGUACAGUGACUUUGCACCUUCUGAUACAACGCCGGUUAAAAAAGCCAGACACGCUUCUACAGCCAUUGCCUGUUGCUUAACGAUAUAUAUGUAGUUUUUGGCUGUUUAAAAAAAAAAAAUGGAUUCAAAUAAAUUAAAUGAACUAGAGGGGAAGAAAAAGAAAGAAACGACAACAAACAACCUUUUAGAGAAAGGUUUGACGGGCCUGAAUGGAAAACCAACAACUUUUUGAAGAAAGAAAGCUUUGGAAGAUAGAUGCAAAUUAACCGUUGAUAAUACUACAUAAGAACACAGAAGUUAACAAUAAACAGUAACUUAAAACUCAAGAAAAUUAAAUGACGAGAUUAAGACAAACAAGGGAUAGUUUUUGUUGGACAUUAAGAAACAACUGCUAUCAAGAUCAAGGAUUAGAAAUUAUGCUAUUAAAAGAAGUUAUUAAAGGAUUUAGAACAAGUUUACCUCUUUAAUUAUCUAGGAUCAGAGUUUAUGAGCUUCACUAUUGGCCUUGGAUGUAUAAGAAAAACUUUAAUGAGCAAAAGAUCACUCUUAACUGCGGAGGAAUGUGAGUAAAGAGUUUAUGGGAGUAAAGCAAUACAAUUGAAUUGUAAAAGAACCAAGACUUAAGCGUGCGUCCCGUGUUUUGUUUUAUUAUAUAAACAGAACAUAUGUUCAUUUUUAACAAAUUGAUCAAUAACUCUAUUCGCUAUUUAAUUAAUAAUGUAAUCAAUUUUAAGAGAAUAUAAUAAUAAUCCUUCAAUGCAUAAAUUUAGAAUUAGAUUUUUUUUUACUUUUUAUUUAAAUGUAAAUCUCAGUGGAAAAUUAUAAAAAUUUAGAGAUAAAAUUUUUCAAUCACCAAACGGAAAAACAGGGGAAUGAAAACAGAGGAAUCUUGUUUUACUUUUUUUUUCUUUUUAAACCUUAACUCUUGUUCUUAUAUAAAUAAUCUUGUUCUGAUGAUAGUGCUCUUGACUGCAGGAAAAUUUCUAAUGGAAACAACUCAAUUUCGGAAGAUUAGCUCAGUUUUGCAAGCGAUGAAUUUAUUCAAUUGACUCUGUACUUGAACUCGUUGGAUUGGUUGAUUUAUGAUUGACUGAAUUUCAAUUCGGCCUAAAAGAUCUUUAACCAAAGUUUAAUAGCUAUCAUCUACUCCUUAAAAACAAAUAUGUAUCUUUUUUAGAUUUGACUGAAUUUGAACUUGCUGGAUUGGUUUUUUUUUAGAUUAUUAAAAUUUGGAAUAUUUUUUUUUCCUUGCUUUCUUUUGUUGGAGGAUUAGAGAUUUUGGUAUUACCAGAAAGGUUUCAAGGGUCUGAGUAGAAACCUAUAAUCUUUUGAAAAACUUUGUUUUUUUUUUUUUUUAAUUUUUUGGGGAAAAGGAUGCAAAUUAACCAAAUGGAAAUAAUAAGAGCACAGGCUUUAACAAUGAACAAUAACUUAAAACUCAUGCAAAAUAAAUUCAAUAUUAAAACAAACCAGAGAAAUUUUUUUCUUGAAAAGUAGAUGGAAAUUAUGAAAGAACAGAUGUCAAGAUCAAGGAUCAGGGAUUCUACUACCCAAAAAAAAUAAAAAAUAAAAUUAAAGGAUUUAGAAAAUGUGCACCUAGAGUUGGUGAGCUUCUCUCUCUAUUCACUUGAAUAUUUAAGAACAACUUGAAAGAGGAAAAAGAUCACUGGUAACUGCUGAGGAAUGUGUGAGAAAAGAGUUGACGAGAGAAAUAACAAUGACUUGCAGAAGAAAAACCAUUAAUCAAGCACACCUUUUUAUAUCCUGUAUUUGGUUAUUGUUGCCCUCUUGACGCAUGUAUAGAAUAAUUACGUGCAUUUUUUUUAAUCCGCAUGCACUUUAAUGAUUAGUGCUCCUUUCAUAAAGCAGAUACCGGAAACACACAAAUAUCAUUUGAGAGAGAAACUAAACAGCAAAUCAUCAAAGUAAGAUCAAUAAUAUAUGACUUGGUUAAUGCAUAUUCAAGAACAAAAACAAAAACAAAUAAAUAAAUAAAUGGAGAAGGUUUGAUUUUGUACUGCCAACGCUGCUUUUUUGUUAUUUCAUUUGUUCUUUCCACAAAUGAUGCUUGGUUAUAAUUAAGUUCCACAUGGCCGUUACUUACAAACUGUGUUUGUGUUAACAGAAACGUGAAAUUCACAUCACACAAAAUUACACUAUCAAUUCUUAAGAGAACAUAAUAAUAAUCACUCAACGCAUAAGGGUAAAUUUAGAAUUACAUUUUGAAAUUGAUAAAAUGUUUUUUAUGGGAUUUCAGGCAAACCAAAACAAAAAAAAUUUCAAUAAAGAGCUAGUUGUUGAAAUUGAUUUAUCUUGUCUUUCAGGCUAUCUUGUGACGUGACGAUAUAUAAUGUUCGUGAAUGCUAGAAAAUUUCUAAUGCAAACAACUCAAUUUGGGAUGAUAAGCUUAAUUUUGCAAAUGACGAAUGUAAAUAACUUGUUUUGAUUAAUUGAAUUUGUAAUACUCUUACCCUAUUCUAAAAUUUGGAGGUUGCUUGAGAAAAAAAGGGUAUUUCUCACUCAUCUUCAAUCCUCAAGUAAAAUUAGGUAAAAAGCAAAUCUAAAAAAUCACAAACGAAUUAACAAAAAAAGAAAAAAAAAAACAACAUUGAUCUUGAGACAAGUGAUAUUUAAACAGAGAAUUCUUUAUUCUUUUUUACUUGCCCCCCCCCCCCCGGGGCUCGAGGAUUAAAGUCUUUGCUAUUAACAGAGAGGCUUUAAGAGUCUGAAUAAAAACCCGUGCUUUUUUUAAAAAACCACUUUUUUUUUCUUUUUUCUUUUUUUUUGGGAAGAUAUAUUCAAAUUAACCAAAGCUAGUAAUAAGAGCACAGACCUUACAAAUGAACAAUAACUUACAACUCAAGCAACAUAAAUGAUAAGAUUAAAACAAACCGGAGAUAUUUUUCUUGGAAAAUAGACGGAAAUUAAAUAAGAACUGCUGUUAAAAGAAGUUAUUAGAGGAUUUAGGAGCAUGUGUACCUCUUUAAUUAUUUGGGAUCAGAGAGUUGAUGAGCUCUCUAUUCGCCUUGAAUAUUGAGUAAGAACUGGUAUUAAAAGAAAUUAUUAAGAACAAUAUUUUAGUGAGCAAAAGAUCACUGUUAACUGCAGAGGAGUAAAAUGCUGAAAAGAGCAGUAACAAUGAAUUGCAAAAGAAGAAGACUUAACCAAGCACCCCUUUUAUACCCGAUUUUUAAGAUUUAAUUUUGAAGUUCCCAAUCAAGAACAAAGACGAAGCUUUAAUAAAGCAUGCAGUGAGAUACAAGAAAUGGAUCGGGCAAAAUACCUUACGAAGCGUUUCAUAUUUUCUAAUGAAAUAAUUUAGUUGAAUUCUUCGACGAAUAGAUACCUGUUGUGCUAGAAUAAUUUUGGCACACACAUUACUUGUGCCCUGUGAAAUUGAAAAGCACACUCAUUUACAGAGCUUGUUAGUGGGGAAAAGCUUCGUAAGAUGCCUGAUAAAAGAUAAAGCAAAAGCUUGAAUGAAGAAUGGCAUUUUAGAAAGAAACUAAAGUGCAAUCAUCAAAGUAGGAUCAAUAGUGAGUUGAUCAGUUAUGCUUUUUGUUAUUUCAAUUGUUCUCUCUUUUUUCAAUCUCUCUUUAUGUUAUAAUUGAAUAAUUGUAUAGAAAGUGUGACGGUUGCUGCAGCAUUAUGAAGUCAAAAUUGAGAACGACAUUAAAUAAUCAAUCUCUUUAUGUAUUUACUCGAAUGUCUGAUAGUGUUCAGACUUGGAUUUUCAAUAAACACAGAUUCGAAAUCCAAAUAAUUGAAUAAUUGUGUACGUUCAAAUUCAGCAUUUAAUUACUAUAUAAUUAGACAUAAAUGUGUAUAUAAUUUUACUUUCUAAGAAUUAACUUCUACCUUGAUUCUAAAAAAAUAUAUAUAUAUAAUUUUACAAAUAAUUUAGUACGGCGUUUGGUAAAUGAUAACUAUUUGAGAAUAAGUUUUAAAAUGGUUUACUAUACAAAUCUGGAAAAUGAAAAUUAAAAGUGUAAAAUGUUCACAUAAUGAAAAUUAAAAGUGUAACAUGUUCACAUACAAUGACAAAAAUAUAUUUAUUUACUUAUUUGUAAUUUAUUUUGAAUAUUAUUGUUUAAAUCAUUUUUUUACUUACUAGAUUUUUUAAGAGCAUUCUAUUUUCUUUAUUACAUAUUUAAAUAAUUUUUUAUUAACUAUUUUAAUUUGCAAUAAAAUUAACUUCAAUAUUUUUUUAACUGAAAAUUUUGUUAUGUAGUUCGUGAUAUAACAAAUACUAACAUAUUAUUAAAUUGAUUAAUAAAUUACGUGCAAAAAAGAAAAUGCAAAAAUUUAAUCUUUAUAUAAACUUUUAUGUACAAAAACCGUUGUAAUCAAACUAGUUCAUAGAAAUAUAAUAUUUUAUACAUGUGUUUAAGAAAAACAUAUAACUAUAAUAUUAUCCACUCAUUAAACUUGCAGCACUAUUAUUUCUAAUUCUCUCCAUCACUCGACCUACAGGAACAUUACUACCAUAAUUUUCUUCUUGAAUUCAACCUCCAUUUCCACAUCAUCAACAAAGCGAUCAAUUUGCCUUGAUAGCCUUUCAACUCCUCCCACUUUCCUCCCUUUUGCAGACACUCUUUUUCUUUUUCUUUCUUUAAUAGCUUCAAUGGGAACAACCUCAUCUAUCGACAAGUCCAUUCUUCAACUAGAAUAGAGUUGGUAGUAGAUAUUUUAGUACUCUCAAACGAUGCCCAAACCGUGUCACCAGUGAUUGUUGUAUUAAAAAACAUUCCAUGUAAUUUUUCCUCUGACUCUGGGUCGAUACCUUUUAUGCAAAAUCUAUUUACUUCAGGAAUUUUAUACAUAUGUCGAUAUCAUAUUAAAGUGAAUUCAGAUCCUAUAUUAUUGACAUUUAGCCAAAGGUAAAAAAUUUUCCUUUUUGUUUGUCCCCCAACUAUAUAGUCCCAUUUUUGGUUAUAAGCUCGCAAUAUGCAAGGGAAAUGAAGAUCUACUAAAAACUUCCCCAUAAUAUUAAACAUUAAACAAUAUCAACAUUUUGUGCAUAUGGUGCCUCUCCAACAACUUGAUGUACAUUAUGUUGCUCGGUGGAAUAUGACUACUUAUUAAUUAAUUAGCAAGACUUGCGUUGCGAGUCCAUGCUUUUGUUGUUUGGAUGGAGGAUCUGCCAUCCUUAUUGUGAAAUAUGAACUAAAUAUACACUCACGACAUGUCAUAUGUUGAGUCUGUAGUAGCACGACAUGUCAUCUGAUAAGCAUUUGGAACAAAACCGACAUGAGCCAAAAUGUCGUUCUUUGUUUAAGUAGCUCACGUGUUUGGCAUGUGAGCUGAACAAGACUCUUACUCUCAGAAACGACUGAACCAGAAGCCGUUUUGAGCAUGCUUAUUCAAGACACGUUGCAAGCACGUGGCUGAGGCUGAAUCUGUUAUGUUAGCGGGAAAAGCCGCUGAGGAAGGCAUCCAGAAUCAGUUAAUAAAGAACUGGAGUUCUGGGUUUUUCACAACAGGGCCAGAAAACAGAGAGAGAGCAGAGAAAGAGGGAAUGCGAGAGAGAGAGAGUUCUGAAUAGGCUUGUAAUCUCCAUUUGUGUUUGCUCUCUGUAAACUCUUGAACAAGCAAUAAAGUGAAAUCACAGAGUUUGUUUCCAGUGGAUGUAGGCAUCAUUCAUUUGGUGCUGAACCACUUUAAUUCGUGUGUGUUUUGUUCUUGAUCUAUUUGUUAUUCUUGAUUCUUAGUAGGUUGACUUCUUCUUGGUUGAAUCUUGAGUAUAAACCAGUGAGUGAAGUGUUCUUGGGGUGGGUUUAGUCUUGAUAGUUAGGGCUUAAACCAAAACACUUUUAUUUUAGAUGCUUUGUAAGACUUCUGAUUUAAUGAUUGAAUGCAGCCAAUUAACGAAAGCUUACAUAUAGUAUUAUGUAGGUGCUGAGAUGUCUGUUCUUGAUAAAGUAGAUAUAUUUACACCCAAGCCAACGGAAUCAAAGCCUUUUCGUUAAUAAUAUACACGGUAAUUGUUUUUGUUAAAUUGAUUUCUGGCUAACAAGAUCUUUUUUUUUUUUUGAAAGGGCUAAAAAGAUCUUUGAAAGCAUUCAAAGAAGCCGCCGAACUCAUAGGAAAGCCAUGAUUAAAUAUACGGUGAAGCAAGCGAGCUCGUUUGUUAAUCUCUUGAUCACUCAUAAGCUUUUCUAUACGGCUCACGAUAUCAUCCUUUUGAAUCGAUUUUGAUUGAUCAUCGGAUAUCAUGUCCCCACCUUGAGAUGAUUGAUCACCAAUUUGGCAUUGUAAUGUUGAUCACCUCUAAUUGGCCAUGCUAAAAUUGGGAGCCCACAACUAAUUGCUUCCAUAGUUGAAUUCCAUCUACAAUCAAAUAAAAAUCCACCCAUUGAUUGAUGACUUAGUAUCAAUAAUUGUGGCGCCCACCCAUCUAUUAUCAAUCCCCUUUUAACCAAUAAAGUGUUGGCUCCACUGGCAAUGGAGUCCCCUUAAGUGGUUUGACUGGGUUUGCUCCCCAGUUCGAGUCGCAGGGAAGUCGCCUUUGUUGGGAGAACCUGUGCCUCUCGGUUCGAGCGGGGACUUCUAGUCUGGGUUGUGGUACGGGCUUAAAGGUGCCUCCCACAGUUGGGGCCCUCCCCAGGAUACCUCGUGGUCAAAACCAAAAAAAAAAUCAAUCCCCUUUUACCGACUUUACUCUCCAAACCACUGGAAAAAUAACUGCCUUCUACUGGUCUGUCUAAACCGGUUAAAUGACGCGGAGGAUCCAAUCUACCUGCACUAGUUUGAAUUACCCAAAUAAACUGUUGAUUUGAUGCUUCUAAACAUUGGCAAGGCUGAAUACUCCUCUAAGGUGGGACGCACUUUGGUACCAAAUUAUAUGUAUAGCACAGAUCUACGUGAUUUCAAAUCCAACCAUUAAGCGAUCUCAUCUUCAGUCAUGUUAGAACUCUGCUGGUUGGUCUCGUCUCACGAUCAUGAAACGCUGAACCGACCAAUUUGUAAAAUUGUUUAGGUAACAAUGAGCCCACUCCCCACACCGGCUUUCCCAUUUGAUUGGCUAAAUAAUUAAUAAAUGGUCCCUCAAGAUCAUUACAUGUGUUAGAACAUCAACGCCAUCGAUCCCUUCACUUCCUUCAUGCAGUGUGGUUGAUCAUCGGGUUCUAGUGGACCUAUUUUCCCUGAACCGGGUGCACUCUGCAGAAGUGGUGGACCACUAGGAGGGGGCCCACAAGGCCUACGUCUAAGAUUCGAUUCAAAUAAAGCCGUAUCCUCAGGUACCCCAGGAAGUAAAUAGGCCUCCCCUGAUUUGACAUCUUUGAUGCGAGCCUACCACAUGGCACACUCUACAAUUGUUCAACUAAAAUUAAUAAUAUUGUUCUAAUUAAUUACUCGAUAAGCAAAUAGUCAUAGACAAAUCUAUCCCUAAUCCCACAUUUACAAAAUAAAGAAUUGAAAUGAGUUUAUGUGGCUUUGAACCCAAGCCCUCAAGCCUAGUGGCUGGAUCUUGACCACUUUGACAUAAUUAUUAUAACAAUUUUUUUUUUCAUAUUUCACUAAGCAUCUUUUGUUAUAUAAUGAGGAAGAUAAGUUGACGGAGAAGGGUUCUACUUUUACUAGUAGAUGAGAUUUAAAUUAAGAAGGUUAGUUUUAGAUUGUUAAAUUUCCUUAGACGAUUAUUCAUGUGAGAUGUUUAACAUAUACUUGAGUUAGUCGGUGCCUAACAAUUCUUGUGAUACAUGAAACCAACCAAUAUGAAAACCAUAUGAAGUUGGUAGGAUUAGAUUAAUUUAAAUGAAAAUAAAAAUUAGUUUAUGCUAUUUAUUAAUCUUAUACUGUUGAAAAUUGAAAGUUAAUUCUUUAGCCUGUCAAUUGGUUCAUGACAUAAUUAAAAUAUUCAAGUAAAUACAUUUAUCGUUUAACAUUAAUUUUUCAUGCGGUAAAACCAAUACUAAUUAUAGAGUGGAGAGAAUAAUCUGUAGGGUAUACCCCCACCUUUUAUUUCAUUUCAUUUAAAAAAAAAAGAGAGAGAGAGAAAAGUAAAGGCUUGUUCAACAUUCAAGUAAAAUUAACAAAUCUAUGAUAAAAUUACUUCAGAAUAAAAAUUAAAAUGUUUAAAAAAAAAACGGCAACUCGAAAACGACAUACAAAUACCGCAUAGAAGGUUUUCGUCACGAGAUAUUUUUGGGCUGAGACAACACUUGUAUAACUUAGCAUAUAGCUUGGAUGACGGUGAGAAUAAGAAGGAAAACGGCACCGCAGACCGAAAUGCCAGCCCAUGGAGUAUUGAAGUAAUUUUUUUUCACAAUUCAAAGGAGGUUUUGGAACUUACCACAAGGCUGAGUAUUUCAACAGUUAUGGAUGACAUAAUCCAGCUAAGCAGAAGCUGAUCUUGGCGUUUCCACACAGCAUAUUCUGGAUUUUCAUGACCUUCAGAGAUUGACGAAGUGCCUUCAAAUCCAGGUGAAAGAAAUUGAUCAGGACAUAGCUUUGAUCCAUCGAUAUAAGACUCAAGUCCAUUGCCUCGAACUGAAGAGAGCACCUGAUGUUUCCAGAUCGUGUAAUUUGUACGAUCUAAUUUGACUGGUGUAGUGAAGGUGAAAGAAGCUAUGGCACUGGUAUUAGAUUGUGAAUUUGAGUUCGUUAGAGCCAUUGGAUCUAGCUCUGAUACCAAGUUAAAGAAGCUUUUCCUGUUUGUUUACUCAGAAAGUGAAGGAAAAAUACAGAGAAAAUUAUGUAGCUAGAAUGAAUCUAAAACCAUCUUAUUAAUCUAUAUUUGGUUCAAUAUACAACAAUAUUUAUGCUACUCACUGGAACCUUCUAUAUGAAACAAACACGUGAACUCAAUACAAUUCAGCUUAACAAACUUUUAACGGGAAAUAACUAAACAGAGCAACGGCUUGCCAGCGUGGCUGCUGACUCAGCAGCCGACUAAUCAUACUCUGAAAAAAAAUCACCAAACAGAAAAACAGGGGAAUGAAAAGAUAGCCUCCGUUUAUCCUCUGUUCUGUUUUCAUUGUUAUUAAACAAGGGAAUGAGAAAAGAGAGCCCCUGUUUCUUCUCUUUUUUGAUUUUUUUAAUUACUAAACUGGGGAACGCACGGAUCACCUCUUGUUGCAAGCGCAAAUUCUUGUUUCUACUUUAGUACCUUCUAAAUGCUGCAUGCAUUAAAAUUAUUCUUACAUAUGCUAACAUAAUAGCUACUGUACAUGUAAGUUCUUGAUAAAUCCAAAUAACAUAAUAAUUUUAAGAGUUCAAAUUUAGAAUUUAAUUAUAUAUAUUUAUAUAAAUCCAAUGUGCAUAUCGGAUAUUGCAUGCUGCAAUGAUCUCAUAUGUUUCCUCAAUAUGACUUAAAUAUAUAGGCCACAACUUGGUUUUGAAGUUAGUCUAAAGCCUUCCCCUUGAUUCUAACAAAUUCACUAGGGAAGGUUCAUAUGGAUUUUGGGGGAGCUCUAUGGCCAAUUUUAAAAGUUCAGGGGGGAUCAAAUGAAUUUCAAAACUGCAUGGGUUAUCUAUUUCAGUCAGAGGAUAGUGGAAUUCCCUGAAAUUUAUCCUUUUUAUUAAAUUAAUCUUCCUCCUUUCCUCUGUGGACCUUUGCUAUGUGUGUUAUUGGCGUCCAAAUGACGAUGGGAAUUAUGGUAAGGUUCUUGCUUCCCCACUUCUUGAAAUUAAAUAUAUCUUUUCUGGCACUAGAAAUUUCCACAUGCUGUGUUUUGUUAUUGUUUGGGAGAAAUACGUCAACGAGACCAGGCGUGGUGAGCAGAUAUCUGAUAGCAGAGUUCCGCGAACCGGUGUGUUCCGUAAAAGCCUGGUGCGCGGAGGAACAGGAGCAGAAGUAUCCCGCUCGUCCACGAACACGUCAUCCGCGAGGCCAAUUUCCCGUAAGAGGCAUAAGGUCAUUCCGGCUAGAGGUCGAGAGGCGAGGAGACCCGGUCGACGGCAGUUGGCAAGACAUGCUCCCCAGCCCGAGAAUCUAGGCACGACAGCCACGCUUUCCCCAGAACUGUGGCGUAACACGCAAAAUCUCACGGAACCACGACAACCACGCUUUCCCCAGAACCGUGGCGUAACACGCAAGAUCUCACAGAACCACGACAGCCACGCUUUCCCCAGAACCGUGGCGUAACACGCGAGAUCCCACGUUUGCCCAUAACGCAGCAGUCAGAGUCCCAUACCGUCUCGAAAAAAGCGGAAAACUGGGAUUCAGGGGAGGCCUAUAAAAAGGUAGCCAACGAAGGUAAAAGGGUUAGCAUUUUUAAGAUUAGAAAAGAAAUAAAAAAAGCCAUAAGACCUGUGGCAAGCGUUCCCCGAACCUUGAUAUCUGAAUUGAGCGUCGGAGGGUUUGCGCCGGGAAAACAACCGGCGUACUCUGACUUGUCUGUGUGCGCAGGAACCUCUGGAGAAGAAGCCUCACGAGGAGACCUCCUGGUCGUGAAGAAGUUGAUCGGGCAGAGAUCCUGGUCGUAGAACGAGGAGACCCGGAAUCCCGCAUCAACAUUUUGGCGCCGUCUGUGGGGAACAGAGCAAAAAGCUUCUGUUGAUAGCAAGAGGAGGGGCGAAGCAAGUGAAAAGCAAUGGAGACAUGAGGAAGUAGUGGACAAGGGGGUGAUAGGAGGCCUAACGAUUCCGUGACGCUGAGGGAGAUAGUCAGUGAAGCACGGGAAAAAGUCAUGUUCGACCGGAUGGAACGGGUGGAAAAGCAGAUGGAGACCUUGACAACCAUCCUAGAUGAGCUGCGGAGCGAGCGAAGUAUAAUCCAAGAGGGAAGGGGGAGAGGCGGUGGAGUGGCACCAGGUCCCGAUAGUGCGGGGAGAAGUCAAACCACCGGGAGAUUUGGUGGUGAGAGAGGUAACGUACCUCUGCGGGGAGAAUUUCAUAGAGAAAGAGAGCGGUCCCCGGCAAGGCAGACUGGCGACGAGGACGAUGGAGUGGUGAAUGCAGAGGAAACGAAGUUGAGACAACACUUGCAUGAUGUAGAGCAAGAGCGGGAUCAAGUUGCAGCACGUGACCCUGGUCGUGCAGUGCAGCUGGAGGAGGAAGUGCGCAGACUAGCGCAGAUAAUCGACGACAUGCAAGGAAGGAACAGAGCCCCUGGUUGGAGGAUAAUGCUAGACGGAGAAUCACCGCUCGCAGCAGAGAUCAUGAGGGCAGUUAUUCCGAGAGAUUUCCGCCUCCCAGACCUCAGAUACUCGGGAAGAACUGAUCCGUUGGUGCACAUAGAGCGCUUCAACGACAUAACUGGGGUACAAGGAUUAUCUCAAUCCCAAAGGUGCAGAGUGUUCCCACUAUCCCUUGAGGGACGUGCACGAGAAUGGUACAGGAAACUUCCUCGGGGCAACAUUAAAACCUUCGAGCAGAUGUGCCAGGAAUUCGCGGAGCAGUUCAGUGGGGCAAUGGCGCCGGAAGAUGACAUGAUGGAGCUGAAAAGCAUGAAACAGGGGGAGCAAGAAACCCUUCGGGAAUUCAUCAAGAGGUUUCAUCGGGCUGUCCUCGACUUGGGAGCCUUCAACCACCCUCAGGCGUUAAGGGGAUUGAAAGAAGGGGUGAAGAUAGGAAGGCUGUGGUACAAUUUGAGAAGCCCAGCUAUUCAAACGUAUGCAGCCGCAUACGAACAGGCUAAGAGAGACAUCGAGAUUGAAGAGGAGAAGGCUGCACGGAUUAAGACAGACCAGUUACAAGGGUUGGGGAGGAAAGAGAAGAAAGCAUUACCGGGGAAUGGGCCGAUCAGGAGGAGGGACCACCAGGCCUCCGGUAGCGGAGCAGGAGGUCGGGUAGCCGCUUACCAUUCUCAUCAAAGGCCACCACAGUAUCAGCGCAGCAGGGCGCAACCUCCUCGUUCCCCAGUUAGGGAGCCUUGGAGAAGACAUGAGUCGGCAUCUGGUGGUCUCCAUCAACACCCCCACGGUAGCAGAGCGAGCAGACCAGAAGUACUUCCACCGCCCCCAACUCAGAGCGGGGCAAACGGAGAAAGAGUAGUGCACCUGAUCGACCAGAACCCGGACUAUGGGCGGUACACUUCCUUGAAGAUGUCCCUGGAUGAGGUGUACGAGGCCAUAAAGGAUCGAGGGCUGUUGCACCUCCCUACACCAAUAACAAAGCUACCCAACAGGAGGGAUAGAGGGCGUUAUUGUAAGUUCCAUGGCACCCAUGGCCAUACCACAGCAGAGUGUAGAGAUCUCAAGACCCAGGUCGAAGAUUUGGUGAGAAAUCGGUACCUGGACGAGUUUAUGGAUGGGACUUUCCCGAUGGGGGCCGCAACAGGUGAAGGGGAGCAGAGUGGCGGAAACGUGAGGCACGAGCAGCCUGCAGUAAGGGUGAUCGCCGGGGGCCCGACAUUGGCCGGAGAUUCCAACAGAUCGAGAAAAAAUUAUGCUAGGUACGCCAUGACCAGUAAAGAGGUACUCCUCAACACCCCAGCAGCCAAACGAGCAAGGGUCAGGCAAGUGCCAAUCAUGUGGACGGAUGAGGAUGAGGAAGGGAUUCUAUACCCCCACGAGGACGCUUUAGUCAUCAAGGCUACUAUCGCUAGCAAGAAGUUUGACCGGAUACUGAUUGAUACAGGGAGCUCAGUUGAUGUGUUAUUUAAGUCAACCCUGGAAGAGAUGGGAAUAGCCGACCGGAAGUUGGAAUACACCAAUACCUCCUUGAAGGGGUUCGGAGGAGGGAAGCUGGUCCCUCUGGGCGUGGUCGAGCUGCCUAUCACAAUUGGGAGCUCCCCGACAGAAAGAACAAUGAUACUGGACUUUGUCGUAGUGGAUGAGGAAGGUCCUUACCAGAUGAUCUUAGGUCGGCCAUUUUUAAGGAUGAGCAAAGCGGUGUUGUCCAACCAUUAUCUGGCCCUGAAGUACCGGGUGAAUGGGGUAGUAGGAGUGGUACGAGGAGACCAGAGGAUCGCAAGAAGCUGCUACUCCUCGGCAGCAAGGGAAGCAAUGCAGAUAACAUCCCUCGAUACCCGAGUGGAAAGCAGGAAGGGCAGACAAGAACCUGUAGAGGAUCUGGAAACAGUAAGCCUGGGACCAAAGAACCCGGAAAAGACGAUCAGAAUCGGGUCGAGACUUAGGGGAGGGCAAAAGCAGGAGUUGGUGAAAUGCUUACAGGCUCAUGCUGAUGUGUUUGCUUGGACACAUGAAGACAUGCCAGGGAUUGACCCUGAGGUAGCAUGUCAUAAGCUGGCAAUAAAGAAAGGUGCUCGGGCAGUAAGGCAGAAGAGGAGGUGCUUCAACCAGGAGAGGUAUGAGGCUAUAAAUGGCGAGGUGGAGAAGCUCCUGAGAGCAGGGUUCAUUCGGGAAGUCAGUUACCCUGAGUGAAUAUCGAAUGUGGUGUUGGUAAAGAAGGCAAACGGCGAGUGGAGGAUGUGUGUGGAUUUCACAGACCUCAAUAAGGCGUGCCCAAAAGACAGCUUCCCUUUACCAAAGAUCGAUCAGCUGGUAGAUUCAACGGCUGGACAUGAUCUGCUCAGCUUCAUGGACGCGUUCUCGGGAUACAACCAGAUCCCCAUGUACGGGCAGGAUGAGGAGAGCACGGCUUUCAUCACUAACCAAGGUUUGUUCUGUUACAGGGUAAUGCCAUUCGGUCUCAAAAAUGCGGGGGCCACCUAUCAAAGGCUGGUGAACAAAGUCUUUAAGCCGUUGAUUGGGAAAACCAUGGAGGUGUACGUGGAUGACAUGAUCACCAAGUCCAAAAUCCCGGAGGAACAUGUCAGACACCUCGAGGAGACAUUCGAGCUUUUGAGGAAGUAUAAGAUGAAGCUCAACCCGGAGAAGUGUGCUUUUGGGGUCGAGUCAGGGAAAUUCCUUGGAUUCAUGGUGAGCCAUAGGGGGAUUGAAGCAAAUCCCGAGAAAAUCCAGGCGAUUGUGCAAAUGACGUCUCCUCAUAACCUGAAGGAGAUGCAGAGCCUCACGGGGAGGUUGGCGGCGUUGAGCAGAUUCAUAUCCAAGGCUACAGAUAAGUGUCAGCCAUUCUUUCAAGUAAUAAGGAGGGGAAAGAAAACAGAAUGGACCCCAGAAUGCGAGGAAGCCUUGCGGAACUUGAAGCAAUACUUGCAGCAAGCUCCGCUGCUGUCCACACCGAGGGAUGGGGACAUGUUGUAUCUGUAUUUGGCGGUAUCGGAUCGGGCCGUCAGUUCUAUUCUGGUGAGAGAGGAAGAAGGAGUUCAGUAUCCGAUAUACUACACCAGCAAAGCCCUGCUCGACGCUGAGACCAGAUACCCACCGUUGGAAAAAUGGGCACUUGCCCUUGUGGUUGCUGCUCGGAAGUUGAGGCCAUAUUUUCAAGCAUUCCCGGUUUCGGUAGUAACAAACCAGCCAUUGCGUCAAACUCUGCACAAGCCAGAUGCCUCUGGUCGGCUCGUCAAGUGGGCUGUAGAGCUGAGCGAGUUCGACAUAGACUAUAAACCCCGCGCAGCGAUAAAAGCCCAGGCAAUGGCUGAUUUCGUAGCCGAAUUCACAGAGCCCGAAGUAUGCUUAGAUCAACAAGAUGCAGAUAUAGGCAAUGACGAAACUCAAGUAUGGCAGAUGUCUGUGGAUAGGUCAUCAGGGGAGCGGGGUUCAGGAGCAGGGAUUGUCUUGGAAGGCCCAGAGGGGGAGGAGAUCUCUUAUGCUGUAAAGUUGGAGUUUGCAGCCACGAAUAACCAGGCAGAGUAUGAAGCCUUGAUAGCAGGUCUGGAAUUAGCUAAGGCCGUGAAAGCAAACAGAGUUAAGAUCAGAACUGAUUCCUAGCUGGUUGCAAAUCAUGUCAGUGAAAGAUUCCAACCAAGAGAGGAGAAGAUGGAGCAGUACCUGAAGAUAGUCAGGCAGAUGAUGGGGAAGUUUGAAGCAGUGGAGGUAAUACAAAUCCCCAGGGAGCAGAAUAGUCGAGCAGACAUUUUGGCUAGGAUGGCAGCAGUAGCCGACCCAAAAAUGCCAAAGUCGGUUCCUCUGGAGGUGAAGUCCAGCCCAAGUAUUGGUCAGAAUUUGGGGGUGUUGCGGAUAGAACAAAAAUGCUCGUGGAGGGAUCCGAUAGUUUCAUACCUUAGGGACGGGGUAUUACCACCAGAUAAGGUGCGAGCUCGCAAGCUUAGAGCCCAGGCCUCGAGAUACACGAUGAUUGAUGGGGUACUGUAUCGGCGAGGAUAUACACUAUCGAUUACUUCACGAAGUGGAUAGAGGUAGAAGCCCUUAGCAGGAUCACAGAGUCGAGCAGACAUUUUGGCUAGGAUGGCAGCAGUAGCCGACCCAAAAAUGCCAAAGUCGGUUCCUCUGGAGGUGAAGUCCAGCCCAAGUAUUGGUCAGAAUUUGGGGGUGUUGCGGAUAGAACAAAAAUGCUCGUGGAGGGAUCCGAUAGUUUCAUACCUUAGGGACGGGGUAUUACCACCAGAUAAGGUGCGAGCUCGCAAGCUUAGAGCCCAGGCCUCGAGAUACACGAUGAUUGAUGGGGUACUGUAUCGGCGAGGAUAUACACUAUCGAUUACUUCACGAAGUGGAUAGAGGUAGAAGCCCUUAGCAGGAUCACAGAGAAGAAAACAACGGACUUCGUGUGGAGAAACCUGGUCUGUCGAUACGGGAUCCCUUAUGCCUUGGUAACGGAUAAUGGCAGGCAGUUCGAUAAUCACAGCUUCAGGGAUUUCUGCCAGAACCUCGGGAUAGAGCUGAAGUAUUGCUCGCCUGCUCACCCUCAAUCGAACGGACAAGUAGAAGCAGCCAACAAGACCAUCAAGAGGCUUUUGAAAACCAGGCUUGGAGCAAAAAAGGGUGCGUGGGUUGACGAGCUGUCAGGUGUGCUAUGGGCAUACAGAACAACCCACAAAACAGCAACUGGGGAGACACCGUUCGCUUUGGCUUUCGGACAUGAAGCGGUCGUGCCGGCCGAGAUAGGAACGACCACACACCGGACAAAUCAUUUCAAUGAGCAGGAGAACGACGAGCAGAUAUGUUUGAAUCUUGAUCUGCUAACGGAAAGGAGGGAGCAAGCAGCCGAGCGAUCGGUCAUUUACCAACAGAGGGUUGCUCGGUAUUAUAACCAGAAGGUGAACAUACGGCAAUUCAGGGUCGGAGACUGGGUACUGAGAAGAGUGAAUCAGAGCACCAAAGACUCGACUCAAGGAGUGCUGGGACCGAAUUGGGAAGGGCCAUAUAGAGUCAAGCAGAUAGCGGGACCUGGAGCUUACAAGCUGGUACGCACGGACGGCCACGAGGUGAAACGCCCAUGGAACGCAGCACACCUCCGAAAAUACUUCCAGUAAGACUUGUUCACAUGUGAAAACUAUUUUUGCUCAUGUUCAUUACCGUUUAUCUUUCACACUUAUUGUCCAAACAAUCUCAUGUAAGUCGAAUCUUGCCAUUAAUGGAACGUCGAAGAAUUUCUUUCGCUUGAAACCGAGAAAGUUGCCUAAGGCAUGCAAAGGCUCGACAAAGUCUCAAAGCCUGUCUUAUGGCGAGACAGAAGCCAAGCAUGCCAGGAUCUGCUCGGCCACGAGAAGGCGAACAGAAUCCCAAUCCUUGAAGAAAUGCCUAAGGCAUGCAAAGGCUCGACAAAGUCUCAAAGCCUGUCUUAUGGCGAGACAGAAGCCAAGCAUGCCAGGAUCUGCUCGGCCACGAGAAGGCGAGCAGAAUCCCAAUCCUUGAAGAAAUGCCUAAGGCAUGCAAAGGCUCGACAAAGUCUCAAAGCCUGUCUUAUGGCGAGACAGAAGCCAAGCAUGCCAGGAUCUGCUCGGCCACGAGAAGGCGAGCAGAAUCCCAAUCCUUGAAGAAUCCAAGGCAUGCAAAGGCUCGACAAAGUCUCAAAGCCUGUCUUAUGGCGAGACAGAAGCCGAGCGUGCCAGGAUCUGCUCGACCGUGCGAAGGCGAGCCGAAUCCCAGGCAUUGAAGAAUCUCCAAAGGCAUGUGGCGAAACCAUGAGCCAAGCCGGAACCUGCUCGUCUAGACAGACACAAGCAGAUUCUCAACCGAAAAUUAAUUCAUAAUUACAACACAAGAAAGUAAUCAAAAACCAUUUUUAUUAAUUUGUUAAUAAUUAACAGAGGGGACAAUCUCAAUGAACAUUGUUCAUUACAAUACAAGAAAUAUAUCAAGAAGAUGAUGGACCAGUAAGCCCGGCAGCAUCGGUUGGCUGGACCUCCUCAGGUGCUGGAGGGGUAUCACCAGUUGCGUCCGGGGGGGUACUUGCCUCGCCGACAUCAGCAGGGACUGCAUGAGCAGGAGAGUCUUCCUCCUCAAUCACGAUCGGCUCUACCCCAUCAGUAUCUUCCUUAGCCGCCUCCUCGUCCAUGUGUUGAGCAACACCAGCUGCAAGGUCAUCCAUCUUCAGAUCAGGGUGUUGCUUCCCGAGGACGGCCAUGAUGCAACGAUAGGAAUGCCGAAGGCCCUGGUCGUACUGGUUGUCAGCCUCCCUCUCCAAGUUCUCGACCUGAGCUCGGUGGGAGUCGCGGAGAGAUUCGAGCUGAGCCUCAUACGUAGCCUUCUGCCUUUGCAGAUCCUCCUUGACCUUGGUAAGCUCCUCCUCGAGGGAAAUGGCUUUUGCUUGAGCAAGUGAUUCUUGCUCUAUCAGCUUCAGAUUCUCGAGAUUCAGCUCCCCUGCUUUCUUCUCGGCAACGUCAGCCCUGGUCGUCGCCAAUUGAAUAUCCUCCUUCAUCUUCCGGUCGUAGCGGCCAACCUUAGCCUUGUAAUAGGUGGUCAGGCAGCUGAGGUGGAAAGCGUUAUGCUGCAUGGCCCCCACCAGCUCACCCAAGGUGCGGCCGUCAAAGUCCUCCAGGUCCUUCUUGCUCACGAGUUUAGUUAACUCAUUGAGGUAAGGGACCAGAUGUUCUGCUCGGCUGUCAGGUAAGCGAGACCAAGGCCCGACAGGAGGAGAAGAAGAAGCAGGAUCUGUGGCUGCUCCACUAGCUUCCCCGACUUUCACAGAAGCAGGAGGUAAAGUCUUCAAGGGUGGGACCUGCUGCACGAUGUUGGCCCGCUUUGCAGCAGGGGCAUCCUUACUCUGGUCCCUCUUCGUGGUUGGAGGUCGGGAACGUUUUCGGGUCAAAGCCCCAAUCACAGCGUCCUCCAUCCUAUAGCCAGGAAGUAUCAAGCGAGACUCGAGCAAGUUGUAUGUAGUUAACAGUUCUCGGCUCGAGCAGGAAUUGGCUGGUCAGGUUCAAGCGGGAAGUGGACACCCCAAGAAACUACAACACAAACAGACACUUGGUUAGAGACAAGCCAAUAAAGCAAGAACAAUUAUGAACGCAAGACAUCUAGAGCGAGCAGGCAACCUGGGACCGUGAAACGGGGUGGGACGCGACAAUCCUUCCCGUCUAUUUGUGCAAUUUGACCCCAAGGACCCCCAGCAAAAAAGAAUUUCCUCUUCCAAGCCCCACCACCACCGGUUGGAAGAUCGGUUAUGGGUUUCCGGCUCUUGGUGCUAGAUUGGAAGUAGUACCAGCCGGCAUCUUUGGGGCUGCUCUUUAGCUGGUACAAGUGCUUCACCUCAUCAACCGUGGACUCGCUUCCGAAAAAGGACUUUUCUCAUUAAUUUUUGAUCUUCAAGUUAAGUUUGUUUCAUUUCAAAAGGUAUUAAGUUUCAAACUUGUCGUGUUGGGAGGUUGGAUAGUUGUAACGUAAGACAUCUGCAGGCUUCCGGUUCAAAACAUUACAGUAUGGCAUUUUAUUUUGUCACAAGGGAAUUAGUUAUGGGAUCCCUUCUGCAACGAUUUGUUGAUGGCGAUGAUGAACUCCGCAAUAGUAGGCUGAAGCUUAUUCCAUCCGUUCCUAAGAUAUCCAUCUUGGUCUGCAUCUAUUAGGACUUUGUUAACAUGUCGUAACCUUCACUGCAUGGUACACUUCAAUUUGUUCAAAGAAGGCAUACAUUUAGGUAUAAAUGUAUUGAUGGGUUGUACCUUCUAACUUAAUGACCUUUUUUCACUCUGUUGAAUUUGUUUUGCACCUGCUCUUGAUUUUAAGCGCUAAAUCAUGCAGGGGUCAUGGAUCGUGCACCAGAGUGUUGGAAGCACCCCUUGUUUAUUAGGAAAAGCAGUUGAUCGUAAUUUUAUCCGCGGUCCCAAGUUCGUAGAAGUAAACGCUCUUGGAAUUUCUAUAAUACAUGAGAUGUUCCCCUUUCAAAUAGCUCGUCCGAUACCAUUAACAUGGUUUAACAUUGUUCCUCUGUCUUUAGAUUGAUGUUGACAUCGGUUCUUCUAAUAUUGCUCUUCUUUAUCUUACACGUGUCUCUUCUUUAUCUUACUCUUUAGUAUGCAGUCAAACACUACAGAUGAAUUACCAGAACGGCUGAUUGGAACCAGAAACAUCAUGACUGUGGUUUCAUUGCACCUCAACUUUUUUUAAUACCCGAAAAAAAAAAAUCAUUUGUUUUAGGUAUACGCACAUGUAUUUUGAUCCCAUUUUCAUUGUUUUCUUUGGAUGAAAGUCAUUGAUGUUUCCAAAUGAGACUUUUGCAUAAGUAUAGCUAGUAGGAAAUUUUCUGAUUCUUUAUUUACUAUUUUUGGAAUCUGAGUGUAAUAGUUUUAAAAUUGUUUAAUCGGUCUCUAAAUGUCGUACUCACAAGCAAACAAGUGAACUGAUUGAUUCCCAACCGUCACUCAACCGGUUUCCAACUUUUUAAUAUACACAAUAACUGUGUUUGUUGAAUAGCUAAUACUAUUAAAGCUCAACAUUAACAUAGAUACUAAUGGAAAAAUUGAUUUUCCUAUGAUGCUGUGUAAAGAAUAUGGGUUUACCUACUUCCAUAAGAUCGAAAACAUGAUCUUGACUUCACGUGAUUCUUUUAAUUUAGAGAGUGCUGGUUUGAGAAGGUCAGCUUGACGGAUUACUUCCUUUUAAUAAAUGUCAAUACACUAUAUUUGAUAAUACUAUAAAAAUGUAAUAAACAUUGUCUUGUGCUGUUUUCUUCAACUACAGAUCCUCAAUUGAAUCAGUCAAUCAGGUUAGAAAUCAAAUGCUUAAAAUACCAAUUGGAGAAACAAUAUAGAAGUUGAAUAUUGCAUGCAUAUGAAACAUCAAUUCAAGCCCUCACUUAACCAGUGUGCACCAAGCAAAUCCAAAGUGUCUUGCAAUUAUGUAGCAUGACCAAAAUGCUAUAAAUGCAUCUGGGAACAAAUUUUUGAAGUAGAGGAAAACGUGCAAGUUGAAUCAUGUAUAAGAGAUCGGCUUGGGUCGAGAUAGCUUCUUCUUUAUACUUGAAGGGUGGGCUCAAUCUUGUCUUUAGAAUUCUGCAUGUUUGUAAUUAUACAUGUGUAAGCAAGCAUACAUUACCAUAAUAAUAACAAUAAGAAAAAAGAAGCAAAUGUUAUGAUACGACUAUAAACUCCAUCAGACAAACAAUAAUGUAUAAAUUAAUGUGACAUAAUAUGAUUGAUUAAACAAAAACAUCACAUGGACCACUUGAUUUAUUUUUUAUUAUUAUAUAUUUUCAGUCGACCAAUCAUAUUAUACCAUAUCAAUUUCUACAAAAUAAUUUGGUAGUUAGCGCCAAUACUUAGUUAAUUAAUACUGACCAUUUCAUUGAACAAUUUAUGUAUGGUGUCAUUGAGGUUGCCUUCCCAGCAUCCUUCUUAUUUUUCGGUGAGUUUCACUUUAUUUAGCGUUGGCGUGCCUAUGAUUCCUUGAGAGAAAAUCUUCAUCUUUGGGCACUGUCUCACAAGUACUUGUUUCAAGGACGGGAACUCAAGAGUGUAAUUACCUGAAUAAAAGCUUGUUAGGCUUGGCAAACAGUCAAGUCCCAAGUACUCCAAUUUCCCGAAAACAAUGCAAUCUUUCGCUUCUUCAUUUAAUAAUUAUAGAAGAAUAUUGGCUUAUAGAGCAUUUUAGUAGGGAUAAGAUUUGUGGACAGAAUAAAUGAAAUAAUAAAAAGCAUAGCUGAUCAAGUCAUUAUUGAUCUUAUUUUGAUUAUUACAUUGCACAUUAGUUUCUUUUUAAAAAUGCUAUUCUUCAUUCAAGCUUUCGCUUUAUCUUUUAUCAGGCAUCCUACAAAUCUUAUCCCUACUAAUAUGCUCUAUAAGCCAAUAUUCUUCUAAAAUUAUUAAAUUCCAUUCUUCAUUCAAGCCUUCAUGGACACUAUUUACAAAUUGUUCUUGUAUUUGACAGAAAAAUGAAAACUCCUCAUCAUACAAAACUGCAUGAACAAAUCUUCAAUUUAAUUAUGAUAAAAUAAUAAAUUCCAUUAAUAGAUUAUGUUGUAUUUUUUUUUUUUUUGACCACGAGAUAUCCUGAGGAGGGCCCCAAUUGUGGGAGGCACCUUUAAGCUCGUACCACAACCCAUACUAGAAGUCCCCACGGGAACCGGGAGGCACAAUUUCUCCCAACAAAGACGAUUUUCCUGCGACUCGAACUGGGGAGCAAACCCAGUCAAGCCACUUAGAGCCAACACUUUGUUGGUUAUGUUGUAUGUUAAUGUGAGGGAUUUGAUCAGGUGAUCAUAUAAUUUAGUAAACGCUUUAAGAAGAACAAGAAUUAAUAAGUUAAAAAUUAAAAAAAUAAAUAAAUAAAGAGUAGAUGGAAAGAAUGUUAUUUGCAAUCACUAAACCAAAGAACAGGGGAAUGAUAAGAGAGGACGGUUACUGCAACAAUAUGAAGUCAACAAUAUAAAGUGUUUACCAACUUAAAACCAGGGCUAUAAAGUGUUUGAUGAAUUAUUUUUUAAUUAAAAAAAAAAAACUGAUUUAGCGGGAUAAAACAAUGCUCCAUUCCGUUUAGUAUGUGAAGUCCAGAGUAUUACCUACUACUAACUAAAUCCGCUUGAUUCACAAGACUACCAAGAGAUAACUGAAUCAUUAUUUAAUUUUACUAUUAGGAAACCUACUUAUAUAAGGCGCAAACCACAAAUUCUAAAUUAAAUACCUAACCAUAAAUUAAGAUCAACCCUAACAGUCAUCCACCAGGUGCCGUGUAGGCUGCAUCAUAAAUUCUGAUUUAAAUAUUUGCAAUCACCGAACAGAAAAACAGGGGAACGAAAACAGAGGAGCCCUAUUUUUCCAUUUUUUUAACCCUUAACUCUUGCUCUUCUAAUUAUAUUUUUCCUUGGAAUUUCAAGUAUGAGAUGAAUUUGGAGAAAGUAAAUAAAUUUGAAUUACGUGAAAAAUUCUAAUUUUUUUAACCCUUAACAGUUGGUAUAUUUUUUUUAGGUCAUAGAUUAAUAAAUUUCUUUUAAAAAAAUUUAUAAUAUCAAUUAAUAUUAUAACCUAUAGAUUAAUACAGAUAAAAAUAUGAUUGAUUUAUCUCCACCACCUAAGUCUUAGCCAAAUUUAAUUAAAGAUUAAUUUAAUAAAUUACCGAAAAUAAUAAAGUAAACGAAAAAUAAAGCACGCAAUUAAGUAAUCAUGCUUCUAAAGGGCUAAUUAACCAUAAUAGGCAUAGGUAUUAAUUUGACUUCUAUGAAAGUCCCUUCUAGUUUCUCAAAAUUCAAAAAUUACAAUAAAAAGCCAAAGAAAAAGUCAAUGCUUCUAAAGUAGAAAAGUUUGAGUACUAGAUAGGCUGCCCAAAAUACAUUUUCAUUACUCACAUAUCUCUAUAGAAAGUAAUUUUUUUAAUAAAAACAACCUAUUUGGCUAAUAUUCAGUAGUCUUUUUUGUUGAUGGAAUUAUCCUCUUAACAAUAUUUUAAAAAGUUUACAUGAAUAUUCCUUUUUUAAAAAAAAAAAGAAUAAUAACGUGUAUUGUUAGGAUAAAAAUGAUCAUCAAUACGUAUGUAUAUAGGCACAAAUAUAUGAAAAAAAAUCAAGUUUAAGUACAAUGUAUAGGUCAAUGCCUAAGAGUCAAGCCUAAAUUAGGGGUAUAAAAAACUACAAAAUACAAUUUCGUACACUACAAAAUUUUGAUAUCAGCAGUAGGGGUAUAAAAAAAUCAUUGUUGCCAAAAAUCCAAAAGCUAACUAGAGGUUUGGUUUUGUUUCAAAAAUUAAAAAAACAAGUCAAUUCGUAAAAUCAAAAACAGAAAAAGAAAAACAAAAUAUAGAGGAAUUUACAGUUUAAAAAGAAAAACCAAGCCAAAACGAAAUUGAAUCGAAAGUCGAACCAACUCAGUUCAGUUUGAUUUGAAUUUUAUUUUAUAAAAAAAAAUGAUCGGAACCAACUAAACUGUAUUAUGUUAUAAAUUAUUAUAUAACAUAAAUUUUUGAAUACCUUUGUGACGAGCACAAUUUAAAAUUUUAUGAUUUUAAAUUUUAACAUUAAUGGAGAGUUAAUACUCCACCAUUUUCCAAUUUUUACAAUACAUAUUACCAGUUUAGAUAUGCUGUAUAUUAUUGUUAUAAUUUUUCGAGCAAGAUAAUAUUUGUCAAUUGGUGUUAUGACAUCAAAAUACUUGGUAUUAGUUAGUGCUAAGUGCUUCUUUUUCUUAAAAAAAGCGGUUCCUUAGUUUUAAAACAAAAAUCAUUAUCCUGAAAUUCUCCAUUUGCUUUGUUAACAGAUAUAACAAAAUAAAGUGAUAAAAGUUUAAUUUAUAAAACUUCGGCAUUUAUAUCUAUCAGAUUCAACACUUUAGUGUCAUAGAUUUAUUUCGGUGGAGCACGAUGUGGGUUGGGCCAGGCUUAGAAUUUUAAGCACGAGAGCCUUAAAAAUAUGAUAUGAUUAGAGAUGGACUGAGCACAGCACGAUGAAAAUGCCCACAAUAAGCACAUUAUAUUUUUUUAUUGAAAAUAAACUUAAAAUUUUAUGUUUUAUAAAUAACUUGAAGUUGAAUUUUUUAAAUUCAUUUAAUUCUUAGUUUAAAAAAAUAUUAUAAUUAAUUUAUAUUUAUAAUUUAUUAAAUAAAUAAUUGAUAUCAUGAUUUUAAUGAAUAAAAUUAUAAAUAUAAUGAUUUUAUAAAUAUGCAUUAAUAUUAUUGUGAACUAUGAUCUAUGACUCUAUGUAACUCUAAGUUAACAAUUAAGUUAACCCUUAAGAAAAUAUUAUUAUUAUUAUUAUUAUUGUUGUUGUUGUUGAGUAUUAAAAAAAUUAUAAUACUAAGAGGUCAAACUUAGAUCUAUUAAAUAUUACAUUUUCUUACUAUUAUUAGUUUAUUAUUAUUGAAUAUAAACUUGAGUUUUGAUUUUUUGAUUCUAUUAAAUUUGAAUAAAAGUAUAGACCUAAGAAAAAUAUAUAGACUUGAAAAAAAUACGCCAACAGUUUAGUAUGCCCUUUAAAAAUUAAAAAAAAAAAAAAACUUAGUGAGCUUUUUUUCUUAGGCAUAGCACGGCAUGUAUCGGCAUGUGUGUUAGGCCGGACCUAAACAAAAAAAAUAAAAUAAAUCUCGACACGACACAACACAAGCAUAAGCACGCAUGGGCCUUACUUACUGGCCCGACCCAUUGAGCAUCUCUAACUGUAUCUAUCUCCGCCAUAAUAAAUUAAACAUCGGGUAACUACUAGACUAGGCAUUAGCAUAUAAACUAACUAACUAUAGUACCAAAAAGAAUGAUGCGACAUUGUAAAAGAGAUGGGGCAAAGGGCAGAAUGGGAAACGAAUGAACCAAAUAAUAGUAUAUAAUAAUAUGGAUUUGGUAAAAAUAAAAAAUAAAUAAAAUAAAGUGGUGACACGUACCUCCUUUUAUUUCUCGAUCGAGUAGUGCAGAAAGUGGAGUGUGUGUGUGUGUGUUAAUUGUGAAAUGUCAGCCAAUUUUUUCUCUCUCAUUCUGAAACAGCUCAGCAGGAAUAGUGUACACUAGAGACGUCUGUCUGUCAGUCAGAACUGCCAAAAGAGCAAAACGGGUGCACGUACAAAUUAAAUCAGCCAAUCAGCGAUAUAUUUCAGUUACUAAAAGCUAGCACAGAGGGAACAAGCAAUAUGCAGGGCCAAAAGAGAUGAGACCCCUGAACCCGAACCCUCCUGAAUGAUCUGAUCACAUCUGAUUCGAUGUCUCGAGUCAUUAGAUUUAACAUAUUUUAACAAUAUUUCUCAGUUAAUAUGUGAUUUAAUUAAAGGUCAAGUUUACAUCUGAAAAUGAACUUAUUAAAAAUUAAUUUGAAAUAACAUCUAAGAUAUCUAUUUGUUUAUAAUAAAAUUUAAUUGUCAUAUCAGAAUUAUUUUCCGUUAGACUUUACAAUAAGUUAAUCCCAAAUAAAUUGACAAUUUCAAUUUUAAAGUUAGUUUGUAACUUUAAAAUAAUUUUCUAAUAAAAAUUUAAUCUGAAACAUUUGCAAUAAUAUCAAGUAUUUUGAUGUAAUAACACCAAUGUUUCACAUGCACACACAAGUCAUAUAUAAGUUAACAAAAACAUCAUUUGUUAUUAACAAAAUCAUGUUAAUUUUUAAUUCUUAAAUUAACUCCCUAUUAAAUUUUGGCUAAAUGUUAGAGUGCAAUUUAUGCACUAGUUUUGCAUUGUUUACUUCCCUUAAUAUCGAUGUUUUGCACUUAAUAAUAAUGUUUUACUUGUGUUUUACUUUUGUAGGUGCAAUUCUAUUGAUUGAUGAUAAAAUUGAGCUAAAAGAUGAUGUUUAAGGAGGAUUGUUCUCUUGGAGAAAUUAUGAGCGUCAGAAGAACUUUGUUGAUAAGGCGUGGGCGCGUGCUGUCAACUGCGGACCUGCAGUUUUUAGUUUAACGUGUUUUGUAUUUUUGGUUAUUUUUGUAAUUACGAAUUUAAUAUUUCAGAUAUUAGUAUUUUAUUUUAAAUAGAAUUCUAAAAGAGAAGAGAGAGAGAGUAUUUAAGGGAGGAAUCUAUUGUGAAAAAGAGGAUUUGGAUUGGAGAAAAAGAAAGAAACCCUAGAUCUAAUUUUUCUCUUCUCUCUAUGAAGAACUAAACCUAUUUUUCUGGUUGAAGGAUAAUGAAGCUUUGAUUCAUCACUACUGUGAGAUCUUUCUUAUGCUUUAAUUGUUUUAUUACUUUUUGGGUAUUUGUUUAUUCUCUGAAUUAGUUUCAUGAUUAUGUUUGUUAAUUAGGUAAUUGGCCACUAUUUAAUUAUUAACUUAAUCUAUUGUUAAUUAAAGGAUUCAUCGUAUGAAGAAUUUAAUGUUUGUGACAAAUAACAUAGCAGAGAGUUGUGUUGUGAGAAUAAACAAUCUAAUUUAAAUGAAUCAUCAUAUGUGUUGAUUAGGAUUUGGGUCUCUCUAGUUUUUCAGGCUGUCAAUUGAUUAAAUCCUAUGAUCGUAUCUAGGGUUGUCUAUUGAUUAGGGAAAUAUCCAACGGUCGUACCUUGGUUAUCGACUAGUUAAGGAGAGAUUGGCUAUUAGAGGGUCUCAAUAGCUAUAACCGGUCUAUUCAUAAGUAAUGAUAAUCUAUAUUUGAAUCAAUGAUCAGUAGUCGAAUCAAGCUGAGUUAAUUCCUUCAAUCAGAGCUUUCUCCAAUUUGAAUUACAACUUUAAUUUGCAUUCUUGUUACUUUAAUUUGAUUUUUAUUAUUGUCAACAAUUCCCCCAUUUUACGUUUUACGUUUCAAAAUGAUUUAAAUAAUUACCGAUCUCUGUGGACACGACCCUGCUCAAUCACUAUACACAAUUUAUUUAGAGUAGGAAUUUAUUUUUGUUGGCUUCGACACCCAUCACUAAAUCAUUAUUGCAAUUUAUAAAUUAAUAUUUAUAAAAAAUUAUGAAUCAUCCAAAAAGCUGCUUGAUAUAGAUUAAUUUCAUGGUCAUCAAUUUUUUUUUAUUUAUAUACCUUUAAAUUAUCACUUGUAUCAUAUGAAAAGACCAUAUUACCCCUCUAACGUCAUCAUAUUUAAACGGCAACUAAGCUAUGGUGAACGACAUUAUAUUUUGUCAACUUAAGAUGAAUGACUGAUAUACCCUAAAAGUAUUGUAGUAAAUUUGAUAAUAAAGUAUACAAUUGAUAAUUUUCCUAUUUAUAAUUUAUCCCCUUAAUUAUGAGUAAUUUUGUUUUUGUCUUCAUUUGUCCCUUUCCUACAAAACCGUACAAGUUACAUAUAUAAAACAUUCUUCUUUAAUCAAGUUUGGAAUAUUUUCAUCCUUAUGUAAAAUUAUGCAUAUAUCUUUUGAGUUUCUCAAUUGUACUUGAAAAAAAAAAUUACAUUUAAUCACGGUUGGUUAUCCAUAAAAAAUUUUAGGUGGAAAGUUCACGCGUUUUAAAAUUUAAUUGUGGAAUUAUAUUACAUUUAUUAUUUAGUUUCAAUUUAAUCAUGUAUCAAAUUCAUAUUUUAAAACAUGUGGAAAUUUAUAAUAUAUAAUGAUUCUAUGUAAAUAUAUUAUCUCAUUUCUUCAUUCUUUUGUUAUUAGUUCUCCUCCACCACAUUAGAUAUAUUUUGAAGUUUUCUAAUGUAAAUGUUACUAACAAAUACGCAUUGAAUAAUUAUCGGGUAGUUUAUAUUAUAAUUUAAUAAUAGCCACAACAUAAAUGUACAAUUUGGUGAUAGUAAAUGCCAUUACAUGAAAAUGAAAUCAUCAUGUUGCAAACAAGAUGCAACCAAGGGAUUGCAAACAAUGUUAAGUUACUAUUGGGUCACUUGAACUCCUGGGCUCUCUCCUGUGUAAUUUAUAUUAGACUGUCGCGUACAAAACGCAGACAUAUAUAUACAUACAAGUAGUGCUUUGGCAACAGACACAAUAGCCAAGAAGCAGCCCUUGUUUUCAAAUUCAUUCAAAUGCCAGCCUGCAGUUUUGAAUCCUUCAAAUUGUGCUCCACCUUUUGAGGGGACGAUGAAGAGUGAAAGAAGAGACAAAUGGCAGAAAUAUCAUCCAUUGCAAUGCCUCGUUUCUUAUAUUUCCAUGCCCGAACAGCACAUUCCACCAAUCUUUUUGCUGCCUUUUCCCUAUCCACUACUGAAGAAACAAUCUCCACCGCCUCUUGGUUCGAAAUCACAUCCCAAACCUGAAGAACAAUCCAUAAUUGAUCUUUCAAACAUUGACGUUAGUUCAGAUCAAAAGAUAAUUCCAAUAUGUGGAUACGUAUCCCGUCUGAUGCCAGAAUGAUAAAUUGGUCUCGUGUUGUUAUGUUUCUUUGCGUUACAUGGGGCACGGAGAUUAGGCCAUAGUCCUUGACACAGUAAUCACCCAAGGCUCUUGAUAUGGCUAGUCCCGGAGUCUCACCAUUCGGCAUCCAGACUCUGUAUACGCCUGGCUCAUCAUUUAAGCAAAACACAAGCCCUUUGGACUGCGUUAUUCGCUCCGCUUCCUCUGUAUAGGCCAGUGAAGACAAGAACCCGUACGCAGACCUUAAAACACACCCAUAUAUACACCUACACGAGGCAGAAAUAUUUAAGAGACAAUGAGAUAAUUGAGAUCUGAUUGGUAAAAUAUUGUUAAUUAAUAAAAAAUAAUUAAUAUACUUGCUAUUUAAGUAUUUUACUAAUACUUUAAACAUCAGUAUUCAAUGAUGUUAAUAUGUGAUUUUAAUAUUAAAUUUAUGUUCUCAUUUAUAACAGUAUGGUCAUCAGUAUUCACAACACAUCAUAUAUUAAUGUAUGGGUUUAUUAAUAUUAACAAACAUUUAUUUCCAAAUAAAUAUGGUAGCCUUAGUAUUUAAGAAUAUUCUUUAUUGUCUAGUCGUCUGUCCAAGGAAGAACGGGCCAUCAUCAAAUUUAUCAACGGCCUUCUCUAAGUAAUCAAAAGCAGGACCUGUGACAAAUUAAAACUUUUUCCGUGAGUUCAGCACAUAUAUAUACAUAUUCAAAAUGCAUUCCAUUAUAAACAAGUAAGCAAGUUUCAAAUCCUACCAGCUUGUUUUGCUGGGUCUCCUUUGAAUGAAGUAUACACAUCGUUGGUGAAGGUAUCGAUGUGGGAAAACAGUUCAUCAGCAAACUUUCGUUUCUCAGGAUCCUACAAUAUUUUCACAACAUUACUUUACUCAAAGUUGAGAGAGAGAGAGAGAGAGAGAGAGAGAGAGAGAGAAGCUUUUAUUAAAAGCAACAAUGUAAUCAGCAAAAUCUUACAUCAGGUAAAAGUGAAGGCCCUUCAAAAUUGCUGUCAACAUAUUUAAUCAAAUCAAGAGAUUCUCCAAUAACUUUGCCAUUGUGCUCCAGUGCUGGAACCUGUAAAGAACUCUAAUAGGUAAAUAUACUUCAUAACUCCAGCAAUGAUCUCUAAUCUUGCACGAAAGUGUAACAAUCAGUUUAACUCUUUCGUUGUGUUUUCUUGCAAGCAAGCAACUUGCUCAAAUCAGAAUAUGUUAAGAUUUUACUAGGCACACAAAGCACAAAGACACCAUUCCAAUUUUAUUCAGGAACUCCUCCGCACAGAUUACAAGCAUUUCAAUUUCAAAGAUGGGGCAUAAGGACACAGAGUCACAUAAUUAGGCUAUUUGGUAUUGAGGUGCUGUGGUUUUUUUAGCUACAGCUGCCACACGUACCCAAAAAAAAAAAAAAAACUGUAACUAUAAAAUAAAAAUUAAAAAUGCGUAAUAAAUAUGAAUUUUAAAUUAAGAUUUUGACAAAAAUAGUAGAAAUAUUAUAAUUUUACAAAACACUUUAACUCUGUACCUUUUAAUCCAUAGCCGCCCUACCUCAAUACCAAACACAACUAAUCUCUUCCUUUUCUAUAUCUGAAUUGGUCUAUCAACACCUUGAUUAGAAAAAUUCCUAAUUAUUAUUCAGAAACUUUCUAAUACUAUUCAAAAUCUUCCCAGCAGAUUCUAAGCUCCAUGUUAACCAAAAGAAUGCACAUAUUGUUGAUCUAUCAAAUUACUUAAAUGAUCAAUCAAAUAAAAUCAAAUAUUAUUAUUGAUCACACAUCAGCAUCAGCAUCAGCAUCACCUUGUUAACAGGAUAAACCUUCUCCUUGUACCAAGCGGGCCUAUCUUGGAGGUUCAGUGGAACUAACUUAAUCUUGUCUUGUAAUCCCUGCAGCAGCACACCAAAAGUUGUCAAAUUCAAAGAGAGUAUUACGACAAAGGCGAAACGAAUAAACCAUAAAUUACUGUUAUUGUUAUUAUUAUUAUUUUAAUUAAACCUAGAAAGCAGAGACGGGUCAACAGUGAUAAAAAAAAUAUAAUAAAAAUAGUAAAUAAAAAUAAAACCUUGUAGUUCCUGGUGAUCCACACACGCUGAGCAAAUGGGCACGAGUAAGAAAUGUACAACCUGGGAGUUCCAUCGAACAGAGGUGGUAGCUCGGCCUUCGAAUCCAACGGUGGAGGAAGAUUCUCUUGCGCUCUAUCAAAGAUGACACAUGAUCGUUAAAAUAAUGAUCAUAAUUAAUUAUGAAAUUCCAAAAAAAAAAAAAAACCAAAUUCUUGUUGUGGCCAUCGAGGAAGGUAAGACUCUAGAGGUUUCCUGAAUGCUUUUCUUUUGCUUUGAAGAAGAAAGUCAUAUGAUACCGAAAUGUGUCUCUACGCAGAAUGAGUGCGCUUAUAUAUAGAAGCUUUAAAGUAACCUUCUGAAGCCAGCAGUGACGCAAUGCGCACGUGUUAGGGUGUCAUGAUAAUAAUGCAUGUUGCCAAAAAAAAGGGCAAAAUUCUUAUCAGUUUUAGGCAAUUGCCAUGCAUAUUAGUUGGAUUCAAUGGCUGCAAGGGAGAAGCAGUGAGAAUAUCGCUGAUUAAUUAAAUUUGUAUAAUAGAAAAAAUUUGGUAUAUUUUUUUAUGACAUAUUGCUAAAAAUGUGGAGGCUUUGAUAUUAAAAAAGAGUUAUUUAUAAAUAAUGUUAUUAUGUUAUUGUUGAUUAUUAACAAUAAAUUUUUAGGAGAUAUCAUUUGGUUUACAAGUAGUUCAUCAACCGUGUUUAUUAAAAUGUUACAAACAGGAUUACAAAAUAUUAAAUUAUCCUAAACCCAAUUAAUAUCUGCAGGGAUCAGACGACUGUUAGAACAUAUGUUCUAUAAUUUUUCUCUGGAAAAAUAUUAUUUCUUGUACAAACAUAAUAAAUAGCUAUUUAUAACUUAAUAAUUCAAAAAUAGUUAAUUUAUAAAAAGACUAUUCUUGGUGUUAACUAAUGCAGUGGAACUGAUAUAAAUUAACUUAUUGUAAAGAAUUCACUGUAAAGAUAUCAUUUGUUAAUUGUUAAUUAUAAAUAUCCAAUAUUAAAAUUAAUUUCUGAUUUAAUCCAUGAUUGUCAAGCUAUUGUUUUCAUGGUUUACAAUUUUUUAAAAUAGAAGAGGUAAAACAUUAAGUAAAAAGUUUUCAAUCUCGUAUAAAACAAUGUAGAAUGUUUUAACCAAUUCAAAAUUUUUUAUAAUAAAGCAGUUAUUUUCAAAAUUCACAUUAUGUUUCUAUUACUCAUAAAAAAAAAUCCCUUCAAUGAAUGCAGACAUCCUUGAAAGAAACUUCACUACUCUAACAAAAAGGCCAAAAUUUUAGAAAAUGACAGGAAAAGAGAACACCAAUUGUCAACUAGAGUACCCUUUGUGAAAAACACAAUAAUAAAUAGCUGAUAUAUGAUUAGGUUAAUUAAUUGAUUGGAUUGGAAUCAACUUCGGACUGUUUUGCCCUUCCCUGCAGUGCAGCGUAUUAGGUGGCGAAUGAAGUAACUGGCCUCACUAAUUUUAAGUAAAAAGAUUGUUAAUAUUUAACCGCGUCUUAUCAACAUUCUUUGUUUUGAUUAAAAUAUACGACAUCGUUUGCAGAAGAGGCAGCAAGGGCAACAACGUGCCAAGUAUAAUAGACAAAUUUUUUAUCAUAUUAAUUGAGAAGGCUUGAGUUCUGGCCGAUGUUAAUAAAAUUUAAAACACAAAAAAACUGAUAAUGUCACGGCUGGUGAGAUGAUAUAUAAAUAUUAAAAAGAAAAAAAAGAAUUAUCAAUAUUUAAUUUUUGAAGAUUAAACUCAUUAAUUAAAGUGAAUCGUGCAUGCUUUGCUAGCUGAUAUCGCGCGCGCGUGUGUAUGUAUAAAUAUGUUAGAUCAAAUCCAAAGCUAAUUCCAAGUAUUAUAUUAUAUAUAUGUUACUAUUAUUAAUUAGAAUUCCCAAGCUCAAGCUAAUUAAUUGAUGGUAAUCUUUUGGAUGCACUUAAUUGUAAUUAACCGGAUCAAAUUUUGAAACCAAAAUAAUUCACGGGGCAUUCUAGCUUCUAGCUAAUUCAUCCAAAAAAAUAUAAAAUUAUAUAAAAAUAAUAAAAAUACGUGUGAUGUCAGCUUGAUGCGUACAUUCAAAGUUCCAAUUGAAAACAAAUAGAUAUUCAUUUUUCUUGUCAAAUUAUUGAAAGAGACAUCUCUUAAUUUCUUCCAUCACCAGCAACGGUUGAGUGACCUUGUCUUACAUUGUGCAGCAGCCUCCUCGAAGUAAAAAAAAAAAAAAAAUAUAGCCCAUUAUCUUGGCUUUUGGCUGGAUCCAAAUUUUUGUUAAAUACAAAUAAAUAUAAUAUCAAAUUAAAUAUUCCAAUAAACCUUCUAAUAUCUUCUUUGAACAGUUUUAUUUUUAUUUUAUGAGGGAAGAGUAAACCAUUAAAACUAUAAUUCAUCAUAAAUUUAUUGUGCCAAUUUUUUUUUAAAUCCAUAAUUUUGUGAAAUAUAAAUUUUAAGAAUUGAAAAAUAUCAUUAUAGCUUUCAUAUCCAAAGUUAAUUUUGAUAUUUUUGUACAAAUACAUAAUCUUCAAAUGUGGAUAAUGUAAAAGAUGAAAAUUGUCAAAUUAUUAGAUAAUUGUUUUUACAAAAUUUUAACGAUCAGAAAAAUCUUAAUUUAUAUGUCUUAGUUUAAAGAAUUGGUAUUAUCAAAUGUUACUUAAAUGUAAAUAUAAUAUAAAUAUUUUAUGUAUUUAUAUGUUACGUUUAUGAUUUGGUCACUGUUUAUCUAAAUUUUAAUAAAAUCAGACAUAUUUAUGUAAUUUACUCAUUAAAAAAAAAAUCCAUGAUUUAAUUUGCAAUGAUCAAAUUGUUGUAUUUUGUCAUAUCAAAAUACAUAUUUUUGUACAAUUACCCAUUAAGUUUAUGCUACAAUCAAGCUAUUUAUAAUAUAAGUGUGAUUUUUGAAUUUAAUAUUGAUAUUAGUAUUAAAUAUGAUAAUAAAAAAAUAUUUUAUUAGAUAUUAAUUGGGUCAUUUGUGUUAUUGUUUUUAAAAAUUAAUGACCUGCAACAUUAAUUGUCAAUAAUGGGUUUUUUUAAAACAUGCUGGUGCCCGGAUGUAAAUGCCGGUACCUCCCAAGUCAGUAGCCUUAUUAUAAUCCCGUCAGCAUAUUGGCCUGCCCCUGUACCAUUACUCCAAUUGAUGCUGAAAAUAUAACAACAUCAGUGACCGCGUUGUCGUUUCCCGUGAUGUUUAUUCCGAUGCCGGAGAAAUCCUUUUCGCGAUCAUCCCCGCCGAUGUUGAUGUGUUGGCCGAUGAAGGAAUUUCUUAUAUACGUUUCGUGGCCAUCUUGGAUGGAAAUGCCAGCGGUAGUGAAAUGCGAAACGUAACAAUUGUCCACUGUGGUUCUUAUUGAAUUUAUAAUGGCAAUGCCGCCACCCCUAAAAUUGGAGUCCAACAUAAGCUCCUUCAAAGUAAUGUAUUCGUAUAAUGACGAUGAUGAUGACGAUCUUAACUCUAUGAGAUGUCCGUUGCCCGAAAAAUCAUCCGAUGCUCGGAGGGACCCACCGUGUAUCUAUGUAUACAUAUAUAGAUGUUAAAAGUAAGAAUUAAAAGUAAGAAUUAAAUUUUAAAUUAAUAUGUGAUUUGGUAUGAUUCCUGGCAUUUUGUAUUCGGUUUUGUAGUCCUUCAUAAGACUGGCAAAAAUCAUUAUCAAUUAAACAUUAUGUUGUUAUAUUUUUUUAUUAUAUUUUUUUAAUGAUCUUUAUUUUAUUUGCUUUAAACAAUAUCUAUUUUUCAAAAACAAUACUUUUGACAAACAAACCCUAAAGUGAUGAAAGAGAAAGCAUGCAUUUUGCACAUGUUUAUAAAAACAAGAGAGUAUAUUUAAUCUCAAUCUGUAAUUCUGUAUAAUGUAUUAUUCUUAAGUUUGAAUCAAAUUAUUCUUGAUUCCAUCCGCCAAUCCAUCUCGGGCCAUUGAAUUAUGCAUAGCUAUUAUGGUAAUGGUCUCUUUAUUCUCCUCACAAUCAAUUAAUUGUGAUGACCAUACUGUUCUCACGAUUCUCAACCGCAAAAAAUUUAAAUAUUGUAUUGUACAUUUUUAUAAACAAAUUUUAUGUCAUCUCCAUUAUUGUGGAAUUUUAAUAUCCUAAUACAAUAUUAUGAUAGUAAUUGGGUCAAUAUGGGUAUUGGAUCAUAUUAUCGUUAUAAAUAUUAAUUUAUUAUAACUGAGUGUGUAAAGUAUCUUUUUUUAUUGUUGUACCAUAUUUAACUUUUGGCUGCAAAUAUAUAUAUAUUUAGCAUUAUUUAUAUCAAUAAGUUAAUAUAUAUAUCCUUUUCUUUAACAUCAAAUUUAAGUUUUUAAAAAGUUAUGAUAAUUCACUAAUUUGGUAUUUAGGAAAUUAAAUCCAUAUCAAUUUAUUAGAUAUCUUAAACCGUAUGUAAAAAUAGAAUAUUGACCAUUAUUCUAUUAGUAAUAUAUCCAUUAAAGAUUUUGACGUGCUAUGGUCUAAAAAAAUUAACUUGGCGGGAUGUUAUGAUUAUAUUCAAGGUGAUAGGGAAGAAAGUUAUGAGGAGACCCCAUUGAAGCCUAUAUAUUAUAGUAUGCAUAAAGACUCAAAAUGUGCACUUGAAAUAACAGUUGUCACUGACAGGUUAAGAUAAACUACCAAAUUGGCACUUAAAGGAAGAAAUUCUAGUAUUAGUGUCAUAUUUUAUGCCAUAUUAUGUAAUGCAUAUUAGUAAUGAUUUCUUCAUAAUAUCGCAGAUAUAUAAAAGUUCAUCUAGCUAGAUGCAUUGUAGAUUUUGUGAGAAUUAUUUUAUUCCGUCCAAAUGAGUUCACAUUAUUAUCCAAUUUUCCUUUUUUUAAGUUGAUUUAUGAAAGAAAAAAAAAAUGACACCAAUGUUUUCCACGUCGCCGCAAGUCUCAUCGAUAAAAGUCCAUCUACAAAUUAGUUCAUAAUUCUUUUUGUAACUUCGCUAAAAGCUAGUCAAGUCAUUGCUAGCAAGCCUCAAAAGCACGAAGUACGCGAAUCACGGCGAUAACUGAUAAUAACUUGGUUGUCCGGUUUCGCAUACUAAUUAGCUUGAUUGAAAAUCGUGAAGUAUGGGGCACGACUAACGCAACGCAUACGUCUCAUGCAUUAGGCAAAUAUUGUACGCGACCCAUGUUGAGAGCACAAAUCCACUAUCUACAAGUACUAUAUAUAGAGCUGCAAUGCGUGCUUCAAGUAUUCACAACUUACCCCCAGCUGGCUAGCCAGCCUCUAUAAUUUGAAGGGAAAAAAAAAAAAAAAACAACAACCUUGUUCAACUUGCAAAUACCUACCAAUUAUUAUGGAGAAAAGCUUUGAUAUCAUUGCCCUGUCUAUGAUCAUUCUGGUGACUUAUUCAUCUAAAAUGGUGUCGGUCGCCGGCCGGUCGCUGCAUGAACCAUCCAUUGUUGAGAAGCAUGAAAAAUGGAUGGCUGAGCAUGGGCGCACUUACAAGGACGACCUGGAGAAGGAAAAGCGGUUUAAGAUAUUCAAAGAAAACCUUGAAUACAUUGAGAAAGCCAAUGAGGAGGCGAAUCGGACGUACAAGUUAGGCACCAAUGAAUUUUCAGACUUAACUAAUGAGGAGUUUCGUGCUUCAUAUACAGGAUACAGGGUGCCAAGCCAGUCAUCUUCAUCACGGCAAUCCACAACAGCAUCCUUCAAGUAUCAAAACCUGACUGACGUUCCAACUAGCAUGGACUGGAGAGAGAAAGGAGCUGUCACUCCUAUUAAGAACCAAGGUCAAUGUGGUAAGUAAAUCGUAUACUAAAUAUUUAUGAAGUAACUAUAAUAGAUUAUUUAGCCUCCAACCUCUUUCAGAACUCAAACUCAGUUGACCAUCAGCUAAUUAAUAAAAACAGCUUGACAACCGUCUGCCAAACCCCUGCUGGGGCAUGUUUCAUGUAACUUAAUCAAGCCUUUUUUUUUUUUUUCCUUAAUAUGUACGAUGCAGGAGACUGUUGGGCAUUUUCAACUGUGGCGGCGGUGGAAGGGGUGACUGAGAUUAGUAGUGGUAAUCUUAUUCCACUUUCGGAGCAGCAAAUACUAGACUGCUCAAUAGAUGGUAACCGUGGAUGCGGUGGCGGUUGGAUGGACAAUGCCUUUAAAUAUAUUAUAAAAAACCAGGGUAUUGCCUCAGAAGCGGAUUAUCCAUACAAGGAAGUCCAAGGGACUUGUGAAGACGCACAGGUCAAGGCAGCUGCUAAAAUUAGUAACUUUGAAGAUGUAAAACCCAAUGAUGAGCAGGCUUUACUCCAAGCUGUAGCCAUGCAGCCAGUAUCAAUUUGCAUUGAAGGAAGUGGACCAGACUUCCAGAGUUACAAAGGCGGUAUUUUUAACGGAGGAUGUGGAACUCAGUGUUCUCAUGCUGUUGCUAUCGUUGGAUUUGGGGCAACUGAAGAUGGAAUGAAGUAUUGGUUAAUUAAGAAUUCAUGGGGGGAGAGCUGGGGUGAGGCCGGCUACAUGAGGAUUCUCAGAGAUGUUGAAGCACCUGAAGGUCUCUGUGGCAUUGCCACUAAACCUUCCUACCCAGUUGCAUGAGUAGCAGUAUUUUAUAUUAUAAAUAGCCGCCUCUUAAUAAUGAUGUCUUCAAGCCUACACAUGCAUUAGCCUCGAAAGGCUUAUACGAACCGUAUGAAUCGUAUGAUUCUGUGGUUUUACCUAUGUUGAGUAUUUCAUAAGUUGUAAUUGAACGCCAAUAUUUGGUAUUAGUUAAUGUUAAAUCUCUCGUUUAAAUAUAAGUUUGAUCUUUGCAGUAAUUAGUCAUUUACAUUUAAUGCCACGGAUACUCAAUUCGACCAAGAAAUACAUAGUUUAUAUCUUAGUUACUCUGAUAUUUUAUGUGGCAUGUUAUAUGUCGUUCAUUGAUUAAGUUGUAAGAAUAGUAUGUAAAUAAUUAAUAAUAAAUUUAUUUAUUAUCAUUUAUGAGACAAUAAAUGAUUAGUGGAACAUUAAUUAAAAUACAAACUAUUAUUAUUUAUUUAAGAAAUAUAUAUUGGUCAAUGAAAUUAAUGCAAGACAAAAAGUAACUGAAUUUUGAUUACACGCUUGAUGUCUGGAAGUACAAUGAUUAUGAAUUUGUGUUAAAUUAGGUCAAAGUUUUAAGUUAAAAUAAUCAAACCUAUAUACUCACACUAACUUUUAAAGUUUGAGUGGAAUUUGCCCGCUUUAAUUGGGGUCUCAUACAGCAAAAAAAUUUUGGCCAUCUUGAAUUUCUUUUUCUAAUUACUUAUAAAAAUUUAAAGGCUUGGUAAUUUCCCUCCCCCAAAUUCUGUCUUUAUUCCUAAGUAAAUUAGUUAGUCAUUAUUUCAAUAAUUAAAAUUAUUCUAAGUUCUAAAUUUUGGGCGUGGAGGGAAAGUUAAGCGCAAGUAGCCGUGACUGAUUAAUAUUAAACAAUAUAAUUUAAUGCAUUUUUAUUCUUCAUCUAUUUUUUUAAUAUUAGUUUUUGAACAAAAUAGUAGAACGAUAGUUAUAAUUUAUUAAUCAAAUUUUUUUACUUUCAUAUCCAUAUUAUAUUGUCAGUAAUAGUGUCAUGUAAUGAUAAUUAAAAGUAUUAGGAGAUACUUUUAAAAGUCGACCGCCUCAUCAAAAAAUCAGGAUGGCCAAGUGGUCUAAGGCGCCAGACUCAAGUUCUGGUCUUCGAAAGAGGGCGUGGGUUCAAAUCCCACUUCUAAGUAAUUUUUUAUUUUUUAUUCAUUUUUUUACAACGUUACGACUAAACGACGUCAUUUUCAUUAAACGGCAAGUCGUUUCAGUCGUCUUCUUUAACGGAAUAAAAAAUAUCUAAACCGAAGACCAAUGUUUCCAAACCCGCUGUAAACCCUACAGAUAACCCUCAUUGCCACUCGCAUCACUGAGUUCUUAACCUGAGUUAAAAUGGCCGAGUCCGCAUCCGAACUCAGUGAGUUCCGGAUUUUUCCGGCGGACUCACCGCCACCACAACCGAAUUCAACCGGAGUUCCGGUUCAUAAUCUAACACCAGAGGAGCUCGUGGCCAAAGCCAUAGCUCCAGUUAAGAAACAGUUUCUUCGUCAUUAAAUUCCAAAAUAAAUUUUAACAUAAUAAUUAAUUCUUUUAAUAGAUAAAAUUGUCUAUAUGCACGAUUGAAUUCAGCCCCAAAAUGUUAAUUAAAAAACAAUUAUCCAAUAUUCAAGAUAGUUUGAAUCGUCAUUCUCAUAUCGUUAUAAUGUCAUGAAAUAAUUGUACAAAAACAAAUGACCAAUAAAUUCACAAACGUAUAAUAUUGCCUAAUGUAAAUAACUUAUUAAUUAAUAUUGAUAUAUUAUUAAUUACUUAAUGUUUUACCUUUUUAUAAAACAUAAAAUUAUGUUUACUUCCAUUCAAGAUAUCCCAAAAAAAUUAAUCUUUUUGGAUGAUUCAUAAUUUUCAAGAGGAUGUUUUUACACCAUACCAUCGUCAAAUUGAUAAGGGCCAUGUUAUUUUUUAUUUAAUUAAUUUAAAUUUCAACUAGAGAGCUAUUGGAAUCGAUCACUGUAAAAGUUAAGUUGUGAUGUAAUCACACAAUCUUGAGAUCUGCUAUUAGAAAAAUAAUUGAAGAACCAAAUCCCAAUGAAAAUACAUCCAAAAUGAUGUCGUUUUGAAUUUGUUCCAAAAAAAUAAAAUAAAAUCAAACUCACUAAAAAACAACAUGUGUGUUUUUGUUAACCUUUUAUCGAGUUUUAAUUUAAAUAUUUAUCAUGUACUUUUAUAUUCUAUUCAGGACCGGCUCAACCAUAUUUGAGGCCUUAGGCAAAUGGUUUUAAUUAGUUUUUCUUAAAAUUUAAGACAAAAAAUAUGUAUAUUAGUUAUGAGUGAUGAUACAGCCACAAACUCUUGUACAAAUUGACGUGGUAUUAAUUUAUUGGUUGAAUAAAAAUAUAAAAUAAUAAAAACAAAAUCACGUGAGCCAAGUGAUAUUUAAUUCAACCAAUCUUAUCAUGCCACAUCAGUUUAUACAAGAGUUUGUGGUUAUAUCAUUACUCAUAAGUUAUAUAAUAUUUAUUGAAAAUCAAUUCUUCAAACACUCUCUAAAAUGUAAAAUUAUUAAAUAAAAUUAUAUUACACUAUUGUCAAUCCUUGAAAUUUUAAUUCAAUUAUAAUAUUUUUACUUUUUUUUAACUCAAAUUACAUCUUUUAUACUACUUCUUUUCUACAUUAAAUUAAUUUUUUUAUUCUUCUAUUUUCUAAAGUUUUUUUAUAUAGUUAUUUAUUUCACAAUAGAAAAAAAAGCACACAAAAAUAGUAGAUGAAUAAAAGAAUGUAUUAAAAAGAAAUAAGAACACAUAAAUAAUACAAUUAAUUAAGAGAAUAAUAAAAAAUAAAAUCUGAAAUUUGAAAUUUGAGAUGAAAUCAUAAAUUAACUUUAUCUUUAUAUUAAUUAUUUGAAGAUUUGAGUAAUGACUAAUAGCCAUAGAGAAUAGAAAAAAACUAUUAGAUUUUUUCUUUUUUUUCUUGAGUGGAAAGUAGAGGAAGCAAGAUUUUUUUUCCCCUCUCUCUCUUUCUUUCUCUCAAAAACGAAGAACAUAUGGUGUCUUCAUUGUUAGAAGAAAAAUUUAAUGGAUAAGUAAUAAAAUGUGGGGCUUUUAUAGAGGUUUAAAAUGAAUAUAAAACUUUUUAAUUAUAAGUUGUUAAUUCUAACAAUGAAAUAUCAAAUUUAUAGGAUUGAAACUAUUAAUUUAUCGGUUUUGUAGGAAUUAAAACUACUAAGUACUACAUUAAAUAAACUUUAUAGGAACUCGGUAGUUUAUUUGAGAAAAGAUAAUUACAAAAUAAUAAUAAAUUAGAUGCAUAAUAAUGAUUUUUAAAUUCACUUUCCUCUUUUAUAUACAAAAUAAUCAUCUUAUAGGAUCUUCAUGUAAAGUAGGGCCCUAAGCAACCGCCUAAGUUGUCUAGAGAUCGAACCGCUACUGAUUCUAUUACUAAUUUUGAAAUUUUCAGACAUAUUUAAGCUCCACUAUUUUAUUUUUUUAAUCAAAAUAGUAUGUUUAUUAAUAAUGAUUAUAAAAAAAAGAUAAUGAUUCAAUAAUGUUGUUUAUAUAUAUUGAAUCAACUUUAAAAGUCAACAUUUACUUUACACACUCAUAUAAAUGCUAAAAUAACCCUUUAUUUAUUUAUUUUUUUAAGGCUGUAGAAUGUAUUCAUUACAAAGAUAGAGUAAAUUUAAUUUGUGGUAUUCAAAAUUUGAUGAUUACAAUUUUUGAGUUGAUGGUCUUAUGCUUCAUAUUUGCAUUAAUUUUAUGUUUAAUGGUAGAAUUAUCAAGCUCAAUGACAGUGAUUUCAUGUAAAGCUUUAUUUCCUAAUUACAAUUUUAAGUUAAUGGUCCUAGAUUUCAUAUUAACAUUAGUUUCAUAUAUCUUUUAGGUUCAAUAUUAAUGAUUUCAUGUAAUACUCAAUGAUUUCUAGUUUAAUGAUUACAAUUGUAAGUUGAUGGUCAUAUAUUUCAUGCUUAAUAGUAGAAUUAUAUUAAUGGAUGAAGCUGUUGCUAUCAUUUACAUUAAUAUUUAUUUCCUGGAACUCAUUUAUAGCACAUCUCAAUGUCAUUAUUUAAAAAUUUAAAUUGAUGGUUGGUUUUGUAUUCAUUACAUCGGAUGAUUUAUAUUUAAAUAAAUUAUUUCAAUCUCAUAUCGUUUUAUUAUGGGUGAUUUUAUAUCCACAUUAAAAUUUUUAAAGUUGUUAUCAUAACUUUUUAAAAUCAGAGUUGUGUUUAUUUAUCAAUUUAAAACGUCAAUAAUCUACUAUUGGCUUAACAAUUGAUAUUCUCAUUUGGGAAUCAUCAAGAUUUUAAAAUUUUUCAAAGCCCCCAUGCUCAAUUUAUACGCAAAAAAGAGGGGGGGGGGGGUGGGUGGUAAGAUGCAUGAUCAGAAAUGAAUUUGGCAAGUAUUUGAUUGAGUUGAGAGGUCACUAAUCUCACUUAAUUUGCGAAUCACAAUAUGAUUGUUUUCAAUCGGCACCAAAACGAAGGGCUGGUUUUGGUUAUUAUAGUGCCUUGUUCUAUGAAGGAUUUUGGUUACCCACAUAUGGGAUUGAUCUUUGCUUCUACUCAGUAUAAAUUCUUGAAUUAUACUAUAUAUGGGAUUGAGACUUUCGUUAAAUUUUAAUUUAUAAUAUUUUUCCGGAGAAAAGUAAUUAGCAUGAAACACAACAGCGGUGAAUCAUCUCAUUUUUCAAGAAAUAAUAUUUGUCAGAGCUUUUUUUUUAUAUUAGUUUAUAAUUAACUUUUUUUUUUAUAUUAAUCACGAGGUAUCCUGGGGAGGGCCCCAACUGUGGGAGGCACCUUUAAGCCCGUACCACAACCCAGACUAGAAGUCCCCGCUCGAACCGGGAGGCACAGGUUCUCCCAACAAAGGCGACUUCCCUGCGACUCGAACUGGGGAGCAAACCCAGUCAAGCCACUUAAGGGGACUCCAUUGCCAGUGGAGCCAACACUUUGUUGGUUGUUUAUAAUUAACUUUAAUAUGUAAUAAUAUAGCAUAUUCUGGGAAACCUGUUGGGAUAAUUGUUUUUAAUAUUAUUAUGAUAUUACGCAUGAUUGGCAGUCGCAACUCAUCAUCAUCAUCAUCUGAAACCAUAUUAACAAACAUUUAUUUAACAAUAUUCUUUAUGUAAACAGGAUUACCCUAAACCCAAUUAAUAUCUGCAGGGAUCAGAUGACUGUUAGAACAUAUGUUAAAUUUGUAUAAUAUAUGAUUUAAAAAUUUAAAAAAUAAAUUUUUCUUUUUUGGAGAUAACAGUUGGUAUAUUUAUGAUUAGUAAAACUAAAAGUUUUAUUUUUAUUCUAUGUGCUCCAUCAUGGCAGUAGUUAUUUUUUUUGCGAUUAAACAUACUAUUUUGAUUUAAAUGGAUUACAAAAUGGCACAUUUUUUUAACCCUUAACAGUUGGUAUUUUUUUUUAAUAAGAUUAUUAAUGCAUCAAGUAAUCUUGUUUUGAUGAUUGUAACUCGUGACUGCGGGACAAUUUCUAAUGGAAACAACUCAAUUUCGGAAGAAAACUUAAUUUUGCAAGUGAUGAAUUUGAACUCGUUGGAUUGGUUGAUUUAUGAUCGACUGAAUUUCACUUUUCCUCAUAAGAUCUUUAACCAAAGUUUAAUAGCUAUCAUGUACUCCUUAAAAGCAAUUUUUUUUUAGAUUUGACUGAAUUUGAACUUGUUGGAUUGGUUGCUUUUAGAUUAUUAAUAUGAGAUAUUACAACGUAAAUAUUUUCAUGUGGUUGAGCCCUAUUCUAAAAUCUGUAUAGUUAGCUUUAGAAAGAGGGCUUUUCCUGCUGAUCUGUAAUCUUGAAAUAAACUUAGAUAUAAAUAAUGAAAUAAAAGACAACAAACAAGCAAUACUGAUACAAAGCCAACAGAUCAGAGUUUUUGGUACAAAUCCAAUAAAAGACAAUAAACUUAGGACCUUUUUUUCUUGCUUUCUUUUGUUGAAGGAUUAGAGUUUUUGGUAUUAUCAGUAAAGGUUUCAAGGAGUAAAGCCUAUAAACUUUUUUUUUGGGGGGGGCGCCGCCGCGGGGAUUUUACACCAUACCAUCGUCAAAUUGAUAAGGGCCAUGUUAUUUUUUAUUUAAUUAAUUUAAAUUUCAACUAGAGAGCUAUUGGAAUCGAUCACUGUAAAAGUUAAGUUGUGAGGUAAUCACACAAUCUUGAGAUNNNNNNNNNNNNNNNNNNNNNNNNNNNNNNNNNNNNNNNNNNNNNNNNNNNNNNNNNNNNNNNNNNNNNNNNNNNNNNNNNNNNNNNNNNNNNNNNNNNNGAAAAAUUAAGUUUUCAUAGAAUAAAAUGGUACGAUUUUUAAUUGAACAAUUGAGUGCAAUCAGUAACAAAGGCUUUACAUAUGCAAGUAAAAUUUGUAGGUUGCUUCAGAAAAAAAGGGCAUUUCUCACUCAUCUUUAAUCUGCAAGUAAAAUUAGCUACAAAGCAAAUCUAAUAAAAUGACAAACAAAAGAACAAAACAAAGAAAAGACAGGAGGCAAACAACAUUGAUCUUAAGCCAACUGAUAAUUAAACAGAGAAUUCUUUUUUUUUUUUUUUUUAACCUGUUGCUCAAGGAUUAGAGUUUUUAUAUUAACAGAAAGGUUUAAGGGGUCUGAAUAAAAGCCCACAAUUUCUCUAUUUUAUUUUUAUUUUUAUUUUUUGAAAGGAGCUUCACUAUUGGCCUUGAAUAUAAAAGAAUGAGCAAAAGAUCAAUGUCAACUGCCGAGGAAUGUGAGUAAAGAUUUCAUCAGAGUAAGUAAUACAAAUGAAUUGUAAAAGAACAAGACUUAAGCGUGCACCCCGUGUUUUGUUUUAUUGUACGUAUAAACAUAACAUGUUCAUUUUUAACAAAGUGGUCAAUAACUCUUUUUUUUUGGUACAAAGACGUGCCUAGCAUAGACUAGGGCAAAACAAAACGGGGGUGUGAAACCCCAAUACAAUCAUGACGAAUCCAAAACCCAGCCCCUAAAGGAAGAGAAUUGAAAAGGUGCAAUUCAACAGGUAGUGAAAGAGCAGAGUUUGCAGGAAAGUCAGCUGCAAAAUUUGAUUCUCUGUAAACAUGCUUGACCUGCACUUGCCAGGUUCUGUUAAGCAAUUCCUUAAUACCCCUGACAAGAGAAGCAUGUGCAUUUGGCCUAAUCUCGUCAUCCGCCACCAAACGAGUAACACAAAGGCUGUCAACCUCCACCUGAAGCUGCCGAAUUCCAUUAUCCCAAGCCAUACAUAACCCUUGAUAAAGGCCCCAUAACUCAGCACCAAUGAUGGUAACCACACCAACAUUCAUUCCAAAACCAAUUAUCCACUCUCCAUAACAGUUUCUAAUCAAGCCACCCGUACUAGACAGACCAGAACUUUUACGAGCUCCAUCUGUGUUGAGUUUAAAACAAGGCCAAGUAGGUGCCACCCAUCCAAAAUAUUUCUAAAUCUUCAUGGCAGCAGGAACCAAACAACUCUGAUUAACCUUUUGAAUUUCUUCUGUACGGAUCUUAAUAUCCAUUACAACAGUACUCUUGCUGGUAAAAACACCAUUAUGCAGAUUUUGGUAACGCCAAAACCAAAGCCUCCAAACUGUGACCCCAAAAAGACACGGCCAGUCAAACAUACCAUCAUACUUCCACAAGUUCCUCAAAUUAUAUAACGCCCAAUCUCGGAGAUUCAAACUAAAAAAUUGAUGACUAAUCCCAUGGGGUAUCAAUGACGACCAUACAUGCUUAGCACUGGGGCAAUCCCGCAGCACAUUAAGAGUAUUUUCAACAACACAGCCACACCUUGCACAACUCAUAUCAUCAACAAUAUGUCUCCGGAAAAGUUCUGCUUUAGUUUUAAGUCUAUUUUGACCCACCACCCACAGAAAGGUUUUGAUAUGUUGGGGACCUCUCCACUGCCAAAGAAUGCGCCAAAAGGAUUCUUCAUUGUGAACCUCCAUUUUUGACAAAGCCCUAUAUGCUGAAUUAGUAGUGAAAUCUUCUGACUUAGAAUAUGCCCAGUACAUGUAAUCAUCCUCAUCAUUUACACUGGGAGGCUUGGUGGCUGCAAUUUUGAGAAGUAAAUGAUGGGGAAAUAAAUUCUCAAAAAGCCGCCAAUUCCAAGUACCCUCAACAGUGAUAAACCUCGCCACACACUCCUCAAGCUGCUGUAAACGUAUCGGCUGCAAAGCGAAAGUAUACAAAGGGUAUUCCUCUGUUACCCAAUUAUCCCACCAAAAUCUAACUCGGUUGCCAUUUCCAAUGUCCCAUUUGAUCCCUUUUAAAACCUCAUGCCAAAUGCCUCCCACAGCCUUCCACAUGUAAGAGCCAUAUUUCGUAGGUAAUGUGCCGGGGAGGGCUUUAGGAGCCAGCCCAUACUUAGACAAGAGAACCUUCACCCAUAAACUAUUUGGAGAAGCAAUUAAAACCCACCCAAUCUUCAUGAGCAGAGCAUCAUUCAUUAAAUUAAGCUGCUUAAGACCAAGGCCUCCGCUAGGUUUCAGUUGACAUAUUGUAUCCCAUUUCACCAAACUGAUUUUCUUCUUGUCUGCUGCCCCGCUCCAAAUAAACCUCCUACAAGCCUGAUCAAUUUUCUCCCGAAUACCAAACGGAAUCUUCGUGGUCUGCAUUGCAUAAAUAGGAAUUGCCUGGAUUACCGAUUGAGUGAGAGUGAUCCUACCCGCCAAGGACAAAUGUAUCGCAUUCCACCCCGACAAACGUUGGUUCACUUUGUCCAAAAUUCCCUGAUAAGUCAGCUUAUUAACCCGUGAAUGAAUAAUUGGCAUUCCUCAAUAUUUCCCUAGGUUUUUUGUGACAGAAAAACCCAAGGAAUCACCAAUUUCCUUAGCCUCAGCAGACUUUAUGUUGUGGGAGAAAAAAACUUGUGUCUUUGUUUUACUAACUUUCUCUCUAGAGCUCAUACAACAAACAUUCAACACUUCAUUAUAACCAUUGCUUGCCUACAGGAAGCCUCUGCAAGCAAGAUAAGAUCGUCAGCAAAAAAUAAGUGAGAUAAAGAGGUACCUCCACGAGACAGUUUAAUAGGUUUCCAGUGCCCUCUCUUCACAGCGUCAUUUAUUCCAUGGCUUAACCUUUCUAUACAUAACACAAAGAUAUAUGGGGAAAUGGGGUCUCCCUGUCUAAUACCCCUAGAAGGGGUAAAAAUCUCUGUAAUUUCUCCAUUCCAUAGAAGUUGCAUAGUCGCCGUUGUAAUACAUUCCAUAAUAAGCCGAACCAAAAUAGUAGGCAAUCCAAACUCCCUCAAGGUUUCAUAAAUAAAAUCCCAGCUUAAACGAUCAUACGCCUUUUCCAAAUCCACCUUAAUGGCCAUCUGCCCAAUCCUCCCUUUCUUACGUCUCAUCAAAUGAAUAACUUCCUGAGCAACCACUAUGUUUUCCGUUAUGUGUCUCCCCCGGAUAAAACUAGUCUGGGUAGGUCCAAUGAGGUCAGGCAAGAUAGAUUUCAGCCGGUUAGCUAAUAACUUAGUGAUAGUUUUAUAGAUAACCGGGCAAAGACUAAUCGGACGAAAAAGCUUAAGGCUAAUAGGAUUAUCCGACUUAGGAACCAACACAAUCAGAGUUUUGUUCAACUCCUUAGGGAUCUCGUUGCCAUUAAAAAUACCUUUUAUAAGACUACAGACAGAUUUUCCCACUACAUGCCACUGGGUCUGGUAAAAGAGAGCAUGCAACCCGCCUAUUCCAGGGGCUUUCAAAGCCUUCAUGCCGAAGAUCACAUUCUUAAUUUCCUCAUCCUCCACUGCUUGUCCCAAAGCUUGCAUUCGACUUUCCUCAAGGACUGGGAAGGCGUUAACAACAUGGUAUGGAUGAUAGAUUGCAUCCUCUUUGGAAUAGAGCUUUGAAAAGAAGGACACAGCAUAAUCUCUAAUCUCAUCAUUAUUCAACAACCAAUAACUCUAUUCGUUAUGAAAUUGAUAUUGUACCCAAUUUUAAGAGAGCAUAAUAAUAACCAUUCAAUGCAUAAAUUUAGAAUUAGGAUUUUUUUGUAAUUCUUUAUUUAAAUAUAAGCUUCAAUGGAAAAUUAUAAAAAUUUAGAUAUAAAAUUUUAAAUCACCAGACCAAAAAAAAAAAAAAAAAAAAAUAGGGGAACGGAAAUAGAGGAAUCUUGCUUUACCUUUUUUCCCUUUAACUCUUGUUCUUAUAUAAAUAAUUUUGUUUUGAUGAUUGUAACUCGUGACUGCGGGAAAAUUUCUAAUGGAAACAACUCAAAUUCGGAAGAUAAGCUUAAUUAUGCAAGUGAUGAAUUUGUUCAAUUGACUCUGUACUUGAACUAGUUGGAUUGAUUGAUUGAUGAUUGACUAAAUUUGAAUUAAGUUUAAUUGCUUAGCUAUCAUUUACUCCUUAAACGCAAACGUAAAUAUUUUCUUGUGGUUGAGCCCUAUUCUCAAAUCAGUAGGUUGCCUUUGAAAAAGGGCUUUUCUCACUGAUCUUUUUUUUUUUUCUUUAAUUCACACGCACUUGAUUAUUGAAUUCUUUCAUGAAGAAAUAAACUUGUAAUGACUUAAAGAUUUAAUUUCAAGUUAGAAUCAAUACCAAAAGACGGAGGUUUAACAAAGCCGUUUAGUGUGAUAAAAGUACUUUAAAAAAUGUUGUUCGACCCAAUUAAGUUGAAGAAAUAAUAAAGUUUUCAUGGAAUAAAUACCGGUUGUGCCUUAAUGAUUUUGGCAUAGACGUUGCUUGUGUACUGUGAAAUUGAAAUGAAUAUUAAGUGACUGCGCGAUGUAUAUGCCUAAUAAAAGAUCAGCAAAAGCUUGGAUGAAUGUUUGAGGACCAAAACUUUUAUAAAAGCAUUUUUGAGAGAAACUAAACACCAAAUUAUCAAAGUAAGAUCAACAGUAUAUGAUUUGAUUUAUACAUAUUCAAAAACAAAAUAAUGAUUAAUAAUAAAGUUUGAUUUUGUAUUGCCAACGAUGCUUUUUUGUUGUUUCAUUUGUUCGACGUGGCCUUAUUUACAAAUUGGUUUAUGUUAACAGAAACAUGAAAUUCACAUUACACAAAAUUGCAAGAACAAAUAUUAAGAGAACGUAAUAAUAAUUACUCAAUGCGUAAGGAUAAAUUUAGAAUUACAUAUUCUUUUUUAUUUAAUAAAGUCCCAACGGGAAAUCAUAAAAAUUUAUAUAUAAAAGCUUUCAACCACCAAACAAAAAACAGGGGGAAUGAAAACACAGGAACUUGUUUUAACUUUUUUUCAUCUAACUCUUGUUCUUAUAUAAUAUUUUCCCUAGUAUUUCAGGCAAAAAAAAAAAAAAAAAAAUCAAUAAAGAGCAAGUUGCUCAAAUUGAUUUAUCUUGUUUUUCAGGCAAUCUUGUGAUAUGAUGAUAAAGCUCAUGAAUGCUAGAAAACUUCUAAUGCAAACAACUCUAUUUGGGAUGAUAAGCUUAAUUUUACAAGCGAUAAAUAUAAAUAACUUUUUGUGGUUAAUUGAAUUUGUAAUUACUCUUAGCCCUAUUCUAAAAUUUGUAGGCUGCCUCAAAAAAGAAUAAAAAAAAAUUUCUUACUCAUCUUUAAUCUUCAAGUAAAAAAAAAAUCUAAUAAAAUGAAAAACAAACAAACAAGUAAAAGACAGCAAACAAACAACAUUUAACCAACUGAUAUUUAAACAGGGAAUUCUUUCUUCUUCUUCCCCCCCCCCCCCCCCCCCCCCGGGCUCAUGGAUUAGAGUUUUUGCUAUUAACUGAAAGGUUUCAAGGGUCUGAAUAAAAUCCCAGACUUUUUUUUUUUAAUUAACCAAAGCCAUAUAAUAAGAUCACAGACUUUUAACAAUGAACAAUAAUUUGAAACUCAAGCAAAACCAAUGACAAGAUUAAAACAAACCAGAGAAAUUUUUUCUUGGAAAGUAGAUGAAAACUAAGUAAGAACUGCUAUUAAAGGAUAUUAUUAAAGGAUUUAGAACAUGUAUACCUCUUUAUUUAUAUGGGAUCAGAGAGUCGAUGACCUCCUCUAUUCGCUUCGGAUAUUAAGUAAGAAUUGCUAUCAAAAGAAUGAAUUGAUGAGAGUAAUAACAAUGAAUUGCAAAAGAGGAAGACUUAAUCACGUACCCCUAUUAUACCCGAUUUUUAAGAUUUAAUUUUGAAGUCCAGAAUCAAGACAAAAGACGAAGCCUUAACAAAUAUGCAGUGAGAAUAAUUAAGUUGAAGAAAGCACUAGUUUAUGGCUCAGUGUUAAGUUGAAGUUUAUGAAAUAAUUAACUAGUUUAUUAUGCUCAAGUCAGUUUUUGGGCCUUUGCCAAAAAACUUGUGCCACCACUCAUAUGGCUUAAUAAACAUUGUCUUAAAAACCAAAAGCUUUUUGAGUAAUUUGCAGAAAAAUGAAAUAGAGUGUAAAAGAAAGGAUUUUCCAUGAGAAGAAGAGAGAAAAAGAUGCCUUGCAGACCCCGAAAAAAUAAAUAAAUCCUCCUUUUAAGGUCACGCCCCACUCUCCUCUUUUCCCCUUUGUUCUCCUCCACUUACGGGAGUUAAGGAUGAGAUAAAAGUAAUGCCUCCACUCUCCAUUUUUUUCUCCUUUUUCCGUUACCAAACAUCAGUCCCCCAGUUUCUAGUGUUGAGAGUUUUAACGAAUCAAGACUGGAAACUAUAUGAAUUUUAAAGUGACAUCGAUGUGGUUGGCAUAAAUCGGCUCGGGAUUGCUAAAAUUAACCUUACUAUUAGCAAAAAAUUUCAAGUUUUAAACUUUUACUUGCCUUUAAAUAUACCAUUUUCCUACUCGCAUAAUCAUGUAAAGCAGGUUUCAUAAGUUCACGUAUUUAUCUCACCUGAAGUAAGUUUUGAGACUUAGUCAUUUAUCUGCUUUAGAAUAUUUUUCACUCAUAUAACUCUUGCUCGCCUAAUCUUGGUCGGGCAAGAGCAGGCAAACUUUGACUUCGUCUCACUACGAGGAGGUUUAGAGACUGUAAGCCUUUCACUUGAAGUACCCUUUUUUUUUUUUUUUUACUUUCUGCUUGCCUUCACAUGGUUGAGCAGAUUCUGGCAAGCUUGACUUCUUGUCUCGCCAUCGAGCAAACUUUGAGACUUUGAAGUCUUUUAUGUGCCUUAGAAACUUUCUUGGGAUUUUUGUUCUCUGCUCGCCUUUACAUGGUCGAGUAGAUUCUGGCGAGCUUGGCUUCCUAUCUCGCCAUCAAGGAGGCUUUGAGACUUUGGAGCCUUUGCUUGCCUUAGAAACUUUUUUGGAACUUUUGUGGUUUGCUCGCCUUCGCUUGGUCCAGCAGAUCCUGGCAUACUUGGCUUUCUGUCUCGCCAUAAAUAGGCUUUGAGACUUUGGAGCCUUUGCUUGCCUUAGAAACUUUUUUGGAAUUCUCAUUGUUUGUUCGCCUUCACAUGGUCGAGCAGCUUCUAGAGAGCUUGGCUUCCUGUCUCGCCAUCGAGGAGGCUUUGAGACUUUGGAGCCUUUGCUUGCCUUAGAAACUUUUUUGGAACUUUUGUGGUCUGCUCGCCUUCGCUUGAUCCAGCAGAUCCUGGCAUGCUUGGCUUCCUGUCUUGCUAUAAAAUAAGCUUUGAGACUUUGGAGCCUUUGCUUGCCUUAGAAGCUUUUUUGGAACUUUUGUGGUCUGCUCGCCUUCGCUUGGUCGAGCAGAUCCUGGCUCCUGUCUCACCAUAAAAUAGGCUUUGAGACUUUGGAGCCUUUGCGUGCCUUAGAAGAUUUUUGAAACUUUUUUGGUCUGCUCGCCUUCGCUUGGUCGAGCAGAUCCUGGCAUGCUUGGCUUCCUGUCUCACCAUAAAACAGGCUUGGAGACUUUGGAGCCUUUGCGUGCCUUAGAAGAUUUUUGAAACUUUUUUUGUCUGCUUGCCUUCGCUUGGUCGAGCAGAUCCUGGCAUGUUUGGCUUCUUGUCUCGCCAUAAAACAGGCUUUGAGACUUUAGAGCCUUUGCGUGCCUUCAAUGUGCUCUUAUUUGAGGUUUUUGCUUUAAAUCCUAAAAUAUGGACAACCAUCAAAAAUUUAAUUUCGGACUUGUAACUUAUAACUUGUCCAGAAAAUAGCUCACAUUUACAACUUGCGCUUUAGCUAUUUAUAUAUGUUUGGGCCUUUGAUGGAUAAACAUCCUUGGUGUUUUUAUUACCAUCUAUAAUAUUUGGUUAGCAAUAUUAUUAAAGACCUUUGCUAAAGGUGCGGAGCACCAUUUCCCAACACUAAAGAUAUUAAAAUUUAUAUAUAAAAUAAAUCAUAUUAUAUAAAAUAUGUAAUCAACAAAUAAAUGGUACCAUAAAAGUUUAAGCAAAGUCAUAUCACUGUAUCAAGGAAAUACGAUCUCAUGCUAACCCAAGUUCCAUCAAUCCUUCGGUCAAGCAUGUUGUGUGCUAAUAUAUGACUAUGCUAUAUAUUCUAUAAUAUGUAAUCCUUCGGUCAAGCAUGUUGUGUGCUAAUAUAUGACUAUGCUAUAUAUUCUAUAAUAUGUAAUCUUAACUAUUUUCUAUUAACGACUUAAUAAGUCAAAACCUCAUCCAUCAGAUUUUUGAAGUCAGGUAGUGGAUUUAAAGGAUAAAUAUAAAACUGGGGUUUUAGAACAAGUGCACCUGAGAUUGUGCUCUGCAUUAUUUCAUUAGUACUUCAUCAAACAAAUCCCGAGCUUGACUCUGCUUUGCUCCCUUCUUAGAAUUAUUCUUGCAAUAUUUUAACACGGGCACAAAAUGAAUAAAAUAUGAAGGAAACAAAAAUCCAACUUCAUCAAUUCUUUGAAGCUUGAAGACAUGCCUAUCAAUUCUCAUCAUCAAUAAAAAUUUGUUUUGUUUUAAAACCAUUAUUAAGGUUAGCCAAAAUACCAAUACUCGGCCUCAUCCAGAUUAUGCUAAUUAUACUUCUUCCAACACUCAUUAACGAUUAUGAGAAUUUGUGCAAUGUGGAUGACAGGUACUAUCAAAAGACAGCGAAUAUAUGCAUAAUUUCUAAUGUUCUCUUUGCGAAAAUAUAAUAAAGCUAUGGUUAAGAAUAACUCAUGCUCUCAAUCAGUUUGAUACUUAUAUUAAAUAAACUGAAACAGAACCUGGGUUUAGAUCUUGGCUCCUGGGCAACAUUCUCUCAAGCAUAUAUGUAGUGUAUGUAGUGUAAUCAGCAACAAACUCACUUUUGAACUUUCAUAUCCCUUGAGGCGAUUUAACGAACAGCUCCUGAUUUGAAUUUUAACAAUUCUGCCUCAACUUGUAAUGAACCGAGUUUUAUACCAGAAUUGUCUAUAUACUUUCCCUGCAUAGUCUUCACAUGAAAACUAGCUGCAUGAUUGAUUGAUGGGGUGUAAAACCAGUAGGAAAUAUCUUGAAGAAACCAAAGAUCCGUGGAUUUUUAUGCUUACCACCAAAUGAAUUUAACAAUUUGUGUAAUCUUUAUUUUAAGAAAUUGAACAUUGAUAAUACCGCAAAUCGAUUGCUCUUUUGAACAGACUUUAUAUCUUGAGUUCGAUGAAAAGAGAACAAUCAAUCAAGAAAUAUAAAUACAUCAGCAAAAUAAUGAUGGUAGUAGCAUUACACAUCUAAUUAGCCAUAACGAAGCCGAAUAAUUAGCCAUAAUAAAUCUGAACUGUUAACAUUAUGUCAAGCAUGUUGUUGGAAAAUAUUAAAUUAAUUCAUUUGCAAGUAUAAUAGCAUGUAAUCUUGAAUUAUGAAUGAAGCCCAUUCUAACAAGCUAAUUUUGUAAAGGAACAUUAUCAACGAAUUCCAAGGGAUAAUAUUCAAUUUCAGCAAAUAUAUCAUGCACGGUAUUGAAACAUGCAUGUUAUUAAAGAAUUUCCAAGCAUCUCUCAUUUGAUAAAUCAAUAAUCAUAGCAAUUGGAAAUUGAAUUUUAAUGACAAUAUACUUAAAGCAAUAAAUAAGCCAAAACCUUUACAGGUAAGCAUUCCAUCCAGCCUUGAUUGGCUUCCGUGUUUGAGCCAGCUUAUCAAUUUGUGCAUGAUAAUAUUCUGCCUUUGGCUUGGCCGGAUGAAAAAUUGGUAGAGACAAGAAGUUGGCUUUUUGUACCGAUUCCCCACAGACAGUGCCAAAUGUUGAUGCCCAAAUCUGAUCUAGUCUAUUAGCGACUUAAUAUCAAACUUCUACACCAGCAUUAGAUUUAUUUGGUAGAGAAUCGAUUGGUCAAUCGUCAAGAUGUCCUGCAACCACUAGCGAUUAACUUGCGAAUACUUAAAAUCAUAGAAGACGGUCAGAGGCGCUGAAAGUUUUUCCGACGUGAACCCUCCGACACUCAAGUCAGUUUCUGGGCCUUUGCCAAAAAACUUGUGCCACCACUCAUAUGGCUUAAUAAACAUUGCCUUAAAAACCAAAAGCUUUUUGAGUAAUUUGCAGAAAACUGAAAGAGUAUAAAAGAAAGGAUUUUCCAUGAGUGGAAGAGAGAAAAAGAUGCCCUGCAGACCCCGAAAACAUAAAUAAAUCCUCCUUUUAAGGUCAUGCCCCACUCCCCUCUUUUCCCCUUUGUUCUCCUCCACUUACGGAAGUUAAGGAUGAGAUAAAAGUAAUGCCUCCACUCUCCAUUUUUUUUUCUCCUUUUUCCGUUACCAAACACCUACAAAUCUUAUCCCUACUAAUAUGCUCUAUAAGCCAUUAUUCUUCUAAAAUUAUUAAAUGCCAUUCUUCAUUCAAGCUUUCAUGGACAUUAUUUACAAAUUGUUCUUGUAUUUGACAGAAAAAUGAAAACUCCUCGUCAUACAAAACUGCAUGAACAAAUCUUCUGUUUAAUUAUGAUAAAAUAAUAAAUUCCAUUAACAGAUUCUGCUGUAUGUUAAUGUGAGGGAUUUGAUCAGAUGAUCAUAUAAUUUACUACACGCUUUAAGAAGAACAAAAAUUGAUGACUUAAAAAUUAAAAAAUAAACAUAUAAAGAGUAGAUACAAAGAAUGUUAUUUGCAAUCAACAAACUGAAGAACAGGGGAAUGAUAACAGAGGACGGUUGCUGCAACAUUAUGAAGUCAAAAUUAAGAAAGGCAUUUUUUUCUUUUUUUUUUACAUUAUUCUAUUUAAUCUUAAAUUUUUACAAUCACCAAAUGGAAAAACAGGGGACUGAAAACAAAGAAGCCCUGUUUGCAGAAACAGGGGAGUUUCCGGGUUUCUGGAAACAAACUCAGAAACGAAUGAACUGGCUGCCGGCGGUACUUUCUAGAUAAAUCUCUUGGUGUAUAUAAGCUUUCAUGAUCUGGUUUUAGUCUGGUUAGGUUCAGCCACUGUGACUGUUAGGGAUUCUCGUAAACUGAAUUUAAAGUUGCGGCUUAAAGUGUUUACCAACUUAAAACCAGAGCUAUAAAGUGUUUGAUGAAUUAUUUUUUAAUUUAAAAAAAUAAAAAACUGAUUUAGCGGGAUAAAAUAAUGCUCCAUUCUGUUUAGUAUGUGAAGUCCAGAGUAUUACAAAGAGAUAACUGAAUCUUCAAUGUAAUAAAAUAAUGAUCAGCCUCAGAGGAUACAUAAAAAGCUCAUUUAUCACAACCAUAUCCUAGUGCAUCAUAAACUUGAUUAUUUAAUUUUACUAUUAGGAAACCUACUUAUAUAAGGCGCACACCACAAAUUCUAAAUUAAAUUUCUAACUAAGAAUAAAAGGUAAAGCCUAGCAAUUUUCCACCAGGUGCCGUGUAGCCUGCAUCAUAAAUUUUGAUUUAAAUCUUUGUAAUCACCGAACAGAAAAACCGGGGAAUGAAAACAGAGGAGCCCUAUUUUUCCAUUUUUUUAACCCUUAACUCUUGUUCUUCUAAUUAUAUUUUUGCUUGGAAUUUCAAGCAAACGAAAAAAAAAAAAGUGACAACUAUUUAGAGAGAGCAGGUGGAUGAUAGCAAAAAUAUUUUUAAUUAAUAUGCAUGAUUAACUCUUGUUCUUCUAAUGUAGUGGCUUGAUUAAUAUUUUUAAUCAAGCCACUACAUUAUUGGUAGUCUCUGUGGGCUCAUUUCGUCUCCAGACCUGAUAUUGUAUAUCUCUUUUUGAAUAUGUUUAAUUAAUAUGCAUGCUGCUGAAUAAAGACGAUGAUUUCCAAAUUUUUGUUGCUUUUUUUUUUUCUUUUUCUGCUUUGGUACAUGAAGAAUGUGGAAAUAGAAAUAGCUUUCGAAGUUUAAUGGCUUGCUUCAUUAGUAAAGAAAGACUAGGAUAUCUGUCCCUUUUUGUUACUGAAUUAUUGAUCAAUUGACGGUUGAAGUGUCAAAUGUGUUCUUUCCUUACAAUUGUAUAUGCUAUUAUUAAUAGAAAUUAUUAAAGGAUUUAGAACAAGUUCGCCUUUUUAAUUAUCUGGGAUGAUGAGUUUCUUUAUUCACCUUGAAUAUGUAAUAACAAUUUUAGUGAGCAAAAGAUCACUGGUAACUGCAGAGGAAUGUGUGAGUUAAGAGCUUAUUAGAGUAAGCAAUACAAAUGAAUUUUCAAAUUAUGUACUUGGUCACUGUUGUCCUACUGUCGCACGUAUUUUUUCAUGAAUAAUUGCCAGAUCAGAAAAGAAUAAAUUCGGUUGGCUGAAGUAAGUAAAACAAUCUUCAUAUCGAACAUGAUUCCAAUUAAAUUAAGCUUUUUGUAAGAUGACUAAUAAAAGAUAAAAGUAGAAGCUUUGAUGAAUGAACGAGGACCAAAACUUUUGUAAAAGCGGAUGCCGAUAAAAUAAACAAAAGGCACUUUAAAAAGAAACUAAAGUGCGAUCAUCAAAGUAAGAUCACUAAUGAUGCUUCGCUAUUACAAGGUCCGCAUGGACAUUAUUGAGUUCUGCUAUUUGAACUACGCGAAGACAAAACAAAGACAGAAAAAUUGACACUGUUACUUCAACGGCUGUUUAUUACUUUUUGAAUUUAAAAAAUAAAAUAAUCAAAAGAAAAAGGAAAAGGAAAAGUAACGAAAAAAAAGAAAUAAAAUAAUCAAAAGAAAAAAAAAAGAUUACUUUUUGAGUUAAUCUUUCUCCAUCUCUCAUCUCUGCUAUCUGCGUUCACGCACAAAGAAAAAACUCUUCAUCUCACCAUUUUCAUCUCUUUGCAUCUCACCAGUUCCGCAUCUCAGUUACCAUAAGGAAGAAGUUAGAUCUAGAUCUAUAAACAGAGAUUUUGAUAAAAUUAGUACUGAUUAAUUAGUAAGUUAGUGACUCUCACUAUAUUCAAAUAAAAUUUUUAUUGUGUUCUAUAUAUUUAAAUGAUUAGAAUAUUUAAUUUAAAUUGUAAAAAUUCGUAAAUUUUUAUUUUUUAUAUAUUUAAAUUGUUAUGAAUUGUUAUGAUUUUUUUAAUUUAAAUGGUUGUUAAAUAAUGGAAUAGAUUAUAACAAUUUCUGAAUGUGUUUUAUGAACUUUAAAUUUUUAAAAUUAUGUUAGAUUUGACUUUAAAUCUUUGAAAUUGUAGUGAUGGAAUAAUAUUUUGUGUUAAAUUAAAUUUUUAAUUUUUGAAAUUAUGUUAGAUUUGUUUAAUUUUGUCCGCUUGCAAUUUAUUUGUUCACGCUAUCAUGAAGUGAUAUUAUAUAGGCAUCGAUGGUUUUUUAAUUAUUACAAAAUAUUAUUUUUUAAUUAUUUAACAAAAAUUGAUACAAAAUAUUAAUUUUGUAUGACUGAGAGAUACAUAGGGUUAAACAGGACGAGUAGAGAAAGGAACGAAUGAAAAAUAAGUGGAAUGAACAAAGUAAUUAACGAGAAUGAAUAGAGGGGACAAAGUGGAGAACGAGUAGUUGAGGAUGAGAAUAAGUGGAUCAGAUUUUAAAUAAUAAAGAUAUUUAAAAAAUUUUCAUUUUUUAUUAUAAUAUUUGUUGUUGGUCCCACCAAAAAAUUGGAUGAGAGCAGGCGUGAAAGAGCAUUUUUUUUCAUUUUUAUUCUUUAUUUUAAUAAUUGUUAUCGGUCCCACAAAAAAAGAAAAUUGAAUGAGGAAAGGCGUGAAACGGCAGCCAAUUUCUGUCGUCCCAUCGUCGUGCUUUCGUCUAUUUACCAUUUCUCGACAUUAUUUACAAAUUGUUCUUAUGUUUCACAGAAAAAUGAAACACUGUUCAUCAUACAAAAUUGCAUGACCGAAUCUUCAAUUUUUAUAAUUAUAAAAUAAUGGAUUAUGUGUAUGUUAAUGUUACGGAUAUGAUCAGAUCAUCAUAUAAGUUACUAGACGCAUUAACAAGAACAAGAUCUAAUGAGCUAAAAGUUUUUUUUUUAAAUUAAAUAAAUAAAGAGUAAAAGUAAAAAAAAAUGUUAUUUGCAAUCACUAAAAUGAAAACAGAGGAGCCCUGUUUUUCCUCUCGUUUCUCUUUCUCUCUUUUUCAAGUAGUAGAAAAUGAUAACAGAGUUUGAGAGCUCACUGCUUUCAUUAGUUGGAAAGUGUCGCCUAAAACACUUCCUCUGCUAGGUGGAAUUGUUGGCUUGAAGAGAAGAGUUCUUGUUACAAGCACAAAUUUUAGCUGUACAUUAUUUCCUUUUAAAUGCACCAUUGUUGCACAGAUUUGAACCCUAUGAUCAUUAGUUUUUUGUUUUGAUUUGGUUAGUUCGUGAUGACAAAUAAAUUAUUUUCAUCACAUUAUGGUAAAAAGUUGCCCUCUUUGUUACUUCCACAGCUAUUUAGUUUAAUAUUUUGUAAUAAGAUCACAAAGUGCAUGGGACCUAUUGUUCGGGUACUUAGCCUAAAAUGAAGAUCUAUUAAAAAUUUCCCUGAUGUCAUGAUAUAAAACAAUAAAAGGUACCAACUUCAGCUUAAAUUCAUAUAAAAUUAAACCUUACCACAUACUGUAUUGAAACAAAUUACUCAUCUUUAUUGGUAACAUCAUCACCUUCAUAAAAUAUAUGGUAUCGUACAAAGUUCUUGCGCUGGGUUCGGGCAUCUAACAACGAGGACACAGCAACCUAUUCGCUAGGUUAGAGACCAAAGAGCCAACAGCAAAUGUGCACGACGCAUGUCACUAUCAUGAAAACAACAUUCUUUUUCUUUUUUUUUUCUCCUCAAUAAUUUCAGAUAUAAUAUUUUAACUAAGUUUGUAACACUGUUGAUUGAAAUUAUCAAGUACGAAUGUGUGUAGAUUUUAACAUGUGCACUCAUAAUUAUUAUUGUGCAGUUUUAGACUUAGUUGGGUAUUGAGGUGCUAAAACUUUUGCCGUAAGAAAAAAAAGUUUUAAGUAUAAAAUAAAAUUUAAUAGUAUCUAAUAAAUUUAGUUUUUUAAUAAUAUGUUGAGUACAUAAAAGCCCCAGGUCGGCCAUGCUACUAUUUUCACCCCGGCAUGGAUCACCUUAGCCAAAUGGUAUGAGCAGAACGCAGGAUAAACACGAGCCAACCAGAGACGAGUACCGGCCAGGGUAAUGUACCGACCAGAAUCAUAUACCGAGCCGACACCAAUUCCCCAAAAAAGCGGGAACACGAUCCCACAGAAUCACGGUAGUUGCGCUUUUCCCAGAACCGUUGUGGGAGAUGCGAGAUCCCACGUUUGCCCACAAUGUAGCAGUUAAAAUCCCAUGAGAGGCUACCACUACCCGAGAAAGGGGGGGAUGAAGGGUGAGUGAAAACGUGGGACAGCGGCUAUAAAAGAAGAAGAAACCGAUUAAGAAGGGGAGAGAAAAAUUGAGAGAGGGAAAACGCUGCCAAAUUGCAAUCAUGCCAUUUUCUGACAAGACUCCGAAUAAUUUAGAAACCAUUUUUAGAUCUAAAUUGCACUGUUUUCCCGUAAACACCUUGAGCUAACUUAGGCAUUGGAGGGUUUUCGCCGGCAAAACCACCGGCGACUCUGAUCCGUUUUUGGUGAACGCAGGUCUAGUAAGAGAAAGGAGGGUGAUUCCAACCUCAGAGGUUCGAGCAACAGUCGAUAACGUAAACGUUGGUGAAAGAAUCUGGUCGGUCAAAAGGCGAGCAGAUUUAAGCAUCAACAUUUUGGCGCCGUCUGUGGGGAGCUGGAUAAAAAGCUACCACCGAAUUAGUAGUUACCGGAGAAACAACGAACGAUUAGACAUGGAUUUGCCAAGGAAGGACGCUUUGAGGGAGGAUAACGAAUCGGGGGAGACAAGCACCCUUCGGGAAAUUGCAAAUGAAGCCCGAGAGAGGGUGAUGCAAGAUCGAUUGGAAUAGAUGGAGAAGCAAAUGGAGACUCUCGCUACCAUACUGAAUGAGCUGAGAGAUGAGCGGAGAAGGGAUUGCGAAAUCCCCGUGGGGAGAGAUGAUGUGGGAGCAGAACCCAACCUCCGGAGGCGUAGAGUCGAGGAGAUCCCUCCGCCGGUGGACCAACCUUAUGGGGUGCAUCCCCACAGAAGCACUGGUUGAGUUCCUGGAGAACAAAUAGAUGAAGGGAGGAACUAACCUCGCCCCAGGCGAGCACUGGAAGCUGAUGGCCGAGGAGCCAGUGCUGAUGAAGGAGAGUUAAGACAGCGGUUGCAGAAUGUCGAGCAGGAGCGAGAUCAGAUAGCUGCACGUGAUCCUGACCGUGAUGUAGAAUUGGAGGGAGAGGUGCGCAGAUUAGCGCAAGUGAUAAAGGAGAUACAGGGUAAGAGGAAGCCCCCGAGCUGGAGGAUAAUGCUAGAUGAAGAAUCUCCACUAUCAACUGAGAUCGUGGGUACCAUAAUCCCAAGAGAUUUCCGCUUCCCCGACCUCAAAUACUCCGAGCGAAGUGACCCGCUGGUGCACAUUGAGCGUUUCAACGACAUGAUAGGUGUGCAGGGGCUGACACCAGCUCAGAGGUGCAGGGUGUUCCCGUUGACAUUAGAGGGACGAGCCCGAGAAUGGUACCGCAAGCUGCCCCGAGGAAGUAUAAAGGGGUAUGAGCAGAUGUGCCAGGAGUUGGCCGAGUAGUUCCGAGGGGCAGUGGCCCCAGAGGACGACAUGAUGGAACUGAUGAGGAUGAAACAGGAGGAGCAUGAAUCCCUUCGAGAUUUUGUAAAACGAUAUCACCGAGCCGUGCUAGAUCUGGGGGCUUUUAAUCACCCGCAGGCGUUGAGGGGAUUAAAAGAAGGUGUAAGAAUCGGCCGACUGUGGUAUAACUUAAGAAGCCCCCUUGUACAGAAUUACUCGUCGGGGUAUGAGCAGGCGAGGCGAGAUAUAGAAAUCGAAGAGGAGAAAUCAGCAAGAAUAAAAAGUGAACAGCUGGACGAGCUGAGGCGAAAGGAACGGAGAGCCCCAACAGGGAGCGGGUCGGGAAAACGAGCUGGAGAAUCUUCAGUGAUGGGCGGAAUAUCGGCUCGGUCCCGCCCUUACCCCAUAGCUCCGAGAUCGCAGCAGUUCCAGCACAACCGGGCUCAACCUCCGCGUCCCCCAUUUCCGGAUCGGCAACGAGAAUUCCGGCAGAUGGCUGCCCACCCCUAUCACAACACUCCCAGAGCAUUACAUGCAACCAAUUCCAGGGCUAGUCGACCAGAUCAGUUAGCAACUGGGCCAGCCUGAGGUGACAUUCAUGAUAGCCGAGCAGUUCAGCUGGUAGACCAGAGCUUGGCGUAUAGACAGUACACUCCAUUAAAGAUCUCCAUGGAGGAAUUGUAUGAGAGGAUCGAGGGACGAGGCUUGUUAUACCCUCCAGCCCCUAUAACAAAACCGGCUCACCGACGGGAUAAGAGCAAAUUCUGCAAAUUCCACGACACUCAUGGUCACACUAUCAGCCAAUGUCGUGACCUGAAAAUUCAGGUGGAAGAUUUGGUGAGAAACCGUUAUUUGGACGAAUAUGUAGAUGGAAUGUCCCCCGUCACUGAAUCACAGUACACGCGGGAUGAAGGAGCUGAGAUGGGCCUGGAACGUGAACAGCCGACUAUCCGUAUAAUAGCAGGGGGGCCAACAUUGGCUGGGGAUUCGAACAGGGCACGGGAGAACUAUGGGAGAUAUGCCCUGACUAGCAAAGAAGUGCUUUUCAAUUUUCCGGCAACCAAGAAGGCAAAAGUGCGGCAAGUUCCCAUUAUGUGGACAGAUGACGAUGAAGAGGGUAUCUUAUAUCCGCAUGAGGAUGCAUUGGUGAUCAAGGCAAUGGUGGCUGGUACAGAAUUGCGACGAAUACUAAUAGACACAGGCAGCUCGGUUGACAUCCUGUUUAAGUCGGCUCUAGAUGAUAUGGGGAUUGCAGACUUGAAAUUGGAGCGGACAAAUACAUCCUUAAAGGGAUUUGGAGGGGGAUGGUUAACUCCCAUGGGGAUCACCGAACUCCCAAUUACUAUGGGGACAAAGCCAUUUGAAAGAACAAUGAUGCUGGAUUUUGUCGUGGUAGAGAAAAGAAGCCCUUACCAGAUGAUACUGGAGAGACCGUUCAUGAGGAUAAGCCAAUGUGUUGUAUCCACGCAUUACUUGGCACUGAAAUACAGAGUAAAUGGGGUGGUUGGCGUAGUAAAAAGCGACCAGAGGAUGGCAAGGAGUUGUUAUGCUACAGCAGCCAAGGAGACACUGCAGGUUACUUCUCUAGAUAAUCGAGGAAAGUCUAAAAAGGGCCGCCAAGAGCCUGUUGAGAAGCUGGAGGAAGUUGCGGUAAGCAAAAGCAACCCGAGCAGAGUAGUGAAGAUCGGGUCAGGAUUGGUUGGGGCAGUAAAAGGCGAGCUGAUAAAUUACCUACAGUCUCAUGCGGAUAUAUUCGCCUGGUCUCAUGAAGAUAUGCCCGGAAUUGAUCGCGGGGUAGCUUGCCACAAGUUGGCAAUCAAGAAGGGGGUAAGGCCGGUGAGACAGAAGAGGAGAUGCUUCAACCAGGAAAGGUACGAGGCCAUAAACGCCGAGGUGGAGAAGCUGUUGAAAGCAGGAUUUAUAAGGGAAGCCAAGUACCCAGAAUGGAUUUCAAAUGUCGUCCUGGUAAAAAAGGCCAACGGGAAGUGGAGAAUGUGUGUGGACUUCACGGACCUCAAUAAGGCAUGCCCAAAGGACAACUUUCCCCUACCCAAAAUAGAUCAGCUGGUGGACUCAACAGCAGGUCACAGUCUGCUCAGUUUCAUUGAUGCCUUUUUCUGGAUACAACCAGAUACCCAUGGACGAGCAGGAUGAGGAGAGCACUGCCUUUAUAACUAACAUGGGUUUGUUUUGCUACAGGGUAAUGCCUUUCGGCCUAAAAAAUGCAGGAGCCACCUAUCAAAGGUUGGUAAACAAGAUCUUCAAACCGUUGAUUGGACACACUAUGGAGGUAUAUGUGGAUGAUAUGAUUACGAAGUCCAAAGAGCCGAGGGAUCAUGUGAAGCAUCUAGAAGAGACCUUUGAAUUGCUGAGGAAGUAUGAGAUGAAACUAAACCCGGAGAAAUGCGCAUUUGGGGUAAGCUCGGGCAAAUUUCUGGGAUUCCUGGUAAGCCACCAAGGGAUUAAGGCCAACCCCGAAAAAAUACGAGCGGUUACAGAUAUGAGAUCUCCGCGGACAGUUAAAGAGGUGCAGAGCCUUACAGAGAAGUUGGCAGCAUUGAACCGAUUCAUCUCGCGGGCCACAGAUAAAUGCCACCCUUUCUUCCAAAUCAUAAAGAAAGGGAGAAAGAUGGAAUGGACAUUAGAGUGCGAGGAAGCAUUUGGGCAACUGAAGGAAUAUCUGGCCCGUGCACCGUUACUGUCAACUCCGAGAGAGGGUGACCAGCUGUUUUUGUACUUGGCAAUCUCCAAGCAAGCUACCAGCUCAGUCUUAGUCAGGGAAGAAGAAGGGAAGCAACACCCGGUAUACUACACGAGCAAGGCCCUGGUGGACGCAGAAACCAGAUAUCCACUAAUGGAGAAGUGGGCGCUGGCUCUGAUAACGGCAGCACGCAAACUCCGACCAUAUUUCCAAGCCCACCAGAUCGUUGUGAUGACUGACCAGCCCCUUCGGCAAGUGCUUCAAAAACCAGAUGCGUCUGGUCGGUUAGUAAAAUGGUCAGUGGAGCUGAGCGAAUUUGACCUGACCUACAGGCCCCGAGGAGCAAUCAAGGCCCAAGCCCUGGUAGAAUUUAUGGUAGACCGAGCUGAGCCAGGGGAAGGAGAUCGGGAGUAGCAACCGUUAGAGCAGGAGAAAACAGAGGGGAUGUGGUUGGUAAUGGUUGACGGAUCAUGUAGUGAGCAAGGAUCCGGAGCAGGAGUUGUAAUACGGAGCCUAGAAGGAUCCGAAAUAACGUAUGCAGUAAAGUUUGAAUUUCAGCUCGCAAACAACCAAGCUGAAUAUGAAGCCUUUAUCACCGGGCUCGGACUCGCACAUGCCUUAAAAGCAAAAAGGGUAAAAAUUCGAGCAGAUUCCCAAUUGGUAUGUAAUCAGCUCAAUGAUCAGUUCCAAGCAAGGGGAGAGAAGAUGGGCCUUUAUUUGAAGAAGGCGAAGUAGAUGGUCGGGCUUUUCCAAGAGGUGGAGGUGAAGCAGAUAUCUCGGAAUGAGAAUUACCGAGCAGAUAUUUUGGCUAGGAUGGCUGCAGUUGCAGAUCCGAAAUUACCUAAGUCGGUUCCACUAGAGGUAAGGACCUCGCCAAGUAUAGGAGAGGAGGUAGAGGUGAUGAGAGUAUGCAUUGGAGAAUCAUGGAUGGACCCGAUUCGCGCAUAUAUCCGGGAUGGAAUCUUACCAGAGGACAAACAGCAAGCCAGGAGAUUAAAAUGCCGAGCAGCGAGGUACACUCUACUAGAUGGAGUGCUGUAUCGCCGAGGGUUCACCUUACCCCUUUUGAGAUGUGUGGAUGAUGAGGAGGCAGAUUAUGUACUGAGGGAGAUUCAUGAAGGAAUAUACGGCAAUCACUCGGGAGCAAGAACUUUAGCCUUCAAGGCACUCCGGCAAGGAUACUUUUGGCCAACUAUGCACCAGGAUGCGAAAAGGAUGGCAAAGAACUGUAAAACCUGCCAAAGCUUCUCUAAGGUUCCUGCACAACCCCCAGAGAAGCUGACCACUAUGACAUCCCCGUGGCCUUUCGCUCAAUGGGGAAUCGACUUGAUUGGUCCGUUACCUAAGGGCCGAGGAGCGGCGACACAUGCAAUUGUGGCAAUAGACUACUUCACCAAGUGGGUAGAAGCGGGAGUCCUCAGCCAAAUCACCGAGAGGAAGACAACAGAUUUUAUUUGGAGAAAUAUCAUUUGCAGAUACGGGAUCCCCUAUGCCAUCAUUACAGAUAAUGGGAGACAAUUUGACAACAGCAACUUCAGGGAAUUUUGCCGAAAUUUGGGGGUGGACCUGAAGUUCUGCACCCUCGCACACCCCCAGGCAAACGGACAAGUGGAAGCAGCCAACAAAGUAAUAAAAAAGCUUUUGAAAACUAGAUUGGGAGAGAAGAAGGGAGCCUGGGUUGACGAACUACCAGGAGUAUUAUGGGCCUACCGGACAACUCACAAAACCGCCACAGGGGAAACCCCGUUCGCUUUAGCCUUUGGUCAUGAGGCGGUAAUCCCAGCAGAAAUCGGAGUAGGAACACAUCGAACAGAAUAUUUCGCUGAGGAGAAAAACGACGAGCAGAUCUGCUUAAACCUGGACCUGCUGGAGGAGAAAAGGGAAGGGGCCUCGCAGAGAGUGGCCCAGUGUCAGCAACGGGUCAUGCGCUAUUACAACAAGAACGUACGCGUGAGGCAGUUCCGAGCAGGAGAUUGGGUACUUAGGAAGGUGAACCAAAACACCAGGAAUCCUAACCAUGGCGCUCUUGGCCCAAAGUGGGAAGGCCCGUAUAGGGUGGUACGAGCCACUGGACCAGGAGCUUAUAAGUUAGCGUACCUAGAUGGACGAGACGUGAGGAGGUCAUGGAACGCCGAGCACUUGAAGAAGUAUUUCCAGUAAGCAAAGUGCUCUACCAAAUCUUCAUUUUGACAAAUUGUUUGUGUUAACUGCAUGAUGGCUUGAUGCAUAUGUAUGUAUUCAGUAUUUUUGUAACACAUUCAUGUUUCAAAUAAAGAUGAAUUCAGCAUGAAAUCCCCCUACUAGCAAAGCCAAAUAAAAAUUCUACGAAGGCAAGCAAAUGCCUACUUCUGCUUGGUCAACGAAAGACCAGCAGCUAAUUUUACGAGAAAUUCACUAAGGAAAGUGAGUGCCUGUUUCUGCUCGGUCAACGAAAGACCAGCAGCUAAUUCCGCAAAAAUUCUAUUAAGGCAAAUAAGUGCCUAUUUCUGCUCGGACAACGAUAGACCAGCAGCUAAUCUACGAAAAUUCUACUAAGGCAAGUAAAUGUCUGAUUCUGCUCGAUCAAUGAAAGACCAGCAGCUAAUCUACGAAAAUUCUACUAAGGCAAGUAAAUGCCUGAUUCUGCUCGGUCAAUGAAAGACCAGCGGCUAAUCUACGAAAAUUCUACUAAGGCAAGAAAAUGCCUGCCUCUGCUCGGUCAACGAAAGACCAGCAGCUAAUCUACUAAGGCAAGUAAAUGCCUGCCUCUGCUCGGUCAAACGAAAGACCAGCAGCUAAUCUACUAAGGCAAGAAAGUGCCUGCCUCUGCUCGGUCAGCGAAAGACCAGCAGCUAAUCUACGAAGGCAAGUGAGUGCCUGCUUCUGCUCGGUCAACAAAAGACCAGCAACUAAUCCUACGAAAAUCCUACUAAGGCAUGAAAGUGUCUACUUCUGCUCGGUCAACGAAGGACCAGCAGCUAAAUUUAUGAGACUUUUACUAAGGCAAAUAUGUGUCUGCUCCUGCUCAGUCACCGAAGACCAGCAGGCGAUUUUGCGAAAAUUUUUACCAAGGCAAACGGAUGCCUAUUCCUGUUCGAUGCACUAAAGAACCAACAGGCGAAACCAGACAAAAAAGCCAAUAGAGAGCAUUUAAAAAAUUUUAUAAACGUUCAAAUGUUUACAAAGCAAAUGAAAAACUAGAGUCUUUACAAAAAUAGACCUAAGGAUUAGGAGGAUCAACGGCCUCAGCAGGUGAAGGGUCAGCUAUCUCGGGAGGUGGAAGGUCAGCAAUAUCGGGAGGAGGAGGCACGGACCCCUGCCCCACUUCAAAAACACGCUGCCCAGCUUCUCCCUCCUGCACCCCAUUCAAAGGAACCUCCACCUGCUCCUGCUCAUCCUGCUCCUUAUCUCCUUGGCCGGCCCCAGCCAUAUACCUCUCCACCCCAGAUUCCAGCUUGCUCAUGUCGAGCUCGGGGUAUUCUUCCUUGAGUACAGACAUGAUGCACUUAUAGCUGAAAGCAACCCCGGAGUUAUACUCAGCAUCCAACCGAUCAUCCACAUCAGCGGAUUUGCCUUUCUCUUCAGCCAGCUGGUCACUCAGGGAUUUGAUCUCUCCCUCAAGGGCGGUCCUCAGAGUAUCUCUUUCACUUUGAGUAGCCUGAAGAUCGGACUUCAGAUCACCCAGCUCACCCUCAAGCUUGGAGGAAGUAGACUCAGCAACCGCAACUUUCUCCUCAAGCUCCGUAAGCUGCUUGUUCAGCUCGGCCAGCUUCUCUUUGGACCGAUCAGCAGAUUCGGCUUUCUUUUUCAACUCCUGGUUAUCAGCUUGAAGCUUCCUCUCAUGACGCGCGGACCCGGUCUUGUAGCACGAGACCAUUGUGGCCAGCCUGAAAGAGACUCUUUGAACAGAAGCAGCUAACUCGGAGAGGUCCAUGCUCUCGAUGUCCUUCACCAUCUUGGGCCCAACCGAUUUUUUGUAAUCUUUCUGGUAUAGGCUCAGGUAGUCACCUUGAUCCCGAGAUGGAAGAGGAGCAGAUCGGUCCCCAGACUGCAAGCUGACCUCAGGACUCUUGUCGGAGGUUUUCUCCCCACCACUCUUACAGGGUGGGGGAGGGGGCAGAGCAGGGACAGGAGCCUUGGAGGGGCCGACACUAUUCUUCUUUGGAGGAGGAGGAAGGUUGCUGGAGCUGCUUGGAGCCCGACCACGCUUCCUGCUCAUUGCGCUGAGGAUCUUGUUAUCCAUUCCAGCGGCUAUGUCCACUAGGCCCGAACCGACCAGGUUUGUUGGUGACAGGAGGUCUUGGCAGGUAGACGCGUUCACCAGAGCAGUUUCCACCUGAAGCAAAGGCCGAUCUUCAAGCCCCUUUAUCAAACCCCACGACUCUGAAAGAACAAACAAGGUUAAAGAACCCAAUAAGUAACAAGUCGAGAAAGAGUAUAGGCAAAAAAUAAACGACCUGGGGUGACAAAAUGUGUUGGAAGGUAAAUAUCACCACCCAACGAAUGAGCUGCUGGACACUAAGCUCCUCCAGCAAAGAAGAAUUUGUUCUUCCAAUUUUUGCACGAGGAGGGGAAGCCGGUGAUUGGUUUCCUCUUCGCAGAGCUUGACAUGAAGUAAUACCAGCUUGCUUCCUUCGGGCUACUCCUCAGCUGGUAUAGAUGCUUCACUUCAACGAGGGAGGGCUCCUCUGAUCCACACCUCUUCCACAACACAUAUAUAGCCGAGAGAACCCUCCACCCAUUGGGAUAUAGCUGACCUAGGGCCAGAUGCAUACCACCCAAUAUCUUAGCGAAAUAACGUUAAAGGGGCAGCCGAGCUCCUAAUUUGAAGCUCUCCAGGUGCAUCGUCACAUACCCCCGCGGAGGCCGACUAGGGACGUCACCUUUUCCUGGAACUACCAGGAGAAUCUCCGCAGGAAUGUCGUAAAGGUUCCUCAGCUUGAACAGAUCAGUUUGGGUGGUGACACAAGCUGUGUAGUCAAUAGGGUAAAAAUCCGCCUCUACCCUAUGACCAAGGUGCCUUCUCUGAGGAGGUCCGCUCGGUCCAGAGCUGCUCCCCUCACCAUCACCAACUCCUUCAAGGAUCCCAACCCCAUCAAAGCUGUGCUUCUCACCAGAGCCCGACGCAGGUCCACCUCUAUUCCCUACAAGCUCUAGUUCGGGGGAGGGAGAGACAACCAAAGGGCGUGGGUACUCAAGGGUAUCCCUGCCAUGGGAAGGACCUACACUACUGGAGGGACCUAAGAAAUCGGUGGGUAUUGGCACGUUGAGGCCCGAAUCCCCUGAUUCUUCCUCGCCCUCAUCAACAAUUAACUUUCUUUUCCGGUUUGACAUAUCGGAAUCCCAAAAGAAAGCAAAGAAAACUCGAAUGUACGGAUACAAAAGGGGGCAACACGGAACCCAAUCAACAACAACAAGAGAAGAGAUUAAAAGCAGUACCUGAGAUUAACUGGCCCUGAUAGCGCUGCCGUGACAGAGAAAAAACCAGCAAGUAGAAACUCCGGACGCAGGAAGUGUGAGUAAAGUUCAGAGAGGGGGCUGGUUAACGGUGGAGAAACGGAUAAACAAAGCAAUGAGGAUUUCAACCUAGGGAUUUGAAGUGAAAAGGGGAAAGAUAGAAGCAUUUAAGUGAUGAGGAUGCCAGCUCACUCACCACAUAUCGAGGGUGGAUAGCCCGUCGUUUCAAAUUUCAAAUACGAAGAGUCUGGUGAUGCCACGUCACUAACCGUUACAAGAGGCCAGGAUAGAUGUAAGCCCAGAUAUGCAAUGGACAUGUUCACUUAGGCCCAUGCUCAGGUCGGAGUCUCCCCAGAAGAAAAAUGGUACAUCAGGUCAGGCCCAUCCCAAUAAACAGAGGACCAGAUGAGAAGCUCCCCGGGUUGGUGAGAUUUGACCAUCAGUUUCUACUCUUAACUCAUUUCACUCGCCAGACCAGAAACUGGGGGACUGGUGUUGAGUACAUAAAAGCCCCAGGUCGGCCAUGCUACUAUUUCCACCCCGGCAUGGAUCACCUCAGCCAAAUGGUAUAAGCAGAACGCGGGAUAAACACGAGCCAACCAGAGACGAGUACCGGCCAGGGUAAUGUACCGACCAGAAUCAUAUACCGAGCCGACACCAAUUCCCCAAAAAAGCGGGAACAUGAUCCCACAGAAUCACUGUAGUUGCGCUUUUCCCAGAACCGUUGUGGGAGAUGCGAGAUCCCACGUUUGCCCACAAUGUAGCAGUUAAAAUCCCAUGAGAGGCUACCACUACCCGAGAAAGGGGGGGAUGAAGGGUGAGUGAAAACGUGGGACAGCGGCUAUAAAAGAAGAAGAAACCGAUUAAGAAGGGGAGAGAAAAAUUGAGAGAGGGAAAACGCUGCCAAAUUGCAAUCAGGCCAUUUUCUGACAAGACUCCGAAUAAUUUAGAAACCAUUUUUAGAUCUAAAUUGCACUGUUUUCCCGUAAACACCUUGAGCUAACUUAGGCAUCGGAGGGUUUUCGCCGGAAAAACCACCGUCGACUCUGAUCCGUUUUUGGUGAACGCAGGUUUAGUAAGAGAAAGGAGGGUGAUUCCAACCUCAGAGGUUCGAGCAACAGUCGAUAACGUAAACGUUGGUGAAAGAAUCUGGUCGGUCAAAAGGCGAGCAGAUUUAAGCAUCAACAUAAUAAUUUUGAUAAAAUUAGAAAAGAUAUAAUAAUUUUUUUAUUAUAUAAGUGUAAAAUCAAAUCAUCUUAACUUCUAAACUACAACAACUAUAACAUUUGAACUAUUCAAUCUCAAUUCCUAAUAGACUCUUAAUUUAUAAUUAGAUUGUCACUAAAAGAUUUUAAGUAUGUAUUUUAGAAUUUAACGAAUACACUUUUAAACUACCUUUGCCGGAUGAAAUGUUGGGAAAUUUUUAUUAAGAUCCAAAAGUAUUUGAAAUAAAUUUAUGUUUUUAUGAUGCCAAAAAAAAUAAAAAAUUAUGAACAUUUUUGUGAAGCUUAGGCGAAAAUUUUUGUUAGGCUCUAUUGGGCUAGAUGAGCAGCUCGGGCAGUUAAUUGUCGCCCAAGAAGCCCAACCCAGAUUACAACAAGCUGGGAUUUAGUUAGCUCGUUGACGGCCAUUUGGGUAUGCAUGAAUUGGGUGGAUGAUUAAUAAAUACGUUUUAUUAAUUAUUUCGCCGAUUGGGAUAUUCUCCUAAUUUAAUCUUUUCUAAUAUUAUAAUAAAGAGAUUUUGACAUGUGUAAUACAUGUGUUAUUUUAAUAAUCCAAUAGAUAAUAUCUACUUUAUUUUUAUCUUUCGUUAUUAAAUACAAAAACACUAAUAAAAAAAAAAUGACUUAACUCUUUUUAUAUUUUUAAUUUUUAUUUAUUUCCUUUUAUUGCUUUCCUAGCAAUGUUCAUCUUUUUACUAUACAACAUCCAUAACCUUAACUUUGGAAAUAAAAGAGAAUAUGUGAAAGUAUAAGUAGGAGAAAGACUUCAUUGAAAUCAAACAAAUUGGGCAACGUUAGAUUUUUCUUUAAAAUUCUCAUGAGAUAUUAAUUAGUAGUAUUAUCACUGCUGCCUGCCUAUUUCUAACCUCAACCAAUAUAUGAUCAAUGCUUGAUUUGGUCAAUCUAAAUAAUUAUGAUCGAUGAUUGGAUAUUGUUGAAGGGCGGCCCUAAGGAUGAGAGAGGGGAAUGCGUGUGCAAGCCACAUGUGUGAAGAAAAAGAAAAAGGCAAGAGUGAAGAUGACGACGAUUAAAAUCUUGUUUGAUUUCUUUUUCUGAUAAUUUUGUUAAUCUGCUGUUGUUAGUUCCAAAAUUUUAGUUAGCAACAAAAUGACAUGUUUUUGUGUUUAAUAAGGAAAAAGUAAAUAAUAUAUUUUCUAUAGGAUUCUUAGAAUGGAUUAGAUUAGACUACGGAGAGAAAUAUAUUUGAGAAUAUUAGUGUUGAGUUAUUCUAAUGUCUUUAAUAGUAAAUUCAAUUAAGACUAUUUUAGUAAUAUAUUUUUUUUAUUGAAAUUAGAGUGUUCAAAGUUAUAAAUAAAAAAUUCAAUAAUUUUUUAUUGAAUUUAUAUAACUCUGGAUUCUUUUUUUUUUUUUCCAACACUGAUAUGGUUCUGUUCUGUGUAUUUAUAUACAAUUUAAUGUUUACAUACAAAUUAAAUAAGAUCAAUUUAAUGUUUAUAUACAAUCCUUCAAGUCGUAACUCAAUUUUAUGGAGGUUUAUACAUCUGCACGCAUUCCUUGAAUUUCUCCUAGAUUGGAACUUCUUAAUUGAUCCAAUGCAUUUUUCCAACAGUCAAGAUCCUUAGUUGUCAGAGCAUUUGCAAUCGUACUCAGUGCACCAGGCAAACCUCCGCAUCUUUCAACGAUCGAGGAGUAUUUUUGUUGAAUCACCGACUAUAUUCUCAAAUAACUGCAAUGCUUCUUUUUUUGAUAACGCAUCGAUCGAGGAAUUUUUCUGAGAUUUCAUAUCAUUGCACAAUAAUAAAUCUCGACUUCUAGACGUCAAUAUUAUUUUGCAUUGUCUCUGAUCGUCAACAUCCCCGGAAGUUAAUGAACGGAAUUCUUUUAUCCUUUCUAUCUUUCUCAUCAACAUCCCCGGAAGUAACCACAUCGAACAACUUAUCUUCCCUCACUUGCUUUGCAACAUCUUGGAAUACUUUCAUUCUGGAAUCAAAGGCUACGUAAUCUUUCACUUGCACGUACUCUGUACUCUCUGGAGCAGGACGGUAGGAAACAUGAUUACAGAUGUUAAAUUCGCCUUUUUUCACAAGUUUAUCAGCUUCGUUUGCGGCCUCUGCUGCUUGUUUACCAAGCUUGUAACGAGAAAUCAAAUUUGGGCACAACCCUUUGAAGCAGAACAUCUUAGCUCUAUCUUUAUCAUCAAUCAUGGAUUUUGCAACCCCUUCACUGAAUUCAGCAACUCUAUUUAGCCAGUCUCAGACACCCUUAUAAAUCUCAUCUCCUUGUAGAGUAGCCUCUCUAACCAGCGUUUUCACCCUUUCUCUUAUAUAUUCCAGCUCCUUCACUCAAUCUUUUAGCCCAUCUAUGUAGCUUUGGUAUUCGAACACAUAAGAUAUGUGCCGCAUAAUCGGUUCGAAUAAUGCUUUUGAACCUUGUGAUACAAUGCUGGAAAAAGCAGGGAGACACCCUUCAACAGCCAUUGCCUGUUGCUUAACAAUAUAUAUAUAUAAAUACAAGUGUCAAAGAAAGGAAUGCAAAUAAAUUAAAAUGAACUAGAGGGAAAGAUAGAGAAUGAAAAGAUCACAAACAAUAUGGCUAUAUUGAUCUUGAACCAACUAAUAACUAAAUAGAGAAUUUCUUUUUCUUUCUUAAGGAUAAGAGGUUUUACUAUUAACAAAAAGUUAUUUUGAGGGUCUGAAUAAAAAACCAACCAUAAAUUAUCAAAAGCUAGUAAAAACACAGACAUAAAUAAUGAACAAUUACUUAAGCAAAACAAACUAUGAAACAAAGAAAAUCUAAUAAAAUGACAAAGAAAGAAAGAAAGAAAAUACAACAAAAAGUAUUGAAGUAUUGAUCAUGAGCCAACUGAUAUUUAAACAGAUUUUUUUUUUAAUUUUUAGUCUUUUGCUAAAGGAUUAGAGUUUUUGCUAUUAACAGAAAUGUUUCAAAAAUCUAACACUACUAGAAAAGUAUUAAAUAAUGACAGAAAUUUGAUGACAUAUAUCGUUGUGUCACGAAUGUGUCAUAAAAAUAUGAUAGAUUCAUAAUAUAUAUUCAUAUGUCCAGAAUAUAUGACAUAUUCAUGACUUAUAAUUUAACCGUCCUAGAUAAAUGAUACAUAUAAGUCAUGCUUAGGUUUUGUGAACUUAUAAGAUUGUAAAACAGUGUUGUUUAAAUUAACGACACCGUUCUGUAUAACUUAAAACACAUCAACACUUACAGCCAAAUUUUGGCUAAGCGUUGAAUGAAUCCCUCUCUCUCCACUGGCCACUGCAACCUAAAAUGAAUGUUUAAAUUAACGACACCGUUGAAUUAAAGCCUAGCUCAAAUUCCUUUUUUCAAUCGAAAUAAAACGUAGCCACAAAACCCUAAUUCACCACACCAAAUUAUCUCUGCUCGGUAUUCAUUUAAACCCUACCUCGCGGUUCAAUGUCAUUCAAUACGAUUGCAGAUGCCGUUUCAACUUGUCAUUUAGUUAGCGCCAUCCAGUUCCCUAUGGUAAGCCUUAACCCUAACGCUAGUAAGAUUUGCUAAAAAUUUCAUAUUUUGUAUUGUUCCAGUUGAAUUUCAUGUUAAUUUAAUUCUUCUUUGCCUUCUUUUUUCUUCUUCUUUAUAGUCACGCUCUGGCUUUGGUGCUAUGCUUAGUGCAGUUUGUGGUUUCAAGAUUAAGUCAUGUUUAUUUGAUGGCAUCGAUUCCAUCGUUGAGGAUUGGAUUGUUGAUCAAAUGCACCUAGUAAGCUCUUCUUAUUUUAUCUCAGUUUCAAUUUUCUUUUAUUAUCUGCCUCUACCUAAAAAUGGACGUGUUUUACUAGUAAGCAUAGACUUUGUUUAUUUAAUUGAUAUUUUAAUUUUAUGUAUAAGAAUGGAGGUUUAUUUUGAAAAAAAAAAAAGGAAAUUAAAAAAUAGAUUCUGUUGAAGCUAAUUAGUACUGAAUUUUUUUGGUGGUGCGACCAGAGGUGGAAACAGGGUAUGAAAAUGUGUUACUGGUGAGGUUGCUGCUUAAGAUGAGAAUGCAUUCUUUUCAAAAAUCCUUGGUAGGUGUUAUCUAAUUAUCUUUGAUGGAAUAUCAAAUGGCUAAAAAUCUGUCAUACGUUCAAACUUUGUUUGUGUUUAGAAGAAUGGUGUUGACUGUAUAUUCGUUUGGAAGAAUGGUGUUGAUUGUAUAUUCAUUUGCUUAGCCUUUUGACAGAUGGAUUGUAUAAUUGUGUUUGCCUCACUGUUUUUUUUUUAUGAGAUCUAUAAUUGAUCUGGGGAUAUUACUUUCUAGUUCUCAUGCAAGCAAGUUACUACCUUCCCACUGCAUCUCGUCCUUUAUCUGCUAUUCAAGAGAUGCGUGCCAUAAUCUGGUGUUACCUCUGCAAGAUUGUGAAUGAAUAUAAUGCCUCUAAAUUUAUUUUAUACAUAAUGCUGAUGCUGAAUAAUAUAUUGUAGCUCCUGUCAUAUUCUACUUUGACUUUUUAUAUUCUGUUUCAUAUAAAAAUCUUAUUCAACUUUAGUUGUUCAUGAGCAAAUGUCGCAUGUAUAAGCCCAAAUGAUGUUUAAAGGUAGCGCGGCUACCUUUAGUUUGAGCUUACAAUGGAUGAAAAAGAAAUUGAAACUGUUUUUCUGAUUUUUCAAAGUAUUUUAGAUCCUGACUUUUGUUUGGACUUGAUGGUUAUAGAUUGUGUCUAGAUUUGUUAAGUUGUUUCCAACACCUCGUGCCAAAUGAAAGCACAAUCUUUCUGAUUCAGAUGUUUGGUUAAUUAUGCUUCAUUUUUUUGUUAAAGAUUGGAUGGUUGCAUGGAUUGAUGGAGUUGGAGUUCAACCAAUAAUUCUAAUUUUUUGGACUUAAAAUGCCUUUUUCUUCUGUAUAAAAACUUUAGUAAGUGCUAUUGAGUUGACAGAAGUUGAAUACUUACAGGUUGUUUCACACUUUUUAAUAGUUUUACAUAUAUGAAUUUCUGUUUUUUGAAUUGCAGAAAGGAGGUGGAACUAUUGAUUUGGAGCCUUAUCUUACUCACUCAUCGACAACGGAGCCUACCCUCGCUCCCAUGGCAGUGGAACGGACAACGACUACUAGGGCUGCAACAUCAGUUGGUUUGGGUCUGUUUUGAGUUUAUUUUCAUUUAUUUGGCUAUGUUUUGAUAGCGAAUUUUGAUAUGUCAAUAUAAUGUGUAAUUGUUUUGGGUUGAGCUGGUAUUUAUGCUGGAUUAGAUUGGUUUGGUUUUGGUGCUUCUCUGAUGGAACACUGCUUCUUUUAGAAAUUUUGAAUGUAAUAUGAGACUACAUUUAGUUUAAUUGAACACUGCAUCUAGUCUAAUUACUAGAAGUGUGGCAUUUGGUUUGGUUUAUCCGAUAUUCUCCAGAAUUUCACUUGCAUCUGGUUUUGUUGCAUAUGUUUGCUUGCAUUUGAUGGCAGUAGCAGACUGUUUGGUUUUGUGACAUUUGACGGCAGUUUGGUCUGUUCUUGGUGUUGAUUUAAGAUUGUUCCUGUUGUGCUGAUGUUAAUUGCAGGUGCUGGAAUCAGCUAGGGUUGCUGGUUUAUUCAGAUAGUUGACUCAGGCGUUGUUACUGGUUAAUUCAGGUGGCUGACUCAAGUUGUUCAUUUAAUGUUAGGAAGCAAAUUAAGAAUUAAUGAAGUAUUCAUUUAACUAUAAUUAUUGUAGUUAUUUUAUUUCAUAACUGAAUUAUAAUCUAUGGUACUUGUGAACAAAUUAGAGAAUUUUUAUAUAUGAAUUAUAUAUAUGUGUGUGUAUGUACAUUUUGCUAUUUAUGUAAUAAUUUAAAGAAUAUAUUUCAAUUCCCACAAAAAAAAUGGCUCCAAUUUCAAUAAUUCCCGCCAAAUAAUUAAUUUUUUUUUAAUUUACCACUAAAAUAUAUCUUAAAGAAAUUUUAGUUAUUCUUGCUAGAUUUAACAAAAAUAAUUUGUAGGAUUAACAUUUAAUUAAAAUAAUUAAAAAAUUUUAUUAUUCCAAUUAAAAAUGUCAUGUUUAUACGAUAGACAAUAUUCAUGAAUGGGAAGUAUUAGUUACAUAUUUUUCCUUGGGAUUUCAGGCAAAUGAAAAAAAGAUUGAGAAUGAUUUCAAGAGGACAGGUGGAUGAUAAGUAUUCAUUUUUGUAUAUUUGGCUAGUGGAUUUUUAUGGUAUUGAUCUUUUUUUAAAAAAAAAAAAAAAUUUCAAUUAGUUGCAGCCCUAGAGGAAGAGCAGGCUGAUCAAAUUGAUUUGUCUUGUUUUUCGGGCAAUCUACGACACGAUGACUGUGAUAAUGCUCGUGACUGCUGGAAACUUUCUGAUGGAAAUAACUUUAGAGUUCGUAGCAAGCAUUUUUGUUAUGACAAAACAAAGGUUCCCCCAUAUUUUGUUUGUUUGUUAUGGUAUUUAUAUAUCCUGCAUAGGCUAGGUAGACAGGUUAUGAUGUAGUUUGGUUGGCUCUUCUUGUGCUUGUGCAAUUUGUAACUGCAGAUACCUGCGGGAAAACAUUUAAUGGAUCUUGUUGCUGUUGAUUGGUUCAAAGACACAAAGAGAAUGGACCAUGUAGCUAGGCGUCAAGGCUGUGCUGCACAAGUAACUAUUCUUUUCUUUUUAUUUUUCCUUUUCCAUUGAUGCAUUAGGAGAAAAUACUGCCUGUGAGAUACUACAAUGUAAAUAACUUCUCAUGGUUCAUUGAAUCUAUAACACACUGACCCUCUUCUAAAAAAUGUAGGUUGCUUCUGAAAAAGGGCUUUUCUCACUGAUCUUUAAUCUUCAAGUAAGUUUGUUUCAUUUCAGAAGGUAUUAAGUUUCAAACUUAUUGUAUUGGGAGGUUGUAUAGUUGUAACCUAAGCAUCUGCAGGUUCCUGGAUCAACACAUUAUAGUAUGGUAUUUUAAUUAGUCGCAAGGCAAUUGGUUGUGGGAUCACUUUUGCAACGGUUUGUUGAUGGCGAUGAUGAGUUUCGCAAUAGUAGGUUGAAAUUUAUUCCAUCUGUUCCUAAGGUAUCCAUCUUGGCCUUCAUGUAUUAGGACUAUAUUAACGUAUACUAACCCUUUACUGCAUGGUACACUUCAAUUUGUCCAAAGAAGGCAUGCAUUUAGGUGUAAAUGUAUUGAUGGGUUGUACCUUCAAACUUCGUGUCCAUUUUUACCCUCUUGAAUUUGUUUUGCACUUGUUCUUGAUUUUAAGCACUGAAUCAUGCAGGGGUCAUGGAUGGUGCGCCAAGAGUGUUGGAAGCACCCCUUGUUCAUUAGUGAAAGUGGUUGAUUGUAACUACAGAUGAAUUGUUCCCCUUUCAAAUAGCGUCCGAUACCAUUAACAUGGUUUAACAUUGUUCAUCUUUCUGUAGAUUAAUGUUGACAUCGGUUCUUCUACUGUUGCUAAUGGAGUUUUGGGCCUUGUAAUUGGUGUAAUUGCGACAUUGGUGGUUGACAUGGCUUUCCUUGUACAGGUAUGUAUGAUUGUUUUUUUCCCCCACUUCUAAAUGGACACAAGGGAAAAGACAUGAUUUUGAGAUAUUGCACUGCAAUUUGCAUUUUUGCAUACUUGAAUGUUCUCAGAAUGGUAUAAUGCUUCGUGUGUGUCUUCUUUAUCUUGCUCUUCUGUAUGCAGGCAAAUACUACAGAUGAAUUACCGGAGCGGCUGAUUGGUGCUGUACGUGUUUCUCAUAUAGAACUCAAGUCUGCUGUUGUCCCAAAGUUGGAACCAGAGAUAUCAUGACUCUGGUUUCAUUUCACCUCAACUGUGUUUUUUUUUUAAUUAAAAAAAUCAUUUGUUUUAGGUAUACAUACAUGUAUUUUGAUUCUAUUUUCAUUGUAAUUUCUCAUUUACUUUGAAUGAAAGUCAUUGGUGUUUUCGAAUGGGAAUUUUGCAUUAAAAAAUGAAGAAUAGUGAUUUUUGGAGUGUAAUUAGUAGUAAAGUUGGUUUCUACUCGCAAACAAGUGAACUGCUCGAUUCCCGAGUGGUAUCAACCAGUUUCCAACUUUUUAAUAUACACUAAUUGUUAUUGUUUAAUAGCUACUACUAUUAAAACUCGACAGCUAACAAAAAUACUUAAAAAAAACGAUUUUUCUUAUGAUGCUGUGAAAAAAAUUACGGGUUUACUUCUUUCCACGAGAUCUAUAACAUGGUCUUGACUUCACGAAAUUCUUUUAAUUUAAAGCGUGCUGGUGUGAGAAGGUCAGUUUGACUGAUUAAUUCUUUUUAACAGUGGUCGAGAUAAUUUUACUAUACUCAAAAAUAUUCUUAUUCUGAUAAUGCCACAAAUGUUAUGUUGUUUUCUUAGGCUAAGGAUCUUCUAUCAGGAGAGGUUAGAAAUUAAAUGCUUAAAAGAGAAUAAUACAGAAAUUUAGACAGAAUCUAAUCGAAUAUUGCAUGAAACAUGAAACAUCAAUUCAAGUCCUUUCUUUAAACAGAGAAUGCAUCAAACAAAAUCCAAAGUGUCUUGCACGUCUGUAGCAUGAGCAAAAAAUUGUAAAUAUGUAGAACCAAAUUAUUCAAGUAUAGAAGAACGAGCAAGCUAAAUCAUGUAUAAGAGAUUGGCCUGGUUCGAGAUAGCUUCUUCACUGUACCUGAAGGGUUGGCUCAAUAUCUUCUUUAGAAUUCUGCACAUUUUGUAAUUACUCGUGUAAGCAAGCAUACAUUGCCACCAUAAGAAUAAUAAAGCUAGAGUAAUGAUAGGACCACCACCUCUUGUGCACAAACAAUAUUGUAUAAACUAAUGCGAGAUAAUAUGAUUGGUUAAAUAAAAACAUUAUAUGGUCCUCAUAAUUUAUUUAUUUAUUUAUUAUUAUUAUUAUUAUUAUUAUUAUUAUUAUUAUUAUUAUUAUUAUUAUUAUUAUUAUAUAUUUUCAGUCAACCAAUCAUAUUAUAUCACAUUAGUUUCUAUAAAAUAAUUUACUAAAUAGCACCAAAACUUAAUUGAUACUCACCAUUUCAUUGAACAAUUUUUUUAUGGUGUCAUUGAGGUUGCCUUCCCAACAUGCUUCAUCAUCAUCAUCUUCUUCAUCCUGAUCAUCCUUUUCUUCUUCGGUGACGUUCACUUUGUUUAGCAUUGGUGUGUCUAAGACUCCUUGAGAGAAGAUCUUCAUUUUUGGACACUGUCUCACAACUACUUGUUUCAAGGACGGGAAUUCAAGAGCGUAAUUACCCAAACUAAAGCUUGUUAGGCUUGGCAAACAAUCAAGUGUCAAGUACUCCAAUUCCCUGAAAACAAUGCAGUCUUUCGCUUCUUCUCCAACCUGCGAUUGUAUGAUUUCUUCUAUCAUUUUGCAAUCAGCUAUCUUCAUUCUUUGAAGAUUCACUAGACUUUCAGAUGUCGAGAAUGUCAACACAUUUAUCAACCCGUGACAUUUUGAUACUUUCAAAGCCUCAAGAUUUUCCAAAUGCCACGAAGGUGGUACUAAUUUUUGCAACUUACUACAUUCCGAUAUUUUUAGACUUUCCAAAUUUGCAAAUACUUUGUUGGAUUCGGCAUUUUCCUUCCAGAGAUGCUGCACUUUGUGUAAUCUAGACAGCCUUAACUUCCUCAAUUUAGGGAAUGCAACCUGAAAAUCAACAAAAUUAAGUUGUAAAUGAAAAUAUGUAUCCAAUCUCUGGAGUCUUCCCCUGCAUAUUUUAUGGACAAGAUUAAUCACGGCAUUUUAUAUUUUAUCUCCAAAUUAGUAUGCUUUGUAGUAGGAUCCCAAAUAUAAGUAUCAAAUCGAUUACCCUUUGAAACACAUAAAUGAAAUCUGAUGCUAAAUCCAAUAUGAAUUAGCUAGGAAAACAGAGAUGUUACACACAUAAUUAAUAUAGUUCAUCACCUCGUGUUACUAGGCAUCCAAUUAAUUUCAGACAUUUUUAUAAUUCAUACUAUAAAGAUAGUUAAUAACUGCGGUUAUAUUGUUAAAUCAGAUAUAAAUUAAGAUGACAUGCAAAAAGAUGAGUCAUUAAAUUUGACUUGAUUCUAAUGAAAUUACAUCUAUGCGAACGAAAGUGAAGGGAAAAAUAAUAAUAAUAAUAAUAAUAAUAAUAAUCACCUUUUCAUCAAAGAGGGGUUGUACUUGAUGAGCCAGCAAGAAGUUCUCUUCUGAUGUUAAUUUUUCAGGUUUCUUGUUAUCUGUUGUCACGUGCACUACAGAGUUGGAUAUGAAUGUUUCCAUAUCAGGGCAAUUCUCAAUAGUUAGAUUCUCCAACUUAGGCGGUUCAAUUAUAUUCCCAGUGAAGUUGCAGAAUCUUUUGAGUUUUGGAAGAUCAAUGAGCCUUAGCUCGGAAAGCUUAGGAAACGGGGGGCCUAUAUGUUCUUUGUCAGCAUUUAGCUCUUCGAAAUGAAACACCUCUUCUAUUGAAUCACAAUUCCUCACUUCCAGCCAUUCCAAAUUGUUCAAGCACCGUAGCAGAUUGGCAGGAAUAGCACUCGACAUAUUCGUGCAGUCAUCCACCACCAGCUGUGCUAAAUUGUUGAAGAAGCUGACAGGCAGUGCUUGGCCAUGCCAUAUUUCUUGCAAGCGUGGAAAAUGCGAGAGUUGCAAACGGUUUAUAUCAAGGAAUCCAAUCUGCACAAACCAAAACAAUUUUGUUUUUGAAAGGCAUUAUAUAUACACACAUUAAACUUACAUGUUUUGUGUUUUAACUUCUAAAAAUAUAUAUACAAGGGAGGUGUAUAUGCUUAAAUGUGCAAGUGCAGGGGAGAUGCAUGAACAAUUUGGUUGAAUCGAUUAACACAUACCAUUUCGUCAUAGCACUUUUGUAUAGUGGAACUAAGGUUAUUGCCUUCCCAAUGGUGCAGUUCACCCUCUUCCUUUUCAGUCACUUGUACUUUGCAUGGCUUUGGAAUGGAUAAGAUUCCGUGAGAAAAAUUCUUCAUGUUCGGACAAUGUGUCAUAGAAACUCGUUCCAGUGAUGGGAAUUCAAGAGUGUAAUUCUCCAAACAAAAGCUGGUAAGCCUUGGUAAAUCAUCAAGUAUCAAAACUUUUAAUUUGCUGAAAGCAAUACGAUUCUCCUUCACUUCUUGUCCAACAUGUCCUACGAUUUCUUCUAAUUUUGGGCAACCCGAUACUUUAAGAUUCACCAGGCUACUAGGAAUUCCAACCUAAAAAUAAGCAAAAGUGUGUGUACGUUAAAAAAGUAAAAAUGUAAGAAUAUCAUUCAACUAGGUUCAAAGUAUGUUUAAUCAUACAAUUAUACAUUUUAUGAACAUAACAAAUUAUGAAAUGUCUACUAGAUAUUUUUUGUUAAACAAAAAUAGAACAAGAUAAAUAAAUAAAUAAAAGCCAGAUAAAAAAAGAUAAUAAAAAUGCAUUUACACUAUUUAGUAUUAGAAACGUAGAAAGAAUUUAAGGCAAUUUCUAAAUAUUUUAGACUUCUUUUGCAUCUUGAUAUCAGUUUUUAAGCAUAAAUUUGCAAAUUUCAACUAUUCCUUUUUUUUUAAAAAAAAAAACUCAACCAUUUUUCCCUUUUCCUUGGUUCCUUUUUUUAAUGUAUAUUUAAAAAUGGAAAAAAAAUUGGAAAAGAUUUCCCAAUACUGUCAACAAGGGACUACUGUAAAGUGGAUCUUUAUUAAGUACUUCCAAACUCGAGGAAAUUUCUUUACAAUCAAGGGUCAGUUGUAAAUAAUCAUGAAUUUGUGGUUAAUUAAUGGCAUAAUCAAUUCGUAACUAAACUAGAGAUAUUAAUUAAAUUUGAAGACUUUUAUUUUUUUUUCCAAUCGAAACGUGAAGAAUUAAGGAAAAGAGAAAUAUAUAGAUGAAUUUGUGAACCUAUAAGAUGAGAGACGAUCCUUUAAUUUUUGAAAAUCGUACUUUUAAGAUAUGAGCAAAAACAAUUAAAUUGAAAACCGGACUUAAAACGUAGAUUUCAGAGUAGUGGUUAAUUUGAAGUACAAUACAAAAAUGGUUAAAAAAUGGUUGAAUUUUAUCUGGGAAAAAAGAUUCGAAAUGAAUACAGCAACCUUACCAAUGGAGGAAAAAUAUUUCUUAGGUUAUCACACCACCAUAUGUCCAAAUUCUUCAAUUUGCUGAAAGACUCCGAAGCAAGCUGGUGGUGCCAUAUUCUUCUCAAAUUAUCCAUCAUCUCCAUAAGUAAUACCUCCACCCUAGGAAGUCGUACCUGGCAGUUAAAGAUUAAAUAACUAAUUAAUCAAUUAAUGGCAUAAUCAAUUGAUAACUAAAUUAGAGGUGGAUAUUAACUAAAUUUGAAGACUCAAGGAAAAGAAAAAUUAAGUAUUGUGACUAAAAUUAAUUUUUUUAUUAAAAAAAAAAACCUUUUCGUCAAAAAGAGGAGGAGGUUGCAUUUCAGAAUGAAUGGUGUCUUCUGGUGAGCUCGUAGAGAUGAAUCUUAACAUAUUACUGCAACCACUAAUCCGGAGUUCUAGCAAAGAAGGGAAUUCAACAACUAAAUCUGAAUGAAUAUGUCCCGUAUUGGCGAAGCUUGUUAGUUCUGGAAGACAAUGGAGCUCGAGGGAGUGUAGUUUAGGGAAAUGAAUAUGUCCUUCAUCUCUUUCUGACCACCCCGUGGUGUCGACUACCCCUUCCAUUGACUUACAAGCUCUUAUCUCAAGAUGUUGGAGUAGCAAAAGACUAUUAACCAUAGAAUACGAAAACAGAUACUUCAUACGAUCACAACUGCUCACGAUCACCUUUGUUAAAUUUUGACAACAGUACAUUCCUUGAUUAUGAUCGGCCCAUAAUUUUUUCAUGUUUCUUAAUAGCGUGAGAUUCAAUUCCUCUAAGCUCGGAAGAAUAACCUGCAAAGAAAACCCGUACAUUUUUGUUCCUUCAAGUACAACCGUCUAGUAUAAUAUUCUUUUGAUGAUCGAAGAUUAAUCGUGAUAAUAAAUUAAUCAAUUAAUUAUUGUACAGAAAAUUAUCACCUUUGGAGCGGUAUCAUCAUCAGCAAUGAUUUCGUUGAAUCCCAAAGAAGUUGUUGGUUUCUCCCUGUCGGGUCCUAUAAACAAACAAAAACAAUAUACAUAAUUAAUCUUUGUCGUAUUUUUUUUUCAAAAUAAUUGAGGUGAAGUCCAUAAUCCCACCAGUACUUAAUUUCAACACUUACCAACAAUCAUUUCCAGAUCACCGCCAAAUAACACUUCUACCUUUUGAAGCCGCAGUAGGUUUUUGGCCAUGGAGAAUGAGAAAAGAUGCUUCAAUUUGUCACAGCCGCGUACUAUUAUAAUCCUUAAGUUGCUGAAAGAUUGAUCUUCUGUGAGUUGGCUGUCACAUAUUGUCUCCAACUUGCUCAAACACCAAAGAGACAAUGACUCCAGCAAGGGGAAGACUUUGCGACGAACCCGUCCAACUGAACCGACAAUGUGUAAAAUCUCAGAACAACUUUCUACGUGAAGAUGCUUCAAUCGUGGAAAACCUUCCCCAUCAUCUAAUUCAUGAACAACAUUCUGAACACCCUUCAGUUCUUUUAGAUAGAGAUAUUCAGUUCUCUCCAACAACAGUUUCAUCCUGUAAUUCUGCAAAAGAAUGCCAAACUUUUCUAGCCCCUGGAGCUUCAUCAAUCUUGAUAAUCCAGAUUUAACGGACCGGCUGCUCCACCACUCAUUUCCUAUACAUAUCCUAUAGCUUUGCAAUUCCACAGAGACCAAAUCCUGCGGUAGAAUUUCGGCAUCCCGAACGUGUAUCUCCAAAGUAGUUAGCUUUGACAACCCAUUCAAUUCAGCAAGACUGGCGUUACUUCCUCCUUCAACCUUCUCCCAUUGUGAAAAGCUGUUACCAAUGUAUAGUUCUUCUAAUCGAGAUAAUUUUGAUAUGACAUUUGGAGCUAUCACCACAAGGCUGCUACAAUUUCUCAAAUCUAGCAACUGUAAUCUCGUCAAUUGUCCAAUUACAAGUGGCAACUCCUUAACAUCAGAAUCUCGAAAGCUGAGAAUCUCUAAUUUCUUUAGCUGUCCAACUAUUGCUAUAUCGUUCAGUCGGCAACCAUCUAAACAUAAUGUUUGAACGUUAAUGAGGCAACCAAGUGAUGAAGGUAAUGAAGAGAAAAAUAUUCCAGUAAAGUCUAAAACUUUGAGUUCUUCUGCCCCUUCAAAAAAGAGGUGUGAAAUUUGCAAAGAGCUAUCAUGCUUUGCAAACAAAAAAAAUAACUUGAGUUGGGGACAUUCCAACCUCUCAGGGAGCUCUUGAAUAUCUCUAUAAGGUAAGGAAAUAGCGAUUGGACCUUUCCGUAUUGUCUCUUCCAUCUCUCUCUCAAAGUCAGCAACAUUUGGAAUAUUAAACAUAAGCUUCUCUGCGGCAAUUGAUACAGCAACAACAUGAAUGACGUCAUGCAUUUUAGCUUCAUCUUCAGCAUCACCGUCCAACAAUAAGCAUGAAGCUUUUAGACUGUCGAUCAAUGCAUCCACUCUAUUCCUUGCUGCUUCCAAUGUGUAAACAUUUCUAAAUAGACCCAAACCCAUACCAUAUCUCAAUAAGUAAUGUACGUAUAUAGGAUGACCUUCACCAAACAGAGUACAAAGAAGGAACAAAGAUUUUGCUUCAUCACUUUCCAAGAAAUCGUAACUCAAUUUUAUGGAAGAAUACACAUCUGCAUCCAUACCACGAAUUUCUCUUAGAUUGGAACUUCUUAGCUGAUUCAAUGCAUCCUUCCAACUGGCAAGACUCUUAUUUUUCAGAGCACUUGCAACUGUUCUCAGUGCAACAGGCAAUCCCCCGCAUUUUUCAACGAUCUCAUCUGCAGUGGGUUGAAAAUCAUAUGUUUUUUUUGAAUCACCCACUAUCUUCUCAAAUAACUGCAAUGCUUCAUCUUUGGAUAAAGCAUCGAUCCAGAAAUUUUUCUGAGAAUUCAUAUCAUUGCACAAUAAAUCUCGACUUCGAGACGUCAAUAUUAUUGUGCGUCUACUCCGAUCGUCCUCUCUAUCUUUCUCAUCAACAUCCCCAUAAGGAAUUCCAACUUUAUCGAACUCAAGUUUUGUCCAAAUAUUAUCCAGUAUAAUGAGGAGCCGCUUCUCUUGCUUCAACCUUUGACACAGUCGAGAAGCUCUUUGAAAUUCAUUCUCAUUCAAGUCAAAUUCCAUGCCUAAAUCAAAAGCAAGUUUGUCUUGAAUUUUAUGAUGAUCUGGUGUCUGUGUUACCUCAGCCAUAACGACCUUAUCGAACAACUUAUCUUCCAUCACUUGCUUUCUAACUUGCUUAACUAGCGUGGUUUUACCCACGCCGCCCAUCCCAUAGACCCCAAUUAUUUUGAAACUAUCAUCCUUCAACGCAUCCACAACAUCUUGAAAUACUUUCGUUCUUGAAUCGAAGGCCUCGUAAUCUUUCACUGGCAUAUAUUCUGUACUCUUUGGAGCAGGACGGUAGGAAACACUAGAGAAGGUGCCUUUUCCCUCGAGACUAGCGGCAGCUUCUGCGGCCUUUGCUGCUUGUUUACUAAGCUGGUAACGAGAAAUCAAGUUGGGGCACAACCCUUUGAAGCAGGACUUCUUAGCUCUAUCUUCAUCAUCAAUGAUGGAUUUUGCAACCCCUUCACUGAUGAAUUCAUCAACUUUAUUUAGCCAGUCUGUGACACCCUCAUAAAUCUCAUCCCCUUGUAGUCUAGCAUGAUUAACAGGUUGUUGCACCGUUUCUCUUCUAUAUCCCAGCUGCUUCACUUGAUCUUUCAGGCCAUCUAUGUAGCUCUGGUGCUUGAACACAUAAGAUAUCUGCCGUAUAAUCAGUUUGAACAGUGACUUUGAACCUUCUGAUACAAUGCUGGAAAAAGCAGCCAGACCCACUUCUGCCAUUGCCUGCUGCUUAACAAAUCUAAUAAUAUGUCAAAGAAAGGGGAAAGGAAUACAAAUAAAUUAAAAUAAACUAGAGAGAGAAAAAAAGACGGCAAACAGUAUCGCAAAAUUGAUCUUGAAUCAACUGAAACAUGAACAGAGCCUUUUUUCUUCUUUCUUAAGGAUCAGAGUUUUUGCUAUUAACAGAAACGUGCUUCAAGUGUCCCAAAAAAAAAUGAUAAAUGAACAAGCCAUAGAAAUUUUAUCUUGGAAAGUGGAUGGAAAUUAAGAAAGAAAUUGUAUAGAGAUCAAGCAUCAGAGAUUAUGUUAUUAAAAGAAAUUAAUUGAAGGUUGUGGAAAUCCUGUUUAAUUAUGGAAAGUUGAUGAGCUUCUGUAAUCGCCUUGAGUAUUUAAGUGCAAUUUUAAUGAGCAAAAAGUUAAUGUUACCUGCAGAGGAAUGUAAUUAUAGAGAGCUUAUGAGAGUAAUGAUAAUGAUUUGCAAAAGAAGAAGACUCAAUCAUGCAGCCCUUAAUUUCUUUUAUUUUCAGUCGCCGAAGAGGAAAUCUCUUUUUUAUUUUUUUUCCAAGGGGAAUCUCCUUUCGUAAUAUGUCAUGAUUAAAGCAAUCUAUAAAUAAUACAAUAAUCAUAUAAUGUAAUAAUUAAAGGACCCACAUAUUUAUAAUAUUAAUGAUGGGAUCCAUACGUUCAUACUGAUUAAAUUGGUGGACCAGACUUUAUUUGACCUUACUUGUUUUAUAUUCAAUUAAAAAUUGAAACGACAGAGAAAAAUUGUCGUAAUGAUGGUUUCGAUUGUGGAGUUCCGCUGUGGAUAGCACUUGCAAUACUGAAAAAGAAGCUUUCGUCAACUUUCUCACAUGGACGCGCACCAUCACGCAUAAUUGCAUAUUGCAUUAUUUCUCUAGAAAAGCAAAAGCAAGAUUUAUUCUUUUAAUAAGCAAACGCGUCGGUGGGAAUCCAUUCAUUAAACAAGUGGAACAGCAAUAUAUUAAACCAAUGAUAAGCUUUCUUAAGUGGGAAACCAAUUAUGACAGAAAAUUCAAAAUCUGAAUCCGCCUGAUGGACGGGUUUGACCGCAGAGCUCAAGAUAAUCUGAACCACUCUCCUUUCGUAACUGAUAGAUAAUUUCAAAACAGGGGAAUGAAAACAGAGGAGCCCUGUUUUUCCUUCCUUUUUUUUUUUUUUAACCCAACUCUUCUUCCUUUAUAUAUUUUCCUUGGAAUUUUAGGUAAACAAAAAAACUUUGAGAAUAAUUUCAAGAGAAUAGGUGGGUAAUAACUAAAAUAUUUAUUUUUAUAUAUUUGAUAAGCACACUCACUAUUAAUAAAACCCAUUAAAUACUACAACUUAAAUAACUUCUUGUAGUUGAUUGAUGGUAUGUUUGGAAUUUCUUUUACUUCCCAAGAAUUAAUUUUUACCUUGAUUAUCAGAAAAUUAAUUUUAUGAAUAAUUUAGUCGGGUGUUUGGUAAAUGAUGAUUAUUUGACAAUCAGUUUGUAAAUAAUCUACUAGAUAAAUCUGGUAAGUGAAAAUUAAAAGUAUAAUGUUCAUGUGCAAAUUACAAAAAUAUACUCAUUUACUUAUCUGUAAUUUACUUAGAAUAUUAUUAUUUAAAUAAUUUUUCUUAUUCAUUGGAUUUUUAAGAGCAUAUUCUAUUUUGUUGAUUACAUAUUUAAAUAAUUUUUUAUUAACUAUUUUAAUUUACAAUAAAAAUUAACUAUAAUAUAUUUAACUAAAAAAUUUGUUAUGUAGUCCGUAAUAUACACAAAUACUUGAAUUGAUUAAUAAACUUAACUGCAAAAAAGAAAAUGCAAAAAUUUAAUCUUUAUAUAAACUUUUAUGUACACAAAACUAUUGUAAUAAAGUAAUUCAGAGAAAUAUAAUAUUAUAUACAUGUGUAAAGAAAUAUAUAACUAUAAUAUUAUCCACUUGCAGCACUAUUAUUUUUCAAUCUCUCCAUCUCUUGAUCUUCAAGAACAUUAGUACCAUGAUCUGCUUCUUGAGUUCGACCUCCAUUUUCACAGCAUCAACAAGACAAUCAAUUUGCCGUGAAAGCCUUACAGCUCCACCCACUUUCGUCCUUUUUGUAGCCACUCUUUUUCCCUUUCUUUAUUUAGUAGCUUCUAUGGAAACAAACUCAUCGAACUACCAGUACAUUUUUCAAUUAGAUAGGACUGAUAGUAGAUAUUCAGUACUCUCAGAUGGUGUGGAAACAUGAUCAUCAGUGAUUGUUGUCUUAAAAAGCAUUCUAUUUAAUUGUUCCUCUGACUCUGGCAUGCAAAAUUUCUUUAUUCACGAAUUUCCUACGUAUGUUGAUAUCAUAUUAAAAUGAAUUCAAGAUCACAUAUUAUUUUGCGUGACAUUAAAAUUUAGCCGAAUGGAAAAAAAACUUCCCUUUUUGUUUGUCCCACAACUAUAUAGUCUCAUUUUUGGUAAUAAGCUCACAACAUGCACGGGAAUGAAGAUCUAUUAAAAACUUCCCUACGCAUGUUGUGAGCUUAUUACCAAACAUGAGACUAUAUAUUUUAGCCGAAUGGUAAAAAACUUCGGAUGGAGGAUGUGCCAUCUUUUUAUUUUAGAUGCUCUCGGAUGGAGGAUGUGCCAUUUUUUAUUUUACAUGCUUUGUAAGACUUUUGAUGAUUGACUGCAGUCAAUUAACAAAAGCUUACAUAUUAUUUAGGUGCUGAGAUGUCUGUUCUUGAUAAAGUAGAUUUAUUCACACCCAAGCCAACGUAACCAAAGCCUAUUAUACACAAUAAUUAUUUUUGUUAAACUGAUUUCUGACUAAUGAGAUCUUUGAAAGCAUUCAAAGAAGCCACAGAAUUCAUAGGAAAGCCCUGAUAAAAUAUAUGGCGAAGCAUGUGAGCUCGUUUUUUAAUCUCUUGAUCACUCAUAAGCUUUUCUAUACCACUCACUAUAUCAUUCUUUUGAAUCGAUUUUGAUUGAUCAUCAGAAAUCAUGUACCCUCACCUUUAGAUGAUUGAUCACCAAUUUGGCAUUGUAAUGUUAAUCAUCUCUAAUUGGCCAUGUUAAAAUUGGGACCCCACAACCAAUUGCUUCUACCAUUGAAUUCCAUCCACAAUGAGAUAUAAAUUCACCCAUUGAUUGAUGAUUCAGUAUCAAUAAUUGUGGCGCCCAUCCAUCUAUUAUCAAUCCCUUUUUACUGGCUUUACUAUCCAAACCACUAUGAAAAUAAUUGCCUUCUGCUGGCCUGUCUAAGCCGGUUAAAUGACACGGAGGAUCCAAUCUACCAGCACCAGUUUGAAUUACCCAAAUAAAUGGUUCAUUUGAUACUUCUAAAGCAUUGGCUAGUACUAAAUACUCAUCUAACUUGGGACCCACUUCGGUACCAAAUGACACAUAUAACACAGGUCUGCGUGAUUUCAAAUUCAACCAUUAAACGAUCUCAUCUUCGUUCAUGUUAGAACUCCAUCGGUUGGUUCUCAUCUCACGAUCAUGAAGCACUGAGCCCGCCACAUUGGGCCUACUCCCCACAUUGGCUUUCCCAUUUGAUUGACUAAAUAAUGGGAAAUUGUCAAUUUUCCCCUACUAUAAUUAAUAUAUACCAUUUAUCCCCCUACUAUUUUUGUAAUACCCAAAAACCCAUUUGACAGCAUAAGUUUACAAUAUUACCCAUAUUUUCAAUUACUCUUUUAUUUAUAUUUAUUAUAAAUUAAAUAAAUCACAUGAAUAAAAACCAAAUAAAAAAAUUAAGUAUUAAAGACAAGAAGUAUAUGUUUUGAUAUGUGAAAAAAAAUUAAUAAUAAAAUUUUUUUCUUGUAAUUAUUUAUUUUGUGAACAUUUUCUUAUAAUAAAAAUUUUAUAAUAUUUUAAAUUAAAUGUAAAAAGCAUAGGCAAAAUAUUUUAUUAUUUAUCUUAUAAUAAAUUUUUAUUUGUCAUUCAAGUUUUCUUAUAAUAAUUUUUUUAUCAUUUUAUAAUAAUUUUCUUAUAUAUUUAUUACAAGAAAAUUUUCACAAAAUAAAUAAGUACAAAAAAAUUUAUUAUUAAUUUUUUACUCAUAUCAAAACAUAUAUUUUUUAUUUUUAAUGCUUAAUUUUUUAUUUAGUUUCUAUUCAUGUGAUUUAUUUAAUUUGUAAUAAAUAUAAAUAAAAGAGUAGUUGAAAAUAAAGGUAAUAUUGUAAACUUAUGUUAUCAGUGGGGUUUUUGACCAUUAUAAAAAAAGGAGGGAGGUAAAUGAUGUAUGUUGAUUACAAUAGGAGAAAAAUUGGUAAUCUCCUCUAAAUAAUUAAUAAAUGGUCCCUCAAGAUCAUCACACAUGUUGAACAUCAACGCCAUCGGUCCCUCCACUUCCUUCAUCUAGUGUGGUUGAUCACGGGGUUCGAUGGACCCAUUUUCUCUGAACCGGUCGCACCUCGCAAAGGUGGUGGACCACGAGAAAGGGGCCCGUGAGGCCUGUAUUUCAGAUUCGAUCCGAAUAAAGCCGUAUCCUUGGGUAACCCAGGAAGUAAACGGGCCUCUCCCGGUUUGACAUCUUGGAUGCAAGCCUGCUACAUGGCACACACCACGGCUGCUGAGCAAGCACCAGAAGUGAAGAACCCAACAAUGGGAACUUCAAAAUUCUUGCAAACAUCAGCCGUCCAGCCCAUCAUAACGUCGAUGACUGCACAAACGGGUCGCGUUUCGGGUUCCCGGGUUGAAAGGAGGUUUCGAAGGCCUUGAAGCAUUUGGCCGUGCAUGACAACAUGGUGGUGGGAAGGAGGUGGUGAUGCUGGUGAAGAGAGGAAGGGGUGAUGCUGGUGGGGGAAAUGUGAGAGGGAAUAAUGAGGGUAGAUUUGUAAUUACGAGAAGCGAUUUGCUUGCAUAAUUCAAUGCAUGGAAAUAGAUGUCCCUGACCGAAGAAUGGGACAAUCCAAACCUCGGCCUCAGCAGCAGUUGCAACAGAGCUUGACAUCUUUUUUGAAUUAUUUGAUACAUAAUUGUUACUGAUUGCUUUUGCCAUCUUUCAUAAAACAUUCUUUGUUAUAUAUAAAGAGAUGACUUGAUGGAGAAGUAAGUAUUUUACUUUUACAAUUUUACUUGGUCAGCUCUGAUUUUGAUAAUUUGAAUGUUAGUUUUAGUUGGUUAGUUAUGAGAAAGCAUCUUUCAAAAAAUUCAUUCCAAUUUCAACUAAAAUUAACAAUACUGUUUAAAUUAAUUACUUGAUAAACAAAGUCAUAAGACAAAUCUAUCCCUAAUCCCACAUUUACAAAAUAAGGAUUGAAAUGAGUUUCUGUGGCUUUUAACCCAAGCCCUCAAGCCCAGUGGCUGUAAUAUUGACUACUUUGACAUAAUUAUUAUUAGUCUUUUUUCCCCCUCAAUCCUUCACUAAACAUCUUUUGUUAUAUAAUGAAGAAGAUAAGUUGACGGAGAAGGGUUCUACUUUUACUAGUAGAUGAGCUUUGAGUUAAAGAAGAUUAGUUUUAGUUAGUUAAAUAUCUACCAUCCAAAUCAAAGUUCCUUAGACUAUUAUUUAGGUGAGAUGUUUGAGUAACAUAUGCUUGCGUUAGUCGGUGCCUAACAAUUCGUGUGAUACAUGAAACCAACCAAUAUGAAAACCAAAUGAAAUUGGUAGGAUUAGAUUAAUUUAAAUGAAAAUAAAAUUAGUUUAUGCCAUUUAUUAAUAUUAUAAUAUUGAAACUUGAAUGUUUAUCCGUUAACCUGUCAUUGGGUUCAUGACAUGAUUAAAAUAUUCAAGUAAAUAAAUUUAUCGUUUAAAAUUAAUUUUUCAUGUGGUAAAUGCAAUACUAUAUAUGGAGUGGAGAGAAUAAUUUGUAGGGUAUACCCCUACCUUUUAUUUCAUUUCAUUUAAAAAAAAAAACAACAACAAAGGCUUGGUCAACAUUCAAGUAAAAUUAACAAUUCCAUGAUAAAAUUGCUUGAGAAUAAGAAUUAAAAUAAAAAAAGAAAACAACAACUCAAAAACGACAUACAAAUGUUGGUGGUUGAACUUGUGGGGAAUGGCAAAUGUAGAGAAAUACAACAAUAAUGUUGAAACUUUAUUACGUAAAGUAAUGUGUUUACAACUAACUCUGUAUGUAGGAAGAAAAAUAAUAGUAAUAAGUAAACUGCGGAAAAUUUGUGUGCUUUAAGGCACGUUACAAAUGUCGCUUUCCUUAAGACGUUAUUUGCCCCCACCAAUUGAGUAAUGCACAUGGGUUAAGCAAAUACACCUCUAGGAUACAAUGAAGUACUUGUUUGUUUGCUUGCGUUGUGCAUCGACGAAAGCAAACUAGAAUACUCUUGAAUGUUGUAAGCCUGCCAAGAAACAAUAUAUUGUUCCUGCAGAAAACAAUAUAUUGGAUUGUGAAUGCACAAAAGAAAUGGGUGUUUUGUGUUGAAAUUCGUACUAGAAAGGAAUGCUAAGAAAAGAGUGGUGUAGGAUCAUUGUUUUCAUGUUUAAAUGGCUUAAACAUGACCCCUAUUUAUAGAUAUACUUGUGCCCCCUCAUUUGGGUUGUCAUCUUUCAUGAUACCCCUUCAUUCAUGGCCAUUGGAUCUAGAUUUGAUUUUAAUCAAUGGUCCAAAUUGAACCAUCACCAUUUCAAAUGAAAUGUCACCAUGAAAUGAUGCAUCUCUAAGUGAAAUGUUGCCAUGAAAAGUUAUAUCAUUUAGUAAAAAGAUACCUUUUCUACAAGACACAAUUAAAUGGACAUGUCCAUACAACAAGAUAUUAUUUAAUUAGACAUGUCUUUAGUAAAAUGUACAUUUUCUAUAAAGCAUAAUUAAUAGGACAUGCCUUUACCAUAAGACACAUUUAUUUUGAAAAUUUUCCAACAACAAAUACCGCAUAGAGGUUUUUCGUCACGAGAUAUUUUUGGGUUGAGACAACACUUGUAUAACAGAGCAUACAGACUGAAUAACGGUGAGAAUAAGAAGGAAAACGACGCCGCACACCGAAAUGCCAGCCUAUGGAGUAUUGAAGUAAUUUUGUUUUAAGUUUGCCCUCCAUUUGUAGCACGUUCUUUUGCAGUGAUCAUUCAAUCCUUUGCAUAGCCCAAAAAAAUAGAAGCUAUCAGCCAGCAGAGUGGUACCUCUGGAAAGGUUAUUUAUAAGCGUUGACGCUGCCUCUUUAUCCGGAAACCAGUUUGUUGAUGCUGAAAUCUGCUCGCCCUUUGCCCAACCAGAUUUUUACACCAACAUUUAUGUUAUCAACAGUGAAGAUGUCAAUUCCUUCUUGCUUCAACGAUCGCUCUAGCCACUGAAGUUGGAAUUGUCCUUCUUCCUCUCACUAAGCCUGCGUUCACAAAAGUGGAUCAGAGACGCCGGUGGUUUUACCGGCGUAAACCCUCCGAUGCCUAAGUUAGCACAAGGUGUUUACGGGAAAACGGUGCAAUUAAGAUUCCAAUAAUUGCUUAGAAUUGGCUCACUAUUUGUAUUGCAAGUGGUUUGGAUACAAUUUGGCAGAGUUUUCCCUCCUCUCAAUUUUUUCUGUCCUUUCUUCAUUAGUUUCUUUCUCUUUUAUAGCCAUUGUCCUACGUUUCCGUUUACCCUUCAUCCCCCCUCUAUCUCGGAUCGUGGCAGCCCCCAUGGGACUCCAACUGCUAUAUUGUGAGUAAACGUGGGACACCAUACCUCUCUCGACAGUUCUGGGCAUAGCGCAACUGUCGUGAUUUCGUGAGAUCGUGUUCCCGCUUUUUGGGGAAUGGGUAUCUGCUUGGUAUUUGUCUCUGGUUGGUCCUUGCUCGUAAAAGACUCAUUAUCAGUGUUCUGCUCGUACCAUUUGGCUGAGGUGAUCCAUGUUGGGGUGGAAAUGAUGGCAUGGCCAAGCUGGUGCUCUUAUUUACUUAACACAGUUCUCAAUGAUUCCGUUCUGAACAAGCAACUCGACGUCCUUUGUUGUGUUCACGAGAUGAUGAAUAAGGAACACAUAAUCAUUUAUGUAAUUCUCUGAGUAAUGCCGUUGUUCAAAGGCAACGAGAUUACGAAAUAAGGAUUCCGUUUCCAGCUGUAGCUUCAGUUUCGGAAUAUACAAUGUCCUGUUUUUGAAUUCUAUGGCGAACAAAUCAUUGCUCUUGCUCAAACUGAAGUGGACUCCAGCUUGGUGGAGAUCAGUCACACUUGGUGCGGUUUUACCUUUGUGGUAUUGCUGACCUUCUUGUUUUUCCUGAUUCCUCGAUGAUGGUAGAUGACAAAUCCUUAGAAAAUCAAGGAAAUGCUCUACCCUAGCCUCAGUGUAAGGAGGGAAUUUUUGCCGAUUACCUUGUACUGCCUCUAAACCCUUGAAAUACUCGUAUGUGACUGUGAUGAUGGUUGGAUUUUCAUGUUGGUCGGGGAUUUUAAUUGCCGCUAGAGCAAAAAGAUCCUCAAGAAUGAAGAAAAGAAGCUGAUUUUCAAGUAACCACAUAUCAUACCAUAUAUCCUCUAUUAAAUAGGGUUUAUGAAAUAUAUGAUCAUCUUUUUUUUGAAGUUGACGGAAAUGAUAUCUCAAUAAGAGUUCAAUGAUGAAGGCAGCAUCCAGCAGAAUCAUUUCAACAAAUUUAUCACUACUUAGUUCGACUUUUUCUGCAUAAGAACCUCGUAAUUCUGCUUCUCUGAACUUUAUAAUUUGAACAAACUCGUCAAAGCUUAUUUUGGUCCGUUGAAGAAAGUAAUGCAGGUACCGCUGUUUAUGUUCUUCCAUGAACUGUAAGUUUGCUUUGCCAUGGUGAAGAGGUAUCCUCUUAUGAAUUUAGUUUAUAUCCUAAUAUGGGAGAGUCAAUAAUUGGAUGCAAGUCAAUAGCUGCAUGCAAUCUGAGGGCUAACAUUUGUUUGAUCAAUAUGUUAAAAAAAAAAUGUUAUAAAACAGGAUUGAUUGAUGGCCUUUAACAGUCAGUUCUAUGACAAAGUAACCACCACAAAAAAGGGAAUCACAAGACAUCAAGAAGCUUGAACUUGGCAGGGGGUCUCAUUAGCAGUACGCCUAAGAAAUUAAGACAAAGUCAAAGUGCAAGCUUAUGGAGCAAUUUAAGCACUGAAACUAAUAACAGUGAUAGACGAAGGUGCAGAAGUAUGGUAUUGGCAAUUGACCUCUGCUUUUGCUUAGACAUAGGUUCUCAUUACAAAGGACUUAUUAGUAGCCCUCGCCUCACAUGUUUGGAUGUUAAGGGGAAAAAGGAAGUUUGAAUUAUUCAAUCUCUUUUCUAAUGGCAUUCAUGGAGAACCUAUAAAACAAAAUAAUAAAUAAAAAUUUUCAUCCAUGAAAAGCUCAGUAACGAAAAACCGACUCGUUUAUCUACCACUGACCCAAUCCGGACUCUCAGUGGUCAUACCAUGGUCACUCAUUUCAAAAGCAACUAAUGAUGAGAACUUUCAUCAUUAGUUGAUAUGGCCAAUGUAGAAAAACAGAAAAACCCCUCCAGCAUCAAAGCACAAGGAUAAGUUUAGAAUUACACUUCUUAAUUUUUUUUAAUAAAUAAAAGUCAAAAUGAAAAUAGAAAAUAGUUUUGAAUAACUUUUUUUUAAAAAUGAAUAUAGAUAUAAAACUUUAAAAUCACCAAACAGAAAAACAGGGGAAUGAAAAGAUGGCCUCCGUUUCUCCUCUGUUUUGUUUUUACUGUUAUUAAACAGGGGAAUGAGAAAAGAGAGCCCCUGUCCUUCUCUGUUAUGACUUUUUUAUUACUAAACUGGGGAAUGCAAAGAUCACCUCUUAAUGCAUGCGCAAAUUUUUGUUUCUACCUUAGUACCUUCUAAAUGCUGCAUGCAUUAAAAUUAAUCUGACAUAUGCUAGCAUAACAGCCACUCUGCAUGUAAGUUCUGGAUAUAUCCAAAUAAUAUAAUGAUUUUAAAAGUUCAAAUUUAGCAUUUAAUUGUAAAUAUAUUUGUACAUAAAUUUAAUGUGCAUUUCGUAUAUUGCAUUGUUGUUAUUCACAUUUUUUGUAUGCUACAAUGAUCUCAAAACGAUAAAAUGCUUCGUGUGUCUCUUCUUUAUGUUUCUCGUUUCUGUGCAGGCAAAUCCUUCAUUGCAUAGUACGCUUCAGCGUGUACAAAGACGGUAUGCAUUUAGCUAUAAAUAGUAUCAUUAAACAAAGAUACUAAUAAAGAUACUAAUAACUACUGUUUGGGGGAUAUACUUUGACAAGACCAACCAUGAUGAGCAGAUGUCUGGUAGCAGGAUUCCACAAACAGGAGUAUUAUGCUCGUUCAAUAAUGCACCCUCCACGGGGCCAUAGCGGGAGCCGGCCUCCUACUAGGAGUAUAAGGCCAUUCUUACUAAAGGUUGAGGGGGGGAGACCCGGUCAAUGACGGUUGGCAAGACGUGCAUUCCUGCCCGAGAAUCAAGGCACGAAGUCCACUCAGCCACAACUAUGAUAAUGACGCACCCACUUCCGAGAGUUGAGAGAGGUGAUAGACGUGGAUUGCAGGAAGGGCCGGAUUCAAAGGAAUGCUAUAAAAAGGUAACCAACGAAGGUAAAGGGGUUAGACUUUUUGAGAUUAGAACUUAGGAAAAGAGCUUUCUAUUGAGAGAUCAUAAAAGAGCCAUAAUAUUAGUGGUCGUGUUUCCCAAAAAGGCAAAACCUACGUUUCUGACUUGAGCGUUGGAGGGUUUACACUGGAAAAACACCCGGUGUGCUGUGACCUGUCUCUGUGUACGCAGGAGUCUGUGGAGAGGAAGUCUUACGAGGAGAGAUCCUAGUCGUGGAUGAGUUGGUUGAGGAGAGAUCCUGGUCCCGGACGAGCAGAAAACCAGAAUCUCGUAUCAACAUUUUGGCGCCGUCUGUGGGGAGCUAAGCCAAAAGCUUCUGUUAAUAGAGAGAAGAAGAGGAAAGGAAGUGAGGGAACAAUGGAUGUAGGCGGAGGUAGUGCCCAAGAAGGUGACUUGAGACUUAACGAGUCCGUGACAUUGAGAGAGAUAGCCAAUGAAGCACGGGAAAAAGCAAUAUAUAAGCGGAUAGAACGGAUGGAGAAACAGAUGGAGACCCUGACAACCAUCCUACACGAGCUGAGAAGUGAGUGAAGGGGAGUUCAAGAGGAGGGGGUGAGAAGUGGCGGAAUGACACCAGGGCACGACAAUAUGAUGAGAGGUCGGACCACCAGAAGAUUUGGUGGUGAGGGGGGUAACUCAUCUCUACGGGGAGAAAGCCAUCGAGGAGAAGAACAAUCCCCAGGGAGGCGGAUCUUUGAUAACGAUGACAAAGUGGCGAAUGCAGAGGAAAGAGAACUCCGGCAACACCUGCAUGAUGUUGAGCAAGAGCGAGAUCAGGUUGCAGCACGUGACCCUGGUCGUGCUGUACAACUGGAAGAAGAAGUGCGCAGAUUAGCGCAGAUAAUAGAUGACAUGCAAGGGCAGAGCAGAGCACCUGGUUGGAGGAUAAUGCUGGACGGAGAAUCCCUGCUCUUAGCAGAAAUCAUGAGGGCAGUCAUUCCGAGGGAUUUUCACCUCCCAAACCUCAGUUACUCGGGGUAAACUGAUUAGUUGGUGCACAUAGAGUGCUUUAACGACAUAAUUGGGGUGCAAGGAUUAUCGCAAGCUCUAGAGGGACAAGCACGUGAGUGGUACCGGAAACUUCCUCGAGGGAGCAUUAAAUCCUUCGAGCAGAUGUGCCAAGAAUUUGCAGAGCAGUUCUGUAGGGCAAUGGAGCCUGAAGAUGAUAUGAUGGAGCUGACGAGCAUGAAGCAGGGAGAGGAGGAAACCCUUCGAGAAUUCAUCAAAAGGGUCCAUCGUGCUGUCCUCGAUUUGGGAGCUUUCAACCAUCCUCAGACAUUAAGGGGAUUGAAAGAAGGGGUGAAGAUAGGACAGUUGUGAUACAAUUUGAGGAAUCCUACUAUUCAGACAUAUUCAGCCGCUUACGAGCAGGCCAAGAGGGACAUAGAGAUUGAGGAGGAAAAGGCAGCACGGAUUAAGACAGACCAGCUGGAAGGGUUAAUGAGGAAAGAGAAGAGAGCUCUACCAGGAAAUGGGCCUAUUAAGAGGAAGGACCAUCAUGCCUCAGGUAGUGGUGUAGGAGGCCGGGUCACCUCUUACCAGUCUCAUCAGAGGCCACCCCAAUAUUAGCGCAGUAGGGCGCAACCUCCUUGUUCACCAGCCAGAGAUUCAUGGAGAAGGCAUGACCCAACAUAUGGUCAUCCUCAUCCACACCCACACGGUGUUAGAGGAAGCAGACCAGAAGCACUGUUACCCCAUCUAGUUCAGAACGGCACCAACAGGGAAAGGUCGGUAUACAUGAUCGACUAGAGUCAAGACUAUGGGUGGUAUACUUCCUUGAAGAUGCCCCUAGACAAGGUGUAUGAGGCCAUAAAGGAACAGAGAUUACUGUACCUCCCUACCCCAAUAACAAAGCUACCCAGCAAGAGAGAUAUUGUACCUCCUUACCCCAAUAGUAGCGAUAGACUAUUUCAUGAAGUGGAUAGAAGUAGAAGCCCUCAGCAGGAUCACAGAGAAAAAGACGACUGACUUCGUAUGGAGAAACCUGGUCUGUCGGUACGGGAUCCUUUAUACCCUGAUAGCAGACAAUGGCAGGCAGUUUGACAAUCACAACUUCAGGGAGUUCUGCCAGAACCUCGGGAUAGAGCUGAAGUCUUGCUUGCCUGCUCACCCUCAGUCUAACGGACAAGUAGAAGCAGCCAACAAAAUAAUCAAGAGGCUUUUGAAAACUAGGCUAUGAGCAAAAAAGGGAGUAUAGGUUGAUGAGCUACUAGGUGUAUUAUGGGCAUACAGGACAACUCACAAAACAGCAACUGGCGAAACUCCGUUCGCUUUGGCCUUUGGACAUGAAGCUGUUGUACCGAUCGAGAUAGGGGCGACCACGCACCGGACAGAUCACUUCGAUGAGCAGGAAAACAACGACCAAAUGUGCUUGAAUCUGGAUCUGCUGACUGAGAAGAGAGAGCAAGCAUCGAAGCGAUCCGCCGUCUACCAGCAGAGGGUUGCUCGUUAUUACAACCAGAAGGUGUGUAUACGACAGUUCAAGGUCGGCGAUUGGGUACUAAGGAGGGUGGAUCAGAACACGAAAGACUCGACACAAGGAGUACUUGGACCAAACUGGGAGGGGCCGUAUAGGGUCAAGCAAGUAACUGAACCCGGAGCCUAUAAGCUUGUUCGCGCGGAUGGCCACGAGGCGAAACGCCCCUGGAACGCAGAACACCUCAGGAAAUAUUUCCAAUAAGACCCAAUCAUGCUUAAAAGUUAUUUCUAUUCGUUCUUGUUGUUAUUUGUUUUAUGUUAAAUCAACCUCAUGUAAGCCGAAUUCAGAAAUUAAUGAAACGUUGAGGAAUUUCAGUCAGUUGUAAUGUUGUAAAAGUUUCAAAGGCAUGCAAAGGCUCACCAAGUCUCAAAACCUGUGUUAUGGCGAGACCAGAAGCCAAGCGUGCCAGGAUUUGCUCGACCAAGUGAAGGCGAGCAGACCCUCAAAUGUUAAAAAAUUUCUAAGGCAUGCAAAGGCUCACUAAGUCUCAAAGUCUGUGUUAUGGCGAGACUAGAAGCCAAGCGUUCCAGGAUCUGCUCAACCAAGCGAAGGCAAGUAGACCCUCAAAUGUUAUAAAAAUUUCUAAGGCAUCCAAAGGCUCACUAAGUCUCAAAGCCUGUGUUAUGGCGAGACUAGAAGCCAAGCGUGCCAGGAUUUGCUCGACCAAGCGAAGGCAAGCUGACCCUUAAAUGUUAUAAAAAUUUCUAAAGCAUGCAAAGGCUCACUAAGUCUCAAAGCCUGUGUUAUGGCGAGACCAGAAGCCAAGCGUGCCAGGAUCUGCUCGACCAAGCGAAGACGAGUAGACCCUCAAAUGUUAUAAAAAUUUCUAAGGCAUGCAAAGGCUCACUAAGUCUCAAAGCCUGUGUUAUGGCGAGACCAGAAGCCAAGCGUGUCAGGAUCUGCUCGACCAAGCGAAGGCGAGCAGACCCUCAAAUGUUAUAAAAAUUUUCUAAGGCAUGCAAAGGCUCACUAAAUCUCAAAGCCUGUUUUAUGGCGAGACCAGAAGCCAAAACAUACCAACAUCUGCUCGACCAAGCGAAGACGAGCAAACCAUCAAACGUAAGGCGACGGGAAGCUGAACUUUUCGACACCUACUCGACCACAAUGUAAGCGAACAAAAAAUAAAAUAAUCUGCCAAGAGCUCAAAGCGAAGAAAGCAAAUAAGAACAUUCUUAUUAAUCUGCCAACAAAUUAUGAAAGCUGCUAGUCUUAACAUACAAUGUUCCAAAAAAGAAACCUACGACACAAGGUACAUUCAAGAGGACAGCGGGUCAGUAAGCUGGGCCGUCUCUGUUGACUGGUCCACCUCAGGAGCAUGGGGGUCUCACCAGUUGCACUCGGGGGGGUACUUGCCUCGGCAACAUCAGCAGGGACUGCACGAGGAGGAGAUGUUCCCUCCUCAGUUGCAUUUGGCUCCAACUCUUCGACAUCUUCUUUGGCUGCCUCCUCAUCCAUAUAUUGAGCAACACCAAUAGUAAGCUCGUCCAUCUUCAGAUCAGGAUGCUGCUUCCCUAGGACGGCCAUGAUGCAGCGAUAAGAAUGCCGAAGCCCCUGGUCAUAUUGGUUGUCAGCUUCCUUCUCUAGGUUUUCAACCUGAACCUGGUAGGAAUCUUUGAGAGAUUCGAGCUGAGCCUCGUAAGUAGCCUUUUGUCUCUGCAGGUCCUCCUUGACCUUAGUCAGCUCCUCCUUAAGAGUGAUUCCCUUUGCCUGUGCGAGAGACUCUCGCUCUAUCAACUUCAGAUUCUCAAGGUUGAGAUCUCUGGCUUUCUUCUCGGCAACAUGAGCUUUGUUUUUAGCCGAUUGAACGUCUUCUCUCAUCUUUCGAUCAUAGCAGCCGACAUUCGCCUUAUAGUAAGUGGCCAUGCAGCCGAGAUGAAAAGCACUAAACUGCAUAGCCCCCACCAGCUCACUCAGAGUGCUGCCGUCAAAGUCUUCCAAGUCCUUUUUGCUGGCGAGCCUAGAAAACUUAUUGAUAUAGGGGACCAGAUGCUCUGCUCAAUUGUCGGGCAAGCGAGGGUUCGACUCUGUUGGUGGAGGAGGGGAAGUGGGAUCAGUGGUUGUUCCAUUACUUUCGCUGGCUUUGGUAGGAAGAGGUGGUAGAGUCCUCAAGGGGGGACCUGCUCCGUGAUGUUCACCCGUUUCGUAGAGGGAGCAUCCUUAUCCUGGUCUCGCUUAGCAGCAUGAGGUCGAGGACGUUUCUGAUUCAAAGCCCCAAUCACAGCAUCCUCCAUCUUAAGAUCAGUGUGCACCAGGCGAGAUUUGAAGAAGUUGUAAGUAGAUAGCAACUCUCGGCCUGAGCAGGAAUUGGCUAACACAAUCUCGACCCGCUUGAGCGGUUUAGGUUUAAGCUUGUAGUGGACACCCAAAGAACCUGUAGUUCGAACAAAAAUUGGGUUAGAGACAAAUAAAAAAUGAGAACAACUAGGGAUACAAGACAUCUAAAGCGAGCAGACAACCUAGGACCACGAAAUUGGAGGGGACGCGAUAGUUCUUCUUGUCAAUCUGUGCAACUUGACCCUAGGGACCCCCAGUAAAAAAGAACUUUUUCUUCCAAUUUCCACCACCACCCGUUGGAAGACUAGUUAUGGGUUUCCUGGUCUUGGUACUCGACAUGAAGUAAUACCAACCGGUGUCUUUGGGGUUGCUCUUUAGCUGGUACAUGUGCUUUACCUUAUCAAUGGUGGGCUCACUCUGGCAGCAUCUGUCCCACAAUAUGAACAGACCAGAAAGUACCCUCCACCCGUUGGGGUUAAGUUGACUAGAAGCUAAGUUUAACCCACUAAGCAUUCGGGCAAAAUAGGGUUGUAGGGGGCACCUCAUCCCUAACUUAAAACUCUCUAGAAAAAGAGUAACGUAUCCCCUGGGAAGCCGACUGGGAGUAUCAUUUUUUCCUGGGAUCCUAAGGGGUAUAUCAUCAGGAAUGUCAUACCUAGUCCGGAGGUCAACGAGGUCGUGCACGUGAUGAAGUCAAUAGCGUAAUGCUCCGAUAAAGCCUUACCUCCUACUUUGUUCUUCCUAUCUUGUCGCGAUGUUCCUAGUGAGGACAUUUCACCAGAAUCUUCUCAUGGGUCCUCACGCAGGGUAUCUUCCGAACUAGAAGAUCCCUCGCCGCCGCUAUUGCUAGUUGAAGAGGUUAUUUGGGGAGACAUCCUCCUAGCACUUGUCCCAAUACUAGAUCUAAUCGGUUCUAAAGGAAUCCCAGGGUCAAAGGCAGAAUCGGCGAGUAGACUAGGCAAGAAGUCUAACUCGUCGUCAUCAAUCUCAAUUACCUUUUCUUUGCCUUUUGACAUUUCCUAAACUAUGACCAGAGCAAUAUCACCAAACACUACCCAAGCAAAAUAGAGAGAAAAGAAAUUUUCUACAACUAUCCAAAACUGAAGAAAUAGAAAUAAUACAUGUAGUUGUGGCCCAGCCGAAUAGAGACAAGGAAGGUAGCUUUUACGUCGAGGGAGAGAAAUUGCUCAGUCACCGGAGAGGUAGAAGAGGGCUAAGAGACGAGUUUCCUUUUUGAUUUUAUAAAUAGAGAAGUAUCAGCUCUAGAAUUGUUAAAUCCCCACCUAACAAGACAGCUCUUGAGUUUUUCAUACCAAGCUCUUAGAGCUUGCUUCAAUCCAUAAAGACCUUUGUUAAGUUUGCAAACAUAACCAUCUUUUAAUGAAAACCCCUCAGGCUGAAUCAUAUAUACAUCUUCAAUAAGGUCACCAUUGAGGAAGGCAUUAUUCACAUCAAUUUGCCUCACUUUCCAUCCUUGCAUGACAACUAUACUCAGAACAACUCUCACUGUUGAAGAUUUCACUACUGGGCUGAAAGUUUCUGAGUAAUCAAUACCAACUGUUUGAUGGAACCCUUUUGCAAUCAACCGUGCUUUGUAUUUAGAAAUUGAGCCAUCUGUAUUAUACUUGGUUCUAAACACCCAUUUAUAGCCGACCAGCUUAAGCUAUGAGGACAUGGGCACAAGUUUCCAAGUAUUAUUUUUAAUGAGAGCAUUGUAUUCAGCUUGCAGUGCCUUCUUCCAUUUAGGAUCAGAUAAUGCUUCUUUAGUAGUUGAGGGUUCUAGAUUGUUAUGAGCUGAUAAGAAAGCUUUGGGCUUAAAAACACCAGCCUUUGCUCUAGUGAUCAUGCUGUGAGUAGGAAUUAUUGGUUUGGAUUUUUGAGAUGUAGAAUAUGGAAUAGUUUGGGAUGGAAAUGUAUUUGAUGAGGUUUGUAAGUUCUGUAAGGUGGAUGGUAUAAUUGUUUAGUGAGAUGAAUGAGAGUUCUGUGAUAUAGAUUGUGUUUGUAAAUCAGAUGAUGAAGGUACAAGUGAUGUGUUGUGUGAAUAAGUUGAUGAGGGUAUAGGAGAGAAUGAACCAUGUACUGCAGCAUCAGCUUCAAGAUUAUUCAAAUUGCUAUUGGAAACAAAUAUGGUGUAAGACUGAAGGAGAUUAUAUUUAAAAUCAGAGGGAUUGGGCUUUAAAGAAGAAGCAAUAGCAUCAGUUGAAUAGGGAAAAAAACGUUUCAUUAAAUAGAACAUGACUAGCUAUGUAGAUUUUGCCUGAGGAAUGCAAGCAUUUAUACCCCUUUGUGUAUAGGACUGUAGCCCAGAAAUAUGCAUUUAGAAGUGUGAAAAUAGAACUUUUGUUUAUUGUAUUCUCUAAGAAAAGGAAAGCAAGAACAACCAAAAGUUCUCAUAAACUUGUUAUCUGGUUUGUGAUGAAACAUACACUCAUAGGGUGAUUGCAUGGAUAAUGUAGGAGUGGGUAGUCUGUUUAUGAUGUAAGCUGCACUAUGGAAGGAAUCCCACCAAAACUUAAUAGGUAGAGUAGCUUGUGCAAGUAAGGUUAACCCCAAUUUAGUAAUAUGUCUGUGUUCCCUUUCUACCAGGCCAUUUUGGUAGUGAGUAUAUGGGCAAGAGUGUCUAAAUUGAAUUCCUUCUUUGUGAAUAAAAUCAACAAAUGGUUUGAAUUUCCUACCCCAAUCAGAUUGAAGGGAUUUGAUUGAUCUUUCAAGUUGCUUUUCUACUUGUGUUUUGAAGAUUUUGAAAACAAAUAGUGUCUCAUCCUUAGGGAUGGCAAUUUUUGAGUCUGGGUCCGGGUUUGGCUGUUCCAGAUCCGGACCCGGACACUAAAUUCUUAUUAUCAGACCCACAUUGAACUCGGUUUUUUUCCAUCCGGGUCCGGUCCGGGGUCAACCCGAAAAAAUCUGAGUUUCCGGAUUUCGGGUUUUGAACCCAGAUUGCUUUACUUAACUUAAGUUGAUGGAAAAGGAAAAAAAAAAGAACACAAUUACUCAAACCAGAACCAAAUUGCUUCCAGAAUCCAGAUUACUUUAGUUUAGCAACCAGAACCAAAUUGCUUCCAGAAUACAAAUUGCUUUAGUUUAGCUCAACAAAAUUUCAAAUAAAAAACAUAUAACUUAUCCAGGUUCUAAAACAAAUACAACACAACAUAGAAUUUAAAAUUCAAAAUUUUAAAGUAAUAAACAUCCACAAAUACAAAUCCAUAACAUAAUUCUACAAUUUAAAGUUCAAAUUUCAAACCACUAGUGCUAAAGACUAAACUCUCAAUCAUCCACUUCAUUUGACUAUUGUUCACUCAUCCAACUUUCAUUAAUCAAAUGCUCAGCAGAAAGUAUUGCUUCCUCUGGAAUUCCAUCUACAAAAAAUAUGUAAAUCAUAAACACAAUGAACAAGACAACCAAUUAGUGAUAAAUUAAUAAUAAGAACAAUACAACAAAUAAUUUGAUUCUAAUAAAUAAAAUUUGCAUACCUUUUAGGUUUUGUUCAAGCCAAAACCAAUUUCGAGUACACACCAAUGCCUCCAUUAUGGAUGUGUGAAGUAUACUGCGAUGAGGGCUCAAAUGUCUACCUUCAGUGCUAAAAGCGGACUCCGAAGCAACUGUUGAUAUAGGAAUGGCCAAAAUGUCCCUUGUGGUCUUUGCAAGUAUAGAAUAUUUGCCUUGAUUAUUCUUCCACCAUGACAAAAUGUCAAAUUGACUAGUUAAAGGCAAAGUACUCUCCUCAAGAUAAAGCUCUAAUUCUGAUUUGGAAUGAGUAUUCUGUGUGUUUUCAUUUCUAAAUAAUGCCCACUCAUCAGCCAUUUCAUCCAAAUCUAAGUCCAACAUAAUAGAAUCCCCUCCUGAAGCAGCUUGAGAAUUGGCACCAUUAACCCCCCACUUGAAUUUGAUAGAUGCUUUACUUCAUACUCAUGCACUAAAUCAACAAAUAACUUAUGCACUCUUUUAAUUUCGGAUUCAUCUUUUUCCCCAUAUAUUUUAGGAAAUAAAAAGUUAAUCAGUAACAUUUUACGGCUAGGAUCUAACAUAGUCCCCACUGCAAGAACUCCAUGAAUAACAUCCCAAUACUUUUCAUACUUCGUAAUCAUCCUAGUGGCCAUAUUUUUUAUCCCCUCAAUUGGUGAUUGCAACCAUGCAUUCAUUGACAAUCUAAUUUCACAAAUCUUGGCAAAAAAUAAAUUAGAUGUCGGAUAUCAUGUCCCCGGAAAAAAGUUCUAUCAACUUAUAAAAGCUUUAUAGAUACUCACACAUAAGCUUUGAAAAAUUCCACUCUGACUCACUAGGUAAAGAUGUAUAAUUUCUCUCACGUUCCUUUAAAUGAUCAAAUACAUCUUUAUACAAUAAUGCAAUACUAAACAUCAAGUAAGUGGAGUUCUAUCUAGUUUUAUAAUCAAGUACCAAGUUUUUGGUUUCCUUAAUAUCUAAUUGUUUUUUUACAUUCUUAAAAUUUUCAACUCUAGCUGGUGUUGCUGUCCAAUAAUGAACACUAUCUCUAAUUUUCUCAACUCCAUUUUGUAUCACAGACAAACCAUCUCUAACUAUCAAGUUCAAUAUAUGAGCACAACAACGCAUAUGAAAGAAUUUGCCACCCAUAAUCAUUGAACUAGCAGAAAAUUUCCCCAACAACAAGGCAAUCAUAGAAUCAUUUGCAGCACAAUUAUCAACAGUUACAGUGGACAACUUUCUAUUUAUAUUCCAAUCUAUCAAACAACCAUAUAACUCAUUACACAUUACCUCAGCACUAUGUGGAGCUGGCACAUAUAUAAACCUAACAAUGUGAAAAAAAUAAUUAAAAUAUUAGACAGGACACUAAUUUAUGCUUAAACAAAAAAAAAAAUAAGUUUUAAGAAUAUUACCUCAUAAUACGACUUCGCAACACCCAUGAGCUCUCAAUGUAAUGUGCCGUAAUAACCAUGUAUCCUUUUUUUUUUUGUUACUAGCAGUCCACAUAUCUAUAGUAAUUGCGAUUCGACUCUCACAAGUUUCCAAAAUACCUAUUGUCUUCUUCUUUUCAACAUCAUAAAGCUUCAAAAUUUCAGCUUUGAAGGUGUUUCUACUAAUAGUCUCAAUAGAAGGUUGGAGUAGCUUCAACAAGUCAUAAAACCCAACGUACUCAACCAAUGCCAAGGGGAGCUCAUGUAGUACAAUCAUUGUAGCCACAAAAAGCUUUAUUGUAGCCAUAUCCCAUUUUGAUUCAGAACUACAAUUACUAAGUGAAGUGGUUCCACCAACUUUAGAAGAAAAAGAUAAGUGCAUUUGCUGUACAUUCUUGAAUGACCUUCUAGGACAACGUUUAGCAUGGUUUAUUAAGUUAUUAGUACCCCCCGAAUAAUGUCCUUGCAUAACUAACCCACAGUAAUUGCAAAUCGCCUGAACUUCCUCACCCAACUUAACUUUUUUGAAAUGAUUCCAAGCAUCAGAGACUACUCUACCACUACCACCUCGUUUUUGUGAAGUAACAGGAUUAGUAUUAUCCCUACGGCCACGGCCACGACUACCCCCCUGAACUGCUACUAUUGAAUUUGGUUCUAAUUCAACAGUUGUAUCAUUAUUAUUUUCUGAUUUUGUCAUAACUCUCACACAAACACUUUCAUCACUUUUUUUGGAGGCAUCCAAGUCAAUUCUUUGUUCAUUUUCCAUAUCAAUUUUUCGCUCUACAAAAAUUAUGUCAAGACAUAAUUAAUUCCAGAAACUUCUUCUAAUUUAUAUGCUAUGUUUAAUCGUAAAAACUAUAAAUAUUUUAGAGAUACCAUUUCUAUUAUAUUAACAACAACAAUAAAAAAUAAUUCAAAAAUAAAUAAACUAUAAAUAAUAAAGUUGAAGCAUAACUAAGUAUAGAUAUUAAAAAUCACAGAGUUUAGCUAUUAAAGUUACAAAGUAAUGUCAUAAUCAAUUUUUUAUUGUAUGUGUCAUAUAAUUUCUAUUUUAAUUUUUUACGGCUACUCUGUUAUGUUGUGGCAGCCAGAUGAAGUCCUCCUUUGAUGGUUGUCAAAGCCAGCAAAAAUAAAUACCUACUCUAAAUAAAUGGUGUAUAGUGAUUGAGCAGGGUCGUGUCCACAGAGAUUGGUAAUUAUUUAAAUCCUUUUAAAAUGUAAAAUGCAAAAUGGGGGAUUGUUGACAAUAAUAAAAAUCAAAUUAAAAUAACAAGAAUGCAAAUUAAAAUUGUAAUUCAAAUUGGGAAAAAGCUAUGGUUGAAGGAAUUAACUCAGCUUGAUUCGACUACUGAUCAUUGAUUCAAAUAUAAAUCAUUACUACUUAUGAAUUGACUGGUUAUAGCUACUGAGACCCUCUAAUAGCCAAUCUCUCCUUAACUAGUCGAUAACCAAGGUACGACCAUUGGUUAUUUCCCUAAAUCAAUAGACAACUGUUGGUAAAUUUCUAUAAGCAAUUAUUAUCAAUGCCAAUGUGCAAGUAUACACAACAAGUAAUAAAGUGAUGAGUAUUCAAGAUUGUCUCCACAGGGAUUGAUGUUACUCAAAAUGCUAAAGCAAAUCACAAUAAUGCAAAUUAAUUAAGGACCGAAACAAACAAUUGUCAAAUAAUUCUAUGUAACUAAUAGUUGUGAGAGAAGAAAAUAAAACAAUACUGUAAUGAAAUAAACUGAGUUGAAUGUGUCUAAAAUUCAAUUGAGAAUAUAGUAGUUGAAUGAUCAAACUCUCCUAAUGGGAUGACUGUUGUUUACCAAAUUAGUACCAGUUAUUACAAUAAGUGCUGCAACAAUGGGUAGAAUAAAUUUGCAUCCGCAGUUAUCCCAUGUUGGAAAUCUCAUACCUUUAAAUCUACUAACAAUGACCAGUUGCUCAUAUAUUUAUGGUAUGGCAUUAUCACCUUUAAUCUCUCUACUCUACAAGGUGAACACCUAUGUCUAGAGUGUCACAAAUCUUAACUUCAAGUAUUGCCCUUAUAGGAUUCAAGAUAACCUAAUCCAGGAAACUCGACUUAAGAACAAGUAAUACUCUAAUAACGUCCGCUAAGACAUGCCCUUUUGCUGCUCUAUCUUAACUAAAACUAUUAAAUGGGUGGUCAACCGAAAUAACAGUUGUAUUUAUAAAAACUACUAGAGUAAAAUGCUACAGCAUUACCAUAACAACAUAAAAGAACAGUCAAGACCCCAUUGGAUUAUUUGUCGCUCAACCACAAAUAAAUUUAGUUCAUAAUCUGGAUGAGAAAAGUAAACAUAAAUAUAUUGGUCUCAGAAUACAUCAAAUCAAUUAAAGGAAAAAAAUAAAUAUAAGUUGAGCAUAAUGAAAAUCAAAGUCAAGUAAUUCUGCACGAUUGUCCAAUGUUGCCGAAACAACACUCUUCAAUUAUGAUAUUCUUCUCCUUCGUUCCUUUUAAUUACUCUAAUGAUAAUUCCUUGCCGCCCUUCUAUGUGGUGCACACCUCCUUUUUAUAUUGCGAAUUAGGUUAAAACCAAAGCCCAUGAGCGUGCAUGUGUUUAAAUUAGGAAACAUGCAGAUCGCGACUUUAUGGCUGACUCACGCCUAAAUUUUCUCCCGUACUGCUCCUAAAUUGCUACAGCACUGGUUGCUCUAACAGCCGCUACAACAUUGUUUUCUUCCCGAUUGUGCUUUACUUCUUUUGUGGUCAUCUUCCUUCCUCCUCUUGCUCUUCUAAUGCUUCAACAUCCUCUCACAAAUUUAAAACCUACAAUUUAAAACCUGUUUUUAGCACAAAUUACUAUGAUUCAAUCAAAACUUUUUAAAACUCAACUAAAAUGAAUGUUUAUGCAAAAGGUACCCAAAAUGUAAUAAAAACACCUUAUUUGUUCUCUAAGUGGCCUUGAUUCAAGUCUAGAAUUGAUGUAAUAACUCUCAUUUCCUAGAGUUAUCAACAACCCUAGAUACGAUCAUAGGAUUUAAUCAAUUGACAGCCUAAAAAACCAGAGAGACCAAAAUCCUAAUCAACAAACGCAUACGAUGGUUCAUUUAAAUUAGAUUGUUUAUUCUCAUAACAUAACGCACUGCUAUGUUAUUUGUCACAAACAUUAAAAUCUUCAUAUGAUAAAUCUUUUAAUUGAUAAUAGAUUAAAUUGAUAAUUAAAUAGUGGCCAAUUAUCUAAUUAACAAACAUAAUCAUGACAAUAAUAUAGAGAAUAAACAAAUACCCAAAAAGCAAUAAAACAAUUAAAGCAUAAGAAAGAUCUCACAGUAAUGUUGAAUCAAAGCUUUAUUAAUCUUCAACCAGAAUAAUAGGUUUAAUUCUUCAUAGAGAGAAGAGAAAAAUCUAGAUCUAGGGUUUUUUUUUAUUUGAUCCCCUUCAAAAAUCUACCUGCCCUUUGUUUUUCACGUCUCUUCUCUCUUAUAGAGUUCUUCCAAAAAUAAAAUACUAAUAUCUAAAAUAUUAUCUAAAUAUUAAAUUCAAAAUUACAAAAAUAACUAAAAAGACAAAACACGUUAAAAUAAAAACUGCAGGUCCUUAGUUGACAGCACGUGCCCAUGCCUUAUCAACAAUGUUCUUCUAAAGCUCAUAAUUUCUCCAGGAAAAUAAUCAUCCUCAAGCAUCAUCUUGUAGCUCAAUUUUAGCAUCAAUCAAUAGAAUUGCACCUACAAGAAUAAAACACAAGUAAAUCAUUAUUAUUAAGUGCAAAACGUCGAUAUUAAAGGAAGUAAACAAUACAAAACUAGUGCAUAAAUUACACUCUAACAUCCUUCACACGACACAAAGUCACAAACAGAGCAAAACAACACAUAAAUUGCAAACACAAUCUAAUUAAAUUGUGAAGACAGUAUAAUCAGAGCAUAACAACACAUAAAUUACAAAGACAAUAUAAUUAAAUUCCAAAAAGAGUAUAAUCAGAGCAUAACAGCAGGUAAAUUGUAAAGACAAUAUAAUUAAAUUGCAAAGAGGGAAUAAUAAAAAAGUAAUAGAGCAUAAACUGUAAAGAGAAAAGCCAAGACUCACAAAUAUUCACAGCAGUAGCUUAACGCAGCCGCACCGUGAGAGAGUGAGAGAGAUUAAUUGAGAAACGGGUGAGACUUGAGAGAGAUUGAGAGAGGAACCGAACAGAUGAGAGAUUGAGAGGAGAAAUUACAGUAGAGUUGAAGAGAGUGAGAGAUCGAGAGAGCAAUGAGUGAGAGAGAUUGAGAUUUGAGAGAGGCAGAGAGCCAAGACCGAGAGGAAGUGAGGAACGAAUUGAGAUUUGAGAGAGCUAGGUUUUUUUUAUUUAUAUUUAUUAAUUUCUAAAAAAUUAAUAUUAAAAUAAAUAAUAUAUGGAUCCGGGUUUUGGAUUUGCGGGUUCACUUGAAACCGGAUCUGGACGUAUGUGGGUUCUAAAAAACCGAUCCGGAUUCCGCAUUAAAUUUGUUCCGGUGCGGGUUGAACCCGGAUCGGAUUAUCCAGGUUCAGUCUGGGUUCGGUUGCCAUCCCUACUCAUCCUUAGUUUUUAGAGGAAAGAUCCAUGUAAAUCUAGUGUAUUCAUCAACAAAGCUUACAUAGUAUCUAUACCCCUGAAUUGAAAUUAUAGGGGCAGGUCCUCAAAGAUCAAUAUGUAUGACUUUAAGAAGAUGAUUGGUUUUUGUUUUUGUUGCUGGAAAAUGUAAUCUGUGCAUUUUUCCAACUUUACAAGCAUCACAGGAAUCACUAACUUUGUUUUUAUUGACAAACUUGAAAGAUGGACAAGACUGAAUUACAUGAGUUAGAAUUCUAGAAUUUGGAUGACCAAAUCUUUGAUGUAAUACAGAUGUACUCAACAAACAUUUGGAGUUUACACAAUCAUCUGUUGCAGUAGGCAAACAAGAAGUUUUAUUUUUGAAAUCAGACUCAACAGCAGAGAACAUUAAAAGAGGAGUUUCACUAGCUACUGCCUCAAUACCAGCAACAUGACUUUGAAAGGUUGUCGAAGGAAUUAUUGUUUUAGAGGAAACCAAUAGCAAUUUGUAUAAUCCCUUUUCAGCCUUACCUUGUAGCAUGAUCAAGUUCUUCACUUUGUCCUUCACAAAACAAAAUUUAUUAGUGAACUCAACUACAACAUUAUUAUCUUUAGUUAGCUGUGAUAUGCUAAUCAGAUUUUUGGUGAUUUGUGGUACAAGAAGUAUGUUAUUUAGUUUAAUUGUGGGAGAGGUAAUUAAGUUCUUUAGCUUAAACACAACAUGACCAACAUGUGUUAUGCACAAACUAGCUCCAUUUCCAACAAAAAGUUUAGAAGUACUUGUGAAAGCUUCACUGAUAUGCAUAUUACUCACAUCAUUUGUAAGAUGGUGUGUUGCACCACUGUCCAGGUACCAAUUACUAUCAGAUGGUCCAUCCAUGUUGGCUAGAUAUGUUGACCUUGGAUUUCUAUUUGGUGGUGGUCUAUAAGCACCAGAAGCCAUGAAUUCAGCAAGUUUCCAGCAGACAUUUGCAGUAUGUCCAGUUUUGAAGCAAAUCUGACAGGUUGGUUUAGAAGUAUUCCAAUUAGGUUUAGUGUUUCCAAAAGUUUUGGAGUUAUUGAAAUCACUAGGUCCAGCAUCUUGAUUCCAAUUUCCCCCACCACCUCUUUGAUUAUCUCCCGGAUAGCCUCUGUGCUGUGCAUUAGUACCAAAAGCAUUAGUAGAAUAACUAGAGUUUCCUUAUCCUCCUCUAUAAUCAUUAUUACCAGAUUUUUCAUUAUAGCCAUAACCAGAACCGUAUCCAAAAUUAUCAAAACCUUUUCCUCCUGACAUAUUUCCUCUCUUAGGUCCUCUGUUUUGAGAAAAAUUAGCCUCAAAGUUUUAUUUUACAUCUAUACCAGCAAGCAUAUGAUUUUGUUGCUCAAUCCUAGCCUCUUGAGUUAAAAGCAUAAGAUAGGCUUCAUUAAUAUUCAUCUUCCCAACACCUACUUGUCUAGUGAUACAUGUGGCAACAGAAUUAUAAUAUGGACCUAAGCCAGAGAGUAUGUGCAAAAUUAAAUCAUCAUCACUCAAAGUACUUCCAUCUGCAGCCAUAUUAUCAACAAUAUUUUUCAUCUUAAUAAAGUAGUCAGUGAUCUUCAAAUAAUCUUUUCUAGUGGAGUUCAUCAUGUACCUUAAGUGCAGAAGUCUAGAUUUAGAUUGUGAUCCAAACUGAGUUUCAAUAGCUUUCCAUACCUCCAAAGAAGUUUCCAGGUUGAAUACAAGACUGAUGAUGCCUUCACUCAUUGAGGAGAGUAACCAUCCGAGAAGCACUUGAUCUUGUGAGCGCCAUGUUAUGAAGUCUGGAUUUUCAACAAAUCUGAGAUCAUCACCAACUCUCUGAGCAAUGUGAGAAGCAAGUGGAGUGAUAGAUUCAUCAAUGAACUUCUCAAGUCUGUUACCUCGAAUUGAAGCUAAGACUUGUGACCUCCAUAUCAGAUAGUUUGACUGAUCAAGUUUAACAGGUGUAUUAAAAGUAAAGGUUACAGUCGAUGAGUUGACAUUAGUAUUCUGAAUUGGUGUAGAGGAUGAAGCAAGAUUUACUGAGGCCAUAGCUGGCUCUGAUACCAAGUUGAAAAACAAGAAAAUGAUGUUUGGAUACUGAGAAAGUUUUGAAAGAAGAAUUGAGAGGAAAUAUUCCAGAUCUUUCUAAUUCAUUUCAUUGUUCAUAAAAACAUAAUACAAUGAAGUUUAUUUAUAUAUACAAGAAUGCUGAACUGUAAUUAAGCUAAUUUCAACUAACUCUACAACAAACUAUUUUAGCUAACUUACUAACUAAUCAUGCACGUGUGACUUUGUAACCAUAUGAAGCCAGCUGGUAAUCCUUCUCAGCAACUUGUUGUGCUUCCUUAACAGCUGGUUUGAGAAGGCCAACUUGACAGAUUAAUUCCUUUUAAUAAUGGUCAAGAUAAUUUUAAUCUUCUCGUAAAAAAUUCUUACACACUUAUAUAUGAUAACGCCAUACAAAUGUAAUCAGCAUUGUCUUGUGCUGUUUUCUUCACUAAAGAUCUUCAAUCAAAACAGGUUAGAAAUCAAAUGCUUAACAUAGAAGUUGAAACAAAAUCUAAUUGAAUAUUGCAUGAAACAUGAAACAUCAAUUCAAGUCCUUCCUCAAACAGAGAAUGCAUCAAACAAAUCCAAAGUAUCUUGCAAGUCUGUAGCAUAAGCAAAACGCUGUAAAUACAUUUGGGGCAUUUAGUGUAAAUGUGUAUGAUAAAAAAUAUUUCUGGGAUUUAAUUUUUUGAUGGUUUUGUGUUUACGGUAUGUGAUUUGUUUGGAUUAAUGUGAUGUGUGUUCAUGCAUGCAAAAUUAGAGCAUGCCCAUAUCAAGAUUUUGUCUUAUUAUUAUUAUUAUAAUCAUUAUUUUUUUAUCUGAAUUAUGAAUUUAUUGAUUGGUUGGGGUCUUACAUGAUAAAUCCAAUUUAAUCUUAGAGACACUUUUAAUUUUUUAUUCUUUUUCUUGUUCAUGAUUGGUUGAGUUGUACACAUGAAAAGAAUUUAGUGGAAAUAUUUCUCAAUACUUGUAUGUGUUGGUACCUCUGUAUGUCAGUGAAUCAUGGUUACUCGUUUGAUAUCCUAGAAUCAACGUAGAAAUGCAUGUGGGAGGCUCUGUUCACUUUGAAGAUUGCGAAGAUUUAAUUUUGAGAAAGACAAGUCGAAGUAGAGAUAGAUCAUAAAUUUCCAGUUUGUUUUCAGUCAAAGCUUAAUUGUCGAAUACUUUCUUAAUAAAACUUGCAUUAUAGAUUUCUAUUUCCCGUACACGUUAGUGUGUCCAUCUUUGAACAUAGUGUACCUUACAGCUAACAGCACUCACACCGUUCGGCACAAGUUUCUUUAGUAAAUAUUCAUGCUGUGUAAGUGUGAUUGAAAAAUGAAGGGGAAAAAAAUCUUAAUUGUAUCCAUUACUUCAUAUCCAAAUUUUUUCCCCUGCUCUGGAAUGCUGUAUCAAUAUGGUAUGUCUGGUUGCAGUCAUGCUUCACUGUGGCCUGUGAGCUACCAGAAAUUGAUAAAUUCAUGGUUGGUUGAAGUAAUUUAAUCUACCCGCACCAAUUUAAAUUACCCAAAUAAAUGACUGGUUUGGUACUUCUAAAGCAUCGCCCAGUUGUGAAUACUCAUCAAAGGUAGAAGGUUAGACCAACCUUAGUACCAAAUGACACGUACAACACAAAUCCAUGUGGCUUCAAAUACAACAUUGAACGAUCUCAUCUUCAGCCAUGUUAGAACUCCGUCGGUUGGUUCUCAUCUCACGAUCGUGAACCAUGGAACCGGCUGAUUUGUGAAAUUGUUCGGGUAGCAAUGGAGCGACUUCCCAAACUGGCUCCCCAAGUUGAGAGAAACAAUACCUCAAUAAGAGUUCAAUGGUGUAGGCAGCAUCCAGCAGAGUCAUUUCAACGAAUUUAAUCAACACAGCUUAAUUCGAUUUUUUCUGCAUAAGAACCGAGUAAUUCUGCUUCUUUGAUCUUUAUGACUUGAACAAACUCCUUAAACCUUAUUUCGUCCGUUGAAGAAAGUCUUGGAGGCACCGCUGUUUAUGUUCUUCCAUGAACUGUAAGUUUGCUUUGCCAUGGUGAAGAGGUAUCCUCUUAUGAAUUUAGUUUAUAUCAAAAUAUGAGAGAGUCAAUAAUUGGAUGCAAGUCAAUAGCUGCAUGCAAUCUGAGGGCUAACAUUUGUUUGAUCAUUAUGUUAAAAAAAAAAAUGUUAUAAAACAGGAUUGAUUGAUGGCCUUUAACAGUCAGUUCUAUGACAAAGUAACCACCACAAAAAAGGGAAUCACAAGACAUCAAGAAGCUUGAACUUGGCAGGGGGUCUCAUUAGCAGUACGCCUCAGAAAUUAAGACAAAGACAAAGUGCAAGCUUAUGGAGCAAUUUAAGCACUGAAACUAAUAACAGUGAUAGACGAAGGUGCAGAAGUAUGGUAUUGGCAAUUGACCUCUGCUUUUGCUUAGACACAGGUUCUCAUUACAAAAGACUUAUUAGUAGCCCUCACCUAACAUGUUUGGAUGUUAAGGGGAAAAAGAAAGUUUGAAUUAUUCAAUCUCAUUUCUAAUGGCAUUCAUGGAGAAUCUAUAAAACAAAAAAAUAAAUAAAAAUUUUCAUCCAUGAAAAGCUUAGUAAUGGAAAAACCGACUCGUUUAUCUACCGCUGACCUAAUCCGGACUCAUUUAAUUAAAAAAGAAUACAAAGCCAAACUAAAAGACACAAAUUGCAUACAUGUCUAGGAGCCAUAUCAAAGCUGUUAUAUAACUUAUCCAAUUAUUAAAUUCUCUUACGGGUCAUAGCGUGCUUACUCAUUUCGAAAGCAGUUAAUGAUAAGAACUUUCAUCAUUAAUUGAUAUGGCCAAUGUAGAAAAACGGAAAAACCCCUCCAACAUCAAAGCACAAGGAUGAGUUUAGAAUUACACUUCUUAAUUACUUUUUUUUUAAUAAAUAAAAGUCAAUAUGAAAAUAGAAAAUAGUUUUGAAUUAAAAAAAAGUUUUGAAUAACUUUUUUUUUAAAAUGAAUAGAAAAACAGGGGAAUGAAAAGAUGGCCUCCGUUUCUCGUCUGUUUUGUUUUUACUGUUAUUAAACAGGGGAAUGAGGAAAGAGAUCCCCUGUCUCUACUCUGUUUUGAUUUUUUUAUUACUAAACUGGGGAAUGCAAAGAUCAAUUCUUGUUGCAAUCGCAAAUUUUUGUUUCUACCUUAGUACCUUCUAAAUGCUGCAUGCAUUAAAAUUAAUCUUACAUACGCUAAAAGUUCUGGAUAUAUCCAAAUUAUAUAAUGAUUUUAAAAGUUCAAAUUUAGCACUUAAUUUUAUAUGUUUGUACAUAAAUUUAAUGUGGGUAUCGUAUAUUGCAUUGUUGUUAUUCACAUUUUUUGUAUGCUGCAAUGAUCUCAAAACGGUAAAAUGCUUCGUGUGUCUCUUCUUUAUGUUUCUCGUUUCUGUGCAGGCAAAUCCUUCAUUGCAUAGUACUCUUCAGCUUGUACAAAGACGGCAUGCAUUUAGGUAUAAAUUCUUACACACUUAUAUAUGAUAACGCCAUACAAAUGUAAUCAGCAUUGUCUUGUGCUGUUUUCUUCACUAAAGAUCUUCAAUCAAAACAGGUUAGAAAUCAGAUGCUUAACAUAGAAGUUGAAACAGAAUCUAAUUGAAUAUCGCAUGAGACAUGAAACAUCAAUUCAAGUCCUUCCUUAAACAGAGAAUGCAUCUAACAAAUCCAAAGUGUCUUGCAAGUCUGUAGCAUGACCAAAACGCUGUAAAUACAUUUGGGGUCAAAUUAUUCAAGUACAAAAAAACGAACAAGUUGAAUCAUGGAUAAGAGAUUGUCCUGGUUCGAGAUAGCUUCUUUAUUGUACUUGAAGGGUGGGCUCAAUCUUUUCUUCAGAAUUUUGCACAUUUUGUAAUUAUUAAUGUGUAAGCAAGCAUACAAUACCACCAUCAUCAUCAUCAUAAUAAUAGUAAUUAAAAAAAUAGCAAGAGUAAUGAUGCGACCACAAACUCUUUUGUACAAAUAAUAUUGUAUAAACUAAUGUAACAUAAUACGAUUGGUUAAACUAAAACAUCCAAUGACCCUCAUGAUUUAUUUUUUAUUAUUAUAUAUUUCAGUCAACCAAUCAUAUUAUACCAUAUUAGUUUCUAUAAAAUAAUUUGCUAGCUAGCACCAAUAUUUAAUUAAUUAAUACUCACCAUUUCAUUGAACAAUUUUUGUAUGGUGUCAUUGAGAUUGCCUUCCCAGCAUCCUUCUUCUCCUUCGGUGAGUUUCACUUUGUUUAGCUUUGGUGUGUCUACAACUCCUUGAGAGAAAAUCUUCAUCUUUGGACACUGUCUCACAACUACUCGUUCCAAGGACGGGAAUUCAAGAGUAUAAUUACCCAAACAAAUGCUUGUUAGUUAAGGCAAACAAUCAAGUCCCAAGUACUCCAAUUUCCUGAAAACAAUGCAAUCUUUCGCUUCUUCUCCAACUUGCGAUUGUAUGAUUUCUUCUAUCAUUUUGCAAUCAACUAUCUUCAUUUUUUUAAGAUUCACUAGACUUUUAGAUGUUAAGAACGUCAACACAUUUAUCAACCCGUGACAUUUUGAUACUUCCAGAGUCGCCAGAAUUUCCAAAUGCCAUGAAGGCGGUACUAAUUUUUGCAACUUACUACAUUCCGAUACGUCUAGACUUUGCAAAUUUGCAAAAACUUUGUUGGAUUCGGCAUUUUCCUUCCAGAGAUGCAACACAUUGGGUAAUCUAGACAGCUUUAACCGUCUCAAUUUGGGGAAUGCAACCUGAAAAUCAACAAACUUAAGUUGUAAAGAAAAUACAUAACUAAUCUCUGCAGUCCUCCCAACAUUUUAUAUUCAAAUUGGUUUCAUUUUUGGAAGGAACCAAAAAAAAACAAACAAAUUAAUUACCCUUGAAACACAUAAAUCAAAUCUAAUGCUAAAUCCAAUAUGAAUUAGCUAGGAAAACAGAGAUGUAAGGCGUAAAAUGGAUAUAAUUCACACCAUGUUACCGAUCAUCUAAUUAAUUUGAGACAUUUUUAUAAUUCUUAUUGUAAAGUUAGUUAAUAAUAACAAUAAUACUGUUAAAUCAUAUAUAAAUUAAGACAACUUCUAGGAAGAUGAGUCAUUAAAUUUGAUUUUGAGUCUAAUGAAAUUACACCUAUGCGAAUGAAAGUGAAGAAGAAAUAAUAAUAAUAAUAAUAAUAAUAAUAAUAAUAAUAAUAAUAAUAAUAAUAACCACCUUUUCAUCGAAGGGUGGUUCUAUAUGAUCAGCUAGCUGGAAGUUCUCUGAUUUUAUUUCUUGAGGUUCCUUAUUAUCCGCUGUCAUGUGCUGCGCAGACAUAGAAUUGGAGAUGAAUGUUUUCAUAUUAGGGCAAUUCUCAAUGGUCAGAUGCCACAACUUAGGUAGUUCAAUUAUACUCUCGUUGGAGUUGCAAAAUCUUUUGAGUUUUGGAAGAUCCAUGAUUUUUAGUUCCCGUAGUAAAGGAAAUAGUAGACCAAAAUGUUCUUUGUUAGUGAAUUAGAUGAAGCUGGAGCAGAGCAUGAUGUUGCUAUGUAGCUGGUUGUAGCAGAUCAAAUCAUUAAGCUAACCUGUCAAAGUUAGUUAGCUGGUUGAGCUUAUGUGUCAAGUUAGUUAUACAGCAAAUGGUUAUGUGUUGCAACAAUCUCGUGUGUGUGUAAAGAGAUUGUAGCUCAAUAUAAAUAUUAAUCAGUAGUCAUUAAACUGUAAGCUUGGAAUAAUAAAAGAUCCAACAGAUUUCUUUGCAAAGCUCUUUUUUUUUUUUCUUUCAUUUUCUAGCCUACCAAACAAUAUAGAACUAAGUUUCUUUCAUGGUAUCAGAGCCAUAAAUGGCAAAUAUAGUUCAAAACAACAACUCUUUCAGUUUUGUUACGCCAUGUUACGCCAGUAAAGCUAGAUCAAAACAACUUCAUUCGGUGGCGCACACAAAUUUUAACUUCAAUCAAAGGAAACAGUUUGGAAGGGUUUAUCAAUGGCGAUCGAGAAUGUCCUGAGCAGUUCCUUUCUUCUGGAAACAACAAUGGAGCUGAAGUUUUAACUGAAUCUGGAUCCAGAUCUAUUAAUCCAGAAUUCGUAGCUUGGAUGAAGACUGACCAACUCUUACUGAGUUGGAUGAUGUCAUCGAUACAGCAAAAUCUGCUUGCUACUGUGAUUGAUUCUACAACUUCAAAACAGCUUUGGGAGACUCUUGCUAGUAUGUUUAUCUCUCAAUCACAAGCUAGAAUUCAAACACUUAGAAUGCAAAUUCAAACUAUUAAGAAAGGUGCAAUGCAUAUGUCUGAUUAUUUUGUAAAAGUAAAACGCAUAGCUGAUACUUUAGCUCUAGCUGGAAAACCUAUUAAGUUAAAUGAUCUUCUGAUGCAUAUAUUAACUGGUCUUGAUUCAUCAGACUAUGAGUCUUUAGCCACAGCUGUGUUAGCUCGAGGUGAAAAGAUCACAUUAGAUGAACUAUAUUCUUUGUUGUUGAAUCAUGAAAAUAGAGUUGAGCAAAAGAAAGGAAAAAUUGCUGGUGAUGUGAUGCAUAACAUGACAGCAAAUAUUGCUCAGAAGAACUCAAAGCUUCAACAACACUUUUAUAAUUGAGUCACAAUACAAUUUACAGUAGUGUGAGAAUCUUUUCAAGGUUACAAUCUCACAAAACUCGUGAGCACAGAUUCUAAUACACAUAACAAACUUUUGGAGGGAAGCUGAUAAGCUCUAUAACUAACUGCAAAACUGACUUCCAGCGUGGCUUGAUGACUCAGCAGCUGACUCAUCAUAUGUUAUUCUUAACACAUUUUUGUUCCUUCAACUACAACUAUCUAAUAUAAUAUUCUUUUGAUGACUGAAGAUCAAUCGUGAUAAUAUUAAUUAAAUAAUUAAUCAAUCAAUUAAUUAAUUAUUAAACAAAAAAUUUUCACCUUGUGAACAUGAUCAUCCUCUGCAAUGAUUUCUUUGAAUCCCUGAGUAGUUGUUGGUUUCUCCUUGUCGGGCCCUAUAAAUGAACAAAAACAAUAUAUAAUUAACCUCUAUUGUUUUUUUCACCAAAAAAAAAAGAAGAAUGAGCCAAUGUCAAUAAUCCUACCAAUAAUUAAUUUCAACACUUACCAAUAAUCAUUUUCAUUUCACGGCAAUCUUCCACUUCUACUUUAUGAAGCCGCAAUAGGUUUUUAGCCACAGAGAAUGAGAAGAGAUGCUUCAAUUUGCCACAAAAAGCUACUUUUAUAAUCCUUAAGUUGCUGAAGGAUUGAUCUUCUCUGAGUUGGCUGUAGCAUAUCGUCUCCAAAUUAGUUAAAAACAUAAGAGACAAUGACUCCAGCCAGGGAAAGACUUCGCAACGAACCCGUCCAACUGAACCGACAAUAUGUAAAAUCUUAGAGUUGUUGGAAAAAUAUGCUCUUUAAAAGCAUAUGUGUUUAUUUAAUUGUAAUAAACAAUUUUUCUGAUUAAUAAAAUAAAUGAGGUAUUUUAUUCAAAUAUCUUAAUUACAUUAAUAUUUGUAUUAAAGUCCAUUUAAUCAUAUUAUAUGUAUUUAUGUGAUCACCAUGUGGAUUCACAGAAGACAUAAAUACAAGUUAUCUUAUGAUUAAAUAAGUUUAGUUCGCAGUUGAUAAAUAAAGUUGGGCACUUUAUUUAGGUAUAAACUGUAAUAAAUUCAUUGAAUGAUUUGUCUUAAUCAUGUAUGAAUUUAUUGAUGUAGUACGACUACAUUGAACAGGAUCACAUAUGAGAUUUAAUUAACUUUGUAAUAACUGUCAGACUUAUUAAAUCUCAUAGGCAUUGAUUUUACUGUAAUCUUAAUCUUGAGUUAAUUAUGAUUUCAUGAUUGUAAUUGUUAUUCCAUUUGAGUUACCAAUGGGCACGACACAUACUUGUGGUCAAGAUUACCCGGUAUCUUGGUGGGAGCAAUUAUGAGUAUUGGAGUUAUGGAUUAACAAUAUAGAAUUUGUACAACACAUCUCUUGAUAGGUUUUCGGCACUUGAUCAUUGAAUUCUCUGGCCAAAGUGCGUCAACAUAUUUAGUAUGUUGAAAAUGAUCAUUAGAGAAAACCAGUAAGGAUCAAGGAAAAAGAUGGUAUUAAAUUGAUUGGACAGUUGAGAUAUCAAUUUAAUUAACGAUGUGGUACAAAGGAUUGUGCAGUAAAGAAAUCAAUGUGGCUUGGGACGAAUUAUUAUUCGAGCAUACAAUUAUGGAAGUCAGUUCCAAUCUUUUAGUGGAGUAGAUUUGGAAUUAAAUAAUUAGGCUAGUUUAAUUACAGGCCUAAUUGUUAUAGCCACUAUUGUAUGUUCCCAAAUGAUCCCCGGGUUAGCUCAUUUAAUUGACUGCACCACUACUGGACUAAUAAGCAAGAUAACUAGCUAUUUGGGCCAAAAGCCUAAAUAUAUCAUUUAGUGAGAGGCUCCAUUUAAUUAGCUUAUGUAAGGGGCCUUAUGUUAUUUUACAUGGUGGGUCCCCUAUUAAAUGAAAAGUACCGUGUAGGGUUUUCACUAAAGGGAGAUAUAUAAGGCUUAUUUUCUUAAAAGAAAAAGGUGGAGCCACUUUAUACAGAUCAGAGAAAAAGAUUUUUCUCUCUAUUGUUGAGAGAAAAAUUUUCUCGUGCUAGUUGCUUUGGUAGUGAUAAAGGCGCCCACACGUCAAGUGCAGAUCGAACCUGAGUCAUAAGCUGGAAGAUCAUUGGUGACAGUUCAUGAUCUAACAAGCGUGUUGGUGCAGGAUCGUGAUCUAACAGGAGUGGUGGUGGCGGAUCGUGAUCUAGGAGCCUAAAUCACUUCAACGGAAAAAGCCAAAUCGGAUUUUCAAGGUACGAUUUCUAGAAUACAAAUUCUUAUAUAUUAUAUGAGAGCGAUCUUCAAAAGGUUUUAUAAAAAUUUAAAAACCUGAUUUUUCCCAACAAGAGCAAUAUGUUACAUUAAGAUGCUUCAACUGUGGAAAACCUUCCCCAUCGUCUAAUUCAUGAACAACAUUCUGAACACCCUUCAGUUCCCGUAGACAAAGAUCUUCGGUUCUCUUCAUUAACAUUUUCGUCCCAUAAUUCUCCAAAAGAAUGCUAACUUUUCCUAGCCUCUUGAGUAUCAUCAAUCUUGAUGUUUCAGAUUUGACGUGCCGUUGGCCCAACUUAUCUCCGAUACAUAUCCUAUAUCUUUGCAAUUCCACAAAGACCAAAUCCUGCGGCAGAAUUUCGGCAUCUGGAACAUCUAUCUCCAAAGUAGUUAGCUUUGACAACCCCUUCAACUCGGUAAGACUGGCAUUGCUUCCUCCUUCAACCUUAUCCCACUGUGAAAAGCUGUUAUCCAUAUACAGUUCUUCUAAUCGAGAUAAUUUUGAAAUGACAUUCGGUGCUAUCACCUCAAGGUUCCAACAAUUGCUCAAAUCUAACAACCUUAACCGUGUCAAUUGUCCAAUUUCAAGUGGCAGCUGCUCAAUAUUAGAAUCUCGAAAGCUGAGAAUAUCUAACUUCUUUAGCUGUCCAAUUAUGGCUAUUUCAUUCAGUACACAACCAUCUAAACAUAAUGUUUGAACAUUGAAGAGGCAACCAAGUGAUGAAGGUAAUGAAGGGAUUCGAGCAUUAGUAAAAUGUAAUACUUUGAGUUGUUUCAUGCCUUCAAAAAAGAGGUCUGGGAUUAUUAAAGAGCUACGAAACUUUGUAAACAACAAAAGUAACUUGAGUUUUGGACAUUCCAGCCGUUCUGGAAGCUCAGAAGCCUUUCUUUUGUUUAAAGGUAGAGAAAUAGCGGUUGGUUCCUUCUCUAUUGUCCUUUCUAUCUCUUCCUUCAAGUCAGCAACAUUUGGGAUAUUAAACAUAAGCUUUUCUGAGGCAAUUGAUACAGCAAUAGCAUGAAUAAUGUCGUGCAUUUUAGCUUCAUCUUCAGCAUCACCAUCCAACAAUAAGCAUGACGAUUUGAGAAUGUCGAUCAAUGUAUCCACUCUAUUCCUUGCUGCUUCCAAUGUGUAAACAUUUUUAAACAAACCCAAACCCAUACCAUUUCUCAAUAAGGAAGGAACUUCUAGAGAAUGACCUUGACCGUAUAGACCACAAAGAAGGAACAAAGACUUUGCUUCAUCACUUUCCAAAAAUUUGUAACUCAAUUCUAUGGAAGUGUAGACAUUUGCAUCCAUUCCAUGAAUUUCUCUUGAAUUAGAAUUUCGCAGCUGAUUCAACGCAUCCUUUCAAAUGGCAAGCCUCUUAUUUUUCAGAGCAUUUGCAACUGUACUCACUGCGACUGGCAAAGCUCCACAUCUUUUAACAAUCUCAUUUGUUAUAGGUUGAAAAGCAGAUGUUUUUGUUGAAUCGCCGACUAUCUUCUCAAACAACUGCAAUGCUUCUUUGUCUGCUAAGAUUUCAAUUGAGAAAUUUUUCUGAGAUUUCAUAUCAUCAUGCAAUAAAUCACGACUUCUAGACGUCAAUAUUAUUGUCCAUCUUCUCUGAUCAUCCUCUCUACCUUUCUCAUCAACAUCUCCAGAAGGAAUUCCAACCGCAUCCAACUCAAGUUUUGUCCAAAUAUUAUCCAAUAUAAUGAGGACCCGCUUCUCUUGCUUCAACCUUUCACGCAGUCGAGAAGCUCUAUGGUGUAUACUAUCAUUCAAGUCAAAUUUCAUGCCUAAAUCAGAAGCGAGCUUGUCUUGAAUUUUCUGGGGAUCUGGGUUCUCUGUUACCCACAGCCAUAGCGACCUUAUCGAACAAGUUAUCUUCCAUCACUUGCUUUGCAACUUGCUUGACGAGCGUGGUUUUCCCCACGCCGCCCAUCCCGUAGACCCCAAUUAUCUUGAGCUUAUCGUCCUUCAACGCCUCCACAACAUCUUGAAGUACUUUCAUUCUUGAAUCAAAGGCCUCGAAAUCUUUCGCUUGCAUAUGUUCUGCCCGCUUUGGAGCAGGACGGUAGGAAACAUUAGAGAAGUUGCCUUUUCCCACGAGACUAGCGGCAGCUUCUGCGGCCUUUGCUGCUUGUUUACUAAGCUUGUAACGAGAAAUCAAGUUUGGGCACAAUCCUUUGAAGCAGGACUUCUUAGCUCUAUCUUCAACAUCAAUGAUGGAUUUUGCAACCCCUUCACUGAUGAAUUCGUCAACGCUAUGUAGCCAGUCUGUGACACCCUCAUAAAGCUCAUCCCCUUGUAGCCUAGCAUGAUUAACUGGUUGCUGCACCAUUUCUCUUUUAUAUCCCAGCUGCUUUACUUGAUCUUUUAGCUUAUCUAUGUAGCUCUAGUACUUGAACACAUAAGAUAUCUCCCGUAUAAUUGGUUUGAACAGUGACUUUGCACCUUCUGAUACGAUGCUGGAAAAAGCAGCCAGACCCACCUCUGCCAUUGCCUGCUGCUUAACAAAUCUAAUAAUAUGUCAAAUAAACUAAAAUGAACUAGAAGGAAAGACAAGAAAGGAAAAGACAGCAAACAGUAUCGCAACAUUGAUCUUGAAUCAACUGAAACAUGAACAGAGCAUUUUUUCUUCUUUAUUAAGGAUCAGAGUUUUUGCUAUUAACAGAAACGUACUUCAAGUGUCUAAAAAAACAACUAUAAAUGAACAAUAACUACAAAACUCAAGCAAAACAAGCCGUAAAAGUUUUAUCAUGGAAAGUGGAUGGAAAUUGAGAAAGAAAUGCUAUAAAGAUCAAGCAUCAGAGAUUAUGCUAUUAAAAGAAAUUAAUUGAAGGUUUUAGUACAAGUGCACAUGUUUAAUUAUAUGGCAUCAGAAAGUUGAUGAGCUAAUGUAAUCGCCUUGAAUAUUUAAGAACAAUUUCAAUGAGCAAAAAAAUUUCUGUUAACUGCAAAGGAAUGUGAUUAUAGAGAGCUUAUGAAAGUAAUGAUUUGCAAAAGAAGAAGACUUAAUAAUGCAGCCCUUAAUAUUUAUUAAAUGACUUGUGAUCAUUUCUUUUAUGAAUAAAAUGCCAGCAGCAAAAAUAGAAAAAAGGGCUAAAUUUACUAAGUCUUAUUUUAUUUUUGAUUUCUUUUAUUUUCAUUCGCCGAAGAGGGAGUCUCUCUCUCUUUUCUUUUUUCUUUUUUUUUUAAAGGGAAUCUCCUUACCUAAUAUGACAUAAUGAAAGCAAUCCGUAAAUAGUACAAUAAUCAUAUAAUAUAAUGAUAGAAAGCAAGUGCAUGAGCCACGAAGAUCUGGAAGAAUGCCAAAGCCAAACCAUAAGUAUAUUACGUGAGAGCAUAAGUUGAUUCCCAUGCAAGCCAUGCAUGACACAUGCAUGUGCAGUUUCACGUGUGGAAAUUGUAAAGAUGAGUACUGGAGCCAUGAUUUUGGGAUGACCUUAUCAAGUUGAUUUUGGGAUGACCUUAUCAAGUUGCUUUUGAUUAUCUUUACGAAAUAUUAGCUAGGUCGUUAUUUUAAUAUUUGUUUUAUUGAUUUCAGCCGUGAUUGUAGAUUGAAAAUCAAGGUCUUGUGAUUAUAAAUAAGCUCCAGAAUAUGAAUAAAGGCAUUGAGAAUUCUAAACAACAAUUAUUGGGUCCUUUCUCGCCAUAAGCAGAAAAAUAUCACUUGUGUUACGCGUGAUCAUUGGCUGUCUCUGACUGGGACCUAACAUUGGUAUCAGAGCUAGCUAUCAAUGAGGACCAACAAGGAGCGCAUCGAACGAAUUGAAACUGAUAUCGGGAGCUUACAGAACAAGAUGGAACAAAUGGAAAUUGGGUUCAAUGACAAGCUGCAACGUCUGGAGGAUACCAUGAACAAAUUGGUUGAAUCUUUUAGUGCAACCAGAGGCACUGCCAGUCACGGCACUAACGAGAACAUUGGAUCUUCACGACACGACACUAACGAGAACAUUGGACCUUCACGAUCAUUCCGCGAGGAAAGUGAAAGAGGUCGACCACCGAUGCCGACAAGACUUGCUAAGUUGGAGUUUCCCCGCUAUGCCGGCGACGACCCAACGGAGUGGUUCAAUCGGGUAACGCAGUAUUUUGAGUACCAAGAAACCACAGAUGAGCAGAAAGUAGUCUUAGCGGCAUAUCACUUGGAGGGCGAAGCAAAUCAAUGGUGGCAGUGGAUGUGCAAGGCUUACCGAGAAGAAGGUCGACCGGUUACGUGGGAAAUAUUUGUUGACGAGUUGUGGGCGCGCUUCGGACCCACUGAUUGUGAAGACUUUGAUGAAGCAUUGUCUCGGGUCAAACAAACAGGUUCUCUGCGAGAAUACCAAAAGGAAUUUGAGAGGUUGGGAAACCGAGUUCAUGGGUGGUCACAGAAAGCGUUGGUAGGCACUUUCAUGGGAGGGUUGAAAACGGAGAUUGCAGAGGAUAUACGGAUGUUCAGGCCACGAACGUUAAAGGAAGCCAUUAGCCUUGCUCGUAUGAAAGACGACCAGAUAACACGCCAACGAAGAUUAUUCCGACCAACAAUUGUCAGCCGAACACCGCCGGUCCCCAAUCGAGCAUCACCAACAGUACCCUUCAAACGACUGUCUUGGGAGGAGAUGCAACGUCGACGUACACAAGGGUUAUGCUUCAACUGUAAUGACAAGUUUACCGUUGGCCACAAAUGCACCAAGGCACAAUUACUGAUUUUAGAAGGCGAACCACAAACAGAAGAAUUCAUCUAUGAAGAGGUCACGGAAGAUGAUCCAACAACGGGACCAGCAGAAAUGGAAAAACCUAAAAUCUCUUUAUAUGCAUUAACGGGAUGGACUGCACCUCAAACAAUGCGAGUCAUGGCAAGGAUUGGGCCGUACAAAAUAAUAGUCUUAAUAGACAGUGGGUCCACCCACAAUUUCAUUAGCACUAAACUUGCUAAUUUGCUCCAAUUACCCGUCAAACCAAUGGAGACUUUCACAGUACGCGUUGCCAACGGUGAAAGAUUGACAUGUCAAGGGAAGUUUGAACAGGUACAACUUUUCAUUCAAGAUAUUUCUUUUUCACUCACGGUUUAUUCUCUACCGAUAUCAGGAUUAGAUAUGGUACUGGGUGUGCAAUGGCUCGAACUAUUGGGUUCAGUCGUAUGUAAUUGGAAGACAUUAACUAUGGAGUUUGAGUGGGGAAACCGGAAACAACGCCUACAAGGGAUAAAUCCGCAAAUGGUACAGCCAGCAUCGGUGACAGAAGUAACGAAGGAAAUUAAACAAGGUCAUGAGGUAUAUGCAAUUUGUUUCCAAAUAAAACUAGAAGAGUCGCUGGGCACGUUACCACCAGAUAUGCAGCAGCUGUUGACAAAUUAUGAGGCAUUGUUUUGUGAGCCCACGCAGCUCCCUCCUCCACGAGACAUUGAUCAUCGAAUUCCAUUAAAGGAAGGUACCGAGGCAAUUAACGUAAAACCGUACCGGUACGCUUAUUUCCAAAAAGCAGAAAUUGAAAAACAAGUACAAGAGAUGCUCACUUCAGGGUUAAUCCGGCCAAGCACCAGCCCUUUCUCCUCACCGGUGCUGUUGGUAAAAAAGAAGGACCGCAGUUGGCGCUUUUGUACCGACUACAGAGCUCUAAAUCAAGUCACCAUCAAAGACCGUUUUCCAAUUCCAACGGUUGAUGACAUGUUAGGCGAUCUCCAUGGUGCCGCAUAUUUCACAAAAUUGGAUUUAAGGGCAGGGUAUCAUCAGGUGCGAGUUAAUCCUGCGGAUGUCCAUAAAACUGCAUUCUGAACUCACAACGGGCAUUGCGAAUACCUAGUGAUGCCGUUCGGAUUGUGCAAUGCACCAUCAACGUUUCAGGCUUUGAUGAAUUCUAUUUUCCGUCCUUACCUCAGAAAAUUUAUACUUGUAUUUUUUGAUGACAUACUAAUUUACAGCCCCACGUGGAGCUGCCAUUUGAACCAUAUGAAACAGGCACUAGAAAUUCUUCGAGAACAGCAACUUUUUAUCAAGGCAAGCAAGUGCAAUUUCGGGCAGUAGGAAUUGGAGUAUCUAGGUCACAUAGUCACUUGUCAUGGCGUAAAGGUAGAUGACAAGAAAAUUGCGGCGAUGGUAACUUGGCCCCGGCCACAAAACAUCUCCGAGCUGAGGGGAUUCCUUGGUCUCACCGGAUAUUACAGAAAAUUCGUGCAAAGGUAUGGGUUGCUUGCUCGGCCACUCACUAAUCUUUUGAAGAAAGGACAGUUCGGCUGGAGUGACGAAGCGGAAAAAGCUUUUGACAAUUUAAAGAAGGCUAUGACUAUUACUCCAAUGCUCACCAUGCCCAACUUCAAUGAUACUUUCAUUAUUGAAACUGACGCUUCCGGCGAUGGUAUUGGUGCGGUGUUACAGCAGCAAGGAAAACCAAUAGCGUACAUGAGUAGAGCUCUCGGCAUCACAAAGAAAGCUUGGUCAGUUUACAACAAAGAGAUGCUCGCCAUUGUGGAAGCUAUUCGAAUAUGGAGGCCAUACUUGUUAGGGCAGGGUUUCACAAUCCAAACUGACCAUCGCAGCAUCAAGUUCUUCCUGGAACAGAAAGUCGCAACACCGGAGCAACAAAAAUGGAUGGUAAAAUUAAUGGGCUAGGAUUAUGAAAUUGUUUAUAGGCCGGGUCGAGAAAAUACAGCCGCAGAUACGUUGUCACGACGUUUUGACAGCCCAACUCUAUUUCAUGUCUUUAUUCCGCAGGUUGCUAUAUGGGAAGAAAUAAAAAACGCGGCCAGCAAUGAUGAGUACAUGAAGAGAAUAAAUUCAGUUGUGCAAGCCCAACCUUCAGGGCCUUACACGUUGCGGGAUGGCAUGAUAUUUUUUAAGAAUAAAGUAGUAGUUCCACAAGCAUUACGGGACACACUCCUAUUUCAAGCACAUGACACAAAGAUAGGAGGUCACUCUGGAAUUCUUCGCACAUUCAAACGUUUAUCACAACAGUUCUACUGGCCAUCCAUGUUCCAAACUGUGCGUGAAUACUUGAGUAAAUGUGCAACUUGUCAACAAACAAAGGCAGAAACACUCAAGCCGGCAGGACUUCUCCAGCCUCUGCCAAUCCCGUGUCAGGUGUGGGAUGAUAUUACACUAGACUUUAUUGAAGCUUUACCCUGGUCACAAGGGAAGAAUGCUAUUUUGGUAGUGGUAGAUCGACUGAGUAAAUCAACACAUUUUAUGGCUCUUUCUCAUCCUUACUCAGCAAAAACAGUGGCGGAAAAAUUUAUUGAGGGAGUAGUGAAGCUGCACGGCAUGCCCAAAUCAAUCAUUAGCGACCGAGACCCUAUAUUCAUCAGCAGAUUUUGGCAAGAGUUCUUCAAUUUAUCCAGCACCAAACUCAAAAUGAGCUCGGCGUACCACCCGCAAACCGACGGCCAAACGGAGGUAAUUAAUCGAUGCUUGGAACAGUACUUGAGAUGUUUUGUUCACCAAUGGCCGCGAAAGUGGCAUUCUUUUUUGCCGUGGGCAGAAUUUUGGUACAACACCACAUUCCACGUCUCCACCGGAAUGACUCCAUUCCAAGCUUUGUAUGGAAGACCACCUCCAACCGUGCCCAUGUAUCAACUUGGUUCCUCGCCGGUGCAUGAGGUUGAUCAAGCCUUACAUUCACGUGAUGAACUGCUCUUACAAUUAAAGAAAAACUUAGUCACAGCAGCUAACAGGAUGAAGCAAACAGCUGACAAGGGUUGCCGCGACGUUGAGUUCAAACAGGGAGAUAUGGUGUUAUUAAAGUUGCAGCCCUAUCGGCAGACUUCAGUGUUCAGAAGAGCACAUCAGAAAUUAGCUUGCAGGUACUUUGGGCCGUAUUUAGUUCUUCGCAAAGUUGGAGCCGUGGCCUACGAACUACAAUUACCAGAGAAUGCUCGAAUUCACCCGGUGUUUCACGUCUCUUUGCUUAAGAAAGCCGUGGGUGAUUAUGAUAGAAAGCAAGUGCAUGAGCCACGAAGAUCUGGAAGAAUGCCAAAGCCAAACCAUAAGUAUAUUACGUGAGAGCAUAAGUUGAUUCCCAUGCAAGCCAUGCAUGACACAUGCAUGUGCAGUUUAACGUGUGGAAAUUGUAAAGAUGAGUACUGGAGCCGUGAUUUUGGGAUGACCUUAUCAAGUUGCUUUUGGGAUAACUUUAUCAAGUUGCUUUUGAUUAUCUUUACGAAAUAUUAUCUAGGUCGUUAUUUUAAUAUUUGUUUUAUUGAUUUCAGCCGUGAUUGUAGGUUGAAAAUCAAGGUCUUGUGAUUAUAAAUAAGCUCCAGAAUAUGAAUAAAGGCAUUGAGAAUUCUAAACAACAAUUAUUGGGUCCUUUCUCGCCAUAAGCAGAAAAAUAUCACUUGUGUUACGCGUGAUCAUUGGCUGUCUCUGACUGGAACCUAACAUAUAAUAAGUAAAAAUACCCAUAUAUGUAUAAUAAUAAUGAUGGGAUCCAUAUGUUUAUACUAAUUAAAUUGGUGGACCAGAAUUUAUUUGACCUUACUUGUUUUCUAUUUAAUUAAAAUUGAACCGAUAGAGAAAAAUUGUCGUAUUGAUUGUUUCGAUUGUGGAGUUCCAACACUGAAAGUGAAGAUUUCAUCAACUUUCACAUGGACACGUACCGUCAUGCAUAUUGCAUUAUAUUCCUAGAAAAGCAAGAUUAAUUCUUUUAAUAAGCAAACGCGUAGGUGGGAAUCCAUUCAUGAAACAAGUGGAACGACAAUAUCAAACCAAUGAUAAUUCAAAAUCUGAAUCCGCCUGAUGGACGGCAACUCAUCUGAACCAUUCUCCUUUAGUAACAGGAGAAUAAAAUUAUAUCGAUGAUAGAUAAUUUCAAAACAGGGGAAUGAAAACAGAGGAACCUGAUUUUCCUCCCCUUUCUUUUUUCCCCCAACUCUUCUUCUUUUUAUAUUUUCCUUGGAAUUUUUGGCAAACGAAAAAAAAAUAUUACUAGUAAGCAAAGGGGAUUGAUUGAGGGUACAUUUGGGAUUUCUUUUAUUUCUUUAGGUUAUAGGUGGUUUACUUAUCAUGACUUGCACUUAGGAAUGGAUUAUGCACUUGUUUAGUCAUCAAUCAUGAGAACAUUUCUUUUUAAAGCAUCUAAUCAGCUUCAAACUAAUAAAAAAUUCUUUUUUCCCCCAACUCUUCUUCUUUUUAUUUUUAUAUAUUUGAUAAGCACGCUCACUAUUAAUAGAAUUCAUUAGAUAUCUUAAUUUAAAUAACUUCUUGUAGGGUGUUUGGUAAAUGAUGAUUAUUUGACAAUCAAUUUUCAAAUAAUCUACUAUACAAAUUUGAUAAGUGAAAAUUAAAAGUGUAAUAUUCAUGUGCAAUGAUAAAAAUGUACUUGUUUGCUUAUUUGUAGUUUAUUCGGAAUAUUAUUAUUAACAUCAUUUUUUUAUUUACUGGAUUUUUAAAGAGUAUAUUCUAUUUUCUUUAUUACAUAUCUAUAUCAUUUUUUUAUUAACUAUUUUAAUUUGCAAUAAAACUAACUUUAAUAUUUUUUUAACUAAAAAAAUUCAUGCUAACAUAUUAUCAAAUUGAUUAAUAAAUAAGUGCAAAAAGAAAAUGCAAAAAUUUAAUCUUUAUAUAAACUUUUAUGUACAUAAAACUAUUGCAAUCAAAGUAGUUCAUAAAAAUAAAAUAUUAUAUACAUGUGUGUAAAAAAAUAUAUAACUAUAAUAUUGUCCACUCAUUAAACUUGCAGCACUAUUAUUUCUCAAUCUCCCCAUCUCUCGACCUUUAGGAACAUUAAUACUAUGAUCUUCUUCUUAAAUUCGACCUCCAUUUCCACAGUAUCAACAAGGCGAUCAAUUUGCUGUGACAGCCUUUCAACUCCUCCCACUUUCCUCCCUUUUGCGGCCGCUCUUUUUCCUUUUCUUUCUUUGAUAGCUUCAAUGGGAACAAACUCAUCUAACGACAAGUACAUUCUUCAACCACAGUAGAAUUGGUAGUUGAUAUUUUACUACUCUCAGAUGGUAUCUAAACAUGGUCACCAGUGAUUGUUAUAUUAAAAAAAAUUCUAUUCAAAUUUUCCUCUGACUUUGUGUCGAUACCUUUCAUGCAAAAUCUAUUUGCUUCAGAAAUUUCUUCCGUAUGUUGAUAUCAUAUUAAAGUGAAUUCAAGAUCCUAUAUUAUUUUGCAUGACAUCAAAAUUUAGCCGAAUGGUAAAGAAUUUCCCUUUUUGUUUGUCCCACAACUAUAUAGUCUCAUUUUUGGCAAUAAGCUCACAAUAUGCACGGAAAUGAAGAUUUAUUAAAAACUUCCCUAUAAUAUUAAACACUAAACAAUAUCACUAUGUUGUGCAUAUGGUGCCUCGUCAACAAUUUGAUGUUCAUUUUGUUGCUCGGGUGAAUAUGACUACUUGCGUUGCGAGUCCAUGCUUUUGUCGUUUGGAUGGAGGACGGGCCAUCUUUUUAUUUUAGAUGGUUUGUAGGACUUCUGAUAAUUAUUUUUCUAAAACUGAUUUAUGGUUAAUAAGACCUAUGAAAGCAUUCAAAGAAGCCACCGAACUCAGAGGAAAGCCAUGGUUAAAUAUACUGUGAAGCACGUGAGCUCGUUUUUUAAUCUCCUGAUCACUCAUAAGCUUUUCUAUACCACUCACUAUAUCAUCCUUUUGAAUCGAUUUUGAUUGAUCAUCAGAGAUCAUGUACCCACCUUGAGAUGAUUGAUCACAAAUUUGGCAUUGUAAUGUUGGUCACCUCUAAUUGGCCAUGCUAAAAUUGGGACUCGACAACCAAUUGCUUCUACUGUUGAAUUCCAUCCACAGUGAGAUAAAAAUCCACUCGUUGAUUGAUGAUUCAAUAUCAAUGAUUGUGGCGCCCAUCCAUCUAUUAUCAAACCCUUUUUACCGACUUUAUUAUCCAAACCACUACGAAAAUAACUGCCUUCAGCUGGUUUGUCCAAAUGACGUAGAGGAUCCAAUCUACCUGCACCACCUUGAAUUACCAAAAUAAACGGUCGAUUUGAUGCUUCUAAAGCAUUGGCUAGUACUAAGUACUCAUCUAAGGUCGGAUCCACUUCAGUACCAAACGACACAUAUAACACAGAUCCACGUGAUUUCAAAUUCAACCAAUCUCAUCUUCCGUCAUGUUAGAACUCCGCCGGUUGGUUCUCAUCUCAUGAUCAUGAAGCUUUGAACCGGCCGAUUUGUAAAAUUGUUCAGGUAACAGUGAGCCCACUCCCCACACCGGCUUUCCCAAUUGAUUGGCUAAAUAAUUAAUAAAUGGUCCCUCAAGACCAUCACACGUGUUGAACAUCAACGCCAUUGAUCCCUCUACUUCCUUCAUCCAGUGUGGUUGAUCACCGGCUUCUAGUGGACCUUUUUUUCUCGGAACCGGGUGCACCUCGCAGAGGUGGUGGACCACUAGGAGGGGGCCCAUGAGGCCUGUGUUUAAGAUUCGAUUCAAAUAAAGCCAUAUCCUGGGGUAACC